rnacentral:lncRNA from 1 species
GCAAUGGCUCUGUGAAACGUGACGCUUAUGUCCACAGGCAGCUGAAGAUCAUCAAUACUGAUGCUCUGGUCACCAAACGACUCAUCGAUGAAGUUGUUCAGAAUAUCAACAUCAAAGAGGGGUAGAUCAUUGAAGAUUUCUGCCUCUUGCUUGCUCUUGAUCAGCAUCUCAAGUGCUUCAUCACCAAGAUCUUCAUCACUAGACAGAUCAAUGGUGUCUUCCUCGUUGCGCAGAACGGCAGCAGGAGUCAGUUCAUGCCCAGAGAUCUUCUUGGGCUUCUCCGUCUUCUUCGUCCUCUUGGAGACACGAGACAAGUCUUUAGACUGCACACUGGGUUCAGGAGGUGCAGUCUUCAAUGGCUUCACAGUCAAAGCUUUUGGUGCGGCAGAGGGCUUCAAAGCUUUUGAUUUCUUCUUCUUCUGCUUCGGUGGUGCUGGCGCAUCUUCAGAGUCUGCGUCAUCAGCGGAGUGAUCCACUGUAUCCCUCUGAGCAGCAAUGUGAGAGAGGAGCCCGUUGAAGCUGUUGAAGGGGCCGAUGACAUUGGGAUUAGCUUCACGUGCGCCAUCCAGCCUUGGAGAAGAUGGACCAGGGUUGAAGUUGAGUCCAAGAUCCCUCUUGCUCUUUGCAGCUGACUCUUUUGCAAACUGAUAAUUGCGCUUGAAAAGAUUGUCUUUGCGACACCAUAACAUGGAUGAUGGGUCGGCAUUCUCAAGCUUCGGUCCUCGGACCAUGCAUGGGUAGAAACCUUGGGCGAUAGCUUCAGGCUUCAAUUUUGGCUGCAGAUUCUUGUACAGAAUAUCGCCCCAUGGGCGCUUGAUGGCAUUCUUCUCAGCAUAUUCAGCAGUGACAAAGUUGUACUUGAACCACUGUUCUACCCAAUAUCUUCGAAUCCAUUGGAUUCGGGUCUUGCGCUGAUUGUAAUUUUCUUCAGGAUCAGUUUUGUACAUUUCAUACAGAUCCGGAGGCAGAUCUAGAGCUGUGUUGCCUCUGUGCUGCCUGCCACCUUUCCUAGCAGACUUUUCUGUGGCCAUGAUAUUCAAGCAGAUAGGCUUCAGAACAGCGAAAGGCUUCCGUCUACUGGUCAGACAAGAACUUGCUUCAGGGGAGUGAAUAUGAUGUUGUAAGAACUCUGCAAAUGAAUGCAGACUAUGAGAACCAAGGGAUUCUCCCACGGACAUGUACAUGUGACAGCAUUAGAGGUGCGAGGGAAGGGGAAGAGGUCAUAUGCAUUCUCAGAAGAUUUUGAAGAUAAAUCAGUUUGAAGACAUUAACCUCAUAAAGCGAAGACAUUCACUUAUUUGAAGAGAGUUGGUUCCAGAUUUGUACGAAUCCAUGAAUAAGUACAAGUGAGGAAUCUAACUAGUUAUGAAGAAUAAGUGAAUACCUUUAGCAUGAUAUGAGAUGCAGACAGAGACAGAUCCAGAUUUGAAAGUGUAGAAACCACUUUUGGUUGAAGUGGAUGGAUUUGACGGAUCAAAAAGACAGUAAAAAGUGAGAUUUAAUUACCGCUGACGAACUGCUGGACAAGGCAAAGUUAGAAGCCGAGAAGUUCAAUCUCCCGCGCCCUAACUUGGCGGCGGAAGACACCUACGGCGGCGGCGGAGAGGACGAGGUCCACGGCCGGCGUCGAAGAAAUCGCGGCAGCUAAGCGCUUCGUCUCCGGCGUCGACGCGAACUAGCGGAGGCGCUAGGGUUUGAGCGAGGUGGCGAGGUGGAAGAAGAGAUAAUGACCGCGGGGUGUGUGUAUUUAUAAGGAAAGGGACUGCACAACGUAAUUACGCAGGUGCCCCUGGCGGUUCACAUCUGAAGGACACGUGGCCUCCAUGCAACUUAUUGGAAGUUGUUCCAUGUUCCCACGCACGCCUGGAUUGUCGGGUGGUCGUCCCGGCUUCUCCGGUAUUCAGGCACAAGGGAUAUAGCAUUAAAACAGAUUUAAAUGUUUGUCUCUGUGUCUUCUUCUGACAAGGACUCAGUGAAGACAUUUGACAGGUUUCAACAGAAUGCAUAUAACUUGGAUAGAUAGAAUUUGAGGAAGAAGCACAGAAGGGGUUAGGGUCCGAUCACAUUCACUUAGAUCAGAAAAAUUCAGGUAUGAAGACAUAGCUAUAAGUGAAUGUUGUAGAGGACAGAACACGCAUAUAUAUAUAUAUAUAUAUAUAUAUAUAUAUAUAUAUAUAUAUAUCAGUCUAAGACCAACUCAACAUUGCGAAGAUAAACCAUGAGGUCAAAUCAAUGUUUGAAUACAAACCAAAUGCAAAGAUUAUGCAAUCAUGACGCCAAAUGAAACACUUCAAGAAGAUUUUGGUGGUGGCGUUACCCACCAUAUAGGAAGUAUUAGACCUAGACACGGCGCACAAUUAUCGUGGCGCUCCGAAGUCAAAUUCCGCGUUAAUGUAUUCACACUUAGAGUGUAUGUCUUCAUUGAUUGAAGAUAUACAUUACUUCGUGUGUUGCACAUCUAAGUCAUCAACAUGCAUAAGCGUUAGGAUGUGUGUCCAAUUACAGGACAUUUGAGGAUUCUAGGAUAUUUAGCUCACACCGCAACUUGCAAAACCUUUUCUCAUCCAAGGGCUUUGUGAAGAUAUCUGCCAAUUGCUCUUCAGUGUUGACGUGAAUGAUAUCAAUAUCUUCCUUCAUGACAUGAUCUCUGAGAAAGUGAUGAUGGAUCUGAAUGUGCUUUGUCUUCGAGUGCUGAACAGGGUUGUUGGCAAUCUUGAUGGCGCUUUCAUUAUCACAGUAGAGUGGAACUUGCUUCAGGUGGAUGCCAUAGUCCUUGAGAGUUUGCUUCAUCCAUAGAAGCUGAGCGCAGCAAGAUCCAGCAGCAAUGUAUUCAGAUUCAGAAGUGGAGAGGGAUACACAGUUCUGCUUCUUUGAAGACCAACAGACAAGCGAUCGUCCAAGAAAGUGACAUGUGCCUGAUGUGGACUUGCGAUCAACCUUGUCACCAGCAUAAUCAGCAUCUGAGAAUCCAACUAGAUCAAACUCUGAACCCUUGGGAUACCAUAAUCCUAGAGUUGGGGUGUAAGCCAAAUAUCGAAGAAUUCGCUUCACUGCUAGGUGAUGCGAUUCCUUUGAUGCCGCUUGGAAUCGGGCAUACAUGCAAACACUAAGCAUUAUAUCUGGCCUAGAUGCACAUAAAUAGAGUAAAGAGCCAAUCAUGGAGCGGUAUACCUUUUGAUCAAAUUCUUUACCAUUGUCGUCGGGGCCAAGAUGACUUUUGGUUGGCAUUGGCGUCGUGUAUCCUUUGCAGUCUUGCAUUCCAAACUUCUUCAAGCAAUCGUUGAGGUAUUUCUCUUGUGAUAUGAAGAUGCCGUUGCUCUGCUGACGGAUUUGAAGACCGAGGAAGAAUUUCAGCUCAACCAUCAUGGACAUCUGAUAUUGCUCUUGCAUCAUGUACCCAAACUCAUCACUGUAUCUAUUGUCAGUGCAGCCAAAGAUAAUGUCAUCCACGUAGAUUUGGCAUACAAACAGUUCACCGUCAUAUGUCUUCGUGAAGAGUGUGGGAUCCAGGGAACCAUGUUUGAAGCCUUUGCUCUUCAGGAAAUCUUUGAGCGUCUCAUACCGAGCGCGAGGGGCUUGUUUGAGGCCAUACAGUGCCUUGUUGAGCUUGUAUACCAUGUUAGGAUGCUUUGCGUCUUCAAAACCAGGUGGUUGUCCAGCAUACACUUCUUCUUCAAUUUGCCAUUGAGAAAGGCACUCUUUACAUCCAUUUGGUAAAGAAGGAUGUUGUGAUGGUUGGCAUAGGCUAGCAGUAUGUGAAUGGCUUCAAUCCUAGCCACCGGAGCAAAUGUUUCAUCGAAGUCAAUCCCUUCUACUUGAGUGUAACCUUGAGCAACGAGUCGAGCCUUGUUUCUGACGACUUGACCAUGCUCAUCUUGUUUGUUGCGAUAGAUCCAUUUGGUGCCUAUGAUGUUGUGCUUGCGAGGAUCAGGACGCUUUACUAGUUCCCAAACAUUGUUCAGCUCGAACUGUUGAAGCUCUUCUUGCAUAGCUUGAAUCCAUUCAGGUUCCAUGAAGGCUUCAUCAACUUUCUUGGGUUUAGAUAUAGAGACAAAUGCAAAGUGCCCACAGAAAUUUGCUAGUUGUGUUGCUCUUGAACGAGUGAGUGGACCAGGUGCAUUGAUGCUAUCGAUUAUCUUCUCAAUAUGUACUUCAUUUGCAACACGAGGAUGAACUAGACGAAGAUUUUGCUCUUGCUGAUCAUUGUCUUUGUUUUCAGCAUUGACUUCAGGCUGAGCAGUGUCUUCGGGUUGAUUAGGUGCAGAAAUGAUGAUUUCUUCUUCAGCCUGUGCCUCUGAAGGUAUGAUCUCUCCAGUACCCAUAAGCUUGAUAGAUUCACUUGGUGAGGCUUCAUCUAGCACAUUUUGCAUGUGCUCUCUUUGCGAGCUGUUAGUCUCAUCGAAUCAUACAUCCAUAGUUUCAACCACUUUAUAGUGAAAGAGGUUGAAGACUCUGUAGGAGUGUGAAUCCUUUCCGUAGCCAAGCAUAAAACCUUCAUUUGCUUUCGGUGCAAAAUUUGAAGUGUGAUGUGGAUCCUUGAUCCAGCACCUAGCACCAAAUACUCUGAAGUAACUGACGUUUGGCUUCUUACCAGUUAGGAGCUCAUAGGAUGUCUUCUUGAGAAGCUUGUGAAGAUAAACACGGUUGAUGACAUGGCAUGCAGUAUCAAUGGCUUCAGGCCAAAACUUUCUUGGUGUCUUUACUCAUCAAGCAUCGUCCGUGCCAUCUCAAUGAGGGUUCUGUUCUUGCGCUCCACGACGCCAUUCUGCUGAGGUGUGUAAGGAGCUACGAACUCAUGUGUGAUGCCCAAUGUAUCAAGAUAAGUGUUGAGGCUGGUGUUCUUGAAUUAUGUGCCGUUGUCACUUCUGAUAUGCUUGAUCUUGAUGCCACAGUUGGUCAUGGCACGAUUGGCGAAUCGCCUGAAGACAUCCUGCACUUCAUUCUUGUAGAGAAUUAUGUGCACCCAUGUAUAUCUAAAGUAAUCAUCAAUAAUGAUGAAACCAUAGAGACAAGCAGUGGUAGUGGGGGUAGCGUAGUGAGUAGGGCCAAAUAAUUCCAUGUGAAGCAGCUCGAAGGGACGAGUUGUCGUCAUGAUUGUUUUCGAGGGAUGCUUGGCCCUAGUCAUCUUUCCAGCUUCGCAGGCACCACAUAGAUGAUCCUUCUUGAACUUGACGCCCUCGAUGCCUACGACAUGCUUCUUCUUCGUGAGAGUGUACAAUUUCCUCAUGCCAGCAUGCCCUAGCCUUCGAUGCCAGAGCCAGCACUCUGAAGCUUUUGCUAGAAGACAUACGGCCAAUUGUGGUCCUGCUGAGAAAUCUACCAUAUAUAGAUCGUCUUUUCGAUACCCUUCAAAGACUAGAGAUUUGUCAAAUUCCAUAAGCACAAGGCAACGAUAUUUUCCAAAUAUCACAAUCAUGUUCGGAUCACAAAGCAUUGAGACAGACAUUAAGUUGAAACCAAGGGAUCCAACAAGCAUCACUUUAUCCAUGUGCUGAUCCUUUGAGAUUGCAACUCUACCUAGACCCAAUACCUUGCUUUUACCGGUGUCAGCAAAUGUGAUGUGACUCUUGUCAGAUGGACGUAGGGUUGAGUCCAUAAGAAGACUUCGAUCACCAGUCAUGUGGUUAGUGCAUCCACUGUCCAUAAUCCAUUCUGAAGCCUUUGGUGUCAUACCCUACAGUGCAGUUUGGGGGAUAGGCUUCACCAAGGGUAUUGUGAAGCAUAAACAUUUAACGAACAAGCGGAUUAUUAAAGUUCAGAUCUUUGUUAGGAUAAAUAGGAUGUUUGUCAAGGAAUCCUGGGACAAAAUACAUAGUAAGACCAUUUUGACAUUUUAUCUUGCGCCCCACAAGAUGUUUUAGGUCCCCAGCAUAAGCAUCAGAAGCCUUUGAUUUCCGGCUGGAGACCUUUCCCUGCAUAAGAGAGUUAUUUUUUCUUAACCACCCACAUCUUCAGGGGUGGCUUAGAAGCAAUGAGUCUAAGUGCAGCAUCUGAGAACUUCGGCUUUGGAGCCCUAGCAAAUAGCCUUGCAGGAGGUGAAUAAUACUCAUAAGAAUAAGCAGAAAAGUUCUUGGUCUUAUGAACAUAGCGGUUUGACGAAACACGCUCAUAUUCAUAAGUCUGGGUAUGGUUUCCCUGCAAAACAUUGGCGUUAGGGUGACUCUGGUGAGUCCUCUGUCUGUAUGAAGCCUUUGGACCAUAUGAAGCCUUUGGUCUGGGGUUUGUCUUCUUCCCAGGUGGUGUCAUGAUGACAUUCACAGGAAGUUUCUCAAGACAACUUUUGGGCACCCAGAUCUUCUUGAAAGGUGGUCCAUUCCUGCAGUUAGUACCAAUAUACCUGGCAAACACUUCACCAUUCUGAUUCUUAAACAGUUUAUAGUUUGCAUCAAAGGAUUCAUCAAUGAUAAUCGGGUUAGCACAAGUGAAGCCAGAUAAGGUAGACGGAUCCACUGAAGGUCCCUUUGCAGCAACCCAUGUUGUUUUGGGGUACUACUCAGGCAUCCAGUAGGAACCAUCAACAUUCAUUUUCCUCUUGAACUCAACACCCUCUUUCCUAGGGUUUCGGUUCAGAAUCUAUUUCUUGAGGACAUCACAUAGUGUCUGAUGCCCUUUGAGACUUUUGUACAUCCCUGUUUCAAGCAAUGUCUUCAACUUGGCAUUCUCAUCAGCAAUAGUGGUGGUAUCCUCAGCAGGGGGGUUAGUUACCACAUCACCAGUUGAAGAUAUUGCAACAGUGGCAGCAGUAGAGCAUUCAGCAACAGAGACAGCAUUAUCACGCUCAAGACAUUUUAGGCAUGGUGGAUCAAAACCUUCCUGAGCGGAACUGAUCUGUUGAGCGCAGAGUGACUCGUUCUCUUUUUGAAGAUCUUCAUGAGACGCUCUCAGGUUCUCAAGUUCUUGCUUCCUUUGAAGAUAAUCAUAGGAAAGCUUCUCAUGAGUAGCUGAGAGAGUUUCAUGACAACUUUCAAGUUCCUCGUACUUAACAUGAAGAUUUUUUAUGUCUUCAAUUAAGGACUGAGUUCGGGCCAUUUCCACGUCCAACAGGUCAUCGCUUUUGUCUAGCAACUUUUGAAUAUGUUCCAUAGCAGUUUGUUGUUCAGUUGCAAUUUUAGCAAGUGUUUUGUAGCUAGGUUUAGAUUCACAUUGAGAGUCAUCUUCACUUGAUGUUUGAAAGUAAGCAUCGCGUGAGUUUACCUUGGCACCACGUGCCAUGAAGCAGUAGGUGGGAGCAGAGUCAUCCUCAUCAUUAGCAUCAUCGUUGGUGACGAGGCCAUUGUCUUCAGUGUUGAAGAUGGACUUGGCGACAUAGGCUGAAGCUAGAGCCAGGCUUGCCACGCCUGAAUCGGAUUCCUCCUCAAAUUCCACCUUCGCCUCCUUAGAAGCAGACUCCUCCUCUGAAUCCAUCUCCUUGCCAAAAAAAUCCACGGGCCUUGCUGGAUGAGCUCUUCUUGUGAGAUGAAGACUUGGAUGAAGACUUUGAAGAAGACUUUCAGGAUUUCUUCUUCUUGUCAUCAGAAUCAUAUUCCUUGCUCUUCUUCUUCUUCUUGGUCUCAUUGUCCCACUGUGGACACUCAGAGAUGUAGUGACCAGGUUUCUUGCAUUUGUGACAUGUUCUCUUCUUGUGGCCACGAGAGGAAGCUUCAUCAUUUCUUGAGCUAGUCUUGAAGACUUUCUGAAGUCUUUCUUCUUGGUGAACUUCUGGAACUUCUUCACAAGCAUAGCAAACUCCUUUCCAAUGUCUUCAGGAUCCCCAGAACUACAGUCAGAUUCUUCUUCAGAUGAGGAAACAACCUUUGCCUUCAAAGCACGAGUUCGGCCAUAGUUGGGGCCAUAGAUGUCUCUUUUCUCAGAUAACUGGAACUCAUGUGUGUUGAGCCUCUCGAGUAUGUCAGACGGAUCGAGAUAUUUGAAGUCAGGACAUUCUUGAAUCAUAAAGGCCAUGGUGUCGAAUGAGCUGUCAAGUGAUCUCAGAAGCUUCUUGACGAUUUCGUGCUUGGUGAUCUCAGUGGCGCCAAGUGCGCGAAGCUCAUUUGUGAUAUCAGUGAGGCGAUCAAACGUGAGCUGGACAUUCUCAUUGUCGUUUCUCUUGAAGAGGUUGAAGAGGUUGCGAAGAACAUCAAUCCUUGAGUCUCUCUGAGUUGAGACGCCUUCGUUGACCUUGUAGAGCCAGUCCCAGACUAGCUUCACAGUUUCCAGUGCACUCACACGGCCAUACUGUCCUUUGGUCAGAUGACCACAGAUGAUGUUCUUGGCGGUCGAGUCCAGUUGAAUGAACCUCUUGGCAUCAGCAGCGGUGACACCUUCACCAGCCUUGGGAACGCCGUUCUUGACGACAUACCAGAGGUCAACGUCAAUGGCUUCAAGAUGCAUACGCAUCUUAUUCUUCCAGUAGGGGUAAUCAGUGCCAUCGAAGACAAGGCACACAGCGGAGACCUUGAUUAUCCCUGCAGUCGACAUAGCUUAAACUCCAGGUGGUUAAACCGAAUCACACAGAACAAGGGAGCACCUUGCUCUGAUACCAAUUGAAAGUGCUAGUUAUCGACUAGAGGGGGUGAAUAGGCGAUUUUUAUGAAAGUCUUCAAAACACGGGGGCUUUGAAGACAAACAGUAGAAAUGAACCUAUUGAUAUGCAGCGGAAGGUAGACUACACUAGACAAGCCAUAGUCAAGUAAGCAAUGAAGUGAGAGCACGAAGACUAUCAGGAGCUAGGUAGUAUGGAUCAGGAUGGAAGAUAGUAUGAAGCCAAACAACAAACAGUCUUCACAUAGUGAAGACAAUCAGAUCAUGCAAGCAGGCAAUGACUUCACGAAGACAAACUGUAAGUAAAGGGAAGGGAAGGAUGGAACUAGUUGCUUGGUGAGGACAAGGAUUUGGUAGACCAGUUCCAGUUGCUGUGACAAUUGUACGUCUGGUUAGGGAGGCUGAGAUUUAACUUAGAAGACCGUGUCUUCACCUUAUUCCCCUUGAGCUAAGAACACUUAGUCCUCGCCCAAUCACUCUGGUAAGUCUUCAAGGUAGACUUUCGAACCUUCACAGACUUCGUUCACUGGCAAUCCACAAUGGCUCUUGGAUGCUCAGAAUGCGACGCCUAACCGGCUGGAGGAUUCACAGUCCUCAAGUGUAACAAGUCUUCAUAUCACGCGGACAGAAAGACUUCAGUGAUGCCUAACACUCUUUGGCUCUAGGUGUUUUGGGCUUUGUCCUCGCAAGGAUCUCUCUCUCAAAUGCUUCGGAGGUGGGUUGCUCUCAAACGACAAAAGCCGUGCACUAACUUGAGCAGCCACCAAUUUAUGGUGUAGGGGUGGGCUAUUUAUAGCCAGGAGGCAACCCGACCUGAUUUGUCCGAAAAUGACCCUGGGUCACUAAGGAACUGACACGUGUCCAAUGGUCAGAUUUCAAACACACGUGGGAGCUUGACUGGGCUACAAGUAAAGCUGACUCAUCCAGCUCUAGAUAAGAUUUGCUCUCAUUGUCUUCGCUCGAAGACAUAGGAUUUGGUUGAGCAUCACAUCAGUCACUCUGACUUUGUUCACUUGGACCCCACUUAACAGUACAAUGGUUCCUAUGACUCAACAAAGAAGAAAAGGAAACUAUGAAACAACUAUGUCUUCGUAUUCCAUAGUCUUCAUGUGAAUGUCUUCUCAUGUCAUAAUCUUCACUGUGAAUAUCUUCACAGACCACCAUUGUCUUCAAUGUCUUCACACAUUUUUAGGGGUCAUCUCUGGUAGGUAAACCGAAUCAAUAAGGGACUACUACCUGUGUUAUCCUGCAAUUCUCACAAACACAUUAGUCCCUCAACCAAGUUUAUCGUCAAUACUCCAAAACCAACUAGGUGUGGCACUAGAUGCACUUACACCAACUAGAUUGGUUUUACUUGCAAUGGGAGAGGUGCUUUGUGAUGGGUUCAAUCUUGCGGUGUCCUCACCCAGUGACAGAAAGGGUAGCGAGGCACGUAUUGUAUUGUUGCCAUUAAGAAUAAAAAGAUGGGUUUUAUAUCAUAUUGCUUGAGUUUAUCCCUCUACAUCAUGUCAUCUUGCUUCGUUGCUCUGUUCUUAUGAACUUAAUACACUAGAUGCAAGCAGCAGUCGGUCGAUGUGUGCAGUAAUAGUAGUAGAUGCAGAAUCGUUUCAGUCUACUUGUCAUGGACGUGAUGCCUAUAUUCAUGAUCAUUGCCUUAGAUAUCGUCAUAACUUUGCGCUUUUCUAUCAAUUGCUCAACAGUAAUUUGUUUACCCAACGUAUGCUUUCUUCGAGAGAGAAGCCUCUAGUGAAACCUAUGGCCCCCGGGUCUAUUCCUUAUCAUAUAUUUUCAGAUCUAUAAAACCAAAAACCCAAAAAUACCUUGCUACAAUUUAUUUGUGUUUACUUUAUUUUAACUUUUAUUUAUAUUUUAAAUCUAUCUCUAUUAGAUCCUCUUGCUAGUGACCGUGAAGGGAUUGAAAACCCCAUUUUCACGUUGUGUGCAAGUGUUUGUUAGUUUGUGCAGGUGCAUCUAUUGGGUACUUGCUUGUGCCUUCUACUGGAUCGAUACCUUGGUUCUUAACUGAGGGAAAUACUUAUCUCUACUUUGCUGCAUCACCCUUUCCUCUUCAAGGGAAGAAUCAACGCAAGCUCGAGAAGUAGCACUAAGUUGAAAGCCCAUUAUCCAGAAAGUCGAAUUAAGUCAAUUGGAAUGGACAAUGCCGCAGAAUUCUCCUCACGUGCUUUCAAAGAUUAUUGCAUGACUUUGGGGAUUGAAGGUUAUCACUUUGUUUCAUAUGUCCAUAUGCAAAAUGGUUUGGCUGAAUCAUUGCUUAAGAGGAUCAAACUCAUUGCAAGACCAUUGUUGAUGAAUUGCAACUUGCCAACCUCUUGUUGGGGUCACGCCGUUUUACACGCUGCUGACUUGAUACAAUUGAGGCCAACUGCAUAUCACAGUACUCACCCUCUACAAUUGGUACGUGGAAAUCCUCCUAGUAUUUCCCAUCUACGUAAGUUCAGAUGUGUUGUAUACAUCCCGAUCUCACCACCACAACGGACAUCUAUGGGCCCACACAGGAAACAGGGGAUCUAUGUGGGGUACAAAUCGCGGUCGAUUAUCAAGUACCUGGAACCCCUUACUGGGAUCUGUUCACAAUCUGUCAUGUUGAUUGCAUAUUUAAUGAGGGGCAUUUUUCGGCAUUAGGGGGAGAUUUCAAGUACCAGAAAGAAUGUCCGGAACUUGAUUGGAAUGCUCAAGUCAUUUCAUCCUGUGAUCCAUGUACCCAAGAGACCGAACUCCAAGUUUGGAAAAUCAUUAAUUUGCAACGUCUUGCAAAUAAUCUGCCAGAUUCAUUUACUGGUCUAACAGGUGUUACAAAAUCCUUAAAUCCGGCCAGAAAUGCGCCUGAAAGAGUGGAGGUACCAAUAAAAACCAUUCAACUCCCUAUUCCUAAAAAGAGGGGGAGUAGUACGACCUCUGACCUGGAGCAUGCUUCUAGCAAGCAGCAAAGAAAAUCGAGGAGAAAAACCUCGGAGUCAGUAAAUGCAAGUCAACUCAACAUUGACAAACACCUGAUGGGUAGUAUACACCCAGUGGAAGGGCAACCUCCACAACCCAGCUUCAGUUUGCACACACUGGCUGGGACAUCGGAACACCCGGACUCAUGCAUAUUGGGAAAUCACGAAGAGUCACUAGGGGUGCAGGAAAUUUCCGUCAACUAUGUUGAUUCUGGAGAAUCAUUUGACCGUAAGACUAAGAGUGUCGACAUAUACUUUGCUGAAAAGAUUGCAGAUACCCUUCCCACUGAUCAUGAUCCAAGUACUAUCGUUUAGUGCCAAAAGCGCUCCGUGGCCGCUGUUGGGGAACGUAGCAAAAAUUCAAAAUUUUCUACGCAUCACCAAGAUCAAUCUAUGGAGUAAUCUAGCAACGAGGGGAAGGGGAGUGCAUCUACAUACCAUUGUAGAUCGCGAUGCGGAAGUGUUGCAAGAACGCGGAUGAAGGAGUCGUACUCGUAGCGAUUCAGAUCGCGGUUGAUUCCGAUCUAAGCACCGAAGAACGGUGCCUCCGCGUUCAACACACGUGCAGCCCGGUGACGUCUCCCACGCCUUGAUCCAGCAAGGAGGGAGGGAGAGGUUGGGGAAGACUCCAUCCAGCAGUAGCACGACGGCGUGGUGGUGGUGGAGGAGCGUGGCAAUCCCGCAGGGCUUCGCCAAGCACCGCGGGAGAGGAGGAGGAGGAAGAGGGGUAGGGCUGCGCCGAAAGAGAGACGUUCUCAUGUCUGUAUGGCAGCCCCAAACCUCAAGUAUAUAUAGGGGAGGGGGAGGGCUGCGCCCCCAUCUAGGGUUCCCCCCCCCCAAGGGGUGCGGCCAGCCCUAGAUGGGGCUUGGGGGGCGGCCAAAGGAGGGGAGAGAGGGGGCGCCCCACUAGAUGGGCCUUAGGCCCAUCUGAGACUAGGGUUUCCCCCCUUCCCCCUUUCCUGCGCCCUGGACCUCUUGUGGGGGGGCGCACCAGCCCACCGGGGGCUGGUCCCCUCCCACACUUGGCCCAUGCAGCCCUCUGGGGCUGGUGGCCCCACUUGGUGGACCCCCGGGACCCUCCCGGUGGUCCCGGUACAUUACCGAUAUCACCCGAAACUUUUCCGGUGACCAAAACAGGACUUCCCAUAUAUAAAUCUUUACCUCCAGACCAUUCCGAAACUCCUCGUGAUGUCCGGGAUCUCAUCCGGGACUCCGAACAACAUUCGGUAACCACGUACAUACUUUCCCUAUAACCCUAGCGUCACCGAACCUUAAGUGUGUAGACCCUACGGGUUCGGGAACCAUGCAGACAUGACCGAGACGUUCUCCGGUCAAUAACCAACAGCGGGAUCUGGAUACCCAUGUUGGCUCCCACAUGUUCCACGAUGAUCUCAUCGGAUGAACCAUGAUGUCGGGGAUUCAAUCAAUCCCGUAUACAAUUCCCUUUGUCUAUCGGUAUGUUACUUGCCCGAGAUUCGAUCGUCGGUAUCCCGAUACCUUGUUCAAUCUCGUUACCGGCAAGUCUCUUUACUCGUUCCGUAACUCACAUCAUCCCGUGAUCAACUCCUUGGUCACACUGUGCACAUUAUGAUGAUGUCCUACCGAGUGGGCCCAGAGAUACCUCUCCGUUUACACGGAGUGACAAAUCCCAGUCUCGAUUCGUGCCAACCCAAUAGACACUUUCGGAGAUACCUGUAGUGCACCUUUAUAGCCACCCAGUUACGUUGUGACGUUUGGUACACCCAAAGCAUUCCUACGGUAUCCGGGAGUUGCACAUCUCAUGGUCUAAGGAACUGAUACUUGACAUUAGAAAAUCUCUGAGCAAACGAACUACACGAUCUUGUGCUAGGCUUAGGAUUGGGUCUUGUCCAUCACAUCAUUCUCCUAAUGAUCUGAUCCCGUUAUCAACGACAUCCAAUGUCCAUGGUCAGGAAACCGCAACCAUCUAUUGAUCAACGAGCUAGUCAACUAGAGGCUUACUAGGGACAUGGUGUUGUCUAUGUAUCCACACAUGUAUCUGAGUUUCCUAUCAAUACAAUUCUAGCAUGGAUAAUAAACGAUUAUCAUGAACAAGGAAAUAUAAUAAUAACCUAUUUAUUAUUGCCUCUAGGGCAUAUUUCCAACAGUCUCCCACUUGCACUAGAGUCAAUAAUCUAGUCCACAUCACCAUGUGAUUAACACUCAUAGGUCACAUCACCAUGUGACCAACAUCCAAAGAGUUUUCAAGUACCUAGUUCACAUCACUAUGUGAUUAACAAUCUAGUUCACAUCACUAUGUGAUUAACACUCAAUGAGUUCUGGUUUGAUCAUGUUAUGCUUGUGAGAGAGGUUAUUAGUCAACGGGUCUGAACCUUUCAGAUCCGUGUGUGCUUUACGAAUAUCUAUGUCAUCUUGUGGAUGCUACCACGCGCUAUUUGGAGCCAUUUCAAAUAAUUGCUCUACUAUACGAAACCGGUUUACUACUCAGAGUCAUCCGGAUUAGUGUCAAAGUUCGCAUCGACGUAACCCUUUACGACGAACUCCCUUUCACCUCCAUAAUCGAGAAAAUUCCUUAGUCCACUAGGUACUAAGGAUAAGUUCGACCGCUGUCAUGUGAUCCUUUCCCGGAUCACUAUUGUACCCUCUUGACCAACUCAUGGCAAGGCACACUACAUGUGCGGUACGCAGCAUAGCAUACUGUAGAGCCUACGUCUGAAGCAUAGGGGAUGACCUUCGUCCUUUCUCUCUCUUCUGCUGUGGUCAGGUCUUGAGUCUUACUCAAUACUCACACCUUGUAACACAGCCAAGAACUCCUUCUUUGCUGAUCUAUUUUGGACUCUUUCAAAAUCAUGUCAAGGUGUGCGUUCUUUGAAAGUAUCAUUAGGCGUCUUGAUCUAUCUCUAUAGAUCUUGAUGCCCAAUAUGUAAGUAGCUUUAUCCAGGUCUUCCUUUGAAAAACUCCUUUCAAACAAUCCUUUAUGCUUUCCAGAAAUUCUACAUCAUUUCGGAUCAACAAUAUGUCAUUCACAUAUACUUAUCAGAAAUGUUGUAGCUCUCCCACUCACUUUAUUGUAAAUACAAGUUUCUAACAAACUUUGUAUAAACCCAAAAACUUUGAUCACUCCAUCAAAGCGUAUAUUCUGACUCCGAGAUGCUUGCUCUAGUCCAUGGAAGGAUCGCUGGAGCUAGCAUACCUUUUAGCAUCCUUAGGAUCGACAAAACCUUUCUGAUUGUAUCACAUACAACCUUUCCUUACGCAAACUGGUAAGGAAACUUGUUUUGACAUCCAUCUGCCAGAUUUCAUAAAUGCAGCUAAUUCUAACAUGAUUCCGACGGACUUAAGCAUCGCUACGGAUGAGAAAAUCUCAUCGUAGUCAACUCCUUGAACUUAUGGAAAUACUCUUUGCCACAAGUCAAGCUUCAUAGACGGUAACCUUACCGUCCACGUUCGUCUUCUUCUUAAAGAUCCAUUUAUCUCGGAUUUCAUGGCUUCUAACCAUUUGUCAGAAUAUGGGCCCACCAUCGCUUCUCCAUAGCUCAUAGGUUCAUCGUUGUCCAACAACAUGACUUCCAAGACAGGAUCACGUACUACUCUGAAGUAUUACGCAUCCUCGUCGUCCUACGAGGUUUGGUAGUGACUUGAUCCGAAGUUUCAUGAUCACUAUCAUAAGCUUCCACUUCAAUUGGUGUAGGUGCCACAGGAACAACUUCCUGUGCCCUGCUACACACUAGUUGAAGUGACGGUUCAAUAACCUUAUCAAGUCUCCACCAUCCUCCCACUCAAUUCUUUCGAGAGAAACUUUUCCUCGAGAAAGGACGUUUCUAGAAGCAAUUACUUUUGCUUCCAGAUCUGAAAUAGGAGGUACACCCAACUGUUUUGGGUAUUCUAUGAAGAUGUAUUUAUCCGCUUUGGGUUCGAGCUUAUCAGCCUGAAACUUUUUCACAUAAGCGUCGCAGCCCCAAACUUUUAAGAAACGACAACUUAGGUUUCUCUAAACGGUGUCGUCUCAACGGAAUUGCGUGGUGCCCCUUUUAAAGUGAAUGCGGUUGUCUCUAAUGCCUAACCCAUAAACGAUAGUGGUAAUUUGAUAAGAAACAUCAUGGUAUGCACUAUAUCCAAUAGGGUGCAGUUAUGAUGUUCGGACACACCAUCACACUAUGGUGUUCCAGGCGGUAUUAAUUGUGAAACACUUUCCACAAUGUCUUAAUUGUGUGCCAAACUCGUAACUCAGAUACUCAUCUCUAUGAUCAUAUCACAGACAUUUUAUCCUCUUGUCACGACGAUCUUCAACUUCACUCUGAAAUUACUUGAACCUUUCAAUAAUUCAGACUUGUGUUUUAUCAAGUAAAUACACUCAGCAUCUACUCAAAUCAUCUGUGAAGUAAGAACAUAACGAUAUCCACUGCAUGCCUCAGCAUUCAUUGGACUGCAUACAUCAAAAUGUAUUACUUCCAAUAAAUUGCUCUCUUGUUCCAUCUUACUGAAAACGAGGCCUUUCAGUCAUCUUGCCCAUGUGGUAUGAUUUGCAUGUCUCAAGUGAUUCAAAAUCAAGUGAGUACAAACGAUCCAUCUGCAUGGAGUUUCUUCAUGCAUAUAUACCAAUAGACAUGGUUCGCAUGUCUCAAUCUUUUCAAAAACGAGUGAGUCCAAAGAUCCAUCUACAUGGAGCUUCUUCAUGCGUUCUAUACCAAUAUGACUCAAAUGGCAGUGCCACAAGUGUGUGGAACUAUCAUUACUAUUUUAUAUCUUUUGGCACGAACAUGUGUAUCACUACGAUCGAGAUUCAUUUUAGGUGCAAGACCAUUGAAGGUAUUAUUCAAAUAAACAGAGUAACCAUUAUUCUCCUUAAAUGAAUAACCGUAUUGCGAUAAACAUAAUCCAAUCAUGCUCAACGCAAACACCAAAUCUCGAUGGUAGAGGGAGCACGCGAUGCUUGAUCACAUCAACCUUGGAAACACUUCCAACACAUAUCGUCAUCUCACCUUUAGCUAGUCUCCGUUUAUUCCGCAGCUUUUAUUUCGAGUUACUAACACUUAGCAACCGAACCGGUAUCUAAUACCCUGGUGCUGCUAGGAGUACUAGUAAAGUACACAUUCAUAUAAUGUAUAUCUAGUAUACUUCUGUCGACCUUGCCUGCCUUCUCAUCUACCAAAUAUCUAGGGUAGUACUGCUUCAGUGACCGUUCCUCUCAUUACAGAAGCACUUAGUCUCGGGUUUGGGUUCAACCUUGGGAUUCUUCACUAGAGCCGCAAACGACUUGCUGUUUCAUGAAGUAUCCCCUUUUGCCCUUGCCCUUCUUAAACUAGUGGUUUUACUAACCAUCAACAAUUGAUGCUCCUUCUUGAUUUCUACUCUCGCGGUGUCAAACAUCGCGAAUAGCUCAAGGAUCAUCAUAACUAUCCCUGAUAUGUUAUAGUUCAUCACGAAGCUCUACUAGCUUGGUGGCAGUGACUAUGGAGAACUAUCACUAUCUCAUCUGGAAGGUUAACUCCCACUUGAUUCAAGCGAUUUGUGGCACUCAGACAAUCUGAGCACAUGCUUAACGAUUGAGCUUUUCUCCCUUAGUCUGCAGGCUUAAGAAACUUGUCAGAGGUCUCAUACCUCUUGACGUGGGCACUAGUCUGAAAUCUCAAUUUCAGUCUUCGGAACAUCUCAUAUGUUCUGCGACGUUUCAAAAACCGUCUUUGGUGCCACAAUUCUAAACCGUUAGCAUUACGCACUGAACUAUCACGUAGUCAUCAAAACGUGUAUGUCAGAUGUUUCGCAACAUCUACAGACGAUGCUGAGGUUCAGCACACCGAGCGGUGCAUUAAGGACAUAAGCCUUCUGUGCAGCAAUGAGGACAAUCCUCAGUUUACGGACCCAGUCCGCAUAAUUGCUACUACCAACUUUCAACUAAAUUUUCUCUAGGAACAUAUCUUAAACAGUAGAACUAAAGCGCAAGAUAUGACAUAAUAUGCAAAGACUUUUUGACUAUGUUCAUGAUAAUGAAGUUCAUCUGAUUAUUGAACUCCCACUCAGAUAGACAUCCCUCUAGUCAUCUAAGUGAUACAUGAUCCGAGUCAAACUAGGCCGUGUCCGAUCAUCACGUGAGACGGACUAGUCAUCAUCGGUGAACAUCUCCAUGUUGAUCGUAUCUUCUAUACGACUCAUGCUCGACCUUUCGGUCUCUUGUGUUCCGAGGCCAUGUCUGUACAUGCUAGGCUCGUCAAGUCAACCUAAGUGUUUUGCAUGUGUUCCGAGGCCAUGUCUGUACAUGCUAGGCUCGUCAACACCCGUUGUAUUCGAACGUUAGAAUCUAUCACACCCGAUCAUCACGUGGUGCUUCGAAACAACGAACCUUCGCAACGGUGCACAGUUAGGGGGAACACUUUCUUGAAAUUAUUAUAAGGGAUCAUCUUACUUACUACCGUCGUUCUAAGCAAAUAAGAUGCAUAACAUGAUAAACAUCACAUGCAAUCAAAUAGUGACAUGAUAUGGCCAAUAUCAUUUUGCUCCUUUGAUCUCCAUCUUCGGGGCACCACGAUCAUCUUUGUCACCGGCAUGACACCAUGAUCUCCAUCAUCAUGAUCUCCAUCAUUGUGUCUUCAUGAAGUUGUCACGCCAACGAUUACUUCUACUUCUAUGGCUAACGCGCUUAGCAAUAAAGUAAAGUAAUUUACAUGGCGUUAUUCAAUGACACGCAGGUCAUACAAAAAAUAAAGACAACUCCUAUGGCUCCUGCCGGUUGUCAUACUCAUCGACAUGCAAGUCGUGAUUCCUAUUACAAGAAUAUGAUCAAUCUCAUACAUCACAUAUAUCAUUCAUCACAUCUUCUGGCCAUAUCACAUCACAUAACACAUGCUGCAAAAAUAAGUUAGACGUCCUCUAAUUGUUGUUGCAAGUUUUUACGUGGCUUGUAUAGGUUUCUAGCAAGAACGUUUCUUACCUACGUAAAACCACAACGUGAUAUGCCAAUUUCUAUUUACCCUUCAUAAGGACCCUUUUCAUCGAAUCCGUUCCGACUAAAGUGGGAGAGACAGACACCCGCUAGCCACCUUAUGCAACUAGUGCAUGUCAGUCGGUGGAACCUGUCUCACGUAAGCGUACGUGUAAGGUCGGUCCGGGCCGCUUCAUUCCACAAUGCCACCGAAACAAGAUAAGACUAGUAGCGGCAAGAAGAAUUCGCAACAUCUACGCCCACAACUACUUUGUGUUCUACUCGUGCAUAGAAACUACGCAUAGACCUAGCUCAUGAUGCCGCUGUUGGGGAACGUAGCAGAAAUUCAAAAUUUUCUACGCAUCACCAAGAUCAAUCUAUGGAGUAAUCUAGCAACGAGGGGAAGGGGAGUGCAUCUACAUACCAUUGUAGAUCGCGAUGCGGAAGCGUUGCAAGAACGCGGAUGAAGGAGUCGUACUCGUAGCGAUUCAGAUCGCGGUUGAUUCCGAUCUAAGCACCGAAGAACGGUGCCUCCGCGUUCAACACACGUGCAGCCCGGUGACGUCUCCCACGCCUUGAUCCAGCAAGGAGAGAGAGAGAGGUUGGGGAAGACUCCAUCCAGCAGCAGCACGACGGCGUGGUGGUGGUGGAGGAGCGUGGCAAUCCCGCAGGGCUUCGCCAAGCACCGCGGGAGAGGAGGAGGAGGAAGAGGGGUAGGGCUGCGCCGAAAGAGAGACGUUCUCAUGUCUGUAUGGCAGCCCCAAACCUCAAGUAUAUAUAGGGGAGGGGGAGGGCUGCGCCCCCAUCUAGGGUCCCCCCCCCAAGGGGUGCGGCCAGCCCUAGAUGGGGCUUGGGGGGCGGCCAAAGGAGGGGAGAGAGGGGGCGCCCCACUAGAUGGGCCUUAGGCCCAUCUGAGACUAGGGUUUCCCCCCUUCCCCCUUUCCUGCGCCCUGGACCUCUUGUGGGGGGCGCACCAGCCCACCUGGGGCUGGUCCCCUCCCACACUUGGCCCAUGCAGCCCUCUGGGGCUGGUGGCCCCACUUGGUGGACCCCCGGGACCCUCCCGGUGGUCCCGGUACAUUACCGAUAUCACCCGAAACUUUUCCGGUGACCAAAACAGGACUUCCCAUAUAUAAAUCUUUACCUCCGGACCAUUCCGGAACUCCUCGUGACGUCCGGGAUCUCAUCCGGGACUCCGAACAACAUUCGGUAACCACGUACAUACUUUCCCUAUAACCCUAGCGUCACCGAACCUUAAGUGUGUAGACCCUACGGGUUCGGGAACCAUGCAGACAUGACCGAGACGUUCUCCGGUCAAUAACCAACAGCGGGAUCUGGAUACCCAUGUUGGCUCCCACAUGUUCCACGAUGAUCUCAUCGGAUGAACCACGAUGUCGGGGAUUCAAUCAAUCCCGUAUACAAUUCCCUUUGUCUAUCGGUAUGUUACUUGCCCGAGAUUCGAUCGUCGGUAUCCCGAUACCUUGUUCAAUCUCGUUACCGGCAAGUCUCUUUACUCGUUCCGUAACUCACAUCAUCCCGUGAUCAACUCCUUGGUCACACUGUGCACAUUAUGAUGAUGUCCUACCGAGUGGGCCCAGAGAUACCUCUCCGUUUACACGGAGUGACAAAUCCCAGUCUCGAUUCGUGCCAACCCAACAGACACUUUCGGAGAUACCUGUAGUGCACCUUUAUAGCCACCUAGUUAUGUUGUGACGUUUGGUACACCCAAAGCAUUCCUACGGUAUCCGGGAGUUGCACAAUCUCAUGGUCUAAGGAACUGAUACUUGACAUUAGAAAAGCUCUGAGCAAACGAACUACACGAUCUUGUGCUAGGCUUAGGAUUGGGUCUUGUCCAUCACAUCAUUCUCCUAAUGAUCUGAUCCCGUUAUCAACGACAUCCAAUGUCCAUGGUCAGGAAACCGCAACCAUCUAUUGAUCAACGAGCUAGUCAACUAGAGGCUUACUAGGGACAUGGUGUUGUCUAUGUAUCCACACAUGUAUCUGAGUUUCCUAUCAAUACAAUUCUAGCAUGGAUAAUAAACGAUUAUCAUGAACAAGGAAAUAUAAUAAUAACCUAUUUAUUAUUGCCUCUAGGGCAUAUUUCCAACAGCCGCGACGAGGGAGGCGUCGUCGUCCUCGAGGACAGCGACGACGAGGCACCGUCGCCGGCCAAACCAGUCCGCCAGGGCGAGCCCGGGCAGGGGUCCAGCAGGGACGGCCGUGUGGAGAAGGAGAAGGAGGACGACGGCGACUACACCGCCUUCAGCAAGUUCUUCGACAUGUAGGCGGCGCGGCAGCAGGCCUUUGUUUUUUAGUAGAUUUUAUGUUUUCUAUAUGUAAAAAACUGUGGAACACCUAAAUAUCGCCGAAUCUAUGUCGUGUUUGCCGAAUUUUGCCCGAAUGUCUUUUUAAAAUUAUUUACCAAAAGGGCGUCUGGGGGCGACCUGGGGGCGGCGGCUGGGAAUCCGAUCACCCCCACACCGAAAAUAUCGCCGGUUCGCCCCCAAGCGGCGAUUUUUUCUAGCCCCUGGGGGGCGAACAGCUGGAGAUGCUCUUAAAUCAUGCGAAAAUCUUGCUGAUUUGUUUAUCAAGUCUCUACCAAAUUCUACAUUACAAAAAUAUGUUCAUGGAAUUGGUAUGCGACGACUUCGAGACUUGCAAGUAUUAGGGGGAGUCUCUUCUUGAGAUAUCCUUGUUCAAACAUCACAUUACGUUGUUUCUCUUUGUGAGUUUGUGUUUCAGGUGCUCAUCAAAGAUUUUUAUGAAGAACUUUUGGACAAGAAUCUUUUUGAGAUAAUAGAGCUAUCUGGACAAUCGUGAGAUGAUUCUACAUGGUCAAGCGUAGAUUAGGGGGAGGGGUGUUAAGAUUAAUUGUAAUUAGGGAAAAUCUCCCCUUGCCCAACUGUCGUUGCGCUUUCUCCCGCAACGAACGCCUCCCCCUCUUGUAUCCCUGGAACCGACGUCCCCUCGAUGGAUCAUCGCGUCUCUCCCUGAUGGCUUUCUCUCACAAUAAUCAUGCAAAAAAACAUUACAUCAUUUACAACAUGAUGUAAAGUUACGGUCGUCAACCGAUGGAGAAGAGCUACAACUUUGCAUUAGUGUGUGAUUCGGCUUUGAAAUAUGACGAUUUGACUUUGAAACAUGGCAAUUCGGCUUUGCAUGAAUGACAUCUAGCCUUAUAGUGUCCUUGCAGUGUCCCAUCUCAACUUAUAGUGGAGGCGCCCAACAUUGCAACAACUACCUGACUUGCAACAACGCCACCUAGCCUUUGUAGCGGCACGGGUCCUUGCUUGCAACAUCAGUGGCACCUCGAGCUUGCAAUGGCUCCAACCAGACUUCACAACGAUGCGGUACCCGUCUGUGGCGGCGGUAGCCGGUAUUGAAGCACCGGCCAGCUUUGUAGUGGCGUGCUCCCCUACACGCAACACGUGCAAAAAAAUGUUUCUAGCAUGGUGAAACAUUUCCACAUACACUUCACGGGUAUGUGAUCGUAUUUUGGAAAGGAAACAUUUUUUGUCAAUCACAUUCAACAUGAAAAUUAUGUGUAUACAACAAAUUCUCUAGUGGCAAUAAAAUGUUCACAACGCAUGUAACAUGAAAAAUUAACACAAGCAACAUAAAACAAUUAAUAUGGAACAUGUAUGCAUUCCCGAAAAAACUUCACAACACAUGUCAUGCUUACACAAUAAACAAGAAAACAUGCUCUGCCCAUGUGUGUUCGACUUGUAGCGGCAAAGGAAACCGCCCUUACAAGGUCACAUGCCAUGUUUGCAGCGUGACAGGCUGCCUUUGGAACACAAAAGAACAGCGCGACAUGCUCGCAACAUCGACACACUUCAUCAGCAACAUCGGCACAAUUUGGGUGGUGAUAUGGUAGGAUGGUCAACAAGUCAAGUACUCCCUCCGUUCCAAAAUAGACGACUCAACUUUGUACUAAUUUUAGUACAAAGUUAGUAUAAAGUUAGGUCAUCUAUUUUGGAACGGAGGGAGUAGAUGCCAGUUACAACCAACAAAAACAAAUACAAUCUCCACCAACAAGUCAAGUAGAUGCCAAUAAUCAAGACAUCUACAACUUAUUAAUUUAAAGUUUUAAAUGUACAAUGCAAAAAAACCAUACAAACAAAACUGUAUCAUUCUCCCUUACUGAUGAAAGAACUAUAUACGAAGCAAAAUGAGUGAAUCUACAUUUUAAAAUUUGUCUAUAUCCGUAUAUAGUUUAUAGUGGAAUAAGACUUACAUUUAAGAACGGAGGGAGUACUAAUUAAGAGGACUCAGAAUAUGGGUGGUGAUAUAGCAGGAUGGUCGGCAAGGCAAAUAAAUGCCAGUUACGACGAACAAGACCAAAUAUCCAUCUUCACCGUCCUCUACAAUAAAUUCAGACAUGAGGUUGCAAAACAUAACAAGCAAAAUAACACACAAAUUGUUUGAUUCUCCCGAGAAAGGGAAGGUUGUACGGUCGUCAGAUAGGAGCAAGAUCAUUGGCCUCAUAGAGAAGAUUAGAUCGUUCCACAUGAAGAAAAUUCAGACAUAUCCUUGUCUAUAAUUUNNNNNNNNNNNNNNNNNNNNNNNNNNNNNNNNNNNNNNNNNNNNNNNNNNNNNNNNNNNNNNNNNNNNNNNNNNNNNNNNNNNNNNNNNNNNNNNNNNNNNNNNNNNNNNNNNNNNNNNNNNNNNNNNNNNNNNNNNNNNNNNNNNNNNNNNNNNNNNNNNNNNNNNNNNNNNNNNNNNNNNNNNNNNNNNNNNNNNNNNNNNNNNNNNNNNNNNNNNNNNNNNNNNNNNNNNNNNNNNNNNNNNNNNNNNNNNNNNNNNNNNNNNNNNNNNACUCGGAAUAUGGGUGGUGAUAUAACAGAUGGUCGGCAGGCAAGAAGAUGCCAGUUACGACGAACGAGACAAAAUAUCAAUAGUCGCCAUACUAAACCCCGAUGCAAAAUCCCCCAAGAACAACCAAAAAGACAGGUUGACAACAAGCACACAGAAUUGCAGCUUGCUCCAGACACAAAAUCCUGCAGUUUCUAGUGAAAGCAAGCAUGCUUUAUACGCUGGAAUGAGGCAGUCUCAGCUACAAGCUUGCAGAAUCUCACGACAAAAAUGGUGAUAAGAGAUGUAGGAAGGUUGGUAAGCGGGUUGCCCAUUAACAUGGGCAGGCCGACCAGAUUUCCUUCCUUGGUAGUUUGACACAGCCGAAUCUGGCAAAGCAAGACGAUGGUACAAAGAACCCAGGCCUUGGUACAAUGCAGCCCUGAUGCUCAUGCUUUAAUAGAUGAACAAAUGGUUCUGAAAUGCAAUGGUGAGCAGUCAGACAAUGCUUUCUAGGCAAAUGCAUCUCCAUCAGAACACAGCAAUGUUUGCUGCUCGGAGCCCAGUGCAUAUCUUCUUCCAUACCACACAACCAAGCUAUAACUCAAAAAAGAAAGGGAAGAGUUGCGAUGGAAUCUGUAGCCCUCAAUUUUUUUUGGAUCGUGCGCUGUCCAAAAAAUUAUUAACAUAUUUUAAAGAAUGCAAGACGGUUCAACUAGUAGACACUAAAAAGCUGUUCAAUUUGGCUUCAGAAUUGCAGAAAGACAGCAUGGACACAUAGCAACCGAUCAGUCCCAAAAGAUGGUAUGAUUAAUAGGUUUUUCAUCACUGGCCAAGCAUGAACAAAUAUGCCUCUAAAAUUUCAGCAUACAUCAAAUCUGAACUAACACAACACGCUAGUCCUGCACGCAGAGCUCAAAAGAUGCAAAUCUGAAGGCAUUGAAUAAGCUUCCAGGCAUCAUAUAGUUUCCUAAAUUUUCAUCAAAAGAAAAGCGUGAUACCAAAGGCAUAAAAACAACAAUGAGAUGCAUUUGAAAUGAGAGGAAAAUGAUUGUUGGCGAAAGAGAUUAUCAAGCUCAACCCAACUGCCCAUUUUCCUCAAAUUAAUAUAGCAGGAAACACUUUCAGUAAGAAAUGCACAUCAAAAGGCAUUUAACCGAUACACACUUAUCCUGCAAAGGCAACAAGCGAGAAAAAAGUGAAACCACUUUGUAUGCAAAGCAGAUGGAUUCAGAAGCACUCAUCCCAUAUGAAGGAUAAUGAGAGGAAAAUGAUUGUUGGCAAAAGAGAUUAUCAAGCUCAACACAGCAAAAGGCAUUUAACUGAUACACACUUAGCCGACAAAGGCAACAAGGGAGAAAAAAGUGAAACAAAUUCGUAUGCAAUGCAGAUAGAUUCAGAAGCAUUCAUCCCAUAUGAAGAACAGAAAAAGGCAAGCAUAUUCUUAUGCUGUCAUGGAAACAUACAACAAUGGCGCAAAAAUACACAGAAGUGUCAGAUUAGAUGAGAGGAAAGUGAUUGUUGAAGAAAGCAUAUAAAGGCCUAAACAAGCUGUUCACUUUCCCCCCAUUGGUAUAGGAUGGAAAACUAUCAGCAGUACAUAAAAAGUGUUCCUGGAAAUUGCAGCAAGCUUAGCCAUUGCCACAGAGCAUGGAAAUUGCAAGACAACUCGGGGUAAUCUGAAGUUACUAUGUGCCACAAGGUUUUCAUGAUGCAUUUGGUGGCAAGGCAUAAAAAACAGAUGUGCAUACACAAUGGCUAAAACAUACACAGCAGAUCAACCACAUAGAACCAAUAUUCAACUACCAGCAUAGUCAUUAAUCCAAAACAGUAGGUGCUAAGCUUAGCACAUCUAAGAACGAAAUUUAAGAGUAACAAGUUUUCUCAUGGACCAAAAUAAGACCACUGUAUCAAGACAAGGCAGUUCAACUCUUUAAUCCACAAAAACAGAUCAUAAAACAGAAAAGAAACAUUAUCUAGAUAAAGCAAGAUGGCCCAUUAUACCCUUCAAGCAGCAGCAGCGUCUGCACUCUUCUCACCGUCACCACCCUGAGUAGUUGCUUUAUUAGCCUCUGCCUCGGCAGCAGCAUCCAUCUCCUGUGCAGUAGCAUCAACAUCAUCUGUAGCCGGACGAAUCUGCUCCUCCUCUGGAAGUGGCUCUUCAACAUAAUCGUUCUCAAAUGCAUCAUUAGGAACCUGAUAGAUCCUCAUCUGUGGCUUUGCAGGAUCUUUCACAAGCACAUACUUGCCCUCUUCAAACUUCAUGCAUAUGUCCACAAUCGACUUGACAAUUCCCCACAUGUUUGCAGUGUUGAGGUUGAUCUGGGUAGCAAAAUCCCUUGGCUUGUAGCCCAUCACAGUGAGUAUGGAGUGGUUGAAGUGGUCGCGGGGGUGCACACGUGACACAUAACCCAACUUCAUCAUGUCUGCGCCAGAAAGUAAAGCCUGGGCAGUCCAGCGAGCGAGCUUGUUGGCAUUGUUCUUGAGCUCUGUAGCAAGCACAGCUCCGCGCUGGGACUCGAGCUUCUGCUUCCAGUCAACACCAGUAAUCUUAGGAUCAAACUCAUUGAGUGCAUUAAGAGUGAGGAACUGGCGAGCACCACUCGGAUCAACACCGGCAGCAUGCACUUCACAGCGAGCAAUGAUGCUAAUAUCAUCGUCCAGCUUCCAGCGGCGAUAACGGUAGCAAACAGGCGCCGCCUCCUCAUUCUCAGAAGCAAACGGGUUAGGCUCAUCAAAGGUAACCUUCUCGCCAUCACGUACCAGCACCUGCUGCGAGAAGUUCUGGUUGAUGUAGGUGGCCUCGACAGCAAGAGCCGGCGCGGAAUUGAUGUCAUCCUUGUUCUCAGGGAGCUGCUCCUGCGCAGUCUCGUUGACAGUGAGCAGAUCGAGCUGGGAGCCCUCGCGCUUGUCGAAGAAGAGCUUGUUGCCGACGCGCUGCACGACAAUGUCCCAGGAGAGGAUGCUGCGGGGUGUGCACAUGAGGGCGGCGAGGAUGGCGUCGGUGGCGAAGACGGUGGCCUUGUCCUCCUCGGCGAGGCGGCGGAUGAUGGGGUCGUCGGUGGUGGUGAUCUUGAAGAACUGGCGGUUCUUGAAGCGCUCGAGGCGGCGGGCCGUCUUGGGGUUGACGCGGUCGUAGGCGCGGUCGUACGAGUCGACGGCGCCGCAGACGAGGAGGUCCUCGGGCUGGUCGUUGACGGCGAAGGAGAGCUUGGUGAAGUUGGCGAAGGGGAUCUGCUCGAGGAUGGUCCAGUCGGGCUGGAUGUCGACCGAGGGCUUGGCGGUGUUCUGCUGGUUGCCGCGGAAGCCCUGGUGGUGGUGGGAGCGGUGGUUCUGGUAGUGGCGCUCGCGGCGGGCGCGCUCCUUCUCGGCCUCGCGGCGCUUGGCCUCGACCUCCUCGUCGCGGCGCUGGGGGAGCUGGGGCCGCUGGUUGAAGCGCCACUUGGGCCCGAAGCGCGGGUGCUUGGGCGGCGGCUUGGCGUCCACGAGGCUGAAGGACGAGUCCUCGGCGGCGGCGGCGAGCGAGUCGUCGGCCGAGGAGAAGUCGAAGACCGAGUCGCGGGAGGCGGCGGCCGCGUGGUGGCCGUGCGCGCCCGGGUGGCCCGGGUUGCGCGUCCAGUCGGCGAUGCGGCCCAGCUUGUCGGAGCGGGAGAAGGGCGCGAAGGGGAUGGAGGCCGUCGCGACGGCCCCGCCCAGCAGCGGCGCCGCGCCCGGGGCGUCGGGAGGGCCCCAGCCGUCCGGGUUGAAGGGGACGACGCCCACGUCGAAGCCCAUGGUCGCGGCGGCGGCGGCGGUGCGGGUGGAUCCGGAGGCGGAGGGAGGCGGCGGCGGUGUGGGUUAGGGUUGGGUGGGACGCGAUGGAGGAGGACGGGACGACGAGGCUUUAGGGUUUGGGUAAGCGAAUAUUUAUUUUCUGAGUGGCCUCUACCGGGCCUAUGGCCCACAUAUCAGCGUGUACUCCGUGGACUCGCAUGUCGGCGUCCGAUCCCGGCCCGUUAAACAAGUGGAAUAUUUCUCCACAUGAAAAAAAGAAUCUGAUAUCUCUUGACUCAAUAUUUUUUAUCAGAUCUCUGUUUUUUCUAAAGAAUCUAUCAGAUCUCUGUUUUCUUAUAUACAUAAAAAUGAAAUCAUAUCUCUCAACUUUUGGCUAUGUUUUUUUCAAAAACAAAAACAGAUUUUAGGUGAUUGGCAGUGCUUGGAUUUACUAUAAGUCCGGAAGAAACGUUCUCCAGUUAUCUUGUUAUAGUUCGGACCAUGUUUUGAAAUCAUGUCAUGAACACGUUUGGAAUUCGGAAAUUUCGAGCGAAACCGUUAUGUGGUACCAAGACACCAUAGACCAACACACCAAACAGGAUUACAGGACUCCUUCACAAAACCGCACUGUUCAAACAGAAAACCUUACAGUGCGUGAGGAAACAUCCCAGGUUUCAGACAGCAGGCAGCCGGUUCAGCACGGUACCGUCAGCACUGCAGGACGGAGAAACUAGCACAGUACCAGCAUAAAUUUCAGGCUCUCACGCUUUUAUUCUGUCCGAGUCCGACUCGGACGACACUCGGUGCGACAUCAUCAUAAUGUUCCCGAUCCCAUACCGAACUGUUACAGGCAUCAACAGCCAUGGAAUGGCAUAGCGCGGUGGAUAACAGCAUGUCUGCGACACUUCAGUUCAAAAUUCAGCAGGCGUUACACGACGUCCGGAAUACUUAUUACUAGAGCAACGAGACGGCAUGGGCGCAGCAAAUGGCAGAGUUCCGUUCAAAAAAGGCAUGGGAGCUACUCGGUGGAUUCCUUGUUCUCGGCGGCCUUGGCCUCCUCGGUGGACUCCUGGCUCAGGGUGGACUCCUGGUUCGGGGUCGUAGCCUCCGUAGGCGAGUUGGCACCCUCUGCAAUGGCAAAGAUGGCAAAGCGAUGCUUGUGACGAUGGCAAGAUAAAUGUACUGGAUUGCCUGCAUGGUAUCUUGUAAAUAUGAAGUACCGUCGCUGUCAGUAGAUGCAUGAAGGAACCGUCGUGAACGGGCUUGCUGCUGGGUAGGCUGCAGGAAGAUCGAGGAAGAUGUAAGCGACCAAAUAAAUUCAGUGUAGCAUGCAAGUUAAUUUCAUAAUUAUUACCGCAUUUGACAGCAAAAGGAUAUCAGCUCCGCAAGCAAAGGCUUGCUAACGAGAAUGAGGUGGCAAAACGUGUAAUUGACACUGAAUCCAGUUUAAAUACUGGGCCAGAAAACUGGAUAUGUGAUCUAUUGGAUUGCUAGAAAGAACCCCAAAUACGCAAAUGGGACAGCUAGCAGCUGGUGCCAAACGGAGAAAGUAUCAACAGUAGUGGUGUAGUACGUUUGAUAGCAAAAUCAGCUCCACAAGCAAAGAAUUACUAACAGAACUAGGGGGCAGGUACCUUGAACUGAGUUCAUUUUGAAUAGUAGGCCAAAAAAUGGAUAUGUAAUAUAUUGGGUUAAUAGAAAGACCAGCAAAUAUGCUAAUGAAAGAGCUAGCGGAUAAUGUGAAACGGAUACAGUAUCAACAGUGGUGUAAUACAAGGUAAGCACAUUCUUGCAAACAAUGAGUGCCAGUUUUAGCACCUGUAAUUUCGGCCGAAGUGCUUCAAGGGGCCCUUUAGGCUUUUGAGGAUGUCCUCCUUGCUGCAGGAAACCAAACGAUCAGGUGAGCAAGAUCGCGUAGGAGUUGCAUUGCUUCCUCAAAAUCCAUAUAGCUUUCGAAAAGAACGGUAGAAUACCUUUCCCAGAGCCCAAUCAGCAGAAUCAAAGUAAGCUCGCUCAUGGUCCUGAUAGACAUUUGAACACAGUUGAAACUAAUGGAUAUGGAGCUAAAAUUGAUCUUACUUCCCUGACUGCUUUAUACAUAGAUGACAUAAACUGUAUAUAUACAUCUAAUAGGUAGUAAUAUAUUUAAGGCAAUGAUACCUUGGAUAUGAGUGGUGACUUUUUGGGCAGUACUCCUCCAUACUUUUUCUUGAUUACUGCUUCCUGCAAAUACUCGGUAAAGUCGGAUUGUGCUUAUGGAAUAUAUUUUUGACACUUUUACAGUAGAAAGUAAAUUAGUAAAAUCGUACAGAUGGAAACAUGCAAGCACACAAGGUUAAUCAUUACACUUGUUAACAAAAGAUAAUACCUCUUGCUGUGCUGAUGGCAUCUCAUUUCCUUUAUCCUGGUUGGCAGUUUCCACUUUCACAUCAGAAACAUCUCCUUCAGGCCUCACCUGGCCAGUAGUAUCAUCAGAUGGCUUCUCCGACAUACUGUACGAACGGAUGCUCAAACAAGCUACAAGAAGAUGGAUUUCAUAUCAGAUAAUUUAUCUCAAUGCCAUCAAAAUUAGUAGGCAUAAAACACGCCAGGGCAUAGAAAAAUUGGAAAGAAAUCUGAAACAUAGUCUUGGAAAUAUAUUGACAUUUAAACCAUAGUGCAGCAGUACAAAGAACAUGUUUACAUAAAUAAGUACUGAGAAGUCAAUGCAAUAAGACACACAAAAUUUACUUUGGUAAAAAUGGAGAUAAAUAAAACUGUGUAACCCAUCCUGGGGUAUCUCUAUUUUGGAAAAGGGAACCAGACACCAACUAAUACUGGUCCAGUUCUUUAACAGGCCUUGCAGAAGUGUUUCUAAGUCAUAACAUCGAACCUAACACCGGCAUGCCAUCUUAAACAGGGUGACAAGCAAUAACUGCAAAAGUGGCAACGUUCUGAACAAGGCUAUUGUCCUUGACAGGACUGGAUGAAGGCAGUCAGCCUGAGCCCAACAAAUGCACAUAAGCAGGCUUGGGCAAAAAUUUCUGGAAUAAAAGGACCGUGGGGCUGUUGCUCUACAGUAAAUAGUCAAAAAAAUAGAGGUACGCGAAGCCAAUAAGGAAAGAAGCGCAGCAUCGACGAUUUAACCUCUCUAUGGCAAAUUAACACUUCAAGAGUGCUAAAUGAUAUAUCUGCAAAAGUGGCAACGUUCUGGACAAGGCCAUUGUCCUUGACAGGACUGGAUGAAGGCAGUCAACCUGCACUUGAUAAAUAUACACAAGUUUUUCCCAGGACUUCAGUACAAGCACUUGACGCGAGCAAGUAACAAAGUACAGCACCGGCGAUUUAACCUCGCUAUGCAUGGCAAAUCGACAACCGAGGGCGCUAGAUGAUACAAUGACAAGAUCUGCGAUCAUUUGUGUCCGAUGCAUGACCUGCCACACAACCCAGUGCAGAAAACAGCGACACCGCAUACACAAAAUGAGUUCCUUCUUUCCGGUCGCCAAGCUACGAGCUACUCUGUUGGACAAGGCCUUCUAGCACAUACGUGGUGAAUCAAACUCUGGGGCGUGACGCGCAACUGUACUGAAAUACCGCCGGUCAAGGAAAUUUAUGGUGCCCCGAAAUUCCGCCCGUUCCUGGCGAGCACGCGGCUAAAGCUACCGCCGCUCGUCUGAGGCCUACCGAGGCCGGAUCUAGACGGCGCGCCCGAGAUUCGUGGGCGGCGGCGAGGGCCUGGCUAAUCGCUGGAGCUCGUACCUCGGGAUCGGACGGGGUCGCGGCGAUGCGGGACGCGGCCGCGCGUGGGAGGCGGAGGAGGCGACGGAGACGCGUGGGAGGCGGAGGCGGGGAGGGGUAUGGGGAGCGAGGCCGGCGGCGGCGAGGCCGGGCUAGGGCACGGCGGUGGCUGGGCGGCGGUGGUAGGUCGCCAGGGGAGGGGGGAGGGCGACGAGGAGGAAUCGGCGAAGAAAUGCAAGGGACGGUGGAGGGGAGGCGAGCCGCGGUCUAUGAGUGGUAACUGAAUCUGAUUCCACCUUUUUUUAUUUUUUUUAUUUUUUUGCCACGAACGGAAUGGAAAAGAGGAAAAUGUACAAGGGAGCAUUCUGCAAAAAAAAACUUUUUUUCUCUUUUCCAAAUUCGGUCGCUUUUUGGGCCCGAUGAAGCGCAGAAUGACGGGGGCGAUUCAAAUGUCGUCACUGCACAUUUGAGGAACACGGGGGUAGAUUCUCUUUUUCCGGAAUUUGAAAUUUUCAAACUUCAAGAUGAUGAAAUUUAUCGAGCUCCAUCAUCUCUUUUGUUUUUGCACCUUUUCGUCGAACUACGGCUCAUAACAUAGAGCGUAAAAUACGCCGAUUUCAAGGAUUCAACGAUACGAUGAGGAACUGGAUUUUCAAGUAGUGUUCACCAUCAAUCAUCACCCACGGCCUAUGAUGGUUUACCAGAGUCGAAUAGCUCCCCGCAACAACAACAACAAAAUCGAAUAACUCAUCUUCUACUAACAAUAUCUUUAUUUAUAUUACUCUCUCCUUUUUUGGUUUGUAAAGGCAUAUGCAUUUUAAUUACUCUCUCCUUUUUGUUUUGCAAAGGCAUAUGCAUUUUUAACUCAGGUCAAACGCUUUAAAGUCUGACCAAAAUUAUAGGAAAAAUGAAAGCAUCAACAACACAGAAUCAAUAUCAUCAAAUACAUCAAGAAAUGCAUUCUCGUAGGAUAUACAUGUGGUAUAUUUAUAAAUGUUAAAUAUUUUUUCCAUAAACUUGGUCAAACCAUGAAACUUUUGAAAAUUUUGGCUUAGGAGAAAAUCGUAUGCCAAAUAGGGAGUACAUUCUUAUACCAAGGGGCUCCUCAAUUCCAAAGAUUUUUUUCCUGCUCUUUUUUGUCCCUCCUUUGAGUUUGAUUGUACCCCGAGUCGACAAAAAUUGUCGACUAAACAUAAGAGAUGCCUGUGAAAUUGUUAUGGACCAGAGAAAAUCCAAAAUUAAAGCCCCGUCCCUAUCUGCGUGCCUCCAUCGCGCGCGGACAAUCUGCUGAGAUCUGUUGAUACCAAAGUUCUGGUGCAGAGACAAACAAGAGGAUCAACAAAGGGGAUCAACAAAGGGGAUCAGGGAUAACUGAACACUAACGCACAAUCACUGUGCAAAGCAUACCGUACAUGAAGAUACAUAUAUCAAUAGAUUGCACUCUGGAGUAGUUCCUCCUCUUCCCCUCGACAGUCAGGCCUACAACAAGGGGUGAACUCUUUGCAACUCAGAACAGCAGGAUCACGUUGGUAACUGUGAUGCAGAUGACAGCCAGGGUCGCGACUAUCGAUCCCGGACGGAAGGCUCUGCGCAACCCUCUGUUCCUGGUGAAGUACUGAAAGGCGAGAUACACGGCUACCGCCAAAGAUAGUAUCCUGCCAGCUUGAGUUCCCCUGUGCACGGGAGGUAGGAAUCUGAGCGAAUGAGAAAAAAGUAAUACCCUAACAGAUACAGCAGUAGCAGUAUAGCCAAAAUAGGGAGAAUGUUUCAUACCUCAGACUCAUCACCUGGUAAGGAGCAAUGAUGAUAAGCCACAUUGUUGAGAGUGGAAGCUCCAGCUCACCUGCCAUAGACAUAAAGCAUGCGCCGUAAGUAACAUACCCCAGUUGUAUGUUUUAUCGAUUAUCCAAUCAAUGUUAGCCUGAUGUUUGAAUCCUCCUUGUCACUCUACCUGGAGUGGGUAAGAACAAGCGCACCAAAAUCGCUAGAAAAGCAGUCCACAGUCCAUAUUCUCUCCUAACAUUAGGAUUUGAUACCAUAGUAUAAGCAGGCCAAAAGAGAGUAUUCUUAUGUCAAACAAACGGGAAAUGAAUCAGAUAGCUCUUUGCACCAAAUAGCAGCGUCUUACUUGAUCCAUGGGAUUACACUGCUAGGUGCUUGCUGUGCAAACCAUGGCAUGAGCAAAGAUUUGUGUAUGCCAAUCUCUUUAGAAGCCAAUAGCACACUGCAAAAGGCAAAAGAGUAACAAAUAAACUGCUGCGCUGCGUUGAUACCAAGUUUUGAUGCCAAGAUGAGCAAGAGGAUCGACAAAGGGGGAGAGAAACUGGCCAUCAAGAAGAACUGAACACUAACACUGUAUCACACAAGACACAACUACUGCGCAAACCAUACCAUACAUGAAGAUACAUACUAUCAGUCAUGUCACAACUCACAGGUCAUUCUUAUUACGAUAAAACAAGCUACAAGGUCCGACAGGAUGAUGCACUACAAGGUUUCUCUUUAUUCAUCUGCGCUCUGGAGUAGCCCUUGGCAACUCAGAACAGCAGGAUCACAUUGAUAACUGCGAUACAGAUGAUGGCCAUGGUCGCAACUAUCGAUCCCUGAUCAAAGGCUUUUCCUAUUCCUCCGGUCCUGGUGAAGUGCUGAAAGGCGAGAUACGCAGCUAGUGCCAACGACACUAUCGCGCCACCUUGAGUUCCCCUGUAGAUAGGAAGUAGGACCGGAGAGAAUGAGGAAAAGUAACAACCAGGACAUAAACUGUAAAGCUAAGAACCUAACAUACGCAGCAGUAGGCUAGCAGUACAGCUAAUGUCUUUCAAAAUGGCGAGUGUUACAUACCUCACAUUCAUCACCUGGUAAGGAGCAACGCUGACAGCCAGCAUUGUUGACAGUGGAAGCUCUAGCUCACCUGCAAUAGACAGACGCACAUGCAUAAGUAACAUAUAUCUGUUCCAUGUCUCAUCAAAUAUCAUACUUGAUUUUAAGCAGGACGUAUGUAUCUUCCUUGUCACUCUACCUGGAAAGGGUAAGAACAAACGCACCACAAGCGCAAGAAAAGCAGUCCACAGCCCAUAUUCACUCCUAAAAUUAGGAAUAGACACCACAGGAUAAGUAGGCCAAAAGUAAGUGUUCUUGUCUCAAAAAGAAUAAACACCCAGUAGCUAUAGCAAGGAAAGGGGAAAAGGUAUCAUCAGAUAAUUCUUUGGGCCAAAUGGCAGAAUCUUACUUGAUCCAUGAGAUUACGGCGGUAGGUGCUUGCAGAACAAACAAUGGCACGAGGAAAGAUUUGUGUAUGCCUGUGCCUUUAGCAAGCAAUAGCACUCUGCAAGAGGCAAAAGAGUGAUAAAUAAAUGCUCAAAUAAUAAUCGUUGAGGGGGUGGAAGGUUACACUGUGUGCUUCUUCAGAAUAAUCCAAUCAUUUUAUGACAAAACCAAAUAUGUUGCAGAAUAAAAAAUCUACAAGGUGAAUAGUAGGAGCUGAGUUUUCGAAGAAUGCAUCACUUUCAGUUAUACAAGAUUGCCCGGUCCUCAAGAAAACAACUACAACUUGGGAGUCAUGGCCUGAACAGCCCCCCAGUAACUCAUCCAAGAUCUGAAGCAAGAUCACCACCUCGGCGUCAACAGUUACCGUCGCAACAUGAAUACACGCUAGUACUUACGAUACACCGGAAGCAUAAAGUAGAUAUACUACGGUUCUGUGGCAAGCUAAGCAAGUCACCAACUGGAGCGAAACCCCUGUAAGUUCUGUUCAACAGACUGAUGGUGUUGACGUGACUGGAAUUGAUACCUUGGGUCAAUUUCUGCGUUCGAGUAAUAUGACAUUCAAACUUUUAAUACGAAAACCAUGCAUUGUCCUGUGAUACAAAAGUGGCGCUAUUAAACACACGGUGUUAUGUUCAAGUGCAAGCAGACCGAAAAUCUGGCAUCAUCCGUCAUCACACCGUAUGGCGCUGCAAGUAAACUGUGUGUCUAGUUUAUUAAACACACCGUGUUAUGUUCAGGUGUAAACAGACUGAUAACCUGGCAUCGUUCGUCACUAUCUAUAUACUUCCUCCGUUUCUAAAUAUAAGUCUUUGUAGAGAUUCCACUAUAAAACACAUACGGAUGUAUAUAGAUGCACUUUAAGUGUAGAUUCAUUCAUUUUGUUCCGUAUGUAGUCCAUCUAGUGGAAUCUCUAUAAAGACUUAUAUUUAGGAACAGAGGGAGUAGUUCUUGUAAAGUGUGUUGAUGUUUGCUCCUGUCUCCAAGAGCUGUGAAAUCUCGCUGCCCUCGCAGGCAAAAGAGCGAGCAGAUUCGGAGCCCGGAAAGCAGUACUGCCGGAAAGGCUCAUGCGUUUCUGCACGGGCAAAUCGUGCCGGAGAAAGGUACUGGUUUAUGGUUGGGUAGCGACGACGAGGGGAGGGGGGCGAGGCACUCACGCGGCGGCCGCGACGGAGACCCACUGCGUCGUCGGCGGGCUGAGGUACGCCGACGCGUUGCAGACGAUGCCGCUCCCCCGGCUCCGGCAUGGCCGGACCAGCGACUGCGGCCUCAGCGGCAGAGCGGCGCAUCCCCUGCAAACAGGAAGACGAUAAGAUCACCAGACGGCGCGGUGGGUAAGCGAAUCGCACGGACGGAAGGAGAGCGGGCGCCGAGGGAACCCGGCAAGCAGGCUCACCUGAGCGCGCCCGUGGUCCGCACCGGCACGGCGGCCGCAGAGAGCGGAGAGCAGCCCGCAUUCCGCGCCGUCCGCGGCGGCGGCACGGGGCAGGGCGCUGCGAUGGGGAUCACGAGGCGCAGCGAGAUGGACAUGGUCGCGGUAUCUCUCGGCCGAGCGGGCGGGUUCGCCGGAGCUGGAAGCCUCACGGGCGGAUGAUGGUGCCCGUCUCUAGAAGAUUGUCGAACUGAACUGUAGCGGUACUGCUGGAGUGAUGAGGUAGGGGGGUGGGCGAGCGUGAGUACAUCAAUCAGAUCAGAUGAGCGUGAGGCCACGUGGCGGGGCCUCGAUGGGCGCGGGCCUCACGUUGGCGGGUGCCGACUUGCCGUGCGGCGACCGCGUCCACGGCCUCGGCCUCGGCUCCUGCGAUGCAUGCCUGCCGGUGAACGCACCGCACCGCCAGGGGAGAGGUGGUCGGCACGGACGGACGCAGACGGGCCGGGGGACGCGUCGACGGUACGUGCUAAUCUUCGUCCCACGGCACGUUGGGAAAAGACAAUGUGGCGAUGUUACGCGACGAAAUCGUCACUUGGAGCCAUGUAUGUACGUUACGAUCAGGACUAAUUAUCUCGCCACCUAACAAUAAAGGACCUGCACUGCACGCAGAAACAAAAAUGGACUACUUGUCUCAUGGAGCCAGUCACACCAUACAAGUACCCAUGGAGCCCGACUUUUGUAUUAUUUCGUGAUUUGAAUACAAACAUACUUAAAAAAAAAUGAACCCAUGGAGCCCCAAGUUUCAAACAAUUCAAAAAUCACAUUUGUGAAGUUUUAAAAAUAGACGUGCACAUCGGAUGUUGUCUACAAAUGUGUACAUUUACAUGAUAAUAAACUUUUUUUUGCGGGAGUUAUUUUAUUUUAAUACAUGAUAAUAAACGUUGUUAUGGCAUCUCUAACCGGUCAAUCCCUCAAAACAGGUUAAAGGAGUAAAAAUUUCGUUUUGAGGAGUUAAACCGGACAUAGCCGAACCCUUAUCCGGUUUUACCCCUAAAAGAUUAUACUCCUCACGUAGGCCGUCGAGUAUAUCUACUCGAUCGUGCCUCAACCUCGGGAUAAAUUUCCCCCUUCCCUGGACCACCUCUCUCCCUCGCUCACACCGCAUUGACGCUGGUCGCCGCCCAAAUCCACCCUGCACCUUCGUCGGCGCCACCGCCAACACCACAAUCUAAUGAUCGACAAGCAUCGCCCUCGAAGUGGCAGGAUCCACCUGCCAAAGCUCUACGCCGUCAAUUUGAGGUUUGAUCCGCGUCGCGGUGCGCAGCAGACCCGAGCACGCGGUGACGCUUCCCCCCUCCCGCUCCUCCACCAACCUACCGUCGUCGCCGUCGCCGAAAAGGAAGUACUACGGUGUAAGGCACCGGCCAUGGGGCGUGGGUGUCAGAAAUCAAGGACCGAGACACCAGUCAGCUGAGCUAGCGGCGAGGUACGACGUGAAGGCAGUGAGCCUUUAUGACAGGCAUGCGAAGUUCAACUUCCCCCUCGGCAGUCGCAAUGUCCUGAUGUUCAUCGCCAUUGACCCCCCAGCGGUCUCCCGCCGCGAGGUGCGGGGAAAUCGGAGGCCUUUGAGGGUCUCGAGAUGACACGCGUCUAUGAGGACUACAUUGUGGAGCUCUACCGGAAUCAUCCGGAGCUCGUCGUCGAGGAGCAGCGACGACUCGGGCUAUGCAAGGGGCUAUCAACGAGGCCGGACCAUCCGAUGGGGAUUUCAUCGACCUUUCCUCCAGCGACUCUGGCUUUGGUCUGACGACGGUGACUCAGACGGCUGCAUCAGUUGGAAGAAGCUCGAGAACGAAAGCGGUUAGUUAUUUUUUGUUUUUAUUUUGUUUGAAUCAUUUUAGUUGGAAGACACGCACGCAGACCGCCAGGCUCGGCUCGGAGGAGACGCAACCCGCGCGUCACGGCGCCAUGUGCGUGGACGCAAGGCCGAGACCUCCUCAGCGCCGUGGGUUAAUCGGCCGGCGAGACUAACCAAAAUAUUGUAUAUGGUACUGUAUUUUUCUGCGAGUGUAUUUCUAUGCUUUUACACGCACAGACUUACUUAAUGAACAAAAUAUUAGAGCAUACACAUAUAUGCGCAGCAUCCAUUAAACAUCCCUAAAAUAUGGGUGAACUGGUUGCUUUUUUUACUACAUCCAGGAUAGUUACACAAUGGACUAAGGGCAAACUGGUCUUUUCACUUCACUCUUAAACCAUUGAGAAAAUUCCUUAUUUGAAACUAUCUUAAAAUCUGCUUCACAUUGGAAAAGUUUUUCUUCCCUAUUUGACACAAGUUCUAAAUUUUAUUCCCUAUAUGACACAUUCGUCCAUUUUAAACCUAAAUGACACCUGAAAAGACUCUUUUGCCCCUCAUGUGGUAUGUGUGGGGGCAAUAGCGCACACACGCAACAUCAUGCGAGGACAGGAGCACACACGCAGCAACACAUACACAUGCACCAACACACACGCAACAACAUGCACGCGCGCGUGCACACACACACAACAACACAUGCAGCAGCAGCAGCACACACGCAGGCAGCACAUAGGCACGCAACAGCGCACACACACGCGCGCGUACACACACACACGCAGCAGCAACACACAUGUGCGCGUGCAUCCACACACGCAGCAGCACACGCGCGCGCGCACACAUACCGCAUGAGGGGCAAAAUCGUCUUUUCAGGUGUCAUUUAGGCUCAAAAUGAACGGAAGUGUCGUAUAGGGAAUAAAAUUUAAGACUAGUGUCAAAUAGGAAAGAAAAACUUUUCCAGUGUCAAGGAACCAAAUUUUAAGACAGUGUCAAAUAAGGAAUUUUCUCUAAACCAUUUAGUGUCUAAAAUGGAAAGUGUCAAAUAACGAAGGAAUUUUUUUAAUUUUGGACCAAAUAGAGAAUCAAAUUUUAAGAAAUGGCCAAAUAAGGAACAGUUUGUCUAAUUCACAUCUAGAUGUUUUAUAAGGAUAUCACAUCUAAGAUCCCACAAAUAAGGCAGUAAUAAGAAAAAAAAGCUGAAAAAAAAAUAGACCACAAACAUAGUGGACAUCAGGUUAGAUGUGUCCUAGACAGACCCAAUAAGGAAUUCUCUCCCUAAAUUUAAGAGUUAGGCUAGGAACCAGAUUUUUUUGAAACUUUAAAAAUUGAGUUUUGAUUUCUUUUUCAAAUUUCCGUUAGCAAUGAGCACUAUGGAUCAGGAGCAAUGUGGAUUAGGAAUCUCUGCUUCAUCCAUCCCCUCUGCUCACAAAGGCCAAAGCGAGCUUUCUAGGUGGAUCGGACUUUGUUCGUCCCUCCGGCGGCUGGCAAAAGAUGCUUCAGUUCAGUGGCUUUGAUGAGCCGAAAUACAUAUUCAUUUGCGCAGAAAGUUAAAAGAAUUAAUCGGAAAGUGGAUGAUGACGACCAACUCCAGUAGCAUGCCCAGCGACUAAGCCACUACUACUGAAGUCAGUCGCUAACCAACUCGUUGCAACAGAUCGAUCCUCACACGGUGACAAAGACAUCUCAUCAGAUCGGAUCAGAUCAGAUAAAUGAACAGGCAUAGCGCAGCACCUCAACACGCUUCUUCUUCAACCGAUGGCAGUACAGAGAGAUCCGGCAAGCACGGAUUACAAGCGGAUUACAUGGAGGGGAUCGAUCGACCGAGCAAGAGAAGAGUACGCAGACAGGCAGGAGCUAGGCUACUGGUAGUACAUGGUGUAUCGAUCUAUCUAGCCGGCGUAGAUGUGGAUGUGGAGGGCGAGGGUGAGGAUGGUGAAGGCGGCGAAGAAGAGCAGGGUGUGGACGAAGAUGGCCUUGCCGUUGGUGUGGAGGCCGCCGAAGUCGACGUGGCGGUGCGACCCCGGCAUCUCGAACAGCAGCCCCGGCGACAGCAGCACGAAGAGCACCACCCCCACCACCACCGGCGCCCAGUCCGCCAUCCUCCGCCGCCUGCUCUCCCUCGCUUCUUCUUCUUCUUCUUCUUCUUUGGUCGAUCUGAUCUGAUCUCACGGCUAUGAACACACAGAAGUACUCGGGAAGACUCGGGGGAGAGAGGGCGAGUGGAGUGGGGGAGUGGAUUCUGGAGUAUAUAGAAAGGAGGCCGCGAGCGGCGGAGCAGGGGAAAGUAGGAGGCAACAAAGGAGCAGCCGUCACGGUCACGCGGACGGUUGGCGCGAUUCGAUGCCUUGCAUCGGGUGGGAUGCAAGGCGCGCCGCCCAGCCGACACCCGUGCGUGCCCAGUGUACCUGCGCGUGUCGUCCAGAUGGUGGGGGGUGGCAAAGGGGGAGGUCAGGUGUACGUACCGUGUGAAAGGGGAACAUACCGUGUGCGGCGUGCCACGGAGUACUACAGAGCAAUGACAGCCAUUGGAUUCGUAUCACACCAACAUGCUCAGUGUGCAAGCAUCCACUUAGCUAAUGUCAUAGUACAAGCCACACUAGAAAAGUGAUAUAUUACAAAAGGGAGACCCGUUUCCAUGGCCGUGAUUGCUGCUGCGGUCAUGGAGCCUAUGUUUUUUUCGUUUCAUCUAUUUCCCCUCACCUAUUUACUCCCUCUGUUCGGAAAUACUUGUCGCCAAAAUGGAUGUAUCUAGAACUAAAAUACAUCUAGAUACAUUCAUUUCUUCGACAAGUGUUCACAUUUCCGAACGGAAGGAGUAUGUGCCAUUAGUAAUUUGUCCCAUGGAUCAACGGAAAAUUGACUAGUGGAGCAUCUUUUAUGGGCUUAUACAAUCGCGUCCCUUCAAUUCUGCUCGCACGGUUGCCAAUACCCCGUAGCACGGUAGCAUGGGAAGGCCCGUGUCACCUGAUAUGCUGUCUGUGGAGGGGUACAAGGAAGUGCCCCGUUUUUCACAGGACUUAGCGGCACAGUCGGCCGGCCAUGCAUUUUUUACGAGUGUGGGGGCGGCUCAGGGUUAAACGAGGAGAGAGAUGAUUCACACUUCUCAUUAGGGUGAAAAAUGAAAUGGACGCCCGCACGCCGGCCACGAACCGUCUUGGCGGGACAACUCAACAUGGAAAUGGGCCCUGACACCCGCAUUUCUGUUGGUUUUUUUCUUAUUAGGGGACGGGAUAGGCAUCUUUCUAAACCCGCAGGGCUGUUGAUGGGUACAUUAUAAAACCUAGCAUGUUUCAUGGGUUUAAACCCGUUUUAGUGGUACUCGAUCCCGAAACCCGUCAACAUAAAUCCAUCUACUCAUCCAGCCUCGAGGCCCAUCUAAAUACACGAAUACGAGUACACAACCGGCCAGGCGCCCCAGCCCCUCGAGUGCACGAGCACCCCUCGCUCGUUCGCUUGAGCCGUCUCGCACAGGGCACAAUCGCACACCACACAACACACGGGACACACACAAUCCUAAACCUAAAUCUAGUCCUUCCGCCACCGCGUGAGCUCGAUCCCAUCUCGCAGCGCUGCGCGACCACCUUCUGUGCCAUCGAGCCGCCUCCCUCCAGAAACCCUCCACGCGUCCUGCAAUAAGAAGAAAGGGUGCCACCACCAGUGACGAACUCAGUGGUGGCGUCUACCGUGGCCCAAGGAAGAGUAGGCCGAGGGCUUUCCAAUCCGAUCCCCAAGCCUCCAUCCAACUUCAACGUCCGCAAGAAGUUAAAGACGAGGUGAGCAGCCCGGUCUUGCACGAUAUGCUCGUGGGGACGGGUUCCCUGUGGGCUUAGGGGACAGGCAAAAAACUAGCCCCGUGCACGGUGACGGAGACGAGGACGGGUUUGCGAUUUUCUUGUGAGGUGGGUUUGGGCAAGCAAAACCUGGUGGGUUUCGUCCCCUUUGUCAUCUUGAGGGACAACACAAGCAAGUUAAGAGCAUCUACAACCAGACCUCUCAAACCACCCCUCAUAUGCCCGCGGACGCGCCCGGUCAGUGACCGGACAGGAGAGAGAAGAAAAAACGUAAUCCAAUCGGACCCCCCAUAUCAUCCCUAUACGCCCGGGGGCUGUCCGCGAACCCUUAUAUCCAUCUCAAAUAUGGGGAGGAUAUGAGGGCUUGCGGACACGUCUGGGCAGUCCGCCACGUAGGACGCAGCCCCACCCGGACCACCUUUUUCUCUUUUCUUUAUUCGUUCUUUUAUUUCUCUCUCUUUGUCUCCAUCAAUCACGUGCAAGUGACCGGACAUAUGAGGAGAAAAAUAAGUAGUGUGGCUGCGCAGAUGGAUAAAUAAGGGCUCAAAACGGACACGUCUGGUCGCUGACCAAGCGCGUCCGCAAGCAUUUAAGGGGUCAUAUUGCUAUGUAGGGGUCAUAUUGCUAUGUCCGGUUGUAAAUGCUCUAAGCCCGAGAGGGGGUAGGUGGCUGCCCAUGGGGGCUGGAGUGGCGGCAGUGGGCGUAGUGACCAGUUCGAUCGAAAAACUAGCACAGUCGGUCUCAGCACAGGAUUCAGGAAUCCAGCCCUGUUACUAGGAAGACAGCACAGAUCCGACGAGCUUUUCAACUUCUUCUGUUUGUGCCUCCAUCUUUUCUUCUUGUCCACGCUCUCAUCCAAAAAGGUUUGCAGUUUGCACAUCAAACACACACAUAAACCAUUCACUUAGAAACGCAAACCAACAGCUUCAUGAGGUCCAAGCAAGCAACCACGGCAACAUUAAUGCAGACAGAAAGACAGAGGCUACUGGCAGUUAAGUAAGAUGCAUGUAGCACCACAAAUCUCUUUAUGACUUCUUACACCGACAAGAUUUGGGGGGAAAAAGCAAGUUACAGCACCUACAAGAUGCACUAGAGGAUGGAUGGAUGGUAAACAACUCCACCACUCCUCUAGGGAGGGUGGUUCCAGGGAGCCAAGUACACAUUGCAUACAAGAGCAAAGGCCUAACAGGGUAGUUUCAGCUCACAUCGUCUACUGCUGCUGCGAAGGGCGGUAGCCGAACCCGGCGGCAUAGCUCAGGUAGCCUCCAGACGAAGCGGCAGGCUGGGGCUGCUGCGCCGCCGCGCCGCCGCCGUAGGGCGCGUAGCCGCCUGCCGCGGACGGCUGGGCGCCGGGGCCGCCAUACACGACCUUAUACUGGGGUAUGUUGUUGUACGACGCGGCGGCGGCGGCUGCUGCUGCUGCUGCUGAUCCUGGGUUGUACUGGUACGGCUUCGGGGCGGCGGCCCUGUACUGCUCGCCACUACCGCCGUAGGCCGCAUAGGUGGCCGCGUCAUACGCUGCGGCAGGCGGCGGCGCGUAGUGGUACCGGUCGGCGGCGACCCCGUACCUGUCGGGGUAGGCGGGCACCGGCGGAGGGGCGCGCUGCUGCCAUGUGCCGACUGGAGCUGCGGGCCUGCGGGGAGCUGCCACAGUGGGCCUCCGAGGAGCUGAAGUGCCACCGCCAGAGACCCGCUGCUUCUUCGCGUAGUUGCGAUUAGCAGAACCUGAUGGCCUUUUCGCGCCCUUUGGUUUCAGCUCGUUGAUGCGUUUCUGGAGAGGUCCAAGUGGACACUCCUUCUGGAGCUUGUACUCCUCGAUGCACUUGAUUAUGGCCCUCAAUGCAAUUAGCUCGCGGUUCUUCAACUCAUCCUGCACAUGUUUUUUUUUAUCAAAUCACAACACAAUUAGCUCAAAAUUCUCAACAAAUGGAAACUGGAUAAGAUGAUAAGAAAACUAGACAUGCAACUAUUUAAGCACAGAACGCAAUAGACAAUAAUCCACCAUGUACAUUAACUACUCUGGAUUCUGAAGCAAGGGAAUGACAUGAGGCAGUUGGGUGCUAUACAACCUAAUAAUUCAGUCUUGUAUCAUUCACAGACAGCAGCACGACGAAAGUUUUUUGGGGGCUAAAUACAACAACAGAUUUCUCAAUUAUGACUUCUUAAUUUAAUGUUCGCAAGAUUACUGAUAGCUCAUCCAAAUACAUCCUGAUACAUCAACAUGAACAAUCCUUAUAGCAAGAAAAUAAAGGAGAGUAUUUUAGCAGUGAAUUCCCAAAGCAAGAAGUGUGGAGUUGAUAAAUCCUGCGCUACUAAUAACUAACAUGUGUUUGAAAAUCAUCAACGUGUCAAAAAGUAAGUAGAGAGAACAGACCACUGAAGGAGUUGCACCGGCAUCUCCCUUAUUGUUAAGUGAGCCUUUUAUCUCAUCUACAUAUGCCUUCAAGAGAGGAGCAGGAGGAAAAGCCUCUGACAGCCCAAAGGCUUGUAUGAAUUGAACUGCAUCAAUUUGCCUGUGUUUCUUAAUCAACUCCUCAAUAACACCUGCAGAACAAAUGAUCAGCACUAGGACCAUAGAAUACCGCAUUUAUACAUAACGUCUACGGUAUUCACAUAGUAGUAAGCUAUUUAUUCCAUAGAUAGAUGGUUGUGGGGCCUAGCAGUAAAUCAUGACCGGCACCAGCCUGGUAAAUUAAGGGAUGAUAAUGCCUUGCGGCAUUCUGAGUGGAUACCAACCUGGUAUUCUCUCAGUCAAACCAAGAGAGCGACAUAGCUCAGCAGUCUGCCUGCGACGAGAAAUGGCAACUACAAUCUUGUAUAGUUCAUCUUCGUCAAGCACCAAAUCAACAUUAAAAGUUGUAAGAAGCUGCAGGAAUGCAUGUGCUUCCAAUGAGUAGCCAUCAGAAGCAUCAAGGUCAACCUCAGCUAUCUUACUCUUCCACUCUUUGGCAAUUGCCUUGGCUUGCUCCAUAAUUUCAGAGCUCCAAGGGUGUUUGCCACCCGGCUCCUUCAUUCCUAUUGAAUGUGCUAGAGCCUCCAUCAAAACAAUACAGCUUCUGCGCUGCCCCUGAGCGGAGUAAUUUAUAUCCCCAGGCAGUUGGUCUGGGAAAAAACCCUCCAAGGAAUCAAGUACGAAGCGCGCAGGGUCAGUUGCACAUUUAAGUGCAACACAAAGUUCAUCACGAAAGCCAGCAAGUUUUUUUGAAUUUUCUGAAAUAUAUUUCAGAAGGCCUUUAGCGUCCAUCUGCUCACAGAGUUCCUUCAGUGCAGGGCGUGGCUUAACCUCAACUGGUGAAGGUUCAGAUGGCUUGCCCGACCCUUUAGCAGAGUUAUGCUCGUCUGAAGGGAGCGAUGUAUUGGUGUCGUCGGUUGGGGUUUUUACCUUUUUGUCUUUGCUUCCAUUGGCAUCAAGUAUCUCAGAAAGCUCGACAUUAUAUUUUUUGCGCACCUCUGCUAGGGUAGAGACGGCAGCAUCCUUCAGCUCCUGAAGCUUGUUCACAGAAGCACGCUCUUUUGCAGAAAGAUCAGCUUCUUUCUCAGCAAUCAGCCUACGACCUCCGGCUUUCUGUUCUUCUAAUGCCUUCUGCUUUUCUUCCAGUUCAUCGCACUUGCUUCUGUAUGACUUCUCAAGGUUCAGGAAAUGUACUUUGAUAUCUUCCCACUGAAUGCCACUUUGCAAUUGUAGGGAUGCUUCUGUGUGGGACUUCAGCUUGCCAAAUACUUCAGUAAGUUGUUCUAGCAACGCCACCGUUGUUGACUCCGAACCGCCAGAGAUGUGAGAAGCAGCUUCAGUCGCCAUUUGCAACCAAAAUAAUGACAAACUGUAGAGAUACAGUAUUAGAUCCCAACAUCUAAAACGAGCAGUAUUAUAAGUACUAACUUAUGACAAAUGUAUUAAUCAUGCAUUAGCAAUAUGGAGACAAGUGCAAAAUAGAAACCACGGACAGAUAAAGAAGUCAGUAAUACACACAACCUAGUGCGGUCAAGAGAGUACAAAAAAGGGGAAAAGUUCAGAACAACUAGGCACCAAAAGAAAGACCAUGUUUGGCUUAUCUGAGAUGUACUCCCACUAGGAAACCCAUUGGAAAGAACAUGUGGGAUAACAUAAGCAAUGGACUAAUGAGAACUCGAGCAGUGCUCGGAUUGCUAGCAGUAUCCGUGGCAUGCUCGUGCCCACCCUCGUUCGAGGCACAGCCUCCUCAGGCGCUUUCCGCUAAUAAAACAAAGUGUCCGUGGGUCAAAUUUUAUUUAAAGUGAUGGACCAAAGAUAAUCAGAACAAACGAAUGCGGCAAACCCCCAUCCCCCUGAUUCACCCCGACAUGCUCACACUCUUGAAAAGAUUCUGAUUUUGCCAGUGUAGGAAAGAACACCUGNNNNNNNNNNNNNNNNNNNNNNNNNNNNNNNNNNNNNNNNNNNNNNNNNNNNNNNNNNNNNNNNNNNNNNNNNNNNNNNNNNNNNNNNNNNNNNNNNNNNNNNNNNNNNNNNNNNNNNNNNNNNNNNNNNNNNNNNNNNNNNNNNNNNNNNNNNNNNNNNNNNNNNNNNNNNNNNNNNNNNNNNNNNNNNNNNNNNNNNNNNNNNNNNNNNNNNNNNNNNNNNNNNNNNNNNNNNNNNNNNNNNNNNNNNNNNNNNNNNNNNNNNNNNNNNNNNNNNNNNNNNNNNNNNNNNNNNNNNNNNNNNNNNNNNNNNNNNNNNNNNNNNNNNNNNNNNNNNNNNNNNNNNNNCUUCCCAAUAAAUCCCAACAAGAACAUACCCCGUUGAAUUCAAACAAGAUCGUUAACCCUAUUCAGACCUCGACCUAUUCGCAAAUUCGGAUUGGCUAAUUAUCCUCAGGGGGCGGAUCUAGAUGGUGUGCACCGAUAAAUUGCGAAGGUCUCCUCCCAAACGGGAGGGAUUGAACCAAGGGAAUCGCUGGAUGGAAACGACCUGGCUCAUACCUCAAGCAAAGGAGACCGACGGCCCAAGACCGGGGGGGACGCGACGGAGACGGCAGGAGCGCGGCGUCCCGGCGGGGAAGAACGGGGGACGGUGACGCUGGCGAGAGGCCGGGGACGGGGGCGGGGGCGGGGGCGUCUGGGGUACGGCGCGGCGGCGGCGGCGGAACGGCGAUGGUGGUGGCGACGACGGACGAGGCGGAGAUUUAGGGUUAGCGAGCCUGUGGCCGAGAAGGUAGCCUGUGCGACGUGGGGAUUACUGCGCUAGCGACUUAUGGGCCGUUCGAUGGGAGAAGGAUGGGCGAGAUCCGGCGCCUGGGCGGUGCUGCUGGCACUUUUGCGGAAGGCCCCCUGCCGCUUUUGUGUACUGGUCCUCGUAUUUUGCAGGAUAGAGCGAAGGGGGACAAAUUAUUUACUCCUUUUUUUUAGACAAACUCGCAACACUUUAUUAAUCCGUCACAAUGUUUACAGAUACGAAGAGAAGAUCUCCAGGUUGGCCUAAACACACAUGACCCCCUAACGAAAGACCAUGUUUUGCAAGAUUGUGAGCCUCCCAUUUGAGUCUAAUAAAUUCAUGUCUAAUUCAGCUCAUGGCAAAGGUGGGCAACAGUCCGGCCCAGGCACGACACACGGAGGUCUGUUUAUAAACGGGCCGUGCCGUGUGGGCACACGGGUCUCGCCUCUGGGGACAGGCACGAUAAAUUAACUAAACGCAAAGAAUGUAUCUCACUUAUAGCGAGUAUAGCGUAUGUCUCCUGCCUAAGGGACACCCCCCCCUCCCGGUGAACCAUUUUUCGUGUUUUAUUCGUUCACUCAGAUUCAAUUAAUACCCUACGUGAACAUUGUAUAAACAUUUUUUGUGUGCACGUUGAACAUUUUUUCAAAUACAUGAUUUUUAUCAAACAUAUAUUUUGACGUCAACUUUUUUUCAUAUAAGCCAAGAACAUUUUUUAUAUACAUAUUUAUUGUUUUUCACAUACAAGAUUAAUAUUUUUGAAAACUUUUUUUAUGUCUACCUUUUUCCAUACACAUUGUAAUACAUGUUUUGUAUACAUCGGGAAUAUUGUUAUGUGCAUGUUCAACAUUUUCUAAAUACAUUAUUAACAUUUAUUAAACCAUACUCCCUCCGUCCGAAAAUACUUGUCACAAAAAUGAAUAGAAAUGGAUAUAUCUAGAACUAAAAUACAUCUAAAUACAUUCAUUUCUCCGACAAGUAAUUUCGGACGGAGGGAGUAUAUAUGUUUGAUUUCUACUUUUUUUCAUAUACAUAUUUUUAUUGCAUACAUUAGGAAUAUUUUCACAUUAAUAUUUUUCAUAUCCACGAUUAACUUUUUUUCAUAUAUAUGUUUUGAUGUCUACUUAUUUUCAUACACAUUGUACAAUUUUUGUACACAUUAGAAACAUUUUAUACAUGUUUUGUAUUUUUCUAAUGAGUGAUUAACAUUUUUCAAAUUAGUCUGUAAAGUGAUUUUUAUAAUAGGUAUUUUAGAAAUAUUCCAAAAUACAAGCAAAAGUAAANNNNNNNNNNNNNNNNNNNNNNNNNNNNNNNNNNNNNNNNNNNNNNNNNNNNNNNNNNNNNNNNNNNNNNNNNNNNNNNNNNNNNNNNNNNNNNNNNNNNNNNNNNNNNNNNNNNNNNNNNNNNNNNNNNNNNNNNNNNNNNNNNNNNNNNNNNNNNNNNNNNNNNNNNNNNNNNNNNNNNNNNNNNNNNNNNNNNNNNNNNNNNNNNNNNNNNNNNNNNNNNNNNNNNNNNNNNNNNNNNCCAUCUGGCGCAUUUUGAAGCGAGACGUGCUACUAUCCCGCAUCAAGCGAGACAUCACCAUUAACCAAACGGGUCGAGCAGGGCACAUGUGGCCUUUAUGGACCAUGACCCGCGGGCCAUUUUGGCCCAAUUAUUUUAAAAAAGAAAAAUACAUAAAAAUCUUUAAAAAGUGCAGUUUGCUACUAAUCGGUUGUGUCAUGCUUGCCACGAGCGCCUCGCCUAAGCGAACGAGCAUGAUACACAAUGUGUCGCGGCCUAGGCAUGGCCCGUUUAGUCCUAUGGUGGGUCGAGCCUGCUAUGUGCCGUGCGCGCGUGCUACCAGACCAGCCUGUGAUGUUCGGCCCGGAUGGCCACCUUUGGGUCCAUAUUGUGGUUGUGUGGAAGUUGCAUCACAAAUGGUUGGGUGCUUUUUCCGUAAAACAUCAUGAUUUCUCUCGCUGCAUAUUACUAAGAAAGGAGGGUGUUACAAAGCGUUGAUUUAGUGGAAUGUGGAAUUUUUGACGAUUACAAAUUUUCUUCCUUUUUGUGCAGAGCUUGAUUUCUUCUUGAACUUUCUUCUACAAUUGUAUAAGCUCAGUUGAUACCUUUAAGAAUUAAAUUAUUCCUUAUCAACCACAUAGCCCAAGCAAUGAGAAUGAAGAUCUUUGGUGAAAGGAAUUGCCAUCAUCCCCUUGAAAUGCUUGAUAAUUUUUUAAAUACUUCCAUGAGGUGGAUCCAAUGUGGGAAAAAUAUAAGUCCAACGGUGGUUGGCAAAUGGGCAGUCAACGAAGAGUUGUCUCUAGUUUUCAAAGUGUACAUUCCAUGCAUGCCACAGGUGUAAUCAAGAAUGAUUAAUCUUUUUUCCUUUGCAACAAUGCUCUAGUGUUUAAUCUAUUAUUUGCCAACAAGUAGAAGAAAACUUUGUGUUUCAUAUGGAAAAACCCUUUCUAAACCCAUUCAGUUGCUUGGAUGUGAUUACUAGAACCAAUUAGAGCCUUAUAUGCUUUGGCAACACUAGAAGUGCAUGGGCAGCUAGGUAACUCCAAAUAUCUUUAUUGACGGGAUGAACAACCUGGUCUCUCCAAACUUGUAGUUGCAUAAACGGAGCAUAGGCCUCCUCACACAAGGGAAGAUGAAACUGAAAGAAAUAUGCCCUAGAGGCAAUAAUAAAGUUAUUAUUUAUUUCCUUAUAUCAUGAUAAAUGUUUAUUAUUCAUGCUAGAAUUGUAUUAACCGGAAACUUGAUACAUGUGUGAAUACAUAGACAAACAGAGUGUCACUAGUAUGCCUCUACUUGACUAGCUCGUUGAUCAAAGAUGGUUAUGUUUCCUAGCCAUAGACAUGAGUUGUCAUUUGAUUAACGGGAUCACAUCAUUAGGAGAAUGAUGUGAUUGACUUGACCCAUUCCGUUAGCUUAGCACUCGAUCGUUUAGUAUGUUGCUAUUGCUUUCUUCAUGACUCAUACAUGUUCCUAUGACUAUGAGAUUAUGCAACUCCCGUUUACCAGAGGAACACUUUGUGUGCUACCAAACGUCACAACGUAACUGGGUGAUUAUAAAGGUGCUCUACAGGUGUCUCCGAAGGUACUUGUUGGGUUGGCGUAUUUCGAGAUUAGGAUUUGUCACUCCGAUUGUCGGAGAGGUAUCUCUGGGCCCACUCGGUAAUGCACAUCACUAUAAGCCUUGCAAGCAUUGUGACUAAUGAGUUAGUUGCGGGAUGAUGUGUUACGGAACGAGUAAAGAGACUUGCCGGUAACGAGAUUGAACUAGGUAUCGAGAUACCGACGAUCAAAUCUCGGGCAGGUAACAUACUGUGACAAAGGGAACAACGUAUGUUGUUAUGCGGUCUGACCGAUAAAGAUCUUCGUAGAAUAUGUGGGAGCCAAUAUGGGCAUCCAGGUCCCGCUAUUGGUUAUUGACCGGAGACGUGUCUCGGUCAUGUCUACAUAGUUCUCGAACCCGUAGGGUCCGCACGCUUAACGUUACGAUGACAGUUUUAUUGAGUUUUGAUGUACUGAAGGAGUUCGGAGUCCCGGAUGAGAUCGGGGAUAUGACGAGGAGUCUCGAAAUGGCCGAGACGUAAAAAUCGAUAUAUUGGACGACUAUAUUCGGACUUCGAAAAGGUUCCGAGUGAUUCGGGUAUUUUUCGGAGUACCGGAGAGUUACGGGAAUUCGUAUUGGGCCUUAAUGGGCCAUACGGGAAAGGAGAGAAAGGCCUCAAAAGGUGGCCGCACCCCUCCCCAUGGUCUGGUCCGAAUUGGACUAGGGAAGGGGGGCGCACCCUUCCUUCUUUCUCCUUCCCCCUUCCCUUCUCCUACUUCCACAAGGAAAGGAGGAGUCCUACUCCCGGUGGGAGUAGGACUUCCCCCUAUGGCGCGCCUCUCCCCUUGGCCGGCUGCCUCCCCCUUGCUCCUUUAUAUACGGGGGCAGGGGGGCACCCCAGAGACACAACAAUUGAUCCUUGAGAUCUCUUAGCCGUGUGCGGUGCCCCCCUCCACCAUAUUACACCUCGAUAAUACCGUUGCGGAGCUUAGGCGAAGCCCUGCGUCGGUGGAACAUCAUCAUCGUCACCACUUCGUCGUGCUGACGAAACUCUCCCUCAACACUCGGCUGGAUCGGAGUUCGAGGGACGUCAUCGAGCUGAACGUGUGUAGAACUCGGAGGUGCCGUGCGUUCGGUACUUGAUCGGUCGGAUCGUGAAGACGUACGACUACAUCAACCGCGUUGUGAUAACGCUUCCGCUGUCGGUCUACGAGGGUACGUGGACAACACUCUCCCCUCUCGUUGCUAUGCAUCACCAUGAUCUUGCGUGUGCGUAGGAUUUUUUUUGAAAUUACUACGUUCCCCAACAGUGGCAUCCGAGCCUGGUUUUAUGCGUUGAUGCUAUGCACGAGUAGAACACAAGUGAGUUGUGGGCGAUAUAAGUCAUACUGCUUACCAGCAUGUCAUACUUUGGUUCAGCGGUAUUGUGAGAUGAAGCGGCCCGGACUGACAUUACGCGUACGCUUACGCGAGACUGGUUUCACCGUUCGGAGCACUCGUUGCUUAAAGGUGACUGGCGGGUGUUUGUCUCUCUCACUUUAGUUGAACCGAGUGUGGCUACGCCCGGUCCUUGCGAAGGUUAAAACAGCACCAACUUGACAAACUAUCGUUGUGGUUUUGAUGCGUAGGUAAGAACGGUUCUUGCUAAGCCCGUAGCAGCCACGUAAAACAUGCAACAACAAAGUAGAGGACGUCUAACUUGUUUUUGCAGGGCAUGUUGUGAUGUGAUAUGGUCAAGACAUGAUGUGAUAUAAUGUGUUGUAUGAGAUGAUCAUGUUUUGUAACCGAGUUAUCGGCAACUGGCAGGAGCCAUAUGGUUGUCGCUUUAUUGUAUGAGAUGCAAUCGCCAUGUAAUAGUUUUACUUUAUCACUAAGCGGUAGCGAUAGUCGUAAAAGCAAUAAGUUGGCGAGACGACAACGAUGCUACGAUGGAGAUCAAGGUGUCGCGCCGGUGACGAUGGUGAUCAUGACGGUGCUUCGGAGAUGGAGAUCACAAGCACGGUGCUUCGGAGAUGGAGAUCACAAGCACAAGAUGAUGAUGGCCAUAUCAUAUCACUUAUAUUGAUUGCAUGUGAUGUUAAUCCUUUCUGCAUCUUAUCUUGCUUUGUUUGACGGUAGCAUUAUAAGAUGAUCUCUCACUAAAAUUUCAAGAUAAAAGUGUUCUCCCUGAGUAUGCACCGUUGCAAAAGUUCUUCGUGCUGAGACACCACGUGUUAAUCGGGUGUGAUAGGCUCUACGUUCAAAUACAACGGGUGCAAAACAGUUGCACACGCGGAAUACUCAGGUUAAACUUGACGAGCCUAGCAUAUACAGAUAUGGCCUCAGAACACAGAGACCGAAAGGUCGAACGUGAAUCAUAUAGUAGAUAUGAUCAACAUAGUGAUGUUCACCAUUGAAACUACUCCAUCUCACGUGUUAAUCGGACAUGGUUUAGUUGCUUUGGAUCACGUAAUCACUUAGAUGAUUAGAGAGAUGUCUAUCUAAGUGGGAGUUCUUAAGUAAUAUGAUUAAUUGAACUUAAAUUUAUCAUGAACUUAGUCCUGAUAGUAUUUUUGCAAAUUAUGUUGUAGAUCAAUAGCUCGCGUUGUUGCUUCCCUGUAUUUAUUUUUGAUAUGUUCCUAGAGAAAAAUUAUGUUGAAAGAUGUUAGUAGCAAAGCUGCGGAUUGGAUCCGUGAUCUGAGGAUUAUCCUCAUUGCUGCACAGAAGAAUUAUGUCCUUGAUGCACCGCUAGGUGACAGACCUAUUGCAGGAGCAGAUGCAGAUGUUAUGAACGUUUGGCUAGCUCAAUAUGAUGACUACUUGAUAGUUUAGUGCACCAUGCUUAAUGGCUUAGAAUCGGGACUUCAAAGACGUUUUGAACGUCAUGGACCAUAUAAGAUGUUCCAGGAGUUGAAGUUAAUAUUUCAAGCAAAUACCCGAGUUGAGAGAUAUGAAGUCUCCAACAAGUUCUGUAGCUAAAAUAUGGAGGAGAAUCGCUCAACUAGUGAGCAUGUGCUCAGAUUGUCUGGGUACUAUAAUCGCUUGAAUCAAGUGGGAGUUAAUCUUCCAGAUAAAAUAGUGAUUGACAGAAUUCUCUAGUCACCAUCACCAAGUUAGUAGAACUUCGUGAUGAACUAAAGUAUGCAAGGGAUGACGAAAGUAAUUCCCGAGCUCUUCGUGAUGCUGAUAUAGACGAAGGUAGAAAUCAAGAAAAACAUCAAGUGUUGAUGGUUAACAAGACCACUAGUUUCAAGAAAAGGGCAAAGGGAAGAAGGGGAACUUCAAGAAGAACGGCAAGCAAGUUGCUGCUCAAGUGAAGAAGCCUAAGUCUGGUCCUAAGCCUGAGACUAAGUGCUUCUACUGCAAAGGGACUGGUCACUGGAAGCAGAACUACCCCAACUAUUUGGUGGAUAAGAAGGAUGGCAAAGUGAACAAAGGUAUAUUGGAUAUACAUGUUAUUGAUAUGUACUUUACUAGUGUUUAUAGCAACCCCUCGGUAUUUGAUACUGGUUCAGUUGCUAAGAGUAGUAACUCGAAACGGGAGUUGCAGAAUAAACAGAGACUAGUAAAAGGAGAGGUGACGAUGUGUGUUGGAAGUAGUUCCAAGAUUGAUAUGGUCAUCAUCGUACACUCCCUGUACUUUCGGGAUUAGUGUUGAAACUAAAUAAGUGUUAUUUGGUGUUUGCGUUGAGCAUGAAAAUGAUUUGAUCAUGUUUUUUGCAAUACGUUUAUUCAUUUAAGUUAGAGAACAAUUGUUGUUCUGUCUACAUGAAUAAAAACCUUCUAUGGUCAUACACACCAACGAAAAUGGUUUGUUGGAUCUCGAUCGUAGUGAUACACAUAAUCAUAAUAUUGAAGCCAAAAGAUGCAAAGUUAAUAAUGAUAGUGCAACUUAUUUGUGGCACUGCCGUUUAGGUCAUAUUGGUGUAAAGCGCAUGAAGAAACUCCAUACUGAUGGGAUUUUGUAAUCACUUGAUUAUGAAUCACUUGAUGCUUGCGAUCCGUGCCUCAUGGGCAAGAUGACUAAAACGCCGUUCUCCGGAACUAUCGAGAGAGCAACAGAUUUGUUGGAAAUCAUACAUAUAGAUGUAUGUGGCCCGAUGAAUAUUGAGGCUCGUAGCAGGUAUCAUUAUUUUCUGACCUUCACAGAUGAUUUGAGCAGAUAUGGGUAUAUCUACUUAAUGAAAACAGAAAUCUGAAACAUUUGAAAAGUUCAUAUAAUUUCAGAGUGAAGCGGAAAUCAUUGUAACAAGAAAAUAAAGUUUCUACGAUCUGAUCGCGGAGACAAAUAUUUGAGUUACGAGUUUGGUCUUCAAUUAAAACAAUGUGGAAUAGUUUCACAAAUUCAUGCCACCUGGAACACCAUAGCAUAAUGGUGUGUCCGAACGUCAUAACCGUACUUUAUUGGAUAUAGUGCAAUCUAUGAUGUCUCUUACCAAUUUACCACUAUCGUUUUGGGGUUAUGCAUUAGAGACAGCUACAUUCACGUUAAAUAGGGCACCAUCAAAAUUCGUUGAGACGACGCCUUAUGAACUGUGGUUUGGCAAGAAACCAAAGUUGUCGUUUCUUAAAGUUUGGGGUUGCGAUGCUUAUGUGAAAAAGUUUCAUCCUGAUAAGCUCAAACCCAAAUCGGAGAAAUGUGUCUUCAUAGGAUACCCAAAGGAGACAGUUGGGUACACCUUCUAUCACAGAUCCGAAGGCAAGACAUUCGUUGCUUAGUAUGGAUCCUUUCUAGAGAAGGAGUUUCUCUCGAAAGAAGUGAGUGGGAGGAAAGUAGAACUUGAUGAGGUAACUGUACUUGCUCCCUUAUUGGAAAGUAGUUCAUCACAGAAAUCUGUUCCUGUGACUCCUACACCAAUUAGUGAGGAAGUUAAUGAUGAUGAUCAUGUAACUUCAGAUCAAGUUACUACCAAACCUCGUAGGUAAACCAGAGUAAGAUCCGCACCAGAGUGGUACGGUAAUCCUGUUCUGGAUGUUAUGUUACUAGACCAUGACGAACCUACGAACUAUGAAGAAGCGAUGGUGAACCCAGAUUCCGCAAAAUGGCUUGAAGCCAUGAAAUCUGAGAUGAGAUCCAUGUAUGAAGAACAAAGUAUGGACUUUGGUUGACUUGCCCGAUGAUCGGCAAGCCAUUGAAAAUAAAUGGAUCUUCAAGAAGAAGACUGACGCUGACGGUAAUGUUACUGUCUAUAAAGCUCGACUUGUUGCGAAAGGUUUUUGACAAGUUCAAGGGAUUGACUACGAUGAGACCUUCUCACCCGUAGCGAUGCUUAAGUCUGUCCGAAUCAUGUUAGCAAUUGCCGCAUUUUAUGAAAUCUGGCAAAUGGAUAAACAAAACUGCAUUCCUUAAUGGAUUUAUUAAAGAAGAGUUGUAUAUGAUGCAACCAGAAGGUUUUGUCAAUCCUAAAGGUGCUAACAAAAUAUGCAAGCUCCAUCGAUCCAUCUAUGGACUGGUGCAAGCAUCUCGGAGUUGGAAUAUACGCUUUGAUAAGUUGAUCAAAGGAUAUAGUUUUAUACAGACUUGCGGUGAAGCCUGUAUUUACAAGAAAGUGAGUGGGAGCACUACAACAUUUCUGAUAAGUAUAUGUGAAUGACAUAUUGUUGAUCGGAAAUAAUGUAGAAUUAUUCUGCAAAGCAUAAAGGAGUGUUUGAAAGGAGUUUUUCAAAGAAAGACCUCGGUGAAGCUGCUUACAUAUUGAGCAUCAAGAUGUAUAGAGAUAGAUCAAGACGCUUGAUAAGUUUUUUCAAUGAGUACAUACCUUAACAAGAUUUUGAAGUGGUUCAAAAUGGAACAGUCAAAGAAAGAGUUUCUUGCCUGUGUUACAUGCUGUGAAAUUGAGUAAGACUCAAAGCCCGACCACGGCAGAAGAUAGAAAAAGAAUGAAAGUCAUUCCCUAUGCCUCGGCCAUAGGUUCUAUAAAGUAUGCCAUGCUGUGUACCAGAUCUAUUGUAUACCCUACACUGAUUUUGGCAAGGGAGUACAAUAGUGAUCUAGGAGUAGAUCACUGGAUAGCGGUCAAAAUUAUUCUUAGUGGAAUAAGGAUAUGUUUCUCGAUUAUGGAAGUGACAAAAGGUUCAUCGUAAAGGGUUACGUCGAUGCAAGUUUUGACACUAAUCUAGAUGACUCUAAGUCUCGGUCUAGAUACAUAUUGAAAGUGGGAGCAAUUAGCUAGAGUAGCUCCGUGCAGAGCAUUGUAGACAUAGAAAUUUGCAAAAUACUUACGGAUCUGAAUGUGACAGACCCGUUGACUAAAAUUAUCUCACAAGCAAAACAUGAUCACACAGUAGUACUCUUUGGGUGUUAAUCACAUAGCGAUGUGAACUAGAUUACCGACUCUAGUAAACCCUUUGGGUGUUGGUCACAUGACGAUGUGAACUAUGGGUGUUAAUCACAUGGUGAUGUGAACUAUUGAUGUUAAAUCACAUGGCGAUGUGAACUAGUUAUUGACUCUAGUGCAAGUGGGAGACUGAAGGAAAUAUGCCCUAGAGGCAAUAAUAAAGUUAUUAUUUAUUUCCUUAUAUCAUGAUAAAUGUUUAUUAUUCAUGCUAGAAUUGUAUUAACCGGAAACUUGAUACAUGUGUGAAUACAUAGACAAACAGAGUGUCACUAGUAUGCCUCUACUUGACUAGCUCGUUGAUCAAAGAUGGUUAUGUUUCCUAGCCAUAGACAUGAGUUGUCAUUUGAUUAACGGGAUCACAUCAUUAGGAGAAUGAUGUGAUUGACUUGACCCAUUCCGUUAGCUUAGCACUCGAUCGUUUAGUAUGUUGCUAUUGCUUUCUUCAUGACUCAUACAUGUUCCUAUGACUAUGAGAUUAUGCAACUCCCGUUUACCGGAGGAACACUUUGUGUGCUACCAAACGUCACAACGUAACUGGGUGAUUAUAAAGGUGCUCUAUAGGUGUCUCCGAAGGUACUUGUUGGGUUGGCGUAUUUCGAGAUUAGGAUUUGUCACUCCGAUUGUCGGAGAGGUAUCUCUGGGCCCACUCGGUAAUGCACAUCACUAUAAGCCUUGCAAGCAUUGUGACUAAUGAGUUAGUUGCGGGAUGAUGUGUUACGGAACGAGUAAAGAGACUUGCCGGUAACGAGAUUGAACUAGGUAUCGAGAUACCGACGAUCAAAUCUCGGGCAAGUAACAUACCGGUGACAAAGGGAACAACGUAUGUUGUUAUGCGGUCUGACCGAUAAAGAUCUUCGUAGAAUAUGUGGGAGCCAAUAUGGGCAUCUAGGUCCCGCUAUUGGUUAUUGACCGGAGACGUGUCUCGGUCAUGUCUACAUAGUUCUCGAACCCGUAGGGUCCGCACGCUUAACGUUACGAUGACAGUUUUAUUGAGUUUUGAUGUACCGAAGGAGUUCGGAGUCCCGGAUGAGAUCGGGGAUAUGACGAGGAGUCUCGAAAUGGUCGAGGCGUAAAAAUCGAUAUAUUGGACGACUAUAUUCGGACUUCGAAAAGGUUCCGAGUGAUUCGGGUAUUUUUCGGAGUACCGGAGAGUUACGGGAAUUCGUAUUGGGCCUUAAUGAGCCAUACGGGAAAGGAGAGAAAGGCCUCAAAAGGUGGCUGCACCCCUCCCCAUGGUCUGGUCCGAAUUGGACUAGGGAAGGGGGGCGCACCCUUCCUUCUUUCUCCUUCCCCCUUCCCUUCUCCUACUCCCACAAGGAAAGGAGGAGUCCUACUCCCGGUGGGAGUAGGACUCCCCCCUAUGGCGCGCCUCUCCCCUUGGCCGGCUGCCUCCCCCUUGCUCCUUUAUAUACGGGGGCAGGGGGGACCCCAGAGACACAACAAUUGAUCCUUGAGAUCUCUUAGCCGUGUGCGGUGCCCCCCUCCACCAUAUUACACCUCGAUAAUACCGUUGCGGAGCUUAGGCGAAGCCCUGCGUCGGUGGAACAUCAUCAUCGUCACCACGCCGUCGUGCUGACGAAACUCUCCCUCAACACUCGGCUGGAUCGGAGUUCGAGGGACGUCAUCGAGCUGAAUGUGUGUAGAACUCGGAGGUGCCGUGCGUUCGGUACUUGAUCGGUCGGAUCGUGAAGACGUACGACUACAUCAACCGCGUUGUGAUAACGCUUCCGCUGUCGGUCUACGAGGGUACGUGGACAACACUCUCCCCUCUCGUUGCUAUGCAUCACCAUGAUCUUGCGUGUGCGUAGGAAUUUUUUUGAAAUUACUACGUUCCCCAACAGAAACAACCUGCUAGGUGAAUAGCUGACCCUAUAUCCCUAACGUAGCAAUUAUAGUUGAUGUCAAAUGAAAACAUGUGAGGCCAAGAGUUUACCAAAGAAACAUCUCUCAAGGAUCAGACCAAAACAAAGUGGAGGUACCUGAAUUGAUAUAAACCUCGCAUAUUGUUUAUAAACUGGAAUAAGUUUUAUGCAGACUCUUCAACAAAUUAAUUGGUAUCAGAUAAAGUUGAUGCAUGAAUUCAGUUUACCUAUGCAUAUAUACUUCAAUUGCAUACUUUACAACAAAUAUUAAGUGUAGAAAAUGUACUUUUGACAAGUGGUACUUCACUUUCUCCAACCAGAUUAAACCCUUUUCCGUUAGGCACAACUCAAAAGACAUGAUUGUUACAAAUAGUGAGAGAGAAAGAGAAGGAAUAGUGAGCUGGUGCACUAAUAGAAACUUGUCGUGAAUGUCCACACUACCAUAUUGAUUCUUUCAAAAAAAUGUGCUAAGUCCCGUACACCAUUAGAGCUCAUAGUCUUCAUCCAUUACAAGCAACAAAACACUGAUAGCACGAAAGCAUAGUGUCACACCCAACUUAUUACAUAUCAAGAAGAAAAUUAUCACAAUAUUCAAGAGAAGCCUCCACAACAUAGGCACAAGGCAUGCGGCAUUGAUCAUCAACGAGUCACUCGCUCUACGGUUCAGGUGCUCACUCCCAACACUUCUACCGGCUUCCCAUGCCUCAACGUCAUCUCCUUAUGCAUAAACUUGGCCUUCCCAUCCUUUAGGCUAGAUCUGUCCUAUUUCUUCCACAGACAUGUCCAUGAAAGAAGAAGAAGAAACAAACACCUAGAGUAAAUGCCCUCCAAUGGCGAUCCAUCACAAAUUUAUCAAAGAUAACUUUGUUCCUAGUAGUCCAAAUCUGUCGUGUAGGGGGGCCAAUCCAAUCGCAUAUAAUUUUUUCUAAUUAAGAUGGAACUAACAAGGACUCUUGUUUGGAGAGUGUAUGAAAAGCACACACUAAGGCUAAUUCUUUGAUUAAGAUGCAACAAAUUUUAUUUAUAGAAGAAUGAAUGAAAUCACACUAAUGUUCUAACUCCUUUUAUCAUGGUUUAUUUAUGUGUACUUACCGCCUUAUGAAUAAUAUGAAGCACACAUUGAUGCUAAACUGGAAAUUUUGCCAGUCUAAUGUCGAUUAUGAUAUUAAUGUAACAUGUGGCGUAUGAUUAUAUUUCUGACCAAACAUUGUUUGUAAUAACGUGUCACACUACAUUAAGUUCUUCUCCACCAUCCGCCCUACAGUGAUGCAAAUCUAUAUAUUUUAUAAAGACAAUCCCCACUAGCGAAAAUCUAGACAAUCCCCACUUACGUUCUACGCUAAGGGAAAACUCGAAAGGUUAAAGGAUUGUAGCCAAAAUGCUCAUAGUAAAGAGAGAGGAGAUUUGUUGUGAUGACAUAUUUUAUUUAUGGAAUUGUCAUGAUGCUCAUGUCAUGUUUUUAUGUUGGCUUAAACAAUGUUUUACGUGUCUCAGCUAGAAGGUUUUUUCAUGAAAGAAAGGUAACAUAAGGCAUGUUGUGUAAAUAAUUAAUUUUAUGAACUAAGUCAAACAUUUAUACAAUGGUACCUUAAGUCUGGGGGAGUAAGUUCACUACAUUAUGUAGAUGAAAACUCACUGGCUAAACCAAGAAUUUUCUGUCUCCCAAUAGUGACAUAUAGCAUCUUGGUGAUUUUUCAUGCAUUAAAUGUAUGGAGAAUCACCGAGACAUAAGUCCAAGAGGAUUAUAAGCCCUACUAUGAUGGAAUACAUCGAUGGAGCCAAAAAGGAACACAUUGUGCAUUAGUGCUCUAUCUCAGUUGCUCCUAAAGUCGAGGGCAAUAAAGUUGGACAUUUAAGUGUUUGAGGAACCAUUUAAACUGAUCAGGUAAUGUCGGUUCCUUAUGCUUCAGCUAUUAGAAGCGCCAUGCAUUAAAGUAUCACCGCGCCCACUUAUUUACAAUCAGGAUAUUUGGUAAAAAAAUGUGUUUAAUCCAGAACUAGACCACUGGAGAGCCGAUAUCGAGUUUUUGCAGUAUAUGCAAGGCAAUAAAGAUAACAUGCUCACUCAUAACGAGUUUGAUAACCUCAAAUUUGUGGGUUAAUCAGACAUUGGUUUGGCAAGAUGUGUAGAUAUGAGGACUUCCAUGUAAAGUUACAUCUACAAUGUUGCAUGAGGAGAUUCGCCGAGGAGCUCAUAAAGGAAAAUCAUGAAAUAAUCAAUGAUGCAAACGAAUUCAUGGCAUGUUAAGAGGCUAUCGGGCAAGUUGUUUGUCAAAGGAAUCUUAUUCCCGAAAUGGUAGUGGUACUGUGGUAGACAACAUACUUAAAUGACUUACUUCGAUCAUGAACAUGCAGUUCUCUAUGCGAGUAACAACUAGACAAUUGGUAUUGCCAAAACCACUGGCAUUAUGUCAUUGUUGUGAAAUAUAGAGUUCAUGAUCAAACAUACGAUGUUUGAUUUGUAAGUUUUUGAGGUUCCUCUAAGUAAGGCUUAGCAUUUACCCUUCUAUGAUAAGGUUGUCGGCAUGGGUUAGGGAAGCUUUUUGAUCCUGGAAAUUUAGGACCAUCAAAUAAACCAACUCCCAUAAAGUAUUAUGUAUUCCAUUUUGAGGUAGAUGAUAUACUAUAAGUAUUGAGGUUAAGUGACACUUCAUCUGUCAUUGCAACACCUUACUUUGGUAUAUUAUUUCUAUUGAGAGUGGCUUAUGAUGUUUGUUGAGCAUACUAUCAAGGGAAGAAUGUUGAAAUUGAUCUCAUGUUGUUGUUAACCGAGAGAAAAUAUGGGAGACAAAGUCUCCUCCCCGAACGAUUGUGCUCAGAUCGGAGGCACCAAUAACUUACUUUUGGUUUCGGUCUAUGGUCCACUAAUACGUCUCCAACGUAUCUAUAAUUUUUUAUUGUUCCAUGCUAUGACAUUAUCCAUCUUGAAUGUUUCAUAUGCAUUAUGGUGCUAUUUUAUAUCAUUUUUUGGGACUAACCUACUAACCUAGUGCCCAAUGCCAGUUGCUGUUUUUUCUUGUUUUUGUCUUUUACAAAAAAUCAAUACCAAACGGAACGAAACUUUUUGAGGACUUUUCUUGGACCAGAAGACAACUACGAAGCUUCGAGAGGAGGCCAGAAGACCCACGAGGAGGCCACAAGGGGGGGGGGACCUAGGCUUGUGGGCCCCUUGCAAGUCUUCUAACCCUAAUUCCAGCUCCAUAAAUACCGAAAUAUUCCCCUUACAUCAGAGGGCACACCAAAAAUACUUUUCCGCCGCCGCAAGCUUCUAUUCUCGUGAGAUCCCAUCUUGGGGCCUUUUCCGGUACUCUGCCUGAGGGGGAUUCGAUCACGGAGGGCCUCUACAUCAACCUUGCUGCCCUUCCGAUGAUGUGUGAGUAGUUUACCACAGACCUAUGGGCCCAUAGCUAGUAGCUAGAUGACUUCUUCUCUCUCUUUGAUCUUCAAUACAAUGUUCUCCUCGAUAUUCUUGGAGAUCUAUUCGAUGUAAUCUUCUUUUGCGGUGUGUUUGUUGAGAUCCGAUGAAUUGUGGAUUUAUGAUCAGAUUAUCUAUGAAUAUUAUUUAAGUAUUCUCUGAACUCGUUUAUGCAUGAUUAAGAUAGCUUUGUAUUUCUCUCCGAUCCAUCGAUUUGGUUUGGCCAACUAGAUUGGUUUUUCUUGCAAUGAGAGAGGUGCUUUGUGAUGGGUUUAAUCUUGCGGUGUCCUCACCCAGUGACAGAAGGGGUAGCGAGGCACGUAUUUCUAUUGUUGCCAUUAAGGAUAAAAAGAUGGGGGGUUUUACCAUAUUGAUUGGAUCUAUCCCUCUACAUUAUGUCAUUUUGCUUAAGGCGUUACUCCGUUCUUGUUAACUUAAUUCACUAGAUGCAUGCCGGAUAGUGGUCGAUGUGUGAAUUAAUAGUAGUAGAUGCAGGCAGGAGUCGGUCUACUUGUCAUGGACAUGAUGCCUAUAUUCAUGAUCAUUGCCUUAGAUAUAGUCAUAACUUUGCGCUUUUCUAUCAAUUGCUCAACAGUAAUUUGUUUAUCCACCGUAUGCUUUAUUCAAGAGAUAAGCCUCUAGUGAAACCUAUGCCCCCCGGUCUAUUUUCCAUCAUAUAUUUUCAGAUCUAUAAAACCAAAAACCCCAAAAUACCUUGCUGUAAUUUAUUUUGCCUUUUACUUAUCUUUUAUAUCUAUCUUUUUCAGAUCUCACUCUUACUAGUGACCAUAAAGGGGUUGACAAUCCCUUUUUCGCGUUGUGUGCAAGUGUUUGUUAGUUUGUGCAGGUGCAUCUAUUGGGUACUUGUGUGUUCCUCCUACUGGAUUGAUACCUUGGUUCUUAACUGGGGGAGAUACUUAUCUCUACUUUGCUGCAUCACCCUUUCCUCUUCAAGGAAAAAAACAACGCAAACUCAAGACGUAGCAUCCACGUAGUGUCAAAUAUAAAAGGAGGAGGUCCUUCCCAUCUAGGGAUGAUGACUUGCGUACGUAUGCCCCCACCCCCAACUCCUAACAACCGAUCCUAAAAGUGCGUUAACGGGGACUCACAAGACCGUCUCCAUCGCCAGCCACCAGUGGGCUGUUCCAGCGGCUUCCUGCUACCAUCUACCCUAAGGCCCCAAGGUGCAGACAUCAUGGGCAAUCCUCUAUGAGUCCAUAUGCCAAUCACAGUUAGUCACUAAUAUUCUAUUUAAAUGGUGUUCUAGUUAAGAGAUCUAAGAUCCUAUUAUUUCAACCUUAUAGGGUUAUGUCUAACAACACUUUCUCUUGUUAAACAUAGUUAGAAAUUAAAUCUUGAAAGAGCUGCCACAUAAAGAUUCAGAUAAAAGGAAGUACCUUUUCGACAUAUCUCUGUAUAUUGUAUACACGAAUAUAGGAUCCGCUAUACCCGCUUGUGAAAUAAAAACUAAAUCGUUUCUCUUGACCCCAUAUCCAAAUAAAAGAAAGCGGUAAGUAAUAAAUUUUAAUCAAAUAGAAGAAUCAAAUUGAUCCGUGAUUAAAUUCCUUUCACUUCUUGUAUUUUUGUUUUACAAAUUUGGUUGAGUGAGGGAUCAAAAUUCCAAAUCCACUCAUGAUGUGCCCUAGAAACAUCUUUUCCAAUAUUGGAAUAGACAGAUUUAGUAGAGAACAACUUGCUACAGUAGUAGUCAAGGACCAAGACACCACGUCAAGAUUAGUACCUAGAUGUAGGUUAUUAGCUUUCUGCCUAAUCUCCAUUGACCAGUCAACUAAGAAUGCAUACGGUGCCUCGAGGGGGUCUCAAAUUGGAGAUGCAAAACAUCAGGAACAAUAUCGAGGCAACUCUUUACUUCCCUACAAAAAAAAGAGUGUACGAGUUUUUUUUGAACAACAAAAGGCGCUCGAAGCGCCAAAUUCAUUGAGCUCAGUAACAAUGUACAGUGUGAAUUACAAACUCCUGAUCCUGAAAGUUGGAAAGAAGAGAUACAACAGCACAUGAAGUAUGCCUAUGAGCUGAAGCAAAACAACAAACUUCAGGUUGAACACAUUGAUGUAAAACCUGUUGAGCUACAUUGUGUGCUAUGCCAUUUAUUUCUCUGGAAAUAUGAAAGACUUGAGGCUACAGAUUGGUAGCAUGGUUGAAGAAAGUAGCCAAAGGCUUCCUAAUGCACCAAGGAGUGGUAGAUUCUACUAUCCUUCCAAUAGCAGCCACCGACGAUAGUGAGAGGAAAUCCAUGAGAAAUGUUGGUCGAAGAAUAUUGAGCUUACUAGCCACUUGAGCAACAAAAGAGAGAGCCAGAGCUUCAGCAUGUAGAGGAGAAGUAGUAGGAGGAGCAGAAGCUUGAAUCUGCACAUUCACUUGAUCUUGAGCCAAGGAAAUAUAAAUACCCACUCCCGUUGCAAUUUCUCCUUGUGGUAAACUAGGAACUUUCCGAGAUCUGAAAGCUGCAUCAGAGUAAAUUUUGGGGCCCGAAACAAGCAAAUCCGACCGGAGAGUUCGUCCCUGCAUAGGAAGCUGAUCAAGAGGAAGUUGUACUUGUGGUGUCACCUGCAUCUGAGACAAGUGAGGUAAAUCAAUAUAAGCAUCAGAAGACAAAGCUUUAGUGGCAAGGUGCACAUGAUGAGGAGGAGCCUUAUUCCUAUCAAAGAGAUAAUCAUUUCUAGCCUUCCAAAGACACCACAAGAAGUUUAGAAUGUUUGAAAUAGAACCGUAUGGAUGUCCCAUGCGAAGAAAGGCAAUGAGAAUGGAAUGCAUAGAAGCAUGGCCUUGGACUAAAACAUCCGACCUAAUGAACCAAGGGGAAUCAAACCAAGUAGCUCGUGCAAAAGGACAUAGGGAAAAUAAAUGGAACUCAUCCUCUUGAAUGCCACACCUACAACAGUUGGGAGAGAUAUGAUUAGAGAAACGGCCUGCCCGCAAGCCUGUAGGUAAAGCUCUCCUAAGAAGCCUCCAUGCAAAAGUUUGCACCCUAGGAAUGAGCUGCUUUUGUUUCCAGACCAGUUUGAGAAGGUCCUUGAGCUCCAGAGAUAAUACAGAAGGCGCAUCUCUAGGAUUUGUAUGAAUUUCCUGCAAACAAAGCUUAUAAGCAGAUUUGGAAGAACAAAUUCCAUCAGGUGUCAGAUUCCAACAGAGUAAAUCUGGGCCGUCAUCAUCAAUGAUAUCAGUUUGAGCAAUGACUGAAGCCAUAGGUUGCUGAAAAAGUAAAUGUAUUAAACCAUUAUUCCAAUUUUUUUGGCCAGGGAGCCAAAGAUCCCUAACUAAAGAAGGAUAAAUAAAACUUGGUUGUUGAAUAUUAAGAUAGUCAUGAAUGCUAGUCCAAAGAGUGCACCAAGGAGAACUCCAGAUUGAGAUAUUACCUUGUGUCAAUUGAUAAAAAGAAUGAGCUCUUAACUUAGGCAUCAUUUUCAAAACAGAGGUCCAGAAAGCAGAUUUAGGAGAGUAAGGAGUAGCUGUCCAAAUAGAAGAGUCAUGGAAAUAUUAGCCUGAAGGACCAAAUAUAGCUGAGAGGAAGGGGAUUAAGCAAUUCUCCAAACAGCUGCAAGAACAAGACUUUCAUUAAUCGCUUUCAAAUUCCUUAUACCUAGGCCACCUUCUUCUUUAGAAUUGCAAAUAUCUUUCCAUGCUCGAAGACAAAGACUCCUGCUUGAAUCAUUUUCCCUGACACCUGUCCACCAAAAAUUCCUACUGACAUCAGUGAGCUUAGCAAGAAACUUCUUAGUGAACAAAAUGUUAGCCAUAUAAUAAACAGGAAUAGCUGAGAAAACAGAACGAAUCAAUUCCAACCUAGCAGCAUGAGAAAGCAUAUUGGCUUUAUAAGCAGGCAGUUUAUUCUUAAACUUGUCAAGCACAAAGUUAUAAGCAACACUUCUAUUCUUAGCAGGAAGAAUAAGUGGAUGACCAAGAUGGGUGAAAUUACUAUCCAAAUUUGAAACAGAAAAAAAUUGCUUAAUCUCCUGAAUAGUAGCUUGACUAACAUGAGAACUAAAAAGAUGAGAACUAAAAAGAAUGGCAGAUUUAGCCCAGUUUGGAGUUUGACCAGAGAUAGAACAGAAAUGAUGGAUGAGAUGAGCCAUAGAAUUUGCUUCCUGAACAGAUGGAUACCACUGAGAAGUUUGCGAAAAAUGUCAAGUUGCAGUUAACCAGCUUGGGAUAAGAACAACCGUCACUGUGAAAACUACAUCUGCCAUCCCCUUCACAACACCUACGUUUUUCACAGCUUCUCGUGGGUCACGGCUAAAACCGACGCUUCCACGUGAACGAGCGCUACGUUCACGUCUGCGUCCCCUGUGAAAUUAUCAGCGACGAGUGCCAACUGCCAAGUGGAGUGAGUAGCCGGGCACGCCCGUGAUCUGAAGAAAUCCGUGGAAAAACCCACGACCACAAGAAAAUCCACAGCACCCAAUCGCCCAACCUCCACGGCGAUCAUGAGCCAUAGCCACACCUGUCCCCUCCACCCUGAGGCUCCCGCCGCGCCACCUCAUCCGCGAUAUCCACCACGCCAAUGGCGUCCGAGCUCCAGAUUUUUUUGGCCCCCGCCGUCUCAUCCCCUUCCCCUUCCUCCCGCCGGGUUAAAUAGCUGCCUCCGCCGCUCCUCUCAAACCAUCCCGCCAUACACCACCACAGCCCCACUCUCAGAGAGCACGGACGCCGGACACGCACGAGUCUUCUUGAAGCAAUGGCGACCACCGCGAUGGCGCUCUCCCCCUCGUCCUUCGCCGGGAAGGCGGUCAAGGACCUGCCGUCGUCGGCGCUCUUCGGGGAGGCGCGCGUCACCAUGCGCAAGACCGCGGCCAAGGCCAAGCCGGUGUCGUCCGGCAGCCCGUGGUACGGGUCCGACCGCGUGCUCUACCUCGGCCCGCUCUCCGGCGACCCCCCGAGCUACCUCACCGGCGAGUUCCCCGGCGACUACGGGUGGGACACCGCGGGGCUGUCGGCCGACCCCGAGACCUUCGCCAAGAACCGGGAGCUGGAGGUGAUCCACUGCCGGUGGGCCAUGCUGGGCGCGCUCGGCUGCGUCUUCCCCGAGCUGCUCGCCCGCAACGGCGUCAAGUUCGGCGAGGCCGUGUGGUUCAAGGCCGGCUCCCAGAUCUUCAGCGAGGGCGGCCUCGACUACCUCGGCAACCCCAGCCUGGUCCACGCGCAGAGCAUCCUCGCCAUCUGGGCCUGCCAGGUCGUGCUCAUGGGCGCCGUCGAGGGGUACCGCGUCGCCGGCGGCCCGCUCGGCGAGAUCGUCGACCCGCUCUACCCCGGCGGCAGCUUCGACCCCCUGGGCCUUGCCGACGACCCUGAGGCGUUCGCGGAGCUCAAGGUGAAGGAGAUCAAGAACGGCCGCCUCGCCAUGUUCUCCAUGUUCGGCUUCUUCGUGCAGGCCAUCGUCACCGGCAAGGGCCCCCUCGAGAACCUCGCCGACCACCUCUCCGACCCCGUCAACAACAACGCCUGGGCCUUCGCCACCAACUUCGUGCCCGGCAAGUAAGCUGCUAGGUGUUGUGUCUGGAAACCGACCGUGCACGUGCGUACGUACGCGAUCAAGUGUGCGCAUGCAUGCAUGCAGCUGGGUUUCGUUUGUACUACAACCAUGCAUGAUGUAAAGUACGAAGGUUGAAUGCAAAAGACUGUUGUUAGACUUGAUGAUCUCUCAGGAUCAACCAGAGCAUGCAAUCACCUAUGUUAAUUAACCGGUAGCUGAUCAUGCAAUCGAUCGGCUUUUAGUUUCUUAGUUCAGUACGUAUACGUAGAUGCUUAUCAUACAGCGGCAGUGGAUCUUUACUGCAGUAAAAGUAGAUGUCUUUGGCGAGAAUCAAGAGGAACUUUUUUUCCAAGUGGAGAACAAUAAUCUGUCUGAAAGUUGAACUUGAAACCACCGUUAAGUAAUCUACGGCAAUCUGACGAACCUGUCCAUGAAUGGCGAAUCCAUCAGCGAGAAGCUACGUCGCAAGCUAAAGCAGGCAGCAGAACUUUCAGGAACGUUGCCCACCCUAACAAGCAGCAGGAAUCCUGAAGGAAAAGAGGACCUUUCAGAAAAUGACAGAGUAAGCAUGUAGAUUUGAAGGCUUAAAGACACAAAACUGAAGAAACUAGAAAUGCAUGGCCUAGAGAGUCACUAGAAGAAAAUUAAAUUAGCAUCACAAGAUUUUUAUGGGCUGCAAGGGUAUGAUGCCAAGUCAGACAACACAUUCAGUGGAGGUGCAUGCGGCGUAAAAGAUAGCAUUAGCAGUACAGCAAAACAAAUCAAAAUUUCAAACGGCGCCACAAUCGUGCUCCAGAGAAGAAGAAUAUAAAGAGAAACAUAUUCAGACCAGCAAGUCAAGAACAAAAUUGACUUGGCAUCAUCAGCCGGUACAGUAAUUACAUAUGAUGCUUCUGUUGUUUGAACACCCAAUAAUCCUCGGACACAUACUCCUCCGUAAACAGAUAUAAGAGCGUUUAGAUCACUCUUAUAUUUCUUUAGGGAGGGAGUACUAGGUACCAAAUCACACUUGCUGGAAACUGUAAUCAUGAGGAGUGGUAAUUUGUAGCUACAAUACAUGCACUGCCUUUACUGGUAGUUGAUAGCACGUGGACUAGUACAUGGUAGUAGCAGCACACACAACAAAGUACAACUUGCUCUCCAAAUCACAAAGCAAUACUGCAUACAACUCUUGAACAGUUCGACUGAACAUAUAUGCCGUGAGGUCCUCACGCUGUGUCGCCGCGGGUCUUCUUCAUCAGGCGAGCCCAAGCUAUAGCCACCGUAACGAUGGCAACAAGAGUCGGGACUAUAUACACAUACGCAUAGGGCGCACAGGCCCGUUGUGAGCGACAUCGAGUAGAUAGCCAUUGAUCGACGACGGUGUGAUUCAUCAGAACAUUUAGCGUCUCAGGAUCAGAUAGAUAGACAAAAGCGCUACACAUGCACAAACGGGGGUACGGGUAUCUGCAGAGGGGUUCAUGAAGGAUUUGCAUGCAAGUUAUAUUGAGUUGGUCGGAAAGGCUGUUUACUGCUCCUUGCACUAUACCGCUUGUCAAAUCUUGGCCCCUCAGAAAAUUAUAUAUCUUGAAUAAACAAAAACAAAAAUGUGAAUGUGUAUUUGUGAGAUGUAUACGGGCCGUGCCGUGCCGGCCCGCAUGCUGCAGCCUGCAGCCCAGGCACGACCCAGCUUCUAAUCGGGCCGGCCCACCGGCACACCAGGCCCAUUAGUCUGCCUGCUAUUUGGCGUAGUGGGCUUUUUUGGGAGCAACUAGUUAAAGAGCGCUCCGAAGGAGCGCUUCGGGAGCACUCCGCGCAUGACAAGUGUCGCGCGCGGAGCGCUCCCGUGAGGGAAAACCACUUGGCGCGGUUGGUUCUCGGUUUUCCCUUUCCGGUUUGUGGUUUCGUGCGUUUUGCAGUUUGACCCUCGAACUACCAGAAUUUUCUGUUUUUCUCUUUCCGCGCGAAAACACAAAGAAAAUACCAGUUCGCGCGGUUGGUUUCCUGUUUCCCUUUCUCGUUUCCCUUUUUGUUCCCAUUAUAUUUCCGGGUAAUGGAGAUUUAUGGGGUAGUUACGGGCGGGGACUACCAACACUAUCAAAUGUGACCUUUCAAGUAAAGAAAAAAAAUAACUUUUUAAUGUAAAAAGGCAGUCUGCAGAAUCGUUCAAUCGUGUGACUUCUUUAUAGCCACAGGUGAACACUAGGAGAGGCACGGGUGUAUAACUUUACUAAAUUGAAGAAAAGCGCCUCCGGCUCGCUUUCGGCUCGUUUAAUUUUCAUAAACAUCUUGAGGGGGGGGCAUAGGUCGAAGUGUGUGUUGGUCGUGCGGCGCGUUGUACCUCGUGGUGUGACACGGCGCCUCAGGCGCGAGGGAACCUCCGGCUCGUUUAAUUUUCAUAAACAUCUUGAAGGGGGGCAUAGGUCGAAGUGUGUGUUGGUCGUGCGGCGUGCUGGUUCGUGCGGCGCGUUGUACCUCGUGGUGUGACACAGCGCCUCCGGCGCGAGGGAACCUCCGNNNNNNNNNNNNNNNNNNNNNNNNNNNNNNNNNNNNNNNNNNNNNNNNNNNNNNNNNNNNNNNNNNNNNNNNNNNNNNNNNNNNNNNNNNNNNNNNNNNNNNNNNNNNNNNNNNNNNNNNNNNNNNNNNNNNNNNNNNNNNNNNNNNNNNNNNNNNNNNNNNNNNNNNNNNNNNNNNNNNNNNNNNNNNNNNNNNNNNNNNNNNNNNNNNNNNNNNNNNNNNNNNNNNNNNNNNNNNNNNNNNNNNNNNNNNNNNNNNNNNNNNNNNNNNNNNNNNNNNNNNNNAAUUUUCAUAAACAUCUUGAAGGGGGGCAUAGGUCGAAGUGUGUGUUGGUCGUGCUGGUUCGUGCAGCGCGUUGUACCUCGUGGUGUGACACGGCGCCUCCGGCGCGAGGGAACCUCCGGCUCGUUUAAUUUUCAUAAACAUCUUGAAGGGGGGGCAUAGGUCGAAGUGUGUGUUGGUCGUGCGACGUGUUGGUUCGUGCGGCGCGUUGUACCUUGUGGUGUGACACGGCGCCUCCGGCGCGAGGGAACCUGCUUGUUUAAUUUUUAUAUAGCAGGUCAUGCAAAAGGCAAGCUGCUUUGUUUCGAAGGCACGGGUUUGAAGCAUGUGCAGUCACGUCUGCUUAAGAGCUAGGCUUUUGUUGAGGAUAUAUAGGUUUGUGCGUGCAUUCACAUGUGUGCAUACUACGAAGGCAUUGGUAUGUUGCCUCCGGUGGCACGGGUUUGAAGCAUGUGAAGUCACGUGAAGUCAUUGAUAUGUUGCCUCCAGAGGCACGGGUUUGAAGCAUGUGAAGUCACGUGUGCGUAGGAGCUAGCCACGGUUGAGGCGUUCUUGGUAUUUGUGUGUGUGGAUAUUGCCCGGAUGCAUGGUGACCCAGGCUUUGGUGGCACAAGGCCAUGUCACCUCUGGAGGCACGGGAGGGUGGUCUCCAGAGUCACGCGUAAGGGUAUGUGUGUGUGUGUGUGGAUAUUGCCCGGAGGCAUGGUGACCCAGGCUUUGGUGGCACAAGGCCAUGUCGCCUCUGGAGGCACGGGAGGGUGGUCUCCAGAGUCACGCGUAAGGGUUCGUUCUGGGAGUCACUACAUUACUGGCACUCUCUGAUGAUGUAAGAGGCACUGUUGUCGAAAUAGUUCUCUUUUCAAUAUGAACACGCAAUUUCUAACUACAUUACAUAGAAAUGUGAGUUAUUGAUAAACCGUUUUCUCACGUCUAGAUAGAAUUAGCCUCGCGGGCUAAAUCAAAAGUUUUAGUCUUCAUUUUUGCUGAAGAUCUUGCUAAUCUCGUCACCCAUUUCAUUAGCUUUGACCUGAUUCAUCUCGCUACUUAAGAGAAUGUACAUUGCCUCUGCCCUCCAGUCUUCGACCUCAUCCUGUGAAAUUUUGCCGAGAAGAGAAGUAUAUUAUUAGAGUUUGUGCAUAUAAGUUGUUUAUAAGUUAAUAUAUAUAAACUUACUCUCAAAUCUUCCAGGUCUUCGACAAACUUUUCACCAUUGUAGAUGAAUGCAAGCUUUAAAGCAGCAAAUGUUGAUUCUCCCUUUUCUACCACUGGAACAUCUUGCACGGUAUGAAUCUGCCAUCUUGUUUUGUUUGGAUUCAUUGUUUGUUCAAGUAUGGUGUUGAAGACUUCUUUAAACCUAGGUACCUGGGAAUAUGGCAUUUUGUAAGUAAUUGCUUUAAUAUUGCACUAGUAAAACUGAAAAAAUUGUUAUGUAUAAAUGCUUACGAUUGCCGACUUAUGAACAUGAUAUUCCUGAAACUGUCUUUCUCUUUCUUUUUUAGCAUCUUCAUUUUCCCGAAGAACUCGAUAUGCUUCUUUUAGAUCCAAUUUAUCCAUGUCUAUCUUUUCUUUCUCAAAUUCCUCUGGAGUCGUUUCUCGAGGAUCAAUAAUGUGAACUUUGUGUUUGUAUUUGUCCAGCACAUAUAGUACAUAGCGGUCAUGCUUCUCCAUUGGAAUGAAUAUCUGCGUACAAAAUACUUGUUGCUUAGAUGACAGUUUAAUAUAAAGUAAUUUAAUAGAAUGCAUAUUUUGUGAUUUUGUCAUGGAGGAAAGGGUUGUUACCAUGUUUGCUGUUGAGAGCUUUUUGCGUUGAUUUUCCUUGAGAUACAUGGGAACCAGCUGAUUCUUUGUUUUUUGUAAUUCAUUUUUAAAUUUUGUAAUACUAGUUUUGUGUUUCUUUAAAUCCAAUAUAUGCUGCAAACAAUAUUUAUGAUGAAAAAAACUGUUAGAAAAAAGAGCCGUGUAACAAUAUAAAAAGAGUAGGUGUUGCAAUAUAGACAAGAUUUUGCUUUUUAAAAGUUUACCUUUGCAAAGUUUGGGCCUAAUAUUACUCUGUCACUCCGUUUUGAAUCUUGUCUGCUUUCCCAGAUUUCUGCUAUGUCAUCGAGGACCCUCUUUCCAUAUGAUGUGGUAUGUUCGUCUGUGCUGGUCUUGGACCAAAUACUGCCUUCAGUUGGGCUCCAGUAAGUUGCGUGCUUUCACUAUCCCUGCGGCUGCGCCUAAAUAUAGUUUUGCUGCGACAGGGAGAUAAAAUAAUUUUGGAGGUCACGGUCAGUGAGAAACAAAAUUUUACAUUAUUUUUGGCCUCUGUCCAACUAUUUUGAGGUGCAAUAGAAAACAACUCACUUUUUGUAUUCCUCCUGCCAGCUGUCGCUCAUGACUAGAUGAAAGAGGUCAGACACUUCCUUUGUGUGUUGGAAGCAAUGAGAAUGUUUUGGGUAUGGACUGGUGCUUCGUCUUUUUUUCUUUUUGUUUCAUCUGUUUCUGUCAGUGGAAGCAGAUAUGUAAUAUGUAAGCUUUCGUGAUACGAAAGACAUUGGUGAACCGUGGGAUGGGUAGGUUAUUACAAAAAAAGAUAAGUGGAAAUGAUUUUCUUACCUUUGUUGGUGGAAAAGAACUUUGAAGUUUCUGGUUUGAAUUCUUUGAUUCUUCCAGGUAGAUCCUCGCACUUUACUUGGUUUGUUUCACCAAAUAUGGCUGUAAAAAGGAACUCUGGUUUCCACUCGGCAUCUACGUUGCUUUGCUGCAUGGAGGUCAUUGGAUAUUCUUUUAUUUUUCUUUCAUGAGAUAAUUGAAGUAUUCAAGUAGUGCUGCUUGUAAAAAUUAAAAUUGUUGCUCUCGUACUAUUCACUUACAUCGAAAUCCUCAUCAUCUUUUAUGAGAUCAAUGCCAUUCCAGUAUUUUGCAAAUUGAACCAUGAAGUGUCCGCAUUGGGUACCCUGCUGUUUUGGCACGCAAACUCUGUUAGGUGUUUCUGCUAUCCUCGACCAGUUCGGUUCGCUGUUGGCUCGUAGCUCCGCUUCGCCGUAAUGCUUCUUCAUGAGUGCAUGCAUCCUUUUAAUCUGUGAUUAUGGUUUGGUGUUAUUGUUGGGUUUUGGCAUUAAACAAGGGAAUGCAGGAAUUGGAAAACCAAUUAGAAAACAAGGUUGAAUUGACGUACCAGUUCUGGGUGAUCCUUAUGGUGUGUUUUCCAUGUAGUUUUUCCGUCUCCGUCUCUAUAAUUCAGUGAGUCAAGUAUGUCGAUGGAGCUCGUGUACUUGUUGAGCACGUACAGUGUGUAGUGUUUAGCUGUGUUGUGAGGUAUCAUAAUCUGCGGUGUUUGGAGACAGAGUGAGUUAAAGUUCAUUCUUGUCAGGAGAAUUAAAUGACAUGUAAAUGUGCAAUCUGAGGAAAAAUGAAUUAUGUUUGUAUAUUUCUAUUAACUUACCAGCUUUUUCUUUAAAAGUUCCUUCCCUGUUACAAGGGGUGCAAACUAUUUCAAUGCUUUGUCCUCAUUGAAUUCUGCUAGUCCUCCUUUUUCUCCAAUUUUAACACCGAGCACGAUCUGCGACCAAAAAGUUUUCUACUUUUUAGUUCAAUCUUUGUAAUCAUUGAAAUGAUGCAAGUGUUUUUGUCAAAUUGGACUUCAUACGUUUGCAAAUUCUGUGGGAAGUAUGGCUUUAUCGGUUGUGUUGUAUUGUUGCUGCACUGUCCAUUCUUCGAACAAUGCGUUUGCGAUGGAGCCCUCCAUCUGUCCAUUAUCUCCUUUCUGUAGCUGUUCCAUUAUUUGUUUUCCUGUAAUCCAAUCGGGUCGCUUCGAGCUAAUAUAUACGUUUACACUGCAAGCAGAAAAAGUUUAUACAUUAGUUAGGUUUGUUUAAAAAGGGGCAACAUUUCUUUUUUUUUUUGUUGUGACAAGAGAAAGUACUUACUCUCCGCAUUCGUCCUGUCCUUCUUUGCUGAAUAGGUAUUCAUGAAGUGCUAUGGCUUUGUUCAUAAAUUUGAAAUCUCCUGGGAUAAAAGUAGGAAUCAUGAUUUUUCCAUGGAGCCUUCUUGAAGGCUUUACCGGUCUCUUCUUGACUGAGAUUUUCUUGUCUGAGCUGUUCUCAGAUGAUUGAGGCAUUGAAUGUUCUCCCGAUUCUUGCUGCAAGAUUGUCAGAUAUGGCUUGGCAUCUUUGUCGAAUUCAUAGCUUUCAUGGUCAUUCAGCCAUGUUUUGAUUACGUCGAAUUCAACACCCAUCUUUACAUGCUCGUUGUAUUCGUCUAGUUGGAGCGGGUUAAGGCUUGAAAGAAAUUCAUGAACUUAUUUUUGCUUUUCCAUUGUUUUGGGUUUUAGGAAGUCUAAAGAGAUGGUGCUGGAGGUGCCUUGCUGAUUGCUUGUUGAGCCCGUUUCUUCUUGAAGAAGAACAGGCUGUUUCUUCUGCUCAGAAACCUGUUGUUGUGCAUUUGGUGCGUCGUUGCUUCUGACAUCCUCUUUUAAAUCAGUGCCUGUUAGUUGCUCUAUGCUCGGGCUAUUGUUGUUGAUAUUUUGCUCGUCCGUUCCAUCUUCAGCAUGGUGUGGUAUCUUGUCGUCUGGUGGUGGUUGAUGUGGUUCUAUUGGUGGAUCCUUUUCUUCGUGGUCUGUGCAAGAUUCUUGGGUGACGGCGUGGCUGCUGACAUCCAUAACCUCUUUGUGUUUACUGGAUAUAUCAAUAACUUCAUGCUCUUUUGUGGUUGUCGCAUGCAUAAUAUGUUCUUUUGGCUCUGGAUUUGGCGGAAACUCUUCUAGUACGCACCAUUCUGUCUGUUGCAUUUCUUUGUCUCCCAUAUCGACUUCAUACUUCAGCAUAUCUGUUAGAAUCAAAAAAUAAUAAUUAAAAAAAUAUUACUUCUUCUAGUGUCACAAAAUUGUAAGGAUUAGUUUCUGAAAAGACUAACCUGUUGUACACUUGAUGACAGUUUAGUAUUCCCUCUGUGUUGACUGAUUAGUUGAUAUAGAAUUUUUUCCCCAACUCUGGUACUUGUUCUGGCUCUAAGUUUGCUGCUGUUCCAUCAUUGGAGUAGUGCUUCAGGUUCAUGUACAUAUAGAAUGCGCAGUCCAUUCUGCAUGUAGAGGAAUGGUACUAGUAAGAUUGUUGCAUUCAAGAAACAGAAAGAAGAGAAGUGUUGGAGCAAUGAUAGUGGUAAUUGUUGCAUUGAAAAGACGAAAGAACAGAAUUAUUUCAGUAAUUGUAGUAUUGAAUCUUGCAUUGAAAAAAAAGAAAGAAGUGAUAUGUUGGAAGUGUUUAUGUGUCUUCUCCUUGAAGUGGCACCUGCAGUUUGACCCUUUUGAAAUGGCCGAUGCUUUUUUGUGAAAGCUGUAGCUCUGUGCUUACGUGCUUCCAUAUUUUCAUUAAUUUGCUGGUUACAUUGUUGAAGAAUUCUAUUGUGCCUGGAUAUGCAGUUGAAGUGUCAAGGAGUUGAAAGCGCUAUUUUUGCAUGUUAACUGUAACGGUGAAGUAAUGACUUGUAUUUUCGUCUUUCUCAAACCCGUGCAACGAACAUGGUAGAAGGAACUGCAAAACAAAAAAUAAAAAGAAAAUAUUUGGAAAUCUUCUUAUAUUUAGAAACAUAAAAUAAAAAGAGAACUUUUGCAUAACAUAUACGCAAGCUGAUUUGCUUACCAUGUUAUAAUAUUGCAGUUUUUCUUCUUCUUGCAUGUUGAAAAAUGAUGUAAGCCUGGCAGGUAGUAAUUUUUUUCUAAUGUGUUCUUGAUCAUUAUUUCUAUAGCACAUUGGAUCUUCGUCGUCGGCUUCCUUUAUUGAGUGCUGCUUGUUUUGUCACAGGUACACAAAGGGAAUUUUUCAGUUCAGUUAUAGGGGAAGUUUAUCUAUUUAUAAAGUCAUAUAUAUUGUUUUAAACGUGAUUCUUUUGCCGUGAUCUUUACUUAUAGUGUUGCUUAACGACAGAAUCUUUCUCCCUGUGCCAUUUAGUUGUUUUCUCAAGAUUGUUAGCAUGGGCUCGCUUGCUUCGGUGCGUACUGAUUUAACGACCUUGAAACUUUCGGCGACAUGGCCUAGAUUGACAUCAAACUUGUUCGUUGUAAUGAAAAGCUCAUCCCUGCAAAGUAUAUUUAGAAAAAUGUUUUAGUUUACACAUGAUACAGUCAAAAUGAUCGUGUGUAAUAAUGUGUUUUGUGUUAGUUGCAUGAACUUACAUUUCUCUCCGUGUCCAUGGCUUGCAUACAGCGUUGUACAGGUCUUCGAUGGCUUUGUUGACGGAAUCACUAUCUUUGUCCCCUUUCUCCAUUGUGCCUGCGAUGAUUUUGAAUUUAAUGUAAAUUAUUCCAAGUCACAAGAUCACAUGAUAGCAAUUAAGUUUCUAUUGUCUUGCCUGCUUCGAUGCUGGAAGAUAUGUCCUGUCUAGUGUUGUUCCUUUCUUGUUCUCCUUCUGCUUCUUGCGGUAUGUUAUGUUCUUCUUUUUGCGUUGUACCCUUUUGUUCAGUUUCUGCUCCAUCCUCAUUUGAGUCGUCUGUGUCUUUCUUAGCAUCAUGUUUUUCCUUGUCAACCGUCGUGUCUUGCUGGUGGUCUUUUCCGUCUUGUUUUUCAGUCUCGACCUGGUUGGCACUGACCUCUCUGCCAGGGGAAUUGGCAUCGUACGAUGGUGUAGGGUUUUCUUUGAUGGUUUCUGCUUCUUUCUCUGGAACAAUGUGUGUGUCUGCUUCAUUGCUUGUAUCUCCGUGGUCGCCUUCUUCGUGUUACCGCGUUAUCAUAGAAAAAGCAUUGAAAUAAUUUAACUUGCUACUUUAUUUUAAUUAUAGCAGCUGUUAUGGGAAAAUAGCAAAGUGUUCGGUGCGUUGUUUGAGCUAUUUUGAUUGUGAUUAAGUCGUAAUUUUGUGGAAACAUUUUGUGCAACUUCACCUGUUGAGCUGUCGUUCGUGAUGCUGACUGUUAUACUCGUUCUUUGUUGAGUGUAGUUUCUUGGGUAUCCUCCUGUUCUUUGUUUUGGUGUUCAUCAUCGCUGUCAUGGUUUUUGUCUUGCAGCUGUUCAAUCAUAAAUUUGAGUUCUCAUGGAACUACCUUAUAUUUUCGUAGAAUCAGCUUAUGUAACUUUACCUCCUCAAUCAUUGCUGCUUCUGUUGUCUCUGCUACUGUUCUCGUUGCUGCCGCUGAAUGUUGUGCUUGUUCUUCGUUGAGUGGAGGUUUUUGGGCAUCUUCUUCUUCUUUCUUUUGUAGUUCAUCGCCGCUGCCGUCAUUUUUGUCUUGUAGCUUUUGAAACACACAGGUGGCCAAGUGGCAGUGCAUUUGAGGUUCCACAUAGCUAUUUUAUACUUUGAUAGGAUCAACGUAUGUAACUUUACCUUUUCAGUCGUUGUCGCUGCUGCCGUCUCUGCUGCGUGUUUUUUGGUGAGUGAAUAUUUUGGGGCUUGGUCUUCUGUUACGUUGAUGUCUGCCUUUUGACGAACAUGUUGCCCUUCUUCAGUGCCCUCCUUUUGCUCAUUGGUCUCCUCUCUCUACGAUGCAGGAAAGUAGUGAAAUGUCAAAUGCGUGUUCUUGAACUAUAAGUUCAUGAAGAGGUAUUAUGUGUUUUCACUAUUAGAAAUAUGCCCUAGAGGCAAUAAUAAAAUAGUUAUUAUUAUAUUUCCUUGUUCAUGAUAAUUGUCUAUUGUUCAUGCUAUAAUUGUAUUAACUGGAAACCGUAAUACAUGUGUGAAUACAUAGACCACAACAUGUCCCUAGUAAGCCUCUAGUUGACUAGCUCGUUGAUCAAUAGAUGGUUAUGGUUUCCUGACCAUGGACAUUGGAUGUCAUUGAUAACGGGAUCACAUCAUUAGGAGAAUGAUGUGAUGGACAAGACCCAAUCCUAAGCAUAGCACAAGAUCGUGUAGUUCGUUUGCUAGAGCUUUUCUAAUGUCAAGUAUCAUUUCCUUAGACCAUGAGAUUGUGCAACUCCCGGAUACUGUAGGAAUGCUUUGGGUGUACCAAACGUCACAACGUAACUGGGUGACUAUAAAGGUGCACUACAGGUAUCUCCGAAAGUGUCUGUUGGGUUGGCACGAAUCGAGACUGGGAUUUGUCACUCCGUAUGACGGAGAGGUAUCUCUGGGCCCACUCGGUAAUGCAUCAUCAUAAUGAGCUCAAUGUGACUAAGGAGUUAGCCACGGGAUCAUGCGUUACGGAACAAGUAAAGAGACUUGCCGGUAACGAGAUUGAACGAGGUAUUGGGAUACCGACGAUCGAAUCUCGGGCAAGUAACAUACCGAUGGACAAAGGGAAUUGUAUACGGGAUUGAUUGAAUCCUCGACAUCGUGGUUCAUCCGAUGAGAUCAUCGUGGAACAUGUGGGAGCCAACAUGGGUAUCCAGAUCCCGCUGUUGGUUAUUGACCGGAGAGUCGUCUCGGUCAUGUCUGCAUGUCUCCCGAACCCGUAGGGUCUACACACUUAAGGUUCGGUGACGCUAGGGUUGUAGAGAUAUUAGUAUGCGGUAACCCGAAAGUUGUUCAGAGUCCCAGAUGAGAUCCCGGACGUCACAAGGAGUUCCGGAAUGGUCCGGAGGUAAAGAUUUAUAUAUGGAAUGUCUUGUUUUGGUCGCCGGAAAAGUUUCGCGCAUUAUCGGUAUUGUACCGGGAGUGCCGAAAGGGGUCCGGGGGUCCACCUGCCCCGGGGGGCCACAUGGGCUGUAGGGGUGUGCGCCUUGGCCUAUAUGGGCCAAGGGCACCAGCCCCAAGAGGCCCAUGCGCCAAGAGAUAAAGGAAAGGGAGAGUCCUAAAGGGGGAAGGCACCUCCUAGGUGCCUUGGGGAGGAUGGAUUCCUCCCUGGCCGCACCCUUCCUUGAAGGAAGGGCCAAGGCUGCGCCCCCCUCUCCCUUGCCCCUAUAUAUAUGUGGGAAAGGGGAGGGCAGCAAUACCCCAAGCCCUGGCGCCUCCCUCUCCCUCCCGUGACACAUCUCCCUCUUCCCGCAGCGCUUGGCGAAGCCCUGUUGGAAUCCCGCUACUUCCACCACCACGCCGUCGUGCUGCUGGAUCUCCAUCAACCUCUCCUUCCCCCUUGCUGGAUCAAGAAGGAGGAGACGUCUCUCCCAACCGUACGUGUGUUGAACGCGGAGGUGCCGUCCGUUCGGCGCUAGGAUCAUCGGUGAUUUGGAUCACGACGAGUACGACUCCAUCAACCUCGUUCUCUUGAAUGCUUCCGCUCGCGAUCUACAAGGGUAUGUAGAUGCACUCCUCUCUCUCGUUGCUAGCAUCUCCUAGAUAGAUCUUGGUGACACGUAGGAAAAUUUUGAAUUAUUGCUACGUUCCCCAACAGUGGUAUCAUGAGCCAGGUCUAUGCGUAGAUUCUAUGCACGAGUAGAACACAAAGUAGUUGUGGGCGAUGAUUUGUUCAAUUUGCUUACCGUUACUAGUCCUAUCUUGAUUCGGCGGCAUUGUGGGAUGAAGCGGCCCGGACCGACCUUACACGUAUUCUUACGUGAGACAGGUUCCACCGACUGACAUGCACUUGAUGCAUAAGGUGGCUAGCGGGUGUCUGUCUCUCCCACUUUAGUUGGAUCGGAUUCGAUGAAAAGGGUCCUUAUGAAGGGUAAAUAGCAAUUGGCAUAUCACCGUUGUGGCUUUUGCGUAGGUAAGAAACAUUCUUGCUAGAAACCCAUAACAGCCACGUAAAACAUGCAACAACAAUUAGAGGACGUCUAACUUGUUUUUGCAGGGUAUGCUAUGUGAUGUGAUAUGGCCAAAAGGAUGUGAUGAAUGAUAUAUGUGAUGUAUGAGAUUGAUCAUGUUCUUGUAAUAGGAAUCACGACUUGCAUGUCGAUGAGUAUGACAACCGGCAGGGGCCAUAGGAGUUGUCUUAAUUUAUAGUAUGACCUGCGUGUCAAUGAAAACGCCAUGUAAUUACUUUACUUUAUUGCUAACCGUUAGCCAUAGUAGUAGAAGUAAUAGUUGGCGAGACAACUUCAUGAAGACACGAUGAUGGAGAUCAUGGUGUCAUGCCGGUGACGAAGGUGAUCAUGCCGCGCCUCGAAGAUGGAGAUCAAAGGCGCAAGAUGAUAUUGGCCAUAUCAUGUCACUUUAUGAUUUGCAUGUGAUGUUUGUCAUGUUUACAUCUUAUUUGCUUAGAACGACGGUAGCAUAAAUAAGAUGAUCCCUCACUAAAAUUUCAAGAGACGUGUUCCCCCUAACUGUGCACCGUUGCGAAGGUUCGUUGUUUCGAAGCACCAUGUGAUGAUCGGGUGUGAUAGAUUCUAACGUUCGCAUACAACGGGUGUUGACGAGCCUAGCAUGUACAGACAUGGCCUCGGAACACAUGCGAAACACUUGGGUUGACUUGACGAGCCUAGCAUGUACAGACAUGGCCUCGGAACACAAGAGAUCGAAAGGUCGAACAUGAGUCGUAUAGUAGAUGCGAUCAACAUGGAGAUGUUCACCGAUGAUGACUAGUCCGUCUCACGUGAUGAUCGGACACGGCCUAGUUUGACUCGGAUCAUGUAUCACUUAGAUGACUAGAGGGAUGUCUAUCUGAGUGGGAGUUCAUCAAACAAUCAGAUGAACUUAAUUAUCAUGAACAUAGUCAUAAGGUCUUUGCAAAUUAUGUCAUAGCUUACGCUUUGGUUCUACUGUUUAAGAUAUGUUCCUGGAGAAAAUUUAGUUGAAAGUUGAUACUGGAAAUUAUGCGGACUGGGUCCGUAAACUGAGGAUUGUCCUCAUUGCUGCACAGAAGGCUUAUGUCCUUAAUGCACCGCUCGGUGUGCUGAACCUCGAGCGUCGUUUGUGGAUGUUGCGAACAUCUGACAUACACGUUUUGAUGACUACGUGAUAGUUCAGUGCGUAAUGUUGAACGGUUUAAAAUUGUGGCACCAAAGACGUUUUUGAAACGUCGCAGAACAUAUGAGAUGUUCCAAAGACUGAAAUUGGGAUUUCAGACUAGUGCCCACGUCAAGAGGUAUGAGACCUCUGACAAGUUUCUUAAGCCUACAAACUAAGGGAGAAAAGCUCAAUCGUUGAGCAUGUGCUCGGAUUGUCUGAGUACUACAUGUCACGACCGGUUUUUCAAUAAAAUAAUUAUUGAGAAACCAAUCCCUGUUACGGACCAGUGAGGAAGAAUUCCUUCUCACUGAUAGACAAUACAUUGGUCACAGAAGAAAAAUACCAGGAGUACUAAAUAUAAUACAAAGUUGAGCAGAGGCUGCCCAACAAUUUAUUACAUGCACGCCGAUAAAACAAUACGGCGAAUAGGGUGGCAAACUUCUAACUCACGAUAACAACGGUGGUGGAAAUAUCAUCGCGAAGCGAGUGACAUGAUUCCAGACUACUACAACUCUUCGAGCGUCGGAGUGAGGCUCGAGAUGACUUAUUGCGGGUGGCGGAAGCGUAAACGAUACAAGUGACCAAUAUCCGGGAUCGUGCAGGACUGACUGGGACUCCUCUAGGCGUCGGACGCGCUAUCAAACUCUUCAUCCAAGAGAUCGCCUUCGUCAACAUCUGGCCAAAUCAACAAGCCAGGUGAGUACUAUGAAAGUACUCGCAAGACAGUUCGGACAUAAGGUAUAACAAAUGCAAACAUGAAGCACAUGAACAAGUUAACCAGUGCGAUCAGACAUAGAGAAAAUAAAUACUGGGUGCCAAGCGAGGGUCAGAAUGACGCCUCGAGCGGAAACUGCAGAAUAGUAAUGCGGGUGCCAAACGAGUGUCUGAAAGACUCCUCGAGCGGAAAAUGCGGAAUCAUAAUACAGGUGCCAAACGAGUGUCUGAAAGACUCCUCGAGCGGAAAAUGCGAAAUAAUAAUGCCACAGUCGGGCGUCGGGGCGACACCACAAAAAGGGCUUAUAACAGAAAGUAAAGACAGUACAUGCCGCAGUCGGACGUCUGAGCGACAUCACAUAAAGGGCUUAUAUCGAAAGUGAGAAACGAGUACACGCCACAGUCGGACGUCUGAGCGACAUCGCAUAAAGGGCUUAUAUUGUAACACAACAAUACAAUAGUUCGGGAAUAUAAUUUAUCACAAGCACGAGACAAAUAUAAUGUUAGUCCAUCCACAGGAAUAACAAUGAAAUUGAAUUUACCACUUGAGCUUGUUCACCGGGGCAAGAUUUUCACACGGAUAGAUUUGGAUGUAAGGUCUACAUUACUGAUCAUGGAUACGAUGAUUUGGAAAGAAUUGACUCUGCAGAGUUUGUACUUAACCACAGCCAACGGAUUUCAGUAGUCACGGGGACUAGUUCCGUCUACGGUGUUCUGGAAGGAACACGUCUAACCAGUACACACCCAAUUUAACCAUCCGAAGCCAGGGAUCACCCUCGGCAACAUUCAGGAAAAACCCUGAGUCGGGGAGGCUACAACCUCGCGUAGCAUGGGAUCAAAUUUCUAUACGCGCGCUAUAAGGGGGUGCCCCCCUCUCGGUCCCAACCAGAAACACCCAUGCCCCCUGACCGAAUGACUGGCUUUAAUCCUGGGCCAAGGUACCAUCAUCCCGGCCUCUCUGUUUGGUGUGUACACGGAAAGAGGUUACCAACUUACUAAACCGUAUCCUGGCAAUGAGACAUGUGGUAGCACGGAAAGGGGAAGGGACGAUAACACGGCUCCAACCAUGUUAACGUCAGAAAAGUCGGAUGACACAAGGCUGGCAUGCUUCAACAGUACCACCUUGCUGCCCUUCAUGUCACCACAUGAUUAGGCCACCUCUCAUCAGAGGUCAUCGCAACUUUGGAACAUGCGGGAAAAGAUCGAUAACGUGGCUCCAACCACGUUAACGUCGAAGAAAGUCGGAUGACGCAAGGCUGGCAUGCUACAACAGUACCACCUUGCUGCCCUUCAUGUCACCACAUGAUUAGGCCACCUCUCAUCAGAGGUCAUCGCAACUUCGGAACAACCGGGUCGUUGCCUUACAAGCAACGGGGUAUUUACCGACACUCAUAUGCCACACACAAACUUUCACAUGAACAUGCAAAACAUCUGCCAUAUCAAAUGUUCAAACAUGCUUGCCUGGUUCGGAGAAGUCGGAGUCUAGCUCGGCGAAGUUCGCGGCUCCGUCCCCUCUCCCGGAACCUACGGCAAUCACGAAACGGGGUACUAACGUGAAAACCAACACAUGCAUAGAAACUUUGCCAAAUAUUUUUCAAAUAAAUCCCAUAAAAAACUAGACAAAAUUUGGAGAUUGACAGAAAAAGAAUCACUCAAAAAUACCUUUUUAUUAAAAAGUUAUAAAGGUUUCUGUCCAGGGACCUUUCUGUAAUGAAACAGAAAAGUUCCAGGGUUUUAACUGAGAAAACAGAAAACGCUUCGGCUGGGAAUGCGCAAGCGCAAGGAGAAAACGUAUUUUGCCCGAAGGCGCCAACAGAAAAUGGUUCAGGAAAAUAAAGUAGAGGCUGACACGCGGGGCCCGCAUGUCAGGUUUGGAAGCUCGCCGGCGCCCGAAGACGGCGGUGGACGCCGGCGUCGAACCACGACGAGUUAGGAGAAACGGAGGGUACCAAGAGCUUCAGUGUCUUCUUCCGCGUCGGUGGGUGGUGGACUCGUCCAACGGGGAGCACCAGGUCGACGACGACUCUAUCUCCGGCGGACGGCGGUUCGGGUGAGGUUGGGGAACUCCGGUGGAGGGCUGCAAAGCACGAAUUGAGGCGCGGGUCAGAACGGGUGAUGCAAGGAGAAGCUACUGGCAAGAGAAUGGGGGCUGUGGAGCACACACGGGGGCGAAUCGGGCGGGAUCCCGUGGCGGAUCGCGGUGGCCGGAGUCGAGGAAGGAGACCUCCUCGGGGCUCUUCCAGUGGCUAGGCGUGCUCUAGGGGAAGGGUAGGGCUGGUGGGUGCUCGAGUUGAAGCUCGGGGCCCCUAUUUAUAGGCAGAUCGACGGGGUGGCCGUGAACGGAGAAUCUCCGGCGAGCGAUUACGGCGGAGCAGUGGGUUGGCAGAGGGUUUGAGCGGUCGAGCAGCAUCAGAGGAUGUUACGGGACUCGUUUUGCAGCUAAACGGGGCUGGCCCUGGCGUAAUGGCGUCUGUCCACGGUGAGGUGACCGCACGGGCUCAACGGCGGCAGAGAGCGUGCUCCGCGCCCUGGGGUUCACGACGAGAGCGGCAGCGCAUUCGGGGGAGUGGACGGCCACGCGGCGGGCUCCGGUGGUUUGGGCGGUGCUGGGUGGAGUUGGCGGCGCCGUGUCUCCCUCUGGCGUCCGCAAAGCCGCCGCCGGCGUCGGUCACGGGGCGGCGCACCUUCUGCUGCUCGUCGCCGACGUCCGCAAGAUGCCAGGCACUCGUGCGGUGCAGGAGCAAGUGGGCGAGGACGAGGAGCAAGGCGACGCGAUGGCACUGGCGAGAUCGACGCCCGCCUCUGAAGAAAACGACAGUGAGCACUGCAGUGUUCUCUGAAUUUACUGAACCUUGACAGUGACCAAGCAAUGCAGGUGUUCGACAGUAGGUUUGGUAAAGAGAUAAAUUUUUCUGGAGCUGUAACUUGGUGAGAUGAUCACUCAAAGCACCCAGGGGCUGCAUGAAUUUAUCUGGAAUUUUUGGAGAAAGUUUUGAAUGGAUUUCACCAAAUUUGGCAAAUCUGGUCCAAACUUGCAGCUGAUGUAGUUUGAAAAUUUUGAACUGGAGACCAGUGGAUCUUCAUGGUUCUAGGUUGAGGGUUCAAAGGACUAGGAGGGGAAAGAAGUUUGGUGGUAAAAGUCCAAACAGAAAAUGGAGUUCCUUUGUAAAACUCCAAGAGGUAGAAUAGAAGGCAGAAAAAUAUUUGAAUGAAAUUUGAAUGGAAAUAAAUACAUGGGGAGGUUCAACUUGCUGGAUUUGAUGCAAAACAUGAUCCAGAGGUGAGGGAAGGGUUUGGAGAGAGGGUUUGCACUUAUGUCAUGGCAAGGAGGCAUAGUUGAAAGUGGCAAAGGUCUUUCCAAAAGCCAUAGUGCAUAUUCAAGAAAAGGUUUUCAAAAGUUAUUUUCCCAAAUGAAAACCAUUUUGUUUUGAGUCCAAUGAAAAGCAAGAACCUCCAAGACCAAAGGAAGAUCUUGGGUGAGUCCAAAUAAAAUUUUUGUCAUAAAGAAAAGUGUUUGAGAGUGAGAGUUCUCUUGAAGAAAGAUUUUUAAAUCACUCCCCUCAAGUCAAAUAAUUUUUUUUUUGAAAAAGCCAAAUAAAAACUUGGGUGUCACAACACCUACGCCCUUAGGAAAAAUCUCGUCCUCGAGAUUUCUGCUGAUCCUCAAAUAGAUAUGGAUACUCUGCUCGGAGGAAAUCUUCCCUUUCCCAUGUGGCUUCAUCCUCAGUGUGGUUGCUCCACUGGACCCUGAAAAACUUUGUCGUUUUCUGACGGGUCCUCCGUUCAGACUCUUCUAAAAUCUUUACUGGCCUUUCUCUGUAUGUGAGAUCUGGUUGCAUAUCAAUGUCCUCAUGAGGUACAUGUUUCUCCGGGUUACUCACACAUUUCGUCAACUGCGAGACGUGGAAUACAUCAUGGACGUCUGAUAGCUCCUUGGGUAGGUCUAGUUGGUAGGCUACCGUGCCUCUUCUUGCCUUCACACAAAAUGGUCCAAUAAAUCUUGGGGCUAAUUUCCCCUUUAUUUUGGACCGUUGCAGACCCCUCAUAGGAGAUACUCGGAGGUAUACGGAAUCACCAGGUUCAAAGCUGACCUCACGAUGCUUCUGAUCAUAGUAGCUCUUUUGCCGGCUCUGUGCUGUCUUGAGUCUGUCCCUGAUUUGUUUAACUUUUUCCUCGGCCUCCUUAAGCAUAUCUGGGCCGAAGAUACGGCUGUCACCUGUUUCUGACCAAUUCAAUGGGGUACGACACCUCCGUCCGUACAAAGCUUCAAAGGGUGCCAUUUGCAAACUGGUUUGGUAACUGUUGUUGUACGCAAAUUCGGCAUACGGCAAACUCUCUUCCCAACUGGAUCCAUAGGUGAGCACACAGGCUCUUAGCAUAUCUUCUAGGAUUUGGUUUACACGCUCUGUUUGUCCAUCUGUCUGAGGGUGGUAUGCUGUACUGAAAGCUAGUUGCGUGCCCAGAGCUUGUUGUAGGUGAUCCCAAAAUUUGGAGACGAAUUGGGUGCCUCGGUCUGAUAUUAUAGUCUUUGGGACUCCGUGCAAGCAAACUAUACGGGAGAGAUAGAGUUUUGCCAGUCUUUGUGUGGAGUAGGUAGUCUUCACGGGAAUGAAAUGAGCAACCUUGGUUAGUCGGUCUGUGAUAACCCAUAUCGCGUCAUUUCCACGCUGUGAUCGGGGCAAUCCGACAAUGAAGUCCAUUCCGAUUUCAUCCCAUUUCCACUCCGGUAUCCUGUUAGGCUGGAGUAGCCCUGCUGGCUUUUGGUGUUCGGCCUUGAUGCGCUGACAUGAAUCGCAACAAGCAAUGAAUGUGGCUAUAUCUUUUUUCAUACCGUGCCACCAAAAUCUUUCCUGGAUGUCCUUGUACAUUUUGGUUCCUCCAGGAUGGAUCGAGUAUGGAGCGGUGUGGCUCUCCGUCAAGAUCUGUUGCUUGAGUUCCUCAAUGUUAGGUACGCAAAGUCUGUCCCGGUACCAUAAUGUUCCUUCACUGUCCGUGACGAAUUCCGAAGUCUUACUACGGUUCAUUUUCUUCUCUAUGCCUUCGAUACUGGGAUGUCCCUGUUGAGCCUUCUUAAUUUGUUCCACUAGCGUGGGUUGUAUCUCUAGGUUCGAUAUGGUGCCCUCAGAGACUAACAUCAUGUUGAGCCGAGUGAACUCUCGCUGAAACUCAGGCUUCAAACUUUGCUGGCUGUCACUGUCCGGGCUGGGGUUUCGACUAAGGGCAUCGGCCACUACAUUUGCUUUUCCUGGGUGGUAGUGAAUACCGACGUCAUAGUCCUUGACCAGUUCCAACCAGCGUCGUUGGCGCAAAUUCAGCUCUGGCUGUGUGAAAAUAUAUUUGAGGCUCUUAUGGUCUGUAUAUAUUUCACAGCGAUUUCGCAACAGAAAGUGCCUCCACUCCUUGAGUGCAUGUAUAACUGCUGCUAGUUCCAAGUCAUGUGUUGGGUAAUUUUCCUCAUGUUUUCUCAGCUGUCUGGAGGCAUAAGCGACAACUUUGCCACCCUGCAUUAGCACACAUCCGAGACCUUUUCGGGACGCGUCACAAUAUACCUCAAAGCUCUUGUGUAUGUCUGGCACAGUUAAGACUGGUGCGGUUGUCAGCCUUUUCUUGAGUUCCUGGAAGCUCUGCUCACAUGCUUCCGUCCAUACGAAUUUCUUGUCUUUCUUGAGUAACUGUGUUAUAGGUUUUGCCACAGUGGAGAAUCCUUCAAUAAAUCUCCUGUAAUAUCCGACCAUUCCUAGGAAACUCCGCACAUCUGUAACAUUCGCGGGUGGCUUCCAGUCCAGUAUGGCCUUGACUUUUUCUGGGUCUACGGCCACGCCUUCUUGGUUCAAAAUAUGGCCCAAGAAACCAACUUGUCUUAGCCAAAAUUCGCAUUUGCUAAAUUUGGCGUACAACUGAUGUUUCCUCAAUUCUCCCAAAACAAUUCUGAGGUGCUCAGCAUGUUCUUCUGGUGUCCUUGAGUAAACCAGAAUGUCGUCAGUGAAUACUACCACAAAUUUGUCCAUGAAUUUCAUGAAUACUUUGUUCAUGAGGUGGACGAAAUAUGCGGGGGCGUUUGUUAGUCCAAACGGCAUCACUGUGAACUCGUAUAACCCAUAUCUGGAAGUGAAUGCUGUCUUGGGGAUAUCCUCUGUUCGUACCUUCAGUUGAUGGUAUCCUGAUCUCAAAUCAAUCUUUGAAAAUACUUUAGCUUGUGCGAGCUGGUCAAACAAGUCAUUUAUCCGUGGCAUCGGGUAUUUGUUUUUGAUGGUGACCAUAUUGAGGGCUCGAUAGUCUAUGCAUAGUCUCAGUGUCCCAUCCUUCUUCUUGGCGAACAAUACGGGCGAACCCCAUGGUGAGGAGCUGGCUCGUAUAAAUCCUUUGUCCAACAAUUCUUUUAUCUGCUUCUUCAACUCCACCAAUUCUGAGGGUGCCAUUCUAUACGGCUUCUUAUAAAUGGGAGCGGUGCCAGGUGCUAAUUCAAUGCUGAAUUCGAUCUCUCGGUCUGGUGGCAUACCUGGUAGUUCUUCCGGGAACACAUCAGGGAACUCGCAUACCACUGGCACUUUUCUUAAUUCUGCGAUGUCCAUCUUGUUCAGUUUUGGUUUCUGUGACCGUGGCCUUUCUUGAGCGGAAACUCUUAUUGUCUUGCCGUGAUGGUGAGUGAGAAUCACUGUCCGAUUGAAACAGUCGAUGAAUCCUUUGUUGGUGGUCAACCAGUCCAUUCCUAAAAUGACAUCCAGUCCUUUACUUUCCAACACGAUGAGAUUCGCGUGGAAUGGUAGUCCUUCGAACUCAAUGACCACUCCUUGGCAGUAACCUUGAGCAAUUUGCUUAUUUCCGGGGGACUUGAUGAUCAUAGCUUUUUCCAAGGGGAGUAUCGGAAAACCAUGUUGUGAAACAAAACUCUUCGAAACAAACGAAUGGGAAGCUCCAGAAUCAAACAAAACCGUGGCAGGUACUGUGUUGACAGGGAACGUACCGAGCACAAUGUCUGGGGCAUUCUGCGCUUCUUCCCUGGUCACAUGGUUCAAGUGACCCUUCCUGUGGUUGUUGCUGGGAUUGAAGUUGUUGCGCUUGGGGGCGGGAUUGUUUCCGCCAUUGUUUGGCUUGGGUGCCGUGUCUCUUGGCUUCGGGCACUGUUUAGCGUAAUGCCCUUGUUGACCACAAGCAUAGCAGGUAACCCCUGGACGGUAUGUGAACUCCUUGUCUCUGGCAUGAAAUUGUCCGACGGGUCUUGGCUCAGUAGUCGUGGAUCUCCUCGUGUCUGUCCUUGGGACCUCAGUCUUGCCUCGGUUGCUGCGGGCAAGAGUCGUCUUGUCCCUCUUCCGCCUGCGGAUAUCUUCCAGACUACGGCGCUCAUUCUCCAGGGUGAUGGCCUUGUCUACCAGCGUCUUAAAAUCCGGGAAGGUGUGUACAAUCAGUUGGCAUCUUAAUGCUGGUGCCAGGCCGUCCAGGAAUUUUUCCAUCUUCUUGUUUUCUGUCAUGUGCUCGUCGUAGGCAUAACGAGACAGUUGGGUAAACUGGCCGUUUUAUUCUGUGACGGUCAUGCCUCUUUGCUUCAGGUCAUCAAACUCUCUCUUCUUGAUCUUUAGGAUGCUCUUGGGAAUGUGUGCCCCACGGAAGCCUUCCUUGAAUUCUUCCCAGGUGAUGUUGUGUUCCCUGGGGUGCAUGUGUAGGAAGUUUUCCCACCAUGCUGCGGCUGCUCCAGUAAGGUAGUGUGGUGCGUAAAGCACCUUCUCAUGAUCUGAGCAUUGGGCGAUAAUCAGUUUCCUUUCAAUCUCGCGAAGCCAAUCAUCGGCUUCCAGUGGCCUGUCGGUGUGAGCAAAAGUUGAGGGGCGAGUCUUCUGUAACUCAGAUAACUUGGAAUGUGGUUGAUAGGGUUCACGGUGGUUUCCCAUAUUGAUGACAUGGUUCAUCAUCUCCUGGUGCUGUUGCUGGCUUUGCUCGAAGAGACGGCACACUUGAGAUAGUGCCGCUUCGCUAUCCUGUUGGCUGGACUGACCCUGAGUGAAAUUGUUGCUGGUCUGUGUUCCGUAAACCUCUUCUGGCUGAUUGGGCAUAGAGCGAGUCCAAGGGCGAGACAUUUUUCCAGUCUGGGGUAUCAUUUGCAAAACCCAUGAGAAAAAUUGUGUAGCGCGAGGAAAACCCUUGCAAAGGCAAUAAUCAAAAAGGCUUCAAGGUUUUCAAAGAAACACAACUAAUUUUUUUUCACGGAGAAGAAGUGCUUAACACAAAUUUUACAUGCGAAAGCAAACACAAGAUACAGCACUCAGGUUGUGCGUACACAAUCCUGACAUGUUAUUAAAAACUAGCGUACUACUCCGGAAGGCAGCAAACACACCAAUACAAACUAGCGUACAGAUAAGAACAACACAUCAUACAAGCAGGCAUAACACGCGGCUACUCGAUGCUCUCAGUCGGAGAUGGUGAAGAUCUCCUUCCCCUUGCCGAGGGCAAGGCUCAGCGGUCCAGGAGAAUCAACCUCCUCCUCUCUAGCUGGCUCCUGGCGUGCGACGCUGCGCUGCGGUGAUGGUGCGGGGGCGACUAGUGGUAGAGCGCGUGCGGCAGGCGGUGCGGCUCUGACUGGAGUAGGAGCGAUGACUCGGUCGAACUCCUCAGUGGUAGGCAGACGGCGAGCAGUGGCCAAAACGGCUGGUGCAUAUGAGGCUGAAGACGAGACGAAUGUCAGAGGUGGCGCCGUGUGGAGAAGCUCCUUCCUGCUGGCAGGACCGCCCUGGACUAAGUCCAUGCGGGCAGCCACAAGAUCAUCUACGAGGUUGUCGAAAGACUCCUCCAGAGCCUUGAGAUACUCCACAACCAUCUCGAUGGCUUCAUCUCGCUCUCCCCGAUGGCAGGCGAACGCAUAGUGGCUGGUGUAAGGCACAUGGCAUGGGAGGUAGCGGUAGCGACGAGUCUUCAUCGUAGGAAGGAUGUCCCGAAGGCGAGCUAUCGCCUCACGGGCAGCCAUCUGCAUGGCAUGCCUCUCCGUAGGCAUGGCCCUUCCCGUAAAACAGAAAUGGCGAGCAGCAGAUCGUCCUCCCUUGAAUUGCACCACAGCCUGGUGCAUAGACACGUCGUCACUGAGUUUGUGCUGAUAGAGGGUGAACUCCGGGCGAGCUGCUGGCCCGAUCGCGAGUUUGGUGAUGGAGACGAGGAGCUUGACAAACCCCUCGGGUACGUUGGUGAACACUCGAUUCUCACAGCCGCUGCCAGCCAUCUACAAAAGUAGGCAGAAUUCUGAGUAGUCAUGUCAUAAAUUUAUGAUGACCAACAGAAAAUAGCUACAAUUGCAAAAUGCUGAAGAAGCUCUAAAGACGCUAAUAACCGAUUAGCGAUCGCACCUAGUGGCUUCCUACAGUCAGCCUGGCUCUGAUACCAAGCUUGUCACGACCGGUUUUUCAAUAAAAUAAUUAUUGAGAAACCAAUCCCUGUUACGGACCAGUGAGGAAGAAUUCCUUCUCACUGAUAGACAAUACAUUGGUCACAGAAGAAAAAUACCAGGAGUACUAAAUAUAAUACAAAGUUGAGCAGAGGCUGCCCAACAAUUUAUUACAUGCACGCCGAUAAAACAAUACGGCGAAUAGGGUGGCAAACUUCUAACUCACGAUAACAACGGUGGUGGAAAUAUCAUCGCGAAGCGAGUGACAUGAUUCCAGACUACUACAACUCUUCGAGCGUCGGAGUGAGGCUCGAGAUGACUUAUUGCGGGUGGCGGAAGCGUAAACGAUACAAGUGACCAAUAUCCGGGAUCGCGCAGGACUGACUGGGACUCCUCUAGGCGUCGGACGCGCUAUCAAACUCUUCAUCCAAGAGAUCGCCUUCGUCAACAUCUGGCCAAAUCAACAAGCCAGGUGAGUACUAUGAAAGUACUCGCAAGACAGUUCGGACAUAAGGUAUAACAAAUGCAAACAUGAAGCACAUGAACAAGUUAACCAGUGCGAUCAGACAUAGAGAAAAUAAAUACUGGGUGCCAAGCAAGGGUCUGAAUGACGCCUCGAGCGGAAACUGCAGAAUAGUAAUGCGGGUGCCAAACGAGUGUCUGAAAGACUCCUCGAGCGGAAAAUGCGGAAUAAUAAUACAGGUGCCAAACGAGUGUCUGAAAGACUCCUCGAGCGGAAAAUGCGGAAUAAUAAUGCCACAGUCGGGCGUCGGGGCGACACCACAAAAAGGGCUUAUAACAGAAAGUAAAGACAGUACAUGCCGCAGUCGGACGUCUGAGCGACAUCACAUAAAGGGCUUAUAUCGAAAGUGAGAAACGAGUACACGCCACAGUCGGACGUCUGAGUGACAUCGCAUAAAGGGCUUAUAUUGUAACACAACAAUACAAUAGUUCGGGAAUAUAAUUUAUCACAAGCACGAGACAAAUAUAAUGUUAGUCCAUCCACAGGAAUAACAAUGAAAUUGAAUUUACCACUUGAGCUUGUUCACCGGGGCAAGAUUUUCACACGGAUAGAUUUGGAUGUAAGGUCUACAUUACUGAUCAUGGAUACGAUGAUUUGGAAAGAAUUGACUCUGCAGAGUUUGUACUUAACCACAGCCAACGGAUUUCAGUAGUCACGGGGACUAGUUCCGUCUACGGUGUUCUGGAAGGAACACGUCUAACCAGUACACACCCAAUUUAACCAUCCGAAGCCAGGGAUCACCCUCGGCAACAUUCAGGAAAAACCCUGAGUCGGGGAGGCUACAACCUCGCGUAGCAUGGGAUCAAAUUUCUAUACGCGCGCUAUAAGGGGGUGCCCCCCCUCUCGGUCCCAACCGGAAACACCCAUGCCCCCUGACCGAAUGACUGGCUUUAAUCCUGGGCCAAGGUACCAUCAUCCCAACCUCUCUGUUUGGUGUGUACACGGAAAGAGGUUACCAACUUACUAAACCGUAUCCUGGCAAUGAGACAUGUGGUAGCACGGAAAGGGGAAGGGACGAUAACACGGCUCCAACCAUGUUAACGUCGGAAAAGUCGGAUGACACAAGGCUGGCAUGCUUCAACAGUACCACCUUGCUGCCCUUCAUGUCACCACAUGAUUAGGCCACCUCUCAUCAGAGGUCAUCGCAACUUUGGAACAUGCGGGAAAAGAUCGAUAACGUGGCUCCAACCACGUUAACGUCGAAGAAAGUUGGAUGACGCAAGGCUGGCAUGCUACAAUAGUACCACCUUGCUGCCCUUCAUGUCACCACAUGAUUAGGCCACCUCUCAUCAGAGGUCAUCGCAACUUCGGAACAACCGGGUCGUUGCCUUACAAGCAACGGGGUAUUUACCGACACUCAUAUGCCACACACAAACUUUCACAUGAACAUGCAAAACAUCUGCCAUAUCAAAUGUUCAAACAUGCUUGCCUGGUUCGGAGAAGUCGGAGUCUAGCUCGGCGAAGUUCGCGGCUCCGUCCCCUCUCCCGGAACCUACGGCAAUCACGAAACGGGGUACUAACGUGAAAACCAACACAUGCAUAGAAACUUUGCCAAAUAUUUUUCAAAUAAAUCCCAUAAAAAACUAGAAAAAAUUUGGAGAUUGACAGAAAAAGAAUCACUCAAAAAUACCUUUUUAUUAAAAAGUUAUAAAGGUUUCUGUCCAGGGACCUUUCUGUAAUGAAACAGAAAAGUUCCAGGGUUUUAACUGAGAAAACAGAAAACGCUUCGGCUGGGAAUGCGCAAGCGCAAGGAGAAAACGUAUUAUGCCCGAAGGCGCCAACAGAAAACGGUUCGGGGAAAUAAAGCAGAGGCUGACACGCGGGGCCCGCAUGUCAGGUUUGAAAGCUCGCCGGCGCCCGAAGACGGCGGUGGACGCCGGCGUCGAACCACGGCGAGUUAGGAGAAACGGAGGGUACCAAGAGCUUCAGUGUCUUCUUCCGCGUCGGUGGGUGGUGGACUCGUCCAACGGGGAGCACCAGGUCGACGGCGACUCUAUCUCCGGCGGACGGCGGUUCGGGUGAGGUUGGGGAACUCCGGUGGAGGGCUGCAAAGCACGAAUUGAGGCGCGGGUCAGAACGGGUGAUGCAAGGAGAAGCUACUGGCAAGAGAAUGGGGGCUGUGGAGCACACACGGGGGCGAAUCGGGCGGGAUCCCGUGGCGGAUCGCGGUGGCCGGAGUCGAGGAAGGAGACCUCCUCGGGGCUCUUCCAGUGGCUAGGCGUGCUCUAGGGGAAGGGUAGGGCUGGUGGGUGCUCGAGUUGAAGCUCGGGGCCCCUAUUUAUAGGCAGAUCGACGGGGUGGCCGUGAACGGAGAAUCUCCGGCGAGCGAUUACGGCGAAGCAGUGGGUUGGCAGAGGGUUGGAGCGGUCGAGCAGCAUCAGAGGAUGUUACGGGACUCGUUUUGCAGCUAAACGGGGCUGGCCCUGGCGUAAUGGCGUCUGUCCACGGUGAGGUGACCGCACGGGCUCAACGGCGGCAGAGAGCACGCUCCGCGCCCUGGGGUUCACGACGAGAGCGGCAGCGCAUUCGGGGGAGUGGAUGGCCACGCGGCGGGCUCCGGUGGUUUGGGCGGCGCUGGGUGGAGUUGGCGGCGCCGUGUCUCCCGCUGGCGUCCGCAAAGCCGCCGCCGGCGUCGGUCACGGGGCGGCGCACCUUCUGCUGCUCGUCCCCGACGUCCGCAAGAUGCCAGGCACUCGUGCGGUGCAGGAGCAAGUGGGCGAGGACGAGGAGCAAGGCGACGCGAUGGCACUGGCGAGAUCGACGCCCGCCUCUGAAGAAAACGACAGUGAGCACUGCAGUGUUCUCUGAAUUUACUGAACCUUGACAGUGACCAAGCAAUGCAGGUGUUCGACAGUAGGUUUGGUAAAGAGAUAAAUUUUUCUGGAGCUGUAACUUGGUGAGAUGAUCACUCAAAGCACCCAGGGGCUGCAUGAAUUUAUCUGGAAUUUUUGGAGAAAGUUUUGAAUGAAUUUCACCAAAUUUGGCAAAUCUUGUCCAAACUUGCAGCUGAUGUAGUUUGAAAAUUUUGAACUGGAGACCAGUGGAUCUUCAUGGUUCUAGGUUGAGGGUUCAAAGGACUAGGAGGGGAAAGAAGUUUGGUGGUAAAAGUCCAAACAGAAAAUGGAGUUCCUUUGUAAAACUCCAAGAGGUAGAAUAGAAGGCAGAAAAAUAUUUGAAUGAAAUUUGAAUGGAAAUAAAUACAUGGGGAGGUUCAACUUGCUGGAUUUGAUGCAAAACAUGAUCCAGAGGUGAGGGAAGGGUUAGGAGAGAGGGUUUGCACUUAUGUCAUGGCAAGGAGGCAUAGUUGAAAGUGGCAAAGGUCUUUCCAAAAGCCAUAGUGCAUAUUCAAGAAAAGGUUUUCAAAAGUUAUUUUCCCAAAUGAAAACCAUUUUGUUUUGAGUCCAAUGAAAAGCAAGAACCUCCAAGACCAAAGGAAGAUCUUGGGUGAGUCCAAAUAAAAUUUUUGUCAUAAAGAAAAGUGUUUGAGAGUGAGAGUUCUCUUGAAGAAAGAUUUUUAAAUCACUCCCCUCAAGUCAAAUAAUUUAUUUUUUUGAAAAAGCCAAAUAAAAACUUGGGUGUCACAACACCUACGCCCUUAGGAAAAAUCUCGUCCUCGAGAUUUCUGCUGAUCCUCAAAUAGAUAUGGAUACUCUGCUCGGAGGAAAUCUUCCCUUUCCCAUGUGGCUUCAUCCUCAGUGUGGUUGCUCCACUGGACCCUGAAAAACUUUGUCGUUUUCUGACGGGUCCUCCGUUCAGACUCUUCUAAAAUCUUUACUGGCCUUUCUCUGUAUGUGAGAUCUGGUUGCAUAUCAAUGUCCUCAUGAGGUACAUGUUUCUCCGGGUUACUCACACAUUUCGUCAACUGCGAGACGUGGAAUACAUCAUGGACGUCUGAUAGCUCCUUGGGUAGGUCUAGUUGGUAGGCUACCGUGCCUCUUCUUGCCUUCACACAAAAUGGUCCAAUAAAUCUUGGGGCUAAUUUCCCCUUUAUUUUGGACCGUUGCAGACCCCUCAUAGGAGAUACUCGGAGGUAUACGGAAUCACCAGGUUCAAAGCUGACCUCACGAUGCUUCUGAUCAUAGUAGCUCUUUUGCCGGCUCUGUGCUGUCUUGAGUCUGUCCCUGAUUUGUUUAACUUUUUCCUCGGCCUCCUUAAGCAUAUCUGGGCCGAAGAUACGGCUGUCACCUGUUUCUGACCAAUUCAAUGGGGUACGACACCUCCGUCCGUACAAAGCUUCAAAGGGUGCCAUUUGCAAACUGGUUUGGUAACUGUUGUUGUACGCAAAUUCGGCAUACGGCAAACUCUCUUCCCAACUGGAUCCAUAGGUGAGCACACAGGCUCUUAGCAUAUCUUCUAGGAUUUGGUUUACACGCUCUGUUUGUCCAUCUGUCUGAGGGUGGUAUGCUGUACUGAAAGCUAGUUGCGUGCCCAGAGCUUGUUGUAGGUGAUCCCAAAAUUUGGAGACGAAUUGGGUGCCUCGGUCUGAUAUUAUAGUCUUUGGGACUCCGUGCAAGCAAACUAUACGGGAGAGAUAGAGUUUUGCCAGUCUUUGUGUGGAGUAGGUAGUCUUCACGGGAAUGAAAUGAGCAACCUUGGUUAGUCGGUCUGUGAUAACCCAUAUCGCGUCAUUUCCACGCUGUGAUCGGGGCAAUCCGACAAUGAAGUCCAUUCCGAUUUCAUCCCAUUUCCACUCCGGUAUCCUGUUAGGCUGGAGUAGCCCUGCUGGCUUUUGGUGUUCGGCCUUGAUGCGCUGACAUGAAUCGCAACAAGCAAUGAAUGUGGCUAUAUCUUUUUUCAUACCGUGCCACCAAAAUCUUUCCUGGAUGUCCUUGUACAUUUUGGUUCCUCCAGGAUGGAUCGAGUAUGGAGCGGUGUGGCUCUCCGUCAAGAUCUGUUGCUUGAGUUCCUCAAUGUUAGGUACGCAAAGUCUGUCCCGGUACCAUAAUGUUCCUUCACUGUCCGUGACGAAUUCCGAAGUCUUACUACGGUUCAUUUUCUUCUCUAUGCCUUCGAUACUGGGAUGUCCCUGUUGAGCCUUCUUAAUUUGUUCCACUAGCGUGGGUUGUAUCUCUAGGUUCGAUAUGGUGCCCUCAGAGACUAACAUCAUGUUGAGCCGAGUGAACUCUCGCUGAAACUCAGGCUUCAAACUUUGCUGACUGUCACUGUCCGGGCUGGGGUUUUGACUAAGGGCAUCGGCCACUACAUUUGCUUUUCCUGGGUGGUAGUGAAUACCGACGUCAUAGUCCUUGACCAGUUCCAACCAGCGUCGUUGGCGCAAAUUCAGCUCUGGCUGUGUGAAAAUAUAUUUGAGGCUCUUAUGGUCUGUAUAUAUUUCACAGCGAUUUCCCAACAGAAAGUGCCUCCACUCCUUGAGUGCAUGUAUAACUGCUGCUAGUUCCAAGUCAUGUGUUGGGUAAUUUUCCUCAUGUUUUCUCAGCUGUCUGGAGGCAUAAGCGACAACUUUGCCACCCUGCAUUAGCACACAUCCGAGACCUUUUCGGGACGCGUCACAAUAUACCUCAAAGCUCUUGUGUAUGUCUGGCACAGUUAAGACUGGUGCGGUUGUCAGCCUUUUCUUGAGUUCCUGGAAGCUCUGCUCACAUGCUUCCGUCCAUACGAAUUUCUUGUCUUUCUUGAGUAACUGUGUUAUAGGUUUUGCCACAGUGGAGAAUCCUUCAAUAAAUCUCCUGUAAUAUCCGGCCAUUCCUAGGAAACUCCGCACAUCUGUAACAUUCGCGGGUGGCUUCCAGUCCAGUAUGGCCUUGACUUUUUCUGGGUCUACGGCCACGCCUUCUUGGUUCAAAAUAUGGCCCAAGAAACCAACUUGUCUUAGCCAAAAUUCGCAUUUGCUAAAUUUGGCGUACAACUGAUGUUUCCUCAAUUCUCCCAAAACAAUUCUGAGGUGCUCAGCAUGUUCUUCUGGUGUCCUUGAGUAAACCAGAAUGUCGUCAGUGAAUACUACCACAAAUUUGUCCAUGAAUUUCAUGAAUACUUUGUUCAUGAGGUGGAUGAAAUAUGCGGGGGCGUUUGUUAGUCCAAACGGCAUCACUGUGAACUCGUAUAACCCAUAUCUGGAAGUGAAUGCUGUCUUGGGGAUAUCCUCUGUUCGUACCUUCAGUUGAUGGUAUCCUGAUCUCAAAUCAAUCUUUGAAAAUACUUUAGCUUGUGCGAGCUGGUCAAACAAGUCAUUUAUCCGUGGCAUCGGGUAUUUGUUUUUGAUGGUGACCAUAUUGAGGGCUCGAUAGUCUAUGCAUAGUCUCAGUGUCCCAUCCUUCUUCUUGGCGAACAAUACGGGCGAACCCCAUGGUGAGGAGCUGGCUCGUAUAAAUCCUUUGUCCAACAAUUCUUUUAUCUGCUUCUUCAACUCCACCAAUUCUGAGGGUGCCAUUCUAUACGGCUUCUUAUAAAUGGGAGCGGUGCCAGGUGCUAAUUCAAUGCUGAAUUCGAUCUCUCGGUCUGGUGGCAUACCUGGUAGUUCUUCCGGGAACACAUCAGGGAACUCGCAUACCACUGGCACUUUUCUUAAUUCUGCGAUGUCCAUCUUGUUCAGUUUUGGUUUCUGUGACCGUGGCCUUUCUUGAGCGGAAACUCUUAUUGUCUUGCCGUGAUGGUGAGUGAGAAUCACUGUCCGAUUGAAACAGUCGAUGAAUCCUUUGUUGGUGGUCAACCAGUCCAUUCCUAAAAUGACAUCCAGUCCUUUACUUUCCAACACGAUGAGAUUCGCGUGGAAUGGUAGUCCUUCGAACUCAAUGACCACUCCUUGGCAGUAACCUUGAGCAAUUUGCUUAUUUCCGGGGGACUUGAUGAUCAUAGCUUUUUCCAAGGGGAGUAUCGGAAAACCAUGUUGUGAAACAAAACUCUUCGAAACAAAUGAAUGGGAAGCUCCAGAAUCAAACAAAACCGUGGCAGGUACUGUGUUGACAGGGAACGUACCGAGCACGAUGUCUGGGGCAUUCUGCGCUUCUUCCCUGGUCACAUGGUUCAAGUGACCCUUCCUGUGGUUGUUGCUGGGAUUGAAGUUGUUGCGCUUGGGGGCGGGAUUGUUUCCGCCAUUGUUUGGCUUGGGUGCCGUGUCUCUUGGCUUCGGGCACUGUUUAGCGUAAUGCCCUUGUUGACCACAAGCAUAGCAGGUAACCCCUGGACGGUAUGUGAACUCCUUGUCUCUGGCAUGAAAUUGUCCGACGGGUCUUGGCUCAGUAGUCGUGGAUCUCCUCGUGUCUGUCCUUGGGACCUCAGUCUUGCCUCGGUUGCUGCGGGCAAGAGUCGUCUUGUCCCUCUUCCGCUUGCGGAUAUCUUCCAGACUACGGCGCUCAUUCUCCAGGGUGAUGGCCUUGUCUACCAGCGUCUUAAAAUCCGGGAAGGUGUGUACAAUCAGUUGGCAUCUUAAUGCUGGUGCCAGGCCGUCCAGGAAUUUUUCCAUCUUCUUGUUUUCUGUCAUGUGCUCGUCGUAGGCAUAACGAGACAGUUGGGUAAACUGGCCGUUUUAUUCUGUGACGGUCAUGCCUCUUUGCUUCAGGUCAUCAAACUCUCUCUUCUUGAUCUUUAGGAUGCUCUUGGGAAUGUGUGCCCCACGGAAGCCUUCCUUGAAUUCUUCCCAGGUGAUGUUGUGUUCCCUGGGGUGCAUGUGUAGGAAGUUUUCCCACCAUGCUGCGGCUGCUCCAGUAAGGUAGUGUGGUGCGUAAAGCACCUUCUCAUGAUCUGAGCAUUGGGCGAUAAUCAGUUUCCUUUCAAUCUCGCGAAGCCAAUCAUCGGCUUCCAGUGGCCUGUCGGUGUGAGCAAAAGUUGAGGGGCGAGUCUUCUGUAACUCAGAUAACUUGGAAUGUGGUUGAUAGGGUUCACGGUGGUUUCCCAUAUUGAUGACAUGGUUCAUCAUCUCCUGGUGCUGUUGCUGGCUUUGCUCGAAGAGACGGCACACUUGAGAUAGUGCCGCUUCGCUAUCCUGUUGGCUGGACUGACCCUGAGUGAAAUUGUUGCUGGUCUGUGUUCCGUAAACCUCUUCUGGCUGAUUGGGCAUAGAGCGAGUCCAAGGGCGAGACAUUUUUCCAGUCUGGGGUAUCAUUUGCAAAACCCAUGAGAAAAAUUGUGUAGCGCGAGGAAAACCCUUGCAAAGGCAAUAAUCAAAAAGGCUUCAAGGUUUUCAAAGAAACACAACUAAUUUUUUUUCACGGAGAAGAAGUGCUUAACACAAAUUUUACAUGCGAAAGCAAACACAAGAUACAGCACUCAGGUUGUGCGUACACAAUCCUGACAUGUUAUUAAAAACUAGCGUACUACUCCGGAAGGCAGCAAACACACCAAUACAAACUAGCGUACAGAUAAGAACAACACAUCAUACAAGCAGGCAUAACACGCGGCUACUCGAUGCUCUCAGUCGGAGAUGGUGAAGAUCUCCUUCCCCUUGCCGAGGGCAAGGCUCAGCGGUCCAGGAGAAUCAACCUCCUCCUCUCUAGCUGGCUCCUGGCGUGCGACGCUGCGCUGCGGUGAUGGUGCGGGGGCGACUGGUGGUAGAGCGCGUGCGGCAGGCGGUGCGGCUCUGACUGGAGUAGGAGCGAUGACUCGGUCGAACUCCUCAGUGGUAGGCAGACGACGAGCAGUGGCCAAAACGGCUGGUGCAUACGAGGCUGAAGACGAGACGAAUGUCAGAGGCGGCGCCGUGUGGAGAAGCUCCUUCCUGCUGGCAGGACCGCCCCGGACUAAGUCCAUGCGGGCAGCCACAAGAUCAUCUACGAGGUUGUCGAAAGACUCCUCCAGAGCCUUGAGAUACUCCACAACCAUCUCGAUGGCUUCAUCUCGCUCUCCCCGAUGGCAGGCGAACGCAUAGUGGCUGGUGUAAGGCACAUGGCAUGGGAGGUAGCGGUAGCGACGAGUCUUCAUCGUAGGAAGGAUGUCCCGAAGGCGAGCUAUCGCCUCACGGGCAGCCAUCUGCAUGGCAUGCCUCUCCGUAGGCAUGGCCCUUCCCGUAAAACAGAAAUGGCGAGCAGCAGAUCGUCCUCCCUUGAAUUGCACCACAGCCUGGUGCAUAGACACGUCGUCACUGAGUUUGUGCUGAUAGAGGGUGAACUCCGGGCGAGCUGCUGGCCCGAUCGCGAGUUUGGUGAUGGAGACGAGGAGCUUGACAAACCCCUCGGGUACGUUGGUGAACACUCGAUUCUCACAGCCGCUGCCAGCCAUCUACAAAAGUAGGCAGAAUUCUGAGUAGUCAUGUCAUAAAUUUAUGAUGACCAACAGAAAAUAGCUACAAUUGCAAAAUGCUGAAGAAGCUCUAAAGACGCUAAUAACCGAUUAGUGAUCGCACCUAGUGGCUUCCUACAGUCAGCCUGGCUCUGAUACCAAGCUUGUCACGACCGGUUUUUCAAUAAAAUAAUUAUUGAGAAACCAAUCCCUGUUACGGACCAGUGAGGAAGAAUUCCUUCUCACUGAUAGACAAUACAUUGGUCACAGAAGAAAAAUACCAGGAGUACUAAAUAUAAUACAAAGUUGAGCAGAGGCUGCCCAACAAUUUAUUACAUGCACGCCGAUAAAACAAUACGGCGAAUAGGGUGGCAAACUUCUAACUCACGAUAACAACAGUGGUGGAAAUAUCAUCGCGAAGCGAGUGACAUGAUUCCAGACUACUACAACUCUUCGAGCGUCGGAGUGAGGCUCGAGAUGACUUAUUGCGGGUGGCGGAAGCGUAAACGAUACAAGUGACCAAUAUCCGGGAUCGCGCAGGACUGACUGGGACUCCUCUAGGCGUCGGACGCGCUAUCAAACUCUUCAUCCAAGAGAUCGCCUUCGUCAACAUCUGGCCAAAUCAACAAGCCAGGUGAGUACUAUGAAAGUACUCGCAAGACAGUUCGGACAUAAGGUAUAACAAAUGCAAACAUGAAGCACAUGAACAAGUUAACCAGUGCGAUCAGACAUAGAGAAAAUAAAUACUGGGUGCCAAGCGAGGGUCUGAAUGACGCCUCGAGCGGAAACUGCAGAAUAGUAAUGCGGGUGCCAAACGAGUGUCUGAAAGACUCCUCGAGCGGAAAAUGCGGAAUAAUAAUACAGGUGCCAAACGAGUGUCUGAAAGACUCCUCGAGCGGAAAAUGCGGAAUAAUAAUACAGGUGCCAAACGAGUGUCUGAAAGACUCCUCGAGCGGAAAAUGCGGAAUAAUAAUGCCACAGUCGGGCGUCGGGGCGACACCACAAAAAGGGCUUAUAACAGAAAGUAAAGACAGUACAUGCCGCAGUCGGACGUCUGAGCGACAUCACAUAAAGGGCUUAUAUCGAAAGUGAGAAACGAGUACACGCCACAGUCGGACGUCUGAGCGACAUCGCAUAAAGGGCUUAUAUUGUAACACAACAAUACAAUAGUUCGGGAAUAUAAUUUAUCACAAGCACGAGACAAAUAUAAUGUUAGUCCAUCCACAGGAAUAACAAUGAAAUUGAAUUUACCACUUGAGCUUGUUCACCGGGGCAAGAUUUUCACACGGAUAGAUUUGGAUGUAAGGUCUACAUUACUGAUCAUGGAUACGAUGAUUUGGAAAGAAUUGACUCUGCAGAGUUUGUACUUAACCACAGCCAACGGAUUUCAGUAGUCACGGGGACUAGUUCCGUCUACGGUGUUCUGGAAGGAACACGUCUAACCAGUACACACCCAAUUUAACCAUCCGAAGCCAGGGAUCACCCUCGGCAACAUUCAGGAAAAACCCUGAGUCGGGGAGGCUACAACCUCGCGUAGCAUGGGAUCAAAUUUCUAUACGCGCGCUAUAAGGGGGUGCCCCCCCUCUCGGUCCCAACCGGAAACACCCAUGCCCCCUGACCGAAUGACUGGCUUUAAUCCUGGGCCAAGGUACCAUCAUCCCAGCCUCUCUGUUUGGUGUGUACACGGAAAGAGGUUACCAACUUACUAAACCGUAUCCUGGCAAUGAGACAUGUGGUAGCACGGAAAGGGGAAGGGACGAUAACACGGCUCCAACCAUGUUAACGUCAGAAAAGUCGGAUGACACAAGGCUGGCAUGCUUCAACAGUACCACCUUGCUGCCCUUCAUGUCACCACAUGAUUAGGCCACCUCUCAUCAGAGGUCAUCGCAACUUUGGAACAUGCGGGAAAAUAUCGAUAACGUGGCUCCAACCACGUUAACGUCGAAGAAAGUCGGAUGACGCAAGGCUGGCAUGCUACAACAGUACCACCUUGCUGCCCUUCAUGUCACCACAUGAUUAGGCCACCUCUCAUCAGAGGUCAUCGCAACUUCGGAACAACCGGGUCGUUGCCUUACAAGCAACGGGGUAUUUACCGACACUCAUAUGCCACACACAAACUUUCACAUGAACAUGCAAAACAUCUGCCAUAUCAAAUGUUCAAACAUGCUUGCCUGGUUCGGAGAAGUCGGAGUCUAGCUCGGCGAAGUUCGCGGCUCCGUCCCCUCUCCCGGAACCUACGGCAAUCACGAAACGGGGUACUAACGUGAAAACCAACACAUGCAUAGAAACUUUGCCAAAUAUUUUUCAAAUAAAUCCCAUAAAAAACUAGACAAAAUUUGGAGAUUGACAGAAAAAGAAUCACUCAAAAAUACCUUUUUAUUAAAAAGUUAUAAAGGUUUCUGUCCAGGGACCUUUCUGUAAUGAAACAGAAAAGUUCCAGGGUUUUAACUGAGAAAACAGAAAACGCUUCGGCUGGGAAUGCGCAAGCGCAAGGAGAAAACGUAUUAUGCCCGAAGGCGCCAACAGAAAACGGUUCGGGGAAAUAAAGCAGAGGCUGACACGCGGGGCCCGCAUGUCAGGUUUGAAAGCUCGCCGGCGCCCGAAGACGGCGGUGGACGCCGGCGUCGAACCACGGCGAGUUAGGAGAAACGGAGGGUACCAAGAGCUUCAGUGUCUUCUUCCGCGUCGGUGGGUGGUGGACUCGUCCAACGGGGAGCACCAGGUCGACGGCGACUCUAUCUCCGGCGGACGGCGGUUCGGGUGAGGUUGGGGAACUCCGGUGGAGGGCUGCAAAGCACGAAUUGAGGCGCGGGUCAGAACGGGUGAUGCAAGGAGAAGCUACUGGCAAGAGAAUGGGGGCUGUGGAGCACACACGGGGGCGAAUCGGGCGGGAUCCCGUGGCGGAUCGCGGUGGCCGGAGUCGAGGAAGGAGACCUCCUCGGGGCUCUUCCAGUGGCUAGGCGUGCUCUAGGGGAAGGGUAGGGCUGGUGGGUGCUCGAGUUGAAGCUCGGGGCCCCUAUUUAUAGGCAGAUCGACGGGGUGGCCGUGAACGGAGAAUCUCCGGCGAGCGAUUACGGCGGAGCAGUGGGUUGGCAGAGGGUUUGAGCGGUCGAGCAGCAUCAGAGGAUGUUACGGGACUCGUUUUGCAGCUAAACGGGGCUGGCCCUGGCGUAAUGGCGUCUGUCCACGGUGAGGUGACCGCACGGGCUCAACGGCGGCAGAGAGCGCGCUCCGCGCCCUGGGGUUCACGACGAGAGCGGCAGCGCAUUCGGGGGAGUGGACGGCCACGCGGCGGGCUCCGGUGGUUUGGGCGGCGCUGGGUGGAGUUGGCGGCGCCGUGUCUCCCACUGGCGUCCGCAAAGCCGCCGCCGGCGUCGGUCACGGGGCGGCGCACCUUCUGCUGCUCGUCGCCGACGUCCGCAAGAUGCCAGGCACUCGUGCGGUGCAGGAGCAAGUGGGCGAGGACGAGGAGCAAGGCGACGCGAGGGCACUGGCGAGAUCGACGCCCGCCUCUGAAGAAAACGACAGUGAGCACUGCAGUGUUUUCUGAAUUUACUGAACCUUGACAGUGACCAAGCAAUGCAGGUGUUCGACAGUAGGUUUGGUAAAGAGAUAAAUUUUUCUGGAGCUGUAACUUGGUGAGAUGAUCACUCAAAGCACCCAGGGGCUGCAUGAAUUUAUCUGGAAUUUUUGGAGAAAGUUUUGAAUGAAUUUCACCAAAUUUGGCAAAUCUGGUCCAAACUUGCAGCUGAUGUAGUUUGAAAAUUUUGAACUGGAGACCAGUGGAUCUUCAUGGUUCUAGGUUGAGGGUUCAAAGGACUAGGAGGGGAAAGAAGUUUGGUGGUAAAAGUCCAAACAGAAAAUGGAGUUCCUUUGUAAAACUCCAAGAGGUAGAAUAGAAGGCAGAAAAAUAUUUGAAUGGAAAUAAAUACAUGGGGAGGUUCAACUUGCUGGAUUUGAUGCAAAACAUGAUCCAGAGGUGAGGGAAGGGUUAGGAGAGAGGGUUUGCACUUAUGUCAUGGCAAGGAGGCAUAGUUGAAAGUGGCAAAGGUCUUUCCAAAAGCCAUAGUGCAUAUUCAAGAAAAGGUUUUCAAAAGUUAUUUUCCCAAAUGAAAACCAUUUUGUUUUGAGUCCAAUGAAAAGCAAGAACCUCCAAGACCAAAGGAAGAUCUUGGGUGAGUCCAAAUAAAAUUUUUGUCAUAAAGAAAAGUGUUUGAGAGUGAGAGUUCUCUUGAAGAAAGAUUUUUAAAUCACUCCACUCAAGUCAAAUAUUUUUUUUUUGAAAAAGCCAAAUAAAAACUUGGGUGUCACACUACAAUCGCUUGAAUCGAGUGGGAGUUGUCUUCCAGAUGAGAUAGUGAUGAUUCUCCAUAGUCACUGCCACCAAGCUAUUAGAGCUUCGUGAUGAACUAUAACAUAUCAGGGAUAGACAUGAUGAUCCUCGAGCAACUCGCGAUGUUUGACACCGCGAAAGUAGAAAUCAAGUAGGAGCAUCAAUUGUUGAUGGUUAGUAAAACCACUAGUUUCAAGAAGGGCAAGGGCAAGAAGGGAUACUUCAUGAAACGGCAAAUCAGUUGCUGCUCCAGUGAAGAAACCCAAGGUUGAACCCAAACCCGAGACUAAGUGCUUCUGUAAUGAGGGGAACGGUCACUGAAGCAGAACUACCCUAGAUACUUGGUAGAUGAGAAGGCAGGCAAGGUCGACAGAAGUAUAUUGGAUAUACAUUAUAUUAAUGUGUACUUUACUAGUACUCCUAGUAGCACCAGGGUAUUAGAUACCGGUUCGGUUGCUAAGUGUUAGUAACUCGAAAUAAAAGCCGCGGAAUAAACGGAGACUAGCUAAAAGUGAGAUGACGAUAUGUGUUGGAAGUGUUUCCAAGGUUGAUGUGAUCAAGCAUCGCAUGCUCCCUCUACCAUCGAGAUUGGUGUUAAACCUAAACAAUUGUUAUUUGGUGUUUACGUUGAGCAUAGACAUGAUUGGAUUAUGAUGUUCAUUUAAGAAGAAUAAUGGUUACUCUUUUUAUUUGAAUAAUACCUUCAAUGGUCUUGCACCUAAAAUAAAUGGUUUAUUGAAUCUCGAUCGUAGUGAUACACAUGUUCAUGCCAAAAGAUAUAAGAUAAUAAUGAUAGUACCACAUACUUGUGGCACUGCCACUUGAGUCAUAUUGGUAUUAAACGCAUGAAGAAGCUCCAUGUUGAUGGAUCUUUGGACUCACUCGUUUUUGAAAAGAUUGAGACAUGCGAACCAUGUCUAUUAGUAUAUAUGCAUGAAGAAAGUCCAUACAGAUGGAUCGUUUGGACUCACUUGAUUUUGAAUCACUUGAGACAUGCAAAUCAUACCACAUGGGCAAGAUGACUGAAAGGCCUCGUUUUCAGUAAGAUGGAACAAGAAAGCAACUUGUUGGAAGUAAUACAUUUUGAUGUGUGCAGUCCAAUGAGUGCUGAGGCACGCAGUGGAUAUCGUUAUGUUCUUACUUCACAGAUGAUUUGAGUAGAUGCUGAGAAUAUUUACUUGAUGAAACACAAGUCUGAAUUAUUGAAAGGUUCAAGUAAUUUCAGAGUGAAGUUGAAGAUCGUCGUGACAAGAGGAUAAAAUGUCUAUGAUAUGAUCAUAGAGAUAUCUGAGUUACGAGUUUGGCACACAAUUAAGACAUUGUGGAAAUUGUUUCACAACUAAUACCGCCUGGAACACCAUAGUGUGAUGGUGUGUCCGAACAUCAUAACUGCACCCUAUUGGAUAUGGUGCAUACCAUGAUGUCUCUUAUCGAAUUACCACUAUCGUUUAUGGGCUAGGCAUUAGAGACAACCGCAUUCACUUUAAAUAGGGCACCACGCAAUUCCGUUGAGACGACACCGUAUGAACUAUAGUUUAGAGAAACCUAAGCUGUCGUUUCUUAAAAGUUUGGGGCUGCGACGCUUAUGUGAAAAAGUUUCAGGCUAAUAAGCUCGAACCCAAAGCGGAUAAAUGCAUCUUCAUAGAAUACCCAAAACAGUUGGGUAUACCUCCUAUUUCAGAUCUGGAAGCAAAAGUGAUUGUUUCUAGAAACGGGUCCUUUCUCGAGGAAAAGUUUCUCUCGAAAGAAUUGAGUGGGAGGAUGGUGGAGACUUGAUGAGGUUAUUGAACCAUGACUUCAACUAGUGUGUAGCAGGGCACAUGAAGUUGUUCCUGUGGCACCUACACCAAUUGAAGUGGAAGCUUAUGAUAGUGAUCAUGAAACUUCGGAUCAAGUCACUACCAAACCUCGUAGGACGACAAGGAUGCGUACUACUUCAGAGUGGUACGUAAUCCUGUCUUGGAAGUCAUGUUGCUAGACAACAAUGAACCUACGAGCUAUGGAGAAGCGAUGGUGGGCCCGGAUUCCGAAGAAUGGCUUGAGGCCAUAAAAUCCGAGGGGAUCCAUGUAUGAAAACAAAGUAUAGACUUUGGAAGAACUACUUGAUGGUCGUAAGGCUGUUGGGUAUAGAUGGAUUUUAAAAGGGAAAAUGGACAAUGAUGGUAAGUAUCACCAUCAAGAAAGCUCGACUUGUCGUUAAGAUGUUUUCCGACAAGUUCAAGGAGUUGACUACGAUGAGAUUUUCUCACUCGUAGCGAUGCUAAGAGUAUGUUGGAAUUAUAUUAGCAGUUACUGCAUCAUUUAUGAAAUCUUGCAGAUAGGAUGUCAAAACAUUGUUUCCUCGAUGAUUUUCUUGAGGAAAGGUUGUAUGUGAUACAACCAGAAGGUUUUGUCAAUCCUGAAAGAUGCUAACAAGCAUGCAAAGCUCCAGCAAUCCUUCUAAGGAUUGGAGUAAGCAUCUCGGAGUUGGAAUGUACGCUUUGAUGAGAUGAUCAAAGAUUUUGGGUUUAUACAAAGUUUAUGAGAAACUUGUAUUUCCAAAGAAGUGAGUGGGAGCACUAUAGAAUUUCUGAUGAGUAUAUGUUGUUGACAUAUUGUUGAUCAGAAAUGAUGUAGAAUUUCUGGAAAACAUACAGGGUUAUUUGAAAAGUGUUUUUCAAUGCAAAACCUGGAUUAAGCUACUUGAACAUUGAGCAUCAAGAUCUAUAAGGAUAGAUCAAAUACGCUUAAUAGUACUUUCAAAUGAAUGCAUACCGUGACAGGAUUUUGAAGGAGUUCAAAAUAGAUCAGCAAAGAAGGAGUUCUUGGCUGUGUUACAAGGUGUGGGUAUUGAGUAAGACUCAAGACCUGACCACGACAGAAGAGAGAGAAAGGACGAAGGUCGUCCCCUAUGCUUUAGACGUAGGCUCCACAGUAUGCUAUGCUGUGUACCGCACCUGAAGUGUGCCUUGCCAUGAAUUAGUCAAGGGGUACAAGAGUGAUCCAGGAAUGGAUCACAUAACAGCGGUCGAACUUAUCCUUAGUAAUUAGUGGACUAAGGAAUUUUCUCGAUUAUGGAGGUGGUAAAAGAGUUCGUCGUAAAGGGUUACGUCGAUGCAACUUUGACACUAAUCCAGAUGACUUUGAGUAGUAAACCGGAUUCGUAUAGUAGAGCAGUUAUUUGGAAUAGCUCCAAGUAGCACGUGGUAGCUGCAUCUACAAGAUGACAUAGAGAUUUGUAAAGCACACACAAAUCUGAAUGUUGCAGACCCGUUGACUAAAACCUGUCUCGUAAGCAUAACAUGAUCAAACCCUGGAACUCACUGAGUGUUAAUCACAUGGUGAUGUGAACUAGAUUAUUGACUCUAGUAAACUCUUGGGUGUUAGUCACAUGGCGAUGUGAACUUUGAGUGUUAAUCACAUGGUGAUGUGAACUAGAUUAUUGACUCUAGUGCAAGUGGGAGACUGUUAGAAAUAUGCCCUAGAGGCAAUAAUACAAUAGUUAUUAUUAUAUUUCCUUGUUCAUGAUAAUUGUCUAUUGUUCAUGUUAUAAUUGUAUUAACUGGAAACCGUAAUACAUGUGUGAAUACAUAGACCACAACAUGUCCCUAGUAAGCCUCUAGUUGACUAGCUCGUUGAUCAAUAGAUGGUUAUGGUUUCCUGACCAUGGACAUUGGAUGUCAUUGAUAACGGGAUCACAUCAUUAGGAGAAUGAUGUGAUGGACAAGACCCAAUCCUAAGCAUAGCACAAGAUCAUGUAGUUCGUUUGCUAGAGCUUUUCUAAUGUCAAGUAUCAUUUCCUUAGACCAUGAGAUUGUGCAACUCCCGGAUAUCGUAGGAAUGCUUUGGGUGUACCAAACGUCACAACGUAACUGGGUGGCUAUAAAGGUGCACUACAGGUAUCUCCGAAAGUGUCUGUUGGGUUGGCACGAAUCGAGACUGGGAUUUGUCACUCCGUAUGACGGAGAGGUAUCUCUGGGCCCACUCGGUAAUGCAUCAUCAUAAUGAGCUCAAUGUGACUAAGGAGUUAGCCACGGGAUCAUGCGUUACGGAACGAGUAAAGAGACUUGCCGGUAACGAGAUUGAACGAGGUAUUGGGAUACCGACGAUCGAAUCUCGGGCAAGUAACAUACCGAUGGACAAAGGGAAUUGUAUAUGGGAUUGAUUGAAUCCUCGACAUCGUGGUUCAUCCGAUGAGAUCAUCGUGGAACAUGUGGGAGCCAACAUGGGUAUCCAGAUCCCGCUGUUGGUUAUUGACCGGAGAGUCGUCUCGGUCAUGUCUGCAUGUCUCCCGAACCCGUAGGGUCUACACACUUAAGGUUCGGUGACGCUAGGGUUGUAGAGAUAUUAGUAUGCGGUAACCCGAAAGUUGUUCGGAGUCCCGGAUGAGAUCCCGGACGUCACGAGGAGUUCCGGAAUGGUCCGGAGGUAAAGAUUUAUAUAUGGAAAGUCUUGUUUUGGUCGCCGGAAAAGUUUCGCGCAUUAUCGGUAUUGUACCGGGAGUGCCGAAAGGGGUCCGGGGGUCCACCAAGGGGGUCCACCUGCCCCGGGGGGCCACAUGGGCUGUAGGGGUGUGCGCCUUGGCCUAUAUGGGCCAAGGGCACCAGCCCCAAGAGGCCCAUGCGCCAAGAGAUAAGGGAAAGGGAGAGUUCUAAAGGGGGAAGGCACCUCCUAGGUGCCUUGGGGAGGAUGGACUCCUCCCUGGCCGCACCCUUCCUUGGAGGAAGGGCCAAGGCUGCGCCCCCCUCUCCCUUGCCCCUAUAUAUAUGUGGGAAAGGGGAGGGCAGCAAUACCCCAAGCCCUGGCGCCUCCCUCUCCCUCCCGUGACACAUCUCCCUCUUCCCGCAGCGCUUGGCGAAGCCCUGUUGGAAUCCCGCUACUUCCACCACCACGCCAUCGUGCUGCUGGAUCUCCAUCAACCUCUCCUUCCCCCUUGCUGGAUCAAGAAGGAGGAGACGUCUCUCCCAACCGUACGUGUGUUGAACGCGGAGGUGCCGUCCGUUUGGCGCUAGGAUCAUCGCUGAUUUGGAUCACGACGAGUACGACUCCAUCAACCCCGUUCUCUUGAACGCUUCCGCUCGCGAUCUACAAGGGUAUGUAGAUGCACUCCUCUCUCUCGUUGCUAGCAUCUCCUAGAUAGAUCUUGGUGACACGUAGGAAAAUUUUGAAUUAUUGCUACGUUCCCCAACAUUCACCUGUGUAUUUGUUGUUGUUCCUGCUGAUUCUUCGUUCAGUGGUGGUUUUGGGUCCUUCUCUUGCUCUUUAUUUUGCUGUUCAUCGUCACUGACCUUGUUUUUUUCUUGCAGCUGUUCAAACAUAGAGGUGGCAAAGUGUGAGUCCAUUGGAGUGAAUACAAAUGUGGUAGGUUGGAGUUUAUUUGAUUGUGCACGCAGCAAUUUUAUAAUUUCAUAGUUGCAGGUUUCGUAAGUUCACCUUUUCAGUCGUUGACGCUGCCGCUGUUUCUGGUACCUGUUGUUUGGUGAGUGAAUUUUUUGUGGCUUGGUCUUUAGUGGCAUUAUUGUCUAUCGUUUGAAGAACAUGUUCGGGUUGUUCAUUGGGCUCCUCUGGUUGUGUUUGAUGGUCUUGACUGUUGAUGGUUUCUUGAGCUUCUUAUGCCUGCACCAACACAAAAAAUAUUUAAGAAAUGGGUGCAUUUUUGACUAUUCAGUUACAAUUUUUUAUAAGACCUCUAUCUCUGGAGUUGCAGGACUGUCUACUGCUUGUACUACGGCUUCUCCUUGUCUCGUGUUGUCCUCUAGUUUUUCUUGUUGAAUGUCUAUGCCAGUGCUUUUGCUUGCUUCCUCUUCCUGUUUAAUAAAAAAUGAAAUUAUAGAUUGAACUUCAUUUGUGUCUGAGCUUUGUAACCUCACCUCUUCAGAUGUUGUUGUUUGAAGUUCUUGAUCUUCGAGAUCAGCGUACUCGUUUGUUUCCUGCAUUUGUUCAAAGAAAAGGGUGAGACAUCCCUUAUAAUCUUUGUAUUGCCGUGGAGGGGUGUAUUAGGUAGUUCAGACAUCAUAAAUAUUUUGAAAAGUGGUUGUUGUUGUUGAAUUUUUACCUCCGUGUUGAUGACUGGGUUAUUCGUGCCUGCAUCUACUGUUUCUUUAUCAGGUAUAACAGUCUCUUGUUUCUCAUCGGCUGGGAUGUCUUGGGCUUUCUCCUUUGUACUCGUGAUGGUGAUCUGCAAUGUUGUGGCGCUGGAAAUCUCUUGUACACAAAGUUCCUGUUCUGUGACGCCUUCGUCUGUUUGAGGUUCACUAUGGGGUUCAAUUUGAACACGGGUUGUCUCUUGGUCUUGCAGUGCUUGUGAUACGUGGAGAUCAAACAAUAUGAGUUUGCGGUUCACUUUCUUUCCUGCCAUUUAUGAGUUUUCGGUGUGGGUAAUAGUGGGCUAUGGAAGUUUACCUCCUCUUCGUUGUUUUCUUCUUCUUUGUCGUUUGUUAUGCUAACGGUUGAUUGUGGGUUAGCCUCCUGCAUUUGGUUGGCGGGGCUGCUGACUUGAUUGUUCUUCAGCUGAGCCUAUAUUUUGUUGGAGGUUUGUCAGUUAACUUAUAACUCUAUCCAGUUUUGAAAGGAAAAAUGGAUGUUCAUACUGACCUCUUCACAGGUUCUGACGUCGAUCGUAUCUUGUGCUUGUGUUGGGGUAGUUGUUGUUGUAGCAUUGUCUGUUGUGAGGUUGCUUUGUUUGUUCCAUUCAUUCGUGUUUUUGGGGUUGUUGACACCAUCCUGCUGUUGGAGUUCAUCUUGGCCUGGCGUGCUAUUGCUACGUUCUUGAAAGCAUUGAGGCAGUUCUUUUCAGUUGAGGUAUGAAAACAGGGGUUUGCUUUAGGGUGCGUAUGGCACCAUGCAUUACUAUUUAUUUACCUGUUUUUGCCGCUUUAUCUUGUUCUUGUCAAUGCCUAUGUCCCUUGAUUUUGUUCUUCUCUUCCUAUCUUCGUCUUUUUUUCUCCUUUCUCUUGGUUCUAUUGUGGCUACGAUUUCAUUCGUGCGGUUGGCAUCGGCUAGUCUACUUGAGGCUGCUGGAUCUGCUUGCUCUAGCGUCUGCUGGGCCGCGUUGUCUGUCAGGUACCUUGUGCAAACUAUGUCCUGAAAUUGUCUGAGUUGUUCUAAUGAAUCCAUCAGGGCAAUUGUUUGUUGCACGACUAGGUUCUUGUUUUUUUCAUGCAAUAUCUUUUCCUUUUCAUUGCAUUGGUGUUCAGCCCUGGUGGUUACUGCGGGUAUCUGUUCUGGUUCAUGGAGUACUUUUUCCAACAAUUUGUUUAUCCUUUGGAAUCUUUCUUCUGCUCCCGUGCUGAUGCUUUUGUUUGGUUCCCUGCUUCCACUGGUGCUGACACGUGGUUCGCGCCGGCGUUUGGGUGGAGGUGGUAGCAGUUUGGUCGUGUUCUGGUGUUGCUGUUGUUUGCGAUGUUCUCCUGCUAUCUGGUGAAUUGAAGACGAAGUUGAUGCUGUGUUGGCAUAGAAGAUCCUCUCUGCUGUUCCUUUCCAUGUCUGCAUCGUUUUGGUGGAAUGUAGUUGAUUAGAAUGGAAACCGUUUUCAAAAAGGGAAGGACUGAUUUAUGUACAAUAUAGCUAUACCUGUAUUUUGCCAAAUUCAUAGUCAUCUAGUCGUGCUUUUCCGUCCCUUUUCAUGUCUGCUCUAGCUAUUUUCGCUAGGUCACUCUCUUUGAGAUGGUUUGCUCGUGGUAAUGAGGUCUUGUCCAUUGUCUUUGCAAUCUUCCGCAUUUCUUUUGUGUCGGUUAGUAGCAGCAGGGAGUCGAGGUACAUGAUUACUGGCCCCUGUGCCAAACCAUUGACAUGCUUUUUGUUCUUUUCUUCCCGAGGCAAAUUUCUGUGUUUCUGCCAUAUCUUGGCUCCUUCCUUAAUACAUUCAACGAUUACCUCGCAGAAAUCCAUCUUUGCCAUCUCUGGAUAGUCCAUGUCCUCUACCAUUAUAGCUUGUCGGGCGAAGAUAGCAGCGCUUGACCCGCAUACAACGUUGUGGAAAAAAAUAAGGAAAAAUAUUUUAACUGAUUUCCUGUUUGACUGUUCGUCAUCUAGUUCCACCAAUUGUUUAGCUCCGUGAACAGUUCUUUUGGCUAGAAAUCUGUAUGUUUGAAGCCAAGGUCUGACAUCAGUUCUUUCAUUGAAGUUGGGCUCUUCGCUGGCCUUGGUGCUGACUUUUCCGUGCCGUUUGGGUAUCCAAACACCUUGUGUAUAGCUUCCUUGGUAAUCUUGAUUUUCUUGUCUUCGGUACCAUCACCGAAGGUUAUUGUCAUGCUUUCUGUGUCGAGGUUGUCGUAGAUGUGUGCUGCAAGUGGUUUGCAGAUGGAGCCCAUUAUUUUGCAGUUCUCUAUGCUGCCAAAUCCUGCCGUCCUAAUAUCUUGCUUGUGACAGUCUUUAAGUAAAUUCCAUGCUUUCUUGACAUGAUCGAAUGCUGCCCCUGUCUUGAUUUGGCAUUUCUCUUCAUUUGUUUCUUGCUGUUCUUCGUCAACUGUUGGUGCUGCCAAUUCUUUUCCGCUUGUCUUUCUCCUCUUUCUGUCCUUCUGUCCUGAUUUGUUCUGUUUCAGAAGACAAAAAGAAAGGGUUUCGUUAGAAAGGAACGUUAGAUCCUGAGUGCUGAAUAGUGGUAUUCAAAAUUAGUACAUAAGUGUGUUUUUACAUCGUCGUCAUGUUCUGCGUCGCUGUCAUGCUCUUCGGCAUCAUCGCCGUCUGUAGGAAUGAAAUCUGCAUCUUGUUCCCUGUCAUCGUCGUCAUCAUUGGUAUCUGAACCUUUGCUGUUGGUAUCGUCUUGUUCUUUUUCUACCCUUUGUCGUUUGUUUUUCUUCUUGCGUUCACCUUGUUUCUUCGUGGCGGUUGGUGCUGUUGGCGGGAGUACCAUUAGAGGUAAUGGCUGAUGCUGCAAGGUACUAGUGUCGACGAUGUUUUCAGCAUUGUCCUUUUGCUUUUGCCUUUUUGCUCUAGGAGUAAAAACAGUGCUUGUAUCUGAUUUUCUCUUUUUUUUGCUUGUUGCUAGAUGUUUAAUCCUGUUGAGCCUGGUGUAAGUUAUCAUUUCUUCCGCAGGUGGUUUGUUCCUCAUGUUUUGUUCUGUGUCCUUUUCUGAUGAAUGAGGAGACAUGCUGCCUAUUUCCGCGCUUUGAAUAUCACCGUCUUCGUGUCCUGUAUAAUGACCAGGUAAUAAAAAAGGAUGUUCUUUUUGUCCGAAAAUAAUUGAUACACAUUUAAAAUAUAUAUCUUCCAUGAUUAUGCAUAAGGAAUGUGAAACUCCCAAAGGGGAUUUUUAGUUUUCUUUUCUUGGGUUAAGAUAGGUUAUUACUAUUGUUACCGAUUGAGCUAAUCAGGGGAUGGAAGAAAAUAUUAAUUAUGGUUAUGAGUGCAGCUGGGGAAGUGAAGUUAGGGUGAAGCAUUUUCUAAGACAAAAAUGCACUCUGCAGGUGAUAUUUCAUAAUGGGAGGAAUAUCAUCAAUGAUAGUUGAAGAUUUAUUGGGUAAGUUAAACUGUUUUUGAAUUAAAAAUAAGAUAGUGUGCGAACAUUUUUAAUGUUUUCUAUAAAGAAAUAUAUAAAAAGUGGCAGGUAGUUCUAUUUGUAGACAUAGUUAAGUUAUUGUUGUCAAGGAUAGCCGUUAAGUUAUUAAUAUCUCAAUAUAGUUUUUUUGUAGAUGGACAGUGGAGACUUUUGCUCAAACCUUUGACAUGAGCUUGCUGGAUUGCAUGCUCUUCAGCAGGGUCUUCAUCAGUAUUUUGCUGGGUUUUAGCUUCUUCGUGAGGAUUUGUCAUUGCUGCAUAAAAAUGGGCAGGUGUUAGAAGCAGAGUCGAGUGUCACAGGAAAAAAACCUGCGUGGUGUGAAAACAAAUUUGCAUGGAUAGAGAGGCACGGGUUGUUUUACCCUAGAAGCACAGGGUACACCUAUUCUUUGUUUACGGUAUUUCACACCAGAGGCACUUAAUUUGAAAAACGGUUACAUUGACGGGACAAGGGAUGUAGAAAAUCUCGUACGGUUAUCGGUUUUGGCCUCUCGGGAUGCUUGCAGGGUUUGGAUCUAUCGACGUAUUCUAGUUACUGAUGUUUCAGGUUUUUUACCUUUGAGCACACAUCGUAUGGCGAAAAUCGCAGGGCGGAGAGCAGUAGCAUUUCUGUUAAAUCUCAUCUCUGCGCUAGUUCAAUUUGUUAGGCAAAUUGAUUUAGGUUAUUGGAAAACUCCUUGGUAGCGGUGGCUAGGGUUGCUCUUCCUGGAAGUGGAAAAAUCACUACGAUCUACCCGGUGGAAUGGAGUGGGAUAGAAUGAUAAUUACCUUCAAUUACUUGUGCGGUGUUCUUCGCUUCCAUCCGCUUAUUGUGUCGUUGCUCCUUUUUUGUUGCGAUUUCCGCCACCGCUGUUGAAGUCCUCGCCGUCGGUCGCCGCAGCCGGAGGGGUUAUUGGUGUUGUCGCCGGCAGAGUGUGGCUGUUUGUAUGUCGGAUUUGAGUGUGAACACGGUGGCGGUUGUCCAGUGACGCGAACUCGAUUUCGAGUUUGUAUUUGUGUGCUGAAGGAAGGAGGAGAGCGUGCGGGAGUGAUGAAGGUUUCGAGAUUUACUUUGCGGAAGGGGAAGCAAGCUAGUAGAAGAGGGAGGGAGAGAUGCAACCCAUCGAACCGUCUCUAAUCUUCAACUGUCCGUUUGAGCAUCAAGAUUCGUUAUGCUUGUCUUGUGUUUUUUUGUGUGCUACAGUAUUAUUAUUUUUUAGUGUUGAGACUGUUAGUGCUGAAGUGGAACCUCUCUACAGGCAUGUGGAUGCAGGCACAUGAGGCACAUAAGUGCAGGUUCUACAGGCACGUGGAUGCAGGCACAGGAGGCACGGAAGUGCAGGUUCUACAGGGACGUAGAGGGAAGCACAGGAGGCCAGUGUAGCGUGAGGCACGUGGAUGUAAGCACCGGAGGCACGGAAAUGCAGCUAUCACAGGCACAGACAUGCUGCUUCUCGAGGCACGGGUAUCAACCCUGUGGAUGUAGUACAAGAGUGCGUUGGGAGAGGCAUGUGUUAGAAUGCUCGGUUAAAGAGGUAUGGUUGUGAAGUCUCGGGAGCGACGCGGGCGUGGCAGUGGGACCAUGUAAGAGUCACGACGCAUGUUUCGUUAGGCACGUGAGGCACGUUGGUUCAGGCACGGAAGGCAGAAAAGGUGAAUCCACAACAGGCACGUACGUGUGUUUUCUCAAGUCACGGGUGUGCACUCUCUGGAUGCACAAACGUGUGGCGGCAGAGGCAUGGAUCCAACUACUCGGUUACAGAAUCAGGUUCGUGAAGUCACGCGGGUGUGGCAUUACGGGGCAUGUAAGAGUCUGGGCGAGUGACACGUGAGGCACGUGGGUGCAGGUCCGUGUAGGCACACAAAUGAAGGCACCAUGUUUGUGAGUCACGUGGUAGUGCGAAAGUGGAUCCUCUCUACAGGCACGUGGAUGCAGGCACACGAGGCACGGAAGUGCAGGUUCUACAGGCACGUAGAGGGAAGCACAGGAGGCCAGUGUCGCGUGAGGCACGUGGAUGUAAGCACCGGAGGCACGGAAAUGAAGCUAUCACAGGCACGGACAUGCUGCUUCUCGAGGCACGGGUAUCAACCCUGUGGAUGUAGUACAAGAGUGCAUUGGGAGAGGCAUGUGUUAGAAUGCUCGGUUAAAGAGGCAUGGUUGUGAAGUCUCGGGAGUGACGCGGGCGUGGCAGUGGGACCAUGUUAGUGUCACGGCGCAUGUUUCGUUAGGCACGUGAGGCACGUUGGUUCAGGCACGGAAGGCAGAAAAGGUGAAUCCACAACAGGCACGUACGUGUGUUUUCUCAAGUCACGGGUGUGCACUCUCUGGAUGCACAAACGUGUGGCGGCAGAGGCAUGGGUCCGACUACUCGGUUUCAGAACCACGUUCGUCCAGUCACGUGGGUGUGGCAUUACGAGGCAUGUAAGAGUCUGGGCGAGUGACACGUGAGGCACGUGGGUGCAGGUCCGUGUAGGCACACAAAUGAAGGCACCACGUUUGUGAAGUCACGUGGUAGUGCUGAAGUGGAGCCUCUCUACAGGCAUGUGGAUGAAGGCACACGAGGCACGGAAGUGCAGGUUCUACAGGCACGUAGACGCAGGCACAGGAGGCCAGUGUCGCGUGAGGCACGUGGAUGUAAGCACCAGAGGCAGGGAAAUGAAGCAAACACAGGCACGAACAUGCUGCUUCUCGAGGCACGGGUAUCAACCCUGUGGAUGUAGUACAAGAGUGCGUUGGGAGAGGCAUGUGUGAGAAUGCUCGGUUAAAGAGGCAUGGUUGUGAAGUCUCGGGAGCGACACGGGCGUGGCAGUGGGACCAUGUAAGAGUCACAGCGCAUGUUUCAUUAGGCACGUGAGGCACGUUGGUUCAGGCACGGAAGGCAGAAAAGGUGAAUCCACAACAGGCACGUACGUGUGUUUUCUCAAGUCACGGGUGUGCACUCUCUGGAUGCACAAACGUGUGGCGGCAGAGGCAUGGGUCCGACUACUCGGUUACAGAACCACGUUCGUGAAGUCAUGUGGGUGUGGCAUUACGGGGCACGUAAGAGUCUGGUCGAGUGACACGUGAGGCACGUGGGUGCAGGUACGUGUAGGCAUAGAAAUGAAGGCACCACGUUUGUGAAGUGACGUGGUAGUGCUGAAGUGGAGCCUCUCUACAGGCAUGUGGAUGCAGGCACACGAGGCACGGAAGUGUAGGUUCUACAGGCACGUUGACGCAGGCACAGGAGGCCAGUGUCGUGUGAGGCACGUGGAUGUAAGCAACGGAGGCACGGAAAUGAAGCCAACACAGGCACAUACAUGCUGCUUCUCGAGGCACGGGUAUCAACCCUGUGGAUGUAGUACAAAAGUGCGUUGGGAGAGGCAUGUGUUAGAAUGCUCGGUUAAAGAGGCAUGGUUGUGAAGUCUCACAAACACAAAGGCACGUUGGUCCAGGCACGGAAGGGAGAAAAGGUGAAUCCACAACAGGCACGUACGUGUGUUUUCUCAAGUCACGGGUGUGCACUCUCUGGAUGCACAAACAUGUGGCGGCACAGGCAUGGGUCCGACUACUCGGUUACAGAACCACGUUCGUGAAGUCACAUGAGGUAUGGCAUUACGGGGCACGUAAGAGUCUGGGCGAGUGACACGUGAGGCACGUGGGUGCAGGUAUGUGUAGGCACAGAAAUGAAGGCACCACGUUUGUGAAGUCACGUGGUAGUGCUGAAGUGGAGCCUCUCUACAGGCAUGUGGAUGCAAGCACACGAGGCACGGAAGUGCAGGUUCUACAGGCAUGUUGACGCAGGCACAGGAGGCCAGUGUCGCGUGAGGCACGUGGAUGUAAGCACCGGAGGCACGGAAAUGCAGCUAUCACAGGCACGGACAUGCUGCUUCUCGAGGCACGGGUAUCAACCCUAUGGACGUAGUACAAGAGUGCGUUGGGAGAGGCAUGUGUUAGAAUGCUCGGUUAAAGAGGCAUGGUUGUGAAGUCUCGGGAGCGACGCGGGCGUGGCAGUGGGACCAUGUAAGAGUCACGACGCAUGUUUCGUUAGGCACGUGAGGCACGUUGGUUCAGGCACGGAAGGCAGAAAAGGUGAAUCCACAACAGGCACGUACGUGUGUUUUCUCAAGUCACGGGUGUGCACUCACUGGAUGCACAAACGUGUGGCGGCAGAGGCAUGGGUCCGACUACUCGGUUACAGAACCACGUUCGUGAAGUCACGUGGGUGUGGCAUUACGGGGCAUGUAAGAAUCUGGGCGAGUGACACGUGAGGCACGUGGGUGCAGGUCCGUGUAGGCACACAAAUGAAGGCACCACGUUUGUGAAGUCACGUGGUAGAGCUGAAGUGGAGCCUCUCUACAGGCAUGUGGAUGCAGGCACACGAGGCACGGAAGUGCAGGUUCUACAGGCACGUAGACGCAGGCACAGGAGUCCAGUGUCGCGUGAGGCACGUGGAUGUAACCACCGGAGGCACGGAAAUGAAGCCAACACAGGCACGGACAUGCUGCUUCUCGAGGCACGGGUAUCAAGCCUGUGGAUGUAGUACAGGAGUGCGUUGGGAGAGGCAUGUGUUAGAAUGCUCGGUUAAAGAGGCAUGGUUGUGAAGUCUCGGGAGCGACGCGGGCGUGGCAGUGGGACCAUGUAAGAGUCACAACGCAUGUUUCGUUAGGCAUGUGGGCACGUUGGUUCAGGCACGGAAGGCAGAAAAGGUGAAUCCACACCAGGCACGUACGUGUGUUUUCUCAAGUCACGGGUGUGCACUCUCUGGAUGCACAAACGUGUGGCGGCAGAGGCAUGGGUCCGACUACUCGGUUACAGAACCACGUUCGUGAAGUCAUGUGGGUGUGGCAUUAUGGGGCACGUAAGAGUCUGGUCGAGUGACACGUGAGGCACGUGGGUGCAGGUACGUGUAGGCACAGAAAUGAAGGCACCACGUUUGUGAAGUGACGUGGUAGUGUUGAAGUGGAGCCUCACUACAGGCAUGUGGAUGCAGGCACACAAGGCACGAAAGUGCCGGUUCUACAGGCACGUUGACGCAGGCACAGGAGGCCAGUGUCAUGUGAGGCACGUGGAUGAAAGAAGCGGAGGCACGGAAAUGAAGCCAACACAGGCACAGACAUGCUGCUUCUCGAGGCACGGGUAUCAACCGUGUGGAUGUACUACAAGAGUGCGUUGGGAGAGGCAUGUGUUAGAAUGCUUGGUUAAAGAGGCAUGGUUGUGAAGUCUCACAAACAGAAAGGCACGUUGGUUCAGGCACGAAAGGCAGAAAAGGUGAAUCCACAACAGGCAUGUACGUCUGUUUUCUCAAGUCACGGGUGUGCACUCUUUGGAUGUACAAACAUGUGGCGGCAGAGGCAUGGGUCCGACUACUCGGUUACAGAACCACGUUCAUGAAGUCACAUGAGGUGUGGCAUUACGGGGCACGUAAGAGUCUGGGCGAGUGACAUGUGAGGCAUGUGGGUGCAGGUACGUGUAGGCACAGAAAUGAAGGCACCACGUUUGUGAAGUCACGUGGUAGUGCUGAAGUGGAGCCUCUCUACAGGCAUGUGGAUGCAGGCACACGAGGCACGGAAGUGCAGGUUCUAUAGGCACGUUGACGCAGGCACAGGAGGCCAGUGUCGCGUGAGGCACGUGGAUGUAAGCACCGGAGGCACGGAAAUGCAGCUAUCACAGGCACGGACAUGCUGCUUCUUGAGGCACGGGUAUCAACCCUGUGGAUGUAGGACAAGAGUGCGUUGGGAGAGGCAUGUGUUAGAAUGCUCGGUUAAAGAAGCAUGGUUGUGAAGUCUCGGGAGCGACGCGGGCGUGGCAGUGGGACCAUGUAAGAGUCACGACGCAUGUUUCAUUAGGCACGUGAGGCACUUUGGUUCAGGCACGGAAGGCAGAAAAGGUGAAUCCACAACAGGCACGUAUGUGUGUUUUCUCAAGUCACGGGUGUGCACUCUCUGGAUGCACAAAUGUGUGGCGGCAGAGGCAUGGGUCCGACUACUCGGUUACAGAACCACGUUCGUGAAGUCACGUGGGUGUGGCAGUACGGGGCACGUAAGAGUCUGGGCGAGUGACACGUGUGUGCAGGUACGUGUAGGCACAGAAAUGAAGGCACCACGUUUGUGAAGUCACGUGGUAGUGCUGAAGUGGAGCCUCUCUACAGGCAUGUGGAUGCAGGCACACGAGGCACGGAAGUGCAGGUUCUACAGGCAUGUGGAUGUAAGCAUCGGAGGCACGGAAAUGAAGCCAACACUGGCACGGACAUGCUGCUUCUCGAGGCACGGGUAUCAACCUUGUGGAUGUAGUACAAGAGUUUGUUGGGAGAGGCAUGUGUUAGAAUGCUCAGUUAAAGAGGCAUGGUUGUGAAGUCUCGGGAGCGACGCGGGCGUGGCAGUGGGACCAUGUAAGAGUCACGGCGCAUGUUUUGUUAGGCAUGUGAGGCACGUUGGUUCAGGCACGGAAGGCAGAAAAGGUGAAUCCACAACAGGCACGUACGUGUGCUUUCUCAAGUCACGGGUGUGCACUCUAUGGAUGCACAAAAGUGUGUCGGCAGAGGCAUGGGUCCGACUACUCGGUUAGAGAACCACGGUUGUGAAGUGACGUGGGUGUGGCACGACGGGCCCCGUAGGAGUCACGGCAAGUGUCAUGCGAGGCACGUGGAUGUACGCACAUGAGGCAGGGCUUUGAAUGUAUAGGAGGCACGGAUUCUGGUAUAGGAGGCACUGAAGUAAAAACACUGUAGUGACGGACAUGAGGCACUUAACUUGAAAAUAAUUACAAUCAAGGGACAACGGGCAGAGAAAAUUUGGUGUAAUUACCAAGUUUGAUCUCUCAGUAUGCUCGCAGUAUUUGAAUCGUUUGAGGUAUUAUAGUUAGUGAUGUGGCAGGUGUAGUACUUUUAAGCACAUAUCGUGUGGUGAAAAUUCCGUAGCGGGGAGCAGUAGCGUUUCUAUUAAAUGUCGUGCGUACGGUACUUCAAUUUUUUAGACAAGUUGAUUUUGGAUAGUGCAAAACUCGCCUUUUUGUGGUGGCUAGGGUUGUUGUCCCUGGAAAUGGACAAAUCACUACGAUCUACCUCGGGGAAUGCAAUGGGAUAGAUUGUUAUUUAUAUUCGAUUGCUUGUGUUCGGCUUCUCGCUUCCAUUGGUCUAUUCUGUCUGUUCGUCUUUUUUUGUUGUGAUCUCCGCCGGCGGUGUUGAAGUCCUUGCUUCGUCGCCGUCGGGUGGGUACUUUGUGUUGUUGGGCGCACCGUUUGACGGUGUGUAUCGAAGUGGGAGGGUGGUUGGCGAAGCGUGGUGGCGGUUGUUUUGCGAGGGGAACUCUACUUGGAAUUUGGGCCCGUGUACUGAUCCUAGGAGGAGACCUUGUGUGAGUGUGGAAUGUUUCGAGAUUUUGCUGUGGAAGAGAGGAAGGAAGAGAGUAGUGGAGGUGGGAGAGAUGGAAAUGAUGGAACCAUCUGUAAUCUUCGACGGUCUGAUUUUAGUAUCAAGAUUCGUGCCGCCUGGCUUUUUUUUGUUCGCUAUAGCAUCUUAAUAGACGUGUGAGGCACGGAACACCAUGCUCUACAUGCACCGACGUUGGAAUUAUAGAGGCACUGGUAUCAACUCUGUGGAUGCACAAAUGUGUGGCGGCAGGGGCAUGCAUCUGAAGACUUACUCAGAGAGUCACGGUUGUGAAGUCUUUAGAGUUACGAGCGUGUGUCACCACGGGCACGUGAGAGUGAUGCGUCGGGAAGUUUGGUAGUAGAGGCAUCGGUGCGAAUAGUACUCAGAGAGUAUCGGUUGUGGGUCCACAUGUGUGAAGUCUGUGCAGCAUUGGUCGUGUGGUAGUAGCGGCGUGCGUCGGGAAAGGUGCGAGCAAUAACAUUUGUUACGUGCUUAAUCGGACGAUUUGACGGUUGCUUUUUCCCGGCAACCGCGAGCACUGCCACUCGGCGGUUGCCUCGACGCACACCAACGACGAGCGCAUGUCUUCCGCCCUCACUACCACGACGAGGCCGCGUCCAACCGCCUCCUCCGCGACCCAGACCUUGGCACAAAAGGGCAACUGUGCUUCCAUAGCCGCUCAAUUCCGAAAACACUAUUGCUGUUCCAUCUCAACUAGCAUCUCCUCACAAUCUCUGUGUCAAGGCGGCCAUCGCUGGAGGAGCAUAAUGGCGGAGGAACCAUCUGCCAAGCGUCCCCGUGGUGAGACGUCCGACCAGAGCACCGAGUGUUGGGGAUCGUAGCAGAAAUUAAAUUUUUCUAGCAUCACCAAGAUCAAUCUAUGGAGUUUACUAGCAACGAGAGGGGAGAAGUGCAUCUACAUACCCUUGUAGAUCGCGAGCGGAAGCGUUCAAGGGAACGGGGUUGAUGGAGUCGUACUCGUCGUGAUCCAAAUCACCGAUGAUCCAAGCGCCGAACGGACGGCACCUCCGCGUUCAACACACGUACGGAGCGGCGAUGUCUCCCACGCCUUGAUCCAGCAAGGAGGAGGGAGAGGUUGAGGAAGAAGGCUCCAACAGCAGCACGACGGUGUGGUGGUGGUGGAGUGACAGUUCUCCGGCAGGGCUUCGCCAAGCACACGCGGAGGAGGAGAGGUGUUGGGGAGGGGAGGGGCUGCGCCUUGGGAAAGGUGUGGCUGCCCUCCCACCCCUCCACUAUAUAUAGGGGCAAGGGAGAGGGGUGCCGGCCCCCUUAGAUCCCAUCUGGUGGGAGGGGCGGCGGCCAGGGGAGGUGGCUUGCCCCGCAAGCAAGGGGGGCGCCCCCUUUUAGGGUUCCCCCCAAACCCUAGGCGCAUGGGCCCUAGGGGGGUUGGCACCCAGCCCACUAAGGGUUGGUUCCCUUCCACCUACAGCCCAUAAGGCCCUCUGGGGCAGGUGGACCCUCCCGUUGGACCCCCGGAACCCCUCCUGUGGUCCGGUACAAUACCGGUAUACCCCCGAAUAUUUCCGGUGACCGUAUGGUGACUUCCCAUAUAUAAAUCUUUACCUCCGGACCAUUCCGGAACUCCUGGUGACGUCCGGGAUCUCAUCCGGGACUCCGAACAACAUUCGGUAAUCACAUACAAACCUUCCUUAUAACCCUAGCAUCAUCGAACCUUAAGUGUGUAGACCCUACGGGUUCGGGAAUCAUGCAGACAUGACCGAGACACCUCUCUAGCCAAUAACCAACAGCGGGAUCUGGAUACCCAUGUUGGCUCCCACAUGUUCCACGAUGAUCUCAUCGGAUGAACCACGAUGUCGAGGAUUCAAGCAAUCCCGUAUACAAUUCCCUUUGUCAAUCGGUACUUUACUUACCCGAGAUUCGAUCGUCGGUAUCCCAAUACCUCGUUCAAUCUCGUUACCGGCAAGUCACUUUACUUGUUCCGUAAUGCAUGAUCCCGUGACUAACUACUUAGUCACAUUGAGCUCAUUAUGAUGAUGCAAUACUGAGUGGGCCCAGAGAUACCUCUCCGUCAUACGGAGUGACAAAUCCCAGUCUCGAUCCGAGCCAACCCAACAGACACUUUCGCAGAUACCUGUAGUGCACCUUUAUAGCCACCCAGUUACGUUGUGACGUUUGGUACACCCAAAGCAUUCCUACGGUAUCCGGGAGUUGCACGAUCUCAUGGUCUAAGGAAAUGAUACUUGACAUUAGAAAUGCUUUAGCAAAUGAACUACACGAUCUAGUGCUAUGCUUAGGAUUGUGUCUUGUCCAUCACAUCAUUCUCCUAAUGAUGUGAUCCCGUUAUCAAUGACAUCCAAUGUCCAUGGUCAGGAAACCGUAACCAUCUAUUGAUCAACGAGCUAGUCAACUAGAGGCUCACUAGGGACAUGUUAUGGUCUAUGUAUUCACACAUGUAUUACGAUUUCCGGAUAACACAAUUAAAGCAUGAACAAUAGACAAUUAUCAUGAACAAGGAAAUAUAAUAAUAACCAUUUUAUUAUUGCCUCUAGGGCAUAUUUCCAACAGUCUCCCACUUGCACUAGAGUCAAUAAUCUAGUUACAUUGUGAUGAAUCGUACACCCAUAGAGUUCUGGUGUUGAUCAUGAUUCGCUCGUGGAAGAGGUUUAGUCAACGGAUCUGCGACAUUCAAAUCCGUAUGCACUUUACAAAUAUCUAUGUCUCCAUUUUGAACAUUCUCACGAAUGGAGUUGAAGCGACGCUUGAUGUGCCUGGUCUUCUUGUGAAACCUGGGCUCCUUGGCAAGGGCAAUAGCUCCAGUGUUGUCACAGAAGAGAGUCAUCGGCCCCGACGCAUUGGGAAUAACUCCUAGGUCGGCAAUGAACUCCUUCAUCCAGAUUUCUUCAUGUGCUGCCUCCGAGGCUGCCAUGUACUCUGCUUCACAUGUAGAUCCCGCCACGACGCUUUGCUUGCAACUGCACCAGCUGACUGCCCCACCAUUCAAAAUGUACACGUAUCCGGUUUGUGACUUAGAUUCAUCCAGAUCUGUGUCGAAGCUAGCAUCAACGUAACCCUUUACGACGAGCUCUUCGUCAGCUCCAUAAACGAGAAACAUAUCCUUAGUCCUUUUUAGGUACUUCAGGAUGUUCUUGACCGUUGUCUAGUGUUCCAUGCCGGGAUUACUUUGGUACCUUCCUACCAAACUUACGGCAAGGUUUACAUCAGGUCUGGUACACAGCAUGGCAUACAUAAUAGACCCUAUGGACGAGGCAUAGGGGACGCCACUCAUCUUUUCUCUAUCUUCUGCCGUGGUCGGGCAUUGAGCCGUGCUCAAUCUCACACCUUGCAAUACAGGCAAGAACCCCUUCUUGGACUGAUCCAUAUUGAACUUCUUCAAUAUCUUGUCAAGGUAUGUGCUUUGUGAAAGACCUAUGAGGCGUCUUGAUCUAUCUCUAUAGAUCUUGAUGCCUAAUAUGUAAGCAGCUUCUCCAAGGUCCUUCAUUGAAAAACACUUAUUCAAGUAGGCCUUUAUACUUUCCAAGAAUUCUAUAUCAUUUCCCAUCAAUAGUAUGUCAUCCACAUAUAAUAUGAGAAAUGCUACAGAGCUCCCACUCACUUUCUUGUAAACACAGGCUUCUCCAUAAGUCUGUGUAAACCCAAACGCUUUGAUCAUCUCAUCAAAGCGAAUGUUCCAACUCCGAGAUGCCUGCACCAGCCCAUAGAUUGAGCGCUGGAGCUUGCAUACUUUGUCAGCAUUCUUAGGAUCGACAAAACCUUCCGGCUGCAUCAUAUACAAUUCUUCCUUAAGGAAGCCGUUAAGGAAUGCCGUUUUGACAUCCAUUUGCCAUAUUUCAUAAUCGUAGAAUGCGGCAAUUGCUAACAUGAUUCGGACGGACUUCAGCUUCGCUACGGGUGAGAAGGUCUCAUCGUAGUCAACUCCUUGAACUUGUCGAUAACCCUUAGCAACAAGUCGAGCUUUAUAGAUGGUAACAUUUCCAUCCGCGUCCGUCUUCUUCUUAAAGAUCCAUUUAUUUUCUAUCGCUCGCCGAUCAUCGGGCAAGUCUGUCAAAGUCCAUACUUUGUUUUCAUACAUGGAUCCUAUCUCGGAUUGCAUGGCUUCAAGCCAUUUGUUGGAAUCUGGGCCCGCCAUUGCUUCUUCAUAGUUCGAAGGUUCACCGUUGUCCAACAACAUGAUUUCCAGGACAGGGUUGCCAUACCACCCUGGUGCGGAACGUGUCCUUGUGGACCUACGAAGUUCAAUGAUAACUUGAUCAUGAUCAUCAUCAUUAACUUCCUCUCUAGUCGGUGCAGGCACCAUAGAAACAUUUUCUUGUGCUGCGCUACUUUCUGGUUCGAGAGGGGUCAUCUCAUCAAGUUCCACUUUCCUCCCACUUACUUCUUUCGAGAGAAACUCUUUCUCCAGAAAGGACCCGUUCUUAGCAACGAAGAUCUUGCCUUCAGAUCUGAGGUAGAAGGUAUACCCAAUGGUUUCCUUAGGGUAUCCUUUGAAGACGCAUUUUUCUGACUUGGGUUCGAGCUUUUUAGGUUGAAGUUUCUUGACAUAAGCAUCGCAUCCCCAAACUUUAAGAAACGACAGCUUAGGUUUCUUUCCAAACCAUAAUUCAUACGGUGUCGUCUCAACGGAUUUCGACGGAGCCCUAUUUAAAGUGAAUGCAGUAGUCUCUAAAGCAUAACCCCAGAAUGAUAGCGGUAGAUCGGUAAGAGACAUCAUAGAUCACACCAUAUCCAAUAGAGUGCGAUUACGACGUUCGGACACACCAUUACGCUGAGGUGUUCCAGGCGGCGUGAGUUGUGAAACAAUUCCACAUUUCCUUAAGUGUGUGCCAAAUUCGUGACUCAAAUAUUCCCCUCCAUGAUCUGAUCGUAAGAACUUUAUUUUCCUGUCACGUUGAUUCUCAACCUCACUGUUGAGGAUAUAGACCUUAGAGUCACCCGCCAGGAGGGGCCGGGUUACUCGAAGGAUCAUUGCCAGAAGCCCGGAGCCAAGUUUCAAGAGAUGGGCUGAGACCCGGAUAUGGCUUAAAGCUCGCAGUUACAAUUAUUGUUAUAGUAGACUUGUAGUGUAAGGCAAGUAUUGGUUAGAGUCCGAGCCGGACGCUCUUAUGAGCCGGCCGGGACUCUAAGGGCUGCUGGGCGUCAGCCUCCUUAUAUAAAGGGACGACCCGACAGCGGUUUAAGGCGACAACAAUCUUAUCAAGAGCCGGGCAUAGCUGUUUAGCUCCCUGGCGAUCGUAACCCUAAUCAAUAACACCUCAAACUGGACGUAGGCUUUUACCUUCACCAUAAGGGGCCGAACCAGUAUAAACCCUCGUGUUCCUUGUCCCGUAUAACCCCUUCAAGCUUCCUAGCUGCGAUGGCUCCACGACUAAGUCCUAGCUCAAGGACAUCUGCCGUGACAAUUCCACGACAGUUGGCGCCCACCGUGGGGCCAGCGCACGGUGGAUUUGAGUUCUUGAAGGGCAGCUUCGAAGGGCUCAAGGGAUACGCUGUGGGCCGGAUGACCAAGAGUCGUCGCGGCAAGCUCUACAUCGACGAUGCGGGCUGGGGCCCCGACGCCGGCUCAGUGGAGUACGGGUACCGGGUCCCCUUCGGUGGAAUUCAUGUCUUCAUCGGCAAGAUUGGAGAACCGGGCCCCGAGCCGGAUCUCCGCGCCGACCUCAUCGAAACGGCUCAGCUCGCGCGACCCGCCCGGGCCCGGCCUGCCUUAAAGCGCGCUUUUGUAGGAUGCAUCCACGGAGGGCCCUCGGAUCCAUCUGGGACUGGGGAUGAGGCGGCCGCCGGCUCUGACGGCGAGUCGGCCACUGAUGAGUCAAACUCGUUGUACCAACUUCAAGAUGGCAGGCUCAUGAGUUAUUCCGAUGGCAACAGUAUUCCGGACCUCUUUGAGCCGCCAAGUCAGGUUGGAGUUUUUAUGGCUGGUGCACAGCCUGUUCAGAACCCCACUGCUGGAUCGGGAAACCCGGUGCCUUCUCCGGCUCAGGUGCUGAUGGAUCUCACGGACAAGAUGACGGCCCUGUUAACCGCCACGGUUGACCCGGCGGAUCAAGCCCAGCAUGAUGCGGAGGUGGCAGAGUUGAAACUGGAUUUGAUAAAAGCUAAAGAGGAUCUUGCAGCAGAAGGAAUCAGGCUGGCUGCGGAACGGGCGGCUCUCGAUGCCCAGACUCAGCUGAUUCAGGCGCAGUCCUUCCAACUCACGAUGGAUCAGAACGCGGCCAAUGAGGUCAUGAGAAGGAGGCAUCAAAAGGCUCAAUCUCGACUCCCACCGGUCUACGAUCCGCGCAACCUCUUCAACACGCCAGGUGCAGGGUCCAGUCACCCGCCAGGGGUCGUAACACCCGGGUCUGGACCCCUUGUUCAACCACGAGUGAUGGGACCGCCCCAGGGGCCCCCCCGCCCCGCCUCAGUGUGUACCAAUACCCCCGGGCCAUUAUAAUAACCCGCUGGAGAACAUGAUCGCCGCAGCGGCAUGGCUGGCGGCUCUGCCCGUUGAUAGCGACUCUCCGACGGCUAUUGAGACCCGCCGGGUCAGAGAACUCCUCCAGACAGCACUGGCACAGCAAGAGGCGUACUCCUACAGCCGGGAUAGGAUCCAUUCAACCCCUCGUCCAGGGCAGAGCCCGAGUUACAGCCGGCACAUGGUCUCGGCGACCGGCUCAAGUAAUGUCCGACGCCAUGACCCGCCCCCUGGUCAUGGCCCGGCUCAUAAUGGAGCCUUCUACGUAGCAGACCAAGCGCGCCAGGAGGCGGAGCAGGCGCCUCAAGUGACGGCUUACCAGACCCCUCGGCUUAUCCAGCGAUGUCCGUUGAUGCGGGUAUCCCUACUAGAACCGGGGGUGUCCUGUGUCUGGUGCCAGCUAUCCGUAAUGAACGUCUGCCCAAGGACUUCAAGGGACCUAGGAAGGUGCCUAACUAUACGGCCGACUUGCAACCCGCGGCUUGGAUUGAGAGUUAUGAGAUGGCUAUGGAGCUGCUGGAGGUCAGUGAGGCGGCUAUGGCCAAGUAUUUCACCAUGAUGUUAGAUGGGACUGCCCGCACGUGGUUGAAAGGGCUACCACCAAAUUCCAUUGGGUCUUGGGCUGAGCUGAAAGCCCGGUUUAUCCAGAACUUCAAAGAUACCUGUAGGCAGUCUAUGUCAAUUGUGGAUCUGACCAACUGUAAGCAGCAGGAGGGUGAAUCCACGACCCAUUGGGUUCGCCGGGUCAAGGAGAUCAUACAUUCGUCGGAUAAGAUGGAUGCUGGCUCUGCAGUCUUAAUGUUGGAACAAAACUGUCGCUUUGUGCCCCUAAAGAUGAAACCCGGACGACUUAAGCGUGACUGUACUGAUAUGGGUACACUGAUGGCGGCUCUUGUUAAGUACGCCGAUUCUGACGGUACCAAGGAUCCCCCUUCAGAUGAUGAAAGGGCAGGGAAGGGAAAGAAGAACGGCAGUGGCAAGAGUCCUCAGUUUAACCCGGGGAAUCAAGGAGGAGGCAAGCGCAAGGCCGAUGGCAGCCUGGAGUUCGUAGCCAACACCCAAGGUAACAACCAGCGACGCAAGGGGAGGCCCCCUCCCCGAGGCGGCGGGUCAGGACCUUCUCUGGAGCAGCUGUUGAAUGAACCUUGUCCGAGACACGGCUCUAGAGAGAAGCCGGCGACGCAUCUGUGGAAGGAUUGUGCUAUCAUGAAGGCCUUUAAAAACUACAAUGGUCCGGGUGGCGGCUCAGGCUCCGGCGGUUUUCAUGGCCCGGGCGGCGGGUCAAAUUCCGGUCUUCAGAACGGUCAAGGGGGCUUUAAUCAACAGUCUGGUCAGGGUCAUCAACAGCAACAGGGGGGCUAUCAGACCAACCCAAAGCAGCUUAGCGGUGGACAGUAUCACGUGUUCACCACUAGUUUGUGCAAACGAGACGAAAAGCUUCACAAGAGGGCUGUUAAUGCUGUCGAGCCGGCAGUUCCACGCUACUUACGGUGGUCGGAGCAGCCCAUGUGGAGUAGGGAGGAUCACCCUCCCCGGGUGGAUAACCCGGGCCAUCUGGCUUUAGUGGUGGCUCCUCAAGUGGGAGGCUAUAAGUUCACAAAGGUACUCAUGGAUGGGGGCAGCAGCAUCAACAUCCUCUAUUAUGAGACUUCCCGUCGUAUGGGGCUAGUUGAUAAGAACCUCAGCCAGUCAAAUACUAUCUUCCAUGGUGUGGUACCCGGUAAAUCGGCUUAUCCAGUCGGCAAGAUCGAACUGGAAGUGGCCUUCGGUGAUGAGAACAACUACAGGGUGGAAAAGUUGACCUUUGAGGUGGUCAAGAUAAGAAGUCCAUACCAUGCUAUAUUCGGACGGCCGGCUUACGCCAAGUUCAUGGCACGGCCGUGUUAUGUGUACUUACAACUUAAGAUGCCGGGUCACAACGGGACCAUUACGGUUCACGGCAGCCGGAAAGUGGCUCUGGAGUGUGAGGAAGGUGACGCGGCUUAUGCAGAGUCUGUUUGUGCCACAGAAGAGUUGAAAUUUUAUAAAGACAAUGUUGACCCAACAGAUAUGACCUCUCUGAAAAAGCCAACCAUGAAGAAUGAACCAGCGAUGAAGUUUAAAUCAGCUGAUGAGACUAAGAUUGUUGAUUUUGUUCCAGGUGACUCGUCUCAGCAGUUCAGCAUCAGUGCAAAUCUGGACCCGAAAUAGGAAGGCGCGCUCAUCGAGUUCAUCCGUGAGAAUAGGGACAUCUUUGCAUGGAAACCUUCUGACAUGCCAGGUGUACCUAGAGAACUCGCUGAGCACACUCUCAAUGUUGAUCCAAAAUUUAAGCCGGUCAGACAGUUCCUUCGACGGUUUAAUGAAGAGAGGCGGAAGGCUAUUGGUGAAGAAGUGGCCCGGCUUUUGGCAGCCGGAUUCAUUGUUGAGGUUUUUCACCCAGAGUGGUUGGCUAACCCGGUGCUUGUACUUAAAAAGAACGGCACCUGGCGGAUGUGUGUGGACUACACGGACUUGAACAAGGCGUGUCCGGCUGAUCCUUUUGCUCUCCCCCGUAUCGAUCAAAUCAUUGAUGCUACGGCAGGUUGUGCACGCUUAAGUUUCUUGGAUGCUUAUUCCGGGUAUCAUCAGAUUAAGAUGGCAGUUAAGGACCAGGAGAAGACGGCGUUCAUCACUCCCUUUGGAGCCUUCUGCUAUGUCUCUAUGCCCUUUGGGCUCAAGUGUGCGCAGGCGACUUACCAACGUUGUGUACUGAAUUGUCUCCAUAAACAGAUCGGGCGCAAUGUUCACGCUUACGUGGAUGAUAUUGUGGUUAAGUCCAUCAAGGAGGAAACCCUGAUAGAUGACUUAAGGGAAACCUUCGAUAAUCUCCGGGUCUACAAGAUGAUGCUUAACCCGGCCAAAUGUGUUUUUGGUGUUCCUGCGGGCAAGCUAUUGGGCUUCUUGGUUUCUGACAGAGGAAUUGAAGCUAACCCGGAGAAGAUCAAAGCUAUCACUUCUCUAGCUAAGCCGGCAUGUAUAAAUGAUGUUCAGCGUUUGGCAGGUCGCAUCGCUGCUUUAAGCCGGUUCAUAAGCCGCUUGGGUGAGAAGGCUAUGCCUUUAUAUCAGCUGAUGAAGAAAAUGGAUAACUUUGUCUGGAAUGAUGCAGCUAAUACCGCCUUCGAGGAUUUAAAAAAGCAACUGGCAGAGCCCCCCGUCCUUGCUGCCCCGGUUGAUAAGGAGCCCUUGCUACUGUAUGUAGCGGCAAACGCACGAGCCGUCAGCGUGGCUAUUGUGGUGGAGCGCAAGGAGGCGGGUAAGGAGCAUCCGGUUCAGCGGCCGGUUUAUUAUGUCAGUGAGGUGCUCAUUGAGUCCAAGCAGCGGUAUCCGCAUUGACAGAAGCUCGUAUAUGGGGUGUUUAUGGCGAGCCGGAAGCUUAAGCAUUAUUUUCAGGGUCAUCCCAUCACUGUGGUCAGUUCCGCCCCUCUCGGUGAUAUUAUCCAGAACAGAGAGGCUACAGGGAGAAUUGCUAAGUGGGCUAUAGAACUUGGACCUCAUGACCUCAAAUAUGUGCCACGCACUGCUGUUAAGUCUCAGGCCUUGAUAGAUUUCAUCAAUGAUUGGACAGAGUCGCAAGUACCUGAGCAAAAGCCGGAUAACACUUAUUGGACUAUUCACUUUGAUGGGUCCAGGCAGCUGGAGGGCUCGGGGGCUGGUGUUGUCUUGGCUUCCCCUAAAGGUGACAAGUUCCAUUAUGUGCUACGGCUAAUGUUUCCUUGCACUAACAAUGCGGCUGAAUACGAGGCUUUGCUCCACGGUCUUCGGGUGGCUAAGGAGAUGAGCUUAAGCCGGGUGAGGUGUUUCGGUGACUCAGACUUGGUGGCUCAACAAGUAUCAGGCACCUGGGAUUCUAAGGAUCCUCUAAUGGCGGCUUAUCGCCGCGAGGUUGAUGCCAUUGCCGGGCACUUUCAGGGAUAUCAAGUGGAGCACAUUGACCGCAGGAAGAAUGAGGCGGCUGAUGCUUUAAGCCGGCUCGGCUCUCAGCGAAAGCCGGUGCCGCCUAACACUUUCCUGGAUGUCCUGUAUAAUCCUUCGGUCAAGUUGCCUACAGAAGAAGAUUUGGCCGUCCCUGACCCGGAGGCGCAACUGGUGGCGGCUCUUCAUAUCAUACCAGACUGGACAAUGCCAUAUCUGGCUUAUAUAACCCAGGGAGAGUUGCCUGAGGAUGAAAUUUUGGCCAGGCAAAUAACCCGGCGGGCUAAGUCAAUGAUUGUUAUCGAUGGCGAGUUGCAUCAUCGCAGUGUUUCAGGGGCAUUCCAGCGUUGUAUCUCCCCUGAGGUAGGUCAAGAGAUCUUGCGCGAGAUCCAUGAAGGGGAUUGUGGCCAUCAUGCCGGUUCAAAAUCUCUUGUGGCCAAGGCUUUCCGUCAUGGUUUUUAUUGGCUGACGGCUCACGCUGAUGCAGAGGACUUGGUCAGUAAAUGUGAUGGCUGCCAAAGGUUCUCACGACGGGCUCAUGUGCCGGCUCAGGAGUUGAGGAUGAUCCCAAUCGCUUGGCCCUUUGCAGUCUAGGGGCUUGAUAUGGUUGGGCCUUUAAAACGGUCCAAGGAUAAGAAGACCCACCUCUUGGUGGCAGUGGACAAAUUCACGAAGUGGGUGGAAGCUGAGCCAGUUAGCAAGUGUGAUGCAGCCACGGCGGUUCAAUUUAUGAAAAAGGUGAUCUUCCGCUUCGGUUUUCCACACAGCAUCAUAACAGACAAUGGCACUAAUCUGUCCAAAGGCGUUAUGGAGGAGUUUUGUCAAAUAGAGCAUAUCCGGCUUGAUGUUUCUUCAGUGGCACACCCCCAAUCCAAUGGUCAAGCUGAGAGAGCUAACCAGGAGAUUCUGAAGGGCAUCAAACCCCGGCUCUUGGUCCCUUUGCAACGGACGCCGGGUUGUUGGGUGGAGGAGUUGCCCUCCGUUUUAUGGAGCAUCAACACUACUCCUAACAGGUCUACAGGCUUCACGCCUUUCUUCAUGGUUUAUGGAGCAGAAGCAGUUCUCCCCAGCGACAUCCGUCAUGAUUCACCUCGUGUGGCGGCUUAUGUUGAGGCGGAUAAUGAACAGGCGCACCAAGAUGCUCUGGACUUGUUGGACGAACAGCGUGAUGUGGCAGCCGCCCGUUCAGCGAUUUACCAACAAGACCUGCGUCGUUAUCAUAGCCGCCGGGUCAAAUCCCGGGUCUUUCAGGAAGGCGACCUGGUGCUCCGGCUCAUCCAGGAUCAAACAGAUGCACACAAGUUAUCACCACCUCGGGAAGGGCCUUUUGUGGUCAGUAAGAACUUGCACAACGGGUCAUAUUACCUCAUUGAUAUCCGGGAGCAUAAGGACUCGCGUAAAUCUGAGGAGGAGACCCGUCGGCCGUGGAACAUAGCUCAGCUUCGGCCUUACUACACUUAAGCUACCGGCUCUUGUGAUGUACAUAUUUAUCUCUGCCAUAUAUAUAUUAUGAUAAAGCAAUAAAGCAGGACCUCUGUCCUUUGCUCUCUCCCAAAUAUGUGUGUUGUUUUUUACAUGCUGACUUACAGAAGAUCCGGCUUAUGAUCAUCUUCGAAUCUAGCUGUCAGCAAUAAAGUCACUUGGGGGCUUCCUGUUCACACAUGGGUCGUAUUCGAACCAAAGAGAACAUAGCUGUCGAUACCCAUUUGAUUGGCAAAGUGCCGAGCUCAUCGGGAGGUUGCCUUUGGUCAUAUUUGAAUCAUAGUGUAACCCCUCUGAGAACCGACGUGGAUCGUAUUCGAAUCAGCGUCGUUAAACAAUUUUCAGAAUCACUUGGGGGCUUCCUGUUCCCCUCUUGAUUGGCAUCGCCGAACCCACUGGGGGCUAUAUGAUCGUAUCCGAAUCUUAGCUUAACCCCUUUGGACCGAGGUUCUGGUCGUAUUCGAACCGGAAGCCCUUAAAUUUUUACAUUUUACCACAAGUUUACUCUGAUCAUGUCAAAGUAUGUACUGCCGGGUUUCACUCGCCGGCUUAAUUUUGGUUUAUCUUGUUAGUUGAGCAUCAUGGAUGUCAUCAAGACAAGUAAAUUCAAGUUCAGAUACUAACCGUGCUACCCGGGUUAUUUAACCCGGAAGUAUGCUUACAAGCUGUUGAGUGUGUUGUCACGACUAUGUUCAGAAUAUAGUUAAGGACCAGUCUUUUUGGUUUGAAUUUCCGGGUUAUCCAUCUCAGACACCUGAUUCUCAGGGUGGUAAGCCGCCUUGUGACUUGUGAUUUGCCUUCUUAUGCAGAUACUUAAAGGUACUUUUUUAAAAAGGUUGAGAAGCACGAAGGAUAAUUAUAACCCGGAGGAGCAUCACAAAGAAUGACUUCAAAGGAUUUCAGCAUUCAUUACGUGCACGAUGGCACGGCAGAGAUAAAUUGUUGCACCUAUUCUAUUACAAAAAUCUUUCAAAGUUUCAAGGGUGGAGCAUUGUUUGGUGAGCCGCUAGCCGGUUUAUGACGCCUGCUGAGUCGAAGUCCCCGGCUCAUCUUCUGCUCCGGCUGCUCCCAAGGCUUCGAAGGUCGACGACUUCCAGUUGAUGCCACUGAGAGCUUCGAACUGAGCUUCUUCGUCAAUUAACCCGGCCGGGUUAAUCUCCGGGGCGAAGGUGUGCUGGCGAGCCGGAGGAAUCAGAUUGAUAGCUUCAUAGCGAGGGGUUGGAAUCCUCUGAUUCUCCGCGUUGUAUCCCGGCUGAUACUUGGUUAAAUCGGUGUCGUUCCCGAUGAUGGUGGCCACCGGGCGCACAGCCUUCACACAAGCCGCGAAGUCCUUCUGGUCGAACGCUGUGCCGUCUUCUUUCAGGCUGGGGUAACCCAGGGCGAUGUCUGCCGGGUCUAGCUCCGGCAAGAAGGCUUUGGCCCGGCUCAAUGCGGCGAUUGCUCUGGAUCUCGCGGAUGCUCGUCGUAGCUCCUGGAUCCGCUGCGGCAGAACUGCGAGCCGGCGCAGGACUUCGGCCAGAUGAGUCGGCACUUCAUUCGACAGGGCCACCACAGCUAAGGCCCGCUGUGACCCGGUGUAGAGCUGUUCCACCAGGAUGUACACGGCCUUUAACUUGGUGACCACGCUCUGGUUCAAGUUGGUGCUUCUGGAACCUGUUUAACAACAUCAGAUGACCCGGUGAUAAGGAUGAGUUAAGAGAUGUAAACAUUCUAACGUGAAUGAAAGCCGGUGAGGCGACUUACCGAAGAUGGCAGCUACCAUUUGGGACACUUGGCGCUUUAGACCGGAGAGCUCAGCGGUCUUCUCAGUGAGGGCCUUCUCCACCUGUUCUGCCCGGGUCACCAGUGCAGCUUUCUCCUCAGCCCAGGCCUUCCGCUCAGCGUCGAAUUCAGUCUUUAAUUUCUCCUGAGCGGCGAUGCUGGAGACAAACUUGGCAUUUGCCUUCCGGGUCUCCAUCUCUUGUGCCUUCAGCCGACUCUUGAGAUCCGCCAGGUCCGACUCUAAUUUCUUGCCAACAGCCUGCAUAUAUUUCCGAGUUAUUAACAAUCAUUCUAUAAAGUCCCAAGCGCUUUCCAAGCAAAGACACUUGGCACUUGGGGGCUAAUGCAUAUUGAACGUAACUAUCUAUGUACGGCUGGCUCAGUUCAGUAAGCCGGAAUCUAAAGUCUACAACAUAUUCAAGUAUAAGUCCUAGACUUGGGGGCUAGAAUGACAAGGAUCACUAUGCAGAAAUAAGAAAACAGCAGAAGGUUACCUCAGAUUUCUGUUGGAUCUGGUUGACCAUGGCGAUCUCGGCGUCUCGGCUCUUGUGAACCUGGCUGAUAUAGCCUGAGACAAGCUCUCCAAUGCUUAAAUCGGUGUAGCUGGAGAGAUCCAGAUUCACCCGAUGGGGUUGCAGCAACUCCCCCUUCGCGGAGCAUUUGGCCAGUGCGGUCGGCCUCCCCGGCUCAACAUACUCCGUCCGGGUAAUUACCACGUCCGGGUCGUUAGCUGGUGGGGCUGAGCCGGACGCCUCCGGGUUAGCUGAUGCUUCGGUUGUUCUCUUGGUGCUCGGGGCAGGGGCUUCAGGCGCCGUGUCCAUGGGAAUGGUGGCUUCGGGGGCGGAGGCGGCUGGCGGCUCUUGAGCCGUCGUCUCCGGCUCAGGCAAGUCUGGCACUCCGACUGACCUUGUCUUCUUUGCUCUUUUGGUGAGCCUUGCCUGGGCACUGAAAAGACAGAAGUGUUAGGUAUACAAAAAGAAAGUACAGACAGAUAAUGUAAGGAGAUUGUUAUUACCCGGGGGCAGUCUUGAAGGCCGGCAGACUUGACUGCAUGGAGUCACCCGAAGAGGGGGAGGUCUCCUGGUAAUUGGAGUCAGAAGAGUUGAGUGGCUGACGGAUGACACCCGCCAACGGAUGAAAAGGGUACAGGUGAGAAAAAACCUCAGUGCGGCGCUUCCUUGUUGCGUCGGGUAGCCCGGUGGAGAGGCCGGUGUCCUUGCGGGCCUGGGUGAGACGCCGGCUUUCGUGAACCUGCUGCUUCAAAAGGAAUUGAGGGUCUUGAUGAGCUAAUGGAUGAGAAAAGCUUACUUUCCGGGUUACCCUUCGGACUUUCAGCUGUGGCAAAGGCUCCGAGUCGGAGGGGAGUAACGUUACCUCUUCAAUCACCGGGUUACUGGCGCCGGUGUCGUCCUGUCAGUAAACAAGUGUUGAUAAGGCGGACAGCAUCAGACAACAUAUACUGCAAGAAUUUAAAAGGUUUAAGGGUUACCUCUGACUCGGAGCUAUCGCUUAAUUGAAGCAGCUCCGAAGCAGUGGGUCUGUUUCCCUUUUUGCGAGGGGCGGCUCUCUUGGCGACUUUCUUCGCCUUCCUGGCCUUCUUGGCCGCCUCAUGGUCAUACUUGACCCGCCAGAAUUUAUCAUCAGCCUGAGAAAUACAGUAAUAAGUUCUUAGUAAGAUGAAAGGUAAAAUAAAAUGGAAAGGUUAAAGUCAGCGGCUUACCGCUGGGGCUGGAUUGGUCUUGCAGAAUGGGGCUAGCCCGGUUCUUCCACAGUCUGCCAGGCUCUCGUUUAACAGAGCCUUGGUCUCUUCCUCGGCAACAUCUUCUGGAAGGUCGUUGCGACUGUGCCUCUGCGGGUCAUCCUUUCGCCCGGUGUACUCACACAUUAAGCCGGGGCGGCGGCUCAAUGGGAUCACCCGCCAAGAGAUCCAGACCCGGACCAGGUCUAUUCCGUUCAGACCGUUGCCUAGCAGGGCCUUGAUCUUAUUGAUCGUUGGAAGCAGAGGCUGGCGUUCCGCGGCAGUCAACUUGUCGGAUAGCAGAUGAGUCGGCUCCAGGCGCGUUGGGCGAAAGCCGGGCAGCGGGCUCUCAUCAGCCGGGGACGUGUCUUGGCAGUAGAACCAAGUCAUGUUCCAGUCCUUGGGGUGACUUGGCGGUUCUGCGUAAGGAAAUAGGCAGUCCCUGCGCCGUUGGAUGGAGAUGCCGCCUAACUCUAGACUUGGACCGUUUGCGCACUCGGUUUGGCGGUUCAAAUAAAACAGCUCUCUGAAGAGCAGCAGACUCGGCUCUUCUCCAAGAUAUACUUCACAAAAAACUUGGAAGUUGCAGAUGUUGGAUACGGAAUUGGGUCCUAUAUCUUGAGGCCGAAGGUCAAAGAAGUUGAGCACGUCCCGGAAGAAUUUUGAGCCGGGCGGUGCGAAGCCCCGGCUCAUAUGGUCUGCAAAGAUCACUACCUCCCCGUCCCUCGGCUGAGGUCUCUCUUCGGACGGGUCAGGGGCGCGGUAGGACAUCACUUCCUUCCUGGGCAGAUAUCCGGACUUAACGAAGUUGGCCAGGGUCUCAUCAGUGAUGUUGGAUCUCAUCCAGUUGCAAGUGAUGGGAGCUUUGGGAGGCAUGGUGACGGUUGGUGAUCUAUGAUAAAGAGGAAAGUGUCCAGGUUAAUUAUAAGCCGGAGUUAUCAUUCAAAUUACAAUGACGGCUUAUGAAGGGGACUAAUGGUAUGUAUUGACAUGGUGGGUUAUUUAAGCCGUCAGAGUGUUCAGGAUGAGUUGGUCAUCUGCGGCUUACUGCGGUUAAGUCGGAAGAUACUACAGAGCAUGGUUCUCUUUAAACCGGAAAAGUUCUACGGCGCGUGUUUUCUUUAAGUCGGAAAUAUAAGCCGCCAAGAUUCAAGGGUUGCAGUUUUUAGUAAGUGUGGUAAAACAGAUUUCAUACGUUACAGUAAUUUUUUCGGAUCAAAAUGGUCGGGCAAGAUGAAAAUUUUCUAGACCUAAAGAAACAGAAACAGGAGAAGUUUUUAAGGUGGAACAUGGUUUUUAAGCAGUGAAAAGAGGAUUUUUUGCAGAUAGACUGGAUCUCGAACAGUUACCGCAAAGGGUCUAUGAAGAGUUAAGAUCAACGGGGGCAGUGGCUACAGGGGUUACCGAAACUUGCGGCAAUGGUGAAGAACGCGAAGAACACAAGAUGAACCCUACCACAGAUUUGUUCUAGCAAGGCAGGGAAGACUCACCGGAGUUGAGGAAGAGCGAAGAUCGCCGUCGUUAUCUGGUCCGGGUCAGGGUGAUGCAGCGGCCGGGUCGGUGAAGAUCAGGGGCGCGACGGCGGCAGAAGCUCGGGCAGAGGAACGACAACGCGAGGAAGAAGAAGGAGAGUGUGAGAAGAGAGUGCCGGGCCGGCCUAUUUAUAAGGCCGAGUCAUAAGUGGGCGCGGGAUUCAAGGAGGCCACGGCGUGGUUAUCUCCCCCUCACGGCGCCUCGAUUUUCGCAAAGACAGUAAAAGCAAAGAUUCGUUGCGGAUCUGGCGGAGUAAAAAACGGACUUAAUGGAGGAUGACGUCACGGCGGAUUAUCCGGAGUCCAGAGGAUGACGUCACUCCGGGUUAUGACCUUCACAUGAAUGGUAAGCCGGAGAUUUUUUCUGUCUGCAGAGCUGAAGAUUGACACGAGCCGGCUCAAGUCAAUCUGGGGCCUAAUGUUGAGGAUAUAGACCUUAGAGUCACCCGCCAGGAGGGGCCGGGUUACUCGAAGGAUCGUUGCCAGAAGCCCGGAGCCAAGUUUCAAGAGAUGGGCCAGAGAUGGGCUGAGACCCGGAUAUGGCUUAAAGCUCGCAGUUACAAUUAUUGUUAUAGUAGACUUGUAGUGUAAGGCAAGUAUUGGUUAGAGUCCGAGCCGGACACUCUUAUGAGCCGGCCGGGACUCUAAGGGCUGCUGGGCGUCAGCCUCCUUAUAUAAAGGGACGACCCGGCAGCGGUUUAAGGGCGACAACAAUCUUAUCAAGAGCCGGGCAUAGCUGUUUAGCUCCCUGGCGAUCGUAACCCUAAUCAAUAACACCUCAAACUGGACGUAGGCUUUUACCUUCACCGUAAGGGGCCGAACCAGUAUAAACCCUCGUGUUCCUUGUCCCGUAUAACCCCUUCAAGCUUCCUAGCUGCGAUGACUCCACGACUAAGUCCUAGCUCAAGGACAUCUGCCGUGACAAUUCCACGACACUCACUCUGAAAUUCCUUGAACUUUUCAAAGGUCUCAGACUUGUGUUUCAUUAAGUAGACAUACCCAUAUCUACUCAAGUCAUCAGUGAUAACGAUAGCUACCGCGAGCCUCAACGCUCAUUGGACCGCACACAUCAGUAUGUAUGAUUUCCAAUAAGUUGGUUGCUCGCUCCAUUGUUCCGGAGAACGGAGUCUUGGUCAUUUUGCCCAUGAGGCAUGGUUCACACGUGUCAAAUGAUUCAUAAUCAAGAGACUCCAAAAGUCCAUCUGCAUGGAGUUUCUUCAUGCGUUUGACACCAAUGUGACCAAGGCGGCAGUGCCACAAGUAUGUGGGACUAUCAUUAUCAACCUUACAUUUCUUGGCAUUGACACUAUGAAUAUGUGUAACAUCACGUUCGAGAUUCAUUAAGAAUAAACCAUUGACCAGCGGGGCAUGACCAUAAAACAUAUCUCUCAUAUAAAUAGAACAACCAUUUUUCUCGGAUUUAAAUGAGUAGCCAUCUCGCAUUAAACGAGAUCCAGAUACAAUGUUCAUGCUCAAAGCUGGCACUAAAUAACAAUUAUUGAGGUUUAAAACUAAUCCCGUAGGUAAAUGUAGAGGUAGCGUGCCGAUGGCGAUCACAUCGACCUUAGAACCAUUUCCGACACGCAUCGUCACCUCGUCCUUUGCCAGUCUCCGCUUAUUCCACAUCUCCUGCUUUGAGUUACAAAUAUGAGCAACCACACCGGUAUCAAAUACCCAGGAGCUACUACGAGCGCUGGUUAGGUACACAUCAAUAACAUGUAUAUCACAUAUACCUUUGGUAUUGCCGACCUUCUUAUCCGCUAAGUACUUGGGGCAGUUCCGCUUCCAGUGACCGUUUCCCUUGCAAUAAAAGCACUCAGUCUCAGGCUUGGGUCCAUUCUUUGUCUUCUUCCCGGCAGCUUGCUUAUCGGGCGCGGCAAAUCCCUUGCCGUCUUUCUUGAAGUUCUUCUUACCCUUGCCUUUCUUGAACUUAGUGGUCUUAUUCACCAUCAACACUUGAUGUUCCUUUUUGAUCUCCACCUCCGCUGAUUUCAGCAUUGAAUAUACCUCAGGAAUGGUCUUUUCCAUCCCCUGCAUAUUGAAGUUCAUCACAAAGCUCUUGUAGCUAGGUGGGAGCGACUGAAGGAUUAUGUCAAUGACCGCGUCAUCCGGGAGAUUAACUCCCAGCUGAGACAAGCGGUUGUGCAACCCAGACAUUUUAAGUAUGUGUUCACUGACGGAACUAUUCUCCUCCAUCUUACAACUGUAGAACUUGUCGGAGACUUCAUAUCUCUCGACCCGGGCAUGAGCUUGGAAAACCAUUUUCAGCUCUUGGAACAUCUCAUAUGCUCCGUGCUGCUCGAAACGCUUUUGGAGCCCCGGUUCUAAGCUGUAAAGCAUGCCGCACUGAACUAGGGAGUAAUCAUCAACACGUGUUUGCCAGGCGUUCAUAACGUCUUGGUUUGCUGGGACGGGUGCUUCACCUAGCGGUGCUUCAAGGACAUAUGCUUUCUUGGCAGCUAUGAGGAUGAUCCUCAAGUUCCGGACCCAGUCCGUAUAGUUGCUACCAUCGUCUUUCAGCUUGGUUUUCUCUAGGAACGCGUUGAAGUUGAGGUUGACAUUAGCGUGAGCCAUUUGAUCUACAAGACAUAUUGUAAAGAUUUUAGACUAAGUUCAUGAUAAUUAAGUUCAUCUAAUCAAAUUAUUAAUGAACUCCCACUCAGACAGACAUCCCUCUAGUCAUCUAAGUGAUACAUGAUCCGAGUCAACUAGGCCGUGUCCGAUCAUCACGUGAGACGGACUAGUCAUCAUCGGUGAACAUCUUCAUGUUGAUCGUAUCUGCUAUACGACUCAUGCUCGACCUUUCGGUGUCUUGUGUUCCGAGGCCAUGUCUGUACGUGCUAGGCUCGUCAAGUCAACCUAAGUGUAUUGCGUGUGUAAAUCUGGCUUACACCCGUUGUAUGCGAAUGUUAGAACCUAUCACACCCGAUCAUCACGUGGUGCUUCGGAACAACGAACCUUCGCAACGGUGCACAGUUAGGGGGAACACUUUCUUGAAAUUUUAGCGAGGGAUCAUCUUAUUUAUGCUACCGUCGUUCUAAGCAAAUAAGAUAUAAAACAUGAUAAACAUCACAUGCAAUCAAAUAGUGACAUGAUAUGGCCAAUAUCAUUUUGCUCCUUUUGAUCUCCAUCUUCGGGGCGCCAUGUUCAUCAUCGUCACCGGCAUGACACCAUGAUCUUCAUCAUCAUAAUCUCCAUCAUCGUGUCUUCAUGAAGUUGUCUCGCCAACUAUUACUUCUACUACUAUGGCUAACGGUUAGCAAUAAAGUAAAGUAAUUACAUGACGUUCCAGUUGACACGCAGGUCAUAAAUAAAUUAAGACAACUCCUAUGGCUCCUGCCGGUUGUCAUACUCAUCGACAUGCAAGUCGUGAUUCCUAUUACAAGAACAUGAUCAAUCUCAUACAUCACAUAUAUCAUUCAUCACAUCCUUCUGGCCAUAUCACAUCACAUGACACUUGCUGCAAAAACAAGUUAGACGUCCUCUAAUUGUUGUUGCAAACUUUUACGUGGCUGCUAUAGGUUUCUAGCAAGAACGAUUCUUACCUACGCCAAAACGACAACGUGAUAUGCCAAUUUCUAUUUACCCUUUAAAAGGACCCUUUUCAUCGAAUCCGAUCCGACUAAAGUGGGAGAGAGAGACACCCGCUAGCCACCUUAUGCAACUAGUGCAUGUCAGUCGGUGGAACCUGUCUCACGUAAGCGUACGUGUAAGGUCGGUCCGGGCCGCUUCAUCCCACGAUGCCGCCGAAUCAAGAUAAGACUAGUAACGGCAAGUAAAUUGACAAAAUCGACGCCCACAACAACUUGUGUUCUACUCGUGCAUAGAAACUACGCAUAGACCUAGCUCAUGAUGCCACAGUUGGGGAUCGUAGCAGAAAUUAAAAUUUUCUACGCAUCACCAAGAUCAAUCUAUGGAGUUUACUAGCAACGAGAGGGGAGAAGUGCAUCUACAUACCCUCGUAGAUCGCGAGCGGAAGCGUUCAAGAGAACGGGGUUGAUGGAGUCGUACUCGUCGUGAUCCAAAUCACCGAUGAUCCAAGCGCCGAACGGACAGCACCUCCGCGUUCAACACACGUACGGAGCGGUGACGUCUCCCACGCCUUGAUCCAGCAAGGAGGAGGGAGAGGUUGAGGAAGAAGGCUCCAACAGCAGCAUGACGGCGUGGUGGUGGUGGAGUGACAGUUCUCCGGCAGGGCUUCGCCAAGCACACGCGGAGGAGGAGGGGUGUUGGGGAGGGGAGGGGCUGCGCCUUGGGAAAGGUGUGGUUGCCUUCCCACCCUCCACUAUAUAUAGGGGCAAGGGAGAGGGGGCCCAGCCCCCUUAGAUCCCAUCUGGUGGGAGGGGCGGCGGCCAGGGGGAGGUGGCUUGCCCCCCAAGCAAGGGGGGCGCCCCCUUCUAGGGUUCCCCCCAAACCCUAGGCGCAUGGGCCCUAGGGGGGGUUGGCUCCCAGCCCACUAAGGGUUGGUUCCCUUCCACCUACAACCCAUAAGGCCCUCCGGGGCAGGUGGACCCUCCCGGUGGACCCCGGAACCCCUCCGGUGGUCCCGAUACAAUACCGGUAUACCCCCGAAUAUUUCCGGUGACCGUAUGGUGACUUCCCAUAUAUAAAUCUUUACCUCCAGACCAUUCCGGAACUCCUCGUGACGUCCGGGAUCUCAUUCGGGACUCCGAAGAACAUUCGGUAAUCACAUACAAACCUUCCUUAUAACCCUAGCGUCAUCGAACCUUAAGUGUGUAGACCCUACGGGUUCGGGAAUCAUGCAGACAUGACCGAGACACCUCUCUAGCCAAUAACCAACAGUGGGAUCUGGAUACCCAUGUUGGCUGUCACAUGUUCCACGAUGAUCUCAUCGGAUGAACCACGAUGUCGAGGAUUCAAGCAAUCCCGUAUACAAUUCCCUUUGUCAAUCGGUACUUUACUUGCCCGAGAUUCGAUCGUCGGUAUCCCAAUACCUCGUUCAAUCUUGUUACUGGCAAGUCACUUUACUCGUUCCGUAAUGCAUGAUCCCGUGACUAACUACUUAGUCACAUUGAGUUCAUUAUGAUGAUGCAAUACCGAGUGGGCCCAGAGAUACCUCUCCGUCAUACGGAGUGACAAAUCCUAGUCUUGAUCCGAGCCAACCCAACAGACACUUUUGGAGAUACCUGUAGUGCACCUUUAUAGCGACCCAGUUACGUUGUGACGUUUGGUACACCCAAAGCAUUCCUACGGUAUCCGGGAGUUGCACGAUCUCAUGGUCUAAGGAAAUGAUACUUGACAUUAGAAAAGCUUUAGCAAACGAACUACACGAUCUAGUGCUAUGCUUAGGAUUGGGUCUUGUCCAUCACAUCAUUCUCCUAAUGAUGUGAUCCCGUUAUCAAUGACAUCCAAUGUCCACGGUCAGGAAACCGUAACCAUCUAUUGAUCAACGAGCUAGUCAACUAGAGGCUCACUAGGGACAUGUUAUGGUCUAUGUAUUCACACAUGUAUUACGAUUUCCGGAUAACUCAAUUAAAGCAUGAACAAUAGACAAUUAUCAUGAACAAGGAAAUAUAAUAAUAACCAUUUUAUUAUUGCCUCUAGGGCAUAUUUCCAACACCGAGGUCGACAACGUUCAGGUCCCCGGUCAGAAGCACGACUAGAAAGUGCACCUCAAGGAGGUUGACAUCCACGGCAAGGAAAAGCUGGAUGUCAUAUGCACCAGCAAUCCUGAGGAAGCCGACAAGAUGAUCAGCAGGAUCCUGAAGAGGGUCUGCGGCUUGUACCCUCAGUACAUCGGCGUUGAUGUCGAGUAUACCAGGGAGGACAAACCUCCGCAGAGGGCAGCGGUUCUACAAUUAUGCAUGCACGAACUCUGUUUGGUAUAUCACAUCACCGCGGCAACAAAAUGGUGAAACAUCCUACAGUUUCAACCUCUCCAUGCUUCUGUUUAAUUAGCUUUUCACCCUGAAAUUUGAUUAAAUUGGUUUAUUGACUUGAUGUAUCAGUGAAGUUUCUGAAGUAGACGCAGCAGAAUAGAUUUUGAACUUGACUCACCAAAUCAGUUUAUGUAUUUGAUGCACUAGAUUAAUUUAUGGAUUUGAUGUACGAGAUUAUUUUCUGAACUUGAUGUUCUAGUGUACUUUCUGUUCUAGUGUAGUUUCUAUAUUUCAUGUUCUAGUGUAGUUCAGUUUCUUGAAUUGAUGUGUUAACGUGGCUAAGAAGUAGAUAGGUAAUUGAUUCAAGUGUAAAUACCAAAAAUAAAAAUAACAUGCUGUGCUUGUAUUUUAUUUCUGAACUCUGCAUAGGAGUUUCUGAAUUUUUUUCGUCCAUGAAUUAUACGUACUAUAUAAGCAUGUACUUGAUCGAUACUUGAUGGAUCCACCUUAAAUGUGUCAUCCCCCUGCAGGCCCAAGAGCCCGCGCCCGUUCCUGAAGGAGGACAUGUUCUACACCUUUGCCGGCUUCAGUAUUGAAGGUGACAAAGAGAUGCUGUGAAGUUCUGGUUUGGAGAUCAACCUCGACAAGUACAUCGACAUCCAGCGCAAAUGGAGAGUUCCUUUCAAGGGAAUAAAGAGGUACCACUCUUUGGCUGAUGUUGCAGGGAGUGUGAUCCACCCAUUCUACAAACAGAUGAAGGAUAAGAUUGAUAGGGUUGAAGACCAUAAACUGUGGGGGAUCAGCCCACUGCCAAAUUACCUCAUUGAGUAUGCAGCGAUAGAUGCAUACGCCACCUACGAGUCGUGGAAGAGAAUUGAAAACAUCAGAGAAGGUCUGGAGAGUGCAAAAGAGGCAGAGAAGAAUUAUGACGAUCCUUACUACGGAUACUAGUGAUGACGAAAACAUAGAAAAUUGGUCGUGGAGUUGCUUGUGUUUAUGCUUGUCCUUUCUAUUGUAUCAGGUUCGUAGUUUACUUCUGUUAGAACGAAGCAGUUUCUAAUGUCAUCUGUAUCAGGUUAAACAAGUUUCCUUAUGUCAAGUUGUAGUUUGUUUAUGUGAUUGAGCAAGUUAUUUAGCUUGCUAAGUACUAUGUUUAUUCAGCAAUCAUGUGAUUUUGAAGUAGUAAUGUUGCUUUUUACUCUGAAAACAACAAAAUACAAAGCAGUCUUUUUACGCUUAGUACAGUUUAGUCGUGCACACAAGCGCAACUUCUUGAGGAGUGGCAGGAGUGGCAUGGGUCAGAAUACACAGUUAGAGAGGCACAGGUUUGCAGUCUCUAGAGCCACUGGCGUGUGUUACUACAGGGGCCGGAGGCACGGAAUGGAAGUCUCUACAGAAAUGAAGGCAUCACCAGCAUCCAGAGGCACGUGGACGGAGUAGCAGAGUUGAGCAUCGAAUACAUAGUUACAGGGUCACGGUUUGGAAGUGUGCAGAGUCAAGGUUGUGCGACACCAUGGGGCAUGUAAGAGUCAUGGCAAGUGUCAUGUGAGAGAGGCACCUGGAUCCAGGUACGCAAGGCACGGGAUUGCGACUUCUCGAUGCACGAGUAUCAAUGUUGUGGGUGCACAAUAGUGUGGUCUCAGAGGCAUGUGUUGGAAUGCUCGGUUAGAGAUGCACUGUUGUGACGUUUGUGAAUAGACAUGGGCGUGGUACCGCGACCAUGUAAGAGUCGCGGGGCGUGACACGUUAGGCACGUGGAUGCAGUUACGGAAGGCACGGAGGUGAAGACCCAAGAGGCACGAAAGUGGGGUUUUUGUUGUUGCGAACAUCUAUCAAUCCUGUGGAUGUUCAAAAGUGUGAUACCAGAGGCAUGCUUCCGAAUACGCAGUUAGGGAGUCAUGGUUGUGAAGCCUCUAGAGAGUCACGCGUGUCUGGCAUCACGAGCAUGGAGUGGUGUGGGGCUUUGAGAGGCAUCACUGGCCCUUAACCCUCGGGAUGCAUGGUGGUGUGGUAGGAGAGGCUUGCUUUCUAAUACUGAGGUAGGAAGGCACCAUUGUGGAUGCACAGGUGUGAGGUCUCUAACGGCGCGAGUGGGUGGCACCACAUGCAUUUGUUUGAAUACUCAUUUAGAGAGUCACGUUUGUACUCACGCCAGAUUCAUGCUGUAGGUUGGUGGCAUUCGGCAGCACACGGUUGCAGAGAGGGGGAAUGUUUGUGAAACAUCAAAGUCACCGGCGAUCACGCGUGAGUAGUAUGUAGAGUCACGGCGUGUCGGCGUGACGCACAUAUGUCUAGGGACGGACUUGGGGCUUUAUGGGGCAUGGUCAUCAACCGCCUGGAUUGAUAGUUGUGAAGUGUCUAGGGGCACCGGCUUGUGUUCGAAUGCUUGGUUACUGAAGAAUCAAGGAACUACAUCAAUAAAAAUAGUCUGUUGCUUCAUUAUUACAGUAUGAUGUGCGGUUAAACCGUCUUCUGAUGUUUCGAUGGAGCUAGGCUCGUUCGCUUAUCAACAACUUUUUAUUCCGUGAUGUCGUUGUAGAUCUUUCUAAUCUCAUCGCCCAUUUCGCUGGGUUCGAUUGUAUUCUGAUCGCUAAAUAGUAGCCUGCACAGUUGUUGUGCUUUCCAUUGUUCCGUGCCAUCCUAUAAAAAGUUCAGUGAAAAAAAGGAGAAAAAACACAUCAGUAUUAGGUCAUGCAGUUGUAUGAUAUCUAGCAGAUUUAUUGCGAGUUUUAAGCGAAAACUUACGGCGAAAUUAUCUAUCCUUCGGCGAAGUGGUUGCCAUCAAAGAGAUGCGCGAACCUUAGAACAGCAAACGGGGUUUCACCUUUGUUCACCUUUGGAACGCCCUGUAAAAAUUGAACAUCCCAUCUAGUCUUUUCCUUUUCGAAUUUUUCACUCAGUAAUAUUUCGUAUACUUCUUUAAACCUAGGAACCUGGGAAUUGCAUUUUGUUUUUGUUUUAGAGAGACAUGUAGUGUAAUUUGUAAAACUGAAAGAUGGCAUUAUUUACAAUUCUUACCAGUUUGUCUUUAUGGUUGUGGUAUUUGUUAUGCUCCUUUUCUUUGAUGGCUUCGUUGUUUUCCAUGUUAGCAAUCUGCUUAAUUAGUUUGCCAUCAUGCACGUGUCGAUCACGUUGAUUUUUUAGGUAUUCUUGCCUCUUCAAUUCUUCAAGAGAGGUUUCUUCAGGUUCGAUGAUUUGAAGCUUCCUUCUAUAUCUGUCGAGCAUGAAUAGUGUGUAUCGGUCUUCCUUUUCAAAUGGCAUGAAUACCUGUGGUACAAAAGUUCUAUUGUUAGAGGAGAGUUUAGAAUAUAGUAUUCUGUUUGAAAUGCUUAUUUUUAUUUUGUUGUAUGGAAAACGCUAUUACCAUUUUUGCUGUUUUGAGCUUCUCUGAUUGACAUUUCUUAAGGAACAAAGGAACCAAGACAUCCCUUUCUCGUGUGAAAUCAUCUCUGAAGUUCUUCAUAGAUUUUCUUUUAUCCUUUAAACCCAGAAUAUGCUGCAGGCAACAAAUAAAAAAAAGAUAAAAACGAGUUAGAAAAAAUAGAUCGGUACCAAGAGAUUAAACAAUAGUUCGAAAAAGAUGAGUUUAUAUGAUCACUGUGAUUUUUUUUUUGAAAUUUACCUCUGCAAAGCUUGGGCCUAAUAAUAGUCUAUGUCUUUUGUGUAUAGUUUGGUUGCUGCUUUCCCAUGCUUCUGCUAACUCAUCGAGCACCUUCUUUUCCAUUGCUUGACAUUUUUUCUUGUUUGCAGGCCCAAAUAUUUCCUUUAGCUUUGAUCCAGUAAGAGUUGUGCUUUUGCUCUGUGGUUGAUCUCUCGAGAAUACUACUUUUUUGCUUACAUAUAGGGCAGUCGAAGAAAUUUUUGUUGAGAAAGUCAUUAACUAAGUAAGCUGAUAAACAGGAAUUUAAUGUUCUUUCCAGUUUCCUUUCUUAUUUGUGUGAUUUCUGCCCAACUUUAACUAAUUUGAGGUGUAAAAGGAACCAAGUUACCUUUUGAAUUCAUCCUGCCAUGUGUCACUCAUGACUAUGUUGUAGAGCUCGUUUGCCUUAUCCACGUGUAGAAAAGAAUGCCGGUGUUGCGGGGAUUUUUUUGCUGCUCUCUGAUUGAUGCUGGUUUUUUUCGUCUCGCUCUGUCAAAGCAGAUAAAAAAUCUGUUGUUUCUGAAAGAAAUAUUUGAAGCUCUAGUAAUGUUGACUGAUGGUAAAAUGAAAAUAGUUAUAUUACCUUUCAUGGGUGAAAAAAGGUUUGUAGUCUCUGGUUUGUAAUCUUUGAGUUUUCCAGGAAGUUGAUGGUCCUUUAUUUGGUUGGUUUUACCGAAUAUGAGUGUGUAUACGUACUCCGGUUUCCAUUCGGCAUCGACCUUGCUGGGCUGCAGGCAUGUGAAAAUGUAUGGUUUAUAGUUAUGUGUUGUUCACAAUUGUUAAUAAACUAAUUACGGUAAUAAAGAAAUCAAGUUAUUUGACGUGUAUGUAGUGGUAACUUACAUGAAAAUCCUCUCUGUCCUUGAGCAGUUCUUUCCCAUUAUAGUAUUUCGCAAAUUGGGCCGUGAAGUGACCGCAUUGUGUUCCUUCUUGCUUUGGUGUGCAGACCCUGUGAGGCCUUUCUGCUAUCCUUUCCCAGUCUAGUUCGUUCUUGUGUUUUAGUUUGUGGUUCUUGUUCAUCAGCACGGACAUCCUUCUCAUCUGUUAUUGCAUUAUGGUUUUGUUGUUUGGGUGCGGCAUUGAGAAAAGUAAGAGUAUCAUACUAUCAUGAGGAAAAGAGCAAAUCAAUGUACACAAAGUACGUACCAGUUCUUCUCGAUGCACGUGGUGUUGACUCCAAGACAAAUCGGCGUAGUUUACGUAGUUAAGUGAGUCAAGGAUGUCGAUGCUAUCUCUGUACUUGUUCAGUACAUAGAGCGUGUAGUGGUUGUUUGUGUGAUGAGGUAUCAUGAUCUACGUUGAGAGAGGAGAUCAUUGUUGAUGUUAAAAUUGAAUUUCAUUUUAUCGUUAAAGCUCAAAGAGAAUAGGUCAUGUGCUAAGUAAUAAUACUGAACUUACCAUCUUCGAAUGGAGGAUGUCUUUACCUCCCACGAGGAGUUCAAAUCCUUUUAGUGCAUUGUCCUCGUUGAAUUCUGAUAGCUCUCCGUUAUCAUAAUUGAGACCGAGCACCAGCUUCAAGAAAGAGAGUGUGGUUUUAGUUAAAUAUUCCUUCUAUCGUAGUAAUGGCGGCGGUGUUUUUGUGGGUGAGGUAUGCAUACAUUUGCGAAACCUGCAGGGAGUACAGUUGUGUCGUUUGGGUUGAAUUGUUCUUAUUCUGUCUAUUCCUCCAGUAACGCGUUUAGCAUGGAGCCCUCCAUCUGUGUUUCUUCUUUUCCUGCUUGUUCCAUGAAGGAUUUUGCUGAAAUGCAGUCUUCUCGGUUUGAGCUUUUAUAUUUAUAUAGCACUUAUCUGCAAGGAGGGUUUGGAAGUAGGUGAGUGAAUUGUUAGUUGUAUGUUAGGGAAUCUGUAGGUCUCUGUAAUUGUUUCCAUGGAACUAGGAGAAUCUGCUUACCCUGCGCAUUCUCUCUGUCCUUGUCGGCUCAUCAGAUAUCUAUAGAGUUGUAUGGCCUUUUCUCUGUAAAUGAAAUCUCCUGGAACAAGUGAUGCAACCUUGACUUUCCCAGGUUCCUUGCUUGGUCGUUUGAAUGGCCUCUUAAUUGAGAUUAUGUUUGCUGAGCUGAUCUCUGAUGAUUGAAUCGUUGAGGGUUUUGGGGAACUUGUCUGUACCCUUGCAAGAUGCCUUGCCUUUUUCUUGUCGUGACCUAACUGUGCCUGCUCGUUAGGUUGCCUAGGUGUUGGUGUUUCCUUUUGUGUGCUGUUUUUUUGAUGCUCGGUUCUACUAAGACUGCAGCAUCGUGUUUCCUCUGUUCAAGUAUCUUUUCUAUUAAAUCCUUCUCUUUCUGCUUUUUUCUUCUUCUUGUGCAUGUUUCACCUCAGGUGAUGUUCCUGGUUUGCGAUCUUCAUCAACAGGGUUCUUGUUCUGUUUGGAAAGCUCUUGUUGGCGAGUUGGUACACUCUUUGUCCUGUUAUCACCUUCUAAAGGAGAGCCUGUUAUGUCUUCUGUCUUUUUAUCUGGGGGUGGUCUGUCUGGUUCUAUCAGUGGAUCUUUCCGUUCGUCUUCCUUUUGUAAAUCAGUGUCUGGCUGCGCGUGUUAUUCCCUCUGUAAACCAGCAUCCGUCUGGGCUUGUUCUUCCAUGAGUGCUUCUUCAGACGCCUUGGUGGUAUCCUUGCUGCUCACAUGAUAAUCUUCUUUCUCCUCAUCACUGCUUGUGUCUUUAAUGUCAAUAACUUGUAUCUCUUGAGCGCUCGUCCCAAUGUGCUCGGGAGUUGGAGGAAUCUCUUCUUGAAUUAUGUCACAAUGUAUUCGUUGCAUUUCACUGUCUUCCAUAUCGACCUCAGAGUUCAGCAUAUCUGUUAAAAUAAAAAAUAAAAACUUAUUGGUGUGUCUCUGAAAAUUAUAUAAGUAGAAUUUUACUUUGUUGUCUUCAGAAAGAGAAACCUUUGGUGUAGUUGAUUAAUGACAGUGCGGCCGUAUCUCUGUAUUGGCUGAUUAUUUGAUAGAGAAUUUUCUUCCUCAACUCCGGGACUUGUUCUUCUGUUAGGUACACUAUUUCUCCACCGUCGGUGUAGUGCUUUGCGUUCAUGAACAUAUAGAACGCACAGUCGAGUCUGCAGGUAGAAAGAUGAUUGGUUAUUGUCGUUAUCCAAAUAUGGUUGGGCAGUUUAGGUGAAGUUGUCCUAACGUCCUAUGUUUUUUAUGGAUUGCAUUAAUAAUUUAAUUGUUACAGUGAGUAAGGAAAAGGAGAAAGGUUUGUAGUGCUUACGUUCCUCCCUGAAGUGGCACCUGCAUUUUGACCUUUUCGAAAUGGUCAAUACUACUUGGAGACAGCUGGAGCAAUUUGCUUAUUUGCUUCCAUAUCCUCUUUACUCUGCUUGUUACUGUGUUGAAGUAAUCCAUUGUGCCUUGAUAUUCAACUGGUAAAGAGUCAAGGAGUUCAAAGCGCUCUUUUUUCAUGUUUAUUGUAACAACAAAGUAGUGGCCCACAGCUCCUUCUCGAACAGGCCCACCUAUGCAAACUGGUAGAAAGAACUGCAGAAUGCAAAAUAAAUAAAUAAGGGAUCCUUCUUGGAUUUAAUCAUGAUUUGUUGAUCGUUAGUCGGAAUUGUAAUGCCGAGAUUGUAUUUCUUAUCUGUAACAUGAGAUGUGCUUACUAUGUUGAAAUCUUGUAGUUGCUCUCCUUCUUCCAGAUCAAGGAAUCUUUUAAGCCUUUUAGGCAUUGUCUUGUCUCUGACGUGUGCUUCGUCUUUAUUUUUGAACUCCAAUGGAUCUUCGUGGUUGGCCAUGCGUAUUGAUGCCUGCUUUUUUUGUCACAUGUGCGUAAAGAGAUUUGUAAAUUCAAUUGUACAGAAAGGUUGAUUGAUCGAUAGAGUGAUAUUCAUUGUUAAAACUUGAGGUUUACUUACUGUGUUGUAUGUUGAUAGAAUCUUUCUCUUUGUGCCCCUGAAUUGCUUUUUCAACAUCUGUAGCAUGACUGCCAUGGUUUCGCUGCGCACUGCCUUUCCAGUCUCGAAGCUUUCUGCCAUGAGGCUGAUGACCGUUACUGUUGAUGUCUCUGUAUUUAUAAAAAUCUCGUGCCUGCAACAUAUAUAUAUAUAUAUUUAUAUAUUUACAGGUAUACAUGUAAAAUGUUUAAGGGAGGAAAUAAUUGGAAGAAUAUAAUUCUUUGGUGGUAACAUGAACUUACCCUUUGUCCUUAUUCGCUGUCAUGACAUUGUUGUACAGGCAUUCGAUCCCUACAUCUUUUGUGCCUUCUUCGAUGGCCAGGUUUUGUAUGAUCAAUGGUUCACGUUCUGUUUGUGUGCCGUCCUGGCUUACCGUCGUGUUUGUGGCGGCAACAUCUUUUACAGCACAAUGUUUCUUGUCUGAUGGUGUGGCCUUUUUCCUGUUGUUGUCUGACUCUCUCUGGAAUGUUUGCUGCAUGGUUUUCCAAUGCACCGUGGCCCUUUGCUUCUUUGCUUGUGUCUGCGUGCGUGUCUUGUUGAGGUUUCUGCGUUAUCAUGCAAAAGCGUGGUUAAAAAUAAUUAAAUAUGCUCGUUAUUUUCAUUGUAGUUUAGUGUCCGUUCCCUAAGAAAAAUACUCAAAUGUUUAGUGUGUCUUUGAACAUUUUUUUUGUAGCUUCACCUUUUCAGUCGUUUCCGCCGGUGCUGCCUCUUCGAGCUUUUCUUCGGUGAGUGGAGGUUUUUGGAGCUCCUCUGGAUCUUUUUCGUUUUGUUCAUCCGUGGUGUCGUCGUUUUUGUCUUGUGGCUGUUGAGACAUAGAGGUAGGUAAAUGAGAUUGCAUUUGUGUCUUUGUUCACUCAAAUAUCUAAUUUCCUUAAAAGCAGGUUAUGUCACUUCACCUUUUCAAUAUUUUGCGUCGACAUUGCCAUCCCUGUUAUUUCUUGCUCGGACAGCGAAGGUUUUCUGGCUUGGUCUACGGAGGUUACGCUGUCCGUUGUUGGAAGAACAUCUUCUGCUUGUUCCAUUCCCUUGUGUUGUUGUGUUUGUUGGUCUUGAAUAUUGGUGCUCUCCUCUGUUUCUUGCAUCUGUCGGAACGCAAAAAAGUAAUUAAAAUGUGUCUGUGUUUCUUUCUGGUGGGUGCAUUUUUUUAUAUGCUAUAGAAAGAGGUUUUGUAGCUUGACCUCUACAUUCAAUCUCUCUUUUGCCGUUCCUGUCACUUCUUCUCUGUCUUCUGGAGUUUUUGUACAUUGUCGAGCGGUAGCAGCACUUUCUAUCGCUUCUUGAGGCACAUCUUCUGCUUCAUUUGUUUCUUUCUUCUGUUCAAUCAAAAAAUGUAAAUAAAGUUUGGACUUCAUCUGUGCAUGCAUAACUUUUUUGUUUUAACGUUGUAGUAGCAGGUGCGUGUAGCUUUACCUCGUUGGUCUUCAAUGCUGGUGGCAUGUCUUCUCGGUUGUGUUUGUCACGUGAAGACUACUCUUUGGUCGGCGUACUGGGUACCAUUUUAGUCGCCAUUUGCCCUUGUUUUUUGGUUUGUUCUUUUUGUACUCCUUGCUGUUCUUCGGCAUGACCGUCCUUGUUUGUUUCCUGCGUUUCAUAAAAAGGAAGCAUGAUUCAUUGCUUGUAAUUCUUGUAUUACCGUGACAGGUUGUGCUGGGCAGUACAUUUCUUAUAAAUUUUGGAAAAAUGGUUCUUGUUGAAUUUUACCUUUGCGCCGGUGGUUGGAUAUCCGUUUGUGCGUCCACUUUUUCUUUGCUUUGUAUACUAGCCUUGGGUGUGUCACCAGGUGUAGUGUCUGAGGCUUUCUCCCAUGUAUCGGUCAUCUGAAAUGCUCUUGUGCUGAAAAGCUCUUCUAUAUCAACUUUCUGUUUUGCAUGGGCAUCCUCUUCUCUUUGCUGUGCUUGUAAUACCUGAUAGAUGAAACAAUAAGAGUUGACGGUAUUUGGGCAAAAGUGGGUUUGGAAGUUUUACCUCUUCUUUGUUGUUUUCUUCUUGUUUUUGUGCCGUGCUGUUAACGGUCGAUGCUAGAUCAGCCCGUGCCUCGUUUGCGGGAGCGUUGAUAUGAUACUUGUCCGGCUGAGUGUAUAUUUUGUUGCAGAUUUUUUAGUUAACUCAAGACCGUUUCUAGUUUAGAGAGAAGAGACUUUUUAGAAAGAAGAGACUGAUUUUUUAUACUCACGUCUUUGCUGCCUCCGAUCAUGUUCGUCUCUUGUACUGCUCCUGUUGACGCUCUUGAGGGAGCAUCAUCUGUUGUUGGGUUGCUUGUUCUAUUGCUUCCAUCCUCUUGCUCGGUGUUCUUGACGACAUGCUACUGUUGGCCUUUAUGUUUCGGUGGCAUUCUCUUGCCGUGUCCUUGACAUAAUCGAAGACAUAUUUUUUAAGUUCAAGUUUGAAAGCAUCGCUUUCGAGUCACAUGGAUGAUGUAUUUGUUCUCAUUUACCUAUUUCUCAUCUUGAUUCUCUGCUUCUGCAGCUACUUUUCUACCUUGUUCUUGCUGUCCUUCGACACUUGCUGUAUUGGUUGAUACGUGCUCCUUGCUUUGCUCUUUUCGCACCUUGUUAUGUUCUUUUGUCUCCCUCUGGCUAAUUCUCAAGGUCUGUGUUCUUGAUUUUGUUAUUCUUUUCUUCCUUUCAUGUUUGUUUUGUUGGUCUUGUUCUUCCUUCUUCCUUUUUCUCCUCCCUCUUGGUUCUGCUAUGGCUACGACUUCUUUCGUGUGGUUGCCAUGUACAAGUGCAGCUGUGGCUCCUGCGUCUGCUCCAUCCUGCAACUUCAGCGUUGUCUCUUCUGGUAAGCUCACUCUGCAAACAAUGUCCUAAAAUUUUCUAAGUUGUUCGAGAGAAUCAAUCAGGGCCGUUGUUUGUUGCACCACUGAGUUCUUCAUGUUUUCAUCUAAUUCCUCCUCUUGUUCGCUGCAUUGGUGUCCAGCCUGGUCUUUAUUCCAGGUAUCUGUUUUGUUUCGUCGAGUACUUGUUUCAACAUUUCUUCUAUCCUUCCGAAUAUUUCAUAUGAUCCUGUGCUGGUGCCUGUGACUGGUUCCUUGCUUCCACUCGUGCUGACAUGUGCUUCGUCCUAGCGCUUGGUUGGAGGUGGUAGUAGCUCGGUCGUCUGCUUGUGCUCCUGUUGUUGUGCUGGUAUCAUCUGUAUUGAAUACGAAGGUGUUGCUAUGCUGGCAUAGAAGAUCCUCUCUGCUGUUCCUUUCCAUGUCUGCAUUGUUUCGGUAGAAUGGAAUUGGUUAGACUGGAAACCAUUUUUAUAAGGGAUAAUGCAUAUAUAUUCAAUAGGGCUAUACCUUUAUCUUGCCAAAUUCAUAGUCAUCUGGUCGUGCUUUUCCGGCCCUUUUCAUGUCUGCUCUAGCUAUUUUCUUUAGGUCACUCUCUUUUAGGUGGUUUGCUCGCGGUAAUGAUGUCUUGUCCAUUGUCUUUGCAAUCUUGCGCAUUUCUAUUGUGUCGGUCGGCAGCAGCAGGGAGUCGAGGUACAUUAUUACAGGUCCCUGUGCCAAACCAUUGAGAUGCUUUUUGUUCUUUUCUUCCUGAGGCAACAACCUGUGCUUCUGCCAUAUCUUGGCUCCUUCCUUAAUACUUUCGACGAUUACCUCGUAGAAAUCCAUCUUUGCCAUUUCUGGAUAGUCCAAGUCCUUGACCAUAAUGGCUUGUUUGCUGAAGGUAGGGGAGGUUGUUCCACAGACAACGUUGUGGAAAAAAUAAGGAAACAUAUUUUAACUAAUUUCCUGUUUGAUUGUUCAUCAUCUACUUUCACCAAUUUUUGUAGUUCUUUAAAGAGAUCGUUGUGAUGGAAAUCCAUUUUCUUGAGGCAAAGUUCUGUGAUCAGUUCUUUCAUUGAAGUUGGGCUCUUCGCUGGCCUUGGUGCUGACUUUUCCGUGCCGUUUGGGUAUCCAAACACCUUGUGUAUAGCUUCCUUGGUAAUCUUGAUUUCUUUCUGCUGAUCAGCUUCACCGAAUGUUAUUGUCAUGCUUUCUGUGUCCAGGUUGCCAUAGAUGUGUGCUGCAAGCGGUUUGCAGAUGGAGCGCUUUAUUUGGCAUUCCUCUAUGCUUCCAAACCCGGCCGUCCUAACAUCUUGCCGGUGACGUUCUUCUAGUAAGUUCCAUGCUCUAUUGACCUGAUCAAAUGCUGCUCCUGCCUUGAUUUCGCAUUUGUCCUUAUUUGUUGUUGCCUCAUGUUCAUCAUCCGUUGGUGCUGCCAAUUCUUUUCCACUUGUCUUUAUCCUCUUUGUCCGCUUCUAUCUUGGUUUCACCUGUGUAGAAAAAGAGUGUUUUGUUAUAGAGGAUGGUUUGGUUUUCAUGGGUGAAAAGCGGUAGGAAAAAUCUGUAGAGAAAAUGUCUUUUACAUCAUUGUUGCUGUCCUCUGCGGCGUCAUCGCCCUUUGUAUGAAUGAGAUCAUCAUCAUGUUUUGUACCAUCAUCGUCGUCGGCAGCAUCACGCUCUGACUCUUUGCUGGCAUCAUCCUCGUCUUCUUCCAACCGUUGUCUUUUGUUUUUCUUCUUGGUUUUAGUUAGUUCAUUCUUGACCCCUAUAACUGCUGGCGGGAGCACCAUUAGAGGUCUUGGCUGCUGCUACUGCAAGGUAGCACUGUCGCUGAUGAGUUGAGUUUUGUCCUUUAUCUUUUGUCUUUUUGUUCUAGAGGAACGUCAGUCUUGGUUUCUGAUGGCCUCUCUUUUUGUAGCUCCCUGCUCGAAGUUGGUGCUAGCACUUGCUCGGGUGCUUCGUUGUCCAUGUUCCGCUUCGUUCUUUUUUCUGACGGGUCAGGAGAGAUGAGUGAUUUUUUUGGAUAUGCACUAUUAAGUUCAGACAAAAUCGUUUCAAUAUCUCCUCCUGCACCUCCGUCACCUGCACGAUGAUUAUGUAACAAAAGGAUUACGUAGUAAAAUCGAAAUAAAUGGGAUAUAGUUUUAAAACCAUGUCUUCUACGACUGCACAAAAAGAAUCUGAAACUUAAUCUGCAUAGAUUCAUAAGAUAGCCCUUUUCUUUCAUUUCCUGAGCUAAAAAGGCGAUCAAUCCAUUGUUUUCUUGUUAUAUCAAGUCUUCCUCCUAACUCUUGGUUUGGCCAAUCAGUGAUAGAAAUUAGGGUCAGGUGUGAGUAGUAUGGCUGCUGUCAAGUCCAUAUCAGUGAGGGGAAGUCUUUUUUAUAGGGAAAAACACUACAAAUGAUAUUCUGUAAAUAUAAUUGUAAGGUUUAGAGGGUAAGAUAAAAUGGUCUCGAAUGAAUAAUAAUACACAUAGUGUGUGAAAAAUUUCAUCGUAGUGCAAUUUCCCAGGAUUGUGUGGACGUAAGUGGUUAACUUACUGCUGCUGCUACAUAGUUUUUGUUAUAUGGAUUGUGUGAGCCUUUUAUAGUACCUUGCUGCACGGCAGGCUGUUCUGCAGGUACCCUGUUUUCCUUAUUACCAUUCCUUGCUGCGUAAAAAUGCCCCGGCGUUAGCAGCAGUAGAAGCAAAAUUUAAUUUCACAGCAAAAAGAGGAGAUGCAUCCCGUGGACAAAAAAACGGCAUUGUCAGAGAGGCACGGAUUGUUUCACGCUAUAAGCACACAGCUAGAUCUAUUAUUGGAGCACGGAUGUUGAUAUGAGGGAGGCACAUAAUUUGAAACAGAUACAAUUAACGGAUAUAUAGAAUCUCUUGUAAAUACCAGGUUUCGAAUUUAAGGAUGCUCUCAUGGUUUGAAUCUAGAGCGGUGUCCUAGAUAGUUCUGGCAUGCACAGUAUGUUUUAGGCAAAUAUCUUGCGAGCAGAUUUCUGUGGCGGAUAGGGGUAGUAUCUUAUUGCACGCGUGUCUACCUUAUUUCAAUUUUGCUAGAAAAGUCUAAACAUACUUUUUGGAAACGCGGUUUUGUGUGGCGGUUAGGGUUCAUGUCCGUCAAAAAGGGGGGAAAUCGCUUUGAUCGAACUGUGGUAAUGGAAUGUAAUGGAUUAAUAUUUUUUUACCUUCGAUUGCUUGUGAGGGAUUCGUCGCAUCCAUCGGCUGCUUUUUCUCCUUGCUCUCUGUUGGUACCUCCGCCGCGAGCAGGGGUCGUCGCCGUCAGUCGCCGCCGCCGCCGGGAGAGGUUUUUGAUGCUUUCGUGGGCACCCACCGACUGUCUGUAUCUCGAAGUGGACGGUGGCUGGUGGGUGAGGCGAACGCGAUUUGGAUUUUUGGUUGGUCUGCUGGAUUGGACAAUGCGGGCAGAAGGAGAGAGGAGGGUGUUCGAGAGAGGGGAACUGGUGAAGUGUUCGAGAUUUUCGGUGCGAAAGCAAAAGGAAGAAAGUAGUGGAGGGAGAGAGGGAAAUGGUCGAACCGUCGCGAAUCUUCGACCGUCCGGUUUCACAUCAAGAUUGGUGUAACUUUCUGUGGGCUUCGAUGGGCUUGUUUUUUUCCUUGCUUGCUCAACUGCAGGAGCGUUUUUUUAUUUUAGUGUGGUGACAUCCACGUGGGCAUGGUUUGGUGUUACCCAGAGUCACGUUCGUGCUUGCGCGUGUUACAAACAUUUUCUAUGACGUUCCACGGUGAGGCGCAUGGAAGUGAGGCCACCAGCGCUCACCCUCCUAUGGAAAUGGCGAAGCGUCUCGAAUCUUCGAAAAUCCGUUUGGUCAUCAAGAUUGGUGAAACUUUCUGUGUACUUCCGCUCGCUCGUUUGUAUGCUUUUGGUAUUUCCAAAUGAUUCUGCUCGCUCGUUCUCUUGGAGAGGAAUGGACGUGAAAAUGGCGGGGGCAAGUAUUGUUAUUAGCCAGAGUCACGUUUGUCCACGCGUGUGUUACAUGCAUUUUCUCUAGCGAGUCACUGUGAGGUGCGUGGAAGUGAAGCCGAGUUGGCACUGUGUUGCUAAUGCAACAGGCACACUCCUGACGCUGUGUAUGGAAAUGUUUUCCUUGUCAACUCGUUCCUUUUUUGUGGAGAGUCGCGGUGGUGCGUUCCAGGGAGGCAGUGUUUGUUAUUAGAGAGAGUCACGUUUCAUGGUUCUUUGUGUUCCAAACGAUUCCGCUCGCCAGUUCAUUUGGAGAGGCAUGGACAUGAACUCAUGGGAAGCAUGUUAACGCAUUGGUCAGAGUCAAGUUACCACGGUUGUAUGCUUUUGGUAUUUCCAAAUGAUUCCGCUCACUCGUUCUCUUGGAGAGGAAUGGACAUGAAAACGGCGGAGGCAAGUAUUGUUAUUAGCUAGAGUCACGUUUGUCCACGCGUGUGUUACAUGCAUUUUCUCUGGCGAGUCACUUUGAGGUGCGUGGAAGUGAAGCCGAGUUGGCACUGUGUUGCUAAUGCAACAGGCACACUACUGAUGCUGUGUAUGGAAAUGUUUUCCUUGUCAACUUGUUCCUUUUUGUGGAGAGUCGCGGUGGUGCGUUCCAUGGAGGCACUAUUUGUUAUUAGAGAGAGUCACGUUUCAUGGUUCUUUGUGUUCCAAACGAUUCCGCUCGCCAGUUCAUUUGGAGAGGCAUGGACAUGAACUCAUGGGAAGCAUGUUAAUGCAUUGGUCAGAGUCAAGUUACCACGGUUGUAUGCUUUUGGUAUUUCCAAAUGAUUCCGCUCACUCGUUCUCUUGGAGAGGAACGGACGUGAAAACGGCGGAGGCAAGUAUUGUUAUUAGCCAGAGUCACGUUUUUCCACGCGUGUGUUACAUGCAUUUUCUCUGGCGAGUCACUAUGAGGUGCGUGGAAGUGAAGCCGAGUUGGCACUGUGUUGCUAAUGCAACGGGCACACUACUGACGCUAUGUAUGGAAAUGUUUUCCUUGUCAACUCAUUCCUUUUUUGUGGAGAGUCGCGGUGGUGCGUUCCAGGGAGGCACUGUUUGUUAUUAAAGAGCGUCACGUUCGUGCCUGCGUGUGUUACGGGCGUUUUCACUAAGGUGUCACCUCGAGAAGCUUGCAAGUUAAUUCGCGGAUAUAGUAAGAUUUUGAUAUAAAUAUCAUUUCAAAAAAAUUGGCAAUGGAUAAUAGUAUGAAUUCGACAGUAAUUUCUCUGGAAUACAGACAGACGCACACAGUAAGUUAACUGUGUUUGAGAUGUUUUUUGUUGAAUAUAUACGGACCAUUUGAAAGAAGUUGAGUGGUUGUAGUGUGGACGAACGCACGGGGAGGCGAAGUGAUAGUACUUGUGUUUCCCAGGCGUGCAGAGUUCGAGGUAUUUAAGAGAGAUUGUGAGAAUUCGAGGCGUCGGUUACUCUGUUUGACUAUCUGACCGGUGUGCAUGUGUUAUAAAAAGGUACCUACUCAUGGAACACUCCACGUCCACAAUUCUCCAGAGACAGGCACCUCUUUUCUAGCUGGUAGCUCCUUGCUUGCACCAUGGCAGGUAAGAGGGGUUCUGGGUGUUCAAGCAACCAGGCAGCGAGGACCAAAGCCGCGGAAAGAAGGGAGAGGUGCCACCGCUACGCUGUAGCGGCGGCAGGGAUAUCCUGCCCCGUUGCCCAGGUGUCGAACGAUCUCUCGCGUGGAGGCGAAUCUUCCCACAAGCGCAUUCGCCAUGGAGACGAUCUCGGCAAGAUGGCAGUACCAAAUUCCUUAGCCAGCGACGACGUGCUCGAUGAGCUAAUUAAGCAGCAGAAGUUCAUCGCUCGCCUGGAGAAGUUGGUGCAGCAGAGCAAUGCCUCUGUGGAGAAGUCCACUGGUCUCAUAUUUCGAUCUCUGUGUGAGAAUGAGAAGCUUCUCAAAGAGCUCCACCAGAAGGAUCAGGAGGCCGCUUGCUGGAAGAAUCUGUAUGAGCAGAGCCAUGCGUUGGUGCAGAAGCUGUCGGGCAAAGUGGAGCAGCUUAUGGAUGAGAAGGCCGAGGUCCUCGUCAAGUACAAGAGCCUGGUUGAGGAUUCGUAUGCUGCUGUGAAGGAAGGUCGUGAGGCGAUGAAGAAGCAGAUUGAGGAUGCGCUCGCCCACCAGCCGAUCAAGAACGUUGCUGGAGUGUAGGCAGAGAGCUUGAAGCGUGUUUUUUCGUUGCGUUGGGGCAUGUGGCCUUUUGUACUUACAUGAAUCUGUAAAGCAUUUAUGUGUUGCAUUGUCGUCGUGUUGUUUCGUUCGUUGGUACAUGUAGAUGAGUAGACUCUGCGUACGGAUGUCGCUUGUUAGCAGUAGGAGCACGGUUGUGCUUCCAUUAGGGGCACUUCGUGGGGCUGCGGGGAGCACGUUCUUGCCACACGUGCGUAGUUGUGGUCCAUAUGAUUCCGGUUGCUCGUUCACAUGGAUAGGCACGGGAGUGGUUGUCUGUGUUUACAGACGUGUCUUCCUGGGAGAUGAUCCCCUGUAAGAGGCGCGGAAGUGUAGUCACGCGAAGCACGGUUUUAAUACGAGAUGGCGUUCCUCCCUGGCUGUUGUGUGCGUCUGGUUUUAAUACUGACUUGCGUCGCGCUUCUUUUAUUAGAAGCACGGGCGUGAAGUGAAUACAGCCGCGGUUCUGUACCAAGCAGCGACAUGAGUUGUGUACUGACAAUGGCGUGGACGUUCGUGGUACUGCUAAGUGUCACAGGCACGGGCGUGAAGCGCUAAGAGGCAUGUUGCCGUAUAAUAUGGAGUCACGCUCCCCUGUGUUUUUGUUCCGAGUGCUUCCGUCGACUCGACCAGAAGGAGAGGCACGGCCGGUGAGGCAUAGCUUUUCAUUACGCACAGUCACGUUCGUUUCUUUAACCCAGCGGAAUGGGUUGAGACGCCAACACUUCUGUUGACUCUGUUUUUAGAAGCUUCUUUCCUUGUUUUCAAAAGCACAGUCACGCUUCUUUGUUGAUGUUUCGUAUAUUACUCGAUAAAGACUCGAUCAGAAGCAUAGGCAAGGCCGGUGAGGCAUAGCUUUUCAUUACGCACAGUCAUGUUCGUUUCUUUAACCCAGCGGAAUGGGUUGAGACGCCAACACUUACUGUUGACUCUGUUUUUAAAAGCUUGUUUCCUUGUUUUCAAAAGCACAGUCACACUUCUUUCUUGACAUUUCGUAUAUUACUCGAUAAAGACUCGAUCAGAAGGAGAGGCACGGCCGGUGAGCCCAUAGAGGCAUAGCUUUUCAUUACGCACAGUGACGUUCGUUUCUUUAACCCAACGGAAUGGGUUGAGACGCCAACACUUACUGUUGACUCUGUUUUUAAAAGCUUGUUUCCUUGUUUUCAAAAGCACAGUCACGCUUCUUUCUUGAUGUUUCGUAUAUUACUCGAUAAAGACUCGAUCAGAAGGAGAGGCACGGUUGGUGAGCCCAUAGAGGCAUAGCUUUUCAUUACGCACAAUCACGUUCACUCGAUUAGAUGGGAGAGGUACGGGCAUGGUAUGGUAUUAUAUAGAGUCACGCUCGUCUGUGUUUGUGUUCCGAAUAAUUCCGUUGAAUCGAUCAGAUGGAAACCCAGCGGAAAGGCACCAUUUGGUCUUACCUACAGUCACGUUCGUUUCUUUAAUUGCGGAAACCCAGCGGAAAGGGUUCAGCUGUGAACACUCAAUGACUCGGUGAGGCACAGAAUGGCUUGUUCGAGAGAAGCUGCUGUGGUGUAUUCUUUGCACGGUGGUGGGUCCCAGGAAGUGACGGUGUGGUAUUGUAAAUAGUCACGUUAUGUUGUUUUCGUGUUCCAAAUGAUUCCGUUGAACCGUUCGCAACGGCAUGCACAUCCGUGCAGCGCGAAGAGGCAUGGUUAUGAUUUACCAAGAGUCACAUUCGUGCGUUUAUCGCGGAAACCCAACGGUUCGACGGACGUCUCUUCGUACCUCGGGAGUGAACGCCAGGUGGCGCCGCUCCAGAAACCUAAUGGUCCGACGGGCGUCUCCUCCGGCGACGCCGCUUUGGCUCGUCGCCCGAGGCCAGGCUCCGGCUAUUUAAGGCAGACGGACGGAGUCUCGAAACCCUAGCCACAUUCUACUCCUCCCUUCGUCCGCCGCCAGGCCUUCCAUUCCUCUUGCUCAUCUCUAUUAACUGACCAUCUCCGCCAUGGCUGGGCAGAAGGAGACUACUCCAGACGACCGUGCCUUAUUGCGGGAGGAGAUCCCGGCUCGCGAGGGUUCCUCGUUUGUAAGUUCACCCUGUUUCUGCUUCUCCUUCAUUCGUUUUUUCUUUCUUUUGGCUGCUUUGAUUUAGUUUGUGAAACAUGAAUUAUUGUGGUCAGCUGACUCCUAAUUUGAUGUGGGUGUGUCUUGCUGAUACUGAUUUACAGUCAGUUGGAGCUACUCUCAUUAACCUGGUCAAUGGGAUGAAUGCCUUGGUUUCAAUUGCAAAGGUUGACAGAACGUACAAGGAGUUGCUAGAGGUCACCUACGAGUGGCAGCAGUUCUACCAGGAAACAAGAAAGAUUUGGAGAAGGCCAAUGCUAGCAUCGUAGAAAUUACGGCUGUGAGGAGCAAUCUCCUUGAAGAGCACACCCGGUCGUUGCAAGAAUUGGCCGCAGCUGUGAAGCGACAUAACGAGAAUAUGAAGGCGCUGAAGGAGGAGAUUGAUGAACUGCGCCAGGAGCAAACCAGCAAGAAGGUCGGUGGGGACUAGAUAUACAGCAGCGUCCCUGGCUGUUGUGUGCGUGUGGUGUUGUUAAGCAGUGGAAUGGAGUUUGUUACCUUGUCUUGUGAAAUUUCGUUGUCAGCUACGUACUUUGUUAACAAAAUGUAUUUUGGUUUCAAGUAUCAUUGUAAUUAGGCGCCGUUACUUAUGAUGCACGGGACGUGAAGUCUCUGCAGCCACGGUUGUGAACCUAGUAUUGUAAUGACUUGCGUACUGAUGUAGGCGUGUACUUUCGUGGCUUUUGUGUGUUGCAGUGUUUCGGGUCACGGACACGGGCUUGCACCCCACAAAUUCAUGGUGUGGCUUUAUAUAGAGUCACGUUCGCCUGUAUUUGUGUUCGAAAUGAUUCCGUUGACUCGUUCAGAAAAAUAGGCACAUACGCAGGUGAAUCCCAUGGGGGCAUGGUUUCGUCUUUCGCAUAGUCACGUUCGUACGUUUAUCAUGGAAAGAAAGCAGAAUGCGUUUAGAUGUUAACGCUAGCUGUUUACUUUGUGAGUGGCCGAUUCGAGAGUUGAGUUGUUUAAAAGCGUAAGUUCCUUGUUUUUAAAAGCCACGAUUCUGUACUGAGUUGCGUCGCGCUUCUUUUAUUAGAAGAACGGGGGUGAAGUGAAUACAACCGCGGUUCUGUACCAGCCAGCGACAUGAGUUGUGUACUGACAAUGGCGUGGACGUUCGUGGUAAUGUUAAGGGUCACAGGCACGGGCGUGAAGCGCUAAGAGGCAUGUUGCCGCAUAAUAUGGAGUCACGCUCCCCUGUGUUUCUGUUCUGAGUGCUUGCAUCGACUCGAUCAGAAGGAGAGGCACGGCCGGUGAGCCCACAGAGGCAUAGCUUUGCAUUACGCACAGUCAAGUUUGUUUCUUUAACCCAGCGGAAUGUGUUGAGACGCCAACACUUACUGUUGAAUCUGUGAGGCACCGAAUGGCCUUUGUGAGAGACGCUGUUUUUAAAAGCUUGUUUCCUUGUUUUCAAAAGCACAUUCAUGCUUCUUUCUUGAUGUUUCGUAUAUUACCUGAUAGAGGCGUGGACUCGAUUAGAUGGGAGAGGGUACGGGCAUGGUGUGGUAUUAUAUAGAGUCAUGCUCGUCUGUGUUUUUGUUCCGAAUAAUUCCGUUGAGUCGAUCAGAUGGAAACCCAGCGGAAAGGCACCGUUUGGUCUUACCCACAGUCACGUUCGUUUCUUUAAUUUCGGAAACCCAGCGGAAAGGGUUCAGGUGUGAACACUCACUAUUUACUCGGUGAGGCACGGAAUGGCUUGUUCGAGAGAAGCUGCUGUGGUGUAUUCUUUGCACGGUGGUGGGUCCCAGGAAGUGACGGCGUGGUAUUGUGAAGAGUCACGUUAUGUUGUUUUCAUGUUCCAAAUGAUUUCGUUGAACCGUUCGCAACGACAGGCACAUCCGUGCAGCACGAAGAGGCUUGGUUAUGAUUUACCAAGAGUCACAUUCGUGCUUUUAUCGCGGAAACCCAACGGCUCGACGACCGUCUCUUCGUACCUCGGGAGUGAACGCCACAUGGCGCCGCUCCAGAAACCUAACCGUCCGACAGGCGUCUCCUCCGGCGAUGCCGCUCUGGCUCGUCGCCCGAGGCCAGGCUCUGGCUAUUUAAGGCGGACGAACGGAGUCUCGAAACCCUAGCCACAUUCUACUCCUCCCUUCGUUCGUCGCCAGGCCUUCCAUUCCUCUUGCUCAUCACUAUUCAUUGACCAGCUCCGCCAUGGCUGGGCAGAAGGAGACUACUCCGGACGGCCGUGCCCUGUCGCGGGAGGAGAUCCCGGCUCGCGAGGGUUCCUCGUCUGUAAGUUCACCCUGUUUCUGCUUCUCCUUCAUUCGUUUUUUCUUUCUUUUGGCUGCUUUGAUUUAGUUUGUGAAACAUGAAUUAUUGUGGUCAGUUGACUCCUAAUUUGAUGCGGGUGUGUCUUGCUGAUACUGAUUUACAGUCGGUUGGAGGUUGGGUUAGUCUGCGUCAUGGUCUUGAACAGAAGUCCCCUGCUGUAGAAUUGGGGAGCAGCUGUGGCUUGAAAGAGAAGGGAAUGGUGAGCGGGGCGGUGACGGCAAGUGCUGUGAGGUCCUUGUUAGUUACUCUCAAUAACCUGGUCGAUGAGAUGAAUACUUUGGUUUCAAUUCCAAAGGCUGACAAAACGUACGAGCAGCCGCUGGAGAUCACCUACGCGUGGAAGAAGCUUUGCGAGGAAAAAAGGAAGAUUUGGAGAAGGCGAAUGCCAGGAUCGUAGAAAUUACGGCUGAGACGAGAAAUCUCCUUGAAUAGCACAUACGGUCGUUGCAGGAAUCGGCCGUAGCCGUGAAGCGACAUGACGAGAAUAUGAAGGCGUUGAAGAAGGAGAUUGAUGAACUGCGCCGGGAGCAAACCAGCAACAAGGUCGGUGGGGACUAGGUAUACAACAGCGUCCCUGGCUGUUGUGUGCGUCUGGUGUUGUUAAGAAGUGGAGUGGAGUUUCUUACCUUGUCUUGUGAAAUUUCGCUGUCAGCUACCUUGCUAACAAAAUGUAUUUUGGUUUCGAGUAUCAUUGUAAUUAGGCGCCAUUACUUAUGAUGCACGGGACGUGAAGUCUCUGCAUCCACGGUUGUGAACCUAGUAUUGUAAUGACUUGUGUACUGAUGAAGGUGUGUAUGUUCGUGGCUUUUCUGUGUUGCAGUGCUUCGGGUCACAGACACGGGCUUGCAUCCCACAGAUUCAUGGUGUGGUUUUAUAUAGAGUCACGUUCGCCUGUAUUUGUAUUCGAAAUGUUUCCGUUGACUCGUUGAGAAAAAUAGGCACAUACGCAGGUGAAUCCCAUGGGGGAAUGGUUUCGUCUUUCGCAUAGUCACGUUCGUACGUUUAUCAUGGAAAGAAAACAGAAUGGGUUUAGAUGUUAACGCUAGCUGUUUACUUUGUGAGAUUCAAGAGUCGAGUUGUUUAAAAGCGUAAGUUCCUUGUUUUUAAAAGGCACGGUUCUGUACUGAGUUACGUCGCGUUUCUUUUUUUAGAAGCACGGACGUGAAGUGAAUAUAGCCGCGGACGAUGACUUGUGCAUUGACGAUGGCGUGGACGUUCGUGGCAGUGUUAAGGGUCACAGGCAUGGGCAUAAAGCCCUAAAAGGCAUGCUACCAUAUAAUAUAGAGUCACUUUCCCGUGUGUUUGAGUUCCGAAUGAUUCCGUCGACUCGAUCAGACGGAGAGGCACGGGCGUUCAGCGCACAAAGGCACCGUCAGGUUCUUUCUUUAAUUGGGGAGACCCACCGGAAUUGGUUCAGACGUGAACACCCACUGUUUACUCUGUGAGGCACGGAAUGGCCUAUUUGAGAGACGCUGGUGUGGUAUAUUCUUCGCACAGUCAUGGGUCCCAGGAAGGCACGACAUUUUAUUGUGUAGAGUGAUGUUAGUUUGUCUUGGUGUUCCAGAUGGCGUGGUUUUAUGUAGAGUCACGUUCGCAUGUAUUUGUGUUCGAAAUGAUUCCGUUGACUAGUUCAGUAGAAGAGGCACGGUCAUGAAUGCCAUCAGGGCAUGGUUGGGUCUGUCGGAGAGUCAUGUUACGUAAGUUUAUUGUUGAAACAAAGCGGAAUGGGUUUAGGUGUUAACGCUAAAUGUUUACUUUGCGAGCGGCCGGUUCGAGAGUCGAGGUGUUUAAAAGCGUAAUUUCCUUGUUUUUAAAAGCCACGGCUCUGUGCUGAGUUGCAUGGCGCUUCUUUUAUUAGAAGCAUGGGCGUGAGGUGUUUAAAGGCACGGCGUGGUAUUGUGUAGAGUGACUUUAGUUUGUCUUGGUGUUCCAGAUGGUGUGGUUUUAUGUAGAGUCACGUUCGCCUAUAUUUGUGUUUGAAAUGAUUCCGUUGACUCGCUCAGAAGAAGAGGCACGGACAUGAAUUCCAUGAGGGCUUGGUUGGGUGUGUCGGAGAGUCAUGUUUCGUAAGUUUAUUGUUGAAACAAAGCGGAAUGGGUUUAUGUGUUAACGCUAAAUGUUUACUUUGCGAGUGGCCGGUUCGAGAUUCGAGGUGCUUAAAAGCGUAAUUUCCUUGUUUUUAAAAGCUACGGAUCUGUGCUGAGUUGCGUGGCGCUUCUUUUAUUAGAAGCACGGAUGUGAAGUGACUACAGCUACAGUUCUGUACUAGGUAGCGACACGACUUGUGCACUGACGAUGGCGUGGACGUUCGUGGCAGUGUUAAGGGUCACAUGCACGGGCGUGAAGCGCUAAAAGGCAUGCUGCCGUAUAAUAUAGAGUCACGUUCCUGUGUGUUUGUGUUCCGAAUGAUUCCGUCGACUCGAUCAGACGGAGAGGCACAGGCGUUCAGCGCGCAAAGGCACCGUCAGGUUCUUUCUUUAAUUGGGGAGACCCAACGGAAUUGGUUCAGAUGUGAACACCCACUGUUUACUCUAUGAGGCACGGAAUGGCCUAUUUGAGAGACGCUGGUGUGGUAUAUUCUUCGCACGGUCAUGGGUCACAGUAAGGCACGACAUGGUAUUGUGUAGAGUGACGUUAGUUUGUCUUGGUGUUCCAGAUGGCGUGGUUUUAUGUAGAGUCUCGUUUGCCUGUAUUUGUGUUCGAAAUGAUUACGUUGACUAGUUCAGUAGAAGAGGCACGAACAUGAAUGCCAUCAGGGCAUGGUUGGGUCUGUCGAGGAGUCAUGUUUCGUAAGUUUAUUGUUGAAACAAAGCGGAAUGGGUUUAGAUGUUAACACAAAUGUUUACUUUGCGAGUGGCCGGUUCGAGAGUCGAGGUGUUUAAAAGCGGAAUUUCCUUGUUUUUAAAAGCCACGGCUCUGUGCUGAGUUGCGUGGCGCUUGUUUUAUUAGAAGCACGGGCGUGAAGUGACUACAGCUACGGUUCUGUACCAGGUAGUGACAUGACUUGUGCACUGAUGAUGGCGUGGACGUUCGUGGCAGUGUUAAGGGUCACAGGCACGGGCAUGAAGCGCUAAAAGGCAUGUUGUCAUAUAAUAUAGAGUCACGCUCCCGUGUGUUUGUGUUCUGAAUGAUUCCGUCGACUCGAUCAGACGGAGAGGCACCGCCGUUCAGCGCACAAAGGUUCUUUAAUUGGGGAGACCCAUCGGAAUUGGUUCAGAUGUGAAUACCCACUGUUUACUCUGUGAAGCACGGAAUGGCCUAUUCGAGAGACGCUGGUGUGGUAUAUUCUUCGCACGGUUAUGAGUCCCAGGAAGGCACAGCGUCGCAUUGUGUAGAGUGACGUUCGUUUUUCUUGGUGUUCCAAAUGAUUCUGUUGAAUCGUUCGCACUGAAAGGCACAACUAUGAAGUCAGUAGAGGCACGGUUAUGCGUUACACAGAGUCACAUUCGUGUGUUGAUUGCAGAAACCCCACCGUUCGACGGGCGUCUCCUCGUAUUCGGUGUGAACGCCGCUCCGGAAACCCAAGGGUCCGACGUGCGUUUCUUCCGGUGAUGCCGCUCUGGAGGAGGUGGAGGUAUUUAAUAGAGUGAACGCCACGUGUCGGCGCUGCGGAAUCCAAAAGGACGGACGGCCGUCUCAUCCGUCGGUGGAGUGAACGCCGCGUGUCACCAUUCCGGCUCAUCACCCGAGGUCAAGAAGCAGUUAUUUAAGUCGAGCGGCAUCCGCCACCACUAGACAUCAUCCUGCUUCUCCCUCUUUUGCCGGCAAUCUUAGGAAAUCAUCCAUCUUCCUCUUUUCGUUUGUGACGUUCCCCGCCAUGGUUCGGCACAAGAUAACUACUUAUGCGAUGCUUGCUCCCGAGCGUCGCUUUCAGUUGCAGGAGGACAUCCGUUUGAGGCGCGCCGCUCGGGUCGCAGCGGGCAUGUCUCCGGACUCGCCGGGGCCGGAGGAGAUUGGGGAGUUGGAGGAAGUGGAGGGGGAUGCGUUGGAGCUCAUGCAGGGAGUUGAUCCAGUGNNNNNNNNNNNNNNNNNNNNNNNNNNNNNNNNNNNNNNNNNNNNNNNNNNNNNNNNNNNNNNNNNNNNNNNNNNNNNNNNNNNNNNNNNNNNNNNNNNNNNNNNNNNNNNNNNNNNNNNNNNNNNNNNNNNNNNNNNNNNNNNNNNNNNNNNNNNNNNNNNNNNNNNNNNNNNNNNNNNNNNNNNNNNNNNNNNNNNNNNNNNNNNNNNNNNNNNNNNNNNNNNNNNNNNNNNNNNNNNNNNNNNNNNNNNNNNNNNNNNNNNNNNNNNNNNNNNNNNNNNNNNNNNNNNNNNNNNNNNNNNNNNNNNNNNNNNNNNNNNNNNNNNNNNNNNNNNNNNNNNNNNNNNNNNNNNNNNNNNNNNNNNNNNNNNNNNNNNNNNNNNNNNNNNNNNNNNNNNNNNNNNNNNNNNNNNNNNNNNNNNNNNNNNNNNNNNNNNNNNNNNNNNNNNNNNNNNNGGACGAGGAUGACGAGGAAGGCUUGGACGAGGAUGACGAGGACGUCGAGGAAGGCUUGGACGAGGAUGACGAGGACGAUGAGGAAGGCGUGGACGAGGACGACGAGGAGGGAGAUGACGAGGAUGACGAGGAGGAUGGUGACGAGGAAGACGAGGACGACGAGGAGUGGGGUGACGAGGAAGACGAGGCGGAGUUCUAUCUCGGUGAGUCAGCCUUGAUGGCGGAGCAGACCGCUAUCCUGGAGUCCAUCCAAGAUGAGGCGUAUGUGGAGUCCAACCAGCGCUUCCUCCGGGAAGAACAGGCGAAGACCGAUGUGCUCUUCGACGAGCUGGAUGGGGAGCAGAAGGCGGAGGCUAACGACGUCGAUGUCAGAAUGGAGAUAGUGGACAUCUCCGACGACGGGGAGUACUGUAGUUUUGUUGGUAGAUGUUUGCUUUUCCAUGGUUUUUAUGCUUUUCAUGUUUUGUGUGUCUGUAAAGGUUGAACAAUGUCAAGCAAUCGUCGAUGUCAGAACGGAGACAGUUUCGUUUCCAUGUCAAGCAAUCGUGUUUUGUUCUUAAGUAGUAGUACUACCCCGUCCCAAAAUAAAUGUGUCAACUUUGCAGUACAAUUCACAUUGUACUGGUUAGUACAGGGUUGAGCGAAUUAAUUUGUGAUGGAAGGUGUAUGUUUUAUUACAAAUUGAAGUUUCAAGUACCAUAUUUGGGUCGGAAGGCGUAUGUUUUAUUACACUGUAUUGUUUUAUUAUAGAUUGCAGUUUCAAGUACAAAAUAAACGUCUCAACUAGGGCACAUAUUUGAUUCUAGAGAUUUCAGUGUGGUUAGAUUUGAAUAUGGUUUCAUAAUGGUUAGAUUCUAGAGAGGCACUCAACAACAUGCACAAAAAAGCCACAGAUGUGCUUCUGAGAAGCACCGUCUUGCAUGGUUUUACCGCAAGAUGGGAUUCGACAUUUAUCCAGGACAUUCCGGGUUUUAUAAGUGUAGAAAGAAUUGUUUUUCACUUAUAUGUUGUGUGGCAGAGGCACGGCUAUUACUUUUGUGAGAGGGAUGAAUGUGCCGACGGAACGGGCACAAUCACGUAUGAAAUAGGUGCAAGGUGGUCCCUAAUGUCUCCUUAAUGUAUCAUCUAUACACUUCACUGUUACAAGCACGAUCGUCGUUCUUGUCGAGGCACGGAGGUGAAGGAUGGAGCCUUUGCCUCCGCGAUAGUCACAUCCCAUAUUAAGAAGGAAGCAAAUCUUCACAGACCCAAUACGUCGGAAGUUGGCCGUAAGGCAUGCUCCUGCCUCUGCGUUUUCGAUGACGUCACGUUUAGUGCCAGUGGGGUGGACGUAAUUCUUGGUUUGCUGAUGUUUUUGUUGUCAGAAACUUUUUUAACAUGUUACGCACGACAGAGGUACGGUUUUACCCGACGUAGAGGCAUGCACGUAACUAACUGGAGGCACGGAGACGUGAUUCUAAGGGAGGUACGGAAGCGAAAAGGAUCGUGAUGCAAGGACGUGAAGGUGUGCCUCUGCUUUAAAGAAGCUUUCACUGACACAUUUUCAUUGCGGGGGGGGGGGGGCAUGGACUAUGAGCUCCAUGUGUUUUCGAAGGCAUUAGACCUCAUUAAUGAACAUAUUAGAGAGAAGGUGAAUCUUUUGGUUGACGUCUAGAAUGUUGCGUAAACUGACGUGAAGCCAAGUUACGCACGGUCCCCUCGGUAUCAGAGGCACAUAGGCACAUAAGUGCCUAUUGUGGUGCACCGGAAAUAAACUUGUGCAAAAGACAUGUAAAUUGCAAGCAAACUACAAGGUUAACUGCGACACAAGCAAACCUAAAUUUAUAAUAAGCAAACGACAGUCUUGAGGGAAAGCAAAUCUAAUGAGAAAUCUAGAAUGGCAUGAGCAAUGUUCUAGAUACUUUUGUUGGCCGGGACCACCUGCUUCAGUAGUCGUAGUUGCCACAGGACCUAGCGCGCUUCCUGGUCUGCUCCUUGUCGAGUUUUGCCCGGCGAAGCCCUUCCUGGAUGAUGGUGAGGCGGCUCCAUAUCUCGUACGCAGCAUAUGCGUCCUUUGCCGCGUACUCGAUGUGCCUCAUGGACAGGGGCAUGCACGCCCAACGGCUGCGUUCUGCGUUGGUGAGCUCUACGUCGUGGACAAUGAUGCCUGAGACGUCCCCAAGGGAGUCCAGAGGCUUGGUAGUUGUAGGCACCCUCCAUUCCUUCUGGAUGUCGACGAAGUGGGCGAUCUCCAGUCCGAUGCGGCCGAGCAUCUCUAUGUCGCCGUCAAUGGAGAAGCCAACAAACGUGUACCUGGGGUUCGCGAGGAAGUUGUCGAACUUGGUGCAGUUCUUGUCGGCCGCGCUUAGUUGGAAGAGCAGCACCGGAUGAUCCUUGCCGACGGAGAGCUGGACGAGGGCGGGUUUCUGAUCUUCGCCAUGGUCGUUGGUGUACUUCACAUCAACUCCGACGAUCUUGUGGCGCUCGAACUGGAGGUGUUGCUCGUACUGCUCAAUGGUGGUCGCCGCCUUGUGCAAGUCAUUGGUGUGGAUCACGUGCAACUUUGUGUUGCCGUGGGCCUGCACCUCCAUGAAUUCCCUGGUGAAUCCCAUGGCCUGGUGCAUUUGGUCCUCCUGCAACCUGGUUUUUCGGGGGGAACAAUGAGUGGGAGCGCAAUGGCAAUUUCUGUUCUUUCUGCAUGAGAAGGCCGUGGCGGGAGUCUAAAUUUAAGGGCGGGGAAGUGGCAAAGGAGUGCACGAUCUCACUGUCGAUGCGGUUGUGCACAUCGUGGGUUUUGGAUCGUGGUUUUUCUUUAUAUAAAAAAUAAAAAUAAAAUCAGCAGUUAUUUUUUUAACAACCGUCGUAUCUCCAGCAAGUCGUGGAGAUGAUCGUUGUCUUGCGUAGUUUGCUGUCAAAUGUUAACUUUUAGAAUUUAUCUCGUGAGGCAUGCAGGGGCAGUAUGUAGAGGCACAAGUCUCUGACCAAGAGAAGCAUGCUUCAAGUGGCUGCUUUAACUCUCAGACACACGGGCGUGGUACAUUUAUUGGGAGUGGCAAUUGUUUUCAGUGAUACAUUCGCUGGUAGGAACAGUGAUGUGUUUCUUCAGAGGCGCUGUUGUGUGUCUGUGUUGCAACUGACGCUACGAGAUGGUCAGAAAGAACGAGAAGCAACGAGAGGCGUGGACAUGCAGCUGCAAGAAGCACUCAUACAACGACAGGCGAAACGAGAGGCACAGAUACGAUGCUACGUGAGGCACGGAGUUGAAGCUACGUGAUUGCACGGACGUCAAUUCGUGCUAUGGUGCUACAUGAGGCACGGGCACGAACAAAUAGCCGUGCACUCAACUACAUGUGCAAAAAGCCACAUAUGUGUUUCUGAGAAGCACCGGCCUCCAUGGUGUUACCGCAAGGUGGGAUUCGACAUUUAUCCAAGGCAUUCCGAGUUUUACAAGUGUAGGAAGAAUCGUUUUUCACUUAUAUGUUCUGUGGCGGAGGCACGGCUAUUACUUGUGUGAUGAAGGAAUGUACGUCGAAUGUACGUGACGCGAGGAUUGACAAUAGGCGUCCGUUACUGUUUUCCCGGAAUGUUUUUCAAUUAACUGCGAGAGGCAUGAAUGUGCCGACGGAAUAGGCACGGUCAUGUCUGAAAUAGUUGCAAGGUCGUCCCUAAGGUGUCCUAUACGCUUUACAGUUACAAGCACGGUCAUCGUUCUUGACGAGGCACAGAGGUGAAUGAUGGAGCCUAUGCCUCUGCGAUAGUCACCUGCCAUGUUGUCGUGGUUUUGUCAUGGCAGAUGUCCCAGAGAAAGGACUUAGUCGUGGAGCCAUCGCUACGGGUUAGCUUAAAGGGGUUAAAGCGGACAAGGGACGCAAGAGAGUUUUAUACUAGUUCGGCCCCUUACGAUGAAGGUAAAAGCCUACGUCUAGUUGUGAUGGAAUUGAUGGGGUUUCGAUGACCAGGGAGCGAAUACGCUUUGCCUGAGUCUCGAGGUGUUGUCUGUUGUUCCUGAACCGCCGCCGGGUCGUCCCCUUAUAUACAUGGGUUGACGCCCGUCGGUUUACAGACUCCGAGGCCGGCUCAUAAUCGUGUCCGGCUCGGUCUCUGCUACCUCUAUCUUACAACACAAGUUUACAUAUCAAUGCCGGUUUGUGUCUACAGGCCCUAAACUGGCUUUGGGCCCUGGGCCUUCAUGAAGCGUCACCGUCUGUCUUCAUAGGCUUCAGAUACAGAUGAACUACUUAUGGGGUUAACCCGGCCUUUCCUGGCCGGUUUACGCCCAGUGGUAAUAUCCCCAACAUUAGGCCUCAGAUUGAUUUGAACUGGUUCAUGUCAAUCCUCAAUACUUAAGAAAUUUGCUUCUUCAACAUCUUCAUAUAAUCUUCUAAACCGUCGUGAUGUCAUCUUCUAGGAUCAUGGUAAACCGCCGUGACGUCACCUGCUAUUUAAAACUCUGUAUAAUCCACUUUCAUUAAUGAGCCUCCGACAAUCGAGGCAACAGCUCCGCCUCAUAUCCAAAAAAUUCGGCUCCUUGAUUUUUGUGCCUGCCGUUUAUCUCCCUUAUAAAUAGGGCCUGGGGGUCUUUCCAUUUUCCCCCUCGUACCUCUUCGCAUCAUCGUCAUCCUCGCGACGCCCGAGCCUUCGACCUCAGCCGCCGGCGUCGACCUUCGACUGCUGCACCAACCUUGGCUGCUGCAUCGACCUGAACGUACCAGAGCUCCUCCGCGCGCCGCCGCUGCUCGACAGCCUCUGUAAGUCUCCCCUUCUCUUACCAUAGAUCUGCACUUAGGGUUUCUGUCGUUCAUCAAUGUUCUUCACUCGAACCUUCUUUAUCCUUACUUAUAUCCAUGGAUUAGAUCCAAGAACCACAUAGAUCUCGCGCGGUGGUAGUUUUAGCACCUGUUUGAUAUCCAACUCAUCUCGUUUAAGUAGAAAAUCCCAUCUGAAUCUUCAUCAACUGCUUCGGUACCAAUAUUUAGGUCUGAAUAUAUUUUCAUUUUCUGACAUGUGGUAGAUCCAAAAUUACAAUGCCCAAUUGUGAAACCUGUUUUUCUCUUCACUUAUACAUCCUUAACACCAGAUUGGGCGGUUUAACUUUAUAUACAAAAUGAUGAUCCAGUAGAUACCAUUAGUCCCCUGUUGAACCGCCAAUGCAUUACAGUGUUUCCAUUGUCAGACUCCGGUUUACGAAUAACCAAAUCCGGUUUGUCAAUAUGCUUGUAUCCUCAUACCGCUGUAUAGUUGUCCACUGUAAUUCUUAAACCGGCAAUAAUCAUGUUUCAGAUUUCCCUUGUCAUGGCCAAGCAAGUCUAUGAAUGCAAUUGGGCUCCCUCUCGAGUAACCGAGGAGCAGUUAAGCAACCUUGUAAAAACGGGCGCUUUAGCUAAAAAAGAUGUCAUCCACUGGAGGGUCCCUGGCCCGAAAAAUCCUCCUACACCCAAGGAUGGAGAGGUAGUCGUAUUCGCUGAUCAUCUCGGACGAGGUUUUAGUCCUCCCGGUUCAAAAAUUUUCCGGGAUGUACUGGCCAAUUUUCAGCUGCGCCCUCAAGACAUCGGUCCCAAUUCUGUGACCAACAUCUGCCACUUCCAUGUCUUUUGUGAGGUUUAUCUACAAGAGGAACCUUCAGUCAAACUGUUUAGGGAUUUCUUUUACUUAAACCGUCGCACAAAAUUCUCAGAUGGACCCAAUAUGGAAUUGGGCGGAAUGGCGGUUCAAAAAGGAAGGAAGUCACCUUCCCUCAUCCCAAACUCCACAGUCACCCCAAAGAGUGGAACCAGACUUGGUUUUACUGCAUGGAUACAUCUCCAUCUGAUGAGAACCCCCUACCGGGUUACCGCCCUGAACGUCUUAGCAACACACAUCCUUUCCCUCAAAGGUUGACAGCAAGAGAAAGGGCCGACUAUGCUCCCCAAUUAUCAAAGCUCAGAGCCAUCAUGGCAAACGAUUUGACAGGAGUGGAUCUUGCUCGUUGCUGGAUAAGCUGGAGUAUUCUGCCCUUAAGCCGGCGCCCCGGUUUGAUGUGUGAGUACACGGGGAGUUUGAAGGAUGCUCAGCGGCACAUUGACAUUCAGCUUAUAGAUGCAGAAGUCACUGAAGCUGUAAAAAAGAUACUGAACGAACCGGAGGCUGUCUGUGCCCAAACCGGACUGCUCCCUUUUUGCACCUUCAACAAACCGCCAGCUAUAAGAAUCAUAUAAUAUUUUUUUUCUGACGUUGCUUCUGUCCAAAUAUUCUCUGAAAGUGUGAUUAUUUUCUGACAGGGUGGCGAUCCGUUCUGGAACAAGAAACCGGCACAAGACAAACCGGCGAAGCCACAAGACAAACCGGUCAAGCCAGUUCGUCCAAAGACCAAGGUUAUUAAAAAACCUGCCAAGAGAAGGACUACUGCAUCAUCCGAUCCACCAGCAGAUGAUGAUGUGGGUAAUCCGGAACCAGAGGUAGAACUUGACUCUCUUGGUUCAUUUUUCGUACAUCUCAUUGACAAUGAUUAUUAUCAGGACGACGCUGAAGGCAGUCAUGCUGAGGACGUAGAGGUAACCAUUCUUUCCUCCGAUUCAGAUCCUCUGCCAACAUAAAAAAUCAGUCAAGCAAACCGGAAAGUAAAAUUUGCUCACCCUCUUGCUUAUUUGGACCCAAACUUUCUUUUGAAGACGCAGCAACACGAGGCUCGCCGUACAACCCGGCACAGGGGCCAGGUAGUUACCUCCGUCGGUUUACCGAACAGUCCGGUUCGGAAACGCCGAUCAGAGGUCUCUUAUCCCAUUGAUACUUCAUGCCCAAAAGCAGGUUGUUUUCGCCAUCCUCUUAACCCGUCUGAUUCAAAUUAUCAGAGUACUUCUCACUCAUCCUCUGGCGAGUCAUCGGCCACACAGCUUCCACCCCUCAAAACAGUUCCUGGGUGAGCUAUGCACAUGUCUUUAUUCUUGAUGUGUUAUCUUUACAUACUGUACUGAUCCUUAUGUCUAUCUUUUCUCAGCGCCAAGCCAAGACCCAGCAAGAAGGCUCGGUUAAACAAACCGGUUGUUGAUAAUGUAGCUGCUGAAUCGGAAGCAACUCCAAAUCCGGAAGAAACCGAAGCUGAUGACAUGCUUAAUGAUCCGCUGCCUCAAGAUCAUGACUUCCUUGCCGAACAAGUGCAAGUUGACACUACCAGCCAUGCAGACCGGCCAACCAGCCCUGUCCGAACUGAUGACAAACCGGCCAGCCCGGUUAAAGGUACUGAUAAACCGCCAUCUCCAGCAAAGGCUGCUGAUGACCAAGAUGAUGAUGUUAUGAUUACUGGCACUGGCCACACACUCCUGGCAACCCUGUCGCUUUGUCAAAGCAUACCGCCAAGGAGGAGCUUUCUGCUAUCGGCAAAGGCAAGUGGAAUGCCAAUUUAUCAAGCUACGCCAAUCUCAAUGCUCAAGACAUUCACUUUGGCUUCUUGAACCGUCUGUAUACCAGCCGUGAUUAUGAAGCUAGUUUGGUAAACUUGAUGAAGGAGUGAUAUGAGGUAAAUACUAUUUUUCUCUUUUAUCCAAUUGCAGUUUAUCAACUCCUAGUAGCCCCCAAGUGACGGUUUAUGAUACCAAUCUAAACCGGGACUUUUGUCAUAACUUAACUUUGCAUGUUUAGCCUCCAGGGACCAGAUUACCUUUUUAAGAUGAACCGGUUCCUUAAAAUUUGCCAUACUGCUCUUUCAUCGGUAUUGCCCCCAACGGCCGGUUUAAUUUUAUAAAGAUGAACUGGGACUGUAGAAGAAUUCCCAUACCAACAGUGUUUGAGCAAACACACAUUAGCCCCCAAGUGCCAAGAUUAAACUUGUAUUGUGCUUGGGACUUGUAGAAAUGUCUGAUAAGGAGCAAAUAUGCAUUAGCCCCCAAGUAUCAAGGGGAUAACUUGUUAUGUGCUUGGUACUUCAAAUAUGUACUGUCAACUCAUUAUGUAUCUAUCUCUUUAUAGGCUGAGCUGAGCAAGAAGGAAAGCCAAACCGCUGAUCUGCAAGAGAACAUCAAGUCCCAACAGGCCGAAACUUCCAAAGCAAAAAAUGAACUGACGAGCACCUUAGCCGCUAUGGAAAAGCUAAAGGAGAGCUUUGCCAAGGAACGGGCGGAUUGGAACACAGAGAAAUCCGCUUUGCGGAAAAGAGCUAAGGACGCAGAAGCAACUCUCAAACCGGUGGUAGACGAGCUGACUGGUGUAAAGCGGCAAGUACAUGCGAUGACCGCUGCUGUGUUUGGUAAGCAUCUUUUCCUUAAUACUUUCAACAUAUCUUCCCAUGCGUUGGCGGUUUACUGAUGUUUGCAAUGAUGCAGGAACUCGCAUUAGUCAUCUGGGCUCUGAUGUUCAGAAGAAGCUGAAGGCUGCCUACACGCUGAUAGAACAACUGUAUACCGGUGCUCAACGAAUUAUCUGCACAGCUUCUCACAAUAAGCCACCCCCGACUUUAAUCAAGGAUACCUUAGACAGGCUAUCUAUGCUGCCUGCCCGGGUAGAAGAGCUAAAGAGGUCUGCUGCAAGGGCUGGCGCUCUGACCGCUCUAACCCGGGCAAAGGCGUGGGUGCCUGAUCUUGAUCCGGUGGACGUGGCUAAAGGCUUCCCAAGCUUAAAAGAAGAUGGAUCAGAAUUUGGCCAGGAGGAUCUCCGCGCCAUAAACCGGGAAGUACGUCCACUGGCUUGUCAAUUGGCUGAAGAAGUUGAUCUCUCACACUAUCAGGCAAGCUAUGAUGAAAAGAAGAGACGGGUUGCGGCGCCAAUUCUAGAAGCGCAAAAUCUGAUCCCUCCAAUCCGUAGCACACUUAUGCCCCUGAUAUUAAACCGUCAACCCUUAUAAGCGACGAAGCUGUGUUCCAAGCUUUAACUGGGAUCGACUGGACAACUGUUGACUUCCAGCCGCUGGGUAGAGACGAAGAAGAUGAACCGGUGCAAGAUGAUCUGCAGCCGUCAGGUCAAGCUGACAAGCAAUCGUAAUCCGGGGGCCGGUUUAGUCUUUCACUUGCUGCAAUGCUUACCGAGAAACAAUUAUUCUUUUGGGCACUAAAACGCCUUGUAAUAGGGUAGUUAAAACACUUUAUCUGUUAUGCCUUCGUGCAUAUUUAUCUGCAACUGAUGCGUGUUAAUCCGCCAUGCUUAAGAUAUGAUGUUCAUAAUCCAUAGCUAUUUAUUCAAGCCGUUCCUGCAGAUAAGAAGCUUAAAGCGCCCUGGCGGUUUACCACCGGGCGGGUCACGAUACCCAAAUAUAUAUAUGACCAAGGUUGUAAAAGAUAAUCAAAUAUGGAAAUAUAUGAUACCUGUGACCUUUAGGCAUAGUGUUGGCUGACCAACCUUGUAAUGAUGGUAAUAACCCUAAUCCGGAGUAAAAGUAACUCCUGUUAUAUGAUCCCAGUUUACAAUAAAACCGUUCCGGGUUGUGAUAAACACCAGUUUAUUCCAUACUGGUGACUAUGAGUCAAAACCAGACCGGGCUGAUAGUCUCCGGAUUAUAACUUGAUCAUGUACUGACAACUUGUAGUUGACAGCCUAACCGGGUUGAUAAACGCCAGUUUGAAAACGUCACAAAUGUUAUGAAAACAAAGAAAACUCAGCAAAAGGCAAAUAAAAACCGUUGUAAUCGAGGCUUUUCACGGGCUGCCAGGCCCCAAAUUUGAUCAAGAGGUGUAGCUAUGGUUCGGGUUCGACCAAGCCCCCAAGUGAUGCGGUGGCAUUACGCCGAUCAAGAGGUGUAGCUAUGGUUCAGGUUCGACCAAGCCCCCAAGUGAUGCUGUGGCAUUACGCCGAUCAAGAGGUGUNNNNNNNNNNNNNNNNNNNNNNNNNNNNNNNNNNNNNNNNNNNNNNNNNNNNNNNNNNNNNNNNNNNNNNNNNNNNNNNNNNNNNNNNNNNNNNNNNNNNNNNNNNNNNNNNNNNNNNNNNNNNNNNNNNNNNNNNNNNNNNNNNNNNNNNNNNNNNNNNNNNNNNNNNNNNNNNNNNNNNNNNNNNNNNNNNNNNNNNNNNNNNNNNNNNNNNNNNNNNNNNNNNNNNNNNNNUUCGGGUUCGACCAAGCCCCCAAGUGAUGCUGUGGCAUUACGCCGAUCAAGAGAUGUAGCUAUGGUUCGGAUACGACCAAGCCCCCAAGUGACCUAAUAUUAAGCUUUGAAAAGCUAAAUCAAGGGGUAAACCUGACACCGCUUUGUAAGCUCCAUGUAACCAUACAUGAUAUAAGAAAACAACAGAUACCUCGCUUUAGCUGAGGUUCCGGUUUAUUAUAUUGAUCAUAAUAUAUACAAUGUCAUAAUAUGUACAUAAGCAGAGCCUGUAGCUCAAGUAUAGUAGGGCCGAAGAUGAGCAAUAUUCCACGGCCGGUUGGUCUUCUCCUCUGAUUUACGUGAGUCUUUGUGCUCUCGAACAUCAAUUAGGUAAUAUGACCCUUUGUGUAGAUUCUUGCUGACCACAAAGGGUCCUUCCCACAGGGGGGGGAUAGCUUGUGCAUAUCCGUCUGAUCCUGGAUGAGCCGAAGCACCAAAUCACCUUCUUGAAAGGUUCUGGUUCUAACCCGGCGGCUAUGAUAACGACAUAGAUCUUGCUGAUAAAUCGCCGAACGGGCUGUCGCCAUGUCACGCUCCUCAUCUAACAGGUCAAGAGCUUCCUGUCGUGCCUUCUCGUUGUCAGCUUCAACGUAUGCCGCUACACGAGGUGAGUCAUGACGGAUGUCACUAGGAAGAAGUGCUUCCGCUCCAUAAACCAUGAAGAACGGUGUAUAUCCUGUCGAUCUGUUGGGUGUGGUAUUGAUGUUCCAUAACACUGAAGGUAGCUCCUCAACCCAACAACCCGGCGUCCAUUGCAAAGGAACCAUAAGCCGGGGUUUGAUGCCUCUCAAGAUCUCUUGAUUGGCCCUCUCCGCUUGACCAUUGGACUGAGGAUGAGCCACUGAUGACACGUCAAGCCGGAUGUGCUCACGUUGACAUAACUCCUUCAUGGCACCCUUAGACAGAUUGGUACCAUUGUCUGUUAUAAUGCUGUGUGGAAAGCCAAACCGGAAGAUCACCUUUUUGAUGAAUUGAACCGCCGUGGCUGCGUCACACUUACUAACUGGCUCUGCCUCCACCCACUUCGUGAACUUAUCAACCGCCAGCAAAAGGUGGGUCUUCUUGUCCUUGGACCUCUUGAAAGGCCCAACCAUAUCCAGCCCCCAAGUUGCAAACGGCCAGGUGAUUGGAAUCAUCCUCAAUUCUUGAGCUGGUACAUGACCAAGUCCUCGGCAUCAGCAUGAGCUGUCAACCAAUAGAAACCGUGACGAAACGCCUUGGCCACCAAAAAUUUUGAACCAGCGUGGUGACCACAAUCUCCUUCGUGGAUCUCACACAAAAUUUGACGGCCUUCCUUAGGAGACACACAGCGUUGAAACGCCCCUGUCACACUGCAAUGAUGUAACUCUCCAUUGAUAAUAGUCAUGGACUUGGACCGCCGGGUUAUCUGCCUGGCCAAAGUUUCAUCCUCUGGUAACUCGCCCCGGUUUAUAUAUGCCAGAUAUGGAACCGUCCAGUCCGGGAUAACAUGAAGAGCCGCCACCAACUGGGCCUCCGAAUCAGGAACAACCAAAUCCUCUUCACCAGGGAGCUUGACGGAUGGAUUAUGCAAAACAUCCAGGAAGACAUUAGUGGAACCGGUUUACGUUGGGAACCCAGGCGGCUUAAAGCGUCCGCCGCUUCAUUCUUCCACCGGUCCACAUGAUCCACCUGAUAACCCUUAAAGUGACCUGCAACAAUAUCCACCUCACGACGAUAUGCUGCCAUUAGUGGGUCCUUGGAAUCCCAAGUGUCGGGCACUUGUUGAGCCACUAGAUCCGAGUCACCAAAGCACUUAACUCGGCCUAGGUUCAUCUCCUUAGACAUCCGAAGACCAUGGAGUAAAGCCUCAUAUUCAGCUGCAUUGUUAGUGCAAGGGAACAUUAAACGGAGAACAUAACAAAACUUAUCACCUCGUGGGGAAGUUAAUACGACUCCAGCCCCCGAGCCCUCCAAUUGCCUGGACCCAUCAAAAUGAAUAGUCCAAUAAGUGUGAUCCAGCUUCUCCUCUGGCGCUUGUAAUUCUGUCCAAUCAUUAAUGAAAUCCACACGUGCCUGAGAUUUGAUCGCCGUUCGGGGUAUGUAUUUCAACCCGUGAGGCCCGAGCUCGAUAGCCCACUUAGCAAUUCGACCAGUUGCUUCCCUGUUCUGGAUGAUAUCCCCCAAAGGAGCAGAGCUGACCACCGUGAUGGGAUGACCUUGGAAAUACUGCUUAAGCUUCCGGCUUGCCAUGAAAACCCCAUACACCAAUUUUUGCCAAUGCGGGUACCUCUGCUUGGACUCAAUAAGUACCUCACUGAUAUAGUAAAUCGGCCGCUGAACUGGAUAUUCCUUUCCUGCCUCCUUGCGCUCCACCACAAUAGCCACACUAACAGCCCGAGCAUUAGCUGCCACAUAUAGCAACAAUGGUUCUUUGUCCACUGGAGCAGCGAGAAUCAGUGGAUUAGCCAGCUGCCGCUUGAAGUCCUCAAAUGCUUCAUUAGCAGCGCCACUCCAGACGAAGUUAUCCGUUUUCUUCAGCAUCUGAUAUAAAGGGAUGGCCUUCUCGCCAAGGCGACUGACAAACCAGCUCAAUGCGGCAAUCCAGCCUGCCAGGCGUUGAACAUCAUUGAUACACUUCGGUUUAGCCAAGGAGGUGAUGGCUUUGAUUUUUUCCGGAUUAGCUUCAAUGCCCCUGUUAGACACGAAAAAACCCAAGAGCUUGCCUGCAGGUACACCAAAGACGCACUUGGCCGAAUUAAGCAUCAUUUUAUAAACCCGCAGGUUAUCAAAGGUUUCCUUCAAGUCAUCAAUCAAUGUCUCCUUUUUCCUUGAUUUCACCACAAUAUCAUCCACAUAGGCGUGAACAUUGCGGCCAAUCUGUUCGUGCAGACAAUUCUGCACACACCUUUGAUAAGUCGCCUGGGCACUCUUGAGCCCAAAGGGCAUGGAUACAUAGCAGAAGGCUCCAAAGGGAGUUAUGAAAGUUGUCUUCUCCUGGUCCUUAACUGCCAUUUUGAUAUGAUGAUAACCAGAAUAUGCAUCCAAAAAACUUAAAUGCUCACAACCCGCCGUAGCAUCAAUAAUUUGAUCAAUACGGGGAAGGGCAAAAGGAUCUGCUGGACAAGCUUUGUUGAGAUCUGUGUAAUCCACACACAUACGCCAAGUGCCAUUCUUCUUGAGGACCAGCACCGGAUUAGCCAACCACUCAGGAUGGAAUACUUCAAUGAUAAAUCCAGCCGCCAAGAGCCUGGCUACUUCUUCUCCAAUAGCUUUACGUCUUUCUUCAUUGAACCAGCGAAGAAACUGCUUCACCGGUUUAUACUUGGGAUCAACAUUGAGAGUGUGCUCAGCGAGUUCUCUCGGUACACCUGGCAUGUCAAAAGGCUUCCAUGCAAAGAUGUCCCGAUUCUCACGGAUGAACUCGAUAAGCGCGCUUUCCUAUUUCGGAUCCAAGUUAGCACUGAUGCUAAACUGCUUGGACGAAUCGCCAGGCACGAAGUCAACAAGCUUAGUCUCAUCAGCCGAUUUAAACUUCAGGGCCGGAUCAUGCUCUGUAGUUGGUUUCUUCAAUGAAGUCAUAUCUGCCGGAUCAACAUUGUCCUGGUAAUACUUCAACUCUUCUGUUGCACAAACCGACUCAGCAUAAGCCGCAUCACCUUCUUCACACUCCAGAGCAAUCUUUCGGCUUCCAUGCAUGGUUAUUGUUCCCUUGUGACCCGGCAUCUUGAGCUGUAGAUAAACAUAACAAGGACAUGCCAUAAAUUUAGCAUAAGCUGGCCGUCCAAAUAGGGCAUGAUACAGGCUGCUGAUUUUCACCACUUCAAAGGUCAAGGUUUCUGAUCUCGAGUCAUGCUCAUCUCUAAAAGCCACCUCCAGAGCUAUUUUACCAACAGGAUAUGCCGACUUACCAGGCACCACACCAUGGAACACCGUAUUGGACGGUUUAAGAUUUUUAUCUGUUAACCCCAUGCGACGGAAAGUUUCAUAAUAAAGGAUAUUGAUACUACUCCCUCCAUCCAUGAGUACCUUAGUGAAUUUAUAACCUCCCACCUGAGGUGCCACCACCAGAGCCAGAUGACCCGGAUUGUCAACCCGGGGUGGAUGAUCUUCUCUACUCCACACAAUCGGCUGCUCGGACCAGCGUAAAUAACGGGGCACCGCCGGUUCAACGGCAUUCACCGCCCUUUUAUGAAGCUUCUGAUCGCGCUUGUCCAAGCUAGUGGAGAAGACAUGAUACUGUCCGCUAUUCAACUGCUUCGGGUUGCUCUGGUAACCUGACUGCUGCUGCUGCUGAUUGCCCUGAUGAUUAUAGCCACCUUGAUUGCCCUGAUUACUUUGAUUGUUAUGUCCACCCUGAUUACCGUGGAAGCCUGAACCGGAAUUUCCUCCACCAUAACCCGGCCCAUGAGAUCCCGGGCCCGAACUGCCUCCUGGUCCAUGAUCAUACCGGAAAGAAUCAGAAUUUUUGAACUCUUGCAUGAUGUAACAAUCUUUCCAGAGGUGCGUGGACGGGUUCUCCUUCGUCCCAUGCUUUGGACAGGGUUGGUUCAACACAUAAGACAAACGGUCCGGAUUAGGAUCUGGCCUUCCAUCGCGCUGGGGCGGCUUACCCUUACGCCGCUGGCCCAUGUCAUGUGUAUUAGUGUUAGCCACAAAGUCUAAACCGUGGUCCGCUUUACGCUUGCCGCCAUUUCCAUGACCCGCCGGGUUGUGGUGCUGCCCCUUGGCGUUGCCGCUCUUCUUUCCCUUCCCUGUCUUAUCAUCAUCAGACUCGGGAUCCUUGGUACUAUCAGAAUCGGCAUACUUCACCAGUGCAGCCAUGAGGGUUCCCAUGUCAUUACAAUGACGUUUGAGCCGUCCCAACUUCAACUUCAGGGGUUCAAACCGGCAAUUGCCUUCCAAGGUUAAAACUGCGGUGUCAGCGUUGAUGCGGUCCGAUGAAUGCAAAAUCUCUGAAACCCGGCGCACCCAACGGGUUGUUGAUUCUCCUUCCUUCUGGACACAGGCAGCUAAGUCCACAAUUGACAUGGGCUGCUUGCAUGUAUCCUUGAAAUUCUGAAUAAACCGGGCUCUCAAUUCGGCCCAUGACCUGAUAGAAUUAGCCGGUAAGCUCUUUAACCAAGUGCGGGCUGUCCCUUCUAGCAUCAUGGUGAAGUAUUUUGCACAAGCCGCAUCAUCCACAUCCAGCAUCUCCAUGGCCAUCUCGUAGCUUUCGACCCAUGUUUCUGGGGAUAAACACUACAAAAAAAAUACACUUCCGUGAUGAUACGUGUUCGUCACAGUAGGUCGCGUUUUUUGUCAUGCAUGUACAUCCAUGACAAAUUUAUGACAGAAUCAAGAUAGUCAUACCUGUGCUGUCGUAGAAGUGUUCCAUGACAUUACCAAAAUUAUCAUCAUGGAAGUGUCCACUUCCAUGAUGAUAAAUCGCACGUCACAGAAGUGCUUUCGUCAAGGGUGACCGACACGUGGCAUCCACCGUAACGGAACGUCGUUAAGCUAUCGGGUCGGGUUUUGGAUCCGAUAACCCGUCAACAGCCCCGACCAAUGGGGAUUUUCCACGUGUAAAAUCAUCAUUGGCUGGAGGAGACACGUGUCAGGUCCGCGUUGGCACAGGUGUCACUCAUCCAAUGGGCGAGAGGCGCCUAUGAUAUGUUGACACGUGGACCAGCCCCAUCAAGUUUAAAUGGGCCGGCCCAACUGAAGGCCCACAAGAUUUUGCGGACCAUAAUGGGUCGGCCCAGCUAAAGGCCCACGAGAUUUUGUGGACCAUAAUGGGCUGGCCCAGCUAAAGGCCCCCAAGAUUUUGCGGGCCAUAAUGGGCCGGCCGAGGUAAAGGCCCACAAGAUUUUUGUGUGCCAUAAUGGGCCGGCCCAGGUAAAGGCCCACAAGAUUCUUGCGGAUCAUAAUGGGCCGGCCCAGGUAAAGUCCCACAAGAUUCUUGUGGAUCAUAAUGGGCCGGCCCAGCUGUAGGCCCACAAGAUUUUGAGGACCCUAGUAGGCCGGCCCAUUAACUGGCUGCCAUGUUUUGGGCCAAAUGCCGGCCCAUAUUUGAUCCGGUCCAUUAAUGGCCUGCCACGCUCCGGGCCUAAUAGUGGCCCAUAUGAGAUCCGGCCCGUUAAAAGCCUACUACGUUCUGGGCCAAAUUACGGCCCAGAUCAGGUCCGGCCCUUUAAGAGGCUUUGGGCUCAAUUAUGGCCCAUAUCAGAUUCGGCCCGUCAACUGGACACUAUGCUUUUGGGCCCACUUGCUAAAGUCCCACUUAGUAAUUCGGCCUGAUAUUAGUUUUGGCCUGUUAAGGGCCCGUUUAACAUUUCGGCCCUAUGUUAAUUUCGGCCUGUUAAAAGCCUGUUAUAUAGUUGGGCCUAACCACGGCCCGGUUUGCAUCCGGCCUGCUCGCAGCCGAUAUCUGAUUGGGCCAAACAAGGACCGAGACAAUUUUGGCAUGUUAAAAGCCCGUGAUUUGAUUCGCACAAUCAUGGGCCGGGGUUCGCUUCGGGCUGCUGCCGGCCCGUGAGCUGUUCGGCACGUUUCAGGCCCAACCUACAUCGUGAUUGCAUGACGGCCCGAUUAUGUACCAUAAUUUUACGGUUUGGCCGGUUUACUGCGAAGAUAGGAUAUAUAUACAGUAAAAUAACUGCAGCAUCGUGAAUAAGAAAAAACCUAGACAAUACAAUAAAGAAAUUACGACAUAUUAGAUCCACUGGGCAUCAAAGUUCGCCACUAUGAUAAUAAAGCACAAGCAGACAACAGAUUACAUACACUGGGCAUCAAAGAUCGCCACCAGUGCAAAUAAACACGUCGACAAAAUAAUAUACAAAACCGACAGCACUUCAAUAGAGUUCAAGAAAGGUUAGCCCUGCUGGGGAGCUGCAGCGCAAGCAGCUGAGCAAGAUGAUGAGACUGCGCUUGUUCAACACUUAUAUCUUCCUCACUCUGAAAGAUAAACAAGCAGACAGAUGACAGGUUUUGCACAUAAAAGUAUCAGUGCUGACAAUUCAUCACAUUUCUUACUGACGAAUAAAGUGACACAGUUUAAAAUUGCAUUAACACAAUAUGGUAUUGUUUAGGUCAGGACAUGGCAGGAAAUGACAUUGUGAAGGAGUUGGCAGCUUCACGACACCACUGGAUUACAGAUCAAGAACUCAUAAGUAUCAAUGGUUAGUGUGCUGUCAAUUUAUACCAUUUCAGAUUGGCAAAUAAAGAGAUGGUUUAAAUAAUAGUAGAAUGAUAUGAGAUUGUUCAUAGUUAAGACAUUGCAGAAUAUGACAUUAUGCUGUAGUGGGUAGUUUCACCACACCACUGGAUUACAGAUGAAGAACAGAAGCAUACAUGCAGUGCAAAAGAAGAUCACUUGCUCUGUAUAGUUUAAUUUACAUGGUAUGAAGAAGGAACUUGGUUGUACAACUGAAAACUUAAAUUGAGAAAGGAUAAACUUUUGUUUAUGAACUACAUAAUAAACUUUAAACAAGCAAUUUGAUGCAAACACCAAAAAUAAACAACUGUUGCAGUCAUGCCUAACCAAAUAUAUACAACAAAGUUUGAAGGCUUGAGAUGGACAAACUUACAUUAUUGGUGAAGACAGGCUCUAUAAAGGCCUUGUCCAUGCUGAUGGGGGGGGGAUUCAAGAAGUUUACCACAGAAUCUUCUUCAAAAGCAUUGCCUUUAUUCUACAUUUUGUUAAGAGUAAAUAUAGAUGUGAUAAUAUACGAAAAAAUGGAGAAUAUUUAAGAUAAGAUGAAGAGUGAUGCUACAUAACCAAGUAGCUAUAAAUGUAAGUGCAGCGAUACAAGCAAAAGGUACAGCCAAGAGCAAUGCACAGCUGAACUUCUUCAGUACCAACCUUAUGGUAGGUGUAAAUAUAGAUCUGAUGUGUAGAAAAUGGAGGGCAAAGGAAAAUAAGCUGCAGAGCGAUGGUACAUGAACAACUACCUGUCAUUAUAAGUACACUGAUAAAGGACAGCAUGUACUUACAAGAACAAUGCAGAGCUAAAAAACAUUGGCAUUGGAUAUAUUCUACACUAAUGUAACCAUUCAUACAGAUCAGAUAAUUUGGAGCGAAAAAUUGAUAAGCAAGCUAUCAUGCAUACUGCUGUCACAUAAUGAACCAGGUAUGUAUGCAAGUACAGUGAUACAGGACAACAGGUACUAACAAGAGCAAAGCAGCGAGCAGCAUAUUUGUGAUAUCCUGUCAUUCUUGUCAAACCGGAAUUCUUCUUCGAGCAGAUUUCCUGCAAAAAAGAUCCGUAAGGCACAUGCGGAAAAGUAGAAGUUCAAAUUGUCAUGUGAUUUCAUAGAUAGUACCUCAUCCUGGGAACAAGACCAGUGCAUAACAAGGUUUUUCCAUUCAAUGUCUUCUAAAUUUAGCACAGGAGACUUCACCGAAAAUUCGUUUAUAGACUUGCCAUCAAAGUGUGAUUUCCUCAGGUAACACCAAUACUGCUGCAAUGCUUCCUUGAAUAGCACAAGCAAGCUUUGCUCGUCAUGACUAUCCAGAUUGACCCUCGCCUAGUUACAACAAUGUAAUGUAAAUCAUUGAUGUGUUCAAUCAGCAGAAAACAGGAAAAUAAUAACCAUGAAUAAUAGCACUUACACGUAAGUUGGACAGGAAGAUGUGAAAAUGGUGUUUGUCUUCACAAUAAUCUUCCCAUGAUGGGAAUAUAUGCACGUAGUCCCUAACAACAUUGAAAGCAUUGUCUUUUAAUCUGGGAAUAAAUGGAAUGGGGUUCCAAUCUGCAGGAAUUGGCCGUCUCUGCAGUUGGGAUAGGUCUUCGGCCGGUGGACUUGCUGUACUUUUUGCUGGAGUGGGAUUUUUCUGUGGUACAGCUGGUGCUAUGGCAAAUGAAAUCGGUAUACCUUUUGCUGGAGUGCAGGUCCUGUGUGGUGGGGCUAGUGGUGUGGCCAGUGAAGUAUGGGUACAGUCUGCUGGAGUCGGUCCUACGUUUUGUGUCACUGGUUGUACAGCCAAUAUAAGUGGGGUGAUGUCUGAUUUCUCCGGCACCACCACGUUUUUCAAGGACUUUGCUGGUGCUCCUUCGGGUUCGGCAAUCACCCUCUUCCUUUUUGAUGUCUGAUGCACAAGAACAACAUUUGAGUGGAAAAACAUGGUAUGGUGACAGAUGGAAUAUGUAAUGAUAAUGGAUGGGCAUGGCAUCUCGACAUAUAUGAUGAGUAAACUAAGCAGAUGGCAGUGCAACAAAGUAGAAGAAAUGCAAGACAACAUAUGCAAGAUACCCGCAAUCAAUAAAACAUUGCCAAAUUAGAACAGGCACCUUGAUGGGUGAACAGGAUAGGCCAUCUGCCUUUGACUCCUCGAGGUUAGAAUAGUCAUUAGGAUGAUAUUCUGAACAAGAAUCAACAGGUGGGGAGCGUAUGAGUUUCAUUGCAUCCAGAAUGGCACUCAAUGCCUUGGUGCCAAUUUUGUAAGUCAUUGCAGUGUUUAGCUUCAAGAGUGGACUGCUGCUAGUGCGACACAAAGCAGCUACACAGAUCAUAGUGUAGAUAUAACGGGAAAACCUUAAGCAUCAGAGUAAAAUCAGCAAAGUGGAACUUGCUGGAAUAUAUGUGCUAGUAUUGCCGGUAUGGCCAGAAAGGCUUCGGAUACCAGCUCUCUUCAAGUGAAGGUGCGGUACUGUUAAUAUCAGUGUAACUCUCAAAGGCGACACAGCUCCCCGCAUUUCCUUGCUAUUCUUAUAGGAUUCAAGUGGGCAGGCCACUACAAAUCCUAUUCCUAUUUUACAAGAUCCUACGAAUCAAAGAGGCUCAAAGUGUCCAUCACAACCGACCGUAUAGACCUCUACACUGCAAAUGUCCCUGCUCAUCUUCAGUACAAGGAACAUACUGUACUACUAUCAUACUCCCUCCAUUCCAAAAUAUAAGUCUUGGUAGAGAUUUCCACAAUGGAUCACAUACAGAUGUAUCCAGUUACAUUUUAGAGUGUAGAUUCACUCAUUUUGCUCCAUAUGUAGUCCAUGGUGGAAUCUAUACAAAUACUUGUAUUUAGGAACGGAGAGAGUACAUAUUAAAGAAGAACAGAAGAGGAACAUGGUAAAGAAGAGCAAGCAUAUUUUGGAUAAUAAAAUGUUGGUUGCGCAGUGCCCACACAUGAUGAACCAGAGCGCAUUAAGAAUGCAACUCCCAGCUGUCUCUCGACCAUUUCAGGCGGUUGGAUGAAGAUCCUACGUCUCCUAACCCUUCUUCUUCCUCGUCUCUGAUUCUUCCCAUAUAGAACACCGCACGGGCCACCGGCCGGACCACCGGCCCCCACCGCCUGUGUUCCUCCGCCACCCCCACCCCCACCCCGCCCCAACCCCACCCGCGUCGAGUUUUCUUCGUUCGGCGAGGCCCCACAACCACCCGAGCCCCUUCGAUCGCACCGGCGAACUCCGACGAGCUUUGAAAAAUUGACUGACCCAAUUUUCAAAUUUAGUCUACUGUGAUUUAACUAGUGUGGAAUAUAAAAGGGGAAAACCAUAAGCAUUGGGAGUAUAGUGUUGAGCAUGCCAUGGCGGAUCUGAAGGUGCAAACCGGACAAAGGCAACUUCGCAACCAAGACAAGAAAUCAGAGUAAAGCAGUGGCGAUCUAUUUUCUUGCUGCGAUAAAUAAGUUGAGCAGAUACGAAAGAGUACCGCCUCUGGUGCGGCGCCGUGUAGGCAUCUGCUGAGAAUUUGACGGUGCUACGGUAGCGAUGGCUGUCAGCGGCGUGGAAGCAGAUCUAGGAGGGUAGACGGUGGUGGCGGGGCGCGGUGGACGAGACGGUCGUAGGAGCGGCGCUGGCAAGGUGGACGACGGCGGGGAUGAAGCGAGAGGACGGGAUGCAAGGAUCCCGGUCCGAAGCCGUGGAUGAGAGAGGUCGAUCUCUUGUAAUGGACGGCGGCGUCGGGGUAUCAACUCCGGCAUGUUGGAGGAGGAGGGCGCUGGAUGGGGUGGCGGACGGCGGCAGACGGAGGAGGGUGGGGUGGAGAGGGUGUUUUGGCGCCCACGGAGUACGAAUGGGGAAAAGGGAGGUAGAGAGGAAGGGGGGAACCAUGUAUUCAGGGCGCGCUUGUCUCAAAUGCGAGGAAAUUUACAAACUUAGCCCCCGUUUCAAAUUUCUACUACAUCACAGCAACAUUAGUCGGUUGGGGAUAGGACGGUAAUAUCGCAUACACUGAAUAUUUGCCGACGAGAGUUUGUUUUUGGCGCCCACCGUGUAUGAAUAUGAAUCGGGGAGGGAGUCGAUUUCGGCCGAGGACACACUGUGUUUUGGCGCCCACCGUGUAUGAAUCCGGGUGAGAGGCGGUUACGUCACGUUUGGGUGAAAUUACAAACCUACCCCUAUCGAAACCUAUAGAAAUCCAGCAGAUAGGCUUUGCGUGGCAGGGAUAGGCAGUAGUGAUUUCCAUCUCGCAGAUUUUGGUUUCGGGCGGUUACUACGACUUUCCCCGCUUCGUUCAAAUUUUGCAGAGUGCACGUUUACCGUGCCAACUCAAUUCGAAUCCCGUUUGUAUUCUAUUUUUUUCGGACGGGAUCCAUUUUCAAUUGGAAUUACAUUCUAUAUACAUAAUUUUUUUAUAUAUACUUUCAAAAGCACAACAAAGAAUUCUGCUCCUUUAUAUGUAUAAUAUGAUUUACAAAUACGACGAUCUCGAAAUCUUAAGGUUGAAUUCGAAUUUUUUUAACCAAAUUAUGUUCUACUAAAAUGUAUGGAUCAGUAAUAUCUACAUAUUAAAUAACAUAGAUGUGCGUGAAUUCAUAUGAGUAUGCAUGUUUGAUAGAUCAAUUUUGGUUCGAGUAUGGAUUACAUGUAUCAUCAUCUCGAAUUCAAAUAUUUGAAUCCCUUUUUUGUUCACUCCUUUCACGCCCAUCUCUCUCGCAUGCAUGCUCCUUCAGGUAGAUAUCACUCUCUUUUCUCCAGCUCACCCGCACGCUCACUUCAUGUUUCUCCUAUCCUCGCAAACAUGGUCUCUCGACGUCUCCCUUGAGAAGUGUCACACUCUCCCUAUCAUUAUACAUUACACAGUUUUCAUUAUCUCUCACCUCUCUACUGUUCUCUGGUAUCAAUCGGUACCUAAGCUUUCUUUUUCACCGCCACACACACAGUCUCCACUCGUAUUUCACUUUGUCUUUCUCUCUAUGGGAUUCUCUCACACACCCUAUAUGUCUCUACAUAUGACUCAUACCACUAAAAUUACUCUCUCUAUCUCUCUCCUGUAGACACAACAUUUGUUGCGGUCUCCUUUUCGUCUCCAUCCCAGACUGACAUUAUUCAUUUGUUUAUCGAUCAGACAACCCCGACUACCGUCUCCUCUCUCUCUCUCUCUCUCUCACACCGACACACACACAACUCCUGCUUCCACUCCCCUUCCCGACUACCGUCUCUCUCUCACACACACAAAACUCUUGCUUUCGCACCCCGACUCGUAUUUGUCUCACAAACAUUUAUCGACUAGCUAGCCUCUAGAUAGGUUUAUACACCCGCACACUCGUGCUUCCACCAUCGCAUACAUGUCUCUCUCCCGCUCCUUGUAUCUAUGUAGAUUUUUCUUCCCUUCUUGAGACAUGCCCUCUCGAUCGUGCACACACACACUAUCGCCUCAUUUAAGCUGAUACCUAUCGCACACACACUCCUUGUGUCUUUGUCACACAUGCACUCCGUCCUCCUCCACUCUCCCUCUCUCUCACACACACAUGGGCUUUUUGCAACAACUAGCAAGAUGCCCAUGCGUUGCACGGAACAUCAAGAUGCAUUUGUAUGAGUAGUUUAUCUUGUGGGGGAAAAGGAUGAACGAGGGAAGGCCUUAUUUGCAAAUGUGGAGAGGGGUGUGGGUAUCUUUUUGCAAAAUUGCCAUAGUUUCCUUCCUAUCCGUCAGAUAUAGAUCGGACGGCGUAUAUUGUAGGAUGGCAGGCACACGAUAAUCACCGAGAAUGCUUUUUAUAAGAGUAGGGAUAAAAAAUAGAGUUGGUGAUGAUGGUGGGCCUGCCAUCCUGCAAUGUAGGUCGUCUGAUUUAUAUCUGACGGAUAGGAAGGAAAAUAUGGCAAUUUACCCGCACUCUUCACCACAUUUGCAGAUAAGGCCUUCCCUCGUUCAUCCUUUUCUCCCACAAGAUCUUGAUGUUCCGUGCAAUGCACGGGCAUCUUGCUAGUAAGAGUAGAAAUUAGACAUAUACCACUUCUCGAAUCUUGAAACCAACAACAUUCCUCCCUUAUCUCAUCAAAACCGCCAAAGGAAUAUAUUUUGAGUGAAACAUAACAUAUUUUUAGUGAUAUACGUAUUUCAAAACUAGACUUUUUUUCUAUCAAAUCAGUGAAUAUGUAUUAAUCUACUUUGAUCGUGUGGCAACGCAUUGGCACAUUGCUAGUAGUUAUUAUAAUUUUUUGGACACCAGACAAACGGUGGAGUACAUAUACGAAGAGAAGAGGCGCACGCACGCAGUCGGCCUCUCGCUAUCUCGCACACAUGAGUGUUACGUAAAGGCGACGUUAACAAAUAAACCCUAAAACCUUAGGUGCACGAUUGCUGCAUUCGCGGGUACCGGGUACGUGGUGGAGCACCUUUGUAGGAAUAGUCAGCUCGCGUGAUAAUUUGAUCCGUAGGAGUUGAUGGUCGGGACCACAGGUGAACGACUUGGAGCGCGGUGGCUCGCCAGUUGCCACAGAUCGAGUAGCCACGUUUAAAAUAUCGUUUUUAGCGGGGUUAAGAGUUCCGAUUUUCAAUGGCGCGUUAUAAGUAGUAAGUAGUUUUUAGAACGAUUGGUAUAUGGAGCGAAAAUGGAAUUCAUAGUACUACGUACCUCCUUGGCGUAUGGUUGUAUGGUUUUUUUUGCGAUGGAGGUUGUAUGGGUUGAUGUUGCGAGAUGUUGAACCUGGUAGUUCUAGGGCAAAUACUAUGGUUUAGAUUUAGAUGCUGGUUUUCAGUAAUGAAAAUCGGAAGGGGAAACCCUUCUUUGAUUAAAAAACUACUACCUCUAUUCUGGUCUACUAGUCCCCAUCGUACUUUGGGUCAAAGUUUGUCCACGAAUUUUACUUGUAAAAUGUGGAUGGAAAACGAGAUUUUGUUAUACCCAAACAAAAAAGGACUGGAGGGAGUGAUUGCUCGGACAUGGACGCGACCUCUCAUAGUGCAGGCAUUGAACCGGCGCGCCGGCCAAGAGGGCCGCACUCGCUGCAGGCCCGGCUGAGCACGCCUCCUCGCCGCGUGCAACCAGCUUAAGACUGCCCCGCCUGCCUUCAUUGAAUCCGCGCGUGUGCCGGCAACAUGUAACAUCCCAAAUUUCCAAUUUGGAAUGUUAUACAUAGAUCAUCAUUGCAUAUCAUAUUUUGUUGCAUUUUGACAAAUCCUCGAUAAAUCCUAAGCAACUCAAGGACCCUCGGAGAGAGUUGGGGAUUUUCUCGAAUUCUUAAAUUUGAUUUUCAAACGAGGAUUGGGGUUUUAAUUAUUUUUCUCUCCGGAAAAAUAUUUCCUGUUAAAAUAAACGAGAGGAGAAAAUAUGACUUCUCCAAAACAUUUGAAAUACUGGAGGAAAAAUGUUAAAAUCAUUUAUUGGCAUUUAUUUGGAUUUUAAUUGCAAUUUUAUUGCAUUAAAAAAUAUAUGCAUGUUUUCAAAAUAUUAAUUUGGAUGUAUAAAAAUGUUCACCCUAUUCUAGAUUUUCUAACAAGACGGGGACAAUUUAUUUCAUAUUUUUCUGAUUUUUAUUUAUUUUUCUAUGCAAUAUUUUCGCAGAACUUAUUUUAAAAAAACUGCGCGACGCCCGACCGGGCCGAAGCCCAGCCGAGCGCCGGCCCGCCCGCGCUCUCCUCUUCCCGCACGACGCCGAGCCGCCGCCGGAGUCCGCCGCCCGCACGCCGCCCCCUUCCGCANNNNNNNNNNNNNNNNNNNNNNNNNNNNNNNNNNNNNNNNNNNNNNNNNNNNNNNNNNNNNNNNNNNNNNNNNNNNNNNNNNNNNNNNNNNNNNNNNNNNNNNNNNNNNNNNNNNNNNNNNNNNNNNNNNNNNNNNNNNNNNNNNNNNNNNNNNNNNNNNNNNNNNNNNNNNNNNNNNNNNNNNNNNNNNNNNNNNNNNNNNNNNNNNNNNNNNNNNNNNNNNNNNNNNNNNNNNNNNNNNNNNNNNNNNNNNNNNNNNNNNNNNNNNNNNNNNNNNNNNNNNNNNNNNNNNNNNNNNNNNNNNNNNNNNNNNNNNNNNNNNNNNNNNNNNNNNNNNNNNNNNNNNNNNNNNNNNNNNNNNNNNNNNNNNNNNNNNNNNNNNNNNNNNNNNNNNNNNNNNNNNNNNNNNNNNNNNNNNNNNNNNNNNNNNNNNNNNNNNNNNNNNNNNNNNNNNNNNNNNNNNNNNNNNNNNNNNNNNNNNNNNNNNNNNNNNNNNNNNNNNNNNNNNNNNNNNNNNNNNNNNNNNNNNNNNNNNNNNNNNNNNNNNNNNNNNNNNNNNNNNNNNNNNNNNNNNNNNNNNNNNNNNNNNNNNNNNNNNNNNNNNNNNNNNNNNNNNNNNNNNNNNNNNNNNNNNNNNNNNNNNNNNNNCGGAGCCGCCCGUCGAGGUACUGCCGCCGGCCGUUUACCGUCGUUGCCGGUUUUCUGUAAAAAAAACCCUUUUGUUUUAAAAAAAACCCUAGAUCGGUUUUUUUUCGGUUUUAUUAUUUUGCGAGCGUUCACCGAACCGUUCGUUUUAACGAACGCGUUCGUCGGUUUUUCUCUGUUAACGAACGUCCGUUCUUUAACCGUUCGUCCGUUUUUCUUUUUCGUCGGAUUUUCUCGUUAUUUUCUCAGAUUCGAUUUCUGAUCGAAUUUUCGAAUCUGUUUAACUUCUCGCUCGUUUAUCGGAAUCAGGUGAUUCAAGCGCCUAGAGUUUCGUCUCGAAAUUCUCUUUCCGAUUAAUCUACUCAAACAAGUUUUUGCUACAGUAAAAUUUGACCUAGAUCCAGAUUAGCAAACGAAGUUUCUUUCUUUCGUCGUUUGACUUUCGUUGCUUCUUUCGAGUUGAUUUUUUUUUUUGCAAACCGGAGUUCUUAAGUUGAACUUUCUGGUUGGAUCUUUCAUUCGAGUUUUACCUGUGCAUUAGAUGAGUACUGAUUGUAUGCUUUUUCGUUUGCGAUAGAGUACCCGGAGUGUGCCGUUUGUUACUUCGACUCGCUAGGUUUUGCGGAUCAUCAGCAAGGCAAGUAACACUUUGAUCAUACCCCGUUCAUACCCAGUUUUAUUUGCAUUAGAUCUGUUUUCCUCAAACACUUGCAUGAUUAGGAUCUAAUUAAAUUGUGGGAACUGGGAAGUAGUUGAGGUAGUACCUAUUACCUGUUUUACUUUAUCAAACCCUUGGGAGUUACUUCUACGUUGCUUUUAUUAUUGCCAUGCUAUGCUCGUAGACGUGGAUUGGGUUUGAGAGAUAUUCAUGACAGAUGUGAGAUUGUUAAUAAUGGUUUACUUAAGGUGGCAACUAAAACUCACAUCUGGGUGGAUUGAGGCACUGGAGAACCCAGUGUUGUCUGUAUGUAUAAGGUCCGCCACCCAGGCUCAAAGGGAUCAUAAGAUUAUUCAUGCUAGAAACUUCCGUGUGCAUCCACAAGCUAUUAUGGUCUCUAGCAUAGCUGAGUAGGUUACAGGAUCUCUUGAAGAGGUGGACUAGCAGAUGUAGGGGAAAGUAGGUGUACCGGUCCAUCCAGAGUAGAGAGUGAUUGUUUCUGAAAGACUGUGUCUCGGUCAUCCGUUUCUCAAACAUCAUGCAGUGCGAGAAUCAAGCGGAGGCGAUCGAGUCUUGUGGGGAAAAGUGCACAAACCUCUGCAGAGUGUACAAACUGAUCAUGAUUAGCCGUGUCCCCGGUUAUGGACAACUUGAGUAUCUAGUACCUGGAUUAUCAUUUGAAUCUCAUCACCGUGAUACUUAUAAUUAAUUUUGUUGGGUUAAUGAUGAUACUUAAUUGGGAUUGAGUUGGAGGUACCUUCUCAAUGUUUCAACCACCAUGAUAGUUAAACAAAAAUUUAUUCCUUUGCAGUAGGAUAAAAUUGGCUUUUCGCAAAACUGUAACCAUAGAGCCUUCCACCAGCCAUAUUUGCAUAUAGUAUAACAUUAUUACUUGUUCAUUGCUCUCUAUGUGUUACAUUGCCAGCAUAUUCUAUGUGCUGACCCGUUUUUGGGCUGCAACGUUUCAUGUUGCAGACUUUUCAGACGAUGAGUAAGGUGCCUUAGGUCGUGGUCUUAUACUCAGUGAUGCCGCUGGAGUUGAUGGACUCACUUAUCUUCCAAGUCUUCCGCUGUUAUCGUUAUUAGAUGGCCUUAAGCCAUGCUUAUCAUACUUAAUCUCUUUGGAGAUAUUCGAUGUAAUAAGUGUGUGACUGCUACUCUGUUAUAAAUCCUCCAUUUGUACUGUGCGUGUCAGCAUUACUGAUCCAGGGAUGACACUGGUGCACAGCAGCACAUGCCAUUUGAGGUCUGGUCGCUACAAAGUUGGUAUCAGAGCACACGCUGACUGUAGGACACGACCACUAAGCUUAAGCCCUAGAAAGCUUCUCUCUUCUCAUUUCUGACCCCUCUCCACUUUCUACUCUUUUAGGAAUGGCGAAUGCAAGGAGCAAGUUCAUGCAACCAGAUGAAGACACGCCGUUUGGUCGACACUUGAAGGAAGUCACCAAGUACUUGAACAUAGGAAUACCAAGCGUCACCGAAACCUACAAUGCCACCUUACCUGAAGAGGAGAGCUGGAAGAUUCAAGUUAUCAUUCCAGGAAGGACGUUUGCGCCAAUUACGGAACCCAUGAGAUUGGUUUUCGAAGCACCAACUUGGAGUUUAGGGAAGAGCAUGGCCGCACACAUCGCCAUGGGACGCAUUGGAGAAGUCUAUCACCAGGAGCUUAAGGAUACAAUCUACCAAAUUUGUGGACGUCGAGACGCGCAAUGGGAGAUGAUCAAGACCAAGAAGGAUGGAUCAAUUGCAGCUUUCAUCCAGGAGCAGAACCAACAUAUUCGACGCCAGGAGAAUCAGAUGUGCACGGACAAGGAAGAACUGAAGAAGGCAUUCACGAAGAUCAAGGAACUCCAAGAAGAACUCAAGGCUACACGCGAAGAUUACUUGGAGGAAAUCAACGCGCUAGUAGGGAAGAUUGACGACCUGGAGAAUAAGAUUGGAUCAUUCGUGGGAAAUCCAGUGCUAAAAGCAGAAGUCGACGAAUGCACUUGUCCGGAUAACUACAUCAUCAUCGACGACACCGAUUCGGAACCAAGUGAAGACGAAUGGAUUGAUGAAGCUGGAGCAGACAUCAUGGAGUCUUCAACGGAUCAGAAUUUCUAGUAGACCACCAUAUUCGUAGUAGUUUUCCCCCAUUUAGUAGUAUAGUUCAAGCACUUUGUAACGCUAGCUAGAUCGAUUGUUUUGCCUUGUUUGGAUUAAUUGAGUGAUAUUGAUUGAAUUUGUCUCAUGAGCAUAUGAGUAGUGUUUUCUCUCUAGGCCUCAUUCUACUCUUAACUCUCAUCUUUUCUAAACCUAUCAGAUGCCUCCGAGACGCGACACCGGAUUUGUUUUCCCGCCAGAGAUCACCCAGUUGAUUCAGCAGCAGAAUGCCCUAAUGCAAGUGUUAGUUCAGAACCAAGGCAACAACAACAACAACAACAACCCACCGCCGCCACCACCUGUUGAUCACUUAGCCCGUUUCCUAAGGCUAAACCCGCCGGUGUUUUCCAGUAGCACCAAGCCGAUUGUAGCAGAUGAUUGGCUCCGCAAAGUUGGAAGGGAGUUGACCACUACAGGAUGCAUAGAUGCGGAAAGAGUGUGUUUUGCCGCACAUCAGCUUGAUGGACCCGCAGCAUCAUCGUGAGAGAAUUACACAGCCACGCACCCUAUUGACACUGUCACAUGGGACCAGUUGCAGCAAGCUUUCCGUACAGCUCAUGUUUCAGCAGGAGCUAUGGCUAUGAAGAAGCGAGAAUUUCGCAACCUACGCCAAGGAGGACGCACCGUAGGCCAGUAUGUGGAGGAUUUCAGUAAGCUAGCACGUUAUGCACCAGAUGACGUUGCUACAGAUGCAGCUAAGCAGGAGAAGUUUCUGGAAGGAUUGAAUGAUGAGCUGAGUAUGCAGUUGAUGGUAGCAACUUUCAACAACUACCAGGAGCUGGUAGAUAGAGCUCUCAUGAUUGAAGGGAAGCAACAGCAGAUUGAAAACCGCAAGAGGAAGUAUGGACAAGGGAAGUACAAUUCUGGAGCCCAACAGAAGCCUCGUUUUACCCCGAAGCCGGGAGGACAGUUUCAGCAUACCCAUGGAGGAGGUAGUUCGCACAACCAUAAUGGCUCCAAGAAUGGUAAUGGGAAUGGAGGAGGAAACGGACAGAACCGCACCAACCCAUCUACCCCAACCAAGAGAGAUCUAAGUCUUGUUUCAAGUGCCAGAAGACGGGACAUUAUGCUACUGAUUGUCCCGAAGCCCAAAAUGGAAAUGGCAAUGGAAGCUCUGGGAAGAAGCCGAACCCGUUCAACAAAGGACAUGUGAACCACGUGAGCGUGGAGGAGGUUGAAGCUCAGCCUGAUGCAGUAAUAGGUAAGUUUUUGGUUAAGUCAUUUACUGCAACCGUUCUUUUCGAUACUGGUGCAUCGCAUUCAUACAUAUCAAGGGGAUUCGUGAACAAGUUUAAGAUGUCCACCCAAGUUCUCAAAAGCCCCAUGUUAGUAACCUCGCCAGGAGCAGAGUAUAUGGCCACCCAAGGAUGUUUUCAGAUACCGUUGGCCAUUGGUAGGCAUGUUUUCCCCUCAGACCUCAUUGUUUUGGAAUCGCAAGGUUUGGAUGUGAUCUUGGGAAUGGAUUGGCUAUCGUUGUAUGGAGGAAACAUCGAUUGUGCCAGCAAGACGAUUUUGCUUACCACCCCGGAAGGAAAAAGGAUCAAGUAUGUAUCCCGGCAUAUGCCGAAGAGGACUCAAGUGAAUUCCUUAUCAGGAGUUGUACAGGAGGAAGUACCAGUGGUGAAGGAUUAUCCGGAUGUAUUUCCAGAAGAAUUGCCAGGCAUGCCACCAGAUAGAGACAUUGAGUUCUUGAUUGAACUUUUGCCAGGCACAGGGCCAAUAUCUAAGAGACCGUACAGGAUGCCCGCAAAGGAUUUGGAGGAAAUUAAGAAGCAGAUCAAGGAGUUACUGGAUAAAGGCUAUAUUCGCCCAAGCUCGUCACCUUGGGGAUCACCAGUACUUCUAGUGGAGAAGAAAGAUGGAUCGCUGAGGAUGGUUGUUGAUUACCGAGGAUUGAAUGAAGUGACCAUCAAAAACAAGUACCCACUGCCGAUGAUCAAUGAUUUGUUUGACCGCUUGCAAGGAGCUAAAGUAUUUUCCAAGAUCGAUCUACGAUCAGGAUACCAUCAGUUAAAGAUUCGGGAGCAGGAUAUAUCCAAGACGGCAUUUACCACCAGAUAUGGAUUGUAUGAGUAUACCGUUAUGUCAUUUGGACUGACUAAUGCACCGGCCUAUUUCAUGAACCUGAUGAACAAAGUGUUUAUGGAGUUUUUGGAUAAGUUCGUCGUGGUGUUCAUUGAUGAUAUUUUAAUCUUUUCCAAGGAUGAAGAAGAGCAUGAGGAGCAUUUGCGAUUAGUACUUGAGAAGCUCAGAGAACAUCAGUUGUAUGCCAAGUUCAGUAAGUGUGAGUUUUGGCUGAAGGAAGUUGGAUUCCUUGGACAUGUUAUUUCUGGAGAAGGAAUAGCAGUAGACCCUGCCAAGGUUGACACAGUGACAAGUUGGGAAUCGCCAACGACAGUUGGAGAAAUCCGGAGUUUUCUUGUACUUGCAGGAUACUACCGGAGAUUUAUCGAGAAUUUCUCGAAGAUUGCUAAGCCCAUGACUGAGCUAUUGAAGAAGGACACCAAAUUCAAUUGGACUGAGGAAUGUGAAGCUAGUUUCCAACAGUUGAAGAAACGAUUGGUUACAUCACCAGUGUUGAUUCUGCCAGAUCAACGCAAGGACUAUGAAGUGUAUUGCGACGCUUCUCGUCGAGGACUUGGAGCAGUGCUUAUGCAGGAAGGAAGAGUUGUGUCGUAUGCUUCACGACAACUUAAACCCCAUGAGAAGAAUUAUGCUACGCAUGAUUUGGAGUUAGCAGCCGUGGUGCAUGCAUUGAAGACAUGGAGACAUUUUCUCAUCGGAAACCAUUGUGAGGUGUACACGGAUCACAAGAGUUUGAAGUAUAUUUUCACGCAGAAGGAGUUAAAUCUCAGACAGAGAAGAUGGUUGGAGCUCAUUAAAGAUUAUGAUAUGAGAUUGCAUUAUCACCCUGGAAAGGCUAACGUAGUAGCAGACGCGUUGAGCCGCAAGAGUCAUGUCAACACCCUCAUGACAGGAGAGUUACCUCAGGAGUUAGCCGAGGACCUACGUGAGCUUUGUUUGGAGAUAGUCCCAAGAGGCUAUUUAGCGACAUUGGAGAUUCAGUCUACCUUGAUGGAAAGGAUCAGAGAAGCUGAGAAGACAGACAAGGAGAUUGAAGAGAUAAAGGAGAAGAUGAGCAAAGGAAAAGCCAAGGGAUUUCGUGAGGAUGAGCACGAUACCCUAUGGUUCGAGGACCGCGUAUAUGUACCAAAUGAUCCGGAGAUCAGGAAGUUGAUUUUGCAAGAAGCCCAUGAUUCACCAUACUCGAUUCACCCAGGGAAUACCAAGAUGUAUUUGGAUUUGAAGAAUACUUUCUGGUGGACCGGAAUGAAGAAGGAUAUUGCGGAGUAUGUAGCAGUUUGUGAUGUAUGUCAGAGAGUGAAGGCAGAGCAUCAGAAGCCAGCAGAAUUGCUGCAACCAUUGCCGAUACCCGAAUGGAAGUGGGAUAAAAUAGGCAUGGAUUUUAUCAUAGGAUUACCCAGGACUCGUUCAGGCUAUGACUCGAUAUGGGUUGUAGUCGACCGUUUGACGAAAGUGGCUCAUUUCAUUCCAGUGAAGACCACUUACACCGGUGCUAAGUUGGCAAAGAUAUACAUGACCAGGAUAGUAUGUUUGCAUGGAGUUCCGAGGACCAUUGUAUCAGACAGAGGAACCCAAUUUACCUCGAAGUUUUGGAAGCCGUUACAUGAAACAUUGGGAACCAGGCUGGAAUUCAGUACAACAUUUCACCCACAGACAGAUGGACAGACCGAGAGAGUCAACCAGAUUUUGGAGGACAUGUUGAGAGCAUGUGCACUAGAUUAUGGAUCUAGUUGGGACGACAAUUUGCCAUAUGCGGAGUUUUCUUAUAACAACAGUUAUCAAACCAGUUUGAAGAUGGCCCCUUUCGAAGCUCUGUACGGAAGGAGGUGUAGAACACCGUUGUUAUGGGACGAAGUUGGAGAUCGUCAGCUGUUUGGACCAGAUUUGAUUAAGGAAUCUGAACAGAAAGUGAGGUUGAUUCGCGAUAGGCUCAAGGUAGCCCAGUCCAGGCAGAAGAGCUAUGCUGAUUCUAAACGUAAGGAGACAAUUCACGAAGUCGGAGACAGAGUGUAUCUUUGAGUAUCACCCCUUUGAGGACUGAAGCGCUUUGGAGUUAAAGGAAAGUUAGCGCCCCAUUUUAUUGGACCAUACAGAGUGUUGGAACGUAUGGGAGAAGUUGCCUACAAGUUGGAAUUGCCCGAAGGAUUGUCUGGAGUACAUGAUGUAUUUCAUGUUUCCCAGUUGAAGAAGUGCCACGCAGAAAUGGCUGAGAUACCGCUGAGAGAUACUGUGCCACUGGAAGCGAUUCAGUUGGAAAGUGAUUUGACUUAUGAGGAGAAACCAGUUAAGAUUCUCGAGUAUGCCAGCCGAGUUACCCGCAGCAAGGUUAUCAAGUUCUGCAAGUUUCAGUGGAGUCACCACACAGAGGAUGAAGCCACCUGGGAGCGAGAGGAAGAUCUACGGAAAAACCACUCCCACCUGUUUUCUAGCCAACCCGAAUCUCGAGGGCGAGAUUCAUCUUAAGGGGGGUAGGUUUGUAACAUCCCAAAUUUCCAAUUUGGAAUGUUAUACAUAGAUCAUCAUUGCAUAUCAUGUUUUGUUGCAUUUUGACAAAUCCUCGAUAAAUCCUAAGCAACUCAAGGACCCUCGGAGAGAGUUGGGGAUUUUCUCGAAUUCUUAAAUUUGAUUUUCAAACGAGGAUUGGGGUUUUAAUUAUUUUUCUCUCCAGAAAAAUAUUUCCUGUGAAAAUAAACGAGAGGAGAAAAUAUGACUUCUCCAAAACAUUUGAAAUACUGGAGGAAAAAUGUUAAAAUCAUUUAUUGGCAUUUAUUUGGAUUUUAAUUGCAAUUUUAUUGCAUUAAAAAAAUAUAUGCAUGUUUUCAAAAUAUUAAUUUGGAUUUAUAAAAAUGUUCACCCUAUUCUAGAUUUUCUAACUAGACGGGGAAAAUUUAUUUCAUAUUUUUCUGAUAUUAAUUUAUUUUUCUAUGCAAUAUUUUCGCAGAACUUAUUUAAAAAAAACUGCGCGACGCCCGACCGGGCCGAAGCCCAGCCGAGCGCCGGCCCGCCCGCGCUCUCCUCUUCCCGCACGACGCCGAGCCGCCGCCGGAGUCCGCCGCCCGCACGCCGCCCCNNNNNNNNNNNNNNNNNNNNNNNNNNNNNNNNNNNNNNNNNNNNNNNNNNNNNNNNNNNNNNNNNNNNNNNNNNNNNNNNNNNNNNNNNNNNNNNNNNNNNNNNNNNNNNNNNNNNNNNNNNNNNNNNNNNNNNNNNNNNNNNNNNNNNNNNNNNNNNNNNNNNNNNNNNNNNNNNNNNNNNNNNNNNCCGGAUCCGCCCGUCGAGGUACUGCCGCCGGCCGUUUACCGCCGUUGCCGGUUUUCUGUAAAAAAAACCCUUUUGUUUUAAAAAACCCUAGAUCGGUUUUUUUUCGGUUUUAUUAUUUUGCGAGCGUUCACCGAACCGUUCGUUUUAACGAAUGCGUUCGUCGGUUUUUCUCUGUUAACGAACGUCCGUUCUUUAACCGUUCGUCCGUUUUUCUUUUUCGUCGGAUUUUCUCGUUAUUUUCUCAGAUUCGAUUUCUGAUCGAAUUUUCGAAUCUGUUUAACUUCUCGCUCGUUUAUCGGAAUCAGGUGAUUCAAGCGCCUAGAGUUUCGUCUCGAAAUUCUCUUUCCGAUUAAUCUACUCAAACAAGUUUUUGCUACAGUAAAAUUUGACCUAGAUCCAGAUUAGCAAACGAAGUUUCUUUGUUUCGUCGUUUGACUUUCGUUGCUUCUUUCGAGUUGAUUUUUUUUUGCAAACCGGAGUUCUUAAGUUGAACUUUCUGGUUGGAUCUUUCAUUCGAGUUUUACCUGUGCAUUAGAUGAGUACUGAUUGUAUGCUUGUUCGUUUGCGAUAGAGUACCCGGAGUGUGCCGCUUGUUACUUCGACUCGCUAGGUUUUGCGGAUCAUCAGCAAGGCAAGUAACACUUUGAUCAUACCCCGUUCAUACCCAGUUUUAUUUGCAUUAGAUCUGUUUUCCUCAAACACUUGCAUGAUUAGGAUCUAAUUAAAUUGUGGGAACUGGGAAGUAGUUGAGGUAGUACCUAUUACCUGUUUUACUUUAUCAAACCCUUGGGAGUUACUUCUACGUUGCUUUUAUUAUUGCCAUGCUAUGCUCGUAGACGUGGAUUGGGUUUGAGAGAUAUUCAUGACAGAUGUGAGAUUGUUAAUAAUGGUUUACUUAAGGUGGCAACUAAAACUCACAUCUGGGUGGAUUGAGGCACCUGGAGAACCCAGUGUUGUCUGUAUGUAUAAGGUCCGCCACCCAGGCUCAAAGGGAUCAUAAGAUUAUUCAUGCUAGAAACUUCCGUGUGCAGCCACAAGCUAUUAUGGGCUCUAGCAUAGCUGAGUAGGUUACAGGAUCUCUUGAAGAGGUGGACUAGCAGAUGUAGGGGAAAGUAGGUGUACCGGUCCAUCCAGAGUAGAGAGUGAUUGUUUCUGAAAGACUGUGUCUCGGUCAUCCGUUUCUCAAACAUCAUGCAGUGCGAGAAUCAAGCGGAGGUGAUCGAGUCUUGUGGGGAAAAGUGCACAAACCUCUGCAGAGUGUACAAACUGAUCAUGAUUAGCCGUGUCCCCAGUUAUGGACAACUUGAGUAUCUAGUACCUGGAUUAUCAUUUGAAUCUCAUCACCGUGAUACUUAUAAUUAAUUUUGUUGGGUUAAUGAUGAUACUUAAUUGGGAUUGAGUUGGAGGUACCUUCUCAAUGUUUCAACCACCAUGAUAGUUAAACAAAAAUUUAUUCCUUUGCAGUAGGAUAAAAUUGGCUUUUCGCAAAACUGCAACCAUAGAGUCUUCCACCAGCCAUAUUUGCAUAUAGUAUAUCAUUAUUAUUUGUUCAUUGCUCUCUAUGUGUUACAUUGCCAGCAUAUUCUAUGUGCUGACCUGUUUUUGGGCUGCAACGUUUCAUGUUGCAGACUUUUCAGACGACGAGUAAGGUGCCUUAGGUCGUGGUCUUAUACUCAGUGAUGCCGCUGGAGUUGAUGGACUCACUUAUCUUCCAAGUCUUCCGCUGUUAUCGUUAUUAGAUGGCCUUAAGCCAUGUUUAUCAUACUUAAUCUCUUUAGAGAUAUUUGAUGUAAUAAGUGUGUGACUGCUACUCUGUUAUAAAUCCUCCAUUUGUACUGUGCGUGUCAGCAUUACUGAUCCAGGGAUGACACUGGUGCACAGCAGCACAGGCCAUUUGAGGUCUGGUCGCUACACAACACGUCCUUCCGCGAGCCGGCAGGCAUUUUAGAACACAAAAAAUGACUAAAAUAUAAUUAAUUUACGCAUGGUCUUGACUUGUUGUGCUCGCACUGGUAGCAGGAACUAGUAGAGGAUUUUCUUUAUUUAUAACUCUCCUCACAUUUUUUUGGCUUUGAAGUGAAUCAUGGUUGUGGACAUUAUGUAUGAAUGUGCAGAUAUCUGUGAACAUGAUUUUGAUGUGGAAGUUGAACUUGGAAUGUCGGGCUUGCGCGUGAACUAUACCAUGUCCAAUGCUUCAUCUGUUAUUGUUUGGAAAGUAAUUGAUGUUAUUAGAUGACCUAAAAAAAAUUUUGUGCCACAUCAGUAGAUGCACGGACAUCGCAACAUGCAUGCUGACUGGAUAGACAUUUGAACCUAGAUAUUAUGAAGGAAAUUUUGUAUUGACAACAGUUUUAGAUAGCAGGAGACGCCUAGCCUGCUCUGCCUCUGCUAGCUUAUUUCUGGCUUCUUCCAUCUCUUCUUUGGCUUGGGUGAAGAGAGCAUCUGAUUGAUCUUUUUGCUUCUUCAGGAACUCAGCUACAUUCUCAAGGGCUGUUGCACGCUUUCUUUCAGCCUUUACUAAUGCCACGAGGACACGAACAACUGACGACUCCACCUGGCUUGUGUGUAAUCCAGCAUCAUCUGGGAAUUUGCACCUUGUGUCUAAUCCAGCAUCAUUAGGGAACUGGCACCUUGUGUGUAAUCCAGCCUCAUUUUGGAAACAUGAUUUCGAGGUUGACCAUACUUCCCUCCUCGCAGGAACUGCAUCCUGACAUGAAGUUACUUCUUUUUUAGAUCAAUACUCAGAGCAACCUAGAUCCAUUUAGUAGAAGCCAGAUAAACAGAACUCCGAGAAGUGAAUUCAAAAGGAAAAAAAAUAAAAACAGACUACAAGGUGAGAACACCCACUUCCUACAUCAAGCUAAAAACGAAAGCAUUCGGACGAUUAAGACUCUUCUUAUUACACAUCGAAGAACACCACGCUUAAGAGAAACAGAAACUACAACAUAUACACAUCGAAGAACACGAGGCUACACGAAAGUAAUUGAAAGGGUGUUACUUACCAAAGCUCGUUUUACAGGUUCGGUGCAGCUCCUCUUUAACUUGCCACGCUCCUUGAAGAUGUCCCGAAUAUCCCGUGUUUGGUCUUCAUUGCUCCUCUGCAUGUUCACACUCGUGGUUUUAAAAUCUCAACAUGGCAAGAAAAAUGUACUACUAGUAAUACUCGCGCAUCUUGUGGGCAACAUUAAAGCACUCGUCUGCCAUGUUAGAGCAUCUCCAACAGAAUCACAACGCGCGGCGCUUUAAAAAAUCGUUUACAGUGCUGAGAUCAAGAAGUAGAUACUAGAGAGUAGAGGAUAGUUCUCAGCAUAGAUAGAUAAAAAAAGAUAAUUCAACUACUCCUCGUCGUCCAACUCCUCCUCGGUGAUGUCCUCCUCCGAUGUCUGACUAUAGGCGUGAAGAUACCGAUCAUCGUCGGAUUCCCAGGGCGACGCUGCUCCUAGCCUCAUGUUGAAUUGAGCGUCUGCUUUUCGCCUACGCUUGUUCUCGCGAUAGGCGGCUCGCUCCGCCCUCCUCUUAUCCCUCUCCGCCCUCCUUUGCACGUAGAACUCGUGCUCGUUGGUGAUGUCCUGCGGGAAGUGUUGGCGCCACAGCACCCUAAGCCGCGGCAGAGGCGCGAGCUCCUGCGCCCGCUCCCGCGUCGACACGUUGGGGAAGUUCAAUGUUCUAUGAGGCCACUGGAGGCGCCACACCGCCGCGUCGUACGCGCGGGCGGCCUCGUUGGCGGUGUCGAAAUUGCCGAGGCCGAGGCACGUCCCGCGGAACCGGAUCUCGGCGGAGAAGCCGCCGGAGGGGCGCGCGCGGACGCCGUGGUAUCCCCAAGUUUCCCGGCGACGCGGCGGCAUGGUGGCGCGACGGCGGCGAGGUGAAAAAGAGCGGGGAGAGAGCGGUGGCGAGGCACAGAGCAGGGAGAGAGCGGUGGCAAGGCACAGAGCGGUGGGAGGGCGUUGGAUUUUAUAAAGCACGCCGGACGCCGCGCGCCAAAACUAGCGNNNNNNNNNNNNNNNNNNNNNNNNNNNNNNNNNNNNNNNNNNNNNNNNNNNNNNNNNNNNNNNNNNNNNNNNNNNNNNNNNNNNNNNNNNNNNNNNNNNNNNNNNNNNNNNNNNNNNNNNNNNNNNNNNNNNNNNNNNNNNNNNNNNNNNNNNNNNNNNNNNNNNNNNNNNNNNNNNNNNNNNNNNNNNNNNNNNNNNNNNNNNNNNNNNNNNNNNNNNNNNNNNNNNNNNNNNNNNNNNNNNNNNNNNNNNAUACAGGAGCGACGCACAAUUACAAGCUGAUAUUCUGUUGGACAAUGGAGGCUAUAACCAAUUAAUUUUACGGGAACAAUAGCACGCAGGAAAUUUGAAGGGUAGGUAUGAACAAAAUUGGAACUGCACAUGUACUGCUAAGUGAUUCAAUACACACAUUACCAAUUGAGGAGGAGAACGAUGGUCGUGGUGGCCUCUGUGAGUCAUGGUCGGGAACGGGAGUCAGUUCAUUGUCCACGACGGUGGUACUUCUGCACUUGGCGUCGGCUUCCGGGAAGCAGAUCUGAGACCGUGGAAGACGAUGCCGGGGAAGAGGCUCCGUGUAUGACGACGACGGUGGACCGGCUCCAGUGCGGCGUACGAGGUCGUCGAUGAGGCAGAUGCGCUGCGGUGGACGAGUGCGCCGAUGUAAAGGGGAGGAGCACGAAGGCUACGGUGCCGUGGAGAAGUCUAUUUUGCGGUGGGGAUAGAAAAUGGGGAGUAUUCAGGUGUACUACUCUGGGUGCCAGGGUAGGGUUGGCUGGGUAGGGUGAACCUGAAGUUACGAAAACAACACCCUACCAAGCGUCAUCCGUAGGCCUGUUCCGAAGGCUAUGAUGGUAACUUCCCACUGCUCGAAUCAGGGUCGCGGGAGAUUUUCCCGCCGACCUCAAAAUCUUGUGACACUAGACUCCCCGUGUGGCGUGUUGAGUGAUUCGGCUAAGCAACUAGCGAGUAGUAGUAGUAAACUCUGCAUAUUAGGUUUGACCGAAGUCAAACUUCCUAAAGUUUGACCAAGUUUAUAGAAAAAUAUAAACAUUUACCAUAACAAAUAUGUAUGAUGUGAAAGUACAUUCAAUAAUGAAUCUAAUGGUAUUUAUUUGUUAUUGUAUAUGUUAAUAUUUUUUGUUAUAAGCUUUCUGAGAGUUUACAAAACUUGACUUUGACCAAUGCUAAUACGCGGACUUAAAUAAAAACGGAGGGAGUACACAUUUGUUUUCUUAGUUUGUAGUGAACUAAUCAUUUGCUGAAAUUGUGAAAUAAAUAUAUUAGGCUAUUGACUUCGAAUGUAAUGGUCUAUACAAUUCAAUAGUUACAAUCAUUGUCGAAUCCCAAGAUGUAUACAAGGUCUAUAGUACUUCACAACAUGCUCAAACUCACAUAAUCCUAGUCAAAUGAGAAUCUAAAUGCAUUUCAUAGUUAUUACUUUAUAGGAUGCAACAAAAACAACCAUAACUCUACAUCAGCCAUUAUAGAAGCAACAUUUUGACAUAUCCCAAUGUGUGAAUGAAACAUGCAGAGAGAGCUUUUGAAGAUGGAGCAGAUAGGGCGGGAAGGAUUGUAUGUAUGUGGACGAGAGAGUAGGAGACAAACCUAACGAGACAGAGAGAGAGAUAGAGAGAGAGGAAGAGAGAGGAAGAAGUUAGGUCUGUGAGAAAGAUGGAUACAUGUAAUAUACAUGAGAUGCGUGUGCAUUUGGAUUCUGUAUACGUGGAAGGAGAAGAGACAACAUGUUUGAUGAGAGAGCUGAAAAACAUGGACGAGAGGGGAAGGAUCUCGUGGGUUGAGGGAUUGACNNNNNNNNNNNNNNNNNNNNNNNNNNNNNNNNNNNNNNNNNNNNNNNNNNNNNNNNNNNNNNNNNNNNNNNNNNNNNNNNNNNNNNNNNNNNNNNNNNNNNNNNNNNNNNNNNNNNNNNNNNNNNNNNNNNNNNNNNNNNNNNNNNNNNNNNNNNNNNNNNNNNNNNNNNNNNNNNNNNNNNNNNNNNNNNNNNNNNNNNNNNNNNNNNNNNNNNNNNNNNNNNNNNNNNNNNNNNNNNNNNNNNNNNGGGGGAGGAGUCAGUCAGCCGUCGUCACAUCACCCUGCUUCCAAAUGACCCUGCAUUCUCUAGCGCGGUGUGGUCGCCGUCUUCGAUCUGCUCGAUGCCCUCUUUGAAGAUUGAGGUGUUGUGCAUGUUGGGGUGCAAAGAAGCACAAGCGAGAGUGGUCGCCGUAUAACCUUGGAUGGGGAUGAAUUGUGUGCUCGGGGGAGUGUGUGUGUGUGUUGUGCUGCGUGUGUCUCUGUGUGUGUGUGUGUGUGUGUGUGUGUGUCAGAUAUUGAGAGAAAACAAACCUAAGGAGAGAAAUGGGUAUUCACGAAGAGAUUGUGCGGGCCUUGAGGUGGCCAGGGGCCGGGUGAGGGUGUCAAAAUGUGCGCGUUGAUGCAUGUGUUGCAUGUGACCGUGCGAGGGAUGGACGAAUCGAGAGAGAUGGUUGUUGUGUUACGGAUGCUCCUCUCUCUGUCUCUCUCUCUCCCUCUCUCUCUCUCUCACACACACACAAGUAAACUAGAAGACCGUUCUCUCAUGUAUACACAACGUAUCGGCAUCUGUCUAUGUCUCACUCAUGCAUGAUCAUUUGCACAUUCACACCACUCUAUGUCUGUAUCACACGCACACCGUCUCCACAUUGCCCUUCCGCCACAACACAUAUAUGGACACAUACACACGUUCUCUCUCAGUCACACACACAAAAUCAGUAUUAAAAAAACUAGGGCACACCUAAAACGUCCAAAUCCAAAUAAACACGAACUGGAGCUAAAUUCAAAUAUAUGGAAAUAUUGCAGCGUCAAGAACUUUCACAGGAAAAAAAAGUUGAGUAAUAUUCGAGGAUUGUUUUCACACACACAAAAAGGUUUGGUGGAUGUCCUUCGAGCGCGACACGGUAACACACCGUUCGAUCGACCGUGCGACCGCGGUUCACGCGCUUGCACAGGAUUCCGUAUCGUUGCUGUGGUACUAACUAAUAAAAGCGCUGCCUAAGUCUAAUGUUUACGUGUACUAGUACGGUUUUCUUUUAAGUUUGACCAACCUUAUAUAUAAAACUAAAGUAAGCUCCCACACGCGCACUCAUCAAUAUGCCGCCGCCGCCGUUGCGCAUGCCGGCGCCCGCCUGCUCCGGCCAACAAUUUCUCGCCCAUCACCGCCGUGUCGCCGCCAUCCCUGUGCCAUGAAGCCGAAGGCUCGCCCGCUCACGUCGUCUGCAGUCCCUCCUCGCGAUGCUGCCGCGCUGCCAAGCAUGCGAGCAGCUGGUGGAGCCGCAUCUAUGCACACAGCAUACAGAGAGGAGCACGAGCGCGUGCUCCAGCACGCCGGCGAGGAGGAACUAGCGUGUCAUUGUCGUCUCCGCCCAAGCGGAGGAGGCGCACAUGGUGGCUGUCGCGGCGGAAGCCGGUCGCGCAUGCGUCGAGCCCGCAAACUGGGUGCGGACGCGGAAUCUACCUUCGAGACCUUGAAUGCCACGUGGAUCCUGCAAUCUGAAGGAGCAAUUUGGGUAUGUCGACUCAUGUGAGCCGUUUGAUGCAACAUGGAUGGCUAGAAGGGCUUCUUCCACAUCUUCUGCCGUCUUCUUCCUUCGCUCCGUUGAACUUCUUUCACAAAUCGACUGACCCAAAUUAUACUACUAGUACGAACGUAUUAAGUAUAGUAGGAACAUGAAGAUACGAGCAGUAGUACCAACUGCAAGAAGAACAGUAGUAAGACAUAGUACUAGUACUACUGUACGUACUAAAGAGUUCAAAUAAUGAGAAAGAAUAUAAACAUAGUUCUGCUGGGGCCUCAGCACAACACACCCUUGAAAAUAAACUAAGCAACUAGUCCGCUUGACACUGCAGUAGAACCAGCAUGACCGACGGCACUGCCACCUACUUGGAGUCCGAGUCCACGUCCUUGACUUCGUCCUUGUCCCUCUUCCUCUUCCUCUUCGCCGACGCUUCUUUCCUUGAACCAGACACUGGGCUCUGCUUCUUCAUCCAACCCUUGUAGAUAUUUAAACAAAGGUAGGCAUCCAUUGCUGCGUACAGGAUGUGAUCUUCAUCUAAUGUCUUCGACUCCCAUGCAUGAUGAAACUCGUGAUGAGGUUUCUUCAGUUUAGCGUACGAAGGAUCAAUCAUGGCUGCUGCCAAGGUCAGCAUUGAAGGUUGAGAGGAGGACACCAGGCUUGCCUUCUGGAGAUCGAAGGGCUGGCCUACAACGAGACCUAUCUGACGCAGGACAUCCCUGUCGUUCUUAAAGCCUACAGUAAUGAAUUUCACUCUUUUGUCCUUGAGGAAGUUCUUAAAAUCCUGGCACUCAACAUCGGCAUGGCAUAUGUGGUAGACCAAGCAAACGUUAUGUACGCAAACCUGGAUCACGGCGGGCUUCUUCCUCUCUUUGUCCUUUAGAUCCUUCUCUCGUCCCAGGACUGUGGUGUACUCAACAUCUAGCCCAGCGACCCACUCAUCCGUUGAACUGUUGAACAUGCAUAGGAAGCGAGCAAGCCAUGCUUUCACCGUCUCGGAUCCACGUGUGUAGAUGACGAUGAACUGAUCGCCGGUGAUGGCUCUAAGUUGGUACUCAGCGGCGACCAUGGAGAUUUGGGAGGCCAUGGAUUUUGGAGGAGGGUUAGGAGAAGUUGAACUGUUGUACCCCGCAAAAAAAAACUGGGAGCGAACUAAUGUGAAAGGACGGGACGACUGGGAGCGAACUGUUGUAAGGUAGAAGACGGGGAUGAGUAGGGCGUGCGAACGGCGUGGGGUUGCAGGCUUGCCCGGUGGAUAAAUGGCUGCAAGCCCCCAAAGAGUUCUCGAGAACUAUGCGGGACCCACUAGAUGUCAUGUCUACUAGACCCAUAUCGUAGGCCUGACGGUAUAGCUUCUGCCUGUUCGCACGCCAUGCCGGCACGUGGAUGUAACUUCACUUAAUUCCGUCAAACGUCGUGCCUCCCACGACCUUCGCCUCCCUCGCGCGGUCGCGCCCUUUGAGACUUCGACCGGCUAUAAAUAAGCAUUUUUUUUGCCUUUUUUUAGACAAGAAAUUUUUUUGCCUACUCCGCAUGCAUGAUACUCCCUCUGGACCUUUUUACUCCCGUCAACCGUUUGCAAAGUGUUUGACCAAAUUUAUAGUUUUUUUGAACACCACCUUAUAUUAAUUAACCAGCCACACCAGUACACUCAUUCGAUACAAUAUUCACCACACAGGGCGGUACGUUAUUUACAAGAAUACCAUCUAAUCUAUUGUCAAAGCUAUACUUAGCGAUUAAGUGUGCCACCUUAUUGGCCGAACGGCUAAUCUUUAACAAUUGAAGAUUGUUGAUCAACUUCGAGAUGCUCAACGCUUUCAUCUUCAGGUCAUGCAAGAGACGCUACCACAAAAGCGCAAUCAGUCUCUAAAAUUACAGGAUUAUGAAGAGAAAUACCUAUGUAGAGACCGACAAUGCAAGCCCUAAGCUCCGCUUCCUCCACGCUUUGACAGGCAUCAAUGAAAUCCCACGACCAAAUUUAUACUAAAAAUAUCAAUAUCUACAAUACUGAUUAUAAUGAGUAUAAGAAUUACGUUUUAUAAUGAGUGUAAAAAUAUUGAUUUGACAUUGUGAAUGUUGACACAUUUUUCUAUAUGUCUGGUGAAAGUAGAGGUACAUUGACUUCAGACAAAACUUAAAUGCACAAUGCAGACUAGUUCCUCCGUCCAGGUGCGUGUCAUGUCCUAUCUUGUCAUCACAACAAGGUUAACUAUUAGGCUGGCCAUAGUGGGGGUAACAUCAGUAGUAUCAUGCACUUGGGACUCGCAAACAUGCUAAUGUGGUAGGCAAUUAAAGAAGAGAGAGAUGGUUAUAGUAACAUAGGUAGAUACCGUAACAUAAUAAAUGUGAUGCUACUAUGUGUCCUGCAUGGCAAUAAAUGAGACCACCUAUGAUACUAAUCUAUGAUACUAUGCACUAUAGAGGUAGUAACUGUCGGGGAUCGUAGCAGAAAUUUAAAAUUUUCUACGUAUCACCAAGAUCAAUCUAUGGAGUCAUCUAGCAACGAGAGAGAGGGGAGUGCAUCUACAUACCCUUGUAGAUCGCGAGCGGAAGCGUUCAAGUGAACGCGGUUGAUGGAGUCGUACUCGUCGUGAUCCAAAUCACCGAUGACCGAGCGCCGAACGGACGGCACCUCCGCGUUCAACACACGUACGGUUGGGGAAGACGUCUCCUCCUACUUGAUCCGGCAAGGGGAGGGAGAGGUUGAUGGAGAUCCAGCAGCACGACGGCGUGGUGGUGGAAGCAGCGGGGAUCUCGGCAGGGCUUCGCCAAGCUAAGCGAGAGGGAGAGGUGUCACGGGAGGGAGAGGGAGGCGCCAGGGGCUUGGGGUGCUGCUCCCAUGCGCCUCCCCACUAUAUAUAGGGGUGGAGGGGGCUGGUUUCUUGCCCUCCAAGUCCAUUGGGGCGUUGGCAAAGGUGGGGAAAAUAAAUCCCAUCAUUUCCCUUCCCCACCGAUUGUUAUCCCCCUUUUUAGGGAUCUUGAUCUUAUCCCUUCGGGAUAUGAUGUUAUUCCUUCUAAGGUGGGAUCUUGGUGCGCCUUGACCAGGGGUGUGGGGCCUUGCCCCCACUACCCACAUUCAUGUGGGUCCCCCCAUGCAGGUGGGCCCCAUUUCGGAACCUUCUAGAACCUUCCCGGUACAAUACCGAAAAAUCCCGAACAUUUUCCGGUGGCCAAAAUAGGACUUCCCAUAUAUAAAUCUUUACCUCCGGACCAUUCCGGAACUCCUCGUGACGUCCGGGAUCUCAUCCGGGACUCCGAACAACUUUCGGUUAACCGCAUACUAAUAUCUCUACAACUCUAGCGUCACCAAACCUUAAGUGUGUAGACCCUACGGGUUCGGGAGACAUCCAGACAUGACCGAGACGACUCUCCGGUCAAUAACCAACAGCGGGAUCUGGAUACCCAUGUUGGCUCCCACAUGUUCCACGAUGAUCUCAUCGGAUGAACCACGAUGUCGAGGAUUCAAUCAAUCCCGUAUACAAUUCCCUUUGUCAAUCGGUACGUUACUUGCCCGAGAUUCGAUCGUCGGUAUCCCAAUACCUUGUUCAAUCUCGUUACCGGCAAGUCCCUUUACUCGUACCAUAAUGCAUGAUCCCGCGACCAAACACUUGGUCAUAUUGAGCUCAUUAUGAUGAUGCAUUACCUAGUGGGCCCAGAGUUACCUCUCCGUCAUACGGAGUGACAAAUCCCAGUCUCGAUUCGUGCCAACCCAACAGACACUUUCGGAGAUACCCGUAGUGCACCUUUAUAGCCACCCAGUUACGUUGUGACGUUUUGCACACCCAAAGCACUCCUAUGGUAUCCGGGAGUUGCACAAUCUCAUGGUCUAAGGAAAUGAUACUUGACAUUUGGAAAAUCUCUAGCAAACGAACUACACGAUCUUGUGCUAUGCUUAGGAUUGGGUCUUGUCCAUCACAUCAUUCUCCUAAUGAUGUGAUCCCGUUAUCAAUGACAUCCAAUGUCCAUACUCAGGAAACCAUGACUAUCUGUUGAUCAACGAGCUAGUCAACUAGAGGCUCACUAGGGACAUGUUGUGGUCUAUGUAUUCACACAUGUAUUACGAUUUCCGGAUAACACAAUUAUAGCAUGAACAAUAGACAAUUAUCAUGAACAAGGAAAUAUAAUAAUAACCAUUUUAUUAUUGCCUCUAGGGCAUAUUUCCAACAGUCUCCCACUUGCAGUAGAGUCAAUAAUCUAGUUACAUUGUGAUGAAUCGAACACCCAUAGAGUUCUGGGUUGAUCAUGUUUUGCUCUAGGGAGAGGUUUAAUCAACGGAUCUGCUACAUUCAGGUUCGUAUGUACUUUACAAAUAUCUAUGUCCCCAUUUUGAACAUUUUGACGAAUGGAGUUGAAGCGACGCUUGAUAUGCCUGGUCUUCCUGUGAAACCUGGGCUCCUUGGCAAGGGCAAUAGCUCCAGUGUUGUCACAGAAGAGAGUCAUCGGGCCCGACGCAUUGGGAAUAACUCCUAGGUCGGUAAUGAACUCCUUCACCCAGAUUGCUUCUUGUGCUGCCUCUGAGGCCGCCAUGUAUUCCGCUUCACAUGUAGAUCCCGCCACAAUGCUUUGCUUGCAACUGCACCAGCUUACUGCCCCACCAUUCAAAAUAUACACGUAUCCGGUUUGUGACUUAGAGUCAUCCAGAUCUGUGUCGAAACUAGCAUCGACGUAACCCUUUACGACGAGCUCUUAGUCACCUCCAUAAACGAGAAACAUAUCCUUAGUCCUGUUCAGGUACUUCAGGAUAUUCUUGACCGCUGUCCAGUGUUCCAUGCCGGGAUUACUUUGGUACCUUCCUACGAAACUUACGGCAAGGUUUACAUCAGGUCUGGUACACAGCAUAGCAUGCAUAAUAGACCCUAUGGCCGAGGCAUAGGGGACGACACUCAUCUUUUCUCUAUCUUCUGCCGUGGUCGGGCAUUGAGCCGUGCUCAAUUGCACACCUUGCAAUACAGGCAAGAACCCCUUUUUGGACUGAUCCAUAUUGAACUUCUUCAAUAUCUUGUCAAGGUACGUACUUUGUGAAAGACCAAUGAGGCGUCUUGAUCUAUCUCUAUAGAUCUUGAUGCCUAAUAUAUAAGCAGCAUCUCCAAGGUCCUUCAUUGAAAAACACUUGUUCAAGUAGGCCUUUAUGCUUCCCAAGAAUUCUAUAUCAUUUCCCAUCAACAGUAUGUCAUCCACAUAUAAUAUGAGAAAUGCUACAGAGCUCCCACUCACUUUCUUGUAAACACAGGCUUCUCCAUAAGUUUGUGUAAACCCAAACGCUUUGAUCAUCUCAUCAAAUCGAAUGUUCCAACUCCGAGAUGCUUGCACCAGCCCAUAGAUGGAGCGCUGGAGCUUGCAUACCUUGUUAGCAUUCUUAGGAUCGAAAAAACCUUCCGGCUGCAUCAUAUACAAUUCUUCCUUAAGAAAGCCGUUAAGGAAUGCCGUUUUGACGUCCAUUUGCCAUAUCUCAUAAUCAUAGUAUGCGGCAAUUGCUAACAUGAUUCGGACGGACUUCAGCUUCGCUACGGGUGAGAAAGUCUCAUCGUAGUCAACCCCUUGAACUUGUCGAUAACCCUUAGCGACAAGUCGAGCUUUAUAGAUGGUAACAUUACCAUCCGCGUCUGUCUUCUUCUUAAAGAUCCAUUUGUUUUCUAUCGCUCGCCGAUCAUCGGGCAAGUCUGUCAAAGUCCACACUUUGUUUUCAUACAUGGAUCCUAUCUCGGAUUGCAUGGCUUCAAGCCAUUUGUCGGAAUCUGGGCCCGCCAUUGCUUCUUCAUAGUUCGAAGGUUCACCGUUGUCUAACAACAUGAUUUCCAAGACAGGGUUGCCGUACCACUCUGGCGCGGAACAUGUCCUUGUGGACCUACGAAGUUCAGCAGGAGCUUGAUCCGAAGUACCUUGAUAAUCAUCAUCAUUAACUUCCUCUCUAGUCGGUGCAGGCACCACAGGAACAUCUUCCUGAGCUGCGCUACUUUCCGGUUCAAGAGGUAGUACUUCAUCAAGUUCCACUUUCCUCCCACUUACUUCUUUCGAGAGAAACUCUUUCUCCAGAAAGGACCCGUUCUUGGCAACAAAGAUCUUGCCUUCGGAUCUGAGGUAGAAGGUAUACCCAAUGGUUUCCUUAGGGUAUCCUAUGAAGACGCAUUUUUCCGACUUGGGUUCGAGCUUUUCAGGUUGAAGUUUCUUGACAUAAGCAUCGCAUCCCCAAACUUUUAGAAACGACAGCUUAGGUUUGUUCCCAAACCAUAAUUCAUACGGUGUCGUCUCAACGGAUUUCGACGGAGCCCUAUUUAAAGUGAAUGCGGCAGUCUCUAAAGCAUAGCCCCAAAAUGAGAGCGGCAGAUCGGUAAGAGACAUCAUAGAUCGCACCAUAUCCAAUAGAGUGCGAUUACGACGUUCGGACACACCAUUUCGCUGAGGUGUUCCAGGCGGCGUGAGUUGUGAAACUAUUCCACAUUUCCUUAAGUGUGUGCCAAAUUCGUGACUCAAAUAUUCCCCUCCAUGAUCUGAUCGUAAGAACUUUAUUUUUCUGCCACGUUGAUUCUCAACCUCACUCUGAAAUUCCUUGAACUUUUCAAAGGUCUCAGACUUGUGUUUCAUUAGGUAGACAUACCCAUAUCUACUCAAGUCAUCAGUGAGAGUGAGAACAUAACGAUAGCCACCGCGAGCCUCAACACUCAUUGGACCGCACACAUCAGUAUGUAUGAUUUCCAAUAAGUUGGUUGCUCGCUCCAUUGUUCCGGAGAACGGAGUCUUGGUCAUCUUACCCAUGAGGCAUGGUUCGCACGUGUCAAAUGAUUCGUAAUCAAGAGACUCCAAAAGUCCAUCUGCAUGGAGCUUCUUCAUGCGUUUGACACCAAUGUGACCAAGACGGCAGUGCCACAAGUAUGUGGGACUAUCAUUAUCAACCUUACAUCUUUUGGUAUUCACACUAUGAAUAUGUGUAACACUACGUUCGAGAUUCAUUAAGAAUAAACCAUUAACCAGCGGGGCAUGACCAUAAAACAUAUCUCUCAUAUAAAUAGAACAACCAUUAUUCUCGGAUUUAAAUGGGUAGCCAUCUCGAAUUAAACGAGAUCCUGAUACAAUGUUCAUGCUCAAAGCUGGCACUAAAUAACAAUUAUUGAGGUUUAAAACUAAUCCCGUAGGUAAAUGUAGAGGUAGCAUGCCGACGGCGAUCACAUCGACCUUGGAACCAUUCCCGACGCGCAUCGUCACCUCGUCCUUUGCCAGUCUCCGUUUAUUCCGCAGCUCCUGCUUUGAGUUACAAAUAUGAGCAACCGCACCGGUAUCAAAUACCCAGGAGCUACUACGAGUGCUGGUAAGGUACACAUCAAUAACAUGUAUAUCACAUAUACCUUUGGUGUUGCCGGCCUUCUUGUCCGCCAAGUACUUGGGGCAGUUCCGCUUCCAGUGACCACUUCCCUUGCAAUAAAAGCACUCAGUCUCAGGCUUGGGUCCAUUCUUUGGCUUCUUCCCGGCAACUGGCUUACCGGACGCGGCAACUCCCUUGCCGUCCUUCUUGAAGUUCUUCUUACCCUUGCCUUUCUUGAACUUAGUGGUUUUAUUCACCAUCAACACUUGAUGUUCCUUUUUGAUCUCCACCUCCGCUGAUUUUAGCAUUGAAUAUACCUCAGGAAUGGUCUUUUCCAUCCCCUGCAUAUUGAAGUUCAUCACAAAGCUCUUGUAGCUCGGUGGAAGCGACUGAAGGAUUCUGUCAAUGACCGCGUCAUCCGGGAGAUUAACUCCCAGCUGAGUCAAGCGGUUGUGUAACCCAGACAUUUUGAGUAUGUGCUCACUGACAGAACUAUUUUCCUCCAUCUUACAACUGAAGAACUUGCCGGAGACUUCAUAUCUCUCGACCCGGGCAUGAGCUUGGAAAACCAUUUUCAGCACUUCGAACAUCUCAUAUGCUCCGUGUGGCUCAAAACGCUUCUGGAGCCCCGGUUCUAAGCUAUAAAGCAUGCCGCACUGAACGAGGGAGUAAUCAUCAGCACGCUGCUGCCAAGCGUUCAUAACGUCUUGGUUCUUUGGGAUGGGUGCGUCACCUAGCGGUGCUUCUAGGACAUAAUCUUUCUUGGCAGCAAUGAGGAUGAUCCUCAGGUUCCGGACCCAGUCCGUAUAGUUGCUGCCAUCAUCUUUCAGUUUGGUUUUCUCUAGGAAUGCGUUGAAGUUGAGGGCAACAUUAACGAGGGCGAUUUGAUCUACAAGACAUAUUGUAAAGAUUUUAGACUAAGUUCAUGAUAAUUAAGUUCAUCUAAUCAAAUUAUUCAAUGAACUCCCACUCAGAUAGACAUCCCUCUAGUCAUCUAAGUGAAACAUGAUCCGAGUCAACUAGGCUGUGUCCGAUCAUCACGUGAGACGGACUAGUCAACAUCGGUGAACAUGUUCAUGUUGAUCGUAUCUUCUAUACGACUCAUGUUCGACCUUUCGGUCUCUUGUGUUCCGAGGCCAUGUCUAUACAUGCUAGGCUCGUCAAGUCAACCUAAGUGUUUUGCAUGUGUAAAUCUGUCUUACACCCGUUGUAUGUGAACGUUAGAAUCUAUCACACCCGAUCAUCACGUGGUGCUUCGAAACAACGGACUUUCGCAACGGCGCACAGUUAGGGGGAACACUUUCUUGAAAUUAUUAUAAGGGAUCAUGUUACUUACUACCGUCGUACUAAGCAAAUAAGAAGCAAAAUAUGAUAAACAUCACAUGCAAUCAAAUAGUGACAUGAUAUGGCCAGUAUCAUAUUGCUCCUUCGAUCUCGAUCUUCGGGGCGCCAUGAUCAUCUUCGUCACCGGCAUGAUACCAUGAUCUCCAUCAUCGUGUCUUCAUGAAGUUGUCACGCCAACGAUUAUUUCUACUUCUAUGGCUAACGUGUUUAGCAAUAAAGUAAAGUAAUUUACAUGGCGUUAUUCAAUGACACGCAGGUCAUACAAAAAUAAAGACAACUCCUAUGGCUCCUGCCGGUUGUCAUACUCAUCGACAUGCAAGUCGUGAUUCCUAUUACAAGAACAUGAUCAAUCUCAUACAUCACAUAUAUUUCAUUCAUCACAUCCUUUUGGCCAUAUCACAUCACAAGGCAUAUGCUGCAAAAACAAGUUAGACGUCCUCUAAUUGUUGUUGCAUGUUUUUACGUGGCUUCUAUAGGUUUCUAGCAAGAACGUUUCUUACCUACAAAAAACCACAACGUGAUAUGCCAAUUUCUAUUUACCCUUCAUAAGGACCCUUUUCAUCGAAUCUGAUCCGACUAAAGUGGGAGAGACAGACACCCGCUAGCCACCUUAUGCAACUAGUGCAUGUCAGUCGGUGGAACCUGUCUCACGUAAGCGUACGUGUAAGGUCGGUCCGGGACGCUUCAUCCCACGAUGCCGCCGAAUCAAGAUAAGACUAGUAACAACAAGUGAAUUGACAAUAUCGACGCCCACAACUGCUUUGUGUUCUACUCGUGCAUAGAAACUACGCAUAGACCUAGCUCAUGAUGCCAGUGUCGGGGAUCGUAGCAGAAAUUUAAAAUUUUGUACGUAUCACCAAGAUCAAUCUAUGGAGUCAUCUAGCAACGAGAGAGAGGGGAGUGCAUCUACAUACCCUUGUAGAUCGCGAGCGGAAGCAUUCAAGUGAACGGGGUUGAUGGAGUCGUGCUCGUCGUGAUCCGAAUCACCGAUGACCGAGCGCCGAACGGACGGCACCUCCGCGUUCAACACACAUACGGUUGGGGAAGACGUCUCCUCCUUCUUGAUCCAGCAAGGGGAGGGAGAGGUUGAUGGAGAUCCAGCAGCACGACGGCGUGGUGGUGGAAGCAGCGGGGAUCUCGGCAGGGCUUCGCCAAGCUCAGCGAGAGGGAGAGGUGUCACGGGAGGGAGAGGGAGGCGCCAGGGGCUUGGGGUGCUGCUCCCAUGCGCCUCCCCACUAUAUAUAGGGGUGGAGGGGGCUGGUUUCUUGCCCUCCAAGUCCAUUGGGGCGUUGGCAAAGGUGGGGAAAAGAAAUCCCAUCAUUUCCCUUCCACACCGAUUGUUAUCCCCCUUUUUUAGGGAUCUUAAUCUUAUCCCUUCGGGAUAGGAUCUUAUUCCUUCUAAGGUGGGAUCUUGGUGCGACUUGACCAGGGGUGUGGGGCCUUGACCCCCCUACCCACGUUCAUGUGGGCCCCCCAUGCAGGUGGGCCCCACUUCGGAACCUUCUAGAAUCUUCCCGGUACAAUACCGAAAAAUCCCGAACAUUUUUCGGUGGCCAAAAUAGGACUUCCCAUAUAUAAAUCUUUACCUCCGGACCAUUGAGGAACUCCUCGUGACGUCCGGGAUCUCAUCCGGGACUCCGAACAACUUUCGCUUAACCGCAUACUAAUAUCUCUACAACUCUAGCGUCACCGAACCUUAAGUGUGUAGACCCUACGGGUUCGGGAGACAUGCAGACAUGACCGAGACGACUCUCCGGUCAAUAACCAACAGCGGGAUCUGGAUACCCAUGUUGGCUCCCACAUGUUCCACGAUGAUCUCAUCGGAUGAACCACGAUGUCGAGGAUUCAAUCAAUCUCGUAUACAAUUCCCUUUGUCAAUCGAUACGUUACUUGCCCGAGAUUCGAUCGUCGGUAUCCCAAUACCUUGUUCAAUCUCGUUACUGGAAAGUCACUUUACUCGUACCGUAAUGCAUGAUCCCGUGACCAAGCACUUGGUCACAUUGAGCUCAUUAUGAUGAUGCAUUACCGAGUGGGCCCAGAGAUACCUCUCCGUCAUACGGAGUGACAAAUCCCAGUCUCGAUUCGUGCCAACCCAACAGACACUUUCGGAGAUACCCGUAGUGCACCUUUAUAGCCACCCAGUUACGUUGUGACGUUUUGCACACCCAAAGCACUCCUAUGGUAUCCGGGAGUUGCACAAUCUCAUGGUCUAAGGAAAUGAUACUUGACAUUUGGAAAAGCUCUAGCAAACGAACUACACGAUCUUGUGCUAUGCUUAGGAUUGGGUCUUGUCCAUCACAUCAUUCUCCUAAUGAUGUGAUCCCGUUAUCAAUGACAUCCAAUGUCCAUAGUCAGGAAACCAUGACUAUCUGUUGAUCAACGAGCUAGUCAACUAGAGGCUCACUAGGGACAUGUUGUGGUCUAUGUAUUCACACAUGUAUUACGAUUUCCGGAUAACACAAUUAUAGCAUGAACAAUAGAAAAUUAUCAUGAACAAGGAAAUAUAAUAAUAACCAUUUUAUUAUUGCCUCUAGGGCAUAUUUCCAACAGUCUCCCACUUGCACUAGAGUCAAUAAUCUAGUUACAUUGUGAUGAAUCGAACACCCCACUAUAUAUAGGGGUGGAGGGGGCUGGUUUCUUGCCCUCCAAGUCCAUUGGGGCGUUGGCAAAGGUGGGGAAAAGAAAUCCCAUCAUUUCCCUUCCCCACCGAUUGUUAUCCGCCUUUUUUAGGGAUCUUGAUCUUAUCCCUUCGGGAUAUGAUCUUAUUCCUUCUAAGGUGGGAUCUUGGUGCGCCUUGACCAGGGGUGUAGGGCCUUGACCCCCACUACGCACGUUCAUGUGGGUCCCCCCAUGCAGGUGGGGCCCACUUCGGAACCUUCUAGAACCUUCCCGGUACAAUACCGAAAAAUCCCGAACAUUUUCCGGUGGCCAAAAUAGGACUUCCCAUAUAUAAAUCUUUACCACCGGACAAUUCCGGAACUCCUCGUUAUGUCUGGGAUCUCAUCCGGCACUCCGAACAACUUUCGAUUAACCGCAUACUAAUAUGUCUACAACUCUAGCGUCACCGAACCUUAAGUGUGUAGACCCUACGGGUUCGGGAGACAUGCAAACAUGACCGAGACGACUCUCCGGUCAAUAACCAACACCAGGAUCUGGAUACCCAUGUUGGCUCCCACAUGUUCCACGAUGAUCUCAUCGGAUGAACCACGAUGUCGAGGAUUCAAUCAAUCCCGUAUACAAUUCCCUUUGUCAAUUGGUACGUUACUUGCCCGAGAUUCGAUCGUCGGUAUCCCAAUACCUUGUUCAAUCUCGUUACUGGCAAGUCACUUUACUCGUACCGUAAUGCAUGAUCCCGUGACCAAACACUUGGUCACAUUGAGCUCAUUAUGAUGAUGCAUUACCGAGUGGGCCCAGAGAUACCUCUCCGUUAUACGGAGUGACAAAUCCCAGUCUCGAUUCGUGCCAACCCAACAGACACUUUCGGAGAUACCCGUAGUGCACCUUUAUAGCCACCCAGUUAGGUUGUGACGUUUGGCACACCCAAAGCACUCCUAUGGUAUCCGGGAGUUGCACAAUCUCAUGGUCUAAGGAAAUGAUACUUGACAUUUGGAAAAGCUCUAGCAAACGAACUACACGAUCUUGUGCUAUGCUUAGGAUUGGGUCUUGUCCAUCACAUCAUUCUCCUAAUGAUGUGAUCCCGUUAUCAAUGACAUCCAAUGUCCAAAGUCAGGAAACCAUGACUAUCUGUUGAUCAACGAGCUAGUCAACUAGAGGCUCACUAGGGACAUGUUGUGGUCUAUGUAUUCACACAUGUAUUACGAUUUCCGGAUAACACAAUUAUAGCAUGAACAAUAGAAAAUUAUCAUGAACAAGGAAAUAUAAUAAUAACCAUUUUAUUAUUGCCUCUAGGGCAUAUUUCCAACAGUAACAUAGACUAGUAACAUAUGCAUGUUACUAGUCUAAGUUACUCCCCACUAUGACCAGCCUUCUAGUUUAAAGGGCUUGAUUCAAAAAUUUCACCUACUCUUAGCAAGAUAGUAGAGGCGGUGGAAUAGUUUUUGAAGUCUGCAAAAGUACUCAAAUAGUGUUGUCGUUCUUCACAAAAAAAUGUGUUUACCAAUUCAUGCAUGAACACUAGUUACUCUAACCCCCCUCUCUUCUUUAAUUCUUUGCCACAUCAGCAUGUUUGCUAUUCCCGUGUGCAUGAUACCAGCUAAGAUACCACCAUUAUGGCCAGCCUUAAUCAUCGAGUGCAAUAAUUUAGUGCACCUUGAAAUAUGAACAUGUGUGGGGCGUGUAUGUUUUUAAUGACUUGAGACUAUACCUAGCCCGGCAUGCAAGAUGACUUAUUAUGCACCGUUCCCCAUACCUGCAGGAAGCCCGUUCGUCUCCAAAUCUUUUUCCUCUCCAUGUGUGGAAACAAUAUGCCUGCCAAACUCUUCUUCUCCCUCCGGCGGUCCCACCACUCCACCCCGUGUGAAAAAAUCUGCAUGCAUGACUCUCCUCCCCCACGCUCGCCCAAUCCGUUGUGACCAGCAAUAUUUCCACGCCUUCGCUCCCCUGUAAUUUACUCCAACAAAUAUGCCCACGUAGCUGUUACUUAACUGCAGGUGCAUUGGGUCACUGACAUAUGGGCCCAACAGGGGUCUGGCCCACAUGUCAGUGACGCAACUGGACCUGCAGUUAAGUCAGUGCAGCUCAGUCAUAUCUUACGUAGGUGUGCCAUUGCUCGCUAUAAAUACUGCGCCUCCCACGACAUCGCUUUGUCCUCCCCCUCACGUUCAAGUUCAUCGCUAUCUCCUCCCCCUCCCUCUCACGUCGACCACCAUGGCAUCGCCCCUCCCAAGCCCUAGGAGCCCCUUGCCGCACCGCGCGGACGGUCACGCGUCGCCGUCCCGUUCCUCGCCGCCACUAGUCGAGGAGGACGCGUCGGUGUUCCGCUCCUCGCCGCUACGCGAUGCGUCGCCGUUCCGUUCCUCGCCGCCACUAGUCAAGGAGGACGCGUCGGCGUUCCGCUCCUCGCUGCGACGCGACGCAUCGCCGUUCCGUCCUCGCCGCCACUAGUCGAGGAGGACGCGUUGGUGUUCCGCUCCUCGCCGCGAGGCGUCGAGGUGGACGCGUCGGCAUUCCCAAUCUCGCCAGCACGUGCGCCGGAGGACGCGUCGGCUCCCCGCUACGAGGAGAACGCCGCACCGCCCGCCGAGCCCCCCAGCCUUGAGGAGCUUUGGAAAGAAAUGGAUGUCGCCUUGUGGGAGGCUUUGCCUCCAGCAGAGCGCGCCAAAAUAGAGGCGGAGAAGAAGGCCAAAGAAGAGAAGCGCACCGCGGAACAAGCUUCCUGGGAGGCCUAUGUCGCGUCCAAGAGAGUCAGGCAAUUGGCUCUUUGGCAGAAGGCUCGUGCGAGGGCCGUGAGGGUGGCGGAGGACGCCCGUGCCGACGCCCUGAGUACAGUCAGGCCCAAGCGCCUCAUCUACGCUUGGCGGUACGUGGACCGGGUGCAUGCUUCCACCGAGGAGGAGUACCUGUUGGCGCCGGAUCACCACACCGGUGAGAUCGCGCUCGCCCGCCGGCAAGCCGCCAAUCAGCACCUCGCGAGUUGCGAGGCUGAUGAAGAGGCGUUGUGUCGGCGCGCUGGGAAACGGCCGCGCACCAGGGCACUCGUGGCGCGCCGCAAGCGCUCCUGCGAGCGCCGUGGCUUUUAGGAGGAGUAUAAUUUUUGUUUCGUAAGGCGAUCUCAUUAGUUUUGGGACGCAAAUGAUAAAUCCCGAACGUUCAGGAAUUUUUAGCGUCCUUAAUUAAGUAUGUAAAAGGGAAAGUUUGGAAACCUUGUGUAUUCGUACGCAUUUUGCAAGUACGUGCAUAUAGCACAAACUUUACUAUAUACUAUCGCACUACACGUCUCUCUCGAUAUAUGCUUGUAGACUGUGCUACUCCCUCCGUCCAGGUCAAUAAGUCAUCUUUGGUUGUGCACCGUGACCAAGAAGGAGGGAAGACUUAUACACCUAGACGGAGGGAGUACUACUAUUACUUAUGUACGUGCAAAUGCACGUUUUAACAUUACGAUGCGGUUUUUGUAAAAGUAGAAAAACAACACUAGUCAAGCUUGUGAAAUGAUUCAAUGCAAAACAAAUGCAAAAAUGCUCGUUUGAUUGUUUACUUUUAGCUUCCUUCUCUGUGGUUAUUUCUCUGUCGUACUUUGUACGGAGUAUCUCACUGGUUGGAAAGGCAUGCAAAUUCCCAAACCGCUUCCUACACCCUGUAUCGAAUUUUUUGCCUAACAAGUUGUGCCGUGCAAUUGGAAUUCCAACUUGAGUACUACUAGUAGGAGUACCAGGGGCCAGUUCUUUUAGGCUUCUAGAUUAGUAAUCCCAUCACUACUACCUCCGUCCUGGUUUAUUGGUCCCCAUUGUAAUCUGUGUCAAAUUUUGAUCAUAAAUUUAACUAAUGAAAUGUUAGUGCAUGUCACAUGCACUACUCCAUCCGUCUAGGUGAGUAAGUCAUCUUAGGCUGUGCACCGUGACCAAGGAGGAGGAGAAAAUGAGAAACGUUAAUGUUUAUUUGCUAAUUAAUAGUAUUGCAUGCAAUGAACUAACCACUGCAUGUCGUGUUUGAUAUCUCAAGUCAUUAAAAGCAUGCACACUCUUUAUCUCUUAUUGGUUGAUAUGUCAAGAAACAAGAAACGAGGUACGGAGUAGAAGUUAAUGCACCGCGCCUAAGUGUUUUGGGAUUAUUUGGUUUUCAUAAGAUGACUUACACACCUAGACGGAGGGAUUACAAUGGUGAGGAAUGAACCAGUUAAAUCUUUGGUCAAAAUUUAGCACAAAUUACAAUGGUGAGGAAUAAACCAGGACAGAGUAGUAGUUUAGAAGCCCAAAUAAAUGAGUGAGGCGCCUUAUUGUUACUCUCCACUAUGACUAGUCUUGUGGGAAAAGCUGGGGAAGCUGCCAAAAGAACUGGCCCUAGGAGUAGUAGCUAGGGAUCGAGUGUGCGAGAUGAACCGGAGAAAGUAAAUGCAGAGAGAUGAAAUGCAAAAAAGACGGAGGGAUGUGAUGGUUGCUUGUCCGUUUAUUUUACCAGGCCACUUAUUACUGGGAGUGGUUGGGUUUUGUUAUAUGACGGCUUUACUGCCGCGCCACGAGCGGGGUGAGAGGUGAGACUCCCGUGCAGCGCCGCCCUCUACACUUGUACUACAUCGGUCGUGGUUUAUUAGUCCCCCAUUGAAUUUGACUGAAGAUUUAACUGACAAAAUGUUAGUGCAUGUCAACAAAAACUAUAUCGUUGGAUUCGUAUUUGAACAUAGUUUUGAAUGAUAUAAUUUUAGGUGACAUGCAUCAGCAUUUAUCGUACUAUAUAUAAUGUUAGUUCAAUUUUUGGUCGUACUAAUCUAUAGUAGUAAGGUGCCCGUGCGUUGCACCGAAGAGUGAAAUGCAUUGAUCGGGGAGUUGUUUAUUUUGACAAAGGAUGUGGGGGUCAUCUCAUGUGUAACGGGUAUCGAUAGGUUUCUUCGGAUAUUCUUUCAUCUCUAGAGCUCACAAACAUCCGGGUGAAAUAGAUAAAAAGGUAUCUUUUGCAAACAAAAGCGUUCAACUGUUCAACCUGCAUCCAAAACUUGUGAAGAAAUAACACUUAUUGAGCUUUGCAAGAAAUGAUCUUUAAGAAUUAGUUUUUGAGUAUCGAUUGUUAUACAUGUUGGCUACAGAUGACAUGGCACUUUCUUAUAGUCAACAGUUGGCUAUACUAUUAAGUAAUAUUAACCAUGCCCUUAUACACCUAGACGGAGGGAUUAAAUCAGGAUGACUUGCAAGCGGGCAGAGGAGAUGUAAGAAAUGGUUCAUCGUAAGUCUUUCACCAGUACUGUAGUAAAAAUUCAUACAUGGAAGAUUCUAGACUAAACCAUAAACGGAUACACUUUUAUUCAUGCGCGAUACUCCAAUAGAGCAAGAUCCUACAUGAAAGUAUCCACAUGCUUAGACAGCGGAUUACAUUGAGCGAAGACUAAUGAUCAACAUUUAACUUGAUACUGUGUAUGUCCAGGUGAACCUCCUUGGAGUCCCCGUGCACCGCGUCGGCGGGUAAAGGAUGCCAUGGGUUUUCCAAGUCCACAUUGGCGAGAUAGUCCUAGCUCCCCAGAGUCCAAGUCCGUUCGACGAGGCCUGUCGGAGUAAAUGGCCACGGGUAGCCUAACCGACUACCCCUGGCUCUUCAGAAAAUUUAUCAGGCCUUUGGGCCUUCAAGCACUCCAAGCAUUUGGGCCGCCUUCCCCGGCCGGCUACCAAUAAAGCCGACUCCCGGAAGGCGACCCAGCCUCACCGACUCCUCCCCAGGACGACUACGGGGUGGCUGACUCCAAGAAGCCGACCAGGAAGGACGCCGACUCCUAGGGGCCGGCCAAGAUCACAACCAACCCUCCAUAACGGCGACGUGACCGGGUGUGGCCACAGUGCGGCCCAUGACCCCCGAAGCCCGAGGCGGGCAUGGCUACAGGAGGCCGUACGGGAGGGACGUCUCCCGUGCGGCUCGGCACUGUAGCCACGCUAGCCUCGACGUCGUCCACGACCCACUCCUGUACGGCCCAAGGACUGCGGGCCCCUUCAGCCAGAGAGAGGCGUGAAGUCGGCCCAGCUUUUCCUAGUCGGCCAAGAGUAUAGCCGGCCUCCAGAAGCCGGCUACUCCCUUCCUCGUAGCAGGAGCCCCAUUAAGGAGACAAGACGAGGUGAGGCUACAGUGAUAGCCCCCGAGGCGGCCCACUGUAGCCACGCUCACCUCGACAAAGCCCUCAUCAUCAGAGGCGCGGCUACAGUAAGCAGCCGCCGACAAAACCCUAGGCGGUGGGACCGGCCUGUCGACCAAGUAGCCGGCAGCCGGCGGGACCCAGCAGCCGGCGGAGAAGCCGGCGAGCGUAGACACUGACGGCUGGGACCAGAUCCCAGUCGGAUUACCAUUGUACCCCCGGGGGGUAGGCCUAUAUAAACCCCCCGGAGCACCCAUGCAAAGGGUUGGCCACUGAGCAUAGUUGGCUUCUAGGUUAACACCCACGCAUAGCACACACACCAUAGAUAGAGAGAAGCAAGAGCUAGCCUUGUUCUUCUUCUCCCUUGAUCUCAACAGCUCUAGGAGCGAUUGUAGCUACCCCUUAUCGAUCUAGUGAUCAUGCGGAGACCCCGCAGAGCAGGACUAGGGGUGUUAUCUCCUCGGAGAGCCCCGAACCUGGGUAAGAUUCGCCAGCGUGCAUGUCUUCGCCUCAUCCCGUUUCCGGGCACCGGCGACGUUUUAUUGGCUCCCACAAUGAUAAGCCAUCCCUUGGCAUAUGUCGCACCAACCACCCGACAUUUGGCGCCCACCGUGGGGCCAGGUGCACCGUCGUCCGGAGACCUGUUCUGGACGGGAACCCUCUUCCUUCCCCGCGAGCGCAGCCAGCCUGCUGCGCCCGAUGGCGCUUGCCUCGACGCGCUGCAAGGCGUCGACGACGCCUGCGCAGCGAGCCGCUUCGCCGAUCUGCUCGGCGAAACUCGCAUCUCCGACGAGCCUGCGUCCGACGCAGGCACCGACUACCCCGAGAGCCACCUCAUCAGCCUCCUCGACCAACUUCACAUCUCCAGCGAGCCUGCUGCGGACAUGGAGUCGGUCGGCUCCACUGACCCGAUGCUCAUCGACUCCGACACCGCGUCGCUCGACGCCUACCCCUCCGACGUGGUGGUCUUCGGCGACCCCCUCCCUCGAGCUGACAGCGGCAGUAGCGCUGUCACCGAAGUGCUGGUCAUCAGCCACGUCUCCAACUCGGGCGAGAAUGCCCGCGACGCUCAGCAAGCGGCGAUGCACGACCUCUCCGUCCCCAUCCCGGCCGACGCCAACGCCGAGACCCUAGAGGCACGCCGCCUUGCCCUCAUCGCGGAGGGCAAGAAGAUAGCCUCGAUGAGACGCCUCACCGAGGCCCACCAGCGCGAAGUCGACCGCGCCGCCUUCGGCACGCCGCCGCCUAGCGGCCCGAGCCGAGCCGGCUUCGUCCAGAAGCGCGGCGCGGCCGUUGCUAGCAUGCUGGGCGCAGAUCGCCCCGUCUACGCCACCCCGCUCGAGAAUCUGCGAGCCGCUCAGGCGGCUGCAGAGGAGCUCAAUGGGCUGGGAGCCGACGAGCUCCCCUACAUGACAAGACGGAUCCAGCAGCUGAUCGACGCGGCUGCAGAACGGCACGAAGCCGGCGCCCGAGCUGAUAGCCAUCCCCCGCGCCGGGAGCACGCCGCGACGUCCCGCUCGCCGACUGCGAGCGGCGCGCGCCAGAAAAAAGACAAGGAGCCGGCUGCCAGCCGCAGCCGGACUCGCAUUACCAUCGAGCGCGACGCGGAUGGCCGCCCUCGAGCUGUAGAGCACCAAGGAAACCUGCCUCCUCCUCCGCCUCGAAGAGAAAGACGCCUCACUCCACCGCCUGUCACGCAUCCGACUCUUGGCGACCGACUUGGCCGCCGAGAAGGAGUCGGCGAGAACGACGCCCGCCACAGGAUCGACCGCCUAGCUCGAUCCUUGGUGUUAGAAGAAGAAGACGAUGUCGGCCCGCCAUGCUUUGGCCCCCGCAUCCGCGACGAGCCCUUCCCCAAAGGGUUCUCGCUCCCCAGAGACACACCCAAGUACAACGGCUCGGUGAAGCCGGAAGAUUGGCUCAUCGACUACUCCACAGCCGUCAGCAUCGCCAACGGCAAUUGGCGCGUCGCCGUGAAGUAUGUCCCCUUGAUGCUGCAAGGCACGGCGCGCACAUGGCUCAACAGCCUCAAGCCCUACAGCAUCAACAGCUGGCUGGACUUCACCGAAGUUUUCGUCCGCAACUUCACCAGCACCUACAAGCGGCCUCCCAAGCCUCGCCAGCUCUCCCUCUGCGUCCAGGGGCCCAACGAGUCGACCCGCGACUACCUCACGCGAUGGGCCGAGCUCCGCAACUCCUGCGAGGGAGUGCAUGAGGUCCAGGCCAUCGAGUAUUUCACUGCCGGGUGCCGAGAGGGCACCCUCCUCAAGCACCGACUCCUCUGCGACGAGCCGGCUACCCUCGACGAGCUACUGGUCAUCGCCGACAAGUAUGCCACUGCCGACUCCUCCAUGAAGACCGAGCUCCGAGUGGCCGCCUCGGGGAAAGUAGUUGCUCCGGCUCCCAAGACGCCGGCUGGCGACCCUAACCGGCGCCCCUACCAGAACGACCACAAGCGCAAGGGCCCCAUGCCGACUUCCUCCAGUCGGCAGGUGGCCACCAUUGAAGACGAGCAGCCCGAAGAGCGGCCCGCUCCCAAGAAGAAGGGUGGCCGGCCGCCUUGGCAGCCGUCUUUCUCCUACGAACAAGCACUCGAUGCUCCCUGCAAGUUCCACAGCGGCACGAAGCCGUCCAACCAUACGACACGGAAAUGCCACUGGCUCACCCGCAUCACCAAGGGCGAAGGGAUGGUGCCGCCUCCGCCUCCCAGCCCGCCGCCUCCAGCUCCCCAGCAGCCGGCGGCCCGGCCGGCAGUCGGCGCCAUCCAAGACGAGUUCCCCGAAGCGCACGACGCCUACGUCGUCUUCACAAGUCAAGUCGACGACAAGCGCAGCCGACGCCGGCAGCACCAAGAAGUAAACGCAGUCGCCUCUAGCACCGCCGAGUUCAUGCACUGGUCGGAAAAGCCCAUUAGCUGGAGCCAGGCCGACCACCCAGAGGUGAUGCCUUCGCCUGGCUCCUAUGCUAUGGUCUUGGACGUCACCCUUGCGACGGAGAGGCGAGCUGCCAGAUUUUCCCGCGUCCUGAUAGACGGCGGAAGCAGUAUCAACAUACUGUACCGCGAUUCCAUGGACAAGCUGAACAUCAAAGCAAAGCAGCUCAUGCCGAGCCGCACCGUCUUCCAUGAUAUCGUACCCGGCCUAUCUUGCUCUCCAAUCGGCAAGAUCAAAAUGGAUGUUCUCUUCGGAGACAAAGAUCACUUUCGCCGGGAAGCAAUAUGGUUCGAGGUGGUGGAUUUGGAGAGCCCCUAUCAUGCACUACUUGGCCGACCUGCUUUGGCCAAGUUCAUGGCUGUGCCCCACUAUGCCUACCUGAAGAUGAAGAUGCCUAGCUCGAAGGGGAUCAUCACGGUAGCCGGCGACUACAAGAAGUCCAUCGAGUGUGCCAUGGCCAGCAGCCGGCUGGCCGAGUCCCUCGUGGUGGCAGAAGAGAAGAAGAUGUUGGAACGGGUUGUGGCCAUGGCCGGCAAGCAGCCGGCCUUGUCCCCUAACCCCAAGGACUGUGAUGCGCAGGGCUCCUUCUAGCCUGCCAAAGAGACGAAGAAGAUACCUCUAGACCCGGAGCACCCGGAGAGGUUCGCCGUGAUUGGGGCGAACUUGGACAGUAAAUAGGAAGGCGAGCUCGCCGACUUCCUCCGUGAGAAUCGAGACAUCUUUGCAUGGUCCCCAAAGGACAUGCCGGGUGUCCCGAAGGAUUUCGCCGAGCACAAAUUACAUGUCCGAGCUGAUGCGAAGCCGGUCAAGCAACCCCUCCGCCGACUAUCAGAAGAGAAGCAAAGAAUCGUGGGAGAAGAGAUAGCCCGGCUCCUUGCAGCCGGCUUCAUCAUGGAAGUGUUCUUUCCAGAAUGGCUUGCCAAUCCAGUUCUUGUUUUGAAGAAGAAUAACAAGUGGCGCAUGUGUAUAGACUACACAAGUUUGAACAAGGCCUGCCCAAAGGAUCCGUUUGCUUUGCCACGGAUUGACCAAGUGAUAGACUCCACAGCCGGAUGCGAGUUGUUAAGUUUUUUGGAUGCAUACUCAGGGUAUCAUCAGAUCAAGUUGGACCCGGCUGACCGCCUGAAGACUGCCUUCAUCACACCCUUUGGAGCUUUCUGCUACCUGACAAUGACAUUCGGCUUGAGAAACGCCGGUGCCACUUUUCAGCGUUGCAUGCAGAAAUGUCUCUUGAAACAACUCGGCAGAAAUGCCCACGUCUACGUAGACGACAUUGUGGUGAAGACAGAGAAGCGCGGUACCUUGCUGGAAGACCUGAAGGAAACAUUUGCCAACUUGCGCCGAUUCCAGAUCAAGCUCAAACCCGAGAAGUGCGUGUUCGGAGUGCCAGCCGGCCAGCUGCUAGGCUUCCUGGUCUCCGAACGUGGCAUUGAGUGCAACCCUGUCAAGAUCAAAGCCAUCGAGAGGAUGGAGAUUCCCACCAAGCUGCGAGAUGUGCAGAAGUUCACUGGCUGCUUAGCCUCCCUGAACCAUUUUAUCAGCCGACUAGGAGAGAAGGCUCUCCCCCUGUACCGACUCAUGAAGAAGUCCACUCACUUUGAGUGGAAUGAUCAAGCCGACCAAGCCUUCCAUGAGUUGAAGAAAAUGUUGACCACUCCGCCUGUCCUGGCUGCGCCGACUGAGAAGGAGCCCAUGCUCCUCUACGUCGCCGCGACAAGCCGAGUCGUCAGCACUGUUGUUGUGGUCCAGCGCCCGGAGGAAGGCCGAGCCCAGCUGGUCCAGAGGCCGGUCUACUAUCUCAGCGAAGUACUGUCCAGCUCAAAGCAAAACUACCCGCACUACCAGAAGAUGUGCUAUGGGGUGUACUUCGCUGCCAAGAAAUUGAAGCCCUACUUCCAAGAGCACCCCAUCACGGUCGUGUGCACUGCCCCGCUCGCCGAGAUCAUAGGCAGCCGGGAUGCAUCCGGCCGGGUGGCCAAAUGGGCCAUUGCCUUGGCGCCCUACACGAUUUUCUAUCAACCCCGCACCGCCAUCAAGUCGCAAGCAUUGGCCGACUUCCUCGUCGACUGGGCCGAGACCCAGUACUUACCGCCGGCUCCCAACUCCACCCAUUGGCGGAUGCACUUUGACGGGUCCAAGAUGCGCACCGGCUUGGGAGCCGGCAUCGUCCUCACCUCUCCCAAAGGCGACAAGCUCAAGUACACGCUGCAGAUCCACUUCGCCGCCUCCAACAACGUGGCCGAGUACGAGGCGCUCAUACAUGGGCUCCGGCUAGCCAAAGAACUCGGCAUACGCUGGAUCCUGUGCUACGGCGACUCAGACUUGGUGGUCCAGCAAUCAUCUGGCGACUGGGACGCCCAGGACGCAAACAUGGCAAGCUACCGUUUCCUCGUCCAGCAGAUGAGCGGAUACUUCGAAGGGUGCGAGUUCCUUCACGUGCCAAGGGCCGACAACGACCAAGCAGAUGCCCUAGCACGGAUCGGCUCCACCCGACAAGCCAUACCGACCGGCGUCUCCCUCCAGCGCCUCCUCAAGCCGUCCAUCAAGCCGUCUCCAGAGUCGGAUUCCAUCUUCGUACCGCCUGCGCCAGAAACAGCCGGACCCGGCUCAAGAAAUCCCGCAGGCGGCACGGGGACUUCGACGACUGCCCCGGGGACUAACGUAGUCGCACCCGGCCCAGGGACUUCAGAACCCGGCCCGGGGACUGCAGCAGUCGGCCCAGGGACUGCAACGACACAAGAAGCGGUGGUCGACUCCAAUGCAACACCCAACCCACCCACCCGAGUCAUGGUGGCCACAUUAACCGCAGAAGAAGUCACAGCUCCCUCAUGGGCCCAGCCCAUCCGCAAGUUCCUAGUCAGCAGAGAGCUGCCGGCUGAUGAGAUCGCAGCAAGACUAGUGCAACAAUGAGCCGCAGCAUACACAAUAAUCAACAGGGAGCUUGUGAAGCGCAGCGUCACUGGAGUCUUCCAGCGUUGCGUCGAGCCAGAAAAAGGAGUGGCAAUCCUCAAAGACAUCCACCAAGGCGAAUGCGGCCAUCACGCCGCCUCAAGAUCCCUCGUGGCCAAGGCUUUCCGCCAUGGGUUCUUCUGGCCGACUGCCUUGGAGGAUGCUAAAGAAAUAGUCAAGAGCUGCAGAGGAUGUCAAAUCUUCAGUUCCAAACAACACCUGCCGGCUUCUGCCCUCAAGACCAUUCCCCUCACCUGGCCUUUUGCCGUCUGGGGACUGGACAUGGUGGGCCCUUUCAAGACAGCCCGCGGUGGCUUGACACAUCUACUCGUUGCUGUGGACAAGUUCACAUAGUGGAUUGAAGCCAAGCCAAUUAAGAAGCUGAACGGGCCGACUGCCGUGACAUUCAUCAACGACAUCACUACUCGGUACGGCGUGCCGCACAGCAUCAUCACCAACAACGGCACGAACUUCGCCAAAGGCGCACUGGCACGUUUCUGCGCGACACAGGGCAUCCGACUGGACUUAGCGUCCGUUGCCCACCCGUAGUCAAACGGCCAGGUCGAGCGAGCAAAUGGACUUAUCCUCUCCGGCAUCAAGCCCCGACUGGUUGUACCACUGGAGCGAUCGGCCGGCUGCUGGCUCGAAGAGCUGCCGGCUGUCCUCUGGAGUCUGCGCACUACACCCAACAAGUCAACCGGCUUCACUCCAUUCUUCCUUGUGUACGGUGCCGAGGCUGUCAUCCCAACAGACAUCGAGUUCGACUCGCCUAGGAUCACCAUGUACACGGAGGAGGAAGCCAAAGAAGCAAGAGAAGACGGCGUCGACCUACUGGAAGAAGGCCGGCUGUUAGCCCUCAGCCGGUCCGCCAUCUACCAGCAAGGCCCGCGCCGCUACUACAACUGCAAGGUCAAGCCAAGAUCCUUCCAAGAGGGCGACCUUGUGCUCCGGCUGAUCCAGCGAACAGCCGGCCAGCACAAGCUCUCGGCCCCUUGGGAAGGCCCCUUCGUCGUCAGCAAGGCACUCGGCAACGACUCCUACUACUUGAUCGACGCGCAAAAGCCAAGAGCACGCAAGAGAGACGACUCCGGCAAGGAGUCGGAGCGACCAUGGAACGCAAACCUCCUAAGACGAUUUUACAGCUGAAAAGCAGUAUGUAUCACGCUACCCCUUUUUGUAUUAAGUUACAAACCAACAGGCCCCCCGAACAGUACUCGGGGACUGCCUUUUAUUUAUCUAUGAAUGACGAGUGUCAUAUCCAUGAAUGUAUUAUUACAUUUUGAAUUCUUCUCCGGCACCGGGUCCGACUAGUCGGCCCGGGGACUGGCCGCCUUGAGCUAUAUUCUAAGUUCUUCCCGAAGUCAGCAAAGUAGUGCACGGCUCCCAAGUCCUCUCUUGUUGAAAGUCGCAGCUCAAAGAACUGACUGUCCGACUAGCAAGAGAGAAGACAGAAAGGACGCCCACACGAAAAACGGCUAAGGAACAACUAACCUAUAUGGCAAAAAGACUGCCUCCAUAUAUGCCUGCCGGCUGUCACAGCAGCCGGCUGGCCGGCUUCCUAAAAAACUUAGCUUAAGUCCGGCAGAGCUAAAAGUACUUCCCCCUCCCCAAUCGGCCAGGCACUCCCCGGCUACAGAUUGCAGAGCAACUGUUUGACUAGGGAGGCGGCAACCAAGGGAGGGCGGCAAAGGAAAAAAGCAGAAGGACAAAAAGCGAAAGUACAAGGAAAGACCGAUUGCAUAACUUAUAUACAUAAAGCCGCCCACAGGCCGGCAACAGACUUAAGUUUGAAUACACCCAGUGGGUGGAAUUGUGCAGACUUAACCAAACAUUGUUCAAAAGUAACAAGACAGGAAAACAAAAGAAAGAAGACUAAGGCGCGACUUGGAGGCCGAGCUGGUCGGUGAAGGCAGCUCGCCGGCUGAAGGAGUGGCCGCCUAGUUGGUCCCGGCUUGACCACCUCCCGCGGCAGGAGACGCACUCGCACGCGACGUAGUGCUGGAGGCGCGGUCAGGCUGGCCGGCUACUACACCAGCCGGCUCGGGGUCUUCACCCUCCUCCUCUUCGCCCUCGUCGCUGGAGUCGAUCUCCUCCGCCAAGUCCUCGCCGUACGCCUGGUCCAGCCCGAACCAAUCUUCCGGCUGGGCGACUCCACUGUCGUCCACCUCGGGGGCGAAGACGUUGGUGUCGGUGUAGUCGGCGAUCGCUGAAGCCCGCCGAAUGAUGGCCGGCCGCGCCGGCUCCAGCUCCGUGUCGGCUUGCUGCCGCCAGGUCGCCAGCUGGUCCAGGUUCAGGCCGGGAUACCAGGCCUUGACGAACUCCAGCGCCCGCCUGGCGCCGGAGCGAGCCGCUGACGCCUUCCAAGCCUCGAAGCGGCCGACUGCCACCUCCAGCCAGUCGGCGGUCCGACUGGGCGUGCGAGGGACCACUUGGCCGGGCCAGAGGGCGGCCAAGACCUGCGAUCCCGCACGCUGAAGCCGGCGGAGCAGCCUGUGAGCCGGCUGGAUGCGAGCCUGGAUCGCCAGGAGCUGUUCCUGCAGCGAGCGGCCGGCGGUUGGCGAGAUCUCGAAGCCGGCUUGCCUCUUCGCCGGCGACGGGCUUCGAUGGCCUGGUUGGCGGCAGUGGAAUAGCCGGGGAAGUACUCUGCGCGAAGAAGAAAAGGAAAGAAAAACACCAAAAUCAGAAAAACAAGUCAAAAUGGCAGAUUGCAAGAAAGGACGAAGGGGUAGACGACUUACCGUCAACCAGAUCCUCGAUCUGGCCAUAGCCGGAGACCAGAGUCUGCCUGGCCUCUGCCCAGCCGGCCGCCUCCGUCUCGAACUCGGCCUGGAGGGUGGCUUCGCGAUCCUGCGCAGCCUUCAGCGCCGCCUGGUGGCCUUCCUCCUGGUCGGUCAACUUCUUGACUAGGCGGUCGCGCUCCUGCACCAAGGCGGCGAGCUCCGCGUCCUUGGCACGAAGAGCAGUCUGGGACUCCCCCAGCUGUGCCCUCAGACUGGCGUUGGCCGCUGUAGAGAGAGAAGAAGAAGAAGAACAAUGAGAAAUCAUCAAGGAAGAUCCGAGCCGACUGCUCAGCAGUCGGCCCGAAUCUCGGGGACUACACCCAGUGGGUGCGCUGACGCGCCCCCACAUGAGAUAAAGAUCAAGUCACAUACCUCGGCUUUCAGUGAGAUCGGCGGUCUUCUGAGUCAGCUCCCGAGCCUGGGAGUUGAAGGCGGCCGCUCGGAGGUUGUGGUUGUCCUACAAGACGGACAGAAGACCGACGUGAGAACAAAAGCAGCAAAAACAAAAUCUCCAAGAAGUUCCAAGCCGCCUGCUCAGCAGCCGACUCAGAACUCGGGGACUACACCUAGCGGGUGCGCUGACGCGCCCCCACGAGAGAAAUCAAGAUCAAGAAAGAACAAGAUGAGAAUACUACCCGGAUGGCUGCCCGCGUGGCGAGGAAUUCGUCGAUGAACUGCCUCAGCGCCGCGGCUUGGCUUUGCAGUCGGGUCCGGACGUCUUGUGCAGCGAUGUUCACCACGGCUGUCCCUCCGCCCGGCGUCCACCCCGAGGUAGCGCUGGCCGCCUCCGCGUCUCGGGCCGACGAGCUGGAGCCCACGGCCGGCUGUGGCUCCGACGCAGCCUUCUGCGGUUCAGACGCGGCCUUCCCUGCACGCCGGCUUGGCGGAACCCGGACCGCCACCUCAGCCCCCGCGGCCGGCUCGCCCUCCGCCGACUGUACGGGCGCAGGCUCAGGCUGGCGGCCUUGGGUCGCCCUAGUCGGAGGAGUCGGCCCCGGCGCCUCCCCCAAGAUGACGACGUCGUCGCCGCUUGCUCCUAGCCCCGGCUGGGAACCGCUGGCUCCCCCUGGCGAGGGAUCCACGUCCCCGGGCGCCAUGGUGCGCAGGGGGGUGACCAUCAAAGCCUCCCCUGCCGCCGCUUCGGCCUCGGCCUCUGCCUGGGCCUUGGCUGCGGCCUCGGUGAGCGCCUUCGCCGCCUCCUCCUCCCGAGCUGCCUGGGCGGCGGCUGCCCUCCGUGCCUCCGCCUCCCGCGCUUCCUGCUCCUCCCGCACCUCCCGCGCGUUCCUUUCCGUCGCCUCCAGGAGGGCGGCGCGGGGAUCUACGCGGCGGGUGGUGCUCCCAGAGCCCCCUGGCGACUCGACGACGGAGCCGGCAGCCGCCCGCUCAAGUGACAGCGGAGCUCUGACCAUUUAAAAAGAAGACGAAGAUUCAAGAACCACCAAAGGAAAGAAAGAAGGACAGUACAUAGAAAGAGAGAACUUACGCCGACACAGCCUGCGGCUGCUUCACCACUUUGCGGAAGCGAGCCGCCUUCGCGGCCGCCUCUUCCCGCCUGGUGGCCGCCGCCCCACCCCUGGGCUUCUUCGUCCGGCUACCGAACAUGCCCUGGGUGGCGCGACGUUUCUGGCCUCUACCCCGAGCAGGCUGCGCACCGGAGGAGCCCGCGCCGCGUCCGGAUGCCGGCUGGCGAUGCAGGACGGCUUCGGCUUCGUCCUCGUCCGGCCAGUCGUCGAAGGUAGCGGUGAACCCGGAGCCGCCUGCUUCGCCGCCGGCUUGGCCGCCGGCCGGCUCGGCGGCAUCCUCCAUAUGGACCGCCCCCAGGUCGGGGUCCUCCUGGUCGUGUUCGGUCCGGUCUGGGACGAAGCGGCGCUCCACAUCUGCCCCGCCGGCCGGCCGGAGCAGAGGACUCUGUCAAAAGAGCAAGCCGACUGAGUUAGUGUCGGCCCAGAGGAACUCGGCGACAAAGCUGAGAGAGAGAAAAAGAGACGAGGGGAGCGUACCGUAGGCGGAGGAUUGGCACGGCUGUAUGGCUCCUUGCCGAAUUGCCAGUCUUCGGAAAGUUGGCAGUUGGCGAGGUAAUUCACCAUGUCGGCGGCGUCGGGCUGCGGCAUCUCCUUGGUGCACAUCCGGCUCGGAUCGAGCUGGCCGCUCAUCUGACAGAUCAGAUGAGGCCGGCUCUGGAGCGGAAGGACCCGGCGCGUGACGAACUCGGCCAGGAGGUCGGGGCCCGUCAGGCCCUCCGACUGGACCAUCACCCGCAGGCGGGCGAUGGCGGCGUUUCCUCCUUGCGACAGCGUCACGGCCCGGAAGGACCACUGGGGCAGCCUGCCCGCCGGUGGGCCGGCCACGUAGGCCGGCAGGUUGAGGUAGUCGCCCCGGGGAGCGAUGCUCCGCACGUAGAAGUAUGACUUUUGCCACUUCUUCACCGAUUGGAUCAGGGUGAUGAUGGGGAAGGGGUUGUCGGCGCCUGAUCUCCGCGACGCGAUGAAGGCGCCGGUCUGAGCCGGCACGCCCCGCACGCGCGUGCCCAGCUUCGACUGGAAGAACUCCCCCCAGAGCUCGAGGGUGGGGAGGACGCCAAGAUAGCCCUCGCACAGGGUGACGAAGGCCGACAGCAGCACCACCGCGUUGGGGGUGAGGUGGUGCGGCUGGAGCUGAUAGAAUUCCAGCCAGGAGCGGAAGAAGGCGCUCACUGGCAGGCCGAAGCCGCGCAGGAAGUGCGAGCGGAAGACCACCCGCUCGCCCUCCCGCGGCGCCGGCCUGACUUCCUUCUCCGGCGUGAGGCGGACCUCCACUUUGUCCGCGCUGGGCAGACGCCGGGUGUCGCGGAGGAAGUCGAUGUGGUCGUUAUGGACGAUGGAGCCAUCCCAAUCCCCGCCAAGCUGCUCUACAUGGGGAGGCAUAGCGGAAGCUAGCACGGCGGCGGAGGAGCGUGCGGAGGAAGAGCGCGGCGGCGAGGCGCUGUCGCGAGAACGAGCAAGGCAAGAAGACAGUGGAAGUAGGAGGAGCGUGCGAGGGCCUGCCGCCCUCAACCUCCCCCUACUUAUAGCCUCACGCGGCCGAAGAGGCCGGACGUGGCGGGAGAUGUGGGAUUAACUGUGCCCACUCCCCCCACGUCUCGCGUUUAUUACGCAUAAGUGCGAGCCGAAACUGCCGCACGGAACGUGUGGGCGGUUUCGGGAUACAAAGGAUCCGCGCCUGGGCCGGGGCGCGGACGUGGCGGGCCCCCUCCCUGCGGCGACGUCCCGUCACGCGCGUGGGCUGGCAGGCUUUCCUGCCACGUGGCACGCCAACGGCCCGAGGCCGGCCCGCGGCCCGGUGCACGUACCUGCGGGUUCCCGCCCCCCGACUCCAGAAGAAUUCGACUAAGGCGGCGCGCCUGACCAAGGCCGGCUCCCAGCAGCCGGCUCGUCACGAUAGGAAGCUGAUCGAGCUUCUUGAACCCCACUCCACCUCGAAGCCCAAUCAGCUUCGGGGACUACUGUCGGAGUAAAUGGCCACGGGUAGCCUAACCGACUACCCCUGGCUCUUCAGAAAAUUUAUCAGGCCUUUGGGCCUUCAAGCACUCCAAGCAUUUGGGCCGCCUUCCCCGGCCGGCUACCACUAAAGCCGACUCCCGGAAGGCGACCCAGCCUCACCGACUCCUCCCGAGGACGACUACGGGGUGGCCGACUCCAAGAAGCCGACCAGGAAGGACGCCGACUCCUAGGGGCCGGCCAAGAUCACAACCACCCCUCCAUAACGGCGACGUGACCGGGUGUGGCCACAGUGCGGCCCAUGACCCCCGAAGCCCGAGGCGGGCAUGGCUACAGGAGGCCGUACGGGAGGGACGUCUCCCGUGCGGCUCGGCACUGUAGCCACGCUAGCCUCGACGUCGUCCACGACCCACUCCUGUACGGCCCAAGGACUGCGGGCCCCUUCAGCCAGAGAGAGGCGUGAAGGCGGCCGGGCUUUUCCUAGUCGACCAAGAGUAUAGCCGGCCUCCAGAAGCCAGCUACUCCCUUCCUCGAAGCAGGAGCCCCAUUAAGGAGACAAGACGAGGUGAGGCUACAGUGAUAGCCCCCGAGGCGGCCCACUGUAGCCACGCUCACCUCGACAAAGCCCUCAUCAUCAGAGGUGCGGCUACAGUAAGCAGCCGCCGACAAAACCCUAGGCGGUGGGACCGGCCUGUCGACCAAGUAGCCGGCAGCCGGCGGGACCCAGCUGCCGGCGGAGAAGCCGGCGAGCGUAGACACUGACGGCUGGUACCAGAUCCCAGUCGGAUUACCAUUGUACCCCCGGGGGUAGGCCUAUAUAAACCCCCCGGAGCACCCAUGCAAAGGGUUGGCCACUGAGCAUAGUUGGCUUCUAGGUUAACACCCACGCAUAGCACACACACCAUAGAUAGAGAGAAGCAAGAGCUAGCCUUGUUCUUCUUCUCCCUUGAUCUCAACAGCUCUAGGAGCGAUUGUAGCUACCCCUUAUCGAUCUAGUGAUCAUGCGGAGACCCCGCAGAGCAGGACUAGGGGUGUUAUCUCCUCGGAGAGCCCCGAACCUGGGUAAGAUUCAUCGGCGUGCAUGUCUUCGCCUCAUCCCGUUUCCGGGCACCGGCGACGUUUUAUUGGCUCCCACAAUGAUAAGCCAUCCCUUGGCAUAUGUCGCACCAACCACCCGACAAGGCCAGUGUCGCCGCCCACGCGACUCAGAGGGGUAGUAACACUGACCACGCACCCGUACAUCGGCCUCGUGUCAGUGUCAGCGUCAGCGGCGUCGCCCCUGACGCUCAUUACAGAGACGGGGCAGCGGCCUGCGCGGGCCUCGCCGGUGCCCACGAUCAAGAGGAAGACGCUGCCGUCCUCCUCCGAGACUAGCAGGCGGCGGUGAUCCUCCAGCGACUCCGGCAUGGUGAACGUGUAGCACGUCUCGUACUUGAUGUUCUCCGCCAAGGGCCAGCAGUGACCACUGCACGCAUCCGUGAGGUGAUGCACCAUGUCCGCCGGCGAGCCACAAAACGGCAUCGGGCACUCAUAGCAGUGGACGAAGGGCUCCUUGGAGGCAUCGACCAGGCCGUCCAUGAAACGGGAGUGGCUGUAGGGGACGUUGCGCCAGUUGAAUAUAUGAGCAAGUUACUACGAGAUUUAAUCCGAAUAAGCACAAAAUAAAUCAUGACGGCUAUAACAGAGAUGAAACUAAUCAUGUGGACUAGCAUAGUAGUAGUAUAUAGAGUAGAAACAUGAAUUCUACCAAGAUUUCGAACAGGAAGGACAGAAACACAUACGAUGCAACAGGAGCAGCACCGUUGGCGUUGAGGUUGUCGCCUGUAACAUCCCAAAUUUUCAAUUUGGGAUGUUAUACAUUAGAUCAUCAUUGCAUAUCAUACUUUAUUGCAUUUUUGGGUUUGAUCCUAGAAAUUCUACGCAACUCAAGGACCCACAGAGAGAGUUGGGGAUUUUGUUAUUUUCAUAUUUGGGUUUUCUCAAACUUUGAAAAUAGGAUCAUUUGAUUUUAUUUAUUUUAUCUUCAAUUAUUUCAUUUAUAAAAAUAAGAGAGAGGGAAUAAAAUGACUUUCCCAAAAAUAAGAAAUAUUGAAGAUUUAAUAAAAAAAUCAAAUCUUAUUUUAUUUGGAGUUUUACUACUUUAUUGAAUUUAGGAAAAUUGCACGUUUUUCAAAAUUGCAUUUUAGAGUCGCCGACGCCCGCAGCCCCGCCUCCCCACGCCGCCCCCCGUCGCCCCGCCAGAGCCGCUGGACUUCGCCGGAGCCCCGAGCCGAGGUAGCCGCCCGCCGUCCGGUUUUCUUAAGAAAACCGAUUCGGUUUUAUUCGAAAACCCUAGGUUUUUUUUAUUUUAGAUCGGUUUUGUUUUGUUUUUUUCUGUUUUCUUAUUUAGCGAGCGUUCACUCGUUCGUUCGUUUUAACGAAUGCGUUCAUCGUUUAGUUACAGUUAACAAACGUCCGUUCGUUAAACUGUUCGUCAGUUUUCCUUUUUCUCGGAUUUUCCGCGAUUAUUUCUGAUCGAGAUUUCCGAUCUGUUUUUCGUUUUGGUUUAACUUUUCGCUUGUUUGUCGGAAUCAGGCGAUUAAAGCGCCUAGAGUUUCGUCUCAAAACCCUCUUUCUGUUUAACCAACUCAAACAAGUUUUUGCUACUUUAAAAUUUGACUUAGGUCGAGAUUAGUAAACAAAGCUUGUUUCUUUCGCCGUUUGACUUUCGUUGCUUCGUUUGAUUUGUUCUUUUUGCAAACCGGAGUUCUUAAGUUGAACUUUCUGGUUAGAUCUCUUAUUUGAGUUUUACCUGUGCAUUAGGCGAGUACUUAUUGUAUGCUUGUUUGUUUGCGAUAGAGUACCCGGAGUGCGCCGCUUGCUACUUCGAAUCCCUAGGUUUCACGGAUCAUCAGCAAGGCAAGUAACACUUUGAUCAUACCUCUUUUCAUACCCAGUUUUAUUGCAUUAGAUCAAUCCUCAAACAAUUGCAUGAUUAGGAUCCGAUUAAAUUGUGGGUUGGGAAGUAGCUGAUGAGGUAGAACCUAUUGCCCUGUUUAUUACCAAACCCUUGGGAGUUACUUCUAUGUUUGCUUAUAUUGCUAUGCUAUGCUAGUAGACGUGGAUUGGGUGAGUGUAUCCAUGACAGAUGUGAGAUUGUUAAUUAAUGGUUCAAUUUAAGGUGGCUACUUAAACACACAUCUGGGUGGAUUGAGGCACCUGGGUAUUCCAGCGAUUGCCUGUUUUUUUAUGGACCGCCACCCAGGCUCAAAGGGAUCAUGAGAUUAUUCAUGCUAAAAACUUCCGUGUGCAGCCACAAGCUAUUAUGGGCUCUAGCAUAGUAAGCUGUGUGAACUCUUACAGUGGUAGACUAGCAGAUGUAGGGGUUGUAGGUGGUACUGUCUACCCGAUCGUAAGGUGCAAACGCUUUUGAAAGACUAUGUCUCGGUCAUCCGUUUCUCAAACAUCAUGUAGUGCGAGAAUCCCAACGGAGGAGAUCGAGUCUUGUGGGGAAAAGUGCGCAAACCUCUGCAGAGUGUAUAAACCAAUCAUGGUUAGCCGUGUCCCCGGUUAUGGACAACUUGAGUAUCUAGUACUUGGAUUAUCAUGUGAAUCUCAUCAUGUUACUUUAAUUAAUUUUGUUGGGAUUAAUGUUGAAACUUAAUUGGGAUUGAGAUGGUGUCACCCAUUCUCAAUGUUUAACAACCACAAUGAUAGUUAAGUAAAAUUUAUUCCUUUGCAGUAGGAAAAAAUUGGCUUUUCGCAAAACUGUAACCAUAGAGCUUUCCACCAGCCAAAUAUGCAUGUAGUAUAGCAUUAUUCUGUUCAUUACUCUCUAUGUGUUACAUUGCCAGCAUAUUCCUUGUGCUGACCCGUUUUCGGGCUGCAACGUUUCAUGUUGCAGACUUUUCAGACGACGAGUAAGGUGCCUUAGGUCGUGGUUCUAUACUCAGUGAUGCCGUUCGAGUUGAUGGACUCGCCUAUCUUCCAAGUCUUCCGCUGUUAUCGUUUUUAGAUGGCCUUAAGCCAUAUUUAUUGUAUUAAGUUCUCUUUUGAGACAUUCGAUGUAAUAAGUGUGUGAUUGCUACUCUGUUAUAAAUCCUUCGAGUACUGUGCGUGUCAGCAUUACUGAUCCAGGGAUGACACUGAUGCACAGAGACUUGACCGUCUAAGUUCUGGUCGCUACAAGAUGGUAUCAGAGCACACGCUGACUGUAGGACACGACCACUAAGCUUAAACCCUAGAUCACUAUUCUCUUCUCAUUUCUGACUCCUCUCCAUUUUCCACUCUUUUAGGAUGGCGGAUGCCAGGAACAAGUUACUGCAACCAGAUGAAGAUACACCCUUUGGACGCCACUUGAAGGAAGUCACUAGAUACCUGAACAUCGGAAUACCAAGCUUCACCGGAACCUACAACGCCACACUACCAGAAGAGGAGCGUUGGAUGAUUCAAGUUCAAGUUCCAGGAAGGACGUUCAUGCCCGUCACCGAGCCCAUAGAGUUUUCCUUUGAUGCACCAACCUGGAGUCUAGGAAAGAGCAUGGCAGCCCACAUCACCAUGGGACGCAUUGGAGAAGUUUACCACACGGAGCUUAAGGAUACCAUUUACCAUAUUUGUGGGCGCCGAGAUGAGCAAUGGGAGAUGAUCAGCACCAAGAAGGAUAGAUCAACUGCAGCUUUCAUCCAGGAGUUAAACCAACACAUUCGUCUCCAGGAGAACCAAAUGUGCACAGGCAUGAUAGAUCUGAAGAAGGCAUUGACCAAGAUCACGGAGUUGGAGGAAGAACUCAAGUCUACGCGCGAUGGAUAUGAGGAGGAGAUCGCCACGUUGUUGGAGAAGAAUGACGACCUGAUAAAGAAGAUGGGAGUAUUCAUGGGAGACCCAGCACCAGGAGGAGAAGACGAUGAUUGCGCUUGCCCGGAUAACUACAUCAUCAUCGACGACACCGACUCGGACCCCAGUGAAGAUGACUUUGUUGAUGAAGCUGGAGCAGAUAUCAUGGAGUCUUCGACCGAUCAAAAUUUCUAGUAGACCACCAUAAUCAGUAAUAGUAUUCCCCCAUGUAUAUAGUAUAGCCCGAGCACUUUGUGACGAUAGUUAGAUCGAUUGUAUGCCUUGUUUGAAUUGAUUUGAGUGAUAUUGAUUGUGUUUGUCUCAUGUGCAUAUGGGUAGUGUUUUCUCUCUAGACCUCAUUCUAUUCUAAAUUCUCAUAUUUUCUAAACCCAUCAGAUGCCUCCGAGACGCGACACCGGAUUUGUUUUCCCACCGGAGAUCACUCAGUUGAUUCAGCAGCAGAAUGUCUUGAUGCAAGCACUAGUACAGAACCAAGGAAACAACAACAACAACAACAACAACAACCCACCACCACCACCACAUGUUGAUCAUUUGACCCGUUUCUUGAGGCUAAAUCCGUCGGUGUAUUCCAGUAGCACCGAGCCGAUUGUUGCAGAUGAUAGCCUCCGCAAAGUUGGAAGGGAGUUGACCACUGCAGGAUGCACAGAUGCGGAGAGAGUGCGUUUUGCCGCACAUCAGCUUGAUGGACCCGCAGCAUCAUGGUGGGAGAAUUACACAGCCACUCACCCCAUCGACACUGUCACAUGGGACCAAUUUCAACAAGCUUUCCGUACUGCCCAUGUUUCAGCAGGAGCUAUGGCCAUGAAGAAGCGUGAGUUUCGCAACUUACGCCAAGGAGGACACACCGUAGGCCAGUAUGUGGAGGACUUUAGUAAGUUAGCACGUAUGCCCCAGAUGAUGUUGCUACAGAUGCAGCCAAGCAGGAGAAGUUUCUGGAAGGGCUGACUGAUGAGCUGAGCAUGCAGUUGAUGGUAGCAACCUUCAACAACUACCAGGAGUUGGUAGAUAGAGCUCUCAUGAUUGAAGGUAAGCAGCAGCAGAUUGAAAGCCGCAAGAGGAAGUAUGGACAAGGGAAGUACAAUUCUGGAGCUCAUCAGAAGCCACGUUUUACCCCGAAUUCGGGAGGACCUUUUCAGCAUACCCAUGGAGCAGGAGGUUCGCACAACCAUAGUGUACCCAAGAAUGGUAAUGGGAAUGGAGGAAGCAACGGACAGAACCGUACCAACCCAUCGACCCCAGCUAAGAGAGAUCUGAGCCAAGUCACUUGCUACAAGUGCCAGAAGACUAGACAUUAUGCUAAUGAGUGUCCUGAAGCUAAUAAUGGAAAUGGCAAUGGAAGCUCUGGGAAGAAGCCCAACCCUUUCAACAAAGGACAUGUGAACCACGUUAGUGUGGAGGAGGUUGAAGCCCAGCCAGAUGCAGUAAUAGGUAAGUUUUUGGUUAAGUCAUUUACUGCACUCGUUCUUUUUGAUACUGGUGCAUCGCAUUCAUACUUAUCAAGGGGAUUUGUGGAUAAGUAUAAAUUGCCAACCCAAGCCCUUAGGUCACCCAUGUUAGUAACCUCGCCAGGAGCAGAGUAUAUGGCUAGUCUAUGGUGCGAUAGGUUACCAUUAAGGAUUGGUAACUACUUGUUUCCCUCGGACCUAAUAGUAUUGGAAUCGCAAGGACUGGAUGUGAUAUUAGGCAUGGAUUGGUUAUCGAAGUAUGAAGGGAACAUUGAAUGCGCUAGUAAGUCGAUUUUGCUUACCAUCCCAGAAGGAAGAAGGAUCAAGUAUGUAUCCCGGCAUGUGCCAAAGAGGACUCAGGUGAAUUCUUUAUCAGGAGUUGUACAGGAGGAAGUACCAGUGGUGAAGGAUUUCCCUAACGUAUUUCCAGAGGAGUUGCCAGGCAUGCCACCGGAUAGAGACAUUGAGUUUUUGAUUGAGCUUUUGCCAGGCACAGGGACAAUAUCUAAGAGACCGUACAGGAUGCCCGCAAAGGAUUUGGAGGAGAUUAAGAAGCAGAUUAAGGAGUUGCUGGAUAAAGGCUAUAUUCGCCCAAGUUCUUCACCUUGGGGAUCGCCAGUGCUUCUAGUGGAGAAGAAUGAUGGAUCGUUAAGGAUGGUUGUUGAUUAUCGAGGACUGAAUGAAGUGACCAUAAAAACAAGUACCCACUGCUGAUGUUCAAUGAUCUGUUUGACCGCUUACAAGGAGCUAAGGUAUUUUCCAAGAUCGAUCUGCGGUCAGGAUACCAUCAGUUGAAGAUUCGAGAGCAGGAUAUACCUAAGACGGCUUUUACCACUAGGUAUGGGCUGUACGAGUAUAGUGUUAUGUCAUUUGGUCUGACUAAUGCACCUGCCUAUUUCAUGAACCUGGUGAACAAGGUGUUUAUGGAGUUUUUGGAUAAGUUCACCGUGGUGUUCAUUGAUGAUAUUUUUGGUCUACUCCAAGAAUGAAGAGGAGCAUAAGGAACAUUUGCGUUUGGUACUUGAGAAGCUCAGAGAACAUCAGUUAUACGCCAAGUUCAGCAAAUGUGAGUUUUGGCUGAAGGAAGUUGGAUUCCUCGGACAUGUUAUAUCCGGAGAAGGAAUAGCAGUAGACCCCACCAAAGUCGACAUUGUGACAAACUGGGAAUCACCCACAUCAGUUGGAGAGAUCCGGAGUUUUCUUGGACUUGCAGGAUACUACCGGAGAUUCAUUGAGAAUUUCUCGAGGAUUGCUAAGCCCAUGACGGAGCUGUUGAAGAAGGUCACCAAGUUCAACUGGACUGAGGAAUGUGAAGCUAGUUUCCAAAAGUUGAAGAAAUGUUUGGUUACAUCACCAGUGUUGAUUCUGCCAGAUCAACGCAAGGAUUAUGAAGUAUACUGUGACACUUCUCGUCGAGGACUUGGAGCAGUGCUUAUGCAGGAAGGAAGAGUUGUUUCAUAUGCUUCACGACAGCUUAAACCCCAUGAGAUGAAUUACGCUACGCAUGAUUUGGAGUUAGCAGCCGUAGUACAUGCGUUGAAGACAUGGAGACAUUUUCUCAUCGGAAACCACUGUGAGGUGUACACGGAUCACAAGAGUUUGAAAUACAUCUUCACGCAGAAGGAGUUGAAUCUCAGGCAAAGGAGAUGGUUGGAGCUCAUAAAGGAUUAUGAUAUGAGAUUGCAUUAUGACCCCGGAAAGGCUAACGUAGUAGCAGAUGCGUUGAGCCGCAAGAGCCAUGUCAACACACUCAUGACUGGAGAGUUACCGAAGGAAUUAGCCGAGGAUCUUCGCGAGCUAUGUUUGGAAAUAGUUCCGAGAGGCUAUGUUGCAGCAUUGGAGAUACAGUCUACUCUGAUGGAUAAGAUCAGAGAAGCUCAGAAGACAGACAAGGAGAUUUCCGGAAUAAAGGAAAGGAUGAGCAAAGGAAAAGCCAAGGGAUUUUGUGAGGACGAGCACGAUACCUUAUGGUUUGAGGACCGCGUUUAUGUGCCUAAUGACCCGGAGAUCAGGAAGCUGAUUCUGCAGGAGGCUCAUGACUCGCCGUAUUCGAUUCACCCAGGAAAUACCAAGAUGUAUUUGGAUUUGAAGGAUACUUUCUGGUGGACCGGAAUGAAGAAGGAUAUUGCGGAGUAUGUAGCAGUUUCUGAUGUAUGUCAGAGAGUGAAGGCCGAGCAUCAGAAGCCAGCAGGAUUGCUACAGCCAUUGCCGAUACCCGAAUGGAAGUGGGAUAAACUAGGCAUGGAUUUUAUCACGGGAUUGCCCUGGACUCGUUCAGGCUAUGACUCAAUAUGGGUUGUAGUCGAUCAUUUGACGAAGGUAGCUCAUUUCAUCCCAGUGAAGACCACUUACACCAGUGCUAAGUUGGCAAAGAUAUACAUGACCAGAAUCGUAUGUCUGCAUGGAGUUCCGAGGAGCAUUGUAUCAGAUAGAGGAACCCAGUUUACCUCAAAGUUCUGGCAUCAGUUACAUGAAACUUUGGGUACCAGGCUAGAAUUUAGUACAACCUUUCAUCCACAGAUAGAUGGAUAGACCGAGAGAGUCAAUCAGAUUCUGGAGGACAUGCUGAGAGCUUGUGCGCUAGAUUAUGGAUCUAGUUGGGACGAUAACUUGCCAUAUGCAGAGUUCUCUUACAACAACAGUUAUCAAUCCAGUUUGAAGAUGGCCCCUUUCGAAGCUUUGUACGGAAGGAGGUGUAGAACACCAUUGUUAUGGGAUGAAGUUGGAGACCGCCAGUUGUUUGGACCAGAUUUGAUUAAGGAGUCUGAACAGAAGGUGAAGUUGAUUCGCGAUAGGCUCAAGGUAGCCCAAUCCAGACAGAAGAGCUAUGCGGAUUCAAAACCUAAGGAGACAGUUUACGAAAUCGGAGACAGAGUUUAUCUUCGUGUAUCUCCACUUCGGGGAGUUAAGCGCUUUGGAGUUAAGGGAAACCUAGCGCCACCUUUUUGUAGGACCAUACAAAGUUUUGGAGCGUAUGGGGGAAGUUGCUUACAAGUUGGAAUUACCCGAAGGAUUGUCAGGAGUUCACGAUGUGUUCCACGUUUCCCAGUUGAAGAAGUGCCACGCAGAGAUGGCUGAUAUACCGCUGAGAGAUACAGUGCCACUGGAGGCGAUUCAGUUGGAUAGUGAUUUGACUUAUGAGGAGAAACCAGUCAAGAUUCUUGAGUAUGCCAGCCGAGUCACCCGCAGCAAGGUUAUCAAGUUUUGCAAAGUUCAGUGGAGCCACCAUACCGAGGAUGAAGCCACCUGGGAGCGAGAGGAAGAUCUACGAAAGGACCACCCUCACCUAUUUUCUAGCCAACCCGAAUCUCGAGGGCGAGAUUCAUCUUAAGGGGGGGUAGGUUUGUAACAUCCCAAAUUUUCAAUUUGGAAUGUUAUACAUUAGAUCAUCAUUGCAUAUCAUAUUUUAUUGCAUUUUUGGGUUUGAUCCUAGAAAUUCUACGCAACUCAAGGACACACGGAGAGAGUUGGGGAUUUCGUUAUUUUCAUAUUUGGGUUUUCUCAAAUUUUGAAAAUAGGAUCAUUUGAUUUUAUUUAUUUUAUCUUCAAUUAUUUUAUUUAUAAAAAUAAGAGAGAGGGAAUAAAAUGACUUUCCCAAAAAUAAUAAAUAUUGAGGAUUUAAUAAAAAAACCAAAUCUUAUUUUAUUUGGAGUUUUGCUAUUUCAUUUGAAUUUAGGAAAAUUGCACGUUUUUCAAAAUUGCAUUUUAGGGCCAAGAAAAUGUUCAUCUCGUUCUAAAUAUUUUAUUUAGACGGUGAAAAAUUUAUUUUGGCAUUUUUAGAAUUUUAUUUUAUUUUCUAGAAUUUUUCUCAGUUUCGGCGGAAUUGUUUUAAAAAAAACUCCCGCGCGCCCGACUGGGCCGAAGCCCAGCCGAACCAGGCCGGCCCGCCCGCGCCACUGCCUCCCGCUGCCGUCUCCGGAUCGGAGACCGCCGCCGCCGCCCGAGUCCGGGAGGAGCACGCCUCCCGAGGCACCCCCUUCCCAAGCCGCGCCGCCCCCUUCCUUAAGUAGCCGCGGCCGCCGCCCCUCACCCCGCCACCGAACCCGCAGCCCCGCCGCCGGNNNNNNNNNNNNNNNNNNNNNNNNNNNNNNNNNNNNNNNNNNNNNNNNNNNNNNNNNNNNNNNNNNNNNNNNNNNNNNNNNNNNNNNNNNNNNNNNNNNNNNNNNNNNNNNNNNNNNNNNNNNNNNNNNNNNNNNNNNNNNNNNNNNNNNNNNNNNNNNNNNNNNNNNNNNNNNNNNNNNNNNNNNNNNNNNNNNNNNNNNNNNNNNNNNNNNNNNNNNNNNNNNNNNNNNNNNNNNNNNNNNNNNNNNNNNNNNNNNNNNNNNNNNNNNNNNNNNNNNNNNNNNNNNNNNNNNNNNNNNNNNNNNNNNNNNNNNNNNNNNNNNNNNNNNNNNNNNNNNNNNNNNNNNNNNNNNNNNNNNNNNNNNNNNNNNNNNNNNNNNNNNNNNNNNNNNNNNNNNNNNNNNNNNNNNNNNNNNNNNNNNNNNNNNNNNNNNNNNNNNNNNNNNCGCCGCCGACGCUCGCAGCCCCGCCGCCCCACGCCGCCUCCCGUCGCUCCGCCGGAGCCCCGAGCCGAGGUAGCCGCCCGCCGCCCGGUUUUCUGAAGAAAACCGAUUCAGUUUUUUUUAUAAAACCCUAGGUUUUUAUUUUAGAUCGGUUUUGUUUUGUUUUUUUCAAUCUUAUUAUUUAGCGAGCGUUCGCGCGUUCGUUCGUUUUAACGAACGUGUUCAUCAUUUAGUUAUAGUUAACGAACGUCCGUUCGUUAAACUGUUUGUCGGUUUUCCUUUUUCUCGGAUUUUCUGCGAUUAUUUCUGAUCGUGAUUUCCGAUCUGUUUUUCGUUUUGGUUUAACUUUUCGCUCAUUUGUCGGAAUCAGGCGAUUCAAGCGCCUAGAGUUUCGUCUCGAAACCCUCUUUCUGUUUAACCAACUCAAACAAGUUUUUGCUACUGUAAAAUUUGACUUAGGUCCAGGUUAGUAAACGAAAGUUGUUUCUUUCGCCGUUUGACUUUCGUUGCUUCGUUUGAUUUGAUUCUUUUUGCAAACCGGAGUUCUUAAGUUGAACUUUCUGGUUAGAUCUCUUAUUUGAGUUUUACCUGUGCAUUAGACGAGUACUUAUUGUAUGCUUGUUUGUUUGCGAUAGAGUACCCGGAGUGCGCCGCUUGCUUCUUCGAAUCCCUAGGUUUCACGGAUCAUCAGGAAGGCAAGUAACACUUUGAUCAUACCUCUUUUCAUACCCAGUUUUAUUGCAUUAGAUCAAUCCUCAAACAAUUGCAUGAUUAGGAUCUGAUUAAAUUGUGGGUUGGGAAGUAGCUGAUGAGGUAGAACCUAUUGCCCUGUUUAUUACCAAACCCUUGGGAGUUACUUCUACGUUUGCUUAUAUUGCUAUGCUAUGCUAGUGGACGUGGAUUGGGUGAGUGUAUCCAUGACAGAUGUGAGAUUGUUAAUUAAUGGUUCAAUUUAAGGUGGCUACUUAAACACACAUCUGGGUGGAUUGAGGCACCUGGGUAUUCCAGCGAUUGCCUGUUUUUUUAUGGACCGCCACCCAGGCUCAAAGGGAUCAUGAGAUUAUUCAUGCUAAAAACUUCCGUGUGCAGCCACAAGCUAUUAUGGGCUCUAGCAUAGUUGAUUAAGCUGUGUGAACUCUUACAGUGGUAGACUAGCAGAUGUAGGGGUUGUAGGUGGUACUGUCUACCCGAUCGUAAGGUGCAAACGCUUCUGAAAGACUAUGUCUCGGUCAUCCGUUUCUCAAACAUCAUGUAGUGCGAGAAUCCCAACGGAGGAGAUCGAGUCUUGUGGGGAAAAGUGCGCAAACCUCUGCAGAGUGUAUAAACCAAUCAUGGUUAGCCGUGUCCCCGAUUAUGGACAACUUGAGUAUCUAGUACUUGGAUUAUCAUGUGAAUCUCAUCAUGUUACUUUAAUUAAUUUUGUUGGGAUUAAUGUUGAAACUUAAUUGGGAUUGAGAUGGUGUCACCCAUUCUCAAUGUUUAACAACCACCAUGAUAGUUAAGUAAAAUUUAUUCCUUUGCAGUAGGAAAAAAUUGGCUUUUCGCAAAACUGUAACCAUAGAGCUUUCCACCAGCCAAAUAUGCAUGUAGUAUAGCAUUAUUCUGUUCAUUACUCUCUAUGUGUUACAUUGUCAGUUUAUUCCAUGUGCUAACCCAUUUUCGGGCUGCAACGUUUCAUGUUGCAGACUUUUCAGACGAUGAGUAAGGUGCCUUAGGUCGUGGUUCUAUACUCAGUGAUGCCGUUCGAGUUGAUGGACUCGCCUAUCUUCCAAGUCUUCCACUGUUAUCGUUUUUAGAUGGCCUUAAGCCAUAUUUAUUGUAUUAAGUUCUCUUUUGAGACAUUCGAUGUAAUAAGUGUGUGAUUGCUACUCUGUUAUAAAUCCUUCGAGUACUGUGUGUGUCAGCAUUACUGAUCUAGGGAUGACACUGAUGCACAGAGACUUGACCGUCUGAGGUCUGGUCGCUACAUCGCCCAUGUCCAAACACCACGUAGACACGGUCUUUGAGCACGGUUCGUAGUCGUUCCACGCUCGGGCAUUGAAGUUUGUAACUAUUUUAGAUUAGAAUAUACUACUCCUCCGGUGCUAGUAGUAGAGCAGAGUCCUACUCUACUACUCUACUCAAGCAAGUUAGGGCAUAGCACUGUGGGGAGUACCAGUACUGUGAUCACUCAAGAAAGUUGUCUGGCAUCGACAUGACCCUACGCUGCUGGUAUGUGUCUCGUAAGUCAAGCGGCGUACUGUAGUCAUCAUCACCUGUCCACUUCUCGCAGCACAUAUUCGCUUCUCCAUCUUUGUCCGCACAUAAUAUCGUCCAAUCUUCCAUCCCAGCUAAGGCGUCUCCCCCCUCGUCCGAAACGCAAGCACUAACAAUGGCAGAACCGAGCAGCGUCCGCCGAAAGAGUUGCUGGAAUUCGCUCCCCGCAGAGGUAAUCAAGCUCAUUGUUUCGCGUGUGGACAAUCUCAGUACCAUGCCGCUCGCCGCGUGCUCGUCGGGGCUGUAUCGAUUACUCAAAGCCCUCAGGCCGGAGCUUUUUAAGCCAGCUCCUUGCUUGCUGAUGCCGCCUGAUCUUCAGAAACGGCGUGUCACGCAACAUAACGAUCGUAGGGUGGCGAGCAUCAACCCCCUUGACUGCGAUCCGAUCCCCGUCAGCCUCAACUACAUUAACGGUAUGUAGUGGGUCGGCAUGAACACGUCUUGGAUGGUGCUCGUCGACGGUCGUGGCAGCUGGAUGCUCGUGGAGGUCUACACCCAGCGAUUGAUCCCCCUUCCUUCGAUUAGCAGUGCACUGCUUUGGCACCGCGACCCAGAAUACUCAGAAUCUUACAGUAGCCAACAUGAUACCGAGUUUGAUUUGCUCAAGUUUGUAAUCUGCCAAGUGCCCACAAGAUCUGCGAAUUAUAAAGUCUUCAGGCUAAUUGCGUUCUUCAACCGCGGUUUCGCCUAUCUAACAGGUCACUGCGGUAAGUGGAUAAAUCUGCACGUCCAUCGCAGGAUCAUACAUCCUCCAUGGUUCUCUGAUGCCAUUGAACACAAGGGCUUCAUUUACGCGGUCGACUCCUUCUAUGGCUGGAAGUAUUGCUGGCCUACUCCAGUCAUCGCUACAAACGGCUGUUACAGCAGUAUGUUACUCCCUCCGUCCCAUAAUAUAAGAACGUUUUUCAAGCUUACAUAGCUUGAAAAAUGUUCUUAUAUUAUGGGACAGAGGGAGUACUUUCCUAUGAUAUCAUGAUGGCUUGCUUAUAUUACUGUCAACAUUUGCUGAAAAAAUAUUCAUGCUCAUAACAUGCUGUUCUUAAGAUUGACUAAAUCAAGACCUUUUUUAUUUGACUCCAACUUGAUAUGAUGUUGUAGGCCGCCUGGUGUCCCUACUCUUCCUAAUCCCAGAACCUUUCAAAGAAAAGCGGCAUGGCAGUUGCAGGUGGUUCCUGGCUCGAUCAGACGACGGCGAAAGAUUGAUGAUCGUUCGCACGUACCGGACGUGUUGUUUCGCGGAAUACAAACACAGUCACUGCAAGGUCUUUGAGCAGGAUCCCAGCUUCUCUGGGCCUUCAGGAAUUUUUGACUGGAGGCUGGUAAGUAUCCUUGGUACACGCUCUCUGUUUGUCGGACUGAAUUAUCUGAUUAACCAGGAGAUAACCGACGGCAAGGAUCAUGAUGGCAGCGCGGUUUCGUUCAUCAGGCAAAACUGUGUGUACACAUCGUACCAUGCGUCUCUGCAUGCACCAUACCCUGAGAUGUGCCGCCACGCUCUGCAGCCCAAAGUAUGAGAGAGGGUCGCAAGUAUCAGACUUCGACCUGCUGGCUGGAGUUUCCCCCGUUAGGUAACCAUCUGGUUCAAGCCGUCAGCCAAUCUCCACAGCUUAAUAAAUAGUAACGUCUAACUGAGCCAGUUAGUUAGAUGCGUACACUUGGUGUAGUAGGAUCUUUAUUUAGUUUGAUGCAUACACUUGUUCUUUUUUGGUAGCCCUUUUGUAAUGAUGGCUGAUGUUUGGUUUGGAAGAGAGAGCUGCGUCUUCACUCUUCUGGCCUGCUUACUGCUUCUGUUGCGCCCCCAGCCCUGGUUGCUGCUCUUGCUGUUUUCAAUGUACAAUCAGUAGUAUAUUUCGUCUAUUGGUUGAAUAAAUGUGUUGUUAGAACGACAAACACAAUGUUUUGGAAGUCGUUGCACGGUUCGAUCCUUUAGUGCCCCGUACCGUACGUAGCGCAUACUAUUUUUCGUACGGAACACAUUUUCCACUUGUUGAUAACAUGCAGCCCACUGAUGAAGGCCCAAUAGAGAAGCCCAUAAUUAACUGGAAGGGAGGCUCUCACAUGAAUCCGGCCCAGGUACAUGCUCAUGGUCCCCUAAACAUAAAUAAGUAAAUAAAUAAAUAAGGCUAAAUGCUCAUGCACCAGUUCUUUGGGAAAAUAGGUAGCCCAGUAUUUCUUUUUGAAGAAUACCCAAGCUAGGCCUAUUUGUUUUCUCCGAAUUACUGGGCUGCAAAUCUUUCAAGACGAGGAGGGAUGCAUUCCGGCUUGGCUUAAGAGUAUGGUCAAUGUCUGUUAAAAGUAAUAUCAAAAGGGGUUGAAAAUUCCAAAAAAAUAAUAGCAAAUGGGAUAUAAGUUUCUUUUUUUGUCUUUGUUCUUCACUGAUAUCUUAUACGUAUUUCAUUGGAUUUAACAUGACAUAGUACUAAUUUAUUUUUAAAUUUGUUUUAGUAUGGCUAUUAAUUUUUGGAUUAAGAAUAUUUCGUUCCCCAGCAAAAUUUUUUGAAUUUUCAAAAAUUCCCACAUAUUUAGUUAAUUUUUUGACCCUGGUACUGACCAGAAAAUGGCCAGCAAUGCUAAAAAUGGAAAACGGGCUGCAAUAAUUUCCAUAUGAAUUAGAAAAUGAGUAAAAAUUAUAAAAAUAAUAGCAAAUGGGCUGUACACGCCACAGAUUUCGAGGCUGACUUGUUUACGCAAGGCUUUGUCAGUGAACACACGAUUCUAGCAGCAGUGACUGUUGGAUGUCCAUCCAACGGACGACGUGCUUCUUCAAUCUCUGAUCUUCCUGCUCCAGCCGCCUAAACUAGCGCCGGCGGGACUGCCUGCUCCCUCCUCUUGUGGCCGCUGUGAUGCCGCGCAGGCUUCCCCGGCCCACCCUACCCCCUCCGCUGGCCUGGCCGCACGCAAUCAACUACCUCCUUAUUACGCGAAAAAAAUGAUUCCUCCCACUGACAUCUGGGGCGCACCGGUUGGGAGGCUGACCUGUGGGCCUACUAAGUUGACGCGUACGUAGGGCUUGUCAACUUAGUCAACAAACGAUUCUAGCAGCAGUAACCGUUGGAUUUGAAUCGAACGGUCCAGCUGCUUCUUCAAUCGCUGCUCUUCUUGCACCAGCCGCCCAAACCAGCGCCGGGGAGACCGCCUGCUCCUGCCUCCAGUGGCCGCCUGUGCUGCCGUUGAGGCCUCAUCGCCCCUACUACUCCCACCGCUAGCCAGGCCCUGCGGCGACGGCAGACUCACACCGCAGCCGAACCAGUGAACCCUCGUACUCCUCUCCGCGUGGGCAUCCACUGCCGCGUGUUCCCCGGCUCCGCGUCGUCCCCUUCCUAGGCCUCGCCGUCGUCCACCGCCUUUGUGCUCUCGGCGCGGCAUGGUCAACGUGGUCAACGACAUUCCAUCGAAAGAGUACUGUACGUGGAGAGGCUGACAGCUGGGUCCACGGCCACAGCCCAGUUUUCUUGUGAUUUGCCAAGUAAGUCGCUUUGUCAGGCCUGUUGAGCUGCAAAUCUUUCAAGACAAGGAGAGCUUUCAUUCGGCUGGCCGAGAAAAUGGCCCAUCAGUAAUAAGAAAUGGGCUGUACAUUUUUAAAACACAUCAAACCGGCAAUUAGUUUCAAAUAUCUUUUUUUUUUCAUUUCGGGAUUUUAAAUUACAUUAAUUUUUAUGCGUGGAGAAAUUGUUGGAUUUUAUAUUGAUACACAUUUAUUUUUAAAAUCAGUUUGAAUGGGAGUCGAAAUUUCGGGAUUAAAAACAGUUCGGACCGCACCGAAAUAUGCAAAAUUUCAUAUAAUUUUUUAACCGUGGCCACAAUAUGGGCUGUAAUGCUAACAAAAAGAAUAUGGGCUCCAAAAAGACCUUAAUAAUUAGUAAAUGUGCUGUAAAAUUAUUGGAAAUAAUGGCAGAUGGGUUGUAUGCUGUUUUCCACAGAUUUGAGGCUUUCCUAAAAAAAAGGUUGACGCACAAGUAGUGACUGUUGGAUGGCCAUCCAACGGCCGUCGUGCUUCUUCAAUCUCUGCUCUUCCUGCUCUAGCCGCUCAAACAAGCGCCGGCGGGACUGCCUGCUCCCUCCUCCCCGCGGCCGGAUCUGCUGCCGCGCAGGCCUCAUCGCCCCACCGUACUCCCAUCGCUGGCCUAGCCAUCCCUCUAAUCACCCACACCUGCUGUUAUUCUCCGGCGACGGCAGACGAACCAGUAAACCCGCGUACAGUCGUACUCCCCUCCGCGUGGGAAACUGUUGGGGAACGUAGUAAUUUCAAAAAAUUUCCUACGCACACGCAAGAUCAUGGUGAUGCAUAACAACGAGAGGGGAGAGUGUUGUCCACGUACCCUCGUAGACCGAAAGCGGAAGCGUUAACACAACGCGGUUGAUGUAGUCGUACGUCUUCACGAUCCGACCGAUCAAGUACCGAACGCACAGCACCUCCGAGUUCAGCACACGUUCCGCUCGAUGACGUCCCUCGAACUCCGAUCUUGCCGAGUGUUGAGGGAGAGUUUCGUCAGCACGACGGCGUGGUGACGAUGAUGAUGUUCCACCGACGCAGGGCUUCACCUAAGCUCCGCAACGGUAUUAUCGAGGUGUAAUAUGGUGGAGGGGGGCACCGCACACGGCUAAGAGAUCUCAAGGAUCAAUUGUUUGUCUAUGGGGUGCCCCCCUGCCCCCGUAUAUAAAGGAGCAAGGUGGAGGCCGUCGGCCAAGGAGGAGGGCGCGCCAAGGGGGGAGUCCUACUCCCACCGGGAGUAGGACUCCUCCUUUCCUUGUGGGAGUAGGAGAAGGGAAGGGGAAAGGAGAAAGAAGGAAGGGUGCGCCCCCCUUCCCUAGUCCAAUUCGGACCAGACCAUGGGGAGGGGUGGGGCCACCUUUUGAGGCCUUUCUCUGCUUUCCCGUAUGGCCCAUUAAGGCCCAAUACGAAUUCCCGUAACUCUCCGGUACUCCGAAAAAUACCCGAAUCACUCGGAACCUUUCCGAAGUCCGAAUAUAGUCGUCCAAUAUAUCGAUUUUUACGUCUCGACCAUUUCGAGACUCCUCGUCAUAUCCCCGAUCUCAUCCGGGACUCCGAACUCCUUCGGCACAUCAAAACUCAAUAAAACUGUCAUCGUAAUGUUAAGCGUGCGGACCCUACGGGUUCGAGAACUAUGUAGACAUGACCGAUACACGUCUUCGGUCAAUAACCAAUAGCGGGACCUGGAUGCCCAUAUUGGCUCCCACAUAUUCUACGAAGAUCUCUAUCGGUCAGACCGCAUAACAACAUACGUUGUUCCCUUUGUCACCGGUAUGUUACUUGCCCGAGAUUUGAUCGUCCGUAUCUCGAUACCUAGUUCAAUCUCGUUACCGGCAAGUCUCUUUACUCGUUCCGUAACACAUCAUCCCGCAACUAACUCAUUAGUCACAAUGCUUGCAAGGCUUAUAGUGAUGUGCAUUACCGAGUGGUCCCAGAGAUACCUCUCCGACAAUUGGAGUGACAAAUCCUAAUCUCGAAAUACGCCAACCCAACAAGUACCUUUGGAGACACCUGUAGAGCACCUUUAUAAUCACCCAUUUAUGUUGUGACGUUUGGUAGCACACAAAGUGUUCCUCCGGUAAACGGGAGUUGCAUAAUCUCAUAGUCAUAGGAACAUGUAUAAGUCAUGAAGAAAGCAAUAGCAACAUAAUAAACGAUCGAGUGCUAAGCUAACGGAAUGGGUCAAGUCAAUCCCAUCAUUCUCCUAAUGAUGUGAUCCCGUUAAUCAAAUGACAACACAUGUCUAUGGCUAGGAAACAUAACCAUCUUUGAUCAACGAGCUAGUCAAGUAGAGGCAUACUAGUGACACUCUGUUUGUCUAUGUAUUCACACAUGUAUCAAGUUUCCGGUUAAUACAAUUCUAGCAUGAAUAAUAAACAUUUAUCAUGAUAUAAGGAAAUAAAUAAUAACUUUAUUAUUGCCUCUAGGGCAUAUUUCCUUCAGUCUCCCACUUGCACUAGAGUCAAUAAUCUAGUUCACAUCGCCAUGUGAUUUAACAUCAAUAGUUCACAUCACCAUGUGAUUAACAGCCAUAGUUCACAUCGUCAUGUGACCAACACCCAAAGGGUUUACUAGAGUCAGUAAUCUAGUUCACAUCGCUUAUGUGAUUAACACCCAAAGAGUACUAAGGUGUGAUCAUGUUUUGCUUGUGAGAUAAUUUUAGUCAACGGGUCUGUCACAUUCAGAUCCGUAAGUAUUUUGCAAAUUUCUAUGUCUAUAAUGCUCUGCACGGAGCUACUCUAGCUAAUUGCUCCCACUUUCAAUAUGUAUCUAGACCGAGACAUAGAGUCAUCUAGAUUUGUGUCAAAUCUUGCAUCGACGUAACCCUUUACGACGAACCUUUUGUCACUUCCAUAAUCGAGAAACAUAUCCUUAUUCCAGUAAGGAUAAUUUUGACCGCUGUCCAGUGAUCUACUCCUAGAUCACAAUUGUACUCCCUUGCCAAAAUCAGUGUAGGGUAUACAAUAGAUCUGGUACACAGCAUGGCAUACUUUAUAGAACCUAUGGCUGAGGCAUAGGGAAUGACUUUCAUUCUCUUUAUAUCUUCUGCCGUGGUCGGGCUUUGAGUCUUACUCAAUUUCACACCUUGUAACACAGGCAAGAAACUCUUUCUUUGACUGUUCCAUUUUGAACCACUUCAAAAUCUUGUUAAGGUAUGUACUCAUUGAAAAAACUUAUCAAGCGUCUUGAUCUAUCUCUAUAGAUCUUGAUGCUCAAUAUGUAAGCAGCUUCACCGAGGUCUUUCUUUGAAAAACUUCUUUCAAACACUCCUUUAUGCUUUGUAGAAUAAUUCUACAUUAUUUCCGAUCAACAAUAUGUCAUCCACAUAUACUUAUCAGAAAUGUUGUAGUGCUCCCACUCACUUUCUUGUAAAUACAGGCUUCACCGCAAGUCUGUAUAAAACUAUAUCCUUUGAUCAACUUAUCAAAGCGUAUAUUCCAACUCCGAGAUACUUGCAUCAGUCCAUAGAUGGAUCGCUGGAGCUUGCAUAUUUUGUUAGCACCUUUAGGAUUGACAAAACCUUCUGGUUGCAUCAUAUACAACUCUUCUUUAAUAAAUCCAUUAAGGAAUGCAGUUUUGUUUAUCCAUUUGCCAGAUUUCAUAAAAUGCGGCAAUUGCUAACAUGAUUCGGACAGACUUAAGCAUAGAUACGAGUGAGAAACUCUCAUCGUAGUCAACACCUUAAACUUGUCGAAAACCUUUUGCGACAAUUCUAGCUUUGUAGAUAGUAACACUACUAUCAGCGUCCGUCUUCCUCUUGAAGAUCCAUUUAAUCUCAAUGGCUCGCCGAUCAUUGGGCAAGUCAAUCAAAGUCCAUACUUUGUUCUCAUACAUGGAUCUCAUCUCAGAUUUCAUGGCCUCAAGCCAUUUUGCGGAAUCUGGGCUCACCAUCGCUUCUUCAUAGUUCGUAGGUUCGUCAUGGUCUAGUAACAUAACCUCCAGAACAGGAUUACCGUACCACUCUGGUGCGGAUCUUGAUCUAGUUGACCUAUGAGGUUCAGUAAUAACUUGAUCUAAAGUUUCAUGAUCAUCAUCAUUAACUUCCUCACUAAUUGGUGUAGGUGUCGCAGAAAAUGAUUUAUGUGAUGAUCUACUUUCCAAUAAGGGAGCAGGUACAGUUACCUCAUCAAGUUCUACUUUCCUCCCACUCACUUCUUUCAAGAGAAACUCCUUCUCUAGAGAGGAUCCAUUCUUAGCAACGAAUAUCUUGCCUUCAGAUCUGUGAUAGAAGGUGUACCCAACAGUCUCCUUUGGGUAUCCUAUGAAGACACAUUUCUCCGAUUUAGGUUCGAGCUUAUCAGGUUGAAGUUUCUUCACAUAAGCAUCGCAACCCCAAACUUUAAGAUAUGACAACUUUGGUUUCUUGCCAAACCAUAGUUCAUAAGGUGUCGUUUCAACGGAUUUUGAUGGUGCCCUAUUUAACGUGAAUGCAGCUAUCUCUAAUGCAUAACCCCAAAACGAUAGUGCUGGAUCGGUAAGAGACAUCAUAUAUUGCACCAUAUCUAAUAAAGUACGGUUACGAUGUUCGGACACACCAUUACUAUGGUGUUCCAGGUGGCGUGAGUAGUGAAACUAUUUCACAUUGUUUUUACUGAAGGCCAAACUCGUAACUCAAAUACUCUUCUCCACGAUCAGAUCGUAGAAACUUUAUUUUCUUGUUACGAUGAUUUUCCACUUCACUCUGAAAUUAUAUGAACUUUUCAAAUGUUUCAGACUUCUGUUUCAUUAAGUAGAUAUACCCAUAUCUGCUCAAAUCAUCUGUGAAGGUCAGAAAUUAAUGAUACCUGCUACGAGCCUCAAUAUUCAUCGGACCACAUACAUCUGUAUGUAUGAUUUCCAACAAAUCUGUUGCUCUCUCCAUAGUUCCGGAGAACGGCGUUUUAGUCAUCUUGCCCAUGAGGCACGAUUCGCAAGCAUCAAGUGAUUCAUAAUCAAGUGAUUCCAAAAUCCCAUCAGUAUGGAGUUUCUUCAUGCGCUUUACACCAAUAUGACCUAAACGGCAGUGCCACAAAUAAGUUGCACUAUCAUUAUUAACUUUGCAUCUUUUGGCUUCAUUAUUAUGAAUAUGUGCAUCACUACGAUCGAGAUCCAACAAACCAUUUGAUUGGGUGUAUGACCAUAGAAGGUUUUAUUCAUGUAAACAGAACAACAAUUAUUCUCUAAUUUAAAUGAAUAACUGUAUUGCAACAAACAUGAUCAAAUCAUAUUCAUGCUCAACGCAAACACCAAAUAACACUUAUUUAGUUUCAACACUAAUCCCGAAAGUAUAGGGAGUGUGCGAUGAUGAUCAUAUCAAUCUUGGAACUACUUCCAACACACAUCGUCACCUCGCCUUUUACUAGUCUCUGUUUAUUCUGCAACUCCUGUUUGGAGUUACUACUCUUAGCAACUGAACCAGUAUCAAAUACCGAGGGGUUGCUAUAAACACUAGUAAAGUACACAUCAAUAACAUGUAUAUCCAAUAUACCUUUGUUCACUUUGCCAUCCUUCUUAUCCACCAAAUAGUUGGGGUAGUUCCGCUUCCAGUGACCAGUCCCUUUGCAGUAGAAGCACUUAGUCUCAGGCUUAGGACCAGACUUAGGCUUCUUCACUUGAGCAGCAACUUGCUUGCCAUUCUUCUUGAAGUUCCCCUUCUUCCCUUUGCCCUUUUCUUGAAACUAGUGGUCUCGUCAACCAUCAACACUUGAUGUUUUUCUUGAUUUCUACCUUCAUCGAUUUCAGCAUCACGAAGAGCUCGGGAAUUACUUUCGUCAUCCCUUGCAUACUAUAGUUCAUCACGAAGUUCUAACUUGGUGAUGGUGACUAGAGAAUUCUGUCAAUCACUAUUUUAUCUGGAAGAUUAACUCCCACUUGAUUCAAGCGAUUGUAGUACCCAGACAAUCUGAGCACAUGCUCACUGCUUGAGCUAUUCUCCUCCAUCUUUUAGCUAUAGAACUUGUUGGAGACUUCAUAUCUCUCAACUCGGGUAUUUGCUUGAAAUAUUAACUUCAACUCCUGGAACAUCUCAUAUGGUCCAUGACGUUCAAAACGUCUUUGAAGUCCUGAUUCUAAGCUGUUAAGCAUGGUGCACUAAACUAUCAAGUAGUCAUCAUAUUGAGCUAGCCAAACGUUCAUAACGUCUGCAUCUACUCCUGCAAUAGGUCUGUCACCUAGCGGUGCAUCACGGACAUAAUGUUUCUAUGCAGCAAUGAGGAUAAUCCUCAGAUCACGGAUCCAAUCCGCAUCUUUGCUACUAACAAUUUUCAACAUAAUUUUUCUCUAGGAACAUAUCAAAAAUAAACACAGGACUAAGUUCAUGAUAAAUUUAAUUUCAAUUAAUCAUAUUACUUAAAAACUCCCACUUAGAUAGAUAUCCCUCUAAUCCUCUAAGUGAUCACGUGAUCCAUAUCAACUAAACCAUGUCCGAUCAUCAUGUGAGAUGGAGUAGUUUCAAUGGUGAACAUCACUAUGUUGAUCAUAUCUACUAUAUGAUUCACGCUCGACCUUUCGGUCUCCGUGUUCCGAGGCCAUAUCUGUUAUAUGCAAGGCUCGUCAAGUUUAACCUGAGUAUUCCGCGUGUGCAACUGUUUUGCACCCGUUGUAUUUGAACGUAGAGCCUAUCACACCCGAUCAUCACGUGGUGUCUCAGCACGAAGAACUUUCGCAACGGUGCAUACUCAGGGAGAACACUUAUACUUUGAUAAUUUAGUGAAGGAUCAUCUUAUAAUGCUACCGUCAAACAAAGCAAGAUAAGAUGCAUAAAGGAUUAACAUCACAUGCAAUCAAUAUAAGUGAUAUGAUAUGGCCAUCAUCAUCUUGUGCUUGUGAUCUCCAUCUCCGAAGCACCGUGCUUGUGAUCUCCAUCUCCGAAGCACCGUCAUGAUCACCAUCGUCACCGGCGCGACACCUUGAUCUCCACCGUAGUAUCGUUGUCGUCUCGCCAACUUAUUGCUUAGUGAUAAAGUAAAACAAUUACAUGGCGAUUGCAUUGCAUACAAUAAAGCGACAACCAUAUGGCUCCUGCCAGUUGCCGAUAACUCGGUUACAAAACAUGAUCAUCUCAUACAAUAAAAUAUAGCAUCAUGUCUUGACCAUAUCACAUCACAACAUGCCCUGCAAAAACAAGUUAGAUGUCCUCUACUUUGUUGUUGCAAGUUUUACGUGGCUGCUACGGGCUUAGCAAGAACCGUUCUUACCUACGCAUCAAAACCACAACGAUAGUUUGUCAAGUUGGUGCUGUUUUAACCUUCGCAAGGACCGGGCGUAGCCACACUCGGUUCAACUAAAGUGAGAGAGACAGACACCCGCCAGUCACCUUUCAGCAACGAGUGCUCGCAGCGGUGAAACCAGUCUCGCGUAAGCGUACGCGUAAUGUCGGUCCGGGCCGCUUCAUCUCACAAUACCGCUGAACCAAAGUAUGACAUGCUGGUAAGCAGUAUGACUUAUAUCGCCCACAACUCACUUGUGUUCUACUCGUGCAUAGCAUCAACGCAUAAAACCAGGCUCUGAUACCACUGUUGGGGAACGUAGUAAUUUCAAAAAAAUUCCUACGCACACGCAAGAUCAUGGUGAUGCAUAGCAACGAGAGGGGAGAGUGUUGUCCACGUACCCUCGUAGACCGAAAGCGGAAGCGUUAACACAACGUGGUUGAUGUAGUCGUACGUCUUCACGAUCCGACCGAUCAAGUACCGAACGCACGGCACCUCCGAGUUCAGCACACGUUCAGCUCGAUGACGUCCCUCGAACUCCGAUCCAGCCGAGUGUUGAGGGAGAGUUUCGUCAGCACGACGGCGUGGUGACGAUGAUGAUGUUCCACCGACGCAGGGCUUCGCCUAAGCUCCGCAACGGUAUUAUCGAGGUGUAAUAUGGUGGAGGGGUGCACCACACACGGCUAAGAGAUCUGAAGGAUCAAUUGUUUGUCUAUGGGGUGCCCCCUGCCCCCGUAUAUAAAGGAGCAAGUGGGAGGCCGUCGGCCAAGGAGGAGGGCGCGCCAAGGGGGGAGUCCUACUCCCACCGGGAGUAGGACUCCUCCUUUCCUUGUGGGAGUAGGAGAAGGGAAGGGGAAAGGAGAAAGAAGGAAGGGUGCGCCCCCCUUCCCUAGUCCAAUUCGGACCAGACCAUGGGGAGGGGUGCGGCCACCUUUUGCGGCCUUUCUCUCCUUUCCCGUAUGGCCCAUUAAGGCCCAAUACGAAUUCCCAUAACUCUCCGGUACUCCGAAAAAUACCCGAAUCACUCGGAACCUUUCCGAAGUCCGAAUAUAGUCGUCCAAUAUAUCGAUUUUUACGUCUCGACCAUUUCGAGACUCCUCGUCAUAUCCCCGAUCUCAUCCGGGACUCCGAACUCCUUCGGCACAUCAAAACUCAAUAAAACUGUCAUCGUAACGUUAAGCGUGCGGACCCUACGGGUUCGAGAACUAUGUAGACAUGACCGAGACACGUCUCCGGUCAAUAACCAAUAGCGGCACCUGGAUGCACAUAUUGGCUCCCACAUAUUCUACGAAGAUCUAUAUCGGUCAGACCGCAUAACAACAUACGUUGUUCCCUUUGUCACCGGUAUGUUACUUUCCCGAGAUUUGAUCGUCGGUAUCUCAAUACCUAGUUCAAUCUCGUUACCGGCAAGUCUCUUUACUCGUUCCGUAACACAUCAUCCCGCAACUAACUCAUUAGUCACAAUGCUUGCAAGGCUUAUAGUGAUGUGCAUUACCGAGUGGGCCCAAAGAUACCUCUCCGACAAUUGGAGUGACAAAUCCUAAUCUCGAAAUACGCCAACCCAACAAGUACCUUUGGAGACACCUGUAGAGCACCUUUAUAAUCACCCAUUUACGUUGUGACGUUUGGUAGCACACAAAGUGUUCCUCCGGUAAACGGGAGUUGCAUAAUCUCAUAGUCAUAGGAACAUGUAUAAGUCAUGAAGAAAGCAAUAGCAACAUACUAAACGAUCGAGUGCUAAGCUAACAGAAUGGGUCAAGUCAAUCACAUCAUUCUCCUAAUGAUGUGAUCCCGUUAAUCAAAUGACAACUCAUGUCUAUGGCUAGGAAACAUAACCAUCUUUGAUCAACGAACUAGUCAAGUAGAGGCAUACUAGUGACACUCUGUUUGUCUAUGUAUUCACACAUGUAUCAAGUUUCCGGUUAAUACAAUUCUAGCAUGAAUAAUAAACAUUUAUCAUGAUAUAAGGAAAUAAAUAAUAACUUUAUUAUUGCCUCUAGGGCAUAUUUCCUUCAGAAACAGCUGCCGAGUCUUCCCUGCCUCCGUGUUGUUCUCUUCCUAGGCCUCGCCGUCGUCCACCGCCCUGGUGCUUUCGGCGCGGCCUGGUCAAUGUGGUCAACGACCGACAUGCAUCUGAAGUGGACUGUACGUGGAGAGGCCGACAGCUGGGUCCAUGGCCGCACGCAAAGAAAUGCCUCCUUAUUACGUGCAAAAUAAUGAUUCCUCCACCUGACAUCAGGGACCCACCAAAAGGGCCUCUGUAUUUCAUGAAAAAAACGUUACCGCCACUAACAGCUCGGACCCACCAGCUAUAUCUUCGCACGCAAGGAAGUGCCUCCUUAUUACGCACAAAAAAAAUGAAUACUCCCCCUGUUCGCUGGGACCCAGUAUAGUGGCAGGCUGACUUGUGGGCCUACUAAGUUGACGGGGACGGAGGGCUUUGUCAACUUAGUCAAUAUGCACGAUUCUAGCUCGAGUGACCGUACGAUGUCCAUCCAACGGCCAUAGUGCUUCUUCAACCUCUGGUCUUCUUGCUCCAGCCGACCAAACCAGCGCCGGUCGUGUCUCGUGCUCCUGCCUCCCGUGGCUGGCUACGAUGCGGCGGAGGCCUCACCGCCCCUACUACUCCCACCACUGGCUAGGCCAUCACUCUACUCACCCACACCCCCUGUUAUUCUGCGGCGACGGCAGCCUCACACCGCAGCGAACCAGUGAACCCUCGUACUCCUCUACGCGUGGGCAUCCACUUCCGUGUCUUCCCUGGCUCCGCGUCGUCCCCUUCCUAGGCCUCGCCGUCGUCCACCGCCCUGGUGCUCUCGGCGCGGCGUGGUCAACAUGGUCAAGGAACGGCUUCCAUCAGACAUGGACUGUACGUGGAGAGGCUGACAGCUGGGUCCACGGCCGCAGCAAAGAAGUGCCUCCUUAUUACGUGCAAAAUAAUUAUUCCUCCACCUGAAAGCGGGGACCCACCGGACGGGCCACCGUAUUUCACUAAAAAACGUUUCCCCCCUGACUGCUGGGACCCACCAGUUACAUCUUCGCACGCAAGGAAGUGCCUGACAGUCGGGACCCACCUGGUCGAAGCGUACAUAGCGUUGUCAUUCUGGUCGCGAACGUGUACGUACAUAUAUAUAGGUGGAUGUAGAGGCGCGCACGUAGCAUGUACACGUACGUACAAUGGCCGGGGUGCAAGAAAGAAAAUACGGCCACGUAUGUGUACAUACGGGCGGGGUCUCGAACGCCUACUCGCGCAUACGUACGGCCAGGGCUCGUGGCCAUGGCUGGGUCGGAACGGAGAAACAACGUUGUCGUCGUGUUCAUGGGGAGGCAAUGGAAUGCGUCGUGUUCAUGGGGAGGCAACGGAAUGCGUCGUGUUCAUGGGGAGGCAACGGAAUGCGUCGUGUUCAUCAGGAGGCAACGGAACGCGUGGGAGCCAACCGGCUGGGUCGGAACGGAAUGCGUGGUCGUGUUCAUCGGGAGGGCUUGGACGGAACAUGCGAUGGAAACGAGGCCUGGCGUACCGCAAAACGGAGGAAACAGACCUCCUACGUUCGGAACGGGGUCCUGUUGAUCGAGAGGGGUGUGGCGUACCGCAAAAUGGAGGAAACGGACCUCCUAUGGUCGAAACGGGGGUUCUGUUGAUCGGGAGGGGUGUGGCGUANNNNNNNNNNNNNNNNNNNNNNNNNNNNNNNNNNNNNNNNNNNNNNNNNNNNNNNNNNNNNNNNNNNNNNNNNNNNNNNNNNNNNNNNNNNNNNNNNNNNNNNNNNNNNNNNNNNNNNNNNNNNNNNNNNNNNNNNNNNNNNNNNNNNNNNNNNNNNNNNNNNNNNNNNNNNNNNNNNNNNNNNNNNNNNNNNNNNNNNNNNNNNNNNNNNNNNNNNNNNNNNNNNNNNNNNNNNNNNNNNNNNNNNNNNNNNNNNNNNNNNNNNNNNNNNNNNNNNNNNNNNNNNNNNNNNNNNNNNNNNNNNNNNNNNNNNNNNNNNNNNNNNNNNNNNNNNNNNNNNNNNNNNNNNNNNNNNNNNNNNNNNNNNNNNNNNNNNNNNNNNNNNNNNNNNNNNNNNNNNNNNNNNNNNNNNNNNNNNNNNNNNNNNNNNNNNNNNNNNNNNNNNNNNNNNNNNNNNNNNNNNNNNNNNNNNNNNNNNNNNNNNNNNNNNNNNNNNNNNNNNNNNNNNNNNNNNNNNNNNNNNNNNNNNNNNNNNNNNNNNNNNNNNNNNNNNNNNNNNNNNNNNNNNNNNNNNNNNNNNNNNNNNNNNNNNNNNNNNNNNNNNNNNNNNNNNNNNNNNNNNNNNNNNNNNNNNNNNNNNNNNNNNNNNNNNNNNNNNNNNNNNNNNNNNNNNNNNNNNNNNNNNNNNNNNNNNNNNNNNNNNNNNNNNNNNNNNNNNNNNNNNNNNNNNNNNNNNNNNNNNNNNNNNNNNNNNNNNNNNNNNNNNNNNNNNNNNNNNNNNNNNNNNNNNNNNNNNNNNNNNNNNNNNNNNNNNNNNNNNNNNNNNNNNNNNNNNNNNNNNNNNNNNNNNNNNNNNNNNNNNNNNNNNNNNNNNNNNNNNNNNNNNNNNNNNNNNNNNNNNNNNNNNNNNNNNNNNNNNNNNNNNNNNNNNNNNNNNNNNNNNNNNNNNNNNNNNNNNNNNNNNNNNNNNNNNNNNNNNNNNNNNNNNNNNNNNNNNNNNNNNNNNNNNNNNNNNNNNNNNNNNNNNNNNNNNNNNNNNNNNNNNNNNNNNNNNNAUCAGCUUCAGUUAGCAACAGUAGCGAAGGAAUCGCUCGAUCGGGUUCAGUUAACAGCCAUCGAUCGAUCGCUCGGGUUCAGUAACGCGUAGCCUGCAGUGCAAUCGCUCGGGUUCAGUUAGAGCCCAACGCCUCGCCCGGGUUCAGUUAGAGCCAACGCCUCGCAUACACGCGCGUACGUGUACGAGAGAAACGCGCAUCGCUCGGCCUCCGACCUCCCACCGUAACCGAGAACUCCCCGAAAUUUUCCUCCCCCUCGCUUCUACCACGGUUUUUUCCGUCAUGGACGGCCCAAAGAAUGUCAUGCAGCUGCGUCUCCGGCCCGCCCUGGACGAAAAGCCCAUUUUCGGUCAUGAUUUUUUGUCAUAGAAGUAGGAGCCCACCACAUCUAUGAUGAUACCGGGUUUUGUCACAAUUAUCGUCAUAGAAGUGUCAUAUGUAUGACAGAAAAAAUUUCGUUCGGCCCAAAAUGUCACGGAUGUGUCCUUUUCUUGUAGUGAAAUCGGCGGUGUAAUUCGGCACCUUGCGCGGGCCCUUGAAAUCCUUGGGCAGGCGCACAUUGCGCAACGCUGGGACAAGACAUGGCACUCCCAAGGAACUAGAGGUAACUCCUUGUUCCACUGAUGUGGUUGGACGAACCGGAGUAAGCUGACGGGCUUCAUGCUGCGCCGCUAACUCGGCCUCUCUGCAUGCCCGAGCCCGGGUCACCACCUCCUGAGCAUCACCAGCACCACCCGCCGGGUUAUUACCACGGGGCUGAUCACGGUUCCGCGCAUUGCUUGACACUGCCGGUUCAUCCAUACGCCUGCUGUAACUCCUGCUUGGACGUGGAGUGGAAUGAAUCCGAUCACGAAUAAGCCUCCUGUUGAAUCAAGGCUGUCUGAAGAAGCUCCAUAACCCGACGCGUCUCGACUGCCGCUGGAGAAUCGCCUUCGAUCGGGAUGGCUGCCAGCCGUGAAGCGGCAGCGACAAUGUUGUCCAUCGGGUUAGAAUAAUGACCCGGUGGCGUGGGGACAUGCGGUGCCACAAUAUUGUCCUGACGAUGCGGAUCCACCAAACGUGGCUGAACUGGCGCUCCUGCCCCGGUGCCCCCAUCCGGUUUACCACCGGCGGAUUACUAGUCCCUGCUCCUGGGGUAUUAAAGAGAUUUCUAGCAUCCUAAACCGGCGGCAGGCGAGAUCGAUGCCUCCUCUUCAGGACAUUGUUCGACGCACUCUGAUCCAGCAUAAUCCGGUAAGCUUGUGCAUCCAAAGCGGCCCGCUCCGCGGCUAUCCUGGUAUCCUCAGCUGCUAAGUCGGCUUUGGCCUAGGUGAUCUGAUCUUUCACUUUAGCGGUUUCCACAUUGUGUGCAUCCUGAUCCGCCGGGUUAACCUCCGCCAUCAGCGUUGCCAACGCGUCAAACAAAUCAGAUAGAACCUGAGCUGGUAGUCGCAGAGGGCCUCCUGCCCCGGCUGCUGCCGCCGCCGCUGAUCCGGAAAUCAUCGCCGCUGUGGUCGAAGAGUGGAGCGCCGGUUGCGUGUCGGACAUGAAAAUCGCAACCCGGUUUGUCACAUCAAAGGGGUCCGGAAUACUGUCGCCAUCGGAACAGCCCCCAAUCCGUCCAUCUUGUAACUGAUAUAACGACUCGGUCUCUCCGGUUGAUGACUCAUCACCGGAAUAAACGAUGGUCUCACCACCAGAUUCCGAUCUAUCCUCAGAUCCCCCUCCAUGGAUAACUCCCACGAAGGCACGCUUCAUGACAGGCUUGACCCGGGCAGAUCUCGCACGCUGAGCCGUCUCGACGAGGUCGGUGCAGAUGUCCGGCUCAGGACCCGUUUCGCCGAUCUUGCCAAUGAAGACAUGUAUGCCACCAAAGGGGACCCGGUACCCAUACUCGAUUGAGCCGGCCUCGGGGCCCCAGCCUGCAUCGUCGAUGUAGAGCUUGCCGCGAUGACUUUUGGUCAUCCGGCCCACAGCGUAACCCUUGAGUCCUUCGAAGUUGCCCUCCAAGAACAUGAAACCAUCGUGCGAUAGCUCCACAGUGGGCGCCAACUGUCGUGGUUUUGUCACGGCAGAUGUCCUAGAGAAAGGACUUAGUCGUGGAGCCAUCGCUACGGGUUAGGUUAAAGGGGUUAAAGCGGACAAGGGACGCAAGAGAGUUUUAUACUAGUUCGGCCCCUUACGGUGAAGGUAAAAGCCUACGUCUAGUUGUGAUGGAAUUGAUGGGGUUUCGAUGACCAGGGAGCGAAUACGCUUUGUUUGAGUCUCGAGGUGUUGUCUGUUGUUCCUGAACCGCCGCCAGGUCGUCCCCUUAUAUACAUGGGUUGACGCCCGUCGGUUUACAGACUCCGAGGCCGGCUCAUAAUCGUGUUCGGCUCGGUCUCUGCUACCUCUAUCUUACAACAGAAGUUUACAUAUCAAUGCCGGUUUGUGUCUACAGGCCUUAAACCGGCUUUGGGCCCUGGGCCUUCAUGAAGCGUCACCGUAUGUCUUCAUAGGCUUCAGAUACAGAUGAACUACUUAUGGGGUUAACCCGGCCUCUCCUGGCCGGUUUACGCCCAAUGGUAAUAUCCCCAACACAUAUUAAGAAGGAAGUAAAUCUUCAUAGACCCGAUACGUCGGAAGCUGGCCGUAAGGCACGCUCCUGCCUCUGCGUUUUCGAUGACGUCACGUUUAGUGCCAGCGGGGUCGACGUAAUGUUCGGUUUUCUGAUGUUUUUGUUGUCAGCAACUUUCUUAACAUGUUACGCACGACAGAGGUACGGUUUUACCCGACGAACUGGAGGCACGGACGUGAUUCUAAGGGAGGUAGGGACGCGAAGGAUCGUGAUGCAAGCACAUGAAGGUGUGCCUCUAUUUUUAAGAAGCUUUCAUGGACACGUUUUCAUUGCGGGGGCCAUGGCCUAUGAGUUUCAUGUGUCUUCGAAGGCAUUCGGCCUCAUUAACGGACGUGAAGUCAAUUUAGGCACGGUCUCCAUAGGAGUGGAGGCACCGAAGUGCCUUCGUGGGUGUUUUAAGUAGUUGGUGUUAUUGACGGACAACCGUGCCUCUGUAGUGUUCUUCUCUGAGAGUCACGGGCGUAAGCAAUGUUUUCCAAGGAGAAUAAACACCUAACUACCUCUGUAUUCAAAGUGUUUUUCCAAAGUGUUCCAUACGAACGAUUUUUAAUAUUUGUGUGUGCAAUGGUUGUUAGAACAUUGUGCACUGCUUUUAGGAGCAUUCUGUAAUUGUUGUCCCUACAUUUCGAUGCUGCGUCCACAAAGGUACUAGUGCAGUGCAUGCUCGUCAUUUUUGUGGAUUGCUAUGUGUACCUGCUUUGUGCGUUACGCUAAUCGUAUAGUAUCUGUACUGUGUUUAUAUUUUUCAGUUCACGCCAAUAUAUUCUAAUAAUAGAAAACUGCAACAUUGCACUGGAAAUAAACUUGUUCAGAAGAUAUGCAAACUGGAAGCAAACUACAAGGUUAACUGCGACAGAAGCAAAUCUAAAUUUAGAACAAGCAAACGGCAGUCUUGAGAGAAAGCAAAUCUAACGGGAAAUCUAGAAUGGCAUGAGCAAUCUUCUAGUUACUUUUCUUGGCCGGGACCACCUGCUUCAGUAGUCGUAGUCGCCCCAGGACCUUGCGCGCUUCCUGGUCUGCUCCUUGUCGAGUUUUUCCCGGCGGAGGCCUUCCUGGAUGAUGGUGAGGCGGCUCCAUAUCUCGUACGCAGCGUAAGCAUCUUUUGCCGCGUACUCGAUGUGCCUCAUGGAUAGGGGCAUGCGCGUCCAGCGCUGGUGCUCUGCUUUGGUGAGCUUCUUCUUCAUGUUGUUGUAGUAGUCAUGGACAAGGAUGCCUGAGACAUCCCCAAGGGAGUCCAGAGGCUUGGUUGCUGUAGGCACCCUCCAUUCCUUCUGGAUGUCGACGAAGUGGGCGAUCUCUAGUCCAAUGCACCCGAGCAUCUCUAUGUCGCCGUCGAUGGAGAAGCCAGCAAAUGUGUAUCUGGGGUCAGCGAGGAAGUUGUCGAACCUGGUGCAGUUCUUGUCGGCGGAGCUCAGUUGGAAGAGCAACACCGGAUGAUCCUUGCCGACGGAGAGCUAGACGAGGGCUGGUUUCUUAUCUUUGCCAACGUCAUUGGUGUACUCCACAUCAACUCCGACGAUCUUGUGGCGCUCGAAUUCGAGGUGUCGCUUGUACUGCUCGAUGGUGGUCGCCGCCUUGUGCAAGUCGUUGGUGUGGAUCACGUGCAACUUGGUGUUGCCGCGGGCCUGCACCUCCAGGAAUUCCUUGAUCAAUCCCAUGGCCUGGAGCAGUUGGUCCUCCUGCAACCAGGUUUUUCAUGGGGAACAAUGAGUGGGAGAGCAAUGGCGAUUUCUGUUGUUUGUGUGUAAGAAUGCCGCGGCGGAAGUCUAAAUUUAAGGGCGGGGAAGCGGCAAAGGAGUGCACGAUCUCACUGUCGAUGCAGUUGUGCACAUCGUGGGUUCUGGAUCGUGGUUUCAUCUCCCUGGUGGUGCGGUUGUGUCGGGUGGUAGGUGCGACAUAUGCCAACGGGUGGCUUAUCAUUGUGGGAGCCAGUAAGACAUCGCCGGUGCCUGGAAACGGGAUAAGGCAAAGACAUGCACGCCGGCGAAUCUUACCCAGGUUCGGGGCUCUCCGUGGAGAUAAUACCCCUAGUCUUGCUCUGCGGGGUCUCCGCAUGAUCACUAGAUCAACACAAGUGGCUACAAGUGGCUCCUUGAGCUGUUUGGAUAGAGGAAGAAGGGCAAGGCUAGCUCUCCUCUUCUCUCUAUGUGGUGUCUAAAACUCUAAGAGAUCAACCCUUUGCAUGGGUGCCCUGGGGGGUUUAUAUAGGCCUACCCCCUAGGGGUAUAAUGGUAAUUUGGCUGGAUGUGGGUCUAGGCCGUCAGUGUCUGUACCCGCCGGCUUCUCCGCCGGCCGCUGGGGCCCGCCGACUGGGGGGUCCCGCCGGCUGAUGGUUACUGUAGCCUCGCCCCUGAUGACGAGGGCUUUGCCGAGGUAUGCAUGGCUACAGUGCCGCCGUCCGGCAGACCCUCACUGUAGACUUACCUCGUCUUGUCUCCUUAAUGAUGCACAUACUUCGAGGGAGUGAGAUAGCCGGCUAUUGGGAGCCGGCUACACCCUAGGCCGACUGGAGGGGGGUUUGGCCGCCUUCGAGCGUCUCUCUCGCUGAAGGGGCCCGCCGCCCGCGGGCCAUACUGACAGCCUGUCGUGGGUGGCGUCAUGAUCAACAUGGCUACAGUGCCGCGCCGAACGGGGGAUGGCCGACCCGUAUGGUGCACUGUGGCCGUGCGUGCUCCGGGAUUCGGGGGUGGCAGACUUUAUUGUAGCCACGCCCCGUCUUGUCACUGUUAUGUGGGUGCAGUCCUUGAGGGUGCAAUCUUGGCCGCUUGCCGGGAGCCGACCCUCUUGUGGCAGGCAUCGUGGAGUCGGUCUUCUUGUGGCUUUCUUCGUGAGGGUUUCAGGGUCAGGCCGCCUUCCAGUAGUCGGCCUGUGAGAUAGCCGGCCAGGGGAAGGCGGCCCUGUGCUUUGGGUGCUUGAAGGCUCGAUCGGCCCGAUAAUUUUUGAAAAGCCAGGGGGAGUCGGUUAGGCUACCCGUGGUCAUUUACUCUGACAGUAGUCCCCGAAGCUGGUUGGGCUUCGCGGCUUCCUAUCUUGAGGAGCUAGCAGCUAGGAUCCGGCUUUGAUCAGGUGCGCCGUCUUGGUGAGGCUUCGAAAUAUGAAGGCGGGAAUCAGCUGGCGCGCGCGCCUGCUUGCGGGCCGGCCGCUUGCCGCCCGCGCACCACGUGGCGCCCUCCGGCUGGGAGAGCCUGCCAGCCCACGCGCGUGAUGGGACGCCGCCGCAGGCCGGGGCCCACCACUUCCACGCCUCGGCCCGGGUGUGGAUCUUCUAUGGCCCAAAACGGGCCAUUCUGUAACGCCCACGAUCCGGCUAUAUCUCCCACGUGUCGAGGCACGACUUAGAGGCAUAACCGCAUUGUGGUUUUGUUGCAAGAAGGGUCAUCUUCACACAAUCCCAUGUAAUGAACAAGAAUGGGAUAAAGAGUUGGCUUACAAUCGCCACUUCACACAAUACAUUAAUAAAUCAUACAUCAAUCAGAGAUACACACAUAGGUCCGACUACGGAACCAAAAUAAAAGAAGACAACCCAACUGCUAGAUCCCUGAUCGUCCCCAACUGGGCACCACUACUGAUCAACAUGAAAAGAAGCAACACAACGGACAAGAUCUUCAUCGAGCUCCCACUUGAGCUCGGUUGCGUCACCCGCACUGGUAUCCCUGGCACCUGCAACUGUUUUGGAAGUAUCUGUGAGUCACGAGGACUCAGCAAUCUCACACCCGCGAGAUCAAGACUAUUUAAACUCAAAGGAAAGGAUGGGGUAAUGAGGUGGAGCUGCAGCAAGCACUAGCAUAUAUGGUGGCUAACAUACGCAAAUGAGAGCGAGAAGAGAAGCAACGGAACGGUCGUGAACUAGCAAUGAUCAAGAAGUGAUCCUGAACUCCUACUUACGUCAAACAUAACCCAGAAACCGUGUUCACUUCCCGGACUCCGCCGAGAAGAGACCAUCACGGCUACACACGCGGUUGAUGCGUUUUAAUUAAGGUCAAGUGUCAAGUUCUCUACAACCGGAUAUUAACAAAUUCCCAUCUGCCUCAUAACCGCGGGCACAGCUUUCGAAAGAUAAUACCCUGCAGGGGUGUCCCAACUUAGCCCAUCAUAAGCUCUCACGGUCAACGAAGGAUAAACCUUCUCCCGGAAAGACCCGAUCAGUCUCGGAAUCCCGGUUUACAAGACAUUUCGACAAUGGUAAAACAAGACCAGCAAAGCCGCCCGAAUGUGCCGACAAAUCCCGAUAGGAGCUGCACAUAUCUCGUUCUCAGGGCACACCGGAUUGUCCAAGCUUCCGGUAGGCCAGCCCAGAGUUGCCCCUGGUGGCCACCGGCGACUGACGGGUUGGACCAACACUCAGAGGAGCACUGGCCCGGGGGUUUAAAAUAAAGAUGACCCUUGAGUCUGCAGAACCCAAGGGAAAAAGGCUUAGGUAGGCAAAUGGUAAAACCAAGGUUGGGCCUUGCUGGAGGAGUUUUAUUCAAAGCGAACUGUCAAGGGGGUCCCAUAAAUCACCCGACCGCGUAAGGAACGCAAAAUCAAGGAACAAGACACCGGUAUGACGGAAACUAGGGCGGCAAGAGUGGAACAAAACACCAGGCAUAAGGCCGAGCCUUCCACCCUUUACCAAAUAUAUAGAUGCAUUAAUAAUAUAAGAGAUAUUGUGAUAUCCCAACAUAAACAUAAACCAACAUGGAGCAAUCUUCAUCUUCACCUGCAGCUAGCAACGCUAUAAGAGGGGCUGAGCAAAGCGGUAACAUAGCCAAACAAUGGUUUGCUAGGAAGGGUGAAAAGGUUAGGGGCUGACAUGGCAGUAUGGGAGGCACGAUAUAGCAAGUGGUAGGUAGUGCGGCAUGGCAAAAGAACGAGCAACUAGCAAAGCAAAGAUAGAAGUGAUUUCGAGGGGUGGUCAUCUUGCCUGAGAUCCCACAAGGAAGAAGAACGAGUCCAUGAAGAAGACAAACAGACGGAGUCGAACGAAUCCUCACAACUCCGGAAAGAAACCGAAGCUAACGAGAGAAGCAACCCGGAAAGAAACAAACAACAAAGUAAACAACCAUCACAGAAACAUGGCAUGAUGCACAAUCAAGUAUGAUGCAUGUUCGGAUUAAAAGAGGCAUGGCAUGGGAAAAUGCAACAAACAAUACUACAAGUUAAGUGGAGCUCAAUAUGCAAUGAGUUGCAUAUUGACGAAACACCACAUCAAUUAUUUAGUUCUCUCUUGUUUAUGGACCCAACAAUAUUAAAUGUUAUAACCAUGGCAAGAGGUGAGACAUAAGUAAGCUACACAUUUUUAGGCAAUUUAAAUGAGGCCGGAAUGACAAACAACAAUUCCCGGAAAAUCCUCAUGUCCAUAAUUUAGAUUUGGUACUGUUCUGCCAUAAACACAAUUUUAAUGUUGUUAAACAGCAAAAUGAAGUGCACCAAGUUAAACUAGGCAUUUUUCUACCCCAUUUACAUAUAUAAUUUAUUAAAAUCCGAGCUACGGUUAUUUAGUUAUGAAAUAAAUCAUUUUAACAUAUUAUUCGAGCAAAAUUAAACAAACAGCAGGUUUAAACAUUUUUAACAUGGUUGAAAGUGGCCAAUUAUGAAACUAGAUGAAAUUCUAAGCAUUUUACAUGUUUGAAUUAUUUUAAUCCGAUGCACGGUUAGAGUUAUUAUAUGCAUGAAGUUCAAGGGUUUUUCUGUAAACUAUAAACUCUUGGAUAAUGCUAAAAUCGCAGCGCAGGAAAAAAAAUAACACGGGCCGCAUCUUGCUGGUCCGAUAGUCUACAGGAGGGGGUACUGGAGGGGCUUCUCACCCAUGGGCUUGGCCCGGUGAGGCAGAGGCGAACUGGGCCGGAUCUGGAGAAGGCAAGGGGAGGCUGCUGGCCCAGGCGCGGAGGCCACGCGCGACUGCGGUCAACGGGUGAGCGGGCGAGCUGUUCGCUUCUGAAGAACAGAAGCAGCAGCAGGCGGGACGAGGCGCUGGCUCAGGCAAGCGAAGCAGAGGCGCUAGACUUGACGGGCGGCGCAGAUGGUCUCCGGCGAGGGCACCGGUGGCCGGGGACGGGGCCCAGGCGGCGGGAUCCGGCCAGAACGGGCAAGGGCGGCGGAGGUGGCUCCUGCAAAAGAACGGCGGCGCAACAUAAAUCAGAUAGAGGGCGAGAGAAGUGGAGGAAGGAGAAGAAGGGAACGGGCCUUGCUGGAGAGGAGGUCGGCGAUGCGAUGCAGGAGGCGGCUUGGUCUGGUGAGGCAAAGGAGUCGAGGAGAAACUUGGGAAGGCUCGUCUCCUUCUGGAACGAGAGGAUGCAGGGGCUCCAGGAGCGCGAGGCCCUUGCUCGGGAGGAGCUGGAGGCCCGCCGGCGGCUUGACUCGGAUGACGCGGGGCUCUUCCGCCGUGGGCUCCUGUGGGAGAGAGAGCGAGAGGGAACGGAGAGAUGUGAGGCACAGGAAGAAGAAGGGAGGAAUAGAAAGGGCAGGGUCACGGGGGCGGCCUAGUCCACGGGUCGCCGACGACGAGGACGCGAGGUGGAGGAGCGCUCGGGCGCUGCUGCUUGCGAUGAGGUCGAGGAGGAGGCAGGGCGAGGUGGUGGAUGGGUUGGAUUGGUGGCUGGAUCGGGUGGAUCGAGGGGAUGCCUCGAGCGCUGGUUGGGUGAGAAGGGGAUCUGGGAGGAUCCCGAGGAAGACGAGACAGGAGGAGUGGCGGCGGUGGCUGGACAGGGGAGGAUCCCUAGAAAAUAGGUUUGGUUCAAAUGGACUAGGGGUAGACUAUAUAUGUAUGGGAAAAGAGGGGAGUUUGGAUCAUCCGAUCAAAAUCCGACGGAUGAGAAUAAAUAGGUAGGGAAGUCCAAAUAACAAAAUGGAGAUGUUUUGUAGAUGUUAGGGGAUGAUCCGUACCCAACGAUAACAACAAACCGGGUCGGGUACGAGACAACUUUCGGACGCGCGGGAGGGGACUAUGCACUGCGCAAGGAGGGGUUAGACGGUCACGGUCAAGAGGGAAGCGAAAAAUACGAUAGGUCUGAAACGGUCAACGCAGGCAAGGCGAUCCGAGGGAAGGUGAUGAAGGCAAAGGGAGAAACGUCAACGACGAGCGAAUGCAAGUUUUAAAACAUGACGGCAACGAAGUGCCAAUGCAAUGCAAAUGAUGCGAUGAUGAAUGCAACACACAAAUAAAACACACGACGGUCACGCAAAACAUGGCAGGCGUCUGGAGCGUCGGUCUCGGGGCGUCACAACACUCCACCACUACAAGAGGAUCUCGUCCCAAGAUCUAGGAUGGCACCGGAGAUAAACGGAAGGGGAAGAGCAGAGGUAAAACUAAUUUCUUCUUUGACAAAUGAGUGAAACCAAAGAACCUUGAGAGGUCGCAAAGCUUGAGGAAAUGACACAACCGAGAUGAACAAAAUUUAAAACACUCCGUUCAGCAAGAGGAACAAGGAACAUUGCGAGAACCUUUGUAGGUUGAAGAAUCUGAAACGAGAGCUUAACGGAUCAAAAGGAAUAUGAAAGCACACCGGUAGAAAAGAGAAACAAGGAACACCAUGUGAACCUUGAGGUUAAUUGACACGAUAGAUAUUUAAACCACUCCGGUUAAAACCAAGAUAGGGAAGGAAUAAGAAUGAUAUAAUUUGGGCAGCACUCCGACUGUAAAUGGAAGGAAUUGCACAUGAUCUUGACAAGAUGAGAGGAUACUCGAUGAAUUUAACAACACAUUUCCACCGGAACUGAUGAAAGAAUGGCACAAGGGGUAAGAAAGAUUUCAGGCAGCACUCCGGUUGAGAAGGGAGGCAAAACUUGACAGAAUGGAAAGAACUUGAAAAGAGGGCACGACACUCCGGUUGGAAAUGGAUAAGCAUGAAAAGAACACGGUCCUCACAAUUCGAGAUGAUGAGCGAAGAGAGCAACAUCACCAUGCCUCCGGAAGAAAUAAAUAAUAGAAGAUAGAUCCUUGAAAUAAGAAUGGAGAAGAAAAUGCCAACUUCUGCCACAAAUGAGCUUGGAAAGCAUCCUUCCAAGAAGGUUAUAACGGAGUUGUUGGAAAAAAACCAACAACAAAAGGAUAUGAUCCUCGUGGGCUUAUGGAGACAUCUCAAAACAUGAGGUGAAAAUUUUUCACUAACGGAAAACAAUAGAUUGGAUUGAUAUGAACAAGGAGACGAGAAACUUAUUUCGCCGGGAGGAUAAAUGAAGAACUUGGGUCAUUGAUAAGCACCAUAAUAGCAACAUUCCUUAGGAAGGCUUUAGGUGAAACAUGACACAAGAUAAAUCCAACAAAGAGGUUGGUGGAUUUCAAAUAUCUCAUUCUUGACAACAUGUGAAUCAUGGAACAUGAAUGGAAAUUAUCAAGAAGGACAUAACACCACCUCAAAAGAUAAGAGAGAAAGAAUUGCACUUCAGAAUGCAAGAUGAAGAAUGCUUGAACUCCUCAAAACAAAACAUGUGUAGAACACCAUGUUUAUCUUUGAGUAUAGCUUGGCGGAUCAUAACUUCGAGAGAAUUCUUGAAGAACAAUUGAAGAAUGAAAAGAAUCCUUUGAUGAACCACCAUGUAGAGCCUCCAUGAAGAACUCCGGUAAUAAAAGAAUGAUCAAACGAAAUGGAAACUUGAAAAGAACUCCGGGAGAAACCUUGCAAUGAUUAGAUGAAGCUUUGAAAUGAUAUAAUUGAAAUAACUUGGAACUCUGGAAAGAAAAGAUGAACAACUUGGAACCGAUAGUUUGAUAUCAUGAACGAACUCCGGAAGAAGGAAUUAGAUCACUUGGAUGAAACAAUAAUAAGAAUUAUGUUAUGCGUAUCCUUCACCAAUAUAAAUUGAUGACAAUCAACGGAUUUGGCAUACUACUUAUUCACGUAGAAAGGGUUAAGAUAGAUAUUGCACAAACUUGUGAAGGUCUUCAUCGAACCACCGGUAGGAUAGAAACAACGAAUAAAUUGAUAUGAUAACGAAGGAAGAGAAAUCUUGAACGAAUCACCGUAAGAAUUGAAAAUGAAAGUAGCAAAGGCACAAUUCAACAGAAAGAAUUAGAAAAUGAAUGAAGAUACUUGAGAGAAUUUAGAAACACGAGAAGGAAGAUAUCAUGAACUGAUUAGAGGAAAUUUGAGUGAUGCACCGGGAGAAUAUGGAGAAGAAUGAAGAGACAUCAAUUUAGAAUAAUUGGAGAACGCAGCUGAAAACUUAGAACGAUGAAAUCUUCUGAAAUGAUGGCCUUCGGAGAAUCAAACUGAAAACAACUCUGAAAUGCUCCGGAUGGGUAAGAAAAGAAUUCUCACAAUCGAAAACAAUUAUGAGAGGAUGGCAUAAGCUAGAACUAUGAAUCUUCAAGAGAACGGACCAAGAUUUAGGAGAAAUUCUUCUUCGGUCUUCAAAUGUUGAGAAUGAUGACGAGAAACACCACCAUGAAUUGUUGAGAUACUGCGGGAUGAAAAUUAGAAAGAUUGAACCAAUAAUGAAAAGAGUUUGAAAGAUCUUGGAGAAAGACAUUUGACUGAUAAUUCAUUCUUACGUCAAACUUUGCAAUGAAUUAGAGAAUAACUCCGGAAAAAUUAGAUGAGUCAGGUAAGAUCCUGGAAAAAAAACCUGUGGGUUAGGGCCCACUCAAAAGAAACACCGUUGGAAAGAUUGCUUGAAAGAUAGAAUACACCGGUUGAAUUAAAUGGCUUUAAUGAGAUAACAACCUCAAAAUAGCUUGAACAGAUUGAUAAUGGAGACACAAAUCUUCUGAGAUAUCUUGUACACUCCGGAACAAUUGAAUAGCAAGCGGGGAAUGAUUAAGAGUUGCACCGGCAUGAGAAAACAUUUGAAACGAGGAAAGGACAUGAUCGACAAAGCUUGAAUUGAAUCCACUGGACAAGAAAAAGAACAAAGAAUAAUAAACUUGAAGAAUAUCUUCCUGAGAAUCACCAGAUAAGAACAUUGAUGGAAAAGAAUGGAGAAACUUCACAUGAAUAAAAUGGAUACUUGGUUACGACAUCUGAUUCCUUGAAGCAAGAGGGUGGGAGGGUGGUAAAACAAAGACAACUUGGGACGGAUGAAGCAAACACCAUUGCAAAGAACUGAGAAUUGAUCUCGCGAAUGUUGAAAAUGAUCGGAUCCACUUGAAGAGAAACACACCGGUUGGAAAAGAAUUGACAUGACAAUCUCGAUAAUCAAGAAGGAUUAUCAUCCACAUAGAAAUAUGAGAACACCACUUAGAAUAAGGUAUGGAAUCAACACUUGACUUCGAAGCAACUCGAAUACCAGAAAACAAAACAAAACAAAGGAUUGGCUUGCAAAAUAAGCCGGAACAAACAUAUGAUAGAGAUUUCGUCCGAAGUUUUCGUGGUGGGGCCCACACGGGCUCAAUCGUACAGCACCAUCAUGUACAAGGUUGUGCACAUGACAUACGAAGCGUCCCCGAGUCGGCAUAGCCAAGGACUCUUUAAGACACUACGAGACCACUGUAAAACCAACCGUGGAAAGGCGGACCACUAGACGUCGAACCCCAAUCUCAUAUCAUGCGUCUGUCGGAAAGAUAUCCUAAGGCUACUUGAAUUCCCACUUAUAAACUCCCGAAACUUUCUGGUUAUGCAAUCUGGUGUUGGGGAUACAGGGGACACAAAAUACAUCACCCAAACUAACAAUACCUAGAUCCAGCUGUAUCCAUCCAUCAACACAUAACCAAGAAAACUCCGGAAAUCGUUUACCUCAACCUUCGAAAAGCAUCCGUUAUACGAGUUAUGGCAAUACUCUCGAACUCCCGCCCCAGUACUGGGUGGCGUCGAGGUGAUCUCACCAACAACUGCAUAAAAGAGAUUUUGAUGUCGGCGAAACUCAGGUAUUCCAGAACUGCAACGAUAAAAUUGUGACGACAACACCUCGGAGCUCAACUCCCCGAGACACUGCCACAACCCCUAAAUGUCAGGAGGCACCAAGAACAAUGUUCUCGUCACGAAACCAUCGGAACGAUUCCAAGAUACCCGCGUGAUCCUAAAAAAAAUUAGUGAAAUUUUAGGAGAGAAAAGUCAAAACUUCUACGUCAAGAGACCUCACCAGAGCGACGAAGGGACUGAGGAGUAAAAAGAAUCCUACUCUCCGAUAUAUAUAAUCCUAAGACUCAAAACAUUUUUGUUCUAGACUCAACAACGCCAGCGAUUCGAUCAAGCAGGGGGCUCCUAAGUCGGGGAUGGCUCUGAUACCAACUUGUAACGCCCACGAUGCGGCUAUAUCUCCCAUGUGUCGAGGCAUGACUUAGAGGCAUAACCGCAUUGUGGUUUUGUCGCAAGAAGGGUCAUCUUCACACAAUCCCAUGUAAUGAACAAGAAUGGGAUAAAGAGUUGGCUUACAAUCGCCACUUCACAUAAUACAUUAGUAAAUCAUACAUCAAUCAGAGAUACACACAUAGGUCCGACUACGGAACCAAAAUAAAAGAAGACAACCCAACUACUAGAUCCCUGAUCGUCCCCAACUGGGCACCACUACUGAUCAACAUGAAAAGAAGCAACGCAACAGACAAGAUUUUCAUCGAGCUCCCACUUGAGCUCGGUUGCGUCACCCGCACUGGUAUCCCUGGCACCUGCAACUGUUUUGGAAGUAUCUGUGAGUCACGAGGACUCAGCAAUCUCACACCCGCGAGAUCAAGACUAUUUAAACUCAAAGGAAAGGAUGGGGUAAUGAGGUGGAGCUGCAGCAAGCACUAGCAUAUAUGGUGGCUAACAUACGCAAAUGAGAGCGAGAAGAGAAGCAACGGAACGGUCGUGAACUAGCAAUGAUCAAGAAGUGAUCCUGAACUCCUACUUACGUCAAACAUAACCCAGAAACCAUGUUCACUUCCCGGACUCCGCCGAGAGGAGACCAUCACGGCUACACACGCGGUUGAUGCGUUUUAAUUAAGGUCAAGUGUCAAGUUCUCUACAACCAGAUAUUAACAAAUUCCCAUCUACCUCAUAACCGCGGGCACGGCUUUCGAAAGAUAAUACCCUGCAGGUGUGUCCCAACUUAGCCCAUCAUAAGCUCUCACGGUCAACGAAGGAUAAUCCUUCUCCCGGAAAGACCCGAUCAGUCUCGGAAUCCCUGUUUACAAGACAUUUCGACAAUGGUAAAACAAGACCAGCAAAGCCGCCCGAAUGUGCCGACAAAUCCCGAUAGGAGCUGCACAUAUCUCGUUCUCAGGGCACACCGCAUUGUCCAAGCUUCCGGUAGGCCAGCCCAGAGUUGCCCCAGGUGGCCACCGGCGACUGACGGGUUGGACCAACACUCAGAGGAGCACUGGCCCGGGGGUUUAAAAUAAAGAUGACCCUUGAGUCUGCAGAACCCAAGGGAAAAAGGCUUAGGUAGGCAAAUGAUAAGACCAAGGUUGGGCCUUGCUGGAGGAGUUUUAUUCAAAGCGAACUGUCAAGGGGGUCCCAUAAAUCACCCGACCGCGUAAGGAACGCAAAAUCAAGGAACAUAACACCGGUAUGACGGAAACUAGGGCGGCAAGAGUGGAACAAAACACCAGGCAUAAGGCCGAGCCUUCCACCCUUUACCAAAUAUAUAGAUGCAUUAAUAAUAUAAGAGAUAUUGUGAUAUCCCAACAUAAACAUAAAGCAACAUGGAGCAAUCUUCAUCUUCACCUGCAGCUAGCAACGCUAUAAGAGGGGCUGAGCAAAGCGGUAACAUAGCCAAACAAUGGUUUGCUAGGAAGGGUGAAAAGGUUAGGGGCUGACAUGGCAGUAUGGGAGGCAUGAUAUAGCAAGUGGUAGGUAGUGCGGCAUGGCAAAAGAACGAGCAACUAGCAAAGCAAAGAUAGAAGUGAUUUCGAGGGGUGGUCAUCUUGCGUGAGAUCCCGCAAGGAAGAAGAACGAGUGCAUGAAGAAGACAAACAGACGGAGUCGAACGAAUCCUCACAACUCCGGAAAGAAACCGAAGCUAACGAGAGAAGCAACCCGGAAAGAAACAAACAACAAAGUAAACAACCAUCACAGAAACAUGGCAUGAUGCACAAUCAAGUAUGAUGCAUGUUCGGAUUAAAAGAGGCAUGGCAUGGGAAAAUGCAACAAACAAUACUACAAGUUAAGUGGAGCUCAAAAUGCAACGAGUUGCAUAUUGACGAAACACCACAUCAAUUAUUUUGUUCUCUCUUGUUUAUGGACCCAACAAUAUUAAAUGUUAUAACCAUGGCAAGAGGUGAGACACAAGUAAACUACACAUUUUUAGGCAAUUUAAAUGAGGCCGGAAUGACAAACAACAAUUCCCGGAAAAUCCUCAUGUCCAUAAUUUAGAUUUGGUACUGUUCUGCCAUAAACACAAUUUUAAUGUUGUUAAACAGUAAAAUGAAGUGCACCAAGUUAAACUAGGCAUUUUUCUACCCCAUUUACAUCUAUAAUUUAUUAAAAUCCGAGCUACGGUUAUUUAGUUAUGAAAUAAAUCAUUUUAACAUAUUAUUCGAGCAAAAUUAAACAAACAGCAGGUUUAAACAUUUUUAACAUGGUUGAAAGUGGCCAAUUAUGAAACUAGAUGAAAUUCUAAGCAUUUUACAUGUUUGAAUUAUUUUAAUCCGAUGCACGGUUAAAGAGUUAUUAUAUGCAUGAAGUUCAAGGGUUUUUCUAUAAACUAUAAACUCCUGGAUAAUGCUAAAAUCGCAGCGCAGGAAAAAAAAUAACACGGGCCGCAUCUUGCUGGGCCGAUAGUGUACAGGAGGGGGUACUGGAGGGGCUUCUCACCCAUGGGCUUGGCCCGGUGAGGCAAAGGCGAACUGGGCCGGAUCUGGAGAAGGCAAGGGGAGGCUGCUGGCCCAGGCGCGGAGGCCACGCGCGACUGCGGUCAACGGGUGAGCGGGCGAGCUGUUCGCUUCUGAAGAACAGAAGCAGCAGCAGGCGGGACGAGGCGCUGGCUCAGGCGAGCGAAGCAGAGGCGCUAGACUUGACGGGCGGCGCAGAUGGUCUCCGGCGAGGGCACCGGUGGCCGGGGACGGGGCCCAGGCGGCGGGAUCCGGCCAGAACGGGCAAGGGCGGCGGAGGUGGCUCCUGCAAAAGAACGGCGGUGCAACAUAAAUCAGAUAGAGGGCGAGAGAAGUGGCGGAAGGAGAAGAAGGGAACGGGCCUUGCUGGAGAGGAGGUCGGCGACGCGAUGCAGGAGGCGGCUUGGUUUGGUGAGGCAGAGGAGUCGAGGAGAAACUUGGGAAGGCUCGUCUCCUUCUGGAACGAGAGGAUGCAGGGGCUCCAGGAGCGCGAGGCCCUUGCUCGGGAGGAGUUGGAGGCCCGCCGGCGGCUUGACUCGGAUGACGCGGGGCUCUUCCGCCAUGGGCUCCUGUGGGAGAGAGAGCGAGAGGGAACGGAGAGAUGUGAGACACGGGAAGAAGAAUGGAGGAAUAGAAAGGGCAGGGUCACGGGGGCGGUCUGGUCCAUGGGUCGCCGACGACAAGGACGCGAGGUGGAGGAGCGCUCGGGUGCUGCUGCUUGCGAUGAGGUCGAGGAGGAGGCAGGGCGAGGUGGUGGAUGGGUUGGAUUGGUGGCUGGAUCGGGUGGAUCGAGGGGAUGCCUCGAGCGCUGGUUGGGUGAGAAGGGGAUCUGGGAGGAUCCCGAGGAAGACGAGACAGGAGGAGUGGCGGCGGUGGCUGGACAGGGGAGGAUCCCUAGAAAAUAGGUUUGGUUCAAAUGGACUAGGGGUAGACUAUAUAUGUAUGGGAAAAGAGGGGAGUUUGGAUCAUCCGAUCAAAAUCCGACAGAUGAGAAUAAAUAGGUAGGGAAGUCCAAGUAACAAAAUGGAGAUGUUUUUUAGAUGUUAGGGGAUGAUCCGUACCCAACGAUGAUAACAAACCGGGUCGGGUACGGGACAACUUUCGGACGCGCGGGAGGGGACUAUGCACUGCGCAAGGAGGGGUUAGACGGUCACGGUCAAGAGGGAAGCGAAAAAUACGAUAGGUCUGAAAUGGUCAACGCAGGCAAGGCGAUCCGAGGAAGGUGAUGAAGGCAAAGGGAGAAACGUCAACGACGAGCGAAUGCAAGUUUUAAAACAUGACGGCAACGAAGUGCCGAUGCAAUGCAAAUGAUGCGAUGAUGAAUGCAACACACAAAUAAAACACACGACGGUCACGCAAAACAUGGCAGGCGUCUGGAGCGUCGGUCUCAGGGCGUCACACAUUCGCCUGCCAACGGCAGUUUCCACACGCCGUUAGGGCGCAAUACUUGCGGGACGUGGGGGAGUGGGCGCAGUUAAUCCCACGCCCCCACGCCUCGCCUCCUCGGCUUCGCCGCACGAGGUUAUAAAUAGGGGGAGGAGGAGCGGCAGACGCUCGCACGCUCUCCCUCGCUCUGCCAUCUCCUUCUUCUUCUACUUCUUCUUCUUCAUCGCCGUAGCCCCUCGCUGCCACGCCGUCCCUCCAGUCUUCGUACUACCCCGCAGCUUCGCCGCCGCGGGGCCGUGCUUUAGCCGUCGCCAUGCCUGUUUCAUCAGCUUCUUGCCCUCAUGUCGCGCGGCGGAGACUGGGACGGCUCCAACGUCCACAAGGACCACAUCAACUUCCUCCGCAAGACGCAGCGGUUGCCCGGCAAGGAUCAUGUGCAGGUCUGUCUUGCGCCGAAGAGGGAGAUCUUGCCGCCGCCGGAGGAGGGCGAGUGGGUGAUCUUUCGCUCGCACUGCCUGCGCGGCCCUGGCCUGCCUGUGAGCGGCUUCUUCCGCUCCUUCCUCGAGUUCUACCAGCUCCAGCCACACCACCUCACUCCAAACACGGUGGUGCUGCUGUCCGCCUUCGUCACCUUGUGCGAGGGCUUCCUCGGCGUCCUUCCCACCCUCGAUCUCUGGGGGGAAUUCUUCCAGUCCAAGCUCGGUACCGCCAUGAGGGGCGUGCCGGCUCAGAGCGGCGCCUUCAUCGCGAUGCGGAGGCCGGUAGCCGACAACCCUUUUCCUCCCAUCACGCUGAUCCAGUCGGUGAAGCUCUGGCAAAAAUCCUACUUCUAUGUGAAGAACGUCGCUCCGCAAGGCGACUUCGUCAACUUGCCGGCUUAUGCAGCCGGCCCGCCGGCUGGGAGGUGGCCCCAAUGGUCCUAUCGGGCCAGAACACUGUCGCCUGCUGGAGCCGCCGCCGCCGCGCGACUCCGGGUAAUGGUCCAGUCGGAGGGCCUGGCCGGGCCCGACCUGCUGGCCGCCUUCGUGGCGCGCCGGGUGCUCCCGCUCCAAGGCCGUCCUCAUAUGAUUUGUCAAAUGAGCGGCCAACUCGAUCCGAGUUGGCUGUGUACCAAGGAGAUGCCUCAUGCGGAGGUAGCUCUCAUGGUGAAGUACCUUGCGAACUGCAAGCUCGCCGAUGAGUGGCGAUCUGGCAAGGAGUCGUACUCCCGUGCCAAUCCGCCGCCUAUGGUAAACUUUCUUUUUCUUCUCUUCUUUACUUUUGUCACCAAGUUUCUCUUGGCCGACUCUAACCAGUCGGUUUGUCUUGACAGAGCCCCCUCCUUCGACCGGCAGCCGGGGCAGCGGGGGUGGAGCGCCAAUAUCUCCCCGACCGGGCGACGCUCGACUUGGACGACCCCGACUUGGGGGCGGCCGCUCUGGACGACGACAUCGUGGGGGGAGGUGGCGAGGCAGGCGGCUUCGGGCUUGGAGCCAGCUUCGACGACUGGCCGGAUGAUGACGAGGCGGAGGUCGUCGCGCGCCGCCAGUCGGCGUCCGAUCAGCAUGGCUCGGGCUCAUCUGCCGCACCGGCUAUCCGAGGCGGCGCGCAGAAACGCCGGGCCGUGCCGAGCCUAUUCGGCAGUCGGCCGAAGAAGCCCAAGAGCGCGGCGGCGGCGACCAGGCGGGACGAGGCGGCCGCGAAGGCUGCCCACUUCCGCAAGGUGGUGAAGCAGCCAGAAAUUGUUUUGGCGUAAGUGUCAAUUCUCUCACAUAUUCCUUCUUUUUUGUUGAUAUUCUUCCGAGUCCUUGUCUUGACUUCAAAAAUACAGGGCUCCGCUUUCUCUUGAGCGGACCGCUGCCGCCUCCGUGGUUGGAGCGGCGGGAGGUUCUGGAAGCGCCCGCCGCGUGGACCCCCGUGACGAGCUUCAAGCGGCGACGGAGCGGAAUGCGCGGGAAGCGCGGGAGGAGCGGGAGGCGGAGGAGCUGAGGGGGGCCACUGCCACGGCGGCGCAGGAGACGACGGAGAGGUCGGCGAAGGCACAAGCCGACGCAGCGGCCAAGGCUCAGGCGGAGGCCGCAUCCACGGAGAGGGUGGCGGAGGCCCUGCGCAACCGGCCUCCGCUGCUUGUCGUCCCCCUUCGCGCUGUGGCGCCCGAGAUCCCGGUGCCCCCGCCGGAGGAAGCCGGCGGCGACCAGCUGGCGGUGGAGAGGGAGGAGGGCGACGUCGUCGUCCCGGAGAGGGAGGCAGCACCGCCAUCGCCGACUAGGGCGGACCAAGGCAGCCAGCCUAGCGCGCCGCCCGUGCAACCAGAUGGAGGCGAGCCGGCCGCGAGGACAGACCUUGUGGUCCGGUCGCCAUCGCGCCAUCGCGCAGGGAAGGCGACUUCGGCGCCGGACCCGCAGAAGGCCGCAGGCUUUAGCUCGUUGGCCCAGGAUUUGGAGGCGGCCAGCGCCAGCUCGCCGGAGUGGACGCCGGGUGGUGGGACGACCGUGUUGAACGUGGGGGCGCAAGAAGUCCGGAACCGGCUUCAAUCCCAAGCCACCGUGCUGAAACAGUAUACUCAAGAGUUCCUCGUGACGCGGACGACCAUUCGGGUGAGUCUUCCCGCUUUUUUGUUUCUUGUUCUCGAUUUCUUCCGUGGGGGCGCGUCAGCGCACCCAAUGGGUGUAGUCCCCGAGUUCCGAGUCGGCUGCUGAGCAGGCGACUUGGAACUUCUUAGUAGAAUUUGAUUGCUAUCUUGCUCUUAUUUGCUCCUCUGUCCUAUUUGCAGGAUUAUCACAACCUCCACGCGGCUACCUUCAACUCCCAGGUCCGGGAGCUGAACCAGAAGACCAUUGAUCUAACCGAGAGCCGGAGUGAGUGCUUCAUCUUUUAUCUCACGUGGGGGCGCGUUAGCGCACCCACUUGGUGUAGUCCCCGAUAUUCAGGCCGAUUGCUGAGCAGUCGGGCCGGAUCUUCCCUCGCGACUUCUUUCUUAUUGCCUUUUUUCUUUUCUUUACCAUAUCUGCAGAGGCCAAUGCCGACCUGAGGGAGCAGUUGGGUGGGGCCCAGACCGCCCUUCGCGCCAAGGAAGUCGAGUGCAACGCCAUGGCUCAGGAGCGUGACCGCUUGGUCAAGAAGCUGGCCGACCAGGAGGAGAGCCACAAGGCGGCCCUGAAGGCGGCGCAGGACAGCGAGGCCGCCCUUCAAGCCGAAUACAAGACCGAGGCGGCGAGCUGGGUUGAGGCAAGGCAAGCGCUGAGCGACGGCUACGGCUGGAUCGAAGAUUUGGUUCACGGUAGGCCGCCUUCUUGUUCGUCCCUUUGCUUGCCGCCUGCCAUUUGGUCCAUUUUCUGACCUUGUGUUUUCUUCCUUUCUUCUCUUGCGCAGAGUACUUCCCUGGUUACUCCGUUGCCGCCAACCAAGUCAUCGAGGCCCGCCGCGACGUGCAAAGGGAGGCUGGAGCUGAGAUUGCGCUGGAUGCUCGCCGGUCGCUUGAGGAGCAGCUUCUGGCGAUCCAAGCCGGCGUCCAGCAGGCUCACCGCAUGCUCUGCCGUCUUCAGCGCGUUGGGGCGCAAGUGCUCGCCGCCCUCUGGACUGGCGAGGUGGUUCCCUGUACCCCCAGUCGGACUGCCGACUGGCUGCAGGUAGCGGUUGGCCGCUUCGAGGCCUCGAAGGCUUCUGUAGCUCGGUCAGGCGCCAGGCGGGCGCUGGAGUUCGUCCGAGCUUGGUAUCCUGGGCUGGAUUUGACCCAGCUGACCACCUGGUGGCAGGAGGCCAAUGAAGAGCUGGAGGCGGUGCGGCCGGCUAUCAUCCAGCGUGCUUCGGCGAUCGCCGACUACACCGACACCAGUGCCUUUGCCCCUGAGGUGAAUGGUGACGGCGUUGCUUAGCCGGAGGAGUGGUUUGGGCUGAACCCAGCAGAUGGUGAAGACUCGGCGGAGGAGAUCGACUCCAGUGACGAGGGCGGAGAGGAGGAGGGAGAGGAUGGUGAAGACGCCGUGCCAGACGAUGGAGCGACCGGCCAGCCUCAGCUUGAUCGUGCCUCCAGCAAUGAGGCAUGUGCGAGCGCGCCGCCUACAGCCGGUGAUGAUCUCCAGCCAACACUGCCGUCUCCACUAACCUGCCCGGCUCGCAUGUUGCACCUUUGGCCUGAUCCACCGUCUUUGCUUUCCUGUUUAUUACUCUUUGAACAAUAUUUGUUAAGUUUGCGCAGUUCCACCCACUGAGGGUGUAUUCAAACUAUGUUGAACUCCGGCCUUUCGAAGGCCUUUUGUGUAAAUAUAAUCAUGCAUGUUCUUGGCUUCCGAUUGUAUUUUCUUUUCAUUCUUUUGGCUGUUUCCUUUGCCGCCCUCCUUUGGUCGCCGCCUUCCCAGCCGGACAGCUGCUCUGCAGUCUAUGGCUGGGGAAGGGCUUGGCCAUUUGGGAGGGCAAGUACUCUAGCUUUUUUAGAUUGUAGCAAGGUGAAUCGGAAGUCGGCCUACCGGCUGUUCUGACAGCCGGUUGGCGGGGUGGGAGGCCGGCUUGUGUUAUAUAAGUUUGUUAGUCCUUAGCCGUUUUUCGUGUGGGCAUCCUUUCCUGCCUUUGACUCUUGCCAGUCGGACAGUCGAUUCUUCGAGCUGCAACUUUCAACAAGAGAGGGCUUGGGUGCCGGCACACUACUUGUUUGACUGCAGGUAGAACUUUAAUAUAACUCAAGGCGGCAAGUCCCCGGGCCGACUGAUCGAACCCGGUGUCGGACAGGAAAACAAAUGUAGUAAUACAUUCGUAGGUAUGACACUCAUCAUACAUAGAUAAAAGAGGGUAGUCCCUGAGUGCUCCUUGGGGGGCCCGUUGUCUUGUACUUAAUACAAAAGGUAGCGUGGUACAUACUACAUUUAGCUAUAAAAUCUUCGGAGGAGAUUGGCGUUCCAUGGUCGUUCCGACUCCUUGCCGGAAUCAUCUCUACUGCGUGCCUUCGGCUUCUGUGCGUCGAUCAGGUAGUAGGAGUCGUUGCCUAGGGCCUUGCUGAUGACGAAGGGGCCUUCCCAAGGGGCCGAAAGCUUGUGCUGGCCGGCUGUUCGCUGGAUCAGCCGGAGCACAAGAUUGCCUUCUUGGAAGGAUCUUGGCUUGACCUUACGGUUGUGGUAACGGCGCAAACCCUGCUGGUAGAUGGCGGACCGGCUGAGUGCUAACAGCCGGCCCUCUUCCAGCAGGUCAACGCCGUCUUCUCGCGCUUCCUUGGCCUCCGCCUCCAUGUACAUGGUGACCCGAGGUGAGUCUCGGCACCAUAUACAAGGAAGAAAGGGGUGAAGCUGGUUGACUUGUUCGGGGUAGUACGCAGACUCUAGAGGACGGCGGGCAGCUCAUCGAGCCAGCAGCCGGCCGAACGCUCCAGUGGUACGACCAGUCGGGGCUUGAUGCCGGAGAGGUUGAGACCGUUUGCUCGCUCGACUUGGCCGUUUAACUGUGGGUGGGCUACGGACGCUAAGUCCAGUCGGAUGCUCUGUGUCGCACAGAAACGUGCCAGUGCUCCCUUGGCAAAAUUCGUGAUUGUCGGUGAUGAUGCUGUGUGGUACGCCAUACCGGGUGGUGAUAUCUGUGAUGAAUGUCACGGCAGUCGGCCCGUUCAGCUUCUUGAUUGGCUUCGCUUCAAUCCACUUGGUGAAUUUGUCCAUGGCGACAAGCAGAUGUGUCAUGCCGCCGCACGCCGUCUUGAAUGGGCCCACCAUGUCCAGUCGCCAGACAACAAAGGGCCAGGUGAGGGGGAUGGUCUUGAGUGCAGAAGCCGGCAGGUUUUGCUUGGAGCUGAAGACUUGGCACCCUUUGCAGUAUUUGACUAAUUCCUUGGCGUCUUCCAAAGCAGUCGGCCAGAAGAACCCAUGGCGGAAAGCUUUCGCGACAAGUGAUCUUGAGGCCGCGUGGUGGCCGCAUUCGCCUUUUGGUGGAUGUCCUUGAGGAUUGCUAUACCCUUCUCUGGCUCGACGCAGCGCUGGAAGACUCCAGUGACGCUGCGCCUAACGAGUUCUCUAUUUACUAUUGUGUAUGCUCCGACUCGGCGUUGAACUUGUCUUGCCGAGAUCUCGUCAGUCGGCAGCUCUCUGUUUACCAGGAAGUUGAGGAUGGGUUGGACCCAUGAUGGAGCUGUGACUUCUUCUAUUGCCAAUACGGCUACUUCGACCAGGGUGGGUUGGUUGGGUGGUGAAGAGUUGGAGUUGGCCACUGCCUGUUGAGUCGUUGCAGUCCCCGGGCCGACUGCUGCAGUCCCCGGGCCAGGUUCUGAAGUCCCCGAGCCGGGUGCGACUAUGGCAGUCCCCGGGCCGCCUGUCGAAGUCCGCAAGCUGCCUGCUGGGUUCCCCAAGUCGGAUCCGACUGCAUCAGGGUCAGGCGGUACGAAGAUGGAGUCUGAUUCUGGAGACGGCUUGACAGACAGCUUGAGGAGGCGUUGGAGAGAGACGCCGGUUGGGAUAGCUUGUCUGGUGGAACCGAUUCGUGCCAGGGCAUCUGCUUGCUCGUUGUCUGCCCGUGGCACGUGGAGGAACUCGCAUCCUUCAAAGUAUCCGCUGAUUUGCUGAACAAGGAAUCGGGACCUCGCCAUGUUUGCGUCCUUGGCAUCCCAGUCGCCAGAUGAUUUUUGGACUACCAAAUCCGAGUCGCCAUAGCACAGGAUCCGGCAGAUGCCGAGCUCUUUGGCUAGCCGGAGCCCAUGUAUGAGUGCCUCGUACUCGGCCAUGUUGUUGGAGGCGGCAAAAUGAAUUUGCAAUGUGUAUCUGAGUUUGUCGCCCUUGGGAGAGGUGAGGACGAUGUCGGCUCCCAAGCUGGUGUGCAUCUUGGAUCCAUCGAAGUGCAUCCGCCAAUGAGUGGAGUCGGGAGCCGGCGGUAGGUACUGGGUCUCGGCCCAGUCGACAAGGAAGUAGGCCAAUGCUUGGGACUUGAUGGCGGUGCGAGGCUGGUAGAAGAUCAUGUAAGGAGCCAGCGCAAUGGCCCACUUGGCCACCCGGCCGGAUGCAUCCCGGCUGCCUAUGAUCUCGACAAGCGGGCAAUACAUACGACCGUGAUGGGGUGCUCUUGAAAGUAGGGCUUCAGCUUCUUGGCGGCGAAGUAUAAUCCAUAGCACAUCUUCUGGUAGUGCGGUUAGUUUUGCUUCGAGGUGGACAGUACUUCGCUCAAAUAAUACACCGGCCUUUGGACUAACUGAGCUCGGCCUUCUUCUGGGCGUUGGACCAUAAUAACUGUGCUGACCACUCGGCUAGUCGCGGCAAUGUAAAGGAGCAUGGGCUCUUUCUCAGUCGGCGCCGCCAAGACAGGUGGCGUGGUCAGCAUCUUCUUCAACUCGUGAAAAGCUUGGUCUGCUUGGUCGUUCCACGGCUCGGGGGCGGCCUUCUGCGUCGCGCUCGAUUGUGAGCCAAGUCCGACUGCGGCUAGCAGCCGGCUCCUUGUCUUUUCUCGCGCGGGCGCCGCUUGCAGUCGGCGUCCGGGAUGUCGCGCCGUGCUCUCGGCGUGGGGGAGGACUUUCAGCACGGGCGCCGGCUUCAUGGCAUUCUGCGGCCACGUCGAUCAGCUACUGGAUGCAUCUAGUCAUGUAGGGGAGCUCAUCGGCCCCUGGCCCGUUCAGCUCGUGUACAGCCGCCUGAGCGGCACGCAGGUUCUUGAGUGGCGUGGCGUAGACUGGGCGGUCUGCUCCCAGCAUGCUGGCGAUGGCCGCGCCGCGCUUCUUGAUGAUGCUGGCUCGGCUCGGCCCGCCAGGAGGCGGCGUACGAAAGGCGGCGCGGUCGACUUCGCGCUGGUGAGCCUCAGUGAGGCGUCUCAUGGAUGCUAUCUUCUGGCCCUCCGCGAUGAGGGCGAGGCGGCGUGCCUCCAGUGUCUCGGCGUCGGCGUCGGCCGGGAUGGGGGCGGACAGGUCGUGUAGCGCCGCUUGUAGGGCGUCGUGAGCGUUCUCGCCUGAGGUGGCGCCAUGGCUGAUGACCAGCUCCUCAGUGAUAGUGCUGCCGCCACUGUCGGCUCGAGGAAGAGGGUCGUCGAUGAUCACCACGUUGGUGGGGAAGGCGUCAAGCGAUGCCGUGUCGGAGUCGACAAGGAUCGGGUCGGUGGAGUCGACCGACUCCAAAUCCAUAGCAGGCUCGCUGGGGACGUGAAGCUGGUCGAGGAGGCUGACGAGACGGCUCUCGGGGCAAUCUGUGCCCGCGUCGGACGCAGGCUCGUCGGAGAUGCGAGCCUCGCCAAGAAGAUCGGCGAGGCAGCUCGCCGCGCAGGCGUCGUCGACGCCUUGCAGCGCGUCGGGGCAAGCGCCAUCGGGCGUACCAGGCUGGCUAUGCUCGCUGGGAAGGAAAUGGGUUCCCGUCCAGAACAGGUCUCUGGACGACGGUGCACCUGGCCCCACGGUGGGCGCCAAAUGUCGGGUGGUAGGUGCGACAUAUGCCAACGGGUGGCUUAUCAUUGUGGGAGCCAGUAAGACAUCGCCGGUGCGUGGAAACGGGAUAAGGCGAAGACAUGCACGCCGGCGAAUCUUACCCAGGUUCGGGGCUCUCCGUGGAGAUAACACCCCUAGUCCUGCUCUGCAGGGUCUCCGCAUGAUCACUAGAUCAACACAAGUGGCUACAAGUGGCUCCUUGAGCUGUUUGGAUAGAGGAGGAAGAAGGGCAAGGCUAGCUCUCCUCUUCUCUCUAUGUGGUGUCUAAAACUCUAAGAGAUCAACCCUUUGCAUGGGUGCCCUGGGGGGUUUAUAUAGGCCUACCCCCAGGGGUAUAAUGGUAAUUUGGCUGGAUGCAGGUACAGGCCGUCAGUGUCUGUACCCGCCGGCUUCUCUGCCGGCCGCUGGGGCCCGCCGACUGGUGGGUCCCGCCGGCUGCUGGUUAUUGUAGCCUCGCCCCUGAUGACGAGGGCUUUGCCGAGGUAUGCAUGGCUACAGUGCCGCCGUCCGGCGGACUCUCACUGUAGCCUUACCUUGUCUUGUCUCCUUAAUGAUGCACAUACUUUGAGGGAGUGAGGUAGCCGGCUAUUGGGAGCUGGCUACACCCCAAGAUGACUGGACGGGGGCUUGGCCGCCUUCAAGCGUCUCUCUGGCUGAAGGGGCCCGCCGCCCGCGGGCCGUACUGACAGCCUGUCCUGGGUGGCGUCAUGAUCAACAUGGCUACAGUGCCGUGCCGGACGGGGGAUGGCCGACCCGUACGGCGCACUGUGGCCAUGCGUGCUCCGGGAUUCGGGGGUGGCAGACUUUACUGUAGCCACGCCCCGUCUUGUCACUGUUAUGUGGGUGCAGUCCUUGAAGGUGGAAUCUUGGCCGCUUGCCAGGAGCCGGCCCUCUUGUGGCCGGCAUCGUGGAGUCGGUCUUCUUGUGGCUUUCUUCGUGAGGGUUUCAGGGUCGGGCCGCCUUCCAGUAGUCAGCCUGUGAGAUAGCCGGCCAGGGGAAGGCGGCCCUGUGCUUUGGGUGCUUGAAGGCUCGAUCGGCCCGAUAAUUUUUUAAAAGCCAGGGGGAGUCAGUUAGGCUACCCGUGGUCAUUUACUCGGACAGGUUGUGCACAUCCUGGGUUUUUGAUCGUGGUUUUUCUUGAUAAAAAAUAAAAAUAAAAUCAGCAGUUAUGUUUUUAGCAACCGCCGUAUCUCCAGCAAGUCGGGGAGAUGAUGUUGUUUGCGUAGUUUGCUGUCAAAUGUUAACUUUUACAAUUUAUCUCGUGAGGCAUGCAGGGGCAGUAUGUAGAGGCAGAAGUCUCUGACCAAGAGAAGCAUGCUUGAAGUGUGAAAGAUCGAGGAUGUCGCCUAGGGGGGUGAAUAGGCGCUUUAAAAUAAUUACGGUUUAGGCUUGAACAAAUGCGGAAUAAACCUAGCGGUUAAUUUGUCAAGCACAAAACCUACAACAACUAGGCUCACCUAUGUGCACCAACAACUUAUGCUAAGCAAGAUAAACUACUAGGUGAUAGCAAGAUAUAUGACAAGAAACAAUAUGGCUAUCACAAAGUAAAGUGCAUAAGUAAAGAGCUCGGGUAAGAGAUAACCGAGGCACGCGGAGAUGACGAUGUAUCCCGAAGUUCACACCCUUGCGGAUGCUAAUCUCCGUUUGGAGCGGUGUGGAGGCACAAUGCUCCCCAAGAAUGCACUAGGGCCACCAUAAUCUCCUCACGCCCUCGCACAAUGCAAGAUGCCAUGAUUCCACUAAGGGACCCUUGAGGGCAGUCACCGAACCCGUACAAAUGGCAACCCUUGGGGGCGGUCACCGAACCCGUACACUUUGGCAACCCUUGGGGGCGGUCACCGAACCCGUCAAAUUGCUCGGGGCGAUCUCCACAACCUAAUUGGAGACCCCGACGCUUGCCCAGAGCUUGACACCACAAUGAUUGACCUCCGAACACCACCAACCGUCUAGGGCGCCCAAGCACCCAAGAGGAACAAGCUCAAGGGUACCAAGCACCCAAGAGUAAUAAGCUUCUCAACUUGUAACUUCCACGUAUCACGUGGAGAACUCAAACCGAUGCACCAAAUGCAAUGGCAAGGGCACACGGAGUGCCCAAGUCCUUCUCUCUCAAAUCCCACCAAAGCAACUAAUGUUAGGGAGGAAAAUGAGAGGAAGAACAAGAAGGAGAACACCAAGAACUCCAAGAUCUAGAUCCAAGGGGUUCCCCUCACAUAGAGGAGAAAGUGAUUGGUGGAAAUGUGGAUCUAGAUCUCCUCUCUCUUUUCCCUCAAAAACUAGCAAGAAUCCAUGGAGGGAUUGAGAGUUAGGAAGCUCGAAGAAGGUCAACAAUGGGGGAAGAACACGAGCUCAAAGGAUAAGGUUCGUUGGGGAAGAAGACCCCCUUUUAUAGGAGGGGGAAAAUCCAACCGUUAUGCUCACAGCCCGCACCGAGCGGUACUACCGCUCCUACGAGCGGUGCUACCGCUAGGGCGGCAAAAGCCCAAUGAGACAACAUUGCAAAUGGGCAACAGGGUGGUACUACUGUAGGAGCGGUACUACCGCCUGCCCUUGUGGAACUACCGCGCGACCAUGGAAGUAAAAAUAACUGCCACGCCUACAACCGCUGGAGGUAGCUACGAGAAAAAGGCGGCACGGUACUACCGCUCACAGGGAGCGGUACUACCGCGCAAGGGCGGAUGUAAAAAAUUACAUCCGCGCCUACUACCGCACGCAAUCAGCGACAGGAUGCGAGGCAGCGGUACUACCGCUCACCAGGAGCGGUACUACCGCGUAGGACGCGGAAGUAAAAAAUUACUUCCGCGCCUACUUCCGUGCACACCAGCGUUCUGGGCUAGAGGCAGCGGUACUAUCGCUCACAGGAGCGGUACUACCACUGGCCACUGCGGUACUACCGCUCCCUUGAGCAGUACUACCGCACGCCACAGAGGCUUUAGCACUUGGAUGCCUUCAAAACGCAGCUAAAGACAACAGAUGGAUCCAAUAAAACCAGAACUGCCAUAACUUCUACAAAUGAGCUCGGAAUUGAGCAAACUUAAGCUUGUUGUAUACAAGACUAAGAAGAGGCAGGGGAGGUAUGCCUAACACAUAGAGGAGUGAAACCUCCAACAGAGAAGAACCGGCAUAACCUCCAACAUCGGAAACAUCAUAGAAGAUGCAAGUGAACUCCGUUUUCGAUGAACUCGAGCUUGUCAACAAGAUGACCAAAAGCUCCAAAACUCACAAAGAUAAGAAAACAAGAACCAAGAAAGAUGAUGCAAGGAUGCAAUGGUUUGAGCUCUCUACGAAUGAUAUGAUCAAGCUACUCAUCGAGAGCCCCCCUUGAUAGUACGACAAUCGAUCCUAUAACCCGGUCUCCCAACUACCAUCAUGAGACCGGUAAAAUAGAAAACCUAUCAAGGGCAAACCUUUGCCUUGCACAUGGUCCACUUGAGCUAGAUGAAGACGAUCUUGACUCCCUCAAGUUGGACCACCUUUCUUGAUUGCUCCCGGCCUCCAAACAUGUGGGAUGUGGCUUGCAGCAAAUGAACGAAGAGCCAAGGCAAGGACCUAAUCAAGGCACCCGGGCUUGUGCCCUUGAUGGUCCAGAGGUUGGACGGGAAGUGGGGGCAGCGUCGGCGAGGUGGAUGUGCUCUUGAACGAGCUUCACCAAAGUUUACCUGUGGUCGAAGUAGGCCGCCAUGGUCGACUCGUGGACGGCGCUGCAGGUGUCCUCGUAAACAAUCUGUCCGUAGAUCUGGCUGAACUUGUCGAUGUCAUCAUGCAUGAUGAGACGCUGCGCGGCGAGAGCGACCUCCAGGUGGUCCUCCGGCGGCGUGCCGACCGGGAGCUGCAGCGCCAUCAGCGUGCGAAAGAGGUCGUUCCCAUGGAGGCCGGCGAGCCUAGUCACGGAAGCCGAGGCGGAGACUCGGCCUUUACGGAGGUGACGCAUGGAAUGGAGGCGAGCAGUCAGAUCCUUCACCUUGCUGUUGGCGAAGCUGAACUUGUGGAUGAAGUCUUACAGUGCACCCUUGAGCCAGGCGGCUGUCGGUGUCAAAACCGGCGGAUCUCGGGUAGGGGUUCCCAAACUGUGCGUCUAAGGCGGAUGGUAACAGGAGGCGGGGGACACGAUGUUUACCAAGGUUCGGGCCCUCUCGAUGGAGGUAAGACCCUACUUCCUGCUUGAUUGAUCUUGAUGAUAUGAGUGUUACAAGAGUUGAUCUACCACGAGAUCGUAGAGGCUAAACCCUAGAAGCUAGCCUAUGGUAUGAUUGUUGUUGUCCUACGGACUAAACGCUCCGGUUUAUAUAGACACCGGAGGGGGCUAGGGUUACACAGACUCGGUUACAAGGGAGGAGAUCUACAUAUCCGUAUUGCCAAGCUUGCCUUCCACGCCAAGGAGAGUCUUAUCCGGACACGGGACGAAGUCUUCAAUCUUGUAUCUUCAUAGUCCAACAGUCCGGCCAAAGGAUAUAGUCCGGCUGUCCGAGGACCCCAUAAUCCAGGACUCCCUCAGUGGCGAAGCUGGCGUCGAAGAAGGAACGCGCCGUGGCGGACAUCAGCAGCCCCUGGAGGUGCUGGAGCGCGUUGGGUUGCGGGUUGCUCUCCCUGACCACCUCGAUAAGACGUACGGUGGUCGCCUGAAUCGCCUCCAUGGCCGAUCUCUCACCGUCUCGCUCUUGCUCUGAUGGCCAGGUAGUUGGAUCGGAGUAGAAGAAGAUGGAUGGUGACGCUUUUAAACAAAGCACAAGCACAGCGGUUCCACGACAAGCACGUCUCGAUUUGUAGAGACAACACUGUCAUGGUUCUACAAGACACUAUGUUCUAGACUGUGCAGUGUGUUUCCACCCAAAACGUUAAGCACAGAUUCACGGACAUGCACAAAGGAAGUGUCGUGCAGUGACAACAGACGCACAGUCUUACAGGUACAAGAGGCACGCCAGCCUCUGUAUUGUAAAAUACUUCAGCUAACGAGUUAUUUGGAGAGGCACGGCCGUCACAUCACACAUGACUGUGUGUUCUAGAUGAUUUUAGUCGCUCGCUCUAGGCACAAAAGGAAAUCCAAACAUACAGACGGUGCACAAAAACAUGAAAACUUGAUAGUUUUUUGAGCUUGUGAGUUGCUUCACGGCUGAAGAGCACAAAAACAAGUUCCUGACAACCUUACAGACAAUGGAUAAAGUAUAAGCUGGAAGUCCAAACUAGAAAGCACACAACAACACCUAUCUCUGACAGCCGGAUAACCGUUUUCAACAUCCACAGGUCAACGGAUCCGGCAAAUCCAUGAUUGGACACUGGUUUGUCCAGAUGUGUACUUUUAAAUCCAAGUUCAUAUGCCUACAAUACCCUGACAAUAUAAGAUGAGCACGUCUAGAAGACUUGUUGCCCCAUUGAAGCACCUCUUCUUGAUGUUCAUAAAAUCCUUCAGUGAUGUUGUCUGGGGGGGAGAGAAACUUAAGCCUCAUAGUCUCUAACUCCUUUGCGUUCCGAACAAAGAACGUUGCAAAUUCAAUGUUUUUGUUGCAGUGUACAUAUUUUUCCAGCGUUACUGUCUUCAGGCGAAUGUCAUGCUGUUUAAGAAACACCCGGUGCUUGUGGCGCCACUUAUUUGUUACAACUUCCUCGCGGCAUACUCCUCCCUGAAAAUGCAUGAAGAGUGAGAAUACUCGAGGACUACAAAGGGAGAUAGAGGCCUCCAAUAUAUUAAGCUAUGCAUUGUAUGUGCUUUCAAUAUGUCUGGAAAUCGUUACCUCGAUAAACAGGUUCUCUAGGCUAGGAAAGCAUCGCAUCAAGGCAACAACCUUGUUCAGAUUUAAUGACAUGUGGAUAAGCAGGGUCUUCACAGAUUGAACCGCCAUUGAUAGGCUGACUACAGACAAAGCCUGCGUCAAGCACAUAUCACAAAAUUAGCUGGAUAAAAGGUCGCGUGACAUGAAACUUCGGCACUCCAAGGAAUGCAAGUAAAGAGUAUAGUGCAAAAGGUUAGUACCUCGAUAACUGUAAAGCCAAAACAAUCUUGGAUUCAGGAAAUCCUUCAUAAAAAUUACCCAAACACUCAAGCUUCGGUGUAGAAAAGACAGUUAUCUGCAAGUGCCGGCUCUGAAUAUCAUGAAUCAAUCGUUUAAGUGAGGGCGCAUCCUCAACAACGAGUUCACAAAGGAUACAGAUGACUUCAACUUUGCUUGAGUUUAUUCUGAUGCAGUGGUCCAAGUUAUUGCAAACAAGCAGGAGCCACUCGAGGGCAGGGCAACCAUGGCUGAUUAUGCUUUGCAGUGAGACGUCUGAUAUAUCAACUUCCAAAAACGAAUGCCUGUUGAGGAGUGGAAGUUUAAAUGAUCGUGCAUACUUAUCAGGUAUCUGGCAAAGAGAAAAUGUGACGGUGUGCAGUGAGGAGGAAAACAACAGCGUGGAAGUCGGUGGUGAGGGCGCGGAUGAAGAGAUUUCAUUUGGUAGUGUGAUGGUUUUUCCCACAAAACGUGGGAACAUGUAAUAGAACUCGAGAACCUGGAGAUUCUUCAGUCUUGGGGAUCGAAGCUAGGCGUCAACUGUAGAGGGUCUGCAGUGGAGGUAGCACACCGGAAUGCAGAGACGAUGAACUGUGCCCCCAUGACCAGAGAGGAUGGCUUCCGGAAGGCACGAACCAUCAACGUCAGGUUGAAAACUACACCGAGUUCCAAAAUAUCUAAUGCGAAUGACAUCCUUACUGGGGAGCAUGGACAGUAUGUCGAUAUGAACUGUUUCUAGGGGCUUAAAAAGACGAUCGACAGGGGUCUCAGUGCAGUUGAGAUUCAGAGGCGCGGUGCGCCAUAAAGGACGCCACCGACGUGCGAGGAUUUGAGUGCGAACGCCUUCCUUAGUGGACAGACGGGAGAUGACCUCACCGAGGAUGGCGUCCGGGAGGUCGCUGAUGCGGUCCGGACCAGACUGCUUUUCUUGAUCCUCGGAUCCAGUAGGCGCACCCUCGCCGCUUCCAGCCGCUACCGCCAAACCACCACAGGAAGGCGUCACCGGUGGCGCGAGCCUCGCCCUCUUGGUGCUCGGGGCACCGGAGUAGACCUCCAUCUCCAUCUCGAUUGCUGGGAUCGCACGGCCUGCGAGCGCCGCUAUAUGUGGCGUGGAUCUGGAGUCCACGGUAGAUCUGGAGAAAUGGACUACAACCUGUCAAUCCAUGAAACAACUUAAAUACCCACGACGGGGAGCGGAGGAGUCCAGAUUAAUUACUUCUUCCUUUUUUCUUUUUGACAGGAGGGCCCGGGUUAAGUACUACUCGUAGCAAGUCAAUGGUAGAUGGGUGCUUGAAACAUUAAAUAGAACCACGGCUUUCAAGGUACGAAAUGCACUGUUGCACACGCAGACCAGGCACCGGCGUGCCCCUCAGUGCUUUAAUUAUUUACGGCACUGAGGCACGAACUCAGUAGGAAAGAGAGGCACGCACAUGAUGCCCACGAAGGCAUGGGGUAGCACUCUCUGCAGCCACUGUUAUGUAUGUUUGUGACUCUCUGUGUUUCAGUCAUUAGGGUCAUAGGCACAGGCGUCAAAUCCACAAAGGCAUCGUGUGGUAUUAUAUAGAGUCAUGUUCGCUUGUGUUUGUGUUCCGAAUGAUUCAGACGACUCGUUCAGACGGAGAGGCACGGACGAGAAGCCCAUGGAGGCAUACUUUGGUAUUAGGCAGGGUCACAAUCAUGCAUUUAUUGCGCAUGGUCGAUGGUAUUACAUAGAGUCAUGCUCGCCUGUGAGACACGACCAGACGGAGAUGCACGGCCGUCUAGCCCACGGAACUGAACCUUUGUCUUACGCACAGCCACGGGCGUUUACUAUGUAAGGCACGGAAUUGCCUAUAUGAGAGACGCUGAUUUUAAAGGCUCAUUUCCUUGUAUUUAAAAGCAUAGACGUGAAGUCCAUACAGACACGGUUUAGUACCGAGUUGUGUCACGCUUCUUUCUUGAUAAAGCCAUCAACGUUCGUGGCUAUGUGUGUUUUAGUGUCAAGGGUCACAAGCACGGGCAUACAGCCCUCAAAGGCAUGGCGUGCUAUUAUAUAGAGUCACGCACAAAGGUUUUCUGAUUGUGUUCCGAUGAGUCGGUGGACUCGGUCAAAAGGAGAGGCACAGACAUCCAGCCCACGGAGGCAUGGUUUGUUCCUACCCGGAGUCACGUUUGUGCGUUUAUUACGGAAACCUAGUAGAAUCGGGCGACUGUCCUUGUUACAAUUGUUUUUGUUGUAUGAUUUUUAACUCAAAUGCAUGAAAGGCGACUUUAUAUGUUUAGUAGCGUCCCGAUCCUUUACGCACGAAGACGACUUUUUGUGUGUCAGUGUUUCAGGUCACAGGCACGGUUGUCAAACUCACAAAUGCAUGACGUGUAAUUAUCCAGAGUUACCUUGGUGUCUCUUUGUGUUCCAAAUGCGUCCGUUGACUAUAUUACCAGGACAAGCAUGGUCGGGAUGCCGAUGGAGGCAUGCUUGUGUUAUACGCGGAGCCACGUUCGUGCGUUGAUUGCGGAAACCCAACAUUUCGACGGGCGUCUCCACAUAUUCGGGUGUGAUCGCCACGUGGCACCACUACGGAAACCCAAGGGUCCGACGGAUGUCUCCUCUGGUGACGCCGGUCUGGCUCCUCGCCCGAGGCCAGGCUCCGGCUAUUUAAGGCGAACGGACGGCGUCUCGAAACCCUAGCCACACCCUCUUUCUUGGACUGUCCAGAUCCACGCCACAUAUAGCGGCGCUCGCAGGCGGCGCGAUCCCAGCAAUGGAGACGGAGAUGGAGGUCUACUCCGGUGCCCCGAGCACCAAGAGGGCGAGGCUCGCGCCACCGGCGACGCCUUCCUCUGGUGGUGUGGCGGUAGCGGCUGGAACCGGCGAGGGUGCGCCUACUGGAUCCGAGGAUCAAGAGAACCAGUCUGGUCCGGACCGCAUCAGCGACCUCCCGGACGCCAUCCUUGGCGAGGUCAUCUCCCGUCUGUCCACUAAGGAAGGCGUUCGCACUCAAAUCCUUGCACGUCAGUGGCGCCCUGUUUGGCGCGCCGUUCCUCUGAAUCUGGACCGCCGUGAGAUCCCUGUCCCACGUCUUUUUAACCCUCUAGAUCAAGUACAUUUCGAGUUGGUCACUGCAAACUCCGCCACACCGGAGGAACUCCUCCGCGUAACAUACACUGGAACUUUUUUAGAGGAGAACAUGUCGGUGAAGAUAAUUCCUAUGAUGAUUCGUACCUUCCAGAGGCCAUCCUCUACGGGCGUCAGAGCGCAGUUCGCCACCUCUGCAUUCUGGCGUCCUACUGCAGGCACUCCACAGUCGACGACUAGCUUCGAUCCCCAAGACUGAACAAUCUGCAGGUGCUCGAGUUUUACUACCUGUUCCCACCAUGCUUGAGACAACAUGACAUAGGGCCAUUCUCAUGCCCUUCGCUCAUGCCAUCACCACCAGCAUUAAACCCUCAGAUUUCCUCCUCUCUCCAAACCAUCGCCUUUGCUCUUUGCAAGUUACCAGACAAUUAUGUACGGGUGCUUAAACUACCACUGCUCAGGAGACUCUCGCUAGUAGAUGUUGAUGUAUCAGACGUCUCAUUACAAAGCAUCAUUAACUCUACUUCUCCUACACUUGAGUCUCUGCUACUUGUUUGGACAGUCAGGCACCAUUGCAUCAGAAUAAACUCACCUAACCUUAUAAGCAUCGGCAUUUCUGGUUACUAUGGGAAAAUUGUUAUAGAAGAUGCCUCGUCACUUCAACGGUUGCUUUGUGAUGGUGAUUGCAAGAAGUUGCGAAUAGUUAUCACCUCUGCAUCUAAACUGCAGGUCAUGGGCAAAUUAUCUAAUAUUUUCUGUGAAUCCGGCGUCACAAAUGACCAUAUAAUUAUUCAGGUACUGACUUUCAACAAUACUGUCACCUCCAUUCAUUGGUACGAACAAGUUCCAUGCAAUUCAACCUUUACCCUACUAACAUUAUGUUUUAUUCUACAUGAAGUGUCUGCCGAUAGUCAGCACAUCCACAGCGGUUCAUUCUAUCAAGACGUUGUCUAUCAGCAUGGAUUAUGACCUGCACGGAGUCUUUUCCUUGGUGGAACACUUCCGAAGCUUGGAGAACUUGUAUAUCGAGGUGAUGCUUCUCACACAAAUUGUAAAACACAUACCAUGCAUGGUGUAGAACUCCAUUCAACAACAAAAGUCACUUACAUUUGUAUGUAAUGGACAAAGGUGUAUAUAGUCAUGGACCAGUAUUAGGACAAAACUAAAAAAGUGCUUUUAUCACAACAGAGGUUAUAGAAUUAUUCCUUCACUUGCUCUCCCAGCACAAUCACUCUUUAUGGAGCUUAACCAUUUUAAAUCUUCAUGUUUAUUCAGGAAAUAGCCUCUAACGAAGAAAGUCUUGCGAACGUCUGUUCUUGCAAGCACCACCAUGACGUUCGUUUGAAGUCACUAACGCUGGAAAGCUAUGUUCAAUGCGAGAAAAGCAUUCAAUUUGCAACAUUCUUUAUUCUCAACGCAGCACAGCUGCAGACUAUGAGGAUCAAGUUUCUUCUUCAGGAAGACUUCACGGAAGAAUUCUACAAACAGCAACAAGACUUGCUUCAAUGGGACAAAAAGGCUUCUAAACAUGCUUGCCUUAGGUUGUCGCCAAGUUGCAACCACGGGAACUUGGAUCUAAGGCACGCAUGCGUUGAGUACCUGGAUUUAAAGGAUCCAUUCACUUGUAAGUGCUGAAAACAGUGCUGGAGUGAGAUGUUGCCGCCACUUUCCGGUUUGGAAUUUACGUAGGUGUGGUAAAACAAUGCCCGUACCUUUUUGCUAAAUCUGUAACCUUGCCAACAGCGAACUCGGUAUUUCGGUCUAUGGCUAAACGGUCUUUUGCUCAUGCCGUACAUUUCAUUAGCUAAACGGGCUUCAAGUCUCUGAAGCCACGGCUAUGUACAUUUGUGACUUUCUGUGUUUGAGUGAUAAGGGUCAUAGGCAUGCACUAGUAGGAAAAGGGGCUUUUACCCCGGUUCAUAAGGGCCUUUAGUCCCGGUUCUGGAACCGGGACUAAAGGGUCGUUACUAAUGCCCUAGCCCUUUAGUCCCGGUUCUUACACGAACCGGGACUAAAGGCCGUCCACGUGGCCGGUGCGGGGAGCCCAGGCAGGAGGGCCUUUGGUCCUGGUUGGUGCCACCAACCGGGACCAAUAGGCAUCCACGCGUCAGCACCUGGCAGGAGCUGAGGUUUUUGUUUUUUUUGAAAGGGGGUGGUUUAGGGGUUUUGGGGGGUUAAUUUAGGUGUUUCAUAUAUUGUGUUAGCUAGCUAAUUAAUAGAGAGAAGCGUCCUCUCUUAUCUCCGUGCUUGGUCGACGCUACGUACUAUAUACGUAUGGAGAGGAGUAGACACGCUAGCUAGUAAUCAAAUGAAGGAAACAAAAGAUCGUCAUGAACAUAUGCAUACAGAGAGAAGUGAUAUCGACCACCUCUCCUUCUCCGAGAUAUUGGUCGAACAACAAGUUCUCGUAUAUCUAUCCAACACUACCGGCUACAUAUAUACAAUAAUUAUCUCUUACAAUACAAUCUCCUAAUUAUAUUGUAGGAACACACGGUCCACAUAGUAUUCUCCGUUUUCAGCGAUCACGUGGUCAAGGAAGAAUGCCGCCAAUUCCUCUUGAAUUCCUAGCAUACGAUCUUCUGCUAGGAGUUGAUCCCGCUUCCGAAAAAUCUAAUUUGAAGAAGGGGGUCAAUACAUAUAUAUAUAUAUAUAUAUAUGAAUAAAUGAAACUCAACACAAAUGAUGGUAAUAAAAUAAAAUUGUGAAUAUUAUUGCUUACGCACUUCAUAUUGUUCUUCAGUGUAGCCCCGCUCAUAGGUAUGGUAGCAGAUGGACUCGCAAAUGUAGUAUCCACAGUAAUUAUUCCCGGGUUGCUGCCACAACCACUUUACAAGAAAUAGAGGUCAAUCAAACUGAUAAGCAAGCAUGCUAAAUGGUAUUGAUCAAACUAGCGCUUGAAUCACUAGGAGAUGCGCGGAACAUGCUACUAUAGUACUUACUUUCGAGUGUCUAAAUUGCAGCUGGUUCGGCAGUCCCGGGGCUUUUGAGGUGAAUUUUCUCCAAACCCUGCCAGACAAAGAAAACAAUUAAUUGAUAUCAGGAAAUGAACAAAGUUGCUGAUAUGGUGGAUAAUGAUCGAUUUAACUUACUUCUGGAGCAUUUGAGUCAUGUUCGCAUAGUCCUGGGGAUCUUUUCGUCUCGAGUCUAAGACGGUUACUACUCCCGGCUCAAGCUUAAUCUCUAGGAGAAUAUAGUGGAAGCUGCGCAUGCAUGCAUAAGUCAUCAAUUACAUUACCAUAACCUGGACUAAUAAGGGAAACCGAAUAUGCAGAAGACAGUAACACUCACUUGAAGUUGUAAGGAAAGAGUAUUAUAUCUUUGUUUUGAUUUAUUACCAACGAUUGUAGCAAGUUGGCCUCGGUAUCUUUGGCAUGAAAUUUAACCUGAUAAUCAUCUAUGAGAUUUGUGUUAAUGAACCCAAUAUCACCGAUUUGUCUUUUCUUCAAUUCAGCGAUCUUCAAUCUGCAUAAUAUAGUGAGGAUAAGUAUAAAUACAUGCAAUGAAAGAGCUGACCUAUAUAGAGAGACUUAAUGACAGAAGUAGUACUACUUACAGACAGUAGCAAGUGAUCGUUGUUUUAUCGAGGGACUUUAGAUUGUAAAACUGGAAGAAAUCCUCAAAUGGAACAUUCAGCAGUUCAAUUCCAACGAGGUCAUGCUCCGGUUUAACUCUCAGCGUUAAAGUACUCAUCCCAUCAGACUCUCUGCAGGUUUUCAUGUACCAAUCAUGUAGUCUUCGCAUCAUUGUGCUUAGAGAUUUGACAUCUUUGAUGAGAGGCUUCCCGUAAUGGUAUUUGUGUUCGUCCACCUCCAUGAUUUCAUAAUGUACAUCGUCGGGCAGGUAAUCUCCAAGAUCGGUAUAACCGGGCACCAUACCCGGAUCAUUAGCGGCGAUGUCUUUUGACACCUUGAGUGGGGGGCACGAUUGGUUCUCUUGUUCGCCGAGCUGGGCAAUUUUUUUCCCAGCUCGUCGUUCUUUCAUCCUUUUAUCACUGACAGUACUUCCCGACCGCUCCGCUUCGGCAUAUGCCUUUGCAAGAACGCGCUCAUAGUUGCCUUUUGGCGGAGACUUUGGUGGUUUUGUCAGGGCAGCCAGAGUGCGCUUUGCUUUCACCAGAUCUACCUUCUCCUCCGGAGGUGGAUGUUUCUUUGCUUUGUCCCCUUCAAAGAAGUUCUUCACUUCGGCUCGCACGAUCUUCGCGUUCUCCUCCUCGGUCCUCUCAUAUGGUAACUUCUCUGGAGUCUUCAGAGAAGGACCGAAUAUGUAUUGCCUCCCGCCUCUGGCAGCUGUACUGCUAGACGCCGGCAGAGCAGACGGAGCGGCUGCGGCUGUCUUCUUUCCUUGCUUACGAGGCGGAGGAGAAGGACUACGACGCGCCGGAGCAGCCGCAGCGGCGGCGGGUCUCUUCCGCCCUUGCUGACGAGGCGGAGAAGGAGGAGGCUGGCUACUCUGGCGCGCCGGCGCUGGCGGAGAAGGAGGCGGAGUGCCGCCACGCGCCGGAGAAGGAGGCUGAUGAGUGCCCUGAUCACUCGCCGGAGAAUUUUAUUUUAUUUUGUUUCUAAUUACUUAUUUAUUUUACUUUAUGAUAAUUCUUUCUGCUAUUAAAGUUUCUAUCAAAAAAAGUUCUUUAUGAAAAUUCUUUUUGCUUUUAAUGAUUAAAAAUAAAAAAGAGGCGCAAUGCGCGUUGAUUUGCUUCAAGCCUUUCGGAAUAGUGUAGACUGCACUGCACAUAGCUCGAUGCAGUCUACCUUAUUCCUCAAGGCUUGAAGCUAAGCAACGUGAGCAUUGCGCCUCUUCUUCAUCGUCUCUGCACUCAGGGCUUAUAAACCGCUCCUAGUGCCUCUCAGCUAGCGAGGUGGGACUAAAAAACUGCUUAGCUAGUAAGAAACUCUAGUACCGGUUCGUGCCACGAACAGGUACUAAAGGUGCUCGUGGGGCCACAGCCUCAUUAGUACCGGUUCGUGGCACCAACAGGGACCAAAGGGUGGAAUUGGUCCCGGUUCGUGCCACCAACCGGGACCAAUGGCCUUGCACAGCGGCGUGGUGGUGAGUUUAGUCCCACCUCGCUAGCUAAGAGAGAGCCGCACCUGUUUAUAAGGUGCGGUGCGCCUGAGCUGUCGAGCUCCUCUCUAAAGUAGGCUUACGGGCCUAACCUCUCUGCACUCAGGGCUUAUAAAGCAUUUCAAAUGAACUCUGAAAAGGUUGAAAGUUGGCAUGGUAUCAUCAUUUCAUCCACAUAGCAUGUGCAAGAAAGUUGAGAGGGUUACGGCAAAAACUAGAUGCACUUCUUGUACAAAACGGACAAUGGUAUCAUACUCGUCUAUUACAAAGUUGGCAUGCUAUCAUCAUAAUAGUUGCGGGAGAAAGUCUUCACUUUUUCUUCACUUGUGUCAUUUGCUUAUUGCGCCGUAACCAUGGAUAAUCUUCAUCGUUUAUCAGGAUGCUUGGGUCAGCCUUGACUUUGAAGGGAGGAAUUUCAUGAAACUUUUCAUAAUCUUCAGACAUGUCUGUCUUGCCCUACACUCCCACAAUGUCCCUUUUUCCUGAAAGAACUAUGUGCCGCUUUGGCUCAUCGUAUGAUGUAUUCGCUUCCUUAUCUUUUCUUUUCCUCGGUCUGGUAGACAUGUCCUUCACAUAGAUAACCUGUGCCACAUCAUUGGCUAGGACGAACGGUUCGUCAGUGUACCCAAGAUUGUUCAGAUCCACUGUUGUCCUUCCGUAGUGUGGGUCUACCUGUACCCCGCCUCCUGACAGAUUGACCCAUUUGCACUUAAACAAAGGGACCUUAAAAUCAUGUCCGUAGUCAAGUUCCCAUAUGUCCAUUAUGUAACCAUAAUAUGUGUCCUUUCCCCUCUUGGUUGCUGCAUCAAAGCGGACACCGCUGUUUUGGUUGGUGCUCUUUUGAUCUUGGGCGAUCGUGUAAAAUGUAUUCCCAUUUAUCUCGUAUCCUUUGUAAGUCAAUACAGUCGAAGAUGGUCCCCUGGACAACGAGUACAACUCAUCACAAACAGUGGUGUCACCUCUGAGACGUGUUUCCAACCAACUGCUGAAAGUCCUGAUGUGUUCACAUGUAAUCCAGUCGUCACACUGCUCCGGGUGUUUGGAGCGCAGACUGUUCUUGUGUUCAUCGACAUACGGGGUCACCAAGGUAGAGUUCUGUAGAACUGUGUAGUGUGCUUCAGACCAAGAAUAUCCGUCCCUGCAUAUUAUUGAGUUCCCCCCUCCAAGCGUGCCUUUUCCAGUCAGUCUCCCCUCAUACCGCGAUUUAGGGAGACCUAUCUUCUCAAGGCCAGGAAUGAAGUCAACACAAAACCCAAUGACAUCCUCUGUUUGAUGGCCCAUGGAGAUGCUUCCUUCUGGCCUAGCGCGGUUACGGACAUAUUUCUUUAGGACUCCCAUGAACCUCUCAAAGGGGAACAUAUUGUGUAGAAAUACGGGCCCCAGAAUGACAAUCUCGUCGACUAGAUGAACUAGGACGUGCGUCAUGAUAUUGAAGAAGGAUGGUGGGAACACCAGCUCGAAACUGAAAAGACAUUGCGCCACAUCACUCCUUAGCCUUGGUAUGAUUUCUGGAUCGAUCACCUUCUGAGAGAUUGCAUUGAGGAAUGCACAUAGCUUCACAAUGGCUAAUCGGACGUUUUCCGGUAGAAGCCCCCUCAAUGCAACCGGAAGCAGUUGCAUCAUAAUCACGUGGCAGUCAUGAGACUUUAGGUUCUGGAACUUUUUCUCUGGCAUAUUUAUUAUUCCCUUUAUAUUCGACGAGAAGCCAGUCGGGACAUUCAUACUGAGUAGGCAUUCAAAGAAGAUUUCUUUCUCUUCUUUCGUAAGAGCGUAGCUGGCAGGACCUUCAUACUGCUUCAGAGGCAUGCCGUCUUUUUCGUGCAAACGUUGCAGGUCCUCCCAUGCCUCAGGUGUAUCUUUUGUCUUCCCAUACACGCCCAAGAAGCCUAGCAGGUGCACGCAAAGGUUCUUCGUCACGUGCAUCACGUCGAUUGAAGAGCGGACCUCUAGCUCUUUCCAGUAGGGUAGGUCCCAAAAUAUAGAUUUCUUCUUCCACAUGGGUGCGUGUCCCUCAACGUCAUUCGGAACAGCUAGUCCGCCGGGACCCUUUCCAGAGAUUACGUGUAAAUCAUUGACCAUAGCAAGUACGUGAUCACCGGUACGCAUGGCGGGCUUCUUCCGGUGAUCUGCCUCGCCUUUGAAAUGCUUGCCUUUCUUUCGACAUUGAUGGUUGGUCGGAAGAAAUCGACGAUGGCCCAGGUACACAUUCUUCCUGCUUUUGUCCAGGUAUAUACUUUCAGUGUCAUCUAAACAGUGCGUGCAUGCGUGGUAUCCCUUGUUUGUCUGUCCUGAAAGGUUACUGAGAGCGGGCCAAUCGUUGAUGGUUACAAACAGCAACGCGUGCAGGUUAAAUUCCUCCUGUUUGUGCUCAUCCCACGUACGUACACCGUUUCCAGUCCACAGCUGUAAAAGUUCUUCAACUAAUGGCCUUAGGUACACAUCAAUGUCGUUGCCGGGUUGCUUAGGGCCUUCGAUGAGAACUGGGAUCAUAAUGAACUUCCGCUUCAUGCACAUCCAAGGAGGAAGGUUAUACAUACAUAGAGUCACGGGCCAGGUGCUGUGAUUGCUGCUCUGCUCCCCGAAAGGAUUAAUGCCAUUCGCGCUUAAACCAAACCAUACGUUCCUUGGGUCAGCUGCAAACUCAGCCCAGUACUUUCUCUCGAUUUUUCUCGACUGCGACCCGUCAGCGGGUGCUCUCAACUUCCUGUCUUUCUUACGGUCCUCACUGUGCCAUCGCAUCAACUUGGCAUGCUCUUCGUUUCUGAACAGACGUUUCAACCGUGGUAUUAUAGGAGCAUACCACAUCACCUUCGCAGGAACCCUCUUCCUGGGGGGCUCGCCGUCAACAUCACCAGGGUCAUCUCGUCUGAUCUUAUACCGCAAUGCACCGCAUACCGGGCAUGCGUUCAGAUCCUUGUACGCACCGCGGUAGAGGAUGCAGUCAUUAGGGCAUGCAUGUAUCUUCUGCACCUCCAAUCCUAGAGGGCAUACGACCUUCUUUGCUGUGUAUGUACUGUCGGGCAAUUCGUUAUCCUUUGGAAGCUUCUUCUUCAAUAUUUUCAAUAGCUUCUCAAAUCCUUUGUCAGGCACAGCAUUCUCUGCCUUCCACUGCAGCAAUUCCAGUACGGUACCGAGCUUUGUGUUGCCAUCUUCGCAAUUGGGGUACAACCCUUUUUUGUGAUCCUCUAACAUGCGAUCGAACUUCAGCUUCUCCUGUUGACUUUCGCAUUGCGUCCUUGCAUCGACAAUGACCCGGCGGAGAUCAUCAUCAUCGGGCACUGGUUCCUCUUCAUCUUCAGCAGCUUCCCCCCUUGCAGCAUCAUUGGGCACAUCGUCUGGUUCCUCUUGAUCUUCAGCAGCUUCCCCCGUUGCAGCAUCACCGUAUUCAGGGGGCACAUAGUUGUCAUCGUCCUCUUCUUCUUCGCCGUCUUCCAUCAUAACCCCCAUUUCUCCGUGCCUCGUCCAAACAUUAUAGUGUGGCAUGAAACCCUUGUAAAGCAGGUGGGCAUGAAGGAUUUUCCGGUCAGAGUAAGACUUCGUAUUCCCACAUGUAGGGCAUGGACAACACAUAAAACCAUUCUGCUUGUUUGCCUCAGCCACUUCGAGAAAAUCAUGCACGCCCUUAAUGUACUCGGAGGUGUGUCUGUCACCGUACAUCCAUUGCCGGUUCAUCUGCGUGCAUUAUAUAUAAUUAAGUGUGUCAAAAACCAUUACAGAACAUCAUGAAUAGAUAAUUAAGUGACCAAAUUAAUAGAAGUUCAUCAUCACAUUAGAACCAAAGUACAUACAUAGUUCUCAUCUAACAACAUAUAUAUAGCUCUCCAGAGCAUCUAAUUAAUUAAACCAUACAUUGAAACUAUGUAAAACAUUUCAAUGCGAAAACAAAUGUGAUCAUAAUUGCAACCAAGGUAACAAUUGAUCCAACGGCAUAAUGAUACCAAGCCUCGGUAUGAAUGGCAUAUUUUCUAAUCUUUCUAAUCUUCAAGCGCAUUGCAUCCAUCUUGAUCUUGUGAUCAUCGACGACAUCCGCAACAUGUAACUCCAAUAUCAUCUUCUCCUCCUCAAUUUUUUUAUUUUUUUCCUUCAAGUAAUUGUUUUCUUCUUCAACUAAAUUUAACCUCUCGACAAUAGGGUCGGUUAGAAUUUCCGGUUCAACCACCUCCUAGAUAAAUAAAAUCUAUGUCACGCUGGUCGGUAUAUUUUUCAUAAACAAUAAAUGAAUCAAAUAGUUAUAAAAAGAUAAUAUAUACCACAUCCAAAUCAUAGACAGGACGAGGGCCGACGGGGGCGGAUACCAAAACCAUCGCACUAUGUAAUAAGAAGGAAUAAAAUAGUACGAAAAUUAGACAAGUAUCUAUCUAAAGUAAGAAUUUUUUUCUUUCAAAAAGAAGAUAAGAACAAGAGGCUCACCACGGUGUUGCCGGCGACGAGAUCGGCGCGGGCGGUCGACGGCGGUGAAGACGGGAAUGGGACGUGACGGGCCGCUAAACCUAGACAAAUCUCGAGGAAAAUGGAGCUCGGAGGUCGAGUUUCGAGAGGAGAAAGAUUAACUAGUGUGGCUCGGGCAUUUCAUCGAACACCUCAUGUGCAUAGGAGGUGAGCUAGAGCACCACAAAGCCCUCCCCUCGCCGGCCAGAGAAAAACAGAGAACUGUGGAGUGCUCUGCCGUGGCGAUGGGGUAUAUAUAGGCACCUCAUUGGUCCUGGUUCGUGGCAUGAACCGGUACUAAAUCCGGGCCUUCUGUCCCGGUUCAUGCCAAGAACCGGGACAAAUGGUUGUGGGCCAGGAGCGAGGACCAUUAGUCCCGGUUCGUGGCUCGAACCGGGACAAAUGGUUCCAUACGAACCGGGACCAAUGCCCACGAGGCCCCGGCCGGCCCCCUGGGCUCACGAACCGGGACGAAUGCCCCCAUGGGUCCCGGUUCGUGACUGAACCGGGGCUAAUGUGAAAACUGCCCUGUGACCUUUGCCCCGUUUUCUACUAGUGAUGGGCGUCACAUCCGCAAAGGCAUCGUGUGGUAUUAUAUAGAGUCAUAUUCACUUGUGCUUCUGUUUGUGUUCCGAAUGAUUCAGUGAACCACGGUUUAUCAGCAAACACACAGACGAUCAUGCCUUCAUAGAAAAGUGAUUCGAGACGCACUGUUCUACCUGUCACACAAGCACGACCAUGGCAAAUGCACGGUUUUCCAUGAACCACACAACGGCCGUGAAGUUAUACGAUGCGCACUGUUCUACAUGCCACACAGGCACGCCCGUGAUUCCACAUGCUUUAGUAGCACGUAAAAACGUAAUUCUUUCACAGGAAACGUCGUGAACCUACUGCCAGGCACUAUAUCCAUUUGUGAAACAGAAACGCAAACACAACCGUGACCCGUUGUGUUUGAAAUCUUUGCAUCACAGAAGCACCGCGUGAAGGCACAUGAAACGGUUGGGCACGCAUCGCAAGCACGGUUAUGCACAUGAGGUAUAGUUAGGCACAGUGCAGGGACAUAAUUGCAGAUGUCACUGCUGUUGCGCGUUUUUUAAAAGCACGGCCUUGCACUCUCUGUGUUUCAGUGUUUCAGUCAUUAGCGUCACAGGCACGGGCGUCACAUCAGCAAAGGCAUCGUGUGGUAUUAUAUAGAGUCAUGUUCGCUUGUGCUUGUGUUUGUGUUCCGAAUGAUUCAGUGAACCACGGUUUGUCAGCAAACACACAGACGAUCAUGCCUUCGUAGAAAAGUGAUUCGAGACGCACUGUUCUACCUAUCACACAGGCACGACCAUAGCAAACGCAUGGUUUGCCACAAACCACACAACGGCCGUGAAGUGAUACGACGCGCACUGUUCUACAUGCCACACAGGCACGCCUGUGAUUCCACGUGCUUCAGUAGCACGUAAAAACGUAAUUCUUUCACGGGAAACGCCGUGAACCUACUGCCAGGCACUAUAUCCAUUUGUGAAACAGAAAGGCAAACACAACCGUGACCCGUUGUGUUUGAAAUCUUUGCAUCACAGAAGUACCGCGUGAAGGCACAUGAAAUACGGUUGGACACGCAUCGCAAGCACGGUUAUGCACAUGAGGGACAGUUAGGCACAGUGCAGGGACAUAAUUGCAGAUGUCACCGCUGUUGCGCAUUUUUUAAAAGCAUGGCCUUGCACCGUCUGUGUUUCAGUGUUUCAGUCAUUAGGGCCACAGGCACGGGCGUCACAUCAGCAAAGGCAUCGUGUGGUAUUAUAUAGAGUCAUGUUAGCUUGUGCUCGUGUUUGUGUUCUGAAUGAUUCAGUGAACCACGGUUUGUCAGCAAACACACAGACGAUCAUGCCUUCGUAGAAAAGUGAUUCGAGACGCACUGUUCUACCUAUCACACAGGCACGACCAUAGCAAACGCACGGUUUGCCACGAACCACACAACGGCCGUGAAGUGAUACGACGCGCACUGUUCUACAUGCCACACAGGCACGCCUGUGAUUCCACGUGCUUCAGUAGCACGUAAAAACGUAAUUCUUUCACAGGAAACGCCGUGAACCUACUACCAGGCACUAUAUCCAUUUGUGAAACAGAAAGGCAAACACAACCGUGACCCGUUGUGUUUGAAAUCUUUGCAUCACAGAAGUACCGCGUGAAGGCACAUGAAAUACGGUUGGACACGCAUCGCAAGCACGGUUAUGCACAUGAGGGACAGUUAGGCACAGUGCAGGGACAUAAUUGCAGAUGUCACCGCUGUUGCACAUUUUUUAAAAGCAUGGCCUUGCACCGUCUGUGUUUCAGUGUUUCAGUCAUUAGGGCCACAGGCACGGGCGUCACAUCAGCAAAGGCAUCGUGUGGUAUUAUAUAGAGUCAUGUUAGCUUGUGCUCGUGUUUGUGUUCCGAAUGAUUCAGUGAACCACGGUUUGUCAGCAAACACACAGACGAUCAUGCCUUCGUAGAAAAGUGAUUCGAGACGCACUAUUCUACCUGUCACACAGGCACGACCAUGGCAAACGCACGGUUUGCCACGAAUCACAUAUCGGUCGUGAAGUGAUAUGACGCGCACUGUUCUACAUGCCACAUAGGCACGCCCGUGAUUCCACGUGCUUCAGUAGCACGUAAAAACGUAAUUCUUUCACAGGAAACACCGUGAACCUACUACCAGGCACUAUAUCCAUUUGUGAAACAGAAACGCAAACACAACCGUGACCCAUUGUGUUUGAAAUCUUUGCAUCACAGAAGCACCGCGUGAAGGCACAUGAAAUACGGUUGGACAUGCAUCGCAAGCACGGUUAUGCACAUGAGGUACAGUUAGGCACAGUGUAGGGACAUAAUUGCAGAUGUCACCGCUGUUGCGCGUUUUUUAAAAGCACGGCCUUGCACUCUCUUUGUUUCAGUGUUUCAGUCAUUAGGGUCAGAGGCACGGGCGUCACAUCAGCAAAGGCAUCGUGUGGUAUUAUAUAGAGUCAUGUUAGCUUGUGCUUGUGUUUGUGUUCCGAAUGAUUCAGUGAACCACGGUUUGUCAGCAAACAUACAGACGAUCAUGCCUUCGUAGAAAAGUUAUUCGAGACGCACUAUUCUACCUGUCACACAGGCACGACCAUGGCAAACGCACGGUUUGCCACGAAUCACACAUCGGUCGUGAAGUGAUAUGACGCGCACUGUUCUACAUGCCACAUAGGCACGCCCGUGAUUCCACGUGCUUCAGUAGCACGUAAAAACGUAAUUUUUUCACAGGAAACACCGUGAACCUACUGCCAGGCACUAUAUCCAUUUGUGAAACAGAAACGCAAACACAACCGUGACCCGUUGUGUUUGAAAUCUUUGCAUCACAGAAGCACCGCGUGAAGGCACAUGAAAUACGGUUGGACAUGCAUCGCAAGCACGGUUAUGCACAUGAGGUACAGUUAGGCACAGUGCAGGGACAUAAUUGCAGAUGUCACCGCUGUUGCGCGUUUUUUAAAAGCACGGCCUUGCACUCUCUGUGUUUCAGUGUUUCAGUCAUUAGGGUCACAGGCACGGGCGUCACAUCAGCAAAGGCAUCGUGUGGUAUUAUAUAGAGUCAUGUUAGCUUGUGCUUGUGUUUGUGUUCCGAAUGAUUCAGUGAACCACGGUUUGUCAGCAAACACACAGACGAUCAUGCCUUCGUAGAAAAGUGAUUCGAGACGCACUAUUCUACCUGUCACACAGGCACGACCAUGGCAAACGCACGGUUUGCCACGAAUCACACAUCAGUCGUGAAGUGAUAUGACGCGCACUGUUCUACAUGCCACAUAGGCACGCCCGUGAUUCCACGUGCUUCAGUAGCACGUAAAAACGUGAUUCUUUCACAGGAAACACCGUGAACCUACUGCCAGGCACUAUAUCCAUUUGUGAAACAGAAACGCAAACACAACCGUGACCCGUUGUGUUUGAAAUCUUUGCAUCACAGAAGCACCGCGUGAAGGCACUUGAAAUACGGUUGGACAUGCAUCGCAAGCACGGUUAUGCACAUGAGGUACAGUUAGGCAUAGUGCAGGGACAUAAUUGCAGAUGUCACCGCUGUUGCGCGUUUUUUAAAAGCACGGCCUUGCACUCUCUGUGUUUCAGUGUUUCAGUCAUUAGGGUCACAGCCAUGGGCGUCAUAUCCGCAAAGGCAUCAUGUGCUAUUAAAUAGAGUCAUGUUCACUUGUGUUUGUGUUCCGAAUGAUUCAGUCAACUCGUUCAGAUGGAGAGGCAUGGACGAGCACCCCAUGGAGGCAUACUUUAGUAUUAGGCAGAGUCACGUUCAUUCGUUUAUUGUGCAAACCGUACAUUUCAUUAGCUAAACGGGCUUGAAGUCUCUGCAGCCACGGUUAUGUGCGUUUGUGACUUUCUAUAUUUCAGUGGUAAGGGUCGUAGACACGGGCGUCAAAUCCACAAAGGCAUCGUGUGGUAUUAUAUAGUCAUGUUCCCUUGUGUCUGUUUUCCGAAUGAUUCCGUCGACUCGUUUAGACGGAGAGGCACGGACGAGAAGCCCAUGGAGGCAUUCUUGAGUAUGAGGCAGAGUCACGUUCGUGCGUUUACUGUAGAAAUAUAACAGAAUUGGAUUCAGAUGUGAACCCUCACUGUUUACUUUGUGAGGCAAUGAAUGACCGAUCCGAGAGACACUGUCCUUAAAAGCACGGGCAAGAACUCUCUACAACCACGGUUCUGUAACAAAGAGCCACUUUCAAACGCAUGGAAGUCAUGCAACGAGGGCCACACUUUUAGUAGUAGAAAAAGCACGUUAUCAGCUGGUGUUGCUCCUUUGCUACGCGCACAGUAGGGUGGCUGUGGAAGGCACGUUAUUCAAGCAGAGAACGAACAUCAUGAUGCCAGGACAAGACCAAAAGCAUGGUUGUGAGUCUGUAGUGUCACGGCUAGAAUCCUCAAGAUGCAUUUCGGUGUGGCUUGUUGAGUAGAAACUCGGUUGUGCGGUCACCAGAGGCACUACGUAACGCCCCGCAAAACAGGUUUGGUUGACCGUUGUGGUGGUUGUCUAUGCUUUCAGCUCUUUUCAUCUCUCCUGUAUCGCAGCAGAGAUGCAUGGUUGUAUUGUUACACCAUCCAACUUCAUAAAGAAAGGGCUGCAAACAUUUACAAACAAACCUAUCGCCCUUAUAAUAUUUUCCCAGCUGAGUAAUAAAACUACCUAAACAAGCAAAAUCUGUUCUGCUUACAUUUGCUUUGUUUCUACAACUGCACCAAAUAAACCUACAAGCCGUUUUUUAUAACCACAGUACGAGGACCAGAAACAGUGCAACGGCUCAAAUGCAGCUCCAUCAGUGCAAGGCUCAACUGCAGCUCCUCAGUGUGUAUGGCAGGUACAUCCAAGAAGCACCGCUCUACCUGCAACACAGGCACGGUUGUGCAUGCAUUGUGUGCAUGACAGGUACAUAUAUAAGACAGGCACCGUCGUACAUACAACACAGCACGGUCACACAUACAUCGCGCAUCUCUCCACUGAAAAAUUAAAUCUACUUUAUGUCCCUUAACCUUGGUGCCACAGCAUUUUAUGGUCCUUCGGCCCGUACAAAGCCGCAAAACCACACAUUUCCUUCAUGACUGCAUGCAACACAAAAACAGACAAGCCUACACAUGGUGCAAAGACUUCAAUGGUUGUCUGAUAAAGUUUACAUAAAACCCAAGCUCAAAAGAAUGCAAUGAUACGUGUCCAACGUAUCUAUAAUUUUUGAUUGUUCCAUGCUAUUAUAUUAUCUAUCUUGGAUGUUUAUGGGCUUUAUUUUACACUUUUAUAUUAUUUUUGGGACUAACCUAUUGACCCAGAGCCCAGUGCCAGUUCCUGUUUUUUCCCUUGUUCCAGUGUUUCGAAGAAAAGGAAUAUCAAACGGAGUCGAAACGGAAUGAAACCUUCUGGAGAAGUUAUUUUUGGAAGGAAAGCAACCUGAUAGACUUGGAGUGCACGUCAGGAAAGAAACGAGGGAGCCACGAGGUAGGGGGCGCCCACCCCCCUAGGGCGCGCCCUCCACCCUCGUGGGCCCCUCGUGGCUCCCCUCACGUACUUCUUCCGCCUAUAUAUCUCCAUAUACCCUAAAAACUUCAGGGAACAGAAUAGAUCGAGAGUUCCGCCGCCGCAAGCCUCUGUAGCCACCAAAAGUCAAUCGGGACCCUGUUCCGGCACCCUGCCGAAGGGGGGAACCCUCACUAGUGCCAUCUUCACCAUCCCGGCGCUCUCCAUGACGAGGAGGGAGUAGUUCACCCUCGGGGCUGAGGGUAUGUACCAGUAGCUAUGUGUUUGACCUCUCUCUCGUGUUCUUGAUUUGGGAAGAUCUUGAUGUAUCGCGAGCGUUGCUAUUAUAGUUGGAUCUUAUGUUGCUUCUCCCCCUCUACUCUCUUGUAAUGGAUUGAGUUUUCCCUUUGAAGUAAUCUUAUCGGGUUGAGUCUUUAAUGAUUUGAGAACACUUGAUGUAUGUCUUGCCGUGCGUAUCUGUGGUGACAAUGGGAUAUCACGUGAUUCACUUGAUGUAUGUUUUGGUGAUCAACUUGCUGGUUCCGCCCAUGAACCUAUGCAUAGGGGUUGGCACACGUUUUUGUCUUGACUCUCUGGUAGAAACUUUGGGGCACUCUUUGAGGUUCUAUGUGUUGGUUGAAUAGAUGAAUCUGAGAUUGUGUGAUGCAUAUCGUAUAAUCAUACCCACGGAUACUUGAGGUGACAUUGAAGUAUCUAGGUGACAUUAGGGUUUUGGUUGAUUUGUGUCUUAAGGUGUUAUUCUAGUACGAACUCUAGGGCUGUUUGUGACGCUUCACUACAAAAAAAAUACACUUCCGUGAUGAUACGUGUUUGUCACAGUAUGUCGCGUUUUCUGUCAUGCAUGUACAUCCAUGACAAAUUUAUGACAGAAUCAAGAUAGUCAUACCUGUGCUGUCGUAGAAGUGUUCCAUGACAUUGCCAAAAUUAUCAUCACGGAAGUGUCCACUUCCAUAUCGCGCGUCACAGAAGUGCUUUCGUCAAGGGUGACCGACACAUGGCAUCCACCAUAACGGAACUCCGUUAAGCUAUCGGGUCGGGUUUUGGAUCCGAUAACCCGUUAACAGCCGCGACCAAUGGGGAUUUUCCACGUGUAAAAUCAUCAUUGGCUGGAGGAAACACGUGUCGGCUCAUCGUUGGGACAGAUGUCAUCCACUCAUUGGACAAAAGGCGCCUAUGAUACGUCGACACAUGGCAUGGCCCAUCAAGUUUAAAUGGGCUGGCCCAACUAAAGGCCCACAAGAUUUUGCGGACCAUAAUGGGCCGGCCCAGCUAAAGGCCCACGAGAUUUUGCGGACCAUAAUGGGCUGGCCCAGCUAAAGGCCCACAAGAUUUCGCGGGCCAUAAUGGGUCGGCCCAGGUAAAGGCCCACAAGAUUUUUUUUGUGCCAUAAUGGGCCGGCCCAGGUAAAGGCCCACAAAAUUCUUGCGGGUCAUAAUGGGCCGGCCCAGCUAAAGGCCCACGAGAUUUCGCCGACACUAAUGGGCCGGCCUAGCUGUAGGCCCACAAGAUUUUGAGGACCCUAGUAGGCCGGCCCAUUAACUGGCUGCCAUGUUUUGGGCCAAAUGCCGGCCCAUAUUUGAUCCGGUCCAUUAAUGGCCUGCCACGUUUCGGGCCUAAUAAUGGCCCAUAUGAGAUCCGGCCCGUUAAAAGCCUCCCACGUUCUGGGCCAAAUCACGGCCCAGAUCAGGUCCGGCCCUUUCAGAGGCUUUGGCCUCAAUUAUGGCCCAUAUCAGAUUGGGCCCGUUAACUGGACGCUAUGCUUUUGGGCCCACUUGCUAAAGGCCCAUUUAGUAAUUCGGCCUGAUAUUAGUUUCGGCCUGUUAAGGGCCCGUUUAACAUUUCGGCCCUAUAUUAAUUUCGGCCUGUUAAAAGCCCAUCAUAUAGUUGGGCCUGACUACGGUCCAGUUUGCAUCCGGCCUGCUCGCAGCCGAUAUCUGAUUGGGCCAAACAAGGACCGAGACAAUUUUGGCCUGUUAAAAGCCCGUGAUUUGAUUCGCACAAUCAUGGGCUGGGGGUCCAUUUCGGGCUGCUGCCAGCACAUGAGCUGUUCGGCACGUUUCAGGCCCAACCUACUUCUCAGCCUCCUAAAAGCCCAUUGUGUUUUCUUGCGAAAAGAGGCCGGGGGUUAAUCGGCCUAUUAAAGGCCCGAAUCUACUAGUGGGCCAGUUUGACGAGGCCCAUGAUGCGGAUCAUACAUCGUCAUUGCAUGACGGCCCGAUUAUGUACCGUAAUUUUAUAGUUUGGCUGGUUUAUUGCGAAGACAGGAUAUAUAUACAGUAAAAUAAAUGCAGCAUCGUGAAUAAGAAAAAACCUAGACUAUACAAUAAAGAAAUUACGGCAUAUUACAUCCACUGGGCAUCAAAGUUCGCCACUAUGAUAAUAAAGCACAAGAAGACAGCAGAUUACAUACACUGGGCAUCAAAGAUCGCCACCAGUGCAAAUAAACACGCCGACAAAAUAAUAUACAAAACCGACAGCACUUCAAUAGAGUUCAAGAAAGGUUUGCCCUGCUGGCAAGCUGCAGCGCAACCACCUGAGCAAGAUGAUGAGACUACGCUUGUUCAACACUUAUAUCGUCCUCACUCUGAAAGAUAAACAGGCAGAUAGAUGACAGGUUUUGCACAUAAAAGUAUCAGUGUUGACAAUUCAUCACAUUUCUUACUGACGAAUAAAGUGACACGGUUUAAAAUUGCAUUAACACAAUAUGGUAUUGUUCAGGUCAAGACAUGGCAGGAAAUGACAUUGUGAAGGAGUUGGCAGCUUCACGACACCACUGGAUUAUAGAUCAAGACCUCAUAAGUAACAAUGGUUAGUGUGUUGUCAAUUUAUCCCAUUUCAGAUUGGCAAAUAAAGAAACGGUUUAAAUAAUAGUAGAAUGAUAUGACAUUGUUCAUAGUUAAGACAUUGCAGAAUAUGACAUUGUGUUGUAGUGGGUAGGUUCACCACACCACUGGAUUACGGAUGAAGAACAGAAGCAUACAUGCAGUGCAAAAGAAGAUCACUUGCUCUGUAUAGUUUAAUUUACAUGGUAUGAAGAAGGAACUUGGUUGUACAACUGAAAACUUAAAUUGAGAAGGACAAACUUUUGUUUAUGAACUACAUAAUAAACUUUAAACAUGCAAUUUGAUGCAAACACCAAAAAUAAACAGCUGUUGCAGUCAUGCCUAACCAAAUAUACACAACAAAGUUUGAAGGCUUGAGAAGGACAAACUUACAUUACUGGUGAAGACAGGCUCUAUAAAGCCCUUGUCCAUGCUGAUGGGGGGGCAAUUCAAGAAGUUUACCACAGAAUCUUCUUCAUAAGCAUUGCCUUUAUUCUACAUUUUGUUAAGAGUAAAUAUAGAUGUGAUAAUAUACGAAAAAAUGGAGAAUAUUUAAGAUAAGAUGAAGAGUGAUGCUACAUAACCAAGUAGCUAUAAAUGUAUGUGCAGCGAUACAGGCAAAAGGCACAGCCAAGAGCAAUGCACAGCUAAACUUCUUCAGUACCAACCUUAUGGUAAGAGUAAAUAUAGAUCUGAUGUGUAGAAAAUGGAGGGCAAAGGAAAAUAAGCUGCAGAGUGAUGGUACAUGAACAACUACCUCUCAAUAUAAGUACACUGAUAAAGGAGAGCAUGUACUUACAAGAACAAUGCAGAGCUAAAAAAAUCAUUGGCAUUGGAUAUAUUCUACACUAAUGUAACCAUUCAUACAGAUCAGAUAAUUUGGAGCGAACAAUUGAUAAGCAAGCUAUUAUGCAUACUGCUAUCACAUAAUGAACAAGGUAUGUAUGCAAGUACAGUGAUACAGGACAACAGGUACUAACAAGAGCAAAGCAACGGGCAACAUAUUUGCGAUAUCCUGUCGUUCUUUUCAAACCGGAAUUCUUCUUCGAGCAGAUUUCCCGCAAAAAAGAUCCGUAAGGCACAUGCGGAAAAGUAGAAGUUCAAAUUGUCAUUUGAUUUCAUAGACAGUACCUCAUCCUGGGAACGAGACCAGUGCAUAACAAGGUUUUUCCAUUCAAUGUCUUCUAAAUUUAGCACAGGAGACUUCACCGGAAAUUCAUUUAUAGACUUGCCAUCAAAGUGUGAUUUCCUCAGGUAACACCGAUACUGCUGCAAUGCUUCCUUGAAAAGCACAAGCAAGCUUGCUCGUCAUGACUAUCCAGAUUGACCCUCGCCUAGUUACAACAAUGUAAUGUAAAUCAUUGAUGUGUUCGAUCAGCAGAAAACAGGAAAAUAAUAACCAUGAAUAAUAGCACUUACACGUAAGUUGGACAGGAAGAUGUGAAAAUGGUGUUUGUCUUCACUAUAAUCUUCCCAUGAUGGGAAUAUAUGCACGUAGUCCCUAACAACAUUGAAAGCAUUGUCUUUUAAACUGGGAAUAAAUGGAAUGGGGUUCCAAUCUGCAGGAAUUGGCCAUGUCUGCAGUUGGGAUAGGUCUUCGGCCGGUGGACUUGCUGUACUUUUUGCUGGAGUGGGAUUUUUUUGUGGUACAGCUGGUGCUAUGGCAAAUGAAAUCGGUAUACCUUUUGCUGGAGUGCAGGUCCUGUGUGGUGGGGCUAGUGGGGUGGCCAGUGAAGUAUGGGUACAGUCUGCUGGAGUCGGUCCUACGUUUAGUGUCACUGGUUGUACAGCCAAUAUAAGUGGGGCGCUGUCUGAUUUCUCCGGCACCACCACGUUUUUCAAGGACUUUGCUGGUGCUCCUUCAGGUUCGGCAAUCACCCUCUUUCUUUUUGAUGUCUGAUGCACAAGAACAGCAUUUGAGUGGAAAAACAUGGUAUGAUGACAGAUGGAAUAUGUAUUGAUAAUGGAUGGGCAUGGCAUCUCGAGUUAUAUGAUGAGUAAGCUAAGCAGAUGGUGGUGCAACAAAGUAGAAGAAAUGCAAGACAACAUAUGCAAGAUACGCGCAAUCAAUAAAACCUUGCCAAAUUAGAACAGGCACCUUGAUGGGUGAACAGGACAGGCCAUCUGCCUUUGACUCCUCGAGGUUAGAAUAGUCAUUAGGAUGAUAUUCUGAACAAGAAUCAACAGGUGGGGAGCGUAUGAGUUUCAUUGCUUCCAGAAUGGCACUCAAUGCCUUGGUGCUAAUUUUGUAAGUCAUUGCAGUGUUCCACAAUAUUCUUCUGAUGCGCGGAUUAUGAUAUUCACUGUAGUUGCGUAUAAUAUCUGAGAACCAUGAAAACAUAAAUAGUUGUGAGAUUAUCUCUGUAAUGCAGAUGAUAUUCUAAUAUAGGGGCGCCCAUCUAAACACUUGUGUGCUAUCACUGGAUUCUGAUGAGAGAGCUCAUGUGUGCUGUAAUAUGGUGCGUGCAUUUAUAUAAUCUGGCACAAGUACACAAAAAAAUAGGCUCCAAAAGUAAGGAUAACUGGCAGAUGAUAGGUUCAUAAUAUACUAUAUAGAGAGUUUAUUGCCAAACCAUGAUAACAAGAGCACACAACAACUAGGCAGAUCAUAGUGUACAUAACAGGGGUACACCAUAACCACGAUAUAUAAAUCGGGAAAGUGGAACUGGCUUGAAAAUACGGUGUUGUAUUGCCGCUAGUAAUUGAAAGCCUAUCGAUCACGUACAAGCCAGCUCUAUCAACUGUUGACUGCAGAUGUCCCUGCGCCCCUUCCUGACAAGGAACAUACUCUACGUACUAAAUACAGAAUAAACAAAUAGGAACAUGUUAAAGAACAGAAGAGGAAGCAUAUUCUUGAGGUUCCGCUUCGAUGCAUACAAUGUUGGUUGCCCACUCAUGAUGAAUCACAGCGCCCAAAGAAAUGCAAUUCCAUGCUGUCUCUCUAUAUGUGGCAAUUUUGAACAAGAGUCAUUAGGAUCGUAUUCUGAACAAGAAUCAACAGGUGGGGAGCGUAUGAGUUUCAUUGCAUCCAGAAUGGCACUCAAUGCCUUGGUGCCAAUUUUGUAAGUCAUUGCAGUGUUUAGCUUCAAGAGUGGACUGCUGCUAGUGCGACACAAAGCAGCUACACAGAUCAUAGUGUAGAUAUAACGGGGAAAACCGUAAGCAUCAGAGUAAAAUCAGCAAAGUGGAACUUGCUGGAAUAUAUGUGCUAGUAUUGCCGGUACGGCUAGAAAGCCUUCGGAUACCAGCUCUCUUCAAAUGAAGGUGCGGUACUGUUAAUAUCAGUGUUACUCUCAAAGGCGACACAGCUCCCCGCAUUUCCUUGCUAUUCUUAUAGGAUUCAAGUGGGAAGGUGACUACAAAUCCUAUUCCUAUGUUUACAAGAUCCUACGAAUCAAAGAGGCUCAAAGUGUCCAUCACAACCGACCGUAUAGACCUCUACACUGCAAAAUUCCAUGCUCAUCUUCAGUACAAGGAACAUACUGUACCACUAUUAUACUCCCUCCGUUCCAAAAUAUAAGUCUUGGUAGAGAUUUCCACUAUGGAUCACAUACAGAUGUAUCCAGAUACAUUUUAGAGUGUAGAUUCACUCAUUUUGCUCCAUAUGUAGUCCAUGGUGGAAUCUAUACAAAGACUUGUAUUUUGGAACGGAGAGAGUACAUAUUAAAGAAGAACGGAAGAGGAACAUGGUAAAGAAGAGCAAGUAGAUUUUGGAUAAUAAAAUGUUGGUUGCGCAGUGCCCACACAUGAUGAACCAGAGCGCAUUAAGAAUGCAAGUCCCAGCUGUCUCUCGACCAUUUCAGGCGGUUGGAUGAAGAUCCUACGUCUCCUAACCCAUCUUCUUCCUCGUCUCUGAUUCUUCCCAUAGAGAACACCGCACGGGCUGCCGGCCGGACCACCGGCCCCCGCCGCUUGUGUUCCUCCGCCCCCCGCCGCCUGUGUUCCUCCGCCACCCCCACCCCCCACCCCCGCNNNNNNNNNNNNNNNNNNNNNNNNNNNNNNNNNNNNNNNNNNNNNNNNNNNNNNNNNNNNNNNNNNNNNNNNNNNNNNNNNNNNNNNNNNNNNNNNNNNNNNNNNNNNNNNNNNNNNNNNNNNNNNNNNNNNNNNNNNNNNNNNNNNNNNNNNNNNNNNNNNNNNNNNNNNNNNNNNNNNNNNNNNNNNNNNNNNNNNNNNNNNNNNNNNNNNNNNNNNNNNNNNNNNNNNNNNNNNNNNNNNNNNNNNNNNNNNNNNNNNNNNNNNNNNNNNNNNNNNNNNNNNNNNNNNNNNNNNNNNNNNNNNNNNNNNNNNNNNNNNNNNNNNNNNNNNNNNNNNNNNNNNNNNNNNNNNNNNNNNNNNNNNNNNNNNNNNNNNNNNNNNNNNNNNNNNNNNNNNNNNNNNNNNNNNNNNNNNNNNNNNNNNNNNNNNNNNNNNNNNNNNNNNNNNNNNNNNNNNNNNNNNNNNNNNNNNNNNNNNNNNNNNNNNNNNNNNNNNNNNNNNNNNNNNNNNNNNNNNNNNNAACUCCGGCGAGCUCUGAAAAAUCGACUGACCCAAUUUUGAAAUUUAGUCUACUGUGAUUUAACUAGUGUGGAAUAUAAAAGGGGAAAACCAUAAGCAUUGGGAGUAUAGUGUUGAGCGUGCCAUGGCGGAUCUGAAGGUGCAAACCGGACAAAGGCAACUUCGCAACCAAGACAAGAAAUCAGAGUAAAGCAGUGGCGAUCUAUUUUCUUGCUGCGAUAAAUAAGUUGAGCAGAUACGAAAGAGUACCGCCUCUGGUGCGGCGUCGUGUACGCAUCUGCUGAGAAUUUGACGGUGUUGCGGUAGCGAUGGCUAUCGGCGGCGUGGAAGCAGAUCUAGGAGGGUAGACGGUGGCGGCGGGGCGUGGUGGACGAGACGGUCGUAGGAGCGGCGCCGGCAAGGUGGACGACGGCGGGGAUGAAGCGAGAGGACGGGAUGCAAGGAUCCCGGUCCGAAGCCAUGGAUGAGAGAGGUCGAUCUCUUGUAAUGGACGGCUGCGUCGGGGUAUCAGCUCCGGCAUGGUGGAGGAGGACGGCGGUGGAUGGGGUGGCGGACGGCGGAGGAUGGAGGAGGGUGGGGUGGAGAGGGUGUUUUGGCGCCCACGGAGUACGAAUGGGGAAAAGGGAGGUAGAGAGGAAGGGGGGAACCAUGUAUUCAGGGCGCGCUUGUCUCAAAUGAGAGGAAAUUUACAAACUUAGCCCCCGUUUCAAAUUUCUACUACAUCACAGCAACAUUAGUCGGUUGGGGAUAGGACGGUAAUCUCGCAUACACCGAAUAUUUGCCGACGAGAGUUUGUUUUUGGCGCCCACCGUGUAUGAAUAUGAAUCGGGGAGGGAGUCGAUUUCGGCCGAGGACACACUGUGUUUUGGCACCCACCGUGUAUGAAUCCGGGUGAGAGGCGGUUACAUCACGUUUGGGUGAAAUUACAAACCUACCCCUAUCAAAACCGAUAGAAAUCCAGCAGAUAGGCUUUGCGUGGCAGGGAUAGGCAGUAGUGAUUUCCAUCUCGCAGAUUUUGGUUCCGGGCGGUUACUGCGACUUUCCCCGCUUCGUUCAAAUUUUGCAGAGUGCACGUUUACCGUGCCAACUCAAUUCGAAUCCCGUUUGUAUUCUAAUUUUUUUCGGGCGGGAUCCAUUUUCAAUUGGAAUUGCAUUCUAUAUACAUCAUUUUUUAUAUAUACUUUCAAAAGCACAACACCAUUUAUACAUAAAUAUGGUUUACAAAUGGCAUGAUCUCAGAUUCAUAAGGUUGUAUCCAUCAAUUUGGAUUUUCAAAUAUUUGAAACCACUUUAUGUUGAAAUCCAAUGUAUGCAUUCCUCGCUAACUGUCUCCAAUUAAUGUGUGUUUCAUGCGGGUCUUUUUACUUCUCAAACAUGUAUAAUGUGUUUCACACACGCAACAUAUAGUGUAAUCCCGUUUAGACAUUAAUUGCAUAUAAACCAUGCAUUGUUUGUAAUUGAAGAAUCUAUGGAUCACCAAUAUUGAUAAAGUAUAUAACAUUACACGUGUGCCCAAAUUCAAAUGAAUAUGCAUGUUUGAUACACCAAUUUGCGUUAUGAUAUUAUCGAUGUCGUGAUCUCUAGUUUAAAUAUUUGAAUCCCCUUUAAUCCAGAUAUUCGUCUCAUAUAGCUAUCACUCAUGCUUAUAUAGGCCUAUCUCUCUGGACCUAUACGCGUUCAUCGUCUCUCAGGUAUCUCUCGUGCUACCUGUAUGUCGACAAUGAUCUUUUAUCUUCGUAACACACUGACGGUACUCUCUCCCUCGACCUCCAUCACUCUAUCUCUCUCUAAGUAUAUCUCGCUCCCUGCUAUGUGUCUCUAACUAUGAUUCUCCAUGUGGAAUCUCUUUCUCUCACACAAACACAAACUUUGUCUCCCGGGGUCUCAUUUCUCUCUACUAUUCCCAUGUGUGCCACUCGCACACCCCUCAUACAGAGAUGUCUUUCGCUCCUUAGAUAUGAGAACCUACGACGCUCCCUAGAGAUAUCUUGCGUUCCCUCGUAUGUCUCUCUAGCUAUCACUCUCGUUGUGAAAUAUCUUUCUCUCUCGCAGACACAAAACUCCGUCUCUCUGGAUCUCAUUUCUCUCUGAUAUCUGUUUGUAUGUGACUCACAUGCACCCUCUCUCUAUCUCUCUCACACCCACACACAUAACCCAGCCUUCUGAUCCACUCGACUCCUAUCUCUAACGCACACUAGCUAGCAUCUUUAUCUUUCUAUUUAUCUGUUUCUCCAUCAACCUUCUUUCUCGCACUCACUCUUGAUUCCUAUCACGCACACUACAUAUGUUUCUCUCUACAUGCAGUCAAGUGCCCUCUCACACACAUAUAUAACUUCACCCUUUGAACCACCCGACGGUCAUCUCCAACACCCAAACUAGAGGAUGUCCCUCUAGCUAGCAUCUCCAUCUCUGUAUCUACCUGUAGUUUCUCCGUCAACAUUUCUUUCUCGCACAGAGUCUUGCUUCCUAUCACCCACACUAUAUAUGUCUCUCCAUACAUAUGCAUUUAUAGGUUGGUCUCUUUUGCACAAACGUUGCGCCUCACUCCCUCUGCUCGCCAUAGAUGCAUGCUGCAGCCCACGCCACUACCUCUUAAAGACAAAAAACACAUGCUCAAUUGUCGGGCCUUCUUCCCUGCAUUCUCACAUGCAUGCAUAUUGUCAUACCGAUCCGUCUCUCCCAUGUCGUUGAUCUUAUGACUUAUGUCUUCUUUCUUUUAUCUCGAUCAUGCGCGCGCGCACACACACACAUCCCACGUAUACAUGUAUACCUCUCACACAUGCACGUUCAAGGUUUCUAUGUCUCCAUACGUAGUUAAUUACCCUCAAUCCUAACGCCACAUCGAAUCGUUCUCCUCUUUUGUGCACAUAACUUCCGCCUGGAUGGGUAAAACACACACUCACACUUAACAAUCUCCUUCUAGCUACCCNNNNNNNNNNNNNNNNNNNNNNNNNNNNNNNNNNNNNNNNNNNNNNNNNNNNNNNNNNNNNNNNNNNNNNNNNNNNNNNNNNNNNNNNNNNNNNNNNNNNNNNNNNNNNNNNNNNNNNNNNNNNNNNNNNNNNNNNNNNNNNNNNNNNNNNNNNNNNNNNNNNNNNNNNNNNNNNNNNNNNNNNNNNNNNNNNNNNNNNNNNNNNNNNNNNNNNNNNNNNNNNNNNNNNNNNNNNNNNNNNNNNNNNNNNNNNNNNNNNNNNNNNNNNNNNNNNNNNNNNNNNNNNNNNNNNNNNNNNNNNNNNNNNNNNNNNNNNNNNNNNNNNNNNNNNNNNNNNNNNNNNNNNNNNNNNNNNNNNNNNNNNNNNNNNNNNNNNNNNNNNNNNNNNNNNNNNNNNNNNNNNNNNNNNNNNNNNNNNNNNNNNNNNNNNNNNNNNNNNNNNNNNNNNNNNNNNNNNNNNNNNNNNNNNNNNNNNNNNNNNNNNNNNNNNNNNNNNNNNNNNNNNNNNNNNNNNNNNNNNNNNNNNNNNNNNNNNNNNNNNNNNNNNNNNNNNNNNNNNNNNNNNNNNNNNNNNNNNNNNNNNNNNNNNNNNNNNNNNNNNNNNNNNNNNNNNNNNNNNNNNNNNNNNNNNNNNNNNNNNNNNNNNNNNNNNNNNNNNNAAGACUCCAUCUCUCUCUCUCUCACACACACACACAAACUAAGACUCCAUCUCUCUCUCCUCUCACACAGACACACACACACACCCCACACACACACACUAAGACUCCAUCUCACACACACAUGCUCUAGGCGGAGCAUUUGUUCCUACCACCCUUCAUCCAACCUUACCCGUAUGAUAAACAAUCACCUUUAUUUACUUGCAUGACAUGGACAAAUUCCACUUUACUUUAGUAGUCAGCAAACUUAUCAUCUGUACCCUUAUAAAAAACGAGUUGGCGGUGAUGGUGUGCCUGCCAUCUUGUAAUACAGACCGUAUGAUCUAUAUCUGAGGAUAGAAAGCAAACUAUGAUAAUUUUACAAAAGAUACCCGCACCUCUCUCCACAUCAUUAUCUCCCGCAACCUCAUUGCUCAGCAAUUAAAAAAGGAAUAAGUCUCUGGAACAAUCUAGCAUGCAUGGUGGCCGCUGCCGCCUGCCGGCGCCGUCCAUCCCCAUGCCUCCGCCCAUUCCGACCACCAGUCACCACCACGCUCCACUCCUCCUCGCCUUAUCUCUCAUCUUUCAUUUUUUCGAUGACAUUCUCGAGAUACCCGUUUUCCGAUAAAAUUCUCGAGAUAUCAUUAGUUUGUACACAUGGGAUUACUCCUGCAUGGGUCAAUCACAAUAGGUGUUCUGUAAAAAAAUGCAUAUUGAUGUUCCGUGCAAUGCACGAGAAUCUUGCUUGUAAUUAUAUAACGCAAAUCACGAGCAGGAAGUGACAUUUUUUGACACAACCACGUUAACAUGGCCACGUAAAUCACUAGCUAAAGUAAAUACCAUUAUACUUAUAUCCCGAUGCAAAAGGUUGAGUAGUCCGAAGAGUAGAGUCGCACACACGCACUCUGUCUCUCAGAAUCUCUCUCACACACACCAGUUACGUGACGCCCACUUAAGCAGACACGUAUGUUACAAUUUGCGCACCCGCGGGUACACGUGAUGCUGCGCAUUUAAUUAAGCCGGAAGGCGAACCCAAACAGUAGCUGCAUUCAUUCCCCUCCCGCCGCCUCUUCUCUAGUCGCCGUCGCCCGGUAGCCAUGGGCCGGCCGAAGGUAACAACAUACGCCAUACUCCCGCCGGAGCGGCGCUUUCAUAUGGAAAUUUUAGUGGUCAUGCAUGCAUCUUUUUGUGCUAGCACUCCUAUAUAAGGGUUGACCGGUCGCUUCCCGCGGACGUGCGCGGGCGGUGGAAGAGGAAGGAGAAGGGAAGCGGGCUGUGGAGUAACCUUUUUUACCACAAUUUCUUAGGAAACUGAGUGCAAUAAUUGAGUAGUUUUGCAAACUACCAGUACUACACCUGAAACGGUUCAAAACGUAUACUCCCUUGCCAGCGCGCGCUUCCCGCGUGAAACGGUCAGCGUCGCUCUGGAGCGUCAGUGUCGCAUUAAUGCCCGGCCAGAGCGGAGGCGACCUCUCACUGGCGCCGGCUUUGAAGUGGCGCGACGGCCGAGAGAGCGCCGCUUCCCGGUGCACGCGACUGCUCCGCGUCGAGACUGGCCAUAGGCCCUGUUUGGAUCCAUGGGUUAGAGUUAGUUUGAGCUAGUUGUGGCUCAAAUAGCCCUAAAGUAUCCAAGCAUGAGGGUUUAAAUUGGAGCAAGUUGCACCGAACCCACCAAAAAAACUAUCCCACCCAAGAGGUGCUAACUGGAGAUAGUUCUCAUUGGGACCACUGUAAAAUCACUUUUCUCUCUCCAUGAAGUGCAUUUAUUGUCAAUCUAACCCUGUCACCCAAACACCUCUUUGGCUAUAGUUAGUUCAGGGUUAGUCAUGAGUUAGUCUAACCUCUAGCUAAGUUAGAGUAUCAAACAGGAGCAGUAUAGGACAUGCAAGUUGCUCAAAGCAUACAGGCAAAUUCGUACGUGAAAGGAUUUUUUUCUUUUUGAAAACGGAACGUGAAAAGAAUUUUUUUAGAAUGCUCUUGGCAUGUCGCUAACAGGUGGUAGUUAACCGACCUCAAUAGACGGCAGAAACGCCAGCCCGCCGCACUUUGAUAGAGACGAGGAGGGAGUAGCAAUACAGGCUGCUGGAUUACUAGAGAUAGGUUUCGCAAGAAAGCAAAGAAAUAUGGUGAUAGUGUGGGUUAGCCAUGUACUAGUAUGAUGUAACUACACUGGGCUGCCGUGUUUUGUACUCUUCCAGUCCACUGUGGAGAUGAUUGGUUAAUUUUAUAUCGUUGAAUAAUAUUAAAUAUUAUGAGUGCAGACGCUCCACCACGAGGUUCUUUGCUCCUCCUCGGUCGUCCGGAAUCUAUGUUCUUCCACUCUAUCUUUUUACGUGAGCUUUGUUCAUCCUUUUGCCAACACGCGAGACAUCUCUAGCAUCAAGGUGCACGUGUUAUGCAAGGGUCGUUCCAUCUAUAUGAAGAACACGUGGGACUGGAACUACGAGAUGGACAUGUACCCAGGAGUGGACGUACGAACCUGAGUAAUGUAGCGCAGUAAGUGAAGUAGAAAGGCACAAAUGGUAUGAACAUGCGUGGCAUAUAGGGUGUGUUUGGUUGCGUUCUCGUCUCAGCAUAGUUGUUCCCUCUUCAUGCAUGCUCAACUCAACACCCCUCUUCAUGCAUGCUCUCUUCAUGCAUGCUUCUAGUGUAUUUGUGCUAAACUAGUGUGGACUCAUGCACCCUCCAUACACUCUACCAAACACCCAAAAGUAGGUCGAGAAGGGAACUCUUGGGCGGCAUUUGUCUCUUACUACGUACUACCACUAAAUGUUGUACGUGCAAUGCACGGUGAUGUUAUGGAGUAUGUGCCUAAGUACUCUAUUACUACUAUAUUAGUUGGAGGCACAUAUUAACUUUUAUAUUUGUUUACGUGUAUGCCCCGAGACCUUCCAACUAGAUGUGUCUUUCUCUCCAGGUCGCACUUUGUAUCGUUCAUACCACUAAGUACUACUACGUGUGUUCUCCGACCUAGAAGUGGAAGAAGUGGAGACGCUCUACCACGCUGUUUUUUUACGCUGGGCUCUACCACGCUGUUCAUGUCCCACUCCUUUCGCUGACGUGUGGGACAUCCAGCACGUGCCGUGUUUGGCACCCUUCGUCGUAAGAGUUGAAACGCUAGCAUUCAUCAGAAAUAAAAAAUAAUUAUAAAUCGGCAGUGAUACUAUUUUUUUGCGAACCAAUCAGCAGUGAUACUAUACCACGCGGUUUCCUUGCUCCUCGAUAUCGAAAAGAAUACUUCCGUUUGCCAACAUGUGGGACGUCGACCAUCCUGGCCCACUUGCCAUGCACGCAGAACUCCAAGGGAGAGUCACCCAGGUCGUCGCGCCGCAUUAACAAUGACUAAUGAGCCAUCAAAUCACAGGCCCACUUCCCACUUUGAAGUUGCUCGGACGAAGGAACCAUCAUAACUUCAUUGAAUUCCGCUUCUUGAAGAAAACUACUGUACCAGCAGUACUGCUAGCUACAGUAGUUACUCCAACAGAGGCCUCCUUUCGUUCAUAGGAUAGGAAUAUGAAAAUCAUAGGAAGUGAGAUGACAUGCAUCUCAAUUCCUAUAGAGAAAGAGAUGCCAUUUGAUGCUUAGGAUAGGAAUUUUUCCAUUUAGUCUAGGCUAAUGUACUGGUAAUUUGCUCUAAAACUACAGUGUAACUAGUAGUAUUGGUACAUGCUCGUACUCAGACACAAACACACACACUAACUACUAGUACUACUACUUCUCACAUGCUGGCCAGACGCCGUCGUUCUCCUUCCCGGCUUUGUCGGCGACACCCCACCGUGCUUGGAUCUCCGCCGACCUCUCCGCAGCAACGCGUGCGUCCUUUUCUUUCUUGCGGCAGCGGGCCUCUCUUUUCUUGAGUGCUUUCUGACUUUUCCGCUCCCUCUGUGCGGCUUUAGCCGCCUCUUGCUCUACCACCCAUUCGGCCUUGGCAUCUUCAAAUUCCUCCCACAUAGUUGUGAGGUCGCGAGCGGCGAUGAACUCGGCACGGCGGGAUGCCAUCGCUUCCCUACCAUUUUGUGCGCGGUCGUGGGCGGCGAGGAACUCGGCGCGGCGGGAUGCCAUCACUCCCUUACCGGUUAGUGUGCGGCGCGGUGGCAUGAACGACGCUUGGUGAGAGCUCUGGGGUGGAGUGGCCGGACAACCGUAUAGUGCAUUGGUUUGUCAAGAGCUCAAGGACAGAAGACGAAGCAAAUUUGGAUUCCCCUUCAAUCCUGGUCAUUUAUUACCGAGUAAAAUGCAUUGGCGGUCAUCGAACUUGUCUUGAUAGCUCACUUUGAUCAUUGUAUACGAGAUAUGGUGAUUAUACGGCCACUGGCUCAGCGUAUAGCUCCGUAUUUGUCUGGUUGACCAGUCAAACAGUCCGCAUGCGCCUCAUCAGCUCGUGUUCUUUAUCUAUCUACGUGGGCCUACCUGUCAAUGGAGAAAGAAAUACUGUAAAAACCAAAAUUAUGCGUAUGUGGGGAAUCAAACCACGGACUCGUCGCUGCAACACACCCUCGUCAGCCAAAUGAAAAUGAAAUACUUCGCGUCAGACACUCACGCUCACGCUGUCAAAGCAUGCUAAUGCAUGCACGUCGCCCUCUAAAUCAAAGUCCUGCUCAUGGCGCAACGCAAACGGCGAGCCCAUCACCUGCGCGCCCCGGCGGUGCCUGACAUUACUGUUUAGACGUUUGAUGGAGGCCUACACGAACGCCGAGCAUGUAUUCACCUGGCUCAACACCAACGGUCAUACUCAGACCGCCUUGCUCAUGUAUAUCGUCCAUCACAACGACAAUCUAUAAAACAGCCUAAGCUAGAGAGGGUACUAUGGUAGUAUGGUACGGAGUAUGUACUAUCAUGAGCGACCAAUCUUAGUGCCACUGCAGACCGAAACCCCUUCCAUCGCUAGCGCGCGCUUCCCACCUGAAACGGUCACCGUCUCUCCAGAAUGUCAAUGCCGCAUUCACUGGACUUAACUGCAGGUGCAAUUGGUGUGUCACUGACAUGCGGGCCAGAUGCCCGUUGGGCCCACAUGUCAGUAACCCAAACGCAUCUGCAGUUAAAAGUCACUGAAGCAGCGUCCGCAUUCACGCCCGACGAACCUACUCCGGCACCAGUUGUCCAUCUGUCUGCCGUGGCUCAUUGCCAUUCGCCCGCUAUAUUAACUUGAGCCCCAGCUCCCAGCCAUAGCCAAAGACCCACACUUAUUCUCCUCCGGUCCCUUCCUUCUGUCGGCACCACUUCAACCAUGACCUCCUGGCGCUCCGAAGCUCUCCUGAACGUACUGUCGCAGGAGCAGACGAGGGACAUCGGCAGCUCCGCUCCGGGCGCGCUCCAAAGCUCUCUUCGACGUACUGUCGUAGGAGCAAACGAAGGAGAUAGCCGGCACCCCCGGCCGCCCUCCGCAGCCACGACCAUGAAGUCGGCGCGCGUGCGCGGGCGCAGCCGGCAGCGAGGAAGAGUAGUACACGGUAGGUCACCGCCGCUCUGGAGGAGGAGGUUAUCGAGGCGGAUGAGGAGGAGGCAAAGGCAAUGGCCGGCUUUCUCGGGUUCAUGGCCGGACAUGGUGGUCGGGCGCCGGCGACCGUUUAGAUUAGGUUUACAGUAGGUUUUAGAAUGGUUUGUGCGAAAUAUGUAAUGAAUUUCGUCCAGUUUGUAGGAAAAGUUUUCGAAAUGUAAUGAAUUUCAUCCGGUUAAUUUGAAAUUUGCUUUGUUUGCAUGAAUUUUGUCCGGUUAGUUCAUAUAGUUGUCGAAAGGUAUGCGGGCAGCAUCGGAUGGCAUCCAUCAGUGUCCUCGGAUAGAUGCCGGUGUAAAUUUGUGGGCCAGCGCUGGAGAUGCCCUAACUAUCAUGCUAUAAUCGCUAACAAUCCUCCAUUAUUUGGCAGGGAACAGUUAUCCCUCGAUCAAAAUCAGAUCCGCGGUGUUUCGCACUCCUCCCGCGUAAGAGUGUAAACUCUUGCUUACAUAAAAAUGGAGCAAGUGGACGGCACUGUAGCACGUCAUAUCACUCGAACUAGCCCGCCUAACGAGCGGGAAAGCACCGCCCUCGUCAUUUUGUUCUGGAUUUCUAUCGAUCGAUCGCGCAAAAAUGUUACGCUUCGCAAGUUCUAAAGGAAAAGGCGGCACACUUACGACUCAUACACGUCGCAACCCCGACAGUCCGGCUCGCACGCCGCUCACCAGAGGGGACACGCGUUGUCUUGCAAUUUCAUUGACAUGUGGGACCGUAAUUGAAUAAACCGUCGAUAGUCGAAAUCUAAUCGCUCGUCGGGCGUCGGGCGAGAAGAGAGAAACAGGGGAGGGAGAAGAGAUCGCCCGCCCGCCGCGCACGGACUCCAAGAAAUAUAUGGUGAUAAUGUGAGGUGGGCCAUGCUGGAGUCCGGACCGCUUCCGGAGCCCGCUCUCACCGCCCUGGCCCCUCAAGACGCUAGCUGCCCGCCGCAUGCAGGCAUAGCAAGUAGUACUCCUUAUGUGGAGGAGAGAGAGGCAUUGACAAAGUCAAGGAGUGGGCUUUGCAAGAGCCCGUCUCUACACGUGCUCCUAGGUAUAAAAAAAUAAUUCUAAAAAAGGCAUAAAAAACAAUUGUGUCUUAAAAAAGAAAGGUAAAAAACAUUUGAGAGGAAAUAGAUAGAGAGAAAGUGAGAAAAAGCUGUAACCUAGGCAUUACAUGAGGAAGGAGGGAGUGGUGCACAUGCCAAGUUCACUGGGCUGCCGUGUUUCACACUCCUCCGUCGUAACAGUGGAGACAAUAGGUUUCAUCAAAAAAUAAACAAUGAAUACUCGUUGCUCGUCCUCUAUAUCAGAAAGAAUACUUUCAUUCACCGACAUGUGGGACGUUGACCAUCCUGGUCCACCUGCCAUGCACAAAAUUAUCCUGGUCUACCCCGGUUGUAUCACAGGCCCAACCUUUCCCACUGUAAGUUGUUCGGACGAAGGAACCAUCAUGACUUCGUUGAAUUCCGCUUCUUCAAGAAAACUUACUGUACCUGCAAUACUGCUACCACACGCGAAGACUGGACGGCACUGUACCAUGUCAUAUCACUGAAACCCACUAGGCCAAACUAGCCCGCCUAGGUCAUCUAUUUUGGAUCGGAGGGAGUACGUCACUGCACUGCUAUGAUUUUGUGUUGCACGUUCUCUGUACUUUUGCUACGAUUUUCCUACCCUAUGAACCAAAUGAGGCAUGAAUGUAUCCCGACUAUUGUCUGAUUGAUCGCUAAGCCUAAAAUUUUAGGAUCUAGGGCUAUUGGUCGAUUGACGAGGGAUAAGUAUAAGCGUACCACGAGCUCAUGAGCCCCAACGUUUCUCUUCGGUGAGUGUUUUGCAAGUACUAUAGCUCGCACAGUAGCUAGCCUACUGACACCAAGAAUCAUCAAACAAGCCCUGCUGAUAUGAUAAACAGUUCAAACUUACAUCUAAGCAUGCCAUAUAUUACAUCAAAAGCUGGUGAGGAUACAUCUGUUUCCAUAACUCGGAGAGGGUUCGCAUGAUUCAUCGCAUGAUUCACUAUCAAACAAAAGUAGCAAGAUCCGCCCACACAAGACAGUGCACUAGCCCUAAGAUGGUUUGAUAACACGUAUCGUUCUGGUAAUUAAACAUAGGGCAAUGCAAACUACCCUGAAGGAUUAGAGCGACCAACUAUUUCUUGUCAUCGAUCUCUCGGGCAAUGACCAUAGCACGGACAGCGGCAUGGGAAUCGAUUUCUGGGGCGAUGUCCACAGGACUGACCGCGACAUCGGAAUCGAUCUCUGGGGCGAUGUCCACAGGAUGGACAGCGGCAUCGGAAUCGAUCUCCGGGGCGAUGCCAACAGGACGUGCCACGACAUCGGAAUCAUCAAGGACGUCCACCGACACCUGCACAACCCUAACAUAUUAGCAAGCACAUUGCAAAUAAUCAAAAACCACAACUAUGGUAAUAAGCCAUUAUUUUUUACCUUGUGCAGCUCACCGGGGGAUCUCAUCCCUCCGGGGGCCAUCUCCUCGUCCUCGAUGGGGGCCAUCACCUUGCCAGGGGAAUGCUGCUUCUCAACGGUGACUAUCUCCUCAAACUCGGUCUUGAGCCUCACAUAGGUGGCAAUCAGAGUUCCUAGGGUAGGCACGGUGGGGCCCUUGCUGUUCUUCCAACUUUCUUUGAGGAGUUCGUCUGCCAAUGUCGUCAACUCUUUGGCCAGUGCUUGUUUCUUGGAGUUCUUCGUCUCCAUGGGUUGGCCCACCAACAUGGUCAACUCGUUGGUCGGUGCUCGCUUCCUGGAGUUCGCUGUCUCCAGUGGGUUGUCCGUCGGCAACUCUUUGCCGAGUGCUCCAGGAUCCAUCAAUGAACAAACAAACAAAAAGCAAUCGAAAGGAAACCCCAAUCGCAAUGAAAACGGGAAAAGAAUAGGAUGUGAGAAUCGGUCGGUGCUUCGCAAAAAGAAGAUUCUUGGAAUGAAAAUAUAGCAGCAUAACCGACUCGCCCACCUUUCCUUCGUCGGAAGAAAAAUGGUAGAAGUGAGUAGCCUGGAGUGACGUUUUCUUCAAGAAAGGGAAGAAAGGGCUUGAACAAGCGUUCCAGUGAAAUGAUGGUUGCUUCGUCCAGUCCAACUUGGAGGCCACCUUACCACUGCUGGUAAAGGUGUGGGUUUUGUGAUAUGACGGGUCAUGACGGCCACACCGGGGUGACAGGUGAGUCUCGACUGUAGCACCUCGCUGUGAUUUGGUGGAUGGCACGCGGGCCCGGAUGCUUUGAAAUGUCCCGCAUGUAGAUAGAGCGGCUAGUCAUAUAGGAGUGCUCAAUAUUGUGCACCGCGACCAAGGCGGAGAGGAAAACGAGAGAACUACGUAAUUAAUGCAUGAGUUUAAUUAGGGUAGUUUUGUAAAGUACGAGAUACAUUCCUCCAAUCGCAAAAUGCCUUGGUUCAUGAGAUUUGAGAUUUGAGCCCUAUAAACCGGAAGGGAGGGAGUACUGCACACGGUGUAGUCUAGUCACUUGUUGAAAUCUCUAGAAAGGCAAAUACUCCUUUCCGGUUUACAGGGCUAUACUACUCCCUCCGUCUAGGUGUGUAAGUCAUCUUACGAAAACCAAAUAGUCCCAAAAUACUUAGGCGCGGUGCAUUAACUUCUACCUUGUUUCUUGUUUCUUGACAUAUCAACCAAUAAGAGAUGAGAGGUGUGCAUGCUUUUAAUGACUUGCAAUGGCUAGUUCAUUGCAUGCAAUGCUAUUAAUUAGCAAAUAAACAUUGGUGACCCCAGGAGGAAACGGUGCUAAGCGCGUGGACCUAUGCAGAAUGAGUAUCAACCAAUGGAUAAUGGAGUUUAAUUGUUAAACAAUAGCAAUUUUGUCUCAUGCAAGAGCCUGGCUAGUACUCCAAGGAACCGCACCACGCGAGCGUUCGCAACUACCACGUUCGGGUUGCGCUUGGCUCUUCGCCUCUUCGAGAAGACGAACAAUGAUGUUACUCCUACUUCUACAGUAUCGAAUCCACUACUACAUGUCCGUCCACCUCGUGCGGGAGGGAUAGCGUGUAGCGAAAGCUUCUACUUACUGCUCCUGCCUUUGCGUCUAUGACAGAUGGGCCCAACAGGUGGUUGGCCCUCCUGUCAUGCAGCCAAAGGCAGGUGCAGUUAAGGCACCGGAGCUCAGUCCGCGAGGGAGAGGGCGUUGUAGUAAUCAAAUUUCUCGGUCUUGUACGAGUUGACGCGACACAUCAAAGCACUGCACUCGAUAUAAGUCUUUUUACACAUUUAAAAUGGGCUACUUCGUAUGUAGGAGUAGACAUAUUCUCCUUCGUAUGUAGUCACUUGUUGCAAUCUCUAAAAAGACUUAUAUUUGGAAACGGAGGGAGUACAACGCAUGCAUGCAUGCCGUGACUUUCCUUUUGAUACUUGCAUGUGUUGAUUUGAUGCACCUUGCCAAAUUUUGACUAUAAAUUUAACUAACCAAAUUUUCAUGCAUGUCACAAAAAAUUACGGGGCUGUUUGGAUUGUGACUAUGUUUGUCUUAUGUUGCCACAUUAUUUUUCCCACACUUGCCACACUUGCCUAACCUGAGUUGCUCAAAUUGUUAGACACACUUUGGCUUGCCUAAGGGAAUCUUGCCACAAUUUUUGUGUCUAUGACAUGUGGGGUUCACUGCUAAUAAAAAAAAUUGUCUUAGGUGUGGCUUAUAAAAAAGACUUAUAUUUAGGAACGGAGGGAGUAGAAAAUAUAAGUAAUAAUGCAUGUUGGGGCAACCCACGUUUCCGCUAAUUUUAGCCGUGGGCUUGUUCACAAUUUUUACGAGGGGUUGGUAGUUCAUUUAAUGGAGGGACUUGUAGUACCAGACUUGCACGAUACAAAGUGCGACCUGGCACACCGUAACACCACUUGGAACAGCGGGUAGCUAUCUCAAAAAACAAUCAACAACUAAAAAAACCGCGACCUGGCAUGUAGUAGUACACAAUUUUAAACGAUUGUUUUGAUGGAGUGAAAAAGGAAAACUACCCCACUAUGUAUAUAUAGGCCGGAGCCUCCGCGCUUGUUUGCUAGGGUUGCUCUAUUCACACACUCUCAUCCUCGCCAGAUCUAAACAAGAUAGGGGUAGUAACACUGUCUUUCUCCCUUCAAAAAACACUGGCUUUCUAUCCUCACCGCUGGUUACAGAUCCGGACGUAUCCCCCUCCGCCGGUGAAGGGGAGGAGGGGCAGCGUUUAUGCCGUCGUCGACAGCGAGGGAGGAGACCCACUGCCGGCCGCACCGUUAUCUCUGGCCGAGCGCCGGCGCGGGAGGUCCUCCAAUCCCUUCGUCGUUGCCUGUGGGCGGAUCCGGCCUCCCACCGCCCACCUAUCCACAUCCCGACGACCUUCAGGUAUAUCUUCGUUCGAAACCGCCUUAGCUCUACUUCCCCAGCUCACAACGUCGCUGCAUGUGCAUCAUUUUCUACCUCUCAGCCCCUCUCGAUCAGAUGGUCCAACGUCACAUUUUUUUCUUCUAUUGUUAGAGGUAAAGCUACUUCAUGGAGUCGAAUCUUGUACUCCCUCCGUCCGAAAAUACUUGUCAUUGAAAUGGAUGUAUCUAGAUGUAUUUUAGUUCUAGACACAUCCAUUUUGAUGACAAGUAAUUCCGGACGGAGGGAGUACUUGGUUCAAACAAGAAAUAAAGUGGGGGUGGGGGAAUUUAGUAUGUACACAUCGGACUUGGUACAAACAGUAAGGAAAGGGAGUGAAAGUAGUACAGACUGGUCAUCCAACCGGUCUCUUGGUCGAAAAGGGAAAUGUAGGGGUAACGUUGUACACAGUGGUAUGACCAGGACUAGAUUUGCUAUCCACACAUAGGAGUAGGUGGCUAGAGUGAACAAAAAUGGGACCAACCCAGAUAUGUUUCUUGGAUGUUUGUUUCUCGGGGCGACAAACUAUGAAUCACCACUUUAUGCCCCUGUUUACGUACAUGGUGCUGGACUGCUGGACUGCUGGUGCACCCUCCGUUCAGAAGUGACUUUUGUGUUGUUUAACUGGAAUGUCAGAAUGGAGUAGUUGGUUCAUUUUGGUGGAACUGCACAAAGGGAGAUCUGUGUUCCAAUCCUCAUCAUCCAUAUUGGCGCCAUAACCUUCCUUUAGGUAAGAAUGAUAUUUAAUGCAUGUGUUCAUCUCUAUUUUCCGACUGCCAUGAGAAAAUAAUGUUGUUUUUUACUAGUACACUUGUACUCCCUCACUGACAAAACUAAUUCUGAAUUAGAAGGCCAAUCAUGUACUUGGUUUCACCAACUGGUGAGGAGAAAGAGAAACAGAGCAUGAAGAGGAAGAAGAAGAAGAAUAAACAGUGCCAAGGCGAUCUUGCUGAAGCCAGAGGCCUCAGUCGAGGCCAUUCAAGGGCUCCGGCAACGACUACCUUACAUGUGAGACGAUCCUCCAGGGAGCCCUUCCACUUCUGCUAUCUCACUUAAUUAAUUAGGAGUACUUAAGUACCACUAAUUUAUUACUGCCUAAUUUUCCUGUUGGAGUUAAACAAAUCUUUAGUAGGACCCUAUGCUGAAUCAUGUACGUGUGUAUGUUUGUCUAUGGAGGUGAAUCAUGUGGUGGAGCAGGGAGGGAAUAUUAUUAGUGUCAUGACAUAAUAGUGCUAUUGUUUUGCAUGUCAAUUUAUUGCCAUUGGUUCAAUGAGGCAAUGUUUUGCGUAUUGUCCAUCAUGAAUUUGAUGCUACUAUUUGAGUAAUAUGCUAAUGUCUUCCUAUCCUUUCUCACUAAGCUAAUGAAGGUUUCACCUUGUUCCUACUUGUGCAAACAGGGAUCAUGUUGUGCCAAUCAUACAUUUUAGUGGAACUACACAAGACAAUACAAUGAACUGUAUCCCAGCCAGUGCUUUAACUCUGCUGGAAGUUCUUGAUAAUCUUUCGAUAUAAUCUUAGCACUGGUAAACAAGAGUUAUUUCAACCAUACAUUUGUAGUGCACAAAAAUAUAUACUAUUGUGUGACUCCAGUGAGUGUUUUAUCAUCUCUUAUGGGACUACAUGAAUAAGCUUUUUUCUCAGGUUGGUACGGGCCUAAGGCCUUCAUCCAUAUUAGUUUGCUGUCAUCUCUAUUUGUAUCGUGCUACUGUCAUGAGAAACUCCUUUAUCUUUGCACGUUAAAGUUUUGCAACCUAUGAUAAAUGGCAAUGCUUUGACUGUUGAGUUGAGCUAAUUGGCACUGAUUAAAUAAACUAAUACCUCUCUUUGAGCAAGACUACUAUGUUGCUAACUUUACCCAUUAAGAUAAUGAGGGUGCUUCUAUUUGUUAGUGUAUGUUUCAUCAACUAGUCCCACUAUUACAGUAAUCUCACUCUCUCAAUAUAUGUGCCAACAGGGAUGCUCGAUUUUGGUGGAACUGCACAAAAACUUUGGGUGCUUCAUUGCCUCGACAGCUUCCGUCCUUUCCUGACAGUCGCUAAUCUCCGCUUGCUUUCUUCCUUUGCUGUCAGUCGCUUGGCUUAUCUCGGCUUCCAGUCAAAGGAAAUAGUAAUUGAUAUGCUACCUCACACAGGUUGGUACUGGUCUUUAUCCUGAUUAUUGUGCCUGUCAUAUGUAUUGGUAAUUUGGUAUUGUGCUACUGUUUGCCGAUUUCAUAAAGGAGUAAUUUGGAGCCUGAACUCGCAGGCAAAUCAUUACAUCGGGUGAUUUCAGUAGAACUGCACAAAAUGAUCAGAUGGACAGGUACUUAUGCUGCUGCUAUGUACUCCAAAGUUCACUCAGACAAGCAUCGAUGUUGACAAGAAGUGCCUAUAUUCAUUCGAGUAUCAACCGGCGUCAACCAAUUGUCAAACUCCAAGUAUUAGGAGAGUGAACGCCAAAAAUAUUGCUUGGUGCAUAGCCCAGAAAAACGCAGUCCAGUCUUUGGUCCCAACUUGUGCCUUUUGGUUAUCAGCACAUAUGGUAGCAAACAUAUGGCAUGGAGUCUAAAGAUUCCAGACAAGUUGGUUGACGCGUAUAUUCAUCUGGCACUUAAUCAGUCUGCACGCCAAGGAUGCUCCAUUGCAGUUGAACUGCACAAAAAAUUUGGGUGGUUCAUUUUCUCAACCGCCUCCUUUCUCGUCUGCAAUGUAGAAUUUUGGCGAGAUACAGGACCAAGAUGAGCUAGUAAACUAGUUGGAUGAAAGUAGUGGCCAAGUUGCUCAAACCUCCCUCGGCACGAGGCCACUAUUUGAGGAUAAACCUACAAGCAAAGUUCAGAUUGUCUGUGCUGCCUCUUAUGUACUCAAAAGUUUACUCGUACAAGAACUAAUUUUAGCAAGAAGUACCUCCGAUUGAACACCAUUUACCAGUCUGUACCCUAGGUAAUUAAAGUUCGUCCAUGGAUCAUAUUGGCUGUGAUCUCAAUCAUUUGGAUGCAUAAACAUACUGAACAUGUGUAUAUCUGAAUCUUUUUGUGAAUUAUGUAUGAAUAUUGUCGUGUGAUCUAUCAAUCAUUUGGAUGCAUAGAUAUGCUGAGCUUGUGUAUAUAUGAAUCUUUUGAGUUGUUGAUAGUGAAUGUUGGCUAUGAAUAUGAACGUGUCCUGUGAACCUGAGUUUGAUAUGAAUGUUUACCUUUUCUGUUGUAUUUGUGUGUGAACUUGUUAGUAUGCCUACUGUAUAAAACGCGGGUCUCUUAUAAAAGUAAUGAUGUGUCCAAUUUAUGUUUUCCCUUCUAACCACAUUAUAUAUAUUUAUAUUAUUACUAUUAUCGUAUAUUUUAUAGAGACUUAUAUAUACAUUAUAAAAACAUCCCACGUGUUAUUAACUUAUAAAAGUAAAUGUUUAACGGAAGUUGGCAAGGAAAAGCCUGGUUGUUUUUGACUCACAGGCAAGGAAAAUCCUAGUGAUUGCGUACAAAAGCUUGCGAAGAUUUUAAGGACCAAUUUAAUAAUAACGCGCUCAUUUUUAUUUUGAGGAAUAACUCGCUAAUUUCUUAAUUAUAUAUAUAUAAAAUGUGCCUCUCCGGUUUAUUCUUUGAUAUUAAUUGCUCCUUCUAACAUAACAUUAUAUAUAUAACGAGCCCACCUAAUACGUGUAUUUCAAGGAAGUGCAAAUGGGCUGGGUUUUCUUAGAAAAUAAAAAUGGGCCUGAUUGACGCGAAAUUAUUUGUUCACCCAGCCCAGCAAAUGGAUUGUACAUUCUAGAAAACAUGGGUUAAAUAUAUGCCACAUUUUUGCAGGCUGACAUGUGGGCCAAUAGGUCGAAGCCUACGCAGGGCGUUGUCAACUUGGUCAACAAAUGAUUGUGUCAUCCACAGCCAUUGGAUUUAUGUCCAACAGCCGACAUGCACCUUCAAUCUCUCGUCUUCUUCCUCCAGCGUCGCCGGGACCGCCUAGUCCGGCCUCCGGCGGCUAGCGGCUCUGCUUAGCACGCAUCGCUGCGAAGCGCUACCCCACCGCCGGCUAGGCUAUCCCUCCACGCCUCGACACCUCCUGUUAUUCUCCACAGACUACAGCCCCACACCGCAACAGAACCAGUUAUAACCCUUCUCCUCCUCUCAAUCUGCGAAUCCACUGCCGCGUUUUCCCAUCUCCGAGUCGUUCCCGUCCGGGGCCUCGCCGUCGUCCACCGCCUCGCUGUGUUUGGUGCAGCGUGGUCAACAAACGAGAGUCAUCGGAAGAGGACUGUACGUGGAGAGCCUGACGGCUGGGACCCACGAGGUCCAUGGUCGCACGCAAGGAAAGUUCCUCCUUAUUAAGCUAAAAAAAUGUUUCCUCCACCUGACAGCUGGGACCCACCAGCUGUAUCUUCGCACGGAAGGAAGUGCCUCCUUGUUUUGCGAAAAAAAUUAUUCAUCCCGUUGACAGCUGGGACCCGUCAGAUUUGGUGACUGACUUGUGGGCCUACUAAGCGGACGUGUACGCACGGCUUUGUCAACUUAAUCAACAAAUGAUUCUAGUAGCUGGACCGUUGGAUGUUAAUCCAACAGCCGUGCUCCUUCUUCAACCUCUGUUCUUGCUCCUGUCUCCCGUGGGCGGCACCGCGGCUGUGCUGCCGCGCACCCGAACCAGUGAAGUUUCCCACUCCUCUCCAUCUGCGACUCCACUGCCCCGUCUUCCCCAUCUCCGGGUCGUUCUAGUCUGGGUGCGCUCGGCAUGGUGUGGUCAACAUGGUCAACAACCGAGAGUCAUCGGAAGAUGACUGUACAUGAGAGGCUGACAGUGGGGACGCACCACGCCCAUGGACGCAUGCAUGCAACGGAACGCGGCGAGGUCAACGUGGUCAAGGAACGACUUCCAUCGGAAGUAUACCGUACGUGGAGAGUCUCAACUGGGUCCACGGCCGCAGCAAGUAAGUGCCUCCUUAUUACGCGGAAAAUAAUGAUUCCUCCAACUGACCGCAGGGACCCACUGGACGGGCCACCAUAUUUUGCGAAAAAAACAUUUGCCCCCUGACUGCUGGGACCCACCUGACGGGCCACCGUAUUUCGCGAUAAAAACAUGCCCCCCGCUGUCAGCUCGGACCCACCAGAAGUGCCUCCUUAUUACGCACAAAAAAUGAAUACUCCCCUGGCUAGCUGGGACCCACCUUGGUGGGAGGCUGACUUGUGGGCCUACUAAGUUGACGGGGACGAAGGGCUUUGUCAACUUAGUCAAUAUGAACGAUUCUAGCUCCAGUGACCGUACGAUGUCCAUCCAACGGCCGUAGUGCUUCUUCAACCUCUGGUCUUCUUGCUCCAGCCGCCCAAAGCAGUGCCGGUCGUGCCACAUGCUCCUGCCUCCCGUGGCCGGCUGUGCUGCCGCGGAGGCCUCACCGCCCCCUACUAUUCCCACCGCUGGCCAGGCCCUGCGGCGACGGCAGCCUCACACCGCAGCUGAACCAGUGAACCCUCGUACUCCCCUCCGCGCGGGCUUCCACUGCCGCGUCUUCCCCGGCUCCGCGUCGUCCCCUUCCUAGGCCUCGCCGUCGUCCACCGCCAUGGUGCUCUCCGCGCGGCGUGGUCAACGUGGUCAAGGAAUGACUUCCAUCGGAAGAGUACUGUACGUGGAGAGGCUGACAGCUGGGUCCAUGGCCACAGCCCAGUUUUUUUGUGAUUUGCCAAGUAAGUCGCUUUGUCAGGCCUGUUGGGCUGCAAAUCUUUCAAGACGAGGAGAGCUUUCAUUCGGCUGGCCGAGAAAAUGGCCCAUCAGUAAUGAGAAAUGGGCUGUACAUUUUUUAAACACAUCAAACCGAUAAUUAGUUUCAAAUAUCUUUUUUUUCAUUUCGAGAUUUUAAAUUACAUUAAUUUUUAUGCGUGGAGAAUUUGUUGGAUUUUAUAUUAAUAUACAUUUACUUUUAAAAUCAGUUUGAAUGUGAGUCAAAAUUUCGGGAUUAAAAACAGUUCGGACCGCACCGAAAUAUGCAAAAUUUCGUAUAAUUUUUUAACCGUGGCCACAAUAUGGACUGUAAUGCUAACAAAAAGAAUAUGGGCUCCAAUAAAACCUUAAUAAUUAGCAAAUGGGCUGUAAAUUAUUAGAAAUAAUGGCAGAUGGGCUGUAUGCUGUUUUCCACAGAUUUGAGGCUUUCCUAAAAAAAGGUUGACGCAUAAGCAGUGACUGUUGGAUGGCCAUCCAACGGCCGUCGUGCUUCUUCAAUCUCUGCUCUUCCUGCUCCAGCCGCUCAAACAAGCGCCGGCGGGACUGCCUGCUCCCUCCUCCCCGCGGCCGGCUCUACUGCCGCGCAGGCCUCACCGCCCCACCGUACUCCCAUCGCUGGCCUAGCCAUCCCUCUACUCACCCACACCUGCUGUUAUUCUCCGGCGACGGCAGAUGAACCAGUAAACCCUCGUACAGUCGUACUCCCCUCCGCAUGGGAAACAACUGCCGAGUCUUCCCUGCCUCCGUGUCGUUCCCUUCCUAGGCCUCGCCGUCGUCCACCGCCCUAGUGCUCUCGGCGCGGCCUGGUCAACAUGGUCAACGACCGACAUGCAUCUGAAGUGGACUGUACAUGGAGAGGCCGAAAGCUGGGUCCACGGCCGCACGGAAGGAAAUGCCUCCUUAUUACGCGCAAAAUAAUGAUUCCUCCACCUGACAUCAGGGACCCACCGAAAGGGCCUCUAUAUUUCAUGAAAAAACAUUACCGCCGCUGACAGCUCGGACCCACCAGCUAUAUCUUCGCACGCAAGGAAGUGCCUCCUUAUUACGCACAAAAAAUGAAUACUCCCCCUGCUAGCUGGGACCCACCAUGGUGGGAGGCUGACUUGUGGGCCUACUAAGUUGACUGGGAUGGGGGCCUUUCUCAACUUUAGUCAAUAUGAACGAUUCUAGCUCCAGUGACCGUACGAUGUCCAUCCAACGGCCGUAGUGCUUCUUCAACCUCUGGUCUUCUUGCUCCAGCCGCCCAAAGCAGCGCCGGUCGUGCCGCAUGCUCCUGCCUCCCGUGGCCGGCUGUGCUGCCGCGGAGGCCUCACCGCCCCUACUAUUCCCACCGCUGGCCAGGCCCUGCGGCGACGGCAGCCUCACACCGCAGCCGAACCAGUGAACCCUCGUACUCCUCUCCGCGCGGGCUUCCACUGCCGCGUCUUCCCCGGCUCCGCGUCGUCCCCUUCCUAGGCCUCGCCGUCGUCUACCGCCGUGGUGCUCUCCGCGCGGCGUGGUCAACGUGGUCAAGGAACGACUUCCAUCGGAAGAGUACUGUACGUGGAGAGGCUGACAGCUGGGUCCACGGCCACAGCCCAGUUUUUUUGUGAUUUGCCAAGUAAGUCGCUUUGUCAGGCCUGUUGGGCUGCAAAUCUUUCAACACGAGGAGAGCUUUCAUUCGGCUGGCCGAGAAAAUGGCCCAUCAGUAAUGAGAAAUGGGCUGUACAUUUUUAAAACACAUCAAACCGGCAACUAGUUUCAAAUAUCUUUUUUUUUCAUUUCGAGAUUUUAAAUUACAUUAAUUUUUAUGCGUGGAGAAUUUGUUGGAUUUUAUAUUGAUAUACAUUUAAUUUUAAAAUCAGUUUGAAUGUGAGUCGAAAUUUCGGGAUUAAAAACAGUUCGGACCGCACCGAAAUAUGCAAAAUUUCAUAUAAUUUUUUAACCGUGGCCACAAUAUGGGCUGUAAUGCUAACAAAAAGAAUAUGGGCUCCAAAAAACCUUAAUAAUUAGCAAAUGGGGUGUAAAUUAUUAGAAAUAAUGGCAGAUGGGCUGUAUGCUGUUUUCCAUAGAUUUGAGGCUUUCCUAAAAAAAGGUUGACGCACAAGCUGUGCUGCCGCGGAGGCCUCACCGCCCCCUACUAUUCCCACCGCUGGCCAGGCCCUGCGGCGACGGCAGCCUCACACCGCAGCCGAACCAGUGAACCCUCAUACUCCUCUCCAUGCGGGCUUCCACUGCCGCAUCUUCCCCGGCUCCCCGUCGUCCCCUUCCUAGGCCUCGCCGUCGUCCACCGCCCUAGUGCUCUCGGCACGGCGUGGUCAAUGUGGUCAAGGAACGACUUCCAUCGGACGUGGACUGUAUGUGGAGAGGCUGACAGCUGGGUCCACGGCCGCAGCAAGGAAGUGCCUCCUUAUUACGCGGAAAAUAAUGAUUCCUCCACCUGACAGCUGGGACCCACCGGACGGGCCACUGUAUUUCGCGAAAAAAACGUUUCCCCCUGACUGCUGGGACCCACCAGCUACAUCUUCGCACGCAAGGAAGUGCGUCCGGGCAAAAAAAUGAUUCGCCCCCCGACUGCUGGGACCCACCAGCUACAUCUUCGCAGGCAAGGAAGUGCCUGACGGUCAGGACCCACCUGGUGGAAUCGUACAUAGCAUUGUCAUUCUGGUCGAGAACGUGUACGUACAUACUGGUCGAUGUAGAGGCGCGCACGUAGCAUGUACACGUACGUACAACGGCCAGUGUGCAAGAAAGAAAAUACGGCCACGUACGUACAUACGGGCAGGGUCUCGAACGCCUACUCGCGCAUACGUACGGCCAGGGCUCGUGUACAUGGCUGGGUCGGAACGGAGAAACAGCGUCGUCGUCGUGUUCAUGGGGAGCCAACCGGCUGGGUCGGAACAGAAUGCGUCGUCGUGUUCAUCGGGAGGGCUUGGACGGAACAGCCAAUGGAAAGGAGGCCUGGCGUACCGCAGAACGGAGGAAACGGCCUUGUGUUCGACCGGCCACGUUUGAAACAGGAUCCUGUUCAUUGGGAGGGGUCUGGCGUACCGCAAAACGGAGGAAACGGACCUCCUACGGUCGAAACAGGGGUCCUGUUGAUCCGGAGGGGUGUGGCGUACCGCAAAACGGAGGAAACGGACUUGUGUUGGAGCGCUACGGUCGAAACGAGGGUCCUGUUCAUCGGGAGGGGUGCGGCGUACUGCAAAACGGGACUCCACGGGACACUGUUCAUCUCCACCGUUGACCCCCUCCCGCCUCCACGGGCUACUGUUCAUCCACCGUCGACCUCCUCCAGCCUCCACCUGCGACUGUUCAUCCACGGACUCCUGUUCAUCCAGCCUCCACCACGCGCUACUCCACCGGCUACUAUUCAACCAGCCCUCUCCACGGGCUCCUGUUCAACCACCCCUCCACGGGCUACUGUUCAUCCAGCCCUCCACCGUCUACUGUUCAUUCUGCCCUCCACGGGGUGGUCCUAUUCAUCCUGCCCUCCACGGGGUCCUGUUCAUCCAGCCCCAACCGGCUCGAUCGAUCGGGGUCCUGUUCAUCCAGAGGCAACACCACGGGGUCCUGUUCAUCCACCCCCACCAGGAACUGUUCAUCCAAACCCCCCCAGCAACACUCACUGUUCAUCCAGAGGCAGCAUCGAUCGGCUUCAGUUAGCAGCAGUAGCGAAGGAAUCGCUCGAUCGGGUUCAGUUAACAGCCAUCGAUCGAUCGCUCGGGUUCAGUAACGCGUAGCCUGCAGUGCAAUCACUCGGGUUCAGUUAGAGCCCAGCGCCUCGCUCGGCUUCAGUUAGAGCCAACGCCUCGCACACACGCGCGUACGUGUACAAGAGAAACGCGCAUCGCUCGGCCCCCGACCUCCCACUGUAACCGGGAACUCCCCGAAAUUUUCCUCGCCCUCGCUUCUACCACGGUUUUUUCCGUCAUGGACGGCCCAAAGAAUGUCAUGCAGCUGCGUCUCCGGCCCACCCAGGACGAAAAGCCCAUUUUCUGUCAUGAUUUUUUGUCAUAGAAGUAGGAGCCCACCACAUCUAUGAUGAUACCGGGUUUUGUCACAAUUAUCGUCAUAGAAGUGUCAUAUGUAUGACAGGAAAAAAAUUCGUUCGGCCCAAAAUGUCACGGAUGUGUCUUUUUUUUGUAGUGCUUAUAGGAAUAGCUCAACGGAUUGAUUGGAAAGAAUAACUUUGAGGUGGUUUCGUACCCUACCAUAAUCUCUUCGUUUGUUCUCCGCUAUUAGUGACUUUGGAGUGACUCUUUGUUGCAUGUUGAGGGAUAGUUAUAUGAUCCAAUUAUGUUAUUAUUGUUGAGAGAACUUGCACUAGUGGAAGUAUGAACCCUAUGCCUUGUUUCCUAGCAUUGCAAUACCGUUUACGCUCACUUUUACCACUUGUUACCUUGUUGUUUUUAUAUUUUCAGAUUACAAAAACCUAUAUCUACCAUCCAUAUUGCACUUGUAUCACCAUCUCUUCGCCAAACUAGUGCACCUAUACAAUUUACCAUUGUAUUGGGUGUGUUGGGGACACAAGAGACUCUUUGUUAUUUGCUUGCAGGGUUGUUUGAGAGAGACCAUCUUCAUCCUACGCCUCCCACGGAUUGAUAAACCUUAGGUCAUCUACUUGAGGGAAAUUUGCUACUGUUCUACAAACCCCUGCACUUGGAGGCCCAACAACGUCUACAAGAAGAAGGUUGUGUAGUAGACAUCAAGCAGUUUCUGGCGCCGUUGCCGGAGAGGCUAGGUAAGCGGCACUCACACCCCGUCAACUAAGCAGUUUCUGGCGCCGUUGCCGGGGAGGUGAGUGCUUGAAGGUAUAUCUUUAGAUCUUGCAAUCGAAUCUUUUUGUUUCUUGUUUUAUCACUAGUUUAGUAUAUAAAAGAAAACUACAAAAAUGGAAUUGAGUUUGCCUCCUACGCUUCAUCUUUUUAAUAUCUUUCGUGAGUAUGAUGGAAAGGAAAAUUGUGCUCAAAUGCUAGAAGAAGAAAUCUAUAGAAUGUUUGGCACUAAAUCUUUGUAUGAUGAGCAAUAUUGCAAUGUUGUUAGUAUGAAUUCUAUGAAUAUCCAUGAUGCUAAUGAUAUGCAAAGCCACAAGCUUGGGGAUGCUAUGUUUGAUGAAGAUGAUAUGUUUAGUCCCCCAAGUUUUGAUGAGAAUAUUUAUUAUGAUGAAAGCAUGUCUCCUAUCUAUGAUGAUUAUGGUGAUGAUACGUAUGCUAUAAAGAAUAAUGAUAACCAUGAAACUUGUCAUCUUGAUCUUAAUUUUCAAUCACAUGAUAGUUAUUUUGUUGAGUUUGCUCCCACUACUAUUGAUGAGAACAAAUUUGCUUAUGUGGAGAGUAGUAAAAUUUCUAUGCUUGUAGAUCAUGAAAAGAAUGCUUUAUGUGUUGUUUAUAUUGUUGGAUUCAUUCAUGAUGCUACUGAAAAUUAUUAUGAGGGAGUAACAUAUGUUUGUAGGAAUUGCAAUAAUAUCAAGUUUCCUCUCUAUGUGCUUAAAGUUUUGAAGUUAUGCUUGUUUUGCCUUCCUAUGCUAGUUGAUUCUUGUUCCCAUAAGUUGUUUGCUCACAAAAUCCCUAUGCAUAGGAAGUGGGUUAGACUUAAAUGUGCUAGUCAUAUUCUUCAUGAUGCUCUCUUUAUGUUUCAAUUCUUAUCUCUUAUGUGAGCAUCAUUGAAAUCAUCAUGCCUAGCUAGGGGCAUUAAACGAUAGCGCUUGUUGGGAGGCAACCCAAUUUUAUUUUAGUUUCUUGCUUUUUGGUUCUGUUUAGGAAUAAAUAAUCCAUCUAGCUUCUGUUUAGAUGUGGUUUUGUUCUUUAAUUAGUGUUUGUGCCAAGUAGAACCUUUGGGAAGACUUGGGUGAAGUCUUUAUGAUCAUGCUGUAAAAAACAGAAACUUUAGCGCUCACGAGAUUAGCUAAAACUUUUUACUGGAGAGUGCUAUUUAGUUGAUUCUUUUUGCAGAUGAUUACUAGACAAAUUCCUCAGGUCCACCAAUUUAUUUUAGAAUUUUUGGAGUUCCAGAAGUUUGCGUUAGUUACAGAUUAGUACAGACUGUUCUGUUUUUGACAGAUUCUGUUUUCAUUGUGCUGCUUGCUUAUUUUGAUGAAUCUAUGGCUAGUAAAAUAGUUUAUAAAUCAUAGAGAAGUUGGAAUACAGUAGUUUUAACACCAAUAUAAAUAAAUAAUGAGUUCAUUACAGUACCUUUGUCAGGACCGGAUUCUCGGGAUAUUAAUUUCCCAGAAAAAUGGCCCUUGUGCUCACCAGCCCCAGGAUUACUAUUAGCUGAUGAGGCACUAACUCGAUACAGAAAUUCCAAGCAAAGUACAAAAUAUGUAGUACAAGACCAUUGUGGCCUAUGAGUACAACAAUUGGUUUCUAGUGGUUGAUGGCGGAAGCGGUUUGUUGUUCAUCUGCGUCUAUGGGACUCCAUUUCCCACAGGAACAGCUGACCAGGAUAACUCCUAUCUUCGCGAGGCUGCUAUCAUCAUUGCGUAGGUUCUGGGGCUGUCAUUGCAACGCUCCUCUCCAUGCAAGAAAUCUGGCCAAGACCAUAGCCAGGGACAAGCCAGUGAGUACUUUUGAAUGUACCCGCAAACAUUAUGAACACGGGUAUAAUAUAACAAGGGAUAAUCAUGCUCCGAAAUAUUCUAUGAUCAUAACGUCAGUCACGAAAUAAACAAAAUCCAUGAUGCACGCAUGCAGGUUGUUCAUAUAAAAUAUGAAUAUGCAAUACGGGAGUAGAAAUAGAAUGCACCGAUCGAGUGUCUGAAGCGACGCCUCGAAAGGAUAAUAAGAUAAAUCAUGCCUCAGUCGGGCGUCUGAGCGACACCACAUAAAGGGCUUAUAAAUAAAAGAAAUAACAAGCAAGCCACAGUCGGGCGUCUAUGCGACACCACAUAAAGGGCUUAUAAAUAAUAGAAAUAACAAGCAUGCCACAGUCGGGCGUCUGAGCGACACCACAUAAAGGGCUUAUAAAGAAUUUAAAUAACAAGCAUGCCACAGUCGGGCGUCUGAGCGACACCACAUAAAGGGCUUAUAAGAGAAUAAUCGCAGUGAGUAUCCAGGAGGUAGAACCGUCCCAGGGAUACUCAAUAAUUCAAAUAAUGUAAACAGUUAGUCCACAAUAAUAAUAAUCAUAAUCCUCAUAUGUCACAGGUCAUAAUCAAUGUUCUGGUUUAGCAGUUUUUCCUCCGAAGACCGACACUAAGACCGACACUUGACCCAUCCCAGACUAUAGUCCUUAACCAUGGACACGGCUAUUCGAAUAGAUGUUUAAUCUCUGCAGAGGGUGUACUCUUUACCCACGAGUAACGGAUUUCUUUGGUCCAUCGGGACUAAUUCCGCCUAUGGUCUUUUAAUUGAAAACACACCUGACCGCACACACCAGCCUAACUUACCGGUGUCUGGAAUCACCCACAACACCCAUUAAGCAAAACUCUAAGUGGGGAGGCUACAAGCUCGACUUAGCAUGGGAUCACAAAAUUUAUAACGCGCGCAAACUAGGGGAGCUACCCCCCUCGGCUCCAACCGGAAACACCCAUGCCCCCGGACCAGGUGGCAUGCCUACCGGAUGCCUCCGGUAUCUUCCACCAUGGCCUCUCUGUACGGUGUGUGCUUGGUAAGGGGUUGACAACUUACUGACCGUACCCUACCUGCGGCAGGGACAAGAGGUAGUACGAAACAAGUAUGGGGGUUACUGGAACAAGACUCGAUCUACGGUCGACUCAGGAGGUUCAAGUAUUCCCUGUAUGAUUAGCAUAACAAAUAUAUUUCAAUUAACAGAUAGAAUCACCACUCAUCAUACCUCAUCAUGCCAUACCGGACACACUCGUCUCGACGAGGGACUAGGGACAAGCUCGUGUCUACCCAAGAUAGAGACUUUCCCGGCUUCCUUCCGGUAGGCAUGAAAGGCAUACAAAGAUGAUUAUUAUCACAAGCAUAUCCAAUUCUAACAGCAAAGAAUCUCAUUAUGCACUCAUGCGUAUGAUCGUAUCGUCACAUAAAAUAACGAAUGCUCCAUGUCAAGGUGGUGUUGUAACCGUAUCAAACAACACACAAAAAUAUUAUGCCAGGGUUCAGAAUGCUUGCCUUCAAGUUGUGGAGAGGCAGGGUGCAUUCCAGAACUUUUGAAAGUUUUCUCCUCUCUCCAAAAAUCCUAUUUUUGAAAAUAUUCAAAUUAACACAUAGUUUCAAAACAGUACAUAAAAGUUGUUUGGAAAAUUUUCAAAUACAUACUAAAAUAAACUAGACAGAAUUUGAGAAACAACAGAAAAAGAAUCAAGUCAUUUGGACUUAUAUUUAAAAAGUUAUAGCCAGUCAAAGUUUAGUCAAAGUUCUGCAAAAAAACAGAAAAAGAAAACGGUUCGGGGGCUUACGCUUUCCCCUAGCGAAGGCGUAUUCGGUGGAAUACGUUUCCACUUAAGCCAGCGUGGGUCGACUCGUGGGUUACUGACAGUGGGUCCCUUGGGCCCACUGGUCAGGUUUGACCAGUCGCCCGCGUCUCCUUCUCCUCUGGCCGAGCGGUGGCGGUGCUCCGGCGAUCGCCGUCGACGAACGGCGGCUCCCCGUGGGAUUCUGAGGGCGGGGAUGGAUCCGCUGGUCCAGGGCGGUCCUCCCAGUGGUUGAUAGGCUGGCGGGGGUGGAGGGGGUCACCGGCGGCGAGCUCCGCGGCGGACGGUGGUUUCGGGAGCAAUUGGGGGCUUGGGCUAUGGUGGUUCCCGAUCAAGUUUGAGAGGUGGGGUGGCUCCGCAAGGUCUAGGAGAGUCGAAUGGCGGUGCUGGAUGGAUCGGGGAGGUUCUGCUCGUGACGCAAGGUACCGUAGCGUGGCGGCGGCUGAACUGGCCGGAGACGAGGAACACGGCCUCCCUCCGUCGAUUGUUGGCUAAGGGAGCACUGGGGAGAUGGCCUGAGGUCGCCUGAGGAUCUGGACAAGCUCGGGGGCUCCUUUUAUAGGCGGUCGAGGUCGGUUCCCACGGCGGCCGUGGAUAAGAACGGCGAACCGCCGUUCUGUGGCUGCAGGGCGACGUGGCGACGAGCGCUUGCCGACGAGCUUACGGAUGAGCUCGAGCUGUUCCAGGGGGCAGCUGGCGCGCGCGGGUGGCUUGGGCGGCGCCGUCCAUGGCAGAGGCCUGCUGCCGACACCGGCGUGCCGCCAAGGGGCUCUGACGGAAGCGCUGUAGGGCGCCAGGGGAGGGCUUGGAGCGUUCUGGUGUGUGGACGAGGACGGUCGUGGCUCUGCAAGCGAGCAAGGGCAAGGGGCCAGACGCGGCGACCCGUGCGCACGCACGUGCAAAACGCGCGCUCUGGCCGCGCCCAGAGCACGCACGUCGGGUGCUCGACGAAAUGCCAUCGUGUGCUAGAGGGUUUGAGCGAGGCUGGCAGUUAACAGGUCUGGGAUAGAGUGGUCUAGGGGCUUAGUGGACAAGUUGGAUGGGUCAGGGGCUCAAGUUCACAAUGCAAACUAAAAAUCAUGCCAAAACUGUUCAUGCACUAAAGGUGUUUGACCAAAUGCUAAGGGCAUCUAGGCAACUCUUGGGGUGGCCAAAAUCUCCAGAUCCUAGUCUCUUUAGGUGAUAAAGAGGGUGGCAAGGUUAGUUUGUCAAAAACAAAAACUUGUUAGUGCAAGUUUUUGAGAAAACCAAUUCUGGACAGAAAGUAAAAGGCAUAGUUUCAUGGACCAAAAAUACUCCAAUGGGUCCACUCUCCUGGACUUAAUGGUUUUGUAGGGAGGACUACAAGCAGGAAAAAGCUCAUGGACACUAGAGCAAAAUAAAUUAGGGUUGCAGUAGAAAAAGCCAAACUGGACCAGAGAGCAAAAGAGGAUGAUUUGCUCAAAUUUUUCAAACAACACUCAUGGGUUUUUGCAUGAAGUUGAAUUAUAUGCAUCUACUGUCAUCUCCAAACACUUGGAAGAAUUUUUAAAGAAAUAUUUAAAUAGGUUGUAGUGCAAAAAUACCUACUGGACCAGAUUUGAAAAUUUGGUGUAGAGCUCAAAAUCUCCAAUGACCGAAAGAUAUUUUUGCAUAAAAGUGAUGUGGAAACAUCACAUGACAUCCCCAAAUUUUGGUUGAAAUUUUCAAGAAUUUUCUGAAAGGGUUGUAGUGCAAAUAGAGCUCUGAAACUUAUGAAAAUCAUUUUUAAAAGAAUAAAGCUCAGGAAAAGCAAUUAUGCAAAUAAACCCACUGAUAAAAGAAAUGUUUUCUCGAGAGGGUAUACAAGUCCAAUAAUAUUUUUGGAAAGUUUUCACUUGUGGUAAAAACUCCACAAUAUCAAAGAAAAGAGAGGUUCUGAAAUCAAAAGAUAAAUCCAGAAAAUAAAAAUUUCCUGGCAAAAUUUUAAUAAACAAAAUAUGGUUAUAUUUUUGGGGUGUUACAACCUUGAAGUGGUGUUUUGUUUUCUUUCGCUAACGGAGCUCACAAGAUUUUCUGUUAAGUUUUGUGUUGUGAAGUUUUCAAGUUUUGGGUAAAGAUUCGAUGGACUAUGGAAUAAGGAGUGGCAAGAGCCUAAGCUUGGGGAUGCCCAAGGCACCCCAAGGUAAUAUUCAAGGACAACCAAGAGCCUAAUCUUGGGGAUGCCCCGGAUGGCAUCCCCUCUUUCGUCUUCGUUCAUCGGUAACUUUACUUGGAGCUAUAUUUUUAUUCACCACAUGAUAUGUGUUUUGCUUGGAGCGUCAUUUUAUUUUCUUUAGCUUUGCUAGCUGUUUGAAUAAAAUACCAAGAUCUGAAAUUAUUAAAUGGGAGAGUCUUCACAUAGUUGUAUAAUUAUUUAACUACUCAUUGAUCUUCACUCAUAUCUUUUUGGAGUAGUUUGUCGUUUGCUCUAGUGCUUCACUUAUAUCUUUUAGAGCACAAUGGUGGUUUUAUUUUGAAGAAACAGAUGAACUCUCAUGCUUCACUUAUAUUAUUUUGAGACUAGUAAUGUGCUUAAUCCUAAUAUGCUAGGUAUUCAAGACUAGUAAAAACUUUCUUAUGAGUGUGUUGAAUACUAAGAGAAGUUUGAUGCUUGAUGAUUGUUUUGAGAUAUGGAGAUGGUGAUAUUAGAGUCAUGCUAGUUGAGUAGUUGUGAAUUUGAGAAAUACUUGAGUUAAAGUUUGUGAUUCUCGUAGCAUGCACGUAUGGUGAACCGUUAUGUGAUAAAGUCGGAGCAUGAUUUAUUUAUUGAUUAUCUUCCUUAUGAGUGGCGGUCGGGGACGAGCGAUGGUCUUUUCCUACCAAUCUAUCCCCCUAGGAGCAUGCGCAUAAUACUUUGCUUUGAUAACUUGUAGAUUUUUGCAAUAAGUAUAUGAGUUCUUUAUGACUAAUGUUGAGUCCAUGGAUUAUACGCACUCUUCUUCUUUCCACCAUUGCUAGCCUCUCUAAUACCGCGCACUUUUCGCCGGUAUCAUACACCCACCAUAAACCUUCCUCAAAACAGCCACCAUACCUACCUAUCAUGGCAUUUCCAUAGCCAUUCCGAGAUAUAUUGCCAUGCAACUUUCCACCAUUCCGUUUAUUAUGACACGCUCCAUCAUUGUCAUAUUGCUUUGCAUGAUCAUGUAGUUGACAUCGUAUUUGUGGCAAAGCCACCGUUCAUAAUUCUUUCAUACAUGCCACUCUUGAUUCAUUGCAUAUCCCGGUACACCGCCGGAGGCAUUCAUAUAGAGUCAUAUUUUGUUCUAAGUAUCGAGUUGUAAUUGUUGAGUUGUCCCCCAUAAGUCGGCAUGAGGCUCCGGACGAAAAAUAAAAAAAGGGAAAAAAGAGGCCAUAAAAAAAGAGAAAAGGCCCAAAUAAAAAAAUGAGAGAAAAAGAGAGAAGGGACAAUGCUACUAUCCUUUUACCACACUUGUGCUUCAAAGGAGCACCAUGAUCUUCAUGAUAGAGAGUCUCCUAUGUUGUCACUUUCAUAUACUAGUGGGAAUUUUACAUGAUAGAACUUGGCUUGUAUAUUCCAAUGAUGGGCUUCCUCAAAAUGCCCUAGGUCAUCGUGAGCAAGCGAGUUGGAUGCACACCCACUUAGUUUCUUUUGUUGAGCUUUCAUAUACUUAUAGCUCUAGUGCAUCCGUUGCAUGGCAAUCCCUACUCACUCACAUUGAUAUCUAUUGAUGGGCAUCUCCAUAGCCCGUUGAUACGCCUAGUUGAUGUGAGACUAUCUUCUCCUUUUUGUCUUCUCCACAACCACCAUUCUAUUCCACAUAUAGUGCUAUGUCCAUGGCUCACGCUCAUGUAUUGCGUGAAGAUUGAAAAAGUUUGAGAACGUCAAAAGUAUGAAACAAUUGCUUGGCUUGUCAUCGGGGUUGUGCAUGAUUUAAAUACUUUGUGUGGUGAAGAUAGAGCAUAGCCAGACUAUAUGAUUUUGUAGGGAUAACUUUCUUUGGCCAUGUUAUUUUGAGAAGACAUAAUUGCUUUGUUAGUAUGCUUGAAGUAUUAUUAUUUUUAUGUCAAUAUUAAACUUUUGUCUUGAAUCUUUCGGAUCUGAAUAUUCAUACCACAAUUAAGAAGAAUUACAUUGAAAUUAUGCCAAGUAGCAUUCCACAUCAAAAAUUCUGUUUUUAUCAUUUACCUACUCGAGGACGAGCAGGAAUUAAGCUUGGGGAUGCUAAUACGUCUCCAACGUAUCUAUAAUUUUUCAUUGUUCCAUGCUAUUAUAUUAUCUAUCUUGGAUGUUUAUGGGCUUUAUUUUACACUUUUAUAUUAUUUUUGGGACUAACCUAUUGACCCAGAGCCCAGUGCCAGUUCCUGUUUUUUCCCUUGUUUCAGUGUUUCGAAGAAAAGGAAUAUCAAACGGUGUCGAAACGGAAUGAAACCUUCUGGAGAAGUUAUUUUUGGAAGGAAAGCAACCUGAUAGACUUGGAGUGCACGUCAGGAAAGAAACGAGGGAGCCACGAGGUAGGGGGGCGCGCCCACCCCCUAGGGCGUGCCCUCCACCCUCGUGGGCCCCUCGUGGCUCCCCUGACAUACUUCUUUCGCCUAUAUAUCUCCAUAUACCCUAAAAUCUUUGGGGAACAGAAUAGAUCGGGAGUUCCGCCGCCGCAAGCCUCUGUAGCCACCAAAAGUCAAUCGGGGCACUGUUCCGGCACCAUGCCGGAGGGGGGAACCCUCACCGUGGCCAUAUUCAUCAUCCCGGCGCUCUCCAUGACGAGGAGGGAGUAGUUCACCCUCGGGGCUGAGGGUGUGUACCAGUAGCUAUGUGUUUGACCUCUCUCUCAUGUUCUUCAUUUGGCACGAUCUUGAUGUAUCGCGAGCUUUGCUAUUAUAGUUGGAUCUUAUGUUGCUUCUCCCCCUCUACUCUCUUGUAAUGGAUUGAGUUUUCCCUUUGAAGUAAUCUUAUCGGAUUGAGUCUUUAAUUAUUUGAGAACACUUGAUGUAUGUAUUGCCGUGCAUAUCUGUGGUGACAAUGGGAUAUCACGUGAUUCACUUGAUGUAUGUUUUGGUGAUCAACUUGCGGGUUCCGCCCAUGAACCUAUGCAUAGGGGUUGGCACAUGUUUUCGUCUUGACUCUCCGGUAGAAACUUUGGGGCACUCUUUGAGGUUCUAUGUGUUGGUUGAAUAGAUGAAUCUGAGAUUGUGUGAUGCAUAUCGUAUAAUCAUACCCACGGAUACUUGAGGUGACAUUGGAGUAUCUAGGUGACAUUAGGGUUUUGGUUGAUUUGUGUCUUAAGGUGUUAUUCUAGUACGAACUCUAGGGCUGUUUGUGACACUUAUAGGAAUAGCCCAACGGAUUGAUUGGAAAGAAUAACUUUGAGGUGGUUUCGUACCCUACCAUAAUCUCUUCGUUUGUUCUCCGCUAUUAGUGACUUUGGAGUGACUCUUUGUUGCAUGUUGAGGGAUAGUUAUAUGAUCCAAUUAUGUUAUUAUUGUUGAGAGGACUUGCACUAGUGGAAGUAUGAACCCUAGGCCUUGUUUCCUAGCAUUGCAAUACCGUUUACGCUCACUUUUACCACUUGUUACCUUUCUGUUUUUAUAUUUUCAGAUUACAAAAACCUAUAUCUACCAUCCAUAUUGCACUUGUAUCACCAUCUCUUCGCCGAACUAGUGCACCUAUACAAUUUACCAUUGUAUUGGGUGUGUUGGGGACACAAGAGACUCUUUGUUAUUUGGUUGUAGGGUUGUUUGAGAGAGACCAUCUUCAUCCUACGCCUCCCACGGAUUGAUAAACCUUAGGUCAUCCACUUGAGGGAAAUUUGCUACUGUCCUACAAACCUCUACACUUGGAGGCCCAACAACGUCUACAAGAAGAAGGUUGUGUAGUAGACAUCACGCAACAACAAAUAACUCCAUACACCUGGACAACUAACACAAGGCCUGAUUUUAGCAUCCACACGUGAACGGAACCGUCAAAUCCAGGUAUUCAACACUCCUCUUUCUUAAAUGCAGACGCGCGUGGCUGCAACUUGAUGAUAAUCUAAGACGUGCACAUUUAGAAGCCCUUCUAUGCCACUCCAGAACCCUUUGUUGCUUUUCGUAAAAUACUCCCGUGAACUCUGCGGGAGGGGAGGUAAACUUAAUGGUCAUGGUCUCCAGAUCCUUUGCACUAAGAACAAAGAACAUCGCAAAUUCAGCAUAACUCCCAGAGCGAACAUAAUCUUCCAGCGAUACUGUCUUCAGACAAACGUCGUGAUGUUUGAGAAACUGCCUGUACUUACGACGCCAUUUGUUAUUUUCACCAUGAGAAAUCAACGAUCCCUAAAAUAUAGAUAGGUUGAAAAAAUUUAGCGUCUAUAAAAAGAGAUACAAACCAUCAAAAAACCAAAUGAAACAAUUAGUUCUACCACCUCCGUAACAAGAAGUUAGACAUAGACUUGUCUAUAUAUGGAUGUACCCAACAAUAAAUCAUGUGUAGAUACGGGUGCAUCAAUUUCAGUCAAAAUUAAGACAAGCAUUUUGAAAAGGAACGAGUACUACAGUAUGCACAUUUCUGAAGAUCAUCACCUCGACAAACAAGUUCUCCAGUUUUGGAAAGCAUUGCAACAAUUCAACGACGGUGUCCACCUUAUAAUACAUGUAGAUAAGCAAGGUCUUGACAGAUUGACGCAUUGUUGUUAGACUGACUGCCUUCAAACCCUUGAUGAAAAUUAACAGAAGAUGGUUCACAAAACUAAUAGCAUAAAGGUUGGAUGAAAUAAAACUUGUUUCCUCACAAAUAAAGUUAAGCUGGAAGUAUCAUAAAAACUCAAUACCUCAAGACACGUGAGACGACAUGGAUACGGUUCAGACGCAAAGACAACGGUUACCUCCAAGUCCUGACUCUGCAUGAAGAAUAGAACAUAGACCAUCAAAUUAAUAGAACAAACAUCGUAACAAGUACAGCUCUGUUCCAAUAUGAAGGAAAGUCAGUACCCCAAGACACAUCGAGGGAGACACAAACACGAAUUCACCCAACGUCUCCAGUUUAGGUGCAGAGACAACGGUUAUCGAACAGUCGUCAACCAGACAAUCAACAAUCAACCGUCGAAGCGAAGGGGCAUCCUCAAUAAUGAGUUCUCCGUGUGGACAACAAAUGCCAAUGCUUACAAGGUUAGAAGAGUUUAUUAUGACGCGACGGCCUCCUCUAUUGCAAACAAGCAGGAGAGACUCGAGUGCAGGGCAACUAGAAUGGAUUAUGCUUUGCAGCGAGGCGUCUGAUAUAUCAACCUCCACAAGCGAGAGUCUUUUCACCAGUGUUAGCUUAAGCGUCCCUACGUAAUUGUCUGAUAUUUGGCAAAGAGCAAAGCCGAGGGUGUGGAGACAGGAGGAAAACCGAAACACGGACUCCGGUGCCGAGGGCGUAGUUGAAGUGCAUAGAUCCAAUAGAGUUACCUCUUGCGUCAGAAAUUCUGGGAAGAGGUAGUAGAACUCAAGAACCUGAAUAUUGUUCAACUUCCAGGAUCUGAGCCAGGCAUCAACGGUGGAGGGCCUGCACUAUAGGUAGCACGCCGGAAUAGAGAGGUGGCUAACCGAGCCAGCAUGGCCGGACAGAAUGGAUUCCGGAAGACUGACAACAGGAUUUCGACAGAGCCGCGUUCCGGAAUAGCAUUUGCGAACGCGCUCCUUGGUGAAGGCGCACAGAUUAGAUAUGGUCUCGAUAUGAACUUUUUCUCCAUUGUUAAAAAGACGAGAGUCAGAGAUCUUGCGGCAGUCGAGAUUCAGAGGAGCAAUGGGCCACAAAGGACGCCAGCGACGUGCGAGGAUUCGAGUACGGAUGCCAUCCUUCAUGGGAAUACGAGAGAUGAUCUCACCUAGGACGCCGUUGGCGAGAUCGCUGAUGCGGUCCGCAUGACAUCCCUCUUCUUCCUCCUCGGAUCGAGAGGGAGCACGAUCGCCGCUUCCAUCCCCUCCGACGACCAGCACACCACCAGAAGGCGGCGUCACCGGUGGCGCCACUCUCGACCUCUUGAUGCUACGAGCAGCGCUUUCCAUCUCCACCUCCGUUACUGGGGUGGCGCCGCCCACGACCAGUGCUCACUGAGGUGGAUCUGGAGAAAUGGAUUGUAGCCUGUCAAUCCACGAAAUGACUUAAAUACCCACGAUGGGGAGCGGAGGGGUCCAGAUUAAUUACCUCUUUUUUUCUUUUGACGGGAGAGUCCGGGUUAAUUGCUACUCGUAACAAGUAAAAGGUAGGUGACUGCUUGAAACAAUAAAUAGAGCCAUGACUUUCUAGGUACGAGAUGCACGGGUGAAGACGCAAACCAGGCACGGGCGUGCCCAUCCGUGUUUUAAUUAUUUACGGCACACAUUCAAUAGAAGAAUCUGUUUGACGCCAGAAGCACGGUUCUACAGUCAUCUUGCCUCUACGAGCAGCAAAAUUUUCCACGGGCACGUUCACAUUUAAGUCAAUAGAAGAUUCAAGGCCGUGGCUCUACUUUGCAGAUGAUUCCGCUGAAACGCUUGUCAGUGUCAAAACCGGCGGAUCUCGGGUAGGGGGUCCCGAACUGUGCGUCUAAGGCGGAUGGUAACAGGAGGCGGGGGACACGAUGUUUACCCAGGUUCGGGCCCUCUCGAUGGAGGUAAUACCCUACUUCCUGCUUGAUUGAUCUUGAUGAUAUGAGUAUUACAAGAGUUGAUCUACCACGAGAUCGUAGAGGCUAAACCCUAGAAGCUAGCCUAUGGUAUGAUUGUUGUUGUCCUACGAACUAAACCCUCCGGUUUAUAUAGACACCGGAGGGGGCUAAGGUUACACAGAGUCGGUUACAAGGGAGGAGAUCUACAUAUCCGUAUUGCCAAGCUUGCCUUCCACGCCAAGGAGAGUCCCAUCCAGACACGGGACGAAGUCUUCAAUCUUGUAUCUUCAUAGUCACACAGUCCGGCCAAAGGAUAUAGUCCGGCAUUCCGAGGACCCCCUAAUCCAGGACUCCCUCAGUAGCCCCUGAACCAGGCUUCAAUGAUGAUGAGUCCGGCGCGCAGAUUGUCUUCGGCAUUGCAAGGCGGGUUCCUCCUCCGAAUACUCCAUAGAAGAUUUUGAACACAAGGAUAGUGUCCGGCUCUGCAAAACAAAUUCCACACACCACCGUAGAGAGAAUAAUAUUUCUACAAAUCUAAUCUGCUGACAGCUUUUCAUAACGUGACGUUUUGCCAUGUCUGGUCAUGACGAACCAUUUUUCCGAGCCUGCCACUGCACGUGUUGUGAGGCGGUUUUAUUGGCACGUCCUGUCGAAGCAGAGAUCGUGUCCCUCUUUUCACGGGAUUCUCAUCAAUAUGUGUGCGGGUAACCCAACCGCGCCAUCAAUUAUGGCGCUUGGGGGAUAAGCGGUUUUUACCGGGCAAGCGGGAAGGCACAGAAUACCUGCUGCCUUUAUAAGGGGAUAAGAACACCCAAUCGCUCCCAUGCUUUUUUCUUCCCGAUCCAUUCCCCUCCACCCGAGCUCUAGCGCCCAAGCGUGCGUCUCUUCUGCCCACAAAGGCCUUCCGAAAAUGUCCGGAUCUGGAGCAGGAGGCAAGUGGAUGGCCUCUACCGUCCGGGAGUAGGAUAUCAAAAAGCUUCGGGAGGCCGGGUAUCUGGCCAAGAAAAUCAGCCACCGUCUCCCGACGGCGGGACAAAUCAUCCCUACUCCAGAACCCCACGAGAGGGUUGUAUUCCUCCCUCGCUUUGUCCGCGGGCUAGGGUUUCCCCUUCACCCGUUUGUUCGCGGCAUCAUGUAUUACUAUGGGAUCGAUCUUCACGAUCUGUCCCUGAAUUCCUUCCUCAACAUCUCGACAUUCAUUGUCGUGUGCGAGGCUUUUCUCCGCAUCUCGCCACACUUCGGCUUAUGGCUGAAGAUCUUUAAUGUGAAGCCCAAGGUAGUGGGCGGUGAGCACGCCGAGUGCGGGGGCGCUAUGGUGAGAAACAUGCCCAAUGUCAUAUGGCCAACAGGCACCUUUAACGAUUCUGUCAAGGAGUGGCAACAGCAGUGGUUUUACAUCACUGAGCCGCGUGGCACGGAAUGAGCCGCUACUCCUGAGUUUUGAUCUGGUGCCCCCCUGCGGCUUACAUCCUGGGUCAAGAAGGGCCUGAACUGGUCCUCGUCUGAUGAACUGUCGGUGCUCCCAACGCGCGUUAAAGAUAUGGGAGACAAGAACAUUGAACUUGUCAAUGUAGUCCAGUUGAUGUUAGUUCGCCGGAUCCUGCCUUGUCAACACCGGACUUCCAAUCUAUGGGAAUUCGAUCCGGCCAGGCACCAAACCUUACGAGAGCUUUUUGGCUCCUCGCACAAGGACAUCUAGAAGGUGCUUUUCAAGUCCAGCAAAUCAUGGCCGGACUCCGCCGAGGACCGCGGGUAUCAACUGUCCCGCCCUGCAAGUUCGGUAAGUCAUCAUACUUUUCAUCCGCAUAACCCAAAGGAAGCGCUUAACGUGUUUUCUACAACUCUCCCAGGGCUGGACGAAGAAGGCGGAGCGGAUCCAUUGUCCGGCCCCGCUGCCUGAAGAACCGGCCGUCCCACUUCUAACGAAGAUGCUGGUCCCGGCGCCUUACAAGGUGCCAAAGAAGAAGGCCAAGAAGGAGACCAAAAAGACCCGGGGAGGUCUUCAUCGCUGCGACACUUCGGACACAAUAUCCGAAGGCUCUGAUGCCCGUUCCGCCUCCGAAGAGGAGGAGGAGGAGGAGAAAGAUGAAUCCCCUACGGGAGGAAGGAAGAAGAGGACGGCCUCCGUACACUUGGAGGCCGAGCCGCCCAAAAGGGGAAAGGCUCCUCUUCCAGAGGAGUCCACUGCCGCCGCCGACAGCGGCUAGGCGUGGGAUCCCAGGGCCCAGCCCCUGGUGAACUCGUGAGUAAACAAAAUCUGAGUACAACUAUGCGUCCGGACUUGUCAUGUAAUGGUAUUUUAACCUGAGCCAUAUUUUUUGUAGUCCGGAGAGGUCCCGUACCAAACAAUCCUCAUCAGAGGAUUCGCUGAACUCGGAUGCUAUGGAGAGCGGGAUGCCCCCAAAGGCCCCUUCCUCCGAACAGGUGGAUAACACCGAGGCUUCGUCCCAGAAGGACCCCAACCAAGGAGGAGAGGGGAAGACCGCGAAGGCGGUGUCUGGAGGUCAAACUUCAGGGGUCGGACACAUGGGGGAGAAAAUUCCCAUGGGAGCUGAUGGCAGGGGCCAUCUGGAAUUCGGCUCCCAGCCGGAUACAGCUCCGGAGACCAAUACGGCUCCAGAGUCAGGCAGGCAGCCUCUCUCAGCUGGAGGGGACAUGCCUGUUCCACCGGCAACCUCUGUCCAACCAGAGGUGUCGGAUGCUUUGUUGGUGGCACUGAAGAGCGCCUCCAUCGUUGAUGAACACCGUGCCCUUAUGGGUGCGGUGAUUGGGAAGAUUCAGUCUGCUGAGAGUGGACUGAAUGGAGCCUGUAUCGGUCUUGUAAAAGGUUUUGAGGUAUGUUCUAUGAGGUUUCGAAGAGUGUCAUGGUAUAGAUAGUAGCCCCUGAUACACUGUUUGGUGAAAGAAGGAACCGGAUAGAGGAUCAAAUUUAUGUUUGCAGGAGGACUCAUUGAAUGACAUUUAUUUCUCUUCUGUUAUAAGCAGGCGUCUGUAGCGGUUGCUGCCUCUCAUACUGCGGAGAUCUCUGGACUGAAUCAAAGUCUGGAGCGGGCCAAAGAAGAACUUGGCCAAUUGAAAAUGUAGUUGGGAGAUAAACAAGGUAUGCACAAAUCUUGUUCGCGUUUAUUGCAAAUAAUUUUGCAGUAUGGUGGAAUAAGCUUCAUGAUUUGUGCUAGGGAUGGUGACCGAAGUCAAGGCUCUUAAAAAGGCUGUGGCCGAGUGUCGGGUGGUAGGUGCGACAUAUGCCAACGGGUGGCUUAUCAUUGUGGGAGCCAGUAAGACGUCGCCGGUGCCUGGAAACGGGAUGAGGCGAAGACAUGCACGCCGGCGAAUCUUACCCAGGUUCGGGGCUCUCCGUGGAGAUAACACCCCUAGUCCUGCUCUACGGGGUCUCCGCAUGAUCACUAGAUCAAGACAAGUAGCUACAGGUGCUCCUUGAGCUGUUGGGUUAGAUGGAGAAGAAGGGCAAGGCUAGCUCUCCUUUUCUCUCUAUGUGGUGUGUGUAAUUCUAUCAGACCAACCCCUUGCAUUGGUGUUCCGGGGGGUUUAUAUAAGCCUACCCCCCAGGGGUACAAUGGUAAUCCGGCUGGGCGCGGGUCCCAGCCAUCAGUGUCUAGGCUUGCCGGCUUCUCCGCCGGUCAUUGGGGCCCGACGACUGGUGGGUCCCGCCGGCUGCCAGCUUCUUGGCCGGCACGCCGGCCCCACCGCAUGGGGGCUUUGUCGGCGGUUGGUUACUGUUGCCUCACCUCUGAUGACGAGGGCUUUGUCGAGGUAAGCAUGGCUACAGUGUCGCCGCCUUGCAAGCUCUCACUGUAGCCUUACCUCGUCUUGUCUCCUUAACAGGGCGCAUGCUUCGAGGGAGGGAGGUAGCCGGCUGUUGGGAGCCGGCCACAUCCCUGGCCGACUAGAGGAGGCAGGGCCGUCUCCAGAUGUCUCCCUGGCAAAGAGGCCCGCCGCCCGCGGGCCGUUCUGGCACCUGUCGUGGGUGACGUCGGGGCCAACAUGGCUAUAGUGCUGCGCCGGACGGGGGAUGGCUGGCCCGUACGGCGCUCUGUGGCCAUGCCUGUUCCGGGACUCGGGGGUAGUGGGUUGUACUGCGGCCACGCCCCAUCCUAUCAACGUUAUGUGGGUACAGUCUUAGUGGGUGCAGUCUUGGCCGGCUUCUGGGAGUCGGCCUUCUUCAUGGCCGGCUUCUGGGAGUCGGUCCUCUUGGGGCCGGCUUCCUGGAGUCGGCUAUCUCGUAUCUUUCUUGGGGGAGGUUCUCUGAGACUGGGUCGCCUUCUGGGAGUCGGCCCUGGGGAUAGCCAGCCGGGGGAAGACGGCCCUAUGCUUUGUAUGCUUGAAGGCUCGAAUGGCCUGAUAAUUUCUCGAAGAGCCAGGGGGAGUCGGUUAGGCUACCCGUGGCCAUUUACUCCGACACCGAGGCCGAGAAAAAGGCAGCCACAGAGCAGGCUCUUCGCGAGAAGCAUGAGGCCAGGGUUAUUAAAGUUGAGCAGGAGCUGCAAGAGGCCGUGAAGAAAUGCGAGACCUUGGAGCAGAGUUUAACGGAGAAAGAAUCCGAACUCGCCAAGGUGCAUCAGGCCACGAGCGAUGCCCGGGGGGAAACCCAAAGCGCCCUGCAGGGGAUCCAAGAGGCGAGGAAGAUCGCGGCAGGUAAGGCUUUUUCCCUGUAAAGCAAGUUUUUAGGAGAAGAUUAUGUUUCUAAUUUUGAAAUCGGAUUUCUCCGGGGGUGUUUGCGGAGCUGCCCCACAGUAUAUCGGAUGCCGCCCAAUUCUACCGGGCCGAAGAAAGGAACACUGCGGAUAAGCUUUUCUGGUCGCAGUAUUUGGCUCCGAAUUAUCCGGUGCCUUUUGCCGAUCAACUGAAACAGCUGAUCGAACUGCAUAAGGCGGCCGAAUUAGCCAUGAAGGAUUUGAUUAUCCGGCUAUGGCCCGCCGAGCCGAAUCCAAGCAGCUACUUCGGGCUCGUGAGGCGGCUUGUAAGCGCUUUCCCUCGACUUGACGUCAUCAAGCGGUCGGUCUGUAUAGAAGGUGCACGAAUGGCCUUCGCCCGUGCAAAGGUGCACUGGGGGAAUAUGGAUGCUGAGAAGCUGAUGACCGAAGGGCCGCCAGAGGGGAAGGAGCACCGCAAGCCCGAAUUAUAUUAUGAAAGUGUCCUUAAAGGAUCCUACCUUGCAGCGGAGCUAUGCACCAAGGACAUUAUAUUUCCAUGAAUGCAAAUCAUCUUGUCCUUUGUAAUGUUUAAACAAGGUCAUUUAUAUUAUUUGUUGCUUGUUAUAUAAAAGUUUAUCCUCCUGCGCGGCUGUUUUAUAUAUUAAUCCUGAGAGUUGGCCAGUCAUCGGCUUCUGCCCCCACGUAAGAAGUACGGGGGUGUUCGGGAUAAACCUGAUCACUCUUUAUCCCAAUGUUGGGUCCUUCGAAGGAGGUGUUCAGCACAGCGAACAAGGCAAUCGGACUAUAAGGCUUUAUCAUUCUCACUUAGCCACAGGAGCUUUAGGAAGGUAGGCGCAGCCCCUCUUCUUCGGAAGACCGCACGGGGGGCUCUAUAAGCACCUGAUCGGAAGAAAAACUGAUCCAUCACACGCUGCAUUGGUUAUGGCAUUAUGCGGAAGAAAUCCUUAAAGAUUUUGUAACCUCUCGAACAGCUGACCAGCUCUCGCCGGAUCAUGACAGUCAGUUUUCGGCUUUCUCUACUGAGGUGCUCGUCCGAAAGAACCGGGACACAAUCGCAGUAGUUCUCCCAGUGCUACCUUAGCCGAUAUAGCGGAACGUAAGGUACCAAAACAUGGGAGCCGGGCAAACCCAACUAUUGACCCAAGACAUGAUUCGGAGCUGAUGCAUAUAAUGUUAUAGGUUCGGGGUGCCGAACUUCCGCGAAGGUGUUCGGACUUUAUUGCCAUGUUAUGGGUAAUACGAAGCCCCUGGCAUGUUUUAAGGCAUGCCGCUGUAUACGGAUGCCACUUGACAAAAGAAUUUCAAUAAGAAAUAAUAGCAGGUAAGCGUCAUGUAAAUCCACAUGUUGUAUUUAAAUAGUACAUCUAUGCGUAUGAGUACAGGUAAUGUGAUAAUAAAAAAAGGAAUGUGACCGCGGAACCUGCUGAGACCAGGGGGAAGAAGCUGAGUCCGGUUCCGGAGUAUAGCCGGAUGGUCAUUGCGGGGAAUGUCUAAGGAUUCCCCUGCGCGUUCAAGCUGCCUCCGUAUCGCCCGUCCUAGUCUGCUCAAAGGUGAACCUACGAAGGAAAUGUAAGAAAUGUUUGCGUGCCAGAGAGCGGUUGAGCCGCCGACUGCGGCCUGUCCUGGACUUCGCCGGAGCGUUUAAUCAAGCUCUGGACGAGUCGGGCUAUCCUUCCGUGCAGUAGUUCGGAGUCCCUUGACGGUGUCCAGGAGCCUGGACGUUGACUCGAGGUUCGGCUGCAAGGUGCGGCUCGUUGCUUCUGCUGUUAAGGCGGUGGUGCCAUUAACCGUGAUGACGUCGCGUGGACCGGGCAUCUUGAGCUUACGGUAGGCAUAAUGUGGCACCGCGUUGAAUCGAGCGAAUGUGGUUCGUCCGAGCAGUGCCUGAUAAUCACUGCGGAAAGGGACGAUUUCGAAGAUUAACUCUUCGGUACGGUAAUUUUCUGGUGAUCCGAAGACUACCUCAAGGGCAAUGGAGCCUGUACAGCUGGCUUCCACACCUGGUAUAAUGCCUCUGAAAGUGGCUUUAGUGGGUUUGAUCGCCGAAUGAUCGAUGCCCAUUUUGCACACUGUGUCCUGGUAAAGCAGAUUUAGACUGCUGCCUCCGUCCACAAGGACUCGUGUGAGGUGGAACCCGUCAAUUAUUGGGUCGAGGACUAGUGCGGCUGGAUUGCCCUGGUUGGCGUUAACCAGACGAUCCGUGCGGUUGAAGGUGACCGGCCCUAGUUUAUAUUGUGGGACGACUAGUUCUGUUAAGUCGGCAUCCCUAAGGGUGCGUAUCCGGUCAGAGUUGGGAUUUUGAGUGGUGUUUACGACAUUCACCGAUUGAAUAUGCGGGGGGAAUUUCUUUUGCCCUCCUGUGUUCGGUGAUCUGGGCUCUUCGCCGCCAUCAUCGCUUUGAGAACCCCCUUCUCCGUGUUUGGCGCCUGCCCUGCCGGCUUGUUUGAAGUGUCAGGACCCCGAUUCCAAGUCACACCGAUCUAGCCUGUAACACCUCAUAUCACUUUGCGGCCUCACGCACGGUAUUCCCACGGGUGUCGCCUUACCAUGGCCCGGGACCGUUUGCGCCUUUUGGCUCACAUAUAUGACAGUGUCGCUAGCAUCCAUAUGACAGAGAACCCGGGCCGACAUGGCUAGUCGUGAACCAAAAGCGGCACUAACGUAUGGGGACAGGCAUACAUGAAUCAACAUCGAACGUGUCGGUCAGCAGCGUGCGAAUCCGGGCUGUAGCACUGGGCUAACAGGACUUCGGGAACCCGGGCUGUAGAAGGCUAGGCAGGACUCCAGAUGUCAGCGCGUGACAUUUCCCCGAAGGGACAGACACAGGAACGAAGUGAAUCACAUGCCGGCCAGUCAAGUGUUCCGGAGCAGUAGUGCUGGGCUAGCAGGACUCCGGUGAACCAGGCUGUAGCGGACUACUAUGGCUCAUGGAAGCACAAGACUACAUUUCCCCAUAAGAGAGGCUACCAAGGAUAAACAACUAGGUUGUCGGAUCCCACACAUACCAAGCAUUUCAAUCAUACACACAAUAUGCUCGAUAUGUGCAAAUACAACAUGGCAUCACAACAAGACUCUACGACUCAGAGUAUUUAUUCAUUAGGCUCCGAAGAGCCAGAUAUUACAAACAUGGGUCUCAUGACCCAACAUUCAGAGCAUACAAGUCAAAGCACAUGCGGAAGCUUAACCUGUCUGAGUACAGACAUCUAUAAAUGAAAAAGGCUGAGAAGCCUGACUAUCUACCAGAUCCUGCCGAGGGCACAAGAUCGUAGCUGAGGUAUCAAGCUAAACGUCGAAGUCCACACGGAACUACUAGCGAGACUGACGUCUCUCUGCAAAACAUAAAAUAAGCAAACGUGAGUACAAAUGUACCCAGCAAGACUUACAUCAGAACUAUCUACAUAUGCAUCGAUACCAAAAGGGGGUGGUGGAGUUUAACUGCAGCAAGCCAGCUUUGACUCGGUGGCUAUCCUAAGCUACAAUUGCAAGUAACUCUUUUGAGGUGGCGCACACGAGUCCACAUAUUCACCAUAUCAAUACACCACUAUGGAUCCGCUCCCGUCUCCCUACGAGAACGCCAUCCAUAGCACUCACGCUUAUCUUGCGUAUUUUAGAGUAUCCACUUUCACUUGUCUAUGAACUGUUAUAGGCAACCCAGAAGUCCUUUACCGCGGACACGGCUAUUCGAAUAGAUCAUAUUAACCCUGCAGGGGUGUACUUCGUCACACACGCUCUCGCCACUUACCACCAUGUACACGUCGUGUACCUCGGCAACCUUCAAGCGAAAGCCUGGCGAGGGAGUCGGCCACAGCCUACCUAAACACUCAAGUCUCUAGUCCAGGUUUAUCGCCUAUUCAGGUUCCAUCCCCAGGGAGUCCGGCCGAGGUUUCCACAUACGGCCCCGAACGAUGUGUGCAGGGUUCCCGAGACACCAAACGGGCGACUCGGUACACCGGGCUACGAGCCUACCGCAUCACAGCCCACCCCUUGGUCAGCGCUGUCCACGGCCUCCAGCUUACUACAAACACCAGAAACUACUUGCAACUCCUGGACAGAGGACAAGGGUGAUUAAGAAGCCGAGAGGGUCCAUUGGUUUCGGGCCCAAUGCGUGGUAGUAACUGUAUCAUGGAUCACAAACACAUAACUCGGUUCCUGAGGACGGCUUCAAUGAGACAACCCACCAUGUACUCCUACAUGGCCUCUCACCGCUACCUUUACCAAAUCAUGUUCACACACUUAGCUCACACACAGUAGGACAUGUUCAUCACCAUUCCAAUCCAUCCCCGACUCAGACCCGACUCAACUCUAAGCAGUAGCAGGCAUGACAAACAAGCAUGAAUGAGUAGGCACAUCAGGGCUCAAACAACUCCUACUCAUGGUAGUGGGUUUCAUCUAUUUACUGUGGCAAUGACAGGUCAUGCAGAGGAAAAGGGGUUCAACUACCGCAGCAUGUAAUAGUUGAAUCGAUUGUCCUAACGCAGUAGAAGAGAGCAGGAGCGAGAGAAUGGGAUUGUAUCGGAUUGAAGAAGGGGGUUUUGCUUGCUUGGCACUUCUGAAGAUAUUAUAGUUCAUCAUCGGUGUCAUCGAUCACGUCAUCGGAGCAUCGGCUACUGAGAGGGGACGGUUACCGGCAAACAGAGAAGGACACAAUCAAUGCAAUGCGACAAUAUGAUGCAUGGUCAUGACAUGUCAAGAAUGUUAUGAUUUACACUAAUGCAUCUAGCAACAGUUUAAAUGAGGUCCAUAUGAACUAAGGGUUCAUAUGCAAGGGUUCAUAUGCAAACUCCAUAUUUAGCAUUUAUAAUGUCAUUAUCAUGUUUUCACCUAUACAGCAGGUAUAACUUAGUUGGACAUGCAUGAAAAUGAUACAGAUGGAUAGAUUGCAUUUUUCUGAUCAUUUUUCGUAUAUAAAUUAUUUCAUUCUGAUCUACGAUUGAUUUUAUAUGAUUUUUAGAAGUUUAUACUAUUUUCUGGAAUUUCCUGAUUAAAAUAAAUCCAGAAAAUGUAAUACUGCGUCAGCAUUGCGUCACUGUGACGUCAGCAAGUCAACAGGGGCUGGUCCGGGUCAAACCUGACAGUGGGACCCAUAUGUCAUCGACUCAGCUAAUUAAUAUAGUUAAUUAGCCUUAAGUUAAACCUAACCAAAAUGUCAGUGGGGCCGGGGACCCACAUGUCAAUGACCCAGGGGGUCAAAUCCCUGGUCAACCGGGGCUAAAUCACCGGCGUUUAACCGCCGGCGGCAGCAGACACGGCGGGAGGGCUCGGAAUUGCUCCUCCGGCGCCCAAUCGAGCAGAGGAGGGCACGCGCGGGGAGCUGGGGCUCGCCCGCAUCCAGAGCGGCAUGCGGCUGCAGCGGGGACGGACGGAGCUCGCCGGAAAUGAGCUCGGGGCGGCUCUGGCGUUCGGGUGUUUGUGGCUACGGGGCUGCAGUGGCCGUGGCAGUGCUUUCAUGGCACCUACAGCAACUACGCGAGGCGGCGAGCAUGUUGGACAUGACGCCCGGGCUGUUUGGUUGCCGGGGCCGCGUCGGCGGCGGGCGCCAGCGGCGGCGGGUGCGGUCGAGCUUGGUGCGGUCGCUACGGCAUGCGAGGAAGAGAACGGAGAGGGGGGAAACGGCCAGCAGCUCACCACGGUCACGACGAGCGGGUCGGCGAGGUCGGGGAGGAGCUGAUGAAGACGGGAGGUCGCCGGCGAUCUCGGCGGCCGAACGACGGAGACGAGGUCGGGGGCGACGCUUCGGGGCGUUUGGCGGGGCGUGACUCAGUGGGGAGGAAGAGGGGGUCGAGGCGAAGCUUCGGAGCACAUCUACGAGGCGAGGCGGUGGCUCUGGGCGCGGUGGUGCUCGUCGGCGGCGACGGCGCGCUCGGGCGUUCGCGGGAGAAAGAAACAGAGGGGGGAGGAGCACAGGGAGAGUGAGAUGGGUCGAAGCGACUGCGUGGCGUCACCAGAGAAGGCCAGGGCGUCGAGGGAGAGCGGCAAGCAGGAGGUGGCCGGCGCGUGGCCAGCGUGCGGCGAGCACGCGCUCGUCCUUCUGUCCAGGGAGGAAGACGACAGGGGGGCUAGCUGGGCUGGGCCAGCGAGCUGGGCCGGCCACAGGUAGGUGGGCCAGGUAGUCCUUCUCUCUCUCUUUUAUUUCUGUUUUCUGUUUUCCUAUUUUUUUCAGUAUGUUUUGAUUUAGUUCAAAGACCAAACCAUUUUCAAAAUUCAUGAAAAUAAUUGUGUAAACCAAAUGGACUUAUCCAAAGCUACACAACAAUUUCCAGAAUUAUUGAACAUAUAUUUAUUAUAUAACAAUUAUAGAUCCAAUUCAAAUAUUUAUUGGAUUAAUUCAAAGGCCCAAAAUAAAUAUGUUAAACCUUCCAAAAUUAUUGGUUUGAAUUUCAUUCUUGCCAAUAUUUUCAAGGUUUAACAGGAACAUUUUCUUAGGCUUCUUUGAGAAGAUUUUAAUGCUGAUCAUUUUUAAAAGGUUUCUGAGGCUUUGAAAAUUCCUCAAUUCAAAUUUCAUUUGAAUUUAAACAUGAUGCAUGGAGGCAAGAAAAAUCAAGCAAGGGCUGAUCUGGGGCUGUGACAUGAAGACCCAGCAUUCUCUGUUGGUAUGGGUGGCUGGCGUUCCUGGGGUGCCAUGAAUUUGGCAUUAGCGGUCGAGUAUGCAGUCCAGACUGGAUGGACCCGAAUUGUUAUUUUUGAGUGGCCCUUUCCGCUGACCGGUCUUUGAGCCCCUAAACCCGGCAUUGACUGCCGUCUCUUCGGCGUUUUCACCAUAUUUGCGGCGCUUGUGUUUUUUGCGUCAUGGUUUGCCGUUGCUAUCCCUGGCUUUUGAUGUGCCAGGUUUGCUUGCUGUAUUGUUACUGCGAGCCAACCAGCUAUCUUCGCCCACGCAAAAGCGGGUCAUAAGUGUCGUGAGGGCUGCCAUGGAUUUUGGCUUCUCUUGACCGAGGUGCCGGGCGAGCCAUUCGUCACGGAUGUUAUGCUUAAAUGCCGCUAAGGCCUCUGCAUCCGGACAGUCAACAAUUUGGUUUUUCUUGGUUAGGAACCUGGUCUAGAAUUUUCUGGCAGAUUCCCCUGGCUGCUGGAUUAUAUGGCUCAAGUCAUCAGCAUCCGGUGGUUGCACAUAUGUGCCCUGGAAGUUGUCAAGGAAUGCAUCUUCCAAAUCCUCCCAACUGCCAAUGGAGUCUGCUGGCAAGCUAUUCAGCCAAUGCCGAGCUGGUCCUUUGAGUUUUAGUGGGAGGUACUUGAUGGCAUGUAGAUCAUCACCGCGAGCCAUGUGGAUGUGGAGGAGGAAAUCCUCGAUCCAUACCGCGGGGUCUGUUGUACCAUCGUAUGAUUCAAUGUUUACGGGUUUAAAACCCUCUCAGAAUUCAUGAUCCAUUACUUCAUCAGUGAAGCAUAGGGGGUGUGCACCACCUCUGUGCUGGGCUAUAUCACGACGCAGUUCAUACGAAUCUUGUCUGCUGUAUUCGGCCCGGCCAGAUUUGCUUUUACUAUAUCCGGCGUGACGGUCAUCGUCUCGCGUUGGGGCGCGCCCCCGUGAUCCGUAGAUCGAUCUCGCAUGUCCUGCUUUGUUUUCCAAUACGUCUCGCAGGUCUCGCGUGUUGCCCCGGGCCUUGGUAUUUUUGUUUGAAUGGCGGCGGGGUGCGGGCUGGACUUCGGGCUGGUAUGCCCCUCUGUCUCGGCCACGAGGUGGCCGAUCAGCCGCAUCAUACGCUGGUGAUGUAGGUUUCAAUGCUUCCUCCUCGAGUUGGGGUAGCAACCUGCGCUUUGGGUAACUCUUGGUUGGGCGCUCGAGUUCAUAUUCCUCGGCCGCCAGGACUUCGGUCCAUCUAUCCGCUAGCAGAUCUUGAUCGGCUCGAAGCUGUUGUUGCUUUUUCUUUAGGCUGUUUGCUGUGGCUAUAAGCCGGCGCUUGAAGCGCUCCUGCUCGACGGGAUCCUCUGGCACGGUAAAUUCUUUGUCUCCGAGGCUCACUUCGUCUUCGGAGAGAGGCAUGUAAUUGUCAUCCUCUGAUUCUCCGUCUGCUGCCUGUUCUAGAGGGCUAGCUUGUUCAUCCUCCCGCUCGAGAUCUGGCUGGAGGGGAUUGUCGUCGUCUUCGGCACUAUCCGGAGCGUUAUUGUCUCUUGGGCCGGUAUCGCUGCUAUGGCGGGACUUAGAGCGGCGCCGCUGACGUCGGUGCUUGGAUUGCUUCUUGGAGGGAUUAUCCUCCGUUGUCUUAUCGCCAUCCCCCUCUUUGGGGGUGUCCACCAUGUAUAUAUCAUAUGAUGAGGUGGCAGUCCAGCGCCCUGUGGGCAGUGUUCCUGUUCGUCUCCUGCAUCGUCGUCCAUACCGUCGAUGUCUUCGGAGCCGAAAUUGAGCAUGUCGGUUAAAUCGUCGACAGUGGCUACUAAGUGGGUGGUGGGUGGGGAGCGAAUUUCUUCGUCGUCCGCAUCCCAUUCUAGCCGGACAUAGUUCGGCCAAGGUUCUCCCGACAAGGAGAGAGAUUUUAAUGAAUUUAGCACAUCGCCAAAAGGCGAGUGCUGAAAGAUAUCCGCGGAAGUAAAUUUCAUGAUCGGCGCCCAAUCAGAUUCGAUAGGCAUGGACGCAGGCGGUUCGGGACCUGUGGCCGGGGAUGAAUCCGAGGAUCCAGCGGCACAGGUCCCAUAGGAGGUGAAGUCAGUAUUCGGCUCUAUCGCCACUAAGUGUGUGACCUCCGAGGGGGGUCCAUCCACCCGUCCUCGGACGGCGUAAUCGACUCCGGAUCUAGGGCCGGAGUAGGCACAGGUGUGAUCUCCCGAACACCGUCUGGCGGCAGAGCUAAGUCGUGCUCGUCGUGACUGUGCGCCGCACCUGACAUGUGCUCGAAUCCGUCAAAGAUCAAGUCUCCGUGGAUAUCGGCAGUAUAGUUCAAGUUUCCAAACCUGACCUGAUGGCCAGGGGCGUAGCUCUCGAUCUGCUCCAGAUGGCCAAGCGAGUUGGCCCGCAGUGCGAAGCCGCCGAACACGAAGAUCUGUCUGGGGAGGAAAACCUCACCCUGGAUCGCAUCGUUGCCGAUGAUCGAAGGGGCCAUCAAACCUUGUGGUGACGGCACAGUGUAACUCUCAAUGAAAGCACCAAUCUCGGUGUCAAAACCGGCGGAUCUCGGGUAGGGGGUCCCGAACUGUGCAUCUAAGGCGGAUGGUAACAGGAGGCGGGGGACACGAAGUUUACCCAGGUUCAGGCCCUCUCGAUGGAGGUAAUACACUACUUCCUGCUUGAUCGAUCUUGAUGAUAUGAGUAUUACAAGAGUUGAUCUACCACGAGAUCGUAGAGGCUAAACCCUAGAAGCUAGCCUAUGGUAUGAUUGUUGUUGUCCUACGGACUAAACCCUCCGGUUUAUAUAGACACCGGAGGGGGCUAGGGUUACACAGAGUCAGUUACAAGGGAGGAGAUCUACAUAUCCGUAUUGCCAAGCUUGCCUUCCACGCCAAGGAGAGUCCCAUCCGGACAUGGGACGAAGUCUUCAAUCUUGUAUCUUCAUAGUCCAACAGUCCGGCCAAAGGAUAUAGUCCGGCUGUCCGAGGACCCCCUAAUCCAGGACUCCCUCAACGCUCACGGACAAAAGCAAUGAAGCGUGGCAGAGGCACGGCUUGUCAUGUACCAGACACACGGUCCUGCCUUCGGCAUUGUGACGCAUUGUUCUACAUACCAUUGAACACACAGAGGCAUGUAGAACAGUUCGUGUCUACGUUCGUGUCUCUUUGUGUUCCAAAUGAUUCCAUUGACUCUAACACCAGGAGAGGCACGGUAUGGAGGCCCAGAGAGGCAUGCUUGCAUUUUACGCGGGAUCACAAUUAUCACAGGCACGGCCAUGAAGCGCUCAAAGGCAUGGUCGGUGGUAUUACAUAGAGUCACGCUAACCUUUGUCUUACACACAGCCACGGGCGUUUACUCUGUGAGGCACGGAAUGGCCUAUACGAGAGACUCUGUUUUAAAAAGCUUAUUUCCUUGUAUUUAAAAGCACAGACGUGCAGUCCAUAGUAUAUCAUUCGAAAAGGGCGUCGACGUUCGUGGCUAUCUAUGUUUCAGUGUCAAGGGUCACAAGCACGGGCAUACAGCCCUCAAAGGUUUUCUAAUUACAUAGAGUCACGCACAGAGGUUUUCUAAUUAUAUUCAGAAUGAGUCCGUGGAGAGGCAUGGUUUAUUCUUACCCGAAGUCACGAUUGUGCGGUUAUUACGGAAACCUAAUAGAAUCGGGCGAACCGUCAAGUGUGUCAGUGUUUCAGGUCAGAGGUCACCUUCGUGUCUCUUUGUGCUCCAAAUGCAUCCGUUGAUCUAUCACCAGGAGUGGCACGGUCAAGAUGCUCAGGGAGGCAUGCUUGUGUUUUACUUGGAGUCACGUUCGUGCGUUAAUUGCGAAAACCCAACGUUUCGACGGGUGUCUCCUCGUAUUCGGGUGUGAACACCACGUGGCACCACUCGGGAAACCCAAGGGUCCGACGGGCGUCCCCUCCGGUGACGCCGCUCUGGCUCGUAGCCCGAGGCCAGGCUCCGGCUAUUUAAGCAGGACAGGAUCUUGAAACCCUAGCCACACCCUCUUCCCCCCUCUGCCUGCCGCCAGGCUAUCCAUUCCUCUUGCUGCUCUCCAUCCUGACCCUCUCUGCCAUGGCUGGGCAGGAGGACACUACUGCGGAACCCCGUGCCCAGACACUAGAGGGGAUCAAGGCUGGCGACAGUUCCUCAUCUGUAAGUUCACUCUGCUUCCGCUUCUUUUCUUUUUUUUCUUUCCUUCGGCUACUUGAUUUAGUUGUGAAACGUGAAUAAGCCAGACGGAAUCUCGAAACCCUAGCCACAUCCCCUUCAUCCUUUUAUCCGCCUCCAGGCCAUCCACUCCUCUUGCUGUUCUCUACCCUAACACUCUCCGCCAUGGCUGUGCAGGAUGACACUACUCCAGAGAGCCGUGUCCUGACGCAAGAGGAAAUCUCGGCUGGCCAGGCUUCCUCAUCUGUAAGUUCACUCUUUCUUUCGGCUACCCGGAUUAGUUGUGAAACAUGGAUCAUUGGGGUGAACUUCAUCCUAAGUUGAUGAUAGUGCGUCCUGCCAUCAAUCUGACACCUUCUCUUUUGUCCUGGUGAAGAACCGGUGGGAGGCUACGGAAGCUCACCUCUUGAAGAUCGUGGAGAUAUCCACGAGGUUGUAUGAUCUUCUGGAUGAGAAGACGAAGGCGAAGCUCAAACUUGAGUACGACAAGCUCACGCUGGAGACAUACGUUAUGAUAAAAGAGGUCAAGGAACUUCGCGCCCAGCGACCCUGAUCGCUGUAUCUGAAGCAAUUAAGCACUGGACUAAAAAGUUUCUUAUUUUGUCUUGCGUCACAUCGUAGUCAGUAACUUUGGUAACAAACGUGUUUUGGUUUCCUGGGUCAAGUUUAUGGGUACAGAUGUGAACAUUAACGUAAUGGCCAAUUCGAGAGGCGCUGUUUUUAAAAGCACGAGCGUGAAGUCUCUGCAACCAAGGUUCUUUGUACCAACUAGAGUCAUGUCUUGUGCACACCUGAAGGCGUGGACAUUCCUGCCUUUCUUUGUUUAAGUGUUUUGGGUCACAGGCACGAGCAUUAAGCGCUCAAAGGCAUGGACGAUGGUAUUACAUAGUCAAGCUAGCCUGUGACUCUAUAAGACGGAGACGCAAUGGCCUAUGUGAGGGACGCUGUUAUUAAAAUCUUAUUUCCUUGUAUUUAAAAGCACGGACAUGAACUCCCUACGGACACGGUUCCCUAUUGAGUUGCGUCACACAUCUUUCUUGAUGUUACGUAUAUUAUUUCGAUAUAAAAGGCAUGGACAUUCAUGGCUAUCUGUAUUUCAUUGUCUCACAGUGAAGCACGGGCAUGCUUUUAAACAAAGCACAAGCACGUCUCGAUUUGCAGAAACAGCACUGUCAUGGUUCUACAGGACGCUAUGUUCUAGGCUGUGUGCAGCAUGUUUCCACCCAAACGUUCACCACAGGGUCACAGACAUACACAGAGGAAGUGUCGUGCAGUGAUAACAGACGCACAGUCUUACAGAUACAAGAGGCACGAGGAGGCAUAUUGAUUAACAUCAUCAGAAAUGAAUCAGAUUAUACAUGCGCACGCAUAUAGAGAGAUGCAUAAAAAGUGGACUACAAGAGAUAAACUAAGUUGGUAAUAGUAAACGAUCGCUGGUAUUAACUAAUAAUAGAACUUAACAAUAGGCAUACAACAUUACACUCAAACUUAUAGUAGAACACACACAGUAAAUAGAAGUCCUGAUCAUGACAGAUCGACUGGGUCACUGAAAACUCAAAAGUAGUAACAAGUCAAUGCUAGGUGGCUGCUUGAAACAUCAAAUAGAGCCACGGCUUUGAUGGUACGAGAUGCAUUGUUGUACUUGCAGACCAGGCAUGGGCAUGCCCCUCCGUGAUUUAAUUAUUUACCGCACACAUUCACAAAUCAUGCAUGUCUGUGUGAAUCUGUUCGACGCCGGAAACACGGUUGUACAGUCAUCUUCCCUCUGCAAGCGGCAAAAUUUUCCACGGGUACAUUGACAAUUAAAUCACUAGAAGAUUCAAAGGUCGUGCCUCUGCUUUGCAGAUGAUUCUGCUAAAACGCGGACAAAACCAAGUGAAGUGAUGGCAAAAGCACGACUUUUCAAGAACGAGACACAAUGUUCUACAUACCACACAGGCACGGCCGUGAUUCCACGUGCUUGAGUAGCAUGUAAAGACGUAAUUCUCUCACAGCAAACACCGUGAACCUACUGCCAGGCACUAUAUCCAUUUGUGAAACAGAAAAACAAACACAACCAUGACCCGUUCUGUUUGAAAUCUUUGCAUGAAAGAAGCACAGCGUGAAGGCACAUGAGGCACGGUUGGACACACAUCGCAAGCACGGUUAUUUGAAUUACUUACAGACAAGCAUUCAUAACAGAAGAACAGGCGUAAGAACAGGCGAGGCACCGUUACCACGAAAGCCACGGUUAUGCAGCCCCAGAAGCACGACCCAGAUUCUAAGAGUCACGGUUGAACACUCACCGGUGGCAUGGCCGUGGCUGCCUGUGCCCUUAGGUUAUUUUUAUCUCUCUGUCACGCAGCAGAGAAGCAUGCUUGUAUGCUUACAACAUCCACGUUCAGAAACCGACGCGGAUGCGGAAAAUAACAAGGAAACCUGUGCCUCUGAUAUUUUUCUCUGCCAAGUAAAAAUACAUAAAGAAGCAAAAGGCAUUCUUAUUUAAAUUUGUUUUAUUUCUAUAACUGCAGCAAAUUAACUUACAAGCUGUUCUUAUAACCACAGCACAAGAAAAUAAACAAUCAACACCCGCCCGCCCUCCCCACCGAUCGCUUGCUAUUUCAUCGCUCCACGUGCGGCCUUGUUUUUGAAUGUUCAGCGAUCCAUUCUUCCUUCUCGACCCUUGUGCAACCCUAGUAGCUAUUCAACCUAUUUACCUGUAAAAUUAAUAUUCAUACAUAAAAACAAAGCAAAAAAUUGCAGUCAUCACUGUUUUUUGCUUACGUCCUGUUUAAAUUGCAUUAUUACCUUUUAAUUUUUCUAUUGGUACUGUUCUCCGAUACCAAAAAGUCUCCACUUAGACCUUUCCUUUCUGGAAAUGGACUGCGCAGAUUCCGUGCCUUGUGCAGGCUUCCCUGCACGCAUUCUGUGUGCCUGGCUUGUGUGAUGUUCGAUUCUGGCGUAGAUGCAAGACUUUGGUAAAUGCUCCCUGCCGUCAGUGGGGUCGUUGGAGUUGCUGACGUCUGACGUCUUCCUCCUGGGCUUGGAGUGCAUUGUCCUGAGCCAUUUGAUGUCCUCGAUGGUGUUGUCGGUGUUGUUGGCCAUUUCAUUGAUCUUGCCCUCUUCUCCUGCUGCGAUUUCCUCUUCUCCUCUUCAAUCCUCAUCCUCUCCUGGACUUCUGGGUUAUCCGGGCAAUUUGUUUUCCUGUGACCCUUUACUCUACAACGGCCGCACUUGGUUGCUUCUUUGUUGCCUUUUCCUUUCUUCUCAGAACCAGCUUUGAUUCGAUCUCCCUUUUUCAUGCCCUUUGAGCCACUCAUGGGAGGGUUCUUGAGAGUUUCGGCAAGAAUGCAUGUGUCCGGUUCCUCUGCAAGUGCCGCCAUGACUUUUAUUUUCAUAUCUACCGUACACUCACGCAGCACACGGUAUGCCUUCUCUUUUCUGCAAGCAUUUGAACAGAUAUCCAACAACUCAGCGUAAGCGAGGCCGAAUCUCAUAGUUUCAUCGUCUUGUACAGUCAUGCUAUCACCUUAACUUGUAGACAGAACUUUCAGACUCUGAUAGAUUCCUGGUCCAUCUGGGGAUGACAAAGGAUUUUGGAAGUUGAUCGAUCAUGCCUGUUUGGUCCAUCACCUUAAGCACAUGGCAGCACUGAAUGCCAUCCCUACUCAUUUUCUUGCAGCUGCAACUGUAUAUUUCUUUUUGCUCGUCCACAUCUACCCUGAACUCAGACCUGUCAAAUUCCUCGCCCGGAUAAGGUUUCCACACAUUUUCUCCAGGCUCAGUAAUCUUUUUUUUAAAUACUGCCUCCCCUUUGCCAGAUCAGAGCACUUGAAGUAAGUCUGGUUCCGUAGCUCCAGCUGGAAUUUCCUGAAAAAUUCAUUCGUGUACACUUGACUUGCUUGUCUUUCAAUCAGAAAACCCGUCUCUAGUGAUGGCGCCUUCUCUUCUGUUCGGUGUCUUUUCUUGUCAAGCGUGGCGAGGCAAUUUUGCUGAAUCAUGUGAUACCCAUCAACAAACCUUUUUAUUGUGUCCCUGUGGUCGACGUAAUUCUUCCACAUCGAAUUCGUGCUCUCACUGCGAGUGGUUGUUGACGAGAAAGGAUAGAAGCAGUCCUUGAAGUAGGCCAGCACCCAGAAAUUUCGGAGUUCCCAUAGCGUGUUCAGGUGUUUGUUGCCUUCCGCCUUGUGCACAGAAAUUGCUGCUUUCCACGCACGCUCAAACUCGUCUUGAUCUAGUGAGUUUUUGACGAUUCGAAAUAAAUCAUCAGACAUCCCUGGGUGCUGCGCAAACACUGCUGCAUUAUUUUCCUUCAGGUUCUUCCUAAUAUGCCACCAGCAGAACCUGUGCCUCGUUCUCGGAAGAGCUUCCUUUAUUGCAGUCUUCAUCGCCUGGUCCUGGUCUGUUAUUAUGUAUUUUGGCUCUUUACCUCCCAUUGCCUCGACAAACAUGCUUAGGAGCCACUUGAAUGACCCUAUUUUCUCAUCCUUCAAAAGACCUACUCCAAACAGGACGGUCGACCCAUGGUUGUCGACACCUAUAAUUGGUGCAAAUGGCAAGCCAUAUAUAUUCGUAGAGAAUGUCGUGUCAAAAGACACGAAAUCUCCAUAUAGAUCAUAAUUCAUCUUACAUAAGGAGUCUGUCCAGAACAGGCUGCGCACUACAUUGUUCUCUGUCUCUUCCACAUGGUGGAAUCCCGGCCUCCGCCUCUGCAUAUCGGCAAACAGUUUCAUGGUGUCUGCGAUAUCAGUGCCGCGCUCUCCAGCCCUGUCCCGGCAUGCAAUGUUGCUUAUGUCAAUCGUGUCGAACAUAAUUUCUCGCCUCGGUUUCCCCAUGGCAGUAAAAAUCUGCAUAACCUUCCUUGGUUCUAACCUCGCCUUCUGCAACACUUGUAUAAAGAAUUUCUCCUGAGGUGUCAUCUUCUUAUAGCAUCUCAUGAACUUCAGCAUCCAAUCGGAUGGGUGAAGCUGGUGGUUGUGCUCUAGACGCACGUUCUUCAGAUACCAUUUCCUCCUAUAUGUAUCCCUCUUGGCUGUUAUUUGCACUGGGCAGCUUGUCCGGAUCAAGCAAUUGCUCCUUCUCUCCUUAACAUGUCUCUCAGUUGUUUUAUUCUGCCCUUCCUUGGUGCACUGAAACACCUGCUUGUCAAGCUGCUGAUCAUAUGUCGAUCUUCUCCUCGUUGAUCGCUUGGCAGCAAAGCCAACCUUUCUAGCAUAUCUGCAGAAAAAGAAAAAGCACUCAUCCAAUGAUCCGAAUACCAUACCACCCUCUGGUUCGAGCGCUUCGGUGACCUCCUGGAUCAUUGGGUAUAUGCCUUCUUUAAACAUGUCGUCCAUUUCUUUCUCUACAAUGGUCGGCGGCGCCAUGAUGAUUCUGUCUGCCGUGUCUUUUGUUCGUCUGAUCGCAUUCACUUCUGACGACAUCAGUAUCAUCGCCAGCCACAGGUCCACUUACAGCGGAGUUGCUGCUCUGUUGUUUGUCACACGCAGCAGCGUUGUUUCUGCAUGGCACGAUCAAAUCCAUAAAUGAGUCUGCAUCUCCACUGUUGCAUUGUGCAAUGCUGCUCCCUAUUUCUUCGGCACUCGUGCAACCAAGGGAUUGUGCUGCUUCUACCAUGAAAUCCGUGCUGGCACUGUACGAUACUUGCUGAUGUGAAUGUUGCGUUUCCUUCGAAAUGGAUCACUAGUGCAGAACAGGCCUUUAUCACCGGUUCGUAAGGGCCUUUAGUGCCGGUUCUGCAACCGGCACUAUGGAGUGGAGACUAAAGGCCCCCCUUUAGUACCGGUUCGGCACGAACCGCCACUAAAGGCCCACCACGUGGCGUGAGCUCGCGCUGUGGUAUGGGGGACCUUUAGUACCGGUUGGUGUUACCAACCGGUACUAAAGGUUUUUUUUAUUUUUUCUGAAAAUUUUGGAAAAAAAAAUUGAUUUUUUUUAUUUUCAAUUUUCUGAAUUAUUUGAUGAUUUAGUCUCUAAUCACCCCUCUUGACUACUCAAGUGUGGAUCACUCAUUCCAAAUCGUCUAACUUCCCGACCGGUCACCCAUCCUCUCACUCCCCUAGCCUGAGCACGCUUAACUUCGGAGUUCUAUUCCCUCUACUUUCCAAGUCUGCACUUGUUGUUUUCCUGGCAAUAGUAAGAUGUCAAUCCUAUUAACCCUCAGGAAUUUAGCUUGAGCAUGAAGUCACACAUUUCACUGUUUGAGUUUGAAACUAUUGUUUUAAAAAAAAAUUAUUUAGUAACACUAAUAUUUCUUGAAUAAUUAGUUUGACCACAGUUUGACCAGAUUUGACCAAAAUUCAAAAAAACUGAAAUAAUUAUUUAGUUUGACCACAGUUUGACCAGAUUUGACCAAGUUUGAAAUUUUUUCCAUUUUUCCACUCUAGAUCUUAAAAGCCCCGUAACUUUUUUCGUUAGGUUUUUGAGGAUUUUGAAAAUGUUUAACGGCGUACCCCCUGUUAAAUUUGGAUGUAACUUUUCGAGUUGAUGAUUUUUCAUAUAAAAAACUUUUUAAUCCGAGUUCGUAUGCAAAAGUUAUGCCCAUUUUACAAAUCCUAGAGAGAUUUUGCAAAUAAAGUCGAAAUUCAUAUUUGUAAAUUUUCCCAACAACUAGACCACAUAUCACAUAGGAAACUUAUUUUAUUUUAUUUUUUUGACAUUUCCAUCAUUUUCUUUUGUUUUUUCUAAAACUGAAAAGGCGGUCCACAGGGGGGGUUAGAGUUUGAAAAUUGCCCUAUAGUCCCGGUUUGUGUCUCCAACCGGGACUAUAGGUCAGACCCCUUUAGUCCCGGUUCAUGGCACGAACCGGUACUAAAGGUUAGCCCUUUAGUACCGGUUUGUGCCAGGAACCGGUACUAAAGGUGAUCGUGGGGCCCCGGCCUGACGCCAGCCUUCCACCACCCCUUUAGUACCGGUUCAUGGCACGAACUGGUAUUAAAGGUUCAACACGAACCGGCAUUAAUGCAUAGCCAUUCGAACCGGCACUAAUGCACACAUUAGUGCCGGCUCAAAAGCAAACCGGCGCUAAUGUGCUUGACAUUUGACCCUUUUUCUACUAGUGGAUGGAGAACUAUGACAUUUCUUUGCCUCAUCUGUUAUCCCCUUCGCCAAUUCUUGAACACAUGGCACGAAACAGAAUUAGAUGUCCAGAGCAGCAUAUGCAUUUUUUUAAUUUCUAAACAAAAGAUUUAUAUGACUCAUCAGGACUCAUCUGGUAUACCAAAACCAGACCCGUGCCUCUUCACCGAGUAUAAGCGGUACACCAGAGGCACUGUUCACAUUACACCCAGCAGCACGAAUGUGACCAUGCUACACACACAUCUGCACAAAGAGGCACGGAUGUGCUUCUGUUUACACCAUACAACCGGAGAGGCACAACAACAACGUAUACAAAAGAACAACUACACAUACAGCUGUCCUCCUGUUUUGCACUUUACCCUGUUCUUCCAUAAAACUGUUUGUGUGUUGAAUUGAAAAAGCAUAGUUCCGACGUCACCUUUGUUUUCCCAUGCCUCUCUUGUCCAGAAAAUCUUGGCGACAACCUCCGUGCAUUGGUGAUUUCGCUGACGAUUCUGAAUGCCAUCGGAGAUCCUUUGGAAGGACCACUCGUGUUGAACGCCACAGGUGCUCCUUUCAAAGGACCUUUCCUUAUGUUUUCAUCGAUCCGUGGACUACCACGAUACUUGCUUCCUUGUUCGUACACCUGCGUGUGGAAGAUACUACAAUUUAAAUAUACCAGACGAAAACAAAGAAAAAAUUGCUCACAAAAAAAUAUACAUUUGCUUUAAAUGUUGUUGCACGUUCGUAUAUGCUGUCACCUGUAUUGCUUUCUGGUGCUGCUGUAUGGUAGAAUUUAUUGCUCCUAUGUUUGAUUUUGUCGUUGGGAUCUUCUUGCUUGUGCAAACCGUACCGAAUCCUUGAACACCAAUGCUUUUGUUGCCAAUGAUCCUUUUGCUUGCAUCAAAGGAAAUUCUGUUACCCUGUACCUCUUCAUUAUGACCGCCUACAAACGCUGGGCCGUCACAACGCCUGCUCUGCGCCUUUGUGGGCAUCUGUGUCUUCAAAUCAAAAAAUAAUUAGAGGCACGUGCAACUAAAACUUCCACGUACGUUAAAACCAGCGUUUGAAGUUUUCGUCGUUACCUGCACAAUCUGCUUAGUGGAGUCUCUGCUGCUUAGAAUGCUCCUCUUGGCAGGUGUCUGUUGCACACCAUGCUCCUGGUUGGGACGUUUGCCAAGAACUUGUAUCUCACUCUUGACUCCAAUUAUUCCAUCCUGCAUGGCAUGUGCGUGUUUGACAGCAUCUGCAUCCUUGAUCUUCUUCUCGUUUUGUAGUAAUUUUUUUUCUUCCACCUCUCGAUACUCAACUGCAGAGUAGAUGCAUAGGAUAAACAGAUAUUACAGCAUUCAUCCAGGAUAUAUAAAUCAUUUUUGUUGUUGUUAAUGAUCUACUAUUUGGUGUUCUCAGUGGUGACACCUUGACAGCAAACGUCCCAGAAAUAAAAGACCAAACACUAAUGUUCAACUGCCUUACUAUUACCUGCCUCCCAUAAUCCUUGCCGAUGUCGUUCAAAGACCGACCGUCCCUGUUGUCCUGACCAGAUGACGCACUCCUGAACAUCUGCCCGAAAAAGAGACGUAAUAAAUAUAAAGGUUAUAAACCUGCAGUAUCAGUGUUGAAACUUUUCGAAGUCGAUAUCAACAGAGAUAUUUAUUUAGUUCUAUAUAAUUGACAUAUAUAAAUAUAUACAUAUAUUAAUUUUUAUUUAAACUACAACCUCAAACAAAGUGAGAUCCUCUGAUGCUAAUUUGCUUGUGCAACACUUAACACAAAGAUAACCAUGAAACCUAACAAAAGUAACAACCUCGUAUUACAAGGACGAGAGGAUACAAAACAAAAAACAAACUCAAAUCAGAGCUACAGUGUAAAACUAAACAGUUUUAUUCUAUGAAUCCCGACCACAACAAAUUCAUCAAUGAAUUGAAUCUCGUGUAUCAGGAAUCGCCACGCAAAAGGUGCCUUGAUAAAAAAUUUACUAACCUUUGAUUGCCGAAUCUUAUGCGCUGAUUGUUCGGAAGUCACACCUUUCUAAAUUGUGGGGGGAUCUGCUUCCCUGCAGUUUGUCAGCGAUCCCCUUCAAUGAUUUUGAAUCUCGGAGAGAGAGAAAAGAGAAAGAGAGAGGGAGAGAGAGAGAAAGAAAGAAAGAGAGGCUACUUCGUUUUUUUGCGUGCAGGAGAAGAAUAACCUGAUAGGUGGGGUGAGUUUUGCGACGCAUGAGAGAUGGGCAUGUUUCUUGGGCGUGACGAGAUGUGGUAGGUCGAAUUCACUUGACCGUCGACGACACUGACAAGUGGGCUCUCAGUUACUAAUUCCUCUAAGUCUCUCACUAACUUGUGGGGUCGGCCUUAUAUGAGUCCUACGAGGAGUACCUCCAUCUGAGGUGAGAAAAUGUGGUAGGUGGACUUCAAACUCAUACUGACAUGUGGGCUCUCAAAUAGUUCCUCCAAGUAUUUGACUAACUUGUGGGGUCAUCCGCAGAUGAGUUCCAGAUCUCUCUCCAUCUAGCAUCGGUGGCAACAGGCGAGCUCUCCGAAGGAAAGCCAAUCCUGAUCCCUCCGCAGAGUUCGCUCGUCAUUGAAAAAUUAUCGGUCUCCUUCAUCUCACUCGCCAUGGAUCUCAUGUUCAGGUAAUCCAUUGCAUCCUCACCAUGAUUAUGCCACCGAUUCAACGUUUGAACAAAAAAAAUUACCGGUGCUAGCAAUUCCGCGGGCUGCGUACACACCGCAUGUGCGCAACACAGCAGGUGGGGCGCGAUUUGAAUAUCGGUUCCAGAUCCAAUUAUCUUCAGUUGGUCCGUGCUCAAACUGUUGUGCCGUCUUAACAGUAGAGGGGUUAUGGAUUUAAAAUUAGGACUUAGCUAACCUCACUUUAAUCAUGCCAACUGCAUGCUUGCGCCGUGGUUUUGCUAACUUGAGUUAUAUCUCCAACCAUGCAAAACUUAAGCACUCGUCUUAGCUAACCAACUAGAGACGGGUCAAAUUAUUUGUAUAGAUCUGCAAUCCAUAGCAGAGAUCCAAAGGACUUACGUUUGUUUUUGCAAAGCAGUUACUAACUCAGAGUUAGAACCCGUCUUAGCUAACCAACCUGUUGAUGACGGUCUCACAUGGACUGCUAACAACUAUCUUACAUAGCUGACCUGGUAACGAUGACGUCUCAUGACCUCUUAUGUAGAGUUCGAUGAGAUGGACUCCACCCCAUAGCUGUCAGAGACUCAGUCUCAGUCUGUCGAUGGCACGGAGAUUGUCACCCAAGAUUUCAUGGUUCAUGACCAACUAGAGACAGAGAGACUAAGGAUCGAGUUAAAACGUGCAACGCACAAAAAGCUUGUCGAGGAGUACAGGACAAAGAAGCAGCUUGCUGCCUCGAAGUAGGUGUUUUUUAUCAUGCAUCUCGCGUGUGUCGUUGAAAUUUCUAUGGAAAUAAAUACCUCUCAUUCUAGCUGCAUUUUUAAUCACGGCUUAAAUAUUUGUCUGUGUUUUGCUGACUCGGCGUUUAUAUGUAAGGUUCUGCCAGAAAAACAUGUGGUUCAACAAUACAUUUGCUAAAGGUCAUUUAUUAUCCUUGUCCACAGAGCUGUUACAAUGGGUGAAUACGAAGAAGAGUUCAACAAAAAACUUAGCUUCCAGAAAUUCAUUACUGUCUGUGAAAAGCUAACAGAACCACAAAAGCAGCUUGUCAGAGAUAUUGGUUUUGGAUACCUUCUAGAUCUGUGCUGUCGCGAGCUUCCAAGGUGCUUCGUUCGCUGGCUUGUCCGCUGUUUUGAUUGCCCUUCGAGGUAUUUCAUACUGCCUAGUGGAUACAGAUUCCUUAUCAACUCGUACACCAUGCAUCGGAUCUUAGGAAUUCCACUGGGCGGGCGGAUUAUCCCUAGAAAAUGCUCAGAAGCUUUCAGAUGUCAGGUUAAGUCUGAAACUCGGUGUGCUGGGCACGCUCCAAACAUCAGAGAGUUAACUGAUCUCAUAACCCCAGAGCUGACAGGAGAAGUGUUUCAACGGGUUUUCGUGAUGUUUGCAACAGCGGUAUUUCUAUGCCCAACGACAUAUGAUUGUGUUAGCCCAUACUACUUAGCCGCUCUAGAAGGACCAGCAAGUAACAUAUCAUCAUAUGAUUGGUCCAAUGCUGUCACAGAGAAACUGGUGGCAUCACUCCAGACCUUCAAAGACAAAGGAUUCGCAGGCGCCCUGUGUGGCUGCCUCCUGAUUCCAGUGGUUCGUUCACUAACUUGUACAUUUAUUUAUACCCACAAGCAGCUACAAGAACAUGAUUAAUUUUUACCUCUUCCCCACUUGCAGAUAACGUAUUUUGAGUACCUGGAUACGAAGAUUAUGGACCUGGAACCUGACACUCCUACAAAACUUGUCAUGUGGGACACAGAGGCCAUUAAGAAUUAUGCUAACAUAGACCGCCUGUCAACAGAGGGCGGAAUUUUUGGGAAACACACGAUGAGUCAACUUUUCAUCAUUUUCCUUUGGCGAAGUUUUCGACUCAACAUAAUGACUUAGCUGCCAUGUAUUAAUUUGACUUGACUUUAAUUGUUUCCUUCCACAUGGCAGCUGAAAGACAUUAGGCGCACGCCUUUCCAACCACCACCUGGCUUUCAGGCGCCAUUUUUUCAAAUGAGUCCCAGACUAGAAGCCUACAUAGAAGAAUUUGUGCCUCAAGAAAAACUUUGUUCCGUAAGUGAUUUCCAGCUUCUGCACGUGAUUUUAUGUUUCAAAUGAUGUUCCCUAAGUUUUUACGAAACAGAUACAUGACCUAUUGUGUUCAUCCAGACAGUUUCCUAUAGUACGUUAGCUGUGCUUUUGUGUUAAAACUAGAAGUGCUUCAUAUAGGACUUUAGCUGUCCUUUCGUGGUCAUCCAGACAGUUUCCUAUAAUACAUUAGCUGUGCUUUUGUGUUAAAACUAGAAGUACUUCCUAUAGGAGGUUAGCUGUGUUUUUGUGUUAAAACCAAAAGUGCUUCCUACAGGACGUUAGCCGUGCUUUUGUGUUAAAUAUAGAAGUGCUUCCUAUAGUACGUUAGCUGUGCUUUUGUGUUAAAUAUAAAAGUGCUUCCUAUAGUACCUUAGUUGUGCCUUUGUGUUAAAACCAGAAGUGCUUCCUAUAGGACGUUAUCUGUGCUUUUGUGUUAAAACCAAAACUGCUUCCUAUAAUACGUUAGCCGUGCUUUUGUGUUAAAUAUAAAAGUGCUUCCUAUAGUACGUUAACUAUGCAUUUGUGUUAGAUAUACAAGUGCCUCCUAUAGUACGUUAGAUGUGCUUUUGUGUUAAAACUAGAAGUGCUUCCUAUAAUACGUUAGCCGUGCCUUUGCGUUAAAACUAACAGUGCUUCCUAUAGUAUGUUAGCUGUGCUUUUGUGUUAAAACUAGAAGUACUUUCCUAUAAUACGUUAGCCGUGCCUUUGCGUUAAAACUAACAGUGCUUCCCAUAGUACGUUAGCUGUGCUUUUGUGUUAAAACUAGAAGUGCUUCCUAUAAUACGUUAGCUGUGCCUUUGCGUUAAAUAUAGAAGUGCUCCCUAUAGUACGUUACCUGUGCUUUUGUGUUAAAACUACAGGUGCUUCCUAUAGUACGUUAACUGUGCCUUUGUGUUAAAUAUAGAAGUGCUCCCUAUAGUACGUCAUCUGUACUUUUUGUGUUAAAACUACAAGUGCUUCCUAUAGUACGUUAACUGUGUCUUUGUGUUAAAUAUAGAAGUGCUUCCUAUAGUACGUUAGUUGUGCCUUUGUGUUAAAUAUAGCACUGCUUCCCUGCGACGGUAGAUCAACCAUGCUUCGUAAGGUACGUCGGGUGUGGUCUUUCAAGGAAUGUGUUCACCAUGAUUCAUGGACUUUGUUAGCCGCGCUUCCCGCAGCACACCAUGUGUCCUUCUGCGCACAUUAUUCCAUGCCCUUUCUGCAAUUAUUGACACAACAUACAGUAGUUCACAAGAUAUUUUUCAUUUUCAGUUUUAGUAACUUCUUGUCAUUCUCGGUGUUAAUAAUAUCUGAUGGUUUUUCUUUCAAUUCCAGGCCAAGAUGAAAAUUGCCAAAGUUAUCAAUGAAAUGUACACAGAACUUUUCUCGCGGUUUCAACCAGUUCUCGAGCAGAAAUUGGAGAAGUUCCUUUCACUUGGUAGGGAUAUUAGUGCAAAAGAAACCAAGACCAGAGACCAGGGCGUUUAUUGUAACUUGCAACAGGACAACUCAAAUGAAAAAGAAACUUUUUCAUCACUCCCUUCAACAUAUUCUACGCUUCCAAGUUCUAGCACGACAAGCAGUCAAAGUUCUUCCAGCAGUGGCUCGACCAGUGUCCUUCACGCCACAUCAUACUCCCUAGAAAAUUUAAAGGGUUGUUGGGAUACCCCUGACCCAGAAUCCCAGAAUCCGUACGACAAAGAUCAGUCCCAAAAUCCUCUAUCUUCACGCCUAAAAUCAUCAACCCAGAUUAAGUUGCUACUGGAAGUGAACAGGAUCGACCACAACAAAGAGGACAUAGCCAAGAUUCAUCUGGGCAAAGUGCAUAACCAUCUACACAACUGCCUUGAUGGCUUGCCGGUCCAUGAGCCCUUCGUGUCAACAUCUGAGAUGCUGGAGAGCGGGGAAAUUAUAAUGACAGGUGAAAAUUCAUCUGAGUGUUCUGUACCGAUUGAAACCCAAAAUUCUGCUGGAGGAUCUGCAGACCACAACUCUCUGACAAGCCCACUGGAAAAACUCUUGGAGGAAACAGCAAAACCUACUGCAACAGAAACAUCAGCCUCGUACUCUGCGGUUGACAAACAAUUACUGACUGAUCCAAUCUCAACAGAUACACUUGGAGCACCUGUUUAUCACAUUGGGAAAACAUCACCAACUACUGCACAGUCCAGCGGUUCUGACAGCGCUCACAACAACUCUUCAACCAACACAAAGAGCCUCACUGUAUCCCAGCCUGCACAAAAAUCAAACAAUGUCACUGGACAACGUUCUUCUUCGCUGCCGGAAGAUAAGGUCCAUCUUGUUUCAACUUUGAGUGACGAGAAGAACAUUGCUAAAACAGAACGCACAAGAGCUACUUCCUCCCUUGCUCCUACAGUAGAAGUCCCUAGUGAUUCUGCCAGCGGUUCUGGCUCAGUACUGGACACGGGAAAAGCAAUUCCAUCCACUAGUGAUGCUCCACUGGUUGCUGCAGCAUCUGUCAAUGCAGAAGACAAUAACAUUGCAGAAGAACAUGAACAGUGUACGAAGCAACCACCUAUUGAUCCCACAGACAGCGUCCCUAUUACCACAAGCGCAUAUCCGCCAGAACCGGAACCACAAAUGGCAGCUCACAAGAGGUCCUUACAGCAGUCAGAAGAUCCAGGUAACAAGAGUACGGCGCCUCCUAUGAAAAGAGUUAGGAUACUGGAGCCUCCACAUAAUUCAACAGAAACUGCAAACAACCAGUCUCUACAAGCUGACAACCACAGAGGCCUCCUUAAUUGUGGAUUCAUCGAUGAUGAUCAAAUAUGGUCUGACCCAUCUAUCUAUGAACAACUUGACAGAGUCAUUGAACAAAAAAAGAAACAACCAUUUCAUAACCAAGUAGCAUCACAACAAUGCCAACCUGAUACUGUCUCACACUUGGCCAAGAAUUCAAGCUCGUCAGCUAGAUCUUCCCUUUCUAACUAUCCAGAGCCACCUAUACCCAACAGAUCAGGAUCAAUGUUAGGCGGUAGCCACCUCACACAGGCCUUUGAUACGUCAUACUCUACAGGUUUAACUCAAACUGUCUUGUCCCAAAGUUUACCAGCAACUCCCUUGUCCCUACACUACAACCAACCAGCUCCUAGUAUCAAAAACCACUUCUACCGACAUCCUGGUGCUCGGAAUAACGGCGGUUCAAACAACAGCCAACACUCACCAUAUGCGAUGAACAACCAAAGUCACAAGCAGUACCAGCAACAAACCACUGUCUGUGAUGCCCACUACCCCCAACACAAUGAUGCUCAGAAUAACAGCACUACACGGUGCCAACAACGCCAACCUCAAGAGCAGAACAAUCAGCAACCACACAGAGGCGGGUCUAAUGGGCAAAGUUACAGUGCCUUGCAACAACAGUUCAACAGCAUGCAGUAUUCCGGCCAUCCUCUCCAGCAUUUUCCAACAGAUAUUCCUUCAAGCUCAACCGGUGAUCCAACUCUCAGAACAUUAGAACUGCGCAUGCAGCACCAACCACAACGCCUAAUGUUCCAAAGAAACAACAAUUAUAAUGAGGGUCGUCUGCAACUUAGUAAUGGUCAAUUGAACUCCGGUGGUCAUGUCUUCCAGCCUCAUCAACAUCAUUCUGAGCUAGAACAGACUCGAUUCACUGACCAAGGGAAUGACCAUCAAGAUCACUGCCAACUUUUGGAAAUAAGAGAUUCCACAAACGAGGAGAAAGAAGUGUAUGAAACAAUCGUCGACAAUACGCCAGGUGUCAAGCAAAAUGAUAGGUAAUGAAUUCAUUGUUCCUGUUACAGUAAAGUUUUGGUCCCUUCGUUUACUAAUGCAAUAUAUUCUGCCUGAAGCUAUCAUAUUCAAGUGUUUCGGCUCGAUUCUUCUACUAUUGAAAUUGAAUACUAAUCAUUUCUCUUAUGUUAAAAAAGAAAUCUUAUGAUUUAAAAUUCAUUUUUUUUUUACAGCAAGAGGAUAUUCUUCGUCGAUCGACGUUGGGCCGAUCAUCGAACUUUAGGUUUGUCAAUGAAGGUAUACUGAUAUAUCAACUCAUUCGUGGUCGAUGCUUACUCAGCGUUGCUGAUGAAAGAACAAUUCUACGCAACGCCAGCAUUUGUGCACAAGCAUAUAAUGUACAUUGACGCUUCUGUAAGUUCUUGCUUCUCAUAAAUAAUAAUAACAAACCACAUUUACUACUACUACCACACUGAGUGACACAGCUUCAAUUUUCUGCAGGAUAAAUUUAAAGUUCUAGGAGCAAGCACAGAACUACUCAAGGAACACAUUGUGGAAAAAACUAUUGGGUACAGGCUGCCCAACAAAUGUAACAUCGUGAGUUCACCCUACUCACUCUAUCUGCCCAGUGUUCGUCUUUGAUUCUACAAGUUUUUCUUGUUACAAUGAUAUUAUUCCCUGUUAAUUGUUUUAGGUCUUAAUACCUGUGAGAAAGGAUCCACAUUUUAUCUACCUCAUCAUCAUGAAUCUUGCAAUGCGUCGCUUCGAAAUUCUGUGUCCUUAUAUCAAUUGCGAUGGUAUAAAGGAACACUCGGACAUUGUCAUCGAAAAUUUCAAGAGAGCUUACCAUUCUGCUUACAACAACUAUCCUCACACCAUGGCCUCCUUUCAUGUCAAACCUGUGCAGAGUGUAUGUAACUCAGACAGAGAGUAAGUUUCUUUUAACUGUAGCUCUACCUCAUUUAAACCAUGCAUCUUUUUGUUCCACUACACAUCCCAUAUCUACUGUUCACCUUCUAAUCACAGACAUUAAUGCUCUCAAUUUUCAGGGAUGACAGUGCUAUUUACACCAUGCAUUUGAUGCCGCUCAUUAAUUUGAAUAAUAAUUCAUUUUUUAUCAAUAAUGUAAGUUCACUCUCAUUGACAACACAUCAACAUACGUUCAUCCAAGCCAGCUGAACAUUAAGUUUUACAAUAAAUUUUAUUAGUUUGCACGGUUAUGUGUGUUGCAGAUCCAUGUGAAACCGAUGAGAGAACAACUAACUUACAAAAUGAUAACAUCCAACUACAACACAAGCCAUGUAUUUGAGGCACUGAGCAUCGUCCUCGACAAGCACAAUAUCCGGCGCGAAAGAAGAAGAGUUGGAAGACAAUGACUACUGCUUAAAUGUGCCUUAAUUUAGCUGGAGCCAUCCGAACAUUGUUUCAGCCAUAUCGACUCAUAUGUAAUCACAACAAUGUUUCAGCUAUUUUUGUGUCCGUCCAAGAUAUCUGCUAUGGAUCCCGUUAAACACAGUUGUGCGUUCAAAUGGUCAAGUCUUAAAUUCCUGAACAGCAAAUAUUUACAAAUAAGAAUCGCAUUUUUCCCAAAAGUUCUAAACAUGAUAUUCAAGACAUCACUUCCUUGCACUAGAACACCACUCACUUCGAGUAGACAUAAUAAAAGAAACAAUUGGAACACAGAGGAAAAACACUAUCAAUUCGUAAGCAUCUGACGAAGGAGCUAAAUGACUCACCUCCAGUAAUCCGGGUCACAGAGGCACUGUCGUGCCUCUUAUCCACGUAGAACGUGCCUCUCUUACCACGGGCAACUAAGCUGACACACACAAGUGCGCCACCAGUUAACACAGGACCGUCCCCUCUCGAAAGCUUAACACCGGUCCCUCUCCAAGCCAAUGAGUCAUGGAAGCACGACCGUGACUUCAACUAUAAAAGAUCCGUGACCUCACAAGUUUCAACGAUGAGUCUCUCUCAGCAAAUAAGUGAAAGCAAACGUUUCGAAAGAAAGGCACGACCGUGCCUUUGAGUAACAUCGUAGACGUACCUCUCCGAGCGAACGUGUAAGAGAAAGCAUUUGCGAACAACAGACAGAACUCUGACUCAACAUAACAUAGCACAUGCCUCCACUAACUAGACAGACGUGACUUCACUAGCAGACUAACUAGAAAUAUUAGAGAACAUACAACCAUGACAGUGACUCAUACUAACAUAACACAGUGCCUCUCCGAAUUUAAUACCCAAAGGAAGGAUAACGCCUCUACCAAACAUACAACAAUGCAUCCAAUGCCUUCACGGGCAUGCCUUUCAAAAUCAAAGUACCACCACAAUAAUUGAAACACAGAAACGCAACCGUCGAUAACACAAUACUCCCACAGCAAGUAUCACACUGUAUUACCGUCCCUAAAACAGAUAACAUAUAUUGAAACAGACAACAUAUAUUGAAACAGACAGCAAAGUGAGAAAAUCUAAAGAAUCUUAAACACACUCAAGCUCUUCAUAAAAACAUUUCAAACACACAACCACAACCGUAUAUUCAAUAUAAAAACAACCGUGCCAAACACAGUACAAACACAAAGCAAAAGUAAAGCCCCUACCUGUCAGUGUAACGAUAUUGACAGAAGAACUGAAGCAGCUAGCAAACUAAUAACACCAGAGCGUGCCUUGCCUAUAAACAAAAACAAUGCCUCCCUGAACAGACGACUGUGCGCUGCCUAGAAUCACGAAAGUGCACAUCUGAGUGCUCCCCUUAAUACAUCUCAUCUUAUACCAACUCGUAGCAAAAAAUCAUAGAGGAAAAUAUUCUUGAAGGCACCCAAUCAAGAAAAACAUAAUGGAACGAAAAUAAACUUAAAUUUCCAAACUAGUCAACUCCAUCCGGUUCAAAAUAAAACCACCACAAUUACAAAUUCAUCACUCUAUGUAAUAUUACCCCAUACAACAACUAUCAAAUAACCAAUUCAUCACACAAUCCAUCUUGCCAGCACUUCCACCUGGACUACUCCUCAGAAACGUCCUCGCCAUCUGAGAUCAGGAAGACAGCGAUGAUGCAGGAUGUCCCUCAUCGACAGAAACCGGCGGUAUAGCUCAUAGCUCACAUACCCUUCCUAAAGGAAAAGCAAAUGAAAACAUGAAUAUACAAAAAAACAAGUACUGUUCUAGCAACAAAGGCAUAAACUAACGAAAAUGAAAUCUUCACUUACAGUAGCUCCAUAUUUCAGGUGAUCAAAAGUAAGUGGCUUCCAAUCCCAAUAGUGAUAAAGAAGUUCUGGAAAAGAUGACUCCAGCUUCGAAUAAGAUUCGUCAAUGAUGGCUCCUGCUAAGUACUCCAUGGAAUCCCUUUCUUCGCCACCUUUGAUCAUAAACUUCUCUUGGAUGUCGAUGUGGUACCCUUCUGGAAUUCUGAUGAAAUCUUGAAAAAGAGCAUCUCUAAUAUUCCUGACGCCCACACUAGAGAAAGUUAUACCUCUAUUCUCAAGGAAAUCCUUCAGGGCAGGGCACUCCGUCCUGGCCCUGCAGAAGUGAUAGAGCAAAACAUGAUUCCGCAUAGCCAGUUGCAUGACGGCGACUUUUCUACGCCCGUAACAAUCCUUUCGCGUGAACUCCAUGCUGAGACAAACAAACUUGUGCUUCUCCUCGCGCAACCAGUCCUCGUACAUGCCAAUGAUCUCCUCCACCUUGCCAGGCUCGUUGGUGUACCACACGUCGAGCUUCGUGUUACCAUCGGCAACUAUAGGAUGGUACUCGGUGGUGUUCAAAAAGUCGUCCAUGGCAGCGAGCAGCAAGGUGCCAAUGGAGAUUCCUGAGACCCUGUGACAAGGUUGGGGAGUGGCGAGGAGGGUGGGAACUGACUGAUGUUCUGUGGCUACAAUACGACAUGAAGACCUCACAAACACGGCCAGUAUUUAACCUUGGCGAGGGACGUUUGAGUUACAAUGUGCAUUAACGUGUGAACUAGGAAUAGUGAAUAGACAUAUGUGCUUCCGAAGCUCAUAAAACCAUGCACUCCGUAAAGUCACGGUUGUGCACAAAUAAUUGAUGCCGUGGAGAAAUCGAGGAGCCUCUAACUUUAUUUUACGGUAACUGACACACUGAAUAGUCACAUCAAACAGCCGGCACAUCGGUCAUAAAUUCCUCCUUUGAACAAAGACCACCGACGGAAGAAUCCAAUGAAGAAAACAAACAGCCAGCCGUACACCUUAGAUCCGAAGGCCAAAACUCAUCCGUGCCUCGUCUAGCUAGAUUCACAACAUCUGUCCCUCGAUAGUCAAGGCUGGUUUCACGUGAGGCCCGGGUAUGCAGGCAUAAGACGCACAUACGUGUCUGUCAGGCACGGGUAUGCAGGCACACGACGCACAUGCGUGUCUAUUCCACAGGCAUGGGUAUCACCACAAGCACGUAGAGAUACAGGCAGCAACUCGCCGGAAACACAUGAAUGCAGGCAACGAAGGCACGGAAACGUAGCCUCUACAGGCACGUGCUUCGGCUUGGCAAGACACGAAUAUGGCCUUGCAAUUGACGUUCUCGAGCCAUGGCUACACACCCUCUGCGUACAGACAUGGAAUUGCAGCUUCUCCGACGCACAAGCACGGUUUUCGAAUUGGCAUUCUCGAGGCACACAUACAAAUCCUCUGGAUGCAAAAAAGAGAGGUGACAGAGGCAUCGGUAAGAACACUCUGUUCGAGAGGCACGGUUGCAAACUCUCAAGAGGGACAGUCAUGUGACACCGCAGACACAUAGACUCGUGACGUGUAUCACGUGAGGAUACAUCAAAUACAAGCAGCGAAUCAACGGGAGAAGUGAAAGAGCCACAGUUUUAAAGUAUCCAGAGGCACGGGCAUGUAGAAGCAUAGGCACGAUGAGUCAUAGCCACCGCAUCCCCUCACGGAUAGGCGUCUAGCACCACAGGCACGUAGAGUCACAACCAGCGUGUCUCCUGAGACAAGCGAAUGCAGGUACAGGACGCACGGAGCUGAAGCGUAUACAGGCACGGAAUUGCGGCUUUUGGCGCACAGGUACGGCUUUGGAAUUGGCGUUCUCGAGGCACGGGUACAAACCACCUGGACGCACAAAAGAGUGGUGGCAGAGGCACGGUUGUGUAGUCUGAAGAGAAACUGCCGUGUGACACCACCACAUAGAGACAUCGCGUGUGUCACGUGAGGUACAUGAAUAGCGGAAAAGAAGCCACAGAAGUGAAGCCUCCACAGACACGGAUGCGGGCUUCUAGAGGCACGGUCCCGAAGAACACAAAGACAGGAAACUGAAAAUGUUGCCUCGUACGUUACCAGACGUGCCUCUCUUGUGCGAAUGUGUAAAACACAGCAAUACAAACAUAAACAAACGGCGGUGAAUAUAAGCCAAACAAAAAACACGCUUCUCCCAAACAAUACAUAUGCGUCCCCUCACGGACGGGCGUCUGGCACCAGAGGCACGUAGAGUCACAGCCAGCAUGACGCCUGAGACACACAAAUGCACAUACAGGAGACACGGAAUUAAAGCGUAUACAGGCACAGAAUUGCGGCUUAUCAUAGUUGUCGAGGCACGGGUACAAACCACCUGGAUGCACAAAAGAGUGGUGGCAAAGGCACGGUUGUGUAGUGUCAAGAGGAACUGCCGUGUGAAACCAGCACGUUACACACAUGGCGUGUGUCACGGAUGUACAUGCAUAGACGGAAAGAAGCCACGGAAGUGAAGCCUGAACAGACACGGAUGUCCGGAUUCUCGAGGCACGGUCCUAAAGCACACAAAGACACGAAACUAAAAUGUUGCCUCGUACGUUAGCAGACGUGCCUCUCUUGUGCGAACGUGUAAAAGACAACAAUACAAACACAAACAAACGGCACUGAAUAUAAGCCAAACACAAAGCGCGCUUCUCCCAAACAAUACAUAUGCGCCACUUCAACAGGUUCUCUAAAUAUACAUGAACUCGCGCAAACGUCAACAAUGAACUUGUAACAUGAAAAAACAUAAGAAAUUAUAUUCACAUAACAUGAGACGGUACUCCAUAGGUCUGAACUAAAAGUACUCAUUAAUUAUUAAAAAAAAGAAAUGAAAGUCUUCCAGGAGUCCAUUCUGCUCAGACCACCGGGACCCUUCUACUCAGUUGGAGUUCUGCUCAAAAGCAUCAACGGCGUCCGGGGUCGGGAAGACAACGAGGAUGCAUCAUGUCCUUCAUAGACAGAACUCGGCGGUAGAGCUCGUAGCUGACAUACCCAUCCUAAAAUAAAAAGCAGAUGAGAAUGAAGAUAUACGUAAAGGGGAAAAAGUACUAUUGUUGCAAUAAAACAAAAAUAUGCGGGAGCUACCUGCACUUCUCUGGAGGGAAUAAGACGCGAUAACCUCCAGGAAUAUACCACUACUUAACCUUUGGGGAGAGACGAAUCAGUUACCAUGCGCCCAUUUAAUUGCUAAGGGAACGGUGAAUGGACGAUUGUGCUUCUGCAGCUCGUGAAACCAUGCACUUCAAAAGUCACGACUGCCACGCUGUAAUCGAGGAGCCUCUAGGUUAACCCUAGCACGGUAUCUGGCACAAUAAAUACUAACAAUAAAUAGCCAUCCCAUCGGUCACCAGCACAUCUUUUGACCGAGAGAACAAUGCGAAGAGGCAAACGAGAUGACCCUGUCGUACAAAUACUACACUGGGAGUGAACAAAAAUAGAAGCACGGUUCGCCAGAACAAAAGCCACACACGUGCCUCCACUUUGGUUAAAGACAAACCUCAGUAACAUCAACGCACCAUGUCUGCGUACCACCAGAAACAUUGACAAAACAAAAGCACGUCCAUGCUUCUGACAUACAUAUAACCGUGGGCUAUCAUACAUAUUCCUGCCUGAAGCCAGCGUACAUAAAAACAGUGACUCCCCUGGGUCAACGACUGCCUGAAAAAAAAAUUGCAAUACCAAAGUCACGAACCGUGACUCGAUUUCAGAUGCAAACGUGCCUCUCAUUAGGAACCAUCAUGCCUCCCGUCAAUUUGCAUCCCCCGACAUAUCGACCAUGCCUCUCCUGUUACAACGACCAUGCAUCUAAUAACAUCAUCACCGGUCCUCUCCUAAAGAAACACCCAACCAUAUCUGAUUAAACAUGUGAUUAAAAAAACACAGAACCAUGAGCAUGCUUUUCAGCAUGUAUAACCAUGCCGCACAAAAAGUAUGCGAGGGAGGAUAGGCACGUAGAAGACUCCACUGGGAAGCAGCACAGCUGUACAACUACAGUGAGAGGCAGCUGGACGAGUCAAACGUCUCGCGUCCCCAUAAAACCUCGGAAUACACGCACACCAUCCACAAACUAGCGUUCAUUCCAUUUCGCAGGAUAAAAAAUAAAACAAGAAGCACUCAUUACUACUCUUGCUCUCUCAAGACUGCUUUAUAUUUAAAUAAGCUCCGACUCCCUCAGCCACAUCACAACUCACUUGCCUUCUCCGUCCCCUGCUUCUAGCCUAGGGUUCGUGCUUCUUCCCCGCACACAAUCUGAUUUCAAACAAGUUAUUAGAGAGUUUUCAUUGGAUCUCUCGAUUAAUUUCUAAGCCGUGCUUCUCUCAUAGAUUGCUAGCCGUGGGUGCUUGCCAUAAGCUUCCCAUCACAACCCAUCUAGCUUAUCCGUCCGCCUACUUCUAGGGUUCGUGCUUCUUCCUCGCACACAGUCUCAUUUCAAACAAGUUAUUGUAGAGUUUUUAUUGGGUCUCUCGAUUAACUUCUAAGCCGUGCUUCUCUCGUAGAUUUGCUGGCCGUGGGUACUUGCCCUAAGCUUCCCAUACCCCAAUCUCCGUUCGUCGACGCCCGUUCUUCUUCUCUCGCAGAUAAAAAGCAUAUGCGUAAGCGGCAUGCUCCGAUCCGUAUCUACGUUUUGAAAAAGAUAUUUAAAUUAUUACUAUUUUAUGUUUAGGUUUUUCAUUUGAUAGUUAUUGAAGCAUCAGAUCCGGUACAACGACUUCAUUCUCUAAAGCAAUAAAAAACCAUUUGAAAAUUUAAACAAGUGAUCUAAACUCUGUUAUACUGCUUUUCUGGAAGGACUAGAUUAGAAGUUUUCUGGUAAAUUUGUAGUUGUUCUCUGCCUUCGUACGGAUAUUUUUAAUACGGCUAACGUAGCUGAAGCUAGUCGUUGUCUACCUUCAAUGUUGAAGCUUGUUUUAAAUUGUUAUGAUAUUCUUGUUUUCUUAACAUAGUUGUUCUGAAUUAUUUAGGUAUGAUUUGCCCUACCUGCCGCCAACCAGGCGGCCCUUGCGAACCACACCCUGAAGUUCUCCAGCACUUUAAGGUUAUUCUUGAUGAAAAUUGCUGGAGCCGCAUGGUUAGUAAGCAUUACUAACGUAUUAGUUGCUUACAACACAGUAGAAAUCGUCGCUGUUACUCAUACCCCUUGCACCUACACUAGGUUCCCCUGCUGUCACUUCUUCGCACCUGUCUUGUGUUUUCAUUUUCCAUUAGUUUGCCUGCCCAUACCUUGAUUACUAUAGUGCAUCUUCAGUUCUAAUUAAAAUUAGUCAACAUAUGCCAAAAAUCUGUAAUUCUUAUCAAAAAUUCAUAUCCAAUUUAAGAAAACUUUUAACAUUAAUAAUACGCGAGUUCAAAUUUAUACUUACAGGUUGUUAUUUGUACUUUUUUUUCCAGUAUGUACCUUGUAAUGUCAGAGCUUUUCUCGCUGAAUACAUCGACGAGAGGAAGAAAGAAGCAAGAAAAUUGCGUAAAGAGCAGGUAGAGCUAGCCCUUCUUACACAUGAAGGAAAGUCUUACAAUGCUUUGUUUAAGCAUAGGGCGAACUACACAAAGUUCUGCGGUGGUGAGUGGAACACCUUUGCGGAUGAUUAUGAACUUCGUGCUGGAGACCACAUAGAAUUUGAACUACCAGACGAGGGUCUCAAUCUCGAAAUACAAACAUAUCGGGAUGACAAAAGACUGCUUCCAUUACCCCACGUUGAUAGGUAUUUAAUAUUACAAACUUAUCUUCUUUUGCUAUAUUUUUAUAUUACAAACUUAUCUUCUUUCGCUGUAAUUUUAUAUGCAUGAAUCGAACUGAAUAAUAUUAACCCCGUGUUGGAUAUAACAUUAUCUAACUUUAAAAUCAUUUUCUUUUUCUAGCUCUCGACGAUCUUUCUUUUGACGAUUUUGACCAUGUUCACUGCUGUGUCUACUCUAAGGAUAUUGAGCUUACCUACGACCAGACACGAUUCUUUCUACAACGCCUUUUCGGAGAUACUUUCAUCCGUUGCCAUCCAUUUGUCCAUGUCUUGACUCCCACUAACACCAAAGACUACGUCAUGGUUGGUUACAACUGUCCUUGUUAAAAUACCAAAUGUAUUUUGCUCAUAUGUAAUAUAAACAAUACUGACGUAAUAUUGCUUAUAUGUAAAAUUAUAAAGAACCUAUUUAUUCAAAUCUAAAACAACAAAACUUCCAUUGUUCUCUUAAUAUGUUGUUUUAUCUGUUUACACACAAACCUGAACAUGCCAGGAAUUAUAUUACUUCCAAUAUGGAUUUUCUUAAUGUUUGUGCACUCACCGUAUUCAGCCAUUCUUUUAUUUAUUGUCCUAGUGACAAAUCAACGGUUUUAAUUUAUAUUUAAUUCGAUUUUCUUCUAGAAAAUUCCGAGGAGCGUUGUCUCAACACUGAAGAGAUGGGUGGACAUGCCAACCAAUGGCAGGGUGACCCUUGAAGCUCCUGAUGAACCUACCCAUGUCAUCACUCCUUCGUCGUACUACAUCUCCAAAAACGACGGCAGAAUGGUAAUAGAAAAGUCUUCUUUCAGAGACUUCAUAUCAGCAGCAUCCUUCGUUGAAAAGAACGUUGUUCUAAUCACUUUCAAAGAGCGCCAUGACCAUUCUGUGUCCAUCACCAUUCAGCACAUUAUGUAGAUUCCGUCGGAACCAGCACCUAAAAUGGAAGCAAACAAUGUAUCUCCUAGAAUGUUCAACGCUCGUUUCAUGAUGAUGCCUCCAGGAGAAAAACACUGAUUACUAUAAGUUUGCUAGUUAGGAUGGUAGAGUAAUGUAACUAUUAUGGACCAUGUACUUGCUUGAACUAUCGGAAUGAUCUUUUGCAACUUAUGUAGCUCUUACGGACACUCAACUUGUCGUUUCAACCAUCGGAAUGAUCCUUUGCAACAAAUGCUGUUUGAACUAUCGGAAUGAUUCAUUCGAAAAAAUGUAGUUCUUAUCCUUUGAAAAGUUCACAAUUCAAAAAACCAAAAAACAAAAAGAUUCAUUUUCAAAAAUCAAACGAAACAAGAAUAAGUUUGUGAUUCAAAACCUCUAGCAAUGCCAUGUUAUCAAACUUAUUCAAACCAUCUAGUGAAACAUAUCUCAAUUAAAAACCAAACAGACUCCGUUUUCAAGUCCAAACUAUAUUUACUUCAACUUUUCCUAAACACACACUUGUGCACCGAAUAACAUAAAAACCGUGCCUCCCUAACCAAGGAAGAUUAUUAAUUGAAAAAAACGUUUUCACAACAAAGGCACGACCAUGCAUCUGCUGAGUUUUCUACCGUUUACACGACUACUUUCACAGCCAAAUAUGAAAUACGCACAUAUGGAUCACGCAGGCAGCACGCAACGAAUAAAAAAAUUCAAUGAACAAGACAAGUGAAAAUCUUAAAAAAAACAGAUAAAACAAACCCCUGUUUCCGAAAUUCUACGCCUGGAACCGCCGCGUGACUAGCAACUGCUCUUUGGCAGUUUCCUUUUUUGCAGGACAAAAGAACCCUUUCACUUUUCCGACUCCAUUUCAUCCUCUUCCUUGAAAGUUUCUCGCCGGCCGCAGUUCACCACCGCACACCUCCAGCCAUGGACGAGGGGAAACUAACAACACUCACAGAACACAUCACUACCCACGGUACAACCGUGCUCGAGGUGGUGUACACCAACGACCCAAGGACCGUGGAGCGGAUCAUCAAAAAGUACGAAGAAUGGCUAAAGGAGGAGAAGAACAAGUUCGUCGGCCUCGACCUCGAGUACACACGUAAGAGCAGUUACAUACGACAAGGGAUCGCCGUCAUCCAACUUGCCAUGCGCGAGCAUGUCCUGGUAUGCCACUACUGCAGAUCCGAGCGCUCCCAGGCGUUAGUUGACUUCCUGCAACGGAAAGCGGUAACUUUCACUAGCGUCGACACCAGGAACGACAAGACCAUGCUUGCCCGUGCAUGGAUCAAAAUUCCAGACGAGCACCACGUCGACAUCCAGAGGCUAUUCUGCAUCAAGGGUGGUGGAGAAAGGGACUCCAUGGCCGACCUUACAGCGGCCAUCAUCGACCCCUCAUACAAGAACAUGAAGAAAUCAUUCCCAAAGGAGAAGCACCAGUUCUGGAAGUGGAAGCCACUUUCCCCGAUACACCUUGAGUACGCGGCAAAGGACGGGUAUGUUAGCUACGAGUUGUACCGUAGAAUCCUAAUCAUCAAGAAUGGGCUACGUCACCUCCACCAACAACCAAUGAAAGGAAGACUCCGCCCACGUAAGAGCAAUGACGAGGGAUCUUCCAGCGGCUGGAAGCGCCGGAAGGGAAACAGUGGUUGGUAAAUUGCGAGAAAAUGGAUGUCUACAUUAAACUAGUAGGAACUACUAUUAUAUAAUUUAGAUUGUAUGAACCUAUGCUGUAAAUAUGUUUGUUGUUGCUCAAAGAUGCUCUGUGUAUUGUAUUACUAUUUUAUGUUUGAACUUUGAACACAGUGGUGUGCUCAUGUACAAAUGCAUACUACGUUUUGCAUGUCUAAAUGCAAUUAGUAAGUUAUGUCCCAGUACUGAGCAAGCAUAUAUUGUAUCCAUGAUUAUAGAACGAGAGAUAUCUCACAAGAUAUUGUAUUAUAAUUUUCAUACUCAACCUUUACAAGAUGCAUCAUGCAUUUACAAGAAUAUGUGAUGAUAUCGUUGUAAACUUUCAGUACAAUGCUUAUUAAACAUUGGCGUGAACAAUUCAUAAAUAUUGCAGAAGAUCAUUCGGUACACAGUCACAAGCGACAAGAACUUUGUUACUUUAACCACAUUGAAAAAAAAUCCUUGCCUCCAUUUCACAUCAAACACCGCUCCGUCCAUUCAGAACAUCCUUGCUAUUGCACACAGGUUCCUCUCCGUACACCAGUUCUGCACGAUGCCACAAAACUACACUACCGUGUGCAACUAACCUAUGUACAAGCGUGGCUCACUAAGUGUCUACUCAAUUCAUGCCUGUGGUGCCACUCACCCGUGACCCUAGAGACUUCACACAUGUGCAUCCACAACCGAGCCCCUCUAACCAGAUAUUCGGACCGAUGCCUCUACUGUCGUACAUCCGUGCCUCUAGAAACUUGACAGCAGCAAGAGGGUUCAAAACCGUGCCUCCACACAACCGUGCUUGUACAGACUUCACUUCCAUGCCUCUGUUUGCUUGAUCAACGUGCCUCACAUGAAACCCACAGUAACUCUACGUGCUCCGCACGCGUGAUCGCCAAUGCAAUUUUGGUGCUGCACAGACGCGUCUCUCAGUAUACCCGUACCUCCACACAACCGUGCUUGUACUGACUAUAAUUCCAUGCCUCCGUUUUGCUCAAUCCACGUGCCUCACAUAAAACCAACAGUAACUCUAUGUGCCACACACACACGUGCCUCUCGCAUGAAACCCAUAGUAUCUCGCCCGUACAACUUUGGCGUUGCACACACGUACCUCUCAGUAUACCCGUGCCUCCUCAUGACCGUGCCUACACUGACUUCAAUCCCGUGCCUUCAUUUUCUUAAUCCACGUGCCUCACAUAAAAGAGAUGCACAGCCGUGCCUCAGAGUAAACAACACACGUGCCUCUACUGUAUUGAUAACUAUGACCCCAAUUAAAUAACAUCCGUCGAAAAAAACAUCUUUAAAAGAGAUGCACAGCCAUACCUCUUCUACAAACAUACAACAACAAUGAACACUUUGGUUCAUAUCGUUUCAUAUAUCUAGAUAACAUUAAACCGUAGCAUAAAUUUUUAAACAAAAUCCAUUUAUGUUCAAAGGCUAUAACUAACAUCACUGCGGCAGAAGAUUGAAGAUAACAACAAGCCUCCCAUCACGCUCUUUGAAAGUUAUCAGCACCAAGCUGUUUACUUCAAUAGACGAUGCCUGGAGAAAAUCACUGAAACCUUCCUGUUUGAACACCAUUCUACUACCCAAGCCAAUGAAAUAGGAGCAAGGAGUGCUCACAUAUAUAUCAUCAUCACCGGAUUCCAAAGUAACUUCAAGGGUUAAAACGCCAGUCCUAGGAAAAGUCACAAACUCCUUCAAACUCCUCACAACAAUAUCAGGAAUAACGUGACAAAAAACAUCAAGCUAUCAGAAAUAGAACAAAAAUUCAAAACUACAAAUAGAAGAGAUAAUAAAAAUAAAUAAAUAAACAGAAACAAAGAAAAAACAGUGGAAAAAAAUCUGACCAUGUGAUGACCAUUAACAUUCAUGGAAUCAAUCCUGUGAACAAAAGGACAACAGGGUAUGUAGUCAUCAUCAAAGAGUUGACACCUCAUGAAAUACAUCUGUUGAUAAUUAAGAAAAACACCACGGGUGUAAUAACAACUCCCAACAAGUUCCAUCUCGGAGUGGCUCAAACCAUCAAGAGCUACAAAAUAUAAUUACACAGGCUCAAGGGAACAGAAAAAUCAUCAUGUGCAAUAAAACAAGCUAAAAACUUCCUUAAAAAUAAACCUUACCAACAGACGGUAAAGGAGACAACGCAUCUCCACGACCAACACGAUAAAAAUCAAUACCAAUCCACGUUCCAUAAUGUUCAAGCCUAAUGGUCAUUAUAUCACGAGGACGAACACCAUAAUCACUGACCAAUCGUUCCCAGGAAGGACCAUGGAAUUUGCUCCUCACCCGACCAUGACUAAACAGAACACCAUACAAAUAACCCUCAUUGCACUGAAGAGCAAGAUCAGUAUCUUCAUCACCCCUCCUUAUGGCUAAAGCCCUACACUCCUCGAUGUAACGAGCAAGAUGAGCUCUAACACUGCACGGAACAUACUGCACAACAAAUCAAAACAAGGAUCAUAAUCAAAACCUAAACAGCAUGAGGAGCACCAAAAGAAAUAAGCGUGUGUGCCAAAAAUGGAACAAUUAUAAAAUGAUAUUCUUACAACACGCCUCCAACAACGCCGAUCCAGGACCACACUGAACCCAUCUACAGAAGAAUCAACAGAAGAACAUGGGCCACCAGGCAUACGGCAAAAAGGACAAGCCAUAACUGCAAGGAACACAAUGAUUAUCAAGAACUAAUCCCACAAAACCCAGUUGAAACUUGACAUCUGAUAGUGUUGGUAGUCCCCACCCGUAACUACCCCAUAAAUCUCCAUAUUCCGGAAAUAUAAUGGGAACAAAAAGAGAAAUGAGAAAGGGAAACAGGGAACCCACGAAGGCAACCGGUAGGGAACGACGAUAUCGCGAACGGGGAAGCGCGGUUGACGCUAAAGAAGGACCGCCGUAAGAGCAGGCAACAAGCACGGCGGCCGGGACAGGGGCCGCCGUAACCACGCGACAAGAGCGGCGGCCGCGACGGGCGGAGACGACGGCAAAGAAAGAACAGUGCUUCACGACGGUUCGCCCACACCAGAGAGAAACAGAUCUCAAAACAGAUCAAAAGGUUUUAUAAAACAUUAAAAGUAUAAGGACUAAAGUGAAAAAAGGAAAAACCAGAAAGGGAAACCGGAAACCGGAAAUCACGGGAGACGCCAUGCGCGCGACAAGUGUCGCGCGCGGAGCACCUCGGAAAAGUCUCACGACCGCUCCGCGCGUGACACUUGGCGCGCGGGGAGCGCUCCCCGACUAAUCGUUGCGGCGAGCGCUCCUCAAUUAGUGAUUUCGGCGUUUUUAGCCUAUUUUUACCUGUUGGGCCAUAUAGAUAGAGAUAUAUAAAAAAUAAAAAAAGAUAAUCGGGCCGUGCUGUGUCGGCCCGUGUGCUCAGCCUAGCAGCCCAAGCAUGGCCCAGGGCGUGCCGGGCCGGGCCCGUUUAGCCGGUGCCAUGCCUGGCCCAUGGCGGGCCGUGCCGGGUGUGCUCGCGGGCCGGCCUGGUUGGCCCGGCCCAUUUGGCGUGGGGUUUGUGAGCCGGUGUUGUGGCCGAGCGGGGACCAUCUGUAAGGGCCGAAAACCCUGAAUUCAUGUGUCAGUUUCUCUCUUGGCUUCUGCAGUUUCUUCUACCUCUCCCCUCCCCCCUCCCCUGCAAUCUCUCCUNNNNNNNNNNNNNNNNNNNNNNNNNNNNNNNNNNNNNNNNNNNNNNNNNNNNNNNNNNNNNNNNNNNNNNNNNNNNNNNNNNNNNNNNNNNNNNNNNNNNNNNNNNNNNNNNNNNNNNNNNNNNNNNNNNNNNNNNNNNNNNNNNNNNNNNNNNNNNNNNNNNNNNNNNNNNNNNNNNNNNNNNNNNNNNNNNNNNNNNNNNNNNNNNNNNNNNNNNNNNNNNNNNNNNNNNNNNNNNNNNNNNNNNNNNNNNNNNNNNNNNNNNNNNNNNNNNNNNNNNNNNNNNNNNNNNNNNNNNNNNNNNNNNNNNNNNNNNNNNNNNNNCCCUCUCUGUCUCUCUCUCUUUGGAUUGAAAAGAAGAGAGAUUGGGUCGUGACACUCCACCUCCAUCGAUCCCCUCGAGACCAUGGAUCCCAACUGGCGGCCCACCCAAGGGUGUGGCCCCGCCGCCGCCGCCCCCGCCGCUGCCGCUGACCCGCCCCCCGCCGGAGGCGACUGGCGCGCCCAGCUCCAGCCCGAGGCGCGCGGCAGGAUCGUCGAUAAGAUGUACGUGUGUAUGUAGGGACUCACUCUAAUUCAUUGAUUGAUUUGAUCUGAUUUCCCCUUCGUCUACUCUUUCGGUUUCCCGCAAAGAAAAAAAGAGGACUUUUUUUCAUCGAUCCAUCUGACGAGCCGCUUCGAUCUAAACUUCCAGUUUCGUGCAUACUGAUUCGUAGCGGCACCGGCAGAUUCGCCCGUCGUCGAUCUAGCUCUCAGUUUCUAUUUUGAUUCUGUAUAUAUAUAUAGUCAAAAUCCCGUCUGAUUUGAAUCCUACUUAUCACUCCAUUAACUCUGAACAGUUUUAACACAAAUUUGCCAUGGCACAGCGUCUGAUCACCUAGGGCAAACCAUUCUAUUCGUACUAUUUCUUCACAUUGUGCAUUGUGCGUGUAGAAUGGACACUCUGAAGAAUCAUCUGCCAGUAUCUGUGUCUCUGGCGCCAGAGGCACUGAGCGAACUUAAAAAAAUCGCUGCGCGGUUCGAAGAAAAGGUCUAUACCGAAGCAACCAGUCAGGUAAUUUAACGUAUCCUCGACCGUGCGAAAAGUGCUAAUCACACAAGAACUGUUGGUUGUGAGCCACUAUCAGUAAUUUGGUAUACAACUUUACAUCGUUUUCUUUUUGUAUUACUCAGUAUGAUUAUUUGCGGAAGAUUUCUGUGAAGUUGCUCUCCAUGGAGACGCAGAGACAGCAGGCUGCUGGAAAUGCUCAGCUGAUUCCAAAUCAAAACAACCCUGGUAACGUACCAUAUACACUAAACUGUGCUGCACAAUUUAUCAUCUUCGCUUGGAUGUCAAUAUAUUUUAUUGCAUCAGGUGCUGAGAUUAUGUGCUUUAUUGCAUCAAGUGCUGAGAUUAUGUGCUUUAUUGCAUCAAGUGCUGAGAUUAUGUGCUUUAUUGCAUUAAAUCACCCUCCACCCUCUUCAGCAUAAUGUAUAAGCUUUUUGCAUCCAGCUUGUGUCAUGUGUACGUAGUUAUUGAACUUGGAGCGACACAGUAAGUGCCUCAGUUCAACCUAUUGGUUCAAUAUAAUAUUAUAGCAUGGUUUUUCUGUUAGUAUGGUAGAAGCAAUGUUAAGUACGAAGAUAGCAAAUGAACAGACUAGUUAUUUGACUGGGGUAAUCCGCCUUCCUACCUUAAAAUGGUCAGAUUCCUCGCACAUACAGAAUAUUUUAUUGACCCCUGGUACAUCGCCGGAUUGGGUUGUUCAACCGGGUUUUCACCGGUUCACAGCAGCGAUCUUCAGCUCUUUGUAGAAUUAUGUUUAUUCCCUCCUUGCUACCUUUAGAAGGUAGAUCAGUUGGUUAGCUGUCAGCUGUAUUUACGUUGACUCUCAUAUUAAUAAAGAUAUGCAAACACUUGUUUGCAUGCUCUUUAAAACAAAUCAGGUUGCCAGUCCUUUAAUUGCUCCGGUACAUUUAUUUUUCUCAUUGAAAAUGCAGAACGCCUUCAUUUGGUCUGUAAUAUGCUGCUUUCAACACUUUGUGUGCCUUUUACAGUUCCACAGGAAGUAUUGUUCACAAGAUACUUUAUUAACACACAUAUGGUACCUUUUCUGCAACAGCCCCUGGACUCCAUCCACAAGGCAGUAAUCAAGCACAGACAUCAGCAGUUCCCUUGAUGUCUCAGCAACAGGCCCGGCAGCCAAAUGCUUCUACAUCUGUACAAGCUUCUUCACUCACUAAUAUCAGACAGAACUUGCCAGGUGUCAACCAAACAUCAACGAUGCAGACUGCGUCUGUCAUUCCACAAAACACAAUGAAUAAUGACUUGGCGCAAGGCACUUCACAAGAUGUUUAUGCUGCACAAAGGCAAAUGGCAGGCAGGCAGCAACAGCAACAAUCUCAGCAAUUAAUUUAUCACCAGCAUCAACAGCCUUCUCUGCAGAGUCAGCAGCCCAAUAUUCCUUUACAACAGCAGCAACAACAGUUGAUGGGACAACAGCCAAAUUUACAACAAAAUCAGCUAAUUGGUCAACAGAAUGGUGCUGUGAUGAUGCAGCAGCAACAGAGGCUAGCAGUUCAGUCAAAUAAUCUUUUGAAUGUGCAGCAAACACAUCAGAUGUUGAACCAGCAGUAUAUACCUUUGUAUCAGCCACAACAAUUGGGCUCUCAGGCAAACAUGUCGAGUCUACAGCAGCAUCAACAAAAUCAACAGCAGCAGCAACUUUUUGGAACUGUGCCUAAUGUCUCAAGCAUGCAGUGGAUGCAUAUGCAACAAAGAAAAGCUCAGCAACCACAGCAACAACAUGCUCAGCAGCCACCAAUGGGUUUGAUGCAACCUCAGUUUCAACACAACCAACUUCAACAAUUGCAACAUCUUAUGCCACAGUUCCAGUCUCAGCCUAACCAACUACAAGAGCAAUUAAGGAUGCAGCAGCAAUCCUCCAUGCAGCAAAGACUUCAAACUUCAGGAGCCAUGCUCUUGCAACAAAAUAACAUGGAUCAGCAAAACCAGUUUAUUCAGGCACAGAGGGGCCUUCAAGAAGUUUCCUCUAGUAGUAAGUUUUCACUUUUCACAUAUACUUUUUUUGUAGAUCCAUCAUAUGCUCUUAUUGUUCUCAUCUUCUAUUUCUCCAUGUUCUUAUGUCAAUCUUCCUGUUGUCACCUUACAUUCCUUGUGCGGUUUAAACUAGCUUAACAAUCUGGCCUCUCAUUAUUUUUGCCCUACUUACAUAGAAAAGUUUAGGGAAAAUUGUGUGUUGUCCAUCAGGACCCCCACACCCUUACUUAUCGUGCUAACAAUUACGCUGGACUAUAAUACAAGGUCCGUAUGAGACUACAACCGGAAUUUUUGGAUCCUAACUCUUAUUUAACCCUUAGGGCACUCCCGGUGCAUUGUAUCUUGCGUUGUAUCAUAUGCAUUAAAUGUGUGUAGAUAUAACUCUUCCAAUGGCUUAUAUCUUAGUGUUAUAUCUAAUGGAGCUGCCAUUUAAUAUGUUUUGUGGGAGGAAAAAAAAAUAUUUUUGGUUACCCGAUAAGAGUUGUAUUUUCAUAAGAUACAACAAUAUCUCUCUUUUUCCUCACUAACUAGGCUACUUCAACAGUAUUUGGACUUCUGCACAGAUGGCAUGUUUUAGAUACAAUCGGCAUUAUUGCACUGGGUUUGCCCUAAGUACGACUCAAAGCAGUUUAUGAAAUUAAUGUGAUGCUACAUGAACUAGCUUGAAUGUUCUUUGAAACUUCUUUGAAGAUGACAACCAGAUUCAUAAUUCAGAUGCAAUUAUAUGAUUUUUGACAAGUGAAAUGCGCCACAGGUCCUAGAACUAUCGAGUGGUGUGAAGUUAGUCCUAAGGCUUCAAAACUGCAUUUCAAUCUUUUUUGUGCCUGAACUACGGUGGAUAGAUGGACAGCUUGAAGAUGGAAUUAUAUUGCGAUGUUUAGUGAUCCAGUACUCUGUAAUCAUAUGUUGACUAAACUGACCCUAUUGAUCUUCAGUGACUUCUGUUCAGCACAUUGGUUUUUCUUAUUUGUUGGAAUUUUGCUGGAAAAAUGCUACUGUGCGAUAAUCAUAUUGACUAAGCUGACCAUAUUGAUCUUCUGUAAUUGUUUGAUUUGGUUCACAAGUUCUCCAAUUGCCACUGCAUUCCAUCCUACGAUGUUUUUCUUUUCUUUUCGAAAAGGAGGUUAAACCCCCGGCCUCUGCAUCAAUGCCUACGAUGUACUUGUAGCUUGUUAUUUGUUGGCUUUGUUCAUUUUAUCCUGAUACUCUUUGCCAACCUUGCUUUUUAUGCAGCAUCUGCGGACUCUACUGCUCAAACAGGCCAUGCAAGUGCAGGUGAUUGGCAAGAGGAGAUACAUCAAAUGGUAAGACAUGAUACUGAUAUCAUCCUUUUUGGCACUCCCUUUCUUGGCACUUCCUAAAAUUCGUAGACAGUGGCCCCUAGAACAAAGGUGUUGAGAUUGCCCUGAUCUAGAUUGUUAGAAGAUGAAACUACACACCAUGUUGGAUGUUGGGGCCUUUUACUUUUGCACUUCAUGUUGUCUAUCUCUUUUUCUUUUGGUCUGUGUUCCAAGAAAUUCCUCUUUUGGAAUUUCAUACAGCAAGUGUGUAGAUGCACUACAUUCUGGCAUUCCACUUAUAAGAUAUAUAUUAUAUGUAUACGGAAUUCUGUAUGAAUGCGGAGUAUGGAGCAUACAACCAUACAGUGUAUCUAGAUGUAGUAAAGUCUCAAGGCAGAUAGCAAUCUUUAUUAAAGCUAUUUUAUUUAAUGGGCAUCAAAGUUUCUUAUUUUCUUCUAGAUUUAUGUGCUGCUAAAAGCUACUUGAAAUAUCUUUCAUUGCCAUAUUUUCUGACUUGAUGACAAACCAUGGUCUAUUAGCUGUUCUCUUUUCAUCUCUAUAUUGCUUCUGCACCAAAUUAAUGUGUAUGUGGUCUUUGUUGUCGACAGAUUAAGAGGUUAAAGGACCAAUACUUUGCAGAACUCAGUGAAUUAUUCAAUAAGGUGUGUGUGAAGCUACAGCAUGUUGACAGCAUUAUUCCACCUCAAAUAUCAUCUGAGCAGUAUGAUAGAAUGAAGAGCUUUAAAAUAAUGUUGGAGCGCAUAUUACAAAUGAUGCAAAUUGGUAAAAGUAGUGUCCAACCUGCUAUGAGGGACAAAGUUCCUCGAUAUGAGAAACAGAUUAUCAGUAUCUUGAACUCACAAAGGAAGCCAGUGCAGCCACAAAUACAACAACAAUUCCAGCCACCUCCAGGUCAAGCUCCUAAUUCUAGCAUUUCACAGCAGCUACAACCUUCCCAAAAUUUGCAGUAGCAUGAUAGUCAUACUAAUACUCAAAGUUUGUUAAGUAUGAGCACCAGAUUACAGUCCUCUAGUGUAGCUGGUAUCCAGCAUGUACCUGUGCCUCGAACAAUCCUUGUAGUUUAAACUAGCUUAUCACACUACUGCAGCAAUGCCUACCAGUGGCGGUUGCAAUAAGGCUACCAGUGGUGGGUAGGGCACCUCGCCAUGGUAUCCUGACACUGGUAAUAUGUUACCUGUGGCGGGCGUCAUUUCUCACCCAUGGUUGGCAACCUAUUACCAGUGGGGGCUGGCCUAUUCACACUUGUAUGUGGCACACUAGUGGCGGCACGUUCCCCCACCCGCCACCGGUAACCUCCCCCUAGGUGAAAAAUGAACGCUGCCACGGCAACGUAAAGCACUACCAUGUCAGAUUUUUUUGCUGUCGUGGCAGCGUUUUUGCACAUUACAUUAUAUAUGCAUCGCAUUACAUAGAUAAAUUGAUUUAUCACGUUAUACAUGCAUCCAACUACCUAGGAACUAUACUAGAACUAAUUAGAGUAGGAACUAGGAACUACGUCUUGUAACUAUACUGGGAGGUAUAUACUAGAACUAAUCAGAAUUGCAUAACUAAGAACUAUAUCUUUUAACUAUACUAGAACUAAUUAAUGAGUUGAAUUUAAGAUUUGCGUCAUGAGAAUCAAAUCCCUAGGCCUCGAGAUUGAAUUUCUGAUCAACAGGGAGAAGAGGGAGAGAGCUUACUGUGGUGGCUGAGGCAGACGCACCCGGCGACCAAGUUGGGCAGGACCGUGCGGCGGUGAGGGUGGUCCGGGCACGUGUGACUGGCGAGGGUGACGACCGUGCAAGCAAGGCGAGGGCGAUGGGCAGCUAGGGAUUUGGGCAAAGGAAGAAGGGGAAUUUGGCCAGGUCCCUGUGUGGCCUAGGGUUAAGUGGAAUGAACUUACCGGAGGUGUUGUGGGGGUUGAUUUAAUUAUAAAGUAAUUAAGUGGAGUGAACUUACCGAUGGUUGAAGGGUCUAACAGUUCGGGUAAUAGUAGACAGGACCAGCCAAUGGUUGUUUUCUAAGUCCCACAACCAAUAUUGUUUUUGCAAUUUCCCAUACAAUAUCAUAAAACCAUAAAACGCCAAAACCCAAAAUACCCUAAACCCCUAAAAAUGACAAUAAAUACCUAAAAAUGUACCAGUGGUGGGUGGCAAGAGAGCCCGCAAUUGAUUUGUAAAGUAUCAGUGGCGGUCGUCAUAUUUUAACCGCCACCCGUAGUUUGAGCUCAGAUAUUAGCCCAUGGCUAAUUUGGGCCAAUCUGGGCGGGUGGGUAGCAUAGACCGCCACUCGUAACUCAAUUACCAGUGGUGGGAGGGCCAACACACUCACCACUGGUAUGUUUGGCCCAUGGCUAAUCUGGGACCAUAAUACUAGUGGCGGGUGCGAAGUGAUGCAAUUAAGCAGUAUUGUCGAUUUGGCCUCAUUAUUUUGGACAUGGCUAGCUAGCGCCCGUGCAUUCAUUGGGGCUGACGAGCAGUUGCCCAUAUACGGAAAGUCGGUCUGUCACUUUCCCAAAAAAGCAAAACUAGUGUCCCCCACCACGUGAUUCCAAAGCUAGCCGAAUCCAGAAGGGAAAGUACUCGACGUCUUCACCUUACAAGGAAAUCAACUACGAUCCUAUCCCACAUGCAUUUAUUUGGGUUUCAAAAAAUUUAAAAAGCUAUAAUUUUUGGUUCUACGUCGGAACUCAGAUCUGUUUUCACUGUUGGGUUUCUCGUGACGAGUUUUUCAAAACUAGAUCCCAUAUGGGUAGGUUUGGACAAACUUUUUUCAUGGGCAACUUUGGGUGGUAUUGAGGCAACUUUAGUGCUAUAGGAAGCAACUUCUUUUUUCCCAGUAUGAUUGCCUAACAACAAAAAAUCCUAUGGAGGCAACUUUAAUGCUAUAGAAAAGUAAUUUCUUCUUAGUUUGUCUAGCAUGAAUGCCUACAAUAGAAAGUCCUUAUAUUGUUAGCUACCAUUACUAUCAAGUUAACUAGAUUCACCAUCAAGUUACCUACCAUAACUAGCAAUAGAAGACAACAAAGCAUCAACUGUAGACGACUUCGGAAUAUUAUAGGCAAUUUAGAAACAACGACAUAUGAGGAAGGACCGUAGGCAACUUAAAAGCACCGGUGAGCAAAGGAGAAUGUCGGGCAAAAUUAACUAGAACACAACAUUUGGUGAAGCUGGCUAUUUUUAGCACUAAAGUUGCCUCUAGUAGAACGAAAAAUGGUUAGGAAGGUUAUGUGUUGUUAUCUACCUCUCGAAGUUGUUCACUAUUAGUAGUGAGUGGCUUAUUGUUGCCGAUCAUAACUAGCAAUGGCAGACAAUAGAGCAUCGACGACAAGCGACUUCAUUGUAUUAUAGGCAAUUUAGAAAUAACGACAUACAAGCAUGAAUGGUAGGCAACUUAGAAGUAGCGGUGAGCAAGUUAGGAGAAUGUUACACAAAAUUAACUAGGACAUCAAAUGUAGUGAAGUUGCCUAUUUUGGUGAACUAACUAAAGUUGCCUCUAGUAGAAGGAAAGUUGCUUAUGAAGGUGAUGUGGUGUUACCUACCUCUUUUUUAAAAGUUGUUCGUUAUUACUAAUUAGUCGCUUAUAGUUACUAAUUAGUUGCUUCUAAUAGAGUGAGUUUCUUCUGUUUAGCACUACAAUUGCCUCAUCUAACAUCAAAGUUGCUUUUGAAAAGCAAAUCGAAACAUAUCCAUAUGGGUUCACGUUUUGAAGAGCUAGUCGUGACCUGGCUAGCGCCCACGCUUUUUGUAGUGUUNNNNNNNNNNNNNNNNNNNNNNNNNNNNNNNNNNNNNNNNNNNNNNNNNNNNNNNNNNNNNNNNNNNNNNNNNNNNNNNNNNNNNNNNNNNNNNNNNNNNNNNNNNNNNNNNNNNNNNNNNNNNNNNNNNNNNNNNNNNNNNNNNNNNNNNNNNNNNNNNNNNNNNNNNNNNNNNNNNNNNNNNNNNNNNNNNNNNNNNNNNNNNNNNNNNNNNNNNNNNNNNNNNNNNNNNNNNNNNNNNNNNNNNNNNNNNNNNNNNNNNNNNNNNNNNNNNNNNNNNNNNNNNNNNNNNNNNNNNNNNNNNNNNNNNNNNNNNNNNNNNNNNNNNNNNNNNNNNNNNNNNNNNNNNNNNNNNNNNNNNNNNNNNNNNNNCCCCCACUUAGUUUCCAAAUUUAGAGUCAUGAUAGGCAACUUAGAUCCCACAUUUUUUUUUCUGAUGUUGUAGCCAACUUAUAUCCCUUGAUGGACGACUUCCAUAGUAUUGUAGGAAAUUGAGGAUCACCUGUAGGGAACUUCGUAGCGACGUAGGCAACUAGGUUUUUGAGGUCGACAACUUAGGAGCCAUCUUAGGCAACUUUCCACUCUAUGGUAAGCAACUUCCAUAGUAUGGUAGGCAACCAAACUAUCAACAACUUUGUUUUUGAUAUAUGCAAUGUAGCAACCAUGUUAACCACUUAUAACACUACUGCACACAACUAAUUAGAAGGCUACUAGGUGAAUUCACUAAUACACACAGUGCAAUUAAGUUGCUUAUUUGUAGCGCCAAGGUUGCCCAAUGUAGCAUCAAAGUUGCUCUAAGAAAAGUUCGUCAAAAUAUACCCAUAUGGGAUCUAGUUUUGAAGAACUCGUCGCGAGAAACCCAACGGUGAAUAUGAAUCUGAAUACCGAUACUCUAAUCAAAAGCUAUGACUUUUUAAAUUUUAUAAAACCCAAAUAAAUGCACGUACUUUUCCUUUCUUGAUUGAUGUGUGCAAAAUAGGGCGCGUUCGAAGGGAUGAGGACCAGAUACUUUCCCUUUUUGUAGUGUAAUGAUGACACGGGAUGCCAAUUACCCUUUAUAGCAGGUCUGCUCGGAUGCACCCCGUGCCGUGUGAGUUUUUUGUCGUAUACUACGUGCGCUCAGGAAGCCCAAUUAGUGCAGCUGCACUAAGAAGCAUUUGGGCAUUAUUUUUACCUUACAUAGAAAAGUUUAGGGGAAAAUGUGUGUUGUCCAUCAGGACCCCCACGCCCUUACUUAUCGUGCUAACAGUUACGUUGGACUAUAAUACAAGGUCCUUGUUAGACUACAACCUGGACUUUUGGAUCCCAACUCUUAUUAAACCCUUAGGGCACUCCCGGUGCAUUGUAUCUUGUGUUUUAUCAUAUGCACUAAAUACGUGUUUAGAUACAACUCUUCCAGUGGCUAAUAUCUUAUUGUUGUAUCUAAAUGAGCUGCCACUUAAUAUGUUCUGUGAGGGAAAAAGAAUAAUUAUCUUGGGUUACCUGAUAAUGGUUGUAUCUUGGUAAUAUACAUUCUCUCUCCUUUUCCUCACUAACUAGGCUUCAACAAUGGUAUUUGGACUUUUGCUUAGGUGGGAUGUUUUAGAUACAACUGGCAUCAUUGCACUGGGUUUUCCCUAAGUACGACUCAAAUAGUUUACAUGAACUAGCUUGAAAAUAUUUGAAACUUUUUUGGAGAUGACAACCAGAUUCAUUUCAGAUGCAAUUAUAUGUUUUCUGACGAGUGAAAUGCACCAUAGGUCCUAGAACUAUCGAGGGGGUGGCAAGUUAGUCCUAAAGCAUUAAAACUGCAUUUCACACUUUUUGUUACCUGAAUUACGAUGGAUAGAAGGACAGCUCGAAGAUUGAAUUAUAUAUUGUGAUGUUUAGUGAUCAAGUACUGUGUAAUAAUCAUUUUGACUAAACUGACCCUAUUGAUCUCUGACUUUUGUUCACCACAAUGGGUUUUCUUAUUUGUUGGAUUUUUUUCUGGAAAAAUGCUACUGUGCAAUAAUCAUGAUGACUAAGCUGUCCAUAUUGAUCUUCUGUGAUUGUCUUAUUUGGUUCACAAGUUUUCCAAUUGCCCCUGCUUGUAGCUUGUUAUUUGUUGGUUGUUCAUUGUAUCCUGAUACUCAUUGACAACCUUCUUCUCCAUGUGACAUCUGUGGAUUCUACUGCUCAAACAGGCCAUGCAGGUGCAGGUGAUUGGCAAGAGGAGAUCUAUCAAAUGGUAAGACAUGAUACUGAUAUCAUCCUUUUUGACACUCCCUUCCUUGGAACUUCCUAAAAUUCGUAGACAGUGGCCCCUAGAACAAAGAUGUUGAGAUUGCCCUGAUCUAGAUUGUUAGAAGAUGAAACUACACACCAUGUUGGAUGUUGGGGCCUUUUACUUUUGCACUUCAUGUUGUCUAUCUCUUUUUCUUUUGGUACGUGUUCCUAGAAAUUUCUCUUUUGGAAUUUCAUACAGCAAGUGUGUAAAUGCACUAAAUUCUGGCAGUCUUUAUAAGAUAUAUAUUACAUGUAUGCGGAAUUCUGUAUGAAUGUGGAGUAUGGAGCAUAUAACCAUACAAUGUAUCUGGAUGUUGUAAAGUCUCAAGGCAGUUAGCAAUCUUUAUUAAAGCUUUUUUUUUAUGGGCAUCAUAGUUUCUUAUUUACUUCUAGAUCUGUAUGCUGCUAAAAGCUACCCCCUCUGUAAGCUAAUAUAAGAGCAUUUAGAUCUAAACGCUCUUAUAUUAGUUUACAGAGGGAAUACUUGAAAUAUCUUGCCAAUGCCAUAUUUUCUGACUUAAUGACAAACCAUGGUCUAUUAGCUGUUCUGUUUUCAUCUCUAUAUUGCUUCUGCACCAAAUUAAUGUGUAUGUGGUCUUUGUUGUCGACAGAUUAAGAGGUUAAAGGACCAAUAUUUUGCAGAACUCAGUGAAUUAUUCAAUAAGAUGGGUGUGAAGCUACAGCAUGUUGACAGCAUUAUUCCACCUCAAAUAUCAUCUGAGCAGUAUGAUAAAAUGAAGAGCUUUAAAAUAAUGUUGGAGCGCAUAUUACAAAUGCUGCAAAUUGGUAAAAGUAGUGUCCAACCUUCUAUGAGGGACAACGUUCCUCGAUAUGAGAAACAGAUUAUCAGUAUCUUGAAUUCACAAAGGAAGCCAGUGCAGCCACAAAUACACCAACAGUUCCAGCCUCCUGCAGGUCAAGCUCCUAAUUCUAGCAUUUCGCAGCAGCUACAACCUUCCCUAAAUUUGCAGCAGCAUGAUAAUCCUACUAAUGCUCAAGCAAGUUUGUUAAGUAUGAGCACCGGAUGACAGUCCUCUAGUGCAGCUGGUAUCCAGCAUGUACCUGUGCCUCGAACAAUCCUUGUGUGUAGUUUAAACUAGCUUAUCGCACUACUGCAGGAAUGCCUACCAGUAGCAGCUGCAAUAAGGCUACUAGUGGUGGGCAGGGCACCCUGCCACGGUAACCUGACACUGGUAAUAUGUUACCAGUGACGGGUGCCAUUUCUCACCCAUGGCUGGUAACCUGUUACCAGGGGCGUGCUGGCCUACUCACCCGCCAUUGUUACGCGGCACCAUACCUGGCCAUGGGAUACCCGGCCCGGCCGGCCCAACCUGACCCGGCCAAAAAAGCCCGACCCAGUCUGGUCUUGCCCAUGGGCCAGGCCUGUGCCUGAAAUCUAAGCCAAAGGCCGGGCCGGGCUUGGGAUUGGCAUAUUUGCAUUUUAGGGAAGAGGCUUGACCUGAGGCCUGAUGGGCUUUUCCUCUGAUGGGCCGUGCUUGGGCCUGAAAUCUAGGCCCGAUGGCCGGGCCAGGCCUGGGCCCAGGCUUUCUGCUUCGGGUUUUGUUAGGCCCGCCCCGGCCCGACGGACGGCCAGGUAUACGCGGCACACUACUGAUAUCAUCCUUUUUGCACUCCCUUUGUUGGAACUUCCUAAAAUUCGUAAACAGUGCCCCUAGAACAAAGAUGUUGAGAUUGCCCUGAUCUAGAUUGUUAGAAGAUGAAACAACAUGCCAUGUUGGAUGUUGGAUCCUUUACUUUUGCACUUCAUGUUGCCCAUCUCUUUCUUUUUGGUAUGUGUUCCAACAAAUUCCUCUUCUGGAAUUGGAACCGAAAUUUCAUAUUAACAUGUGUGUAGAUGCACAACAUUCUGGCAUUCUUCUUGUAAGAUAUAUUAUAUGUAUGCGGAAUUCUGUAUGAAUGCGGAUUAUGUAGCAUACAACCAUACAGAAUAUCUAGAUGUAGUAUAAAGCCUCAAGGCAGUUUAGCAAUAUUUAUUAGAGCGAUUUUAUUUUAAGGAUAUUAUAGUUUCUUAUUUUGUUUUAUAUUUGUAUUGUAUGAUUCUAAAAGCUACUUCAAACAUCUUGCGGGUGCCAUAUUUGAUUCUAUUAGCUGUUGUAUUUUCAUCUCUAUCUAGCUGUGCACCAAAUUUAUGUGCAUGUGGUCUCUUGUUGUUUCACAGGUUAAGAGCCUGAAGGAUCAAUACUUUGCAGAACUCAGUGAACUGUUCAAUAAAUUAUCUGUGAAGCUACAGCAUGUUGACAACAUUAUACCACCUCAAAAUCCAUCUGAAAAGUACUCCCUCCGUUUUUAUUUACUCUGCAUAUUAGAGUUGACUGAAGUCAAACUUCGUAAAGUUUGACCAAGUUUAUAGAAAACAACAUAAACAUUUACCAUAACAAAUCUAUAUGAUGUGAAAGUACAUUAGAUAAAGUACAUUCAAUAAUGAAUCUAAUGAUAUUGGGUUGUUAUUGUAUAUGUUAAUAUUUUUAUUUAUAAACUUAGUCAAAGUUUACAAAGCUUGACUUUGACCAAAACUAAUACGCGAACUAAAUUAAAACAGAGGGAGUAUGACAGAAUGAAGAGCUUUAAAAUAAUGUUGGACCGUAUAUUACAAAUGCUGCUAAUUAGAAAGAGUACUAUCCAACCUGCUAUGUGGGACAAAGUUCCUCAAUACGAGAAACAAAUUAUCAGUAUCUUGAGUUCACAAAGGAAGUAGUGCAGAAAAAAAAAGGAAGCUAGUGCAGCCACAAAUACAGCAACAGUUCCAGUCACCUUCAGGACAAGCUCCUAAUUCUAGCAUUUUGCAGCAGAAACAGGCUUCCCAAAAUUUGCAGCAGCAUGAUAGGCAUACUAAUACUCAAGCAAGUACCUGAUUACAGUCCUCUAGUGCAGAUGGUAUCCAGCAUGUACCUGCGCCUCCAACAACAAACUUCAGUGGCCCCAAGCAGCAAAAUGGUGCAAGCAUAUAGCAUCAGAUUCGCUCUAAUUUGGAGGCAAUUUCAAUUCUUUGCAACAUGGUUCGUCGAGUGGCGCAUUACAAUAGGGAAGCACCGGGCCGAUGCAGACAAUGAAUACACAACUGCAGACAAGUAGUGGCAUGUUAUAUCACAACCCAAUGAGUACACCAACCUAAUGGUAACUCCAUGCAAGAAAAUGCAAGUUCAUUACAGCAGCUGAAGCAGCAACAGCAGGAUCAUCAUGUGAUGCAGUGUCAGCAAACAAAGCAUCAGAUGUUUCAACAGUACCAGCAAAAGCAACAAAUGCUUCAACAGCAGCUCCCAGUACAGCAACAAUUAUAGAAACAACAAGUACAGAUGCAGCUUCCACAGCUUCAUGCUGGAGAUGAUGUUAAUGAGUUAAAGGUUAGACAAGGAACUGCAAUGAAACCUGGAGUUUAUCAACAGCACUUGGGCCAAUGCAGUAACUAUUAUCAUCAUCACAGUUGAAACAGAGUGGUGCUUUCCCAAUUUUGUCACCACAAAACUUCCAAGCAUCAUCCCCACAAAUUUCGCAGCAUUCUCCUCAAGUUGAUCAGCACAAAUUUCGGCUGUUUCAAGUACUACUAUACGAUGCAAAACAAUUCUUUAACUGCAUGGUGCACACUCAUGAGUAUCCUUGGAUCCUGAUGUAACUAUCAAGUCCCUCGCCUUGUGAUAUCCUUCUGCAAUGAGAAUCCAACCAGGCCAAUCCUUUUUUACCUUAACAUAUAUGGUAUGCGCUGUACUCUAGUGGUUUUUUUUGUUAAUUUUGUAUCAUCCCCUGGCAGAACGAUUGCAAGUGCUUAGUUACAAACUUCUUCUGUCGGUCCCUUUGGCAGAAAUAUAUGGUCAGUGUUUGCUUUGCAAAGAUAAAGAUGCUGCUCGUCUGGCUUGCUUGAAGUCUUUUCCGCUUGCUGUUGGAGCAUGGACACAGCAGGGUGGAGGCAACUCGCACCAGAUCGUGGAUGUGGAGGGAGGCGGUGAUUGACAGUUGAGAAGGUGGACGGGGUGGACGCUCGCUGCAGCCGAAGGAGCGCGCCAUGGGUGCAGGUGGAGGAUCAAGGCUAUCACCAGGAACUACCAAUUACAGACAGCAGUGUGGCACGAUUUGGAAGAGGUAAACAAACAUCUAGGGGUCCUCUGUUUCUUCCAAAGCAGAGGAAGAAACGAUGGGUCUGAUCCCACACUCGGCAACAGUGGGACCCGUUCAUUGGUCGUUGUUUGCCACUGGUGUGGAAUCAGUAGUAGUAAUACUAAUUUACUUGCUGCUGAAAAACUGACUGUCCAUUUGGAAGGGUACCAGCCACAUACGAAAGCAUGUCCUUCAGUUCCUACUUUACAAUGCUCACGGUGACACGCAUCUGAGAUUCUGAAUGUGCAACAUCCAAGACAUGGUGCCACGCCUUGAAGAAUCAGCUUUCUAACCACACAGCAUGCUUUCUAAAGGGCACCGCUAGGCAUCAGACUACUACCGAUGGUUUGCUUCCUGUCAGACCGGUUGCUAGCGAUUAGGUACAUUCCAGUCGUCUGACCUAUAAAUGCUUGAUUUGUCGAUAACUACUUCCGUGAAAUCUGCUGCUUCCUAAUUGUUGUCCCCACAAUCUGUGAUUUGUUUCCUAGAACUGCUUCCUGGCUUCAAAUUCCAUUAUUUGCGGAUAUAAUUUCGGAAAAAUAUGGUUAUUUUUCCCAAGUAAAUUCUGCUAUUAAUUAUGAAAUUUAUAAGAUGUGUUUCCUUACUUAUGGUAGCAUGGCUUUAAUACCAAUCUUCCAUGCUAACGGAAGCAUCGUUUUCUCGUGAUUUAUACUUGCUUCCGUCUACCAAUGAUGACAUAAACUUGCUAUAAAUGUAUAUGAAGCUGUACUUAAGUGGUGAUUUGCUUUACUUCAAAAACACCAACAUCAUAUUUCCAUCAAUUGGAAAAUCGCUUCUACACAAAAAGGACAUUUCCAUAGGAAGAAUCAUUAGAAUGAAUACACUUGCUACAAACACAUCAGGGAUGUGUUUCCAAGAAAUAAAAAUGUGCUCACUUUGUUUCCAUGGAUGAAAGAUUUUGCUUCCAUAGUUUCAUGGACAAACAAUUCUGCUUCCAUGACAAACAAUUUACAUCAAAUCGUUCCUUGCAAACUGGAUGUUGCUUCUACGAGUUUUCCUACUUGCUUAUGUAUGGGAGCGUGACAAUGCGGCCCUCAAGCUGGCCGUUGGCGUAGUUCCUCAAGGCACGCAUUAUCUUGGUGCGGAUGUGACACACAGCUGCAUAUCAGUUUUCGUCUGCCGGCUUGAAGAAAUAACUAGUCAAUGCGGCAGUAUUCAAACAGUGCUUACAACACUGUCCAAAUCACCUGAAACAAAACGUCAUUCCAACUGAAGCAACAAAAGGUUUGAAUGGAAGCAUAUAAGCAAGGUAUGUUUGGCGAACUAGUGUGGAAAAACAUAUGUAUAGUUGAACCACAUAAUUUAGCAUUUCAAAGCAACAAUAAGUAAGAUGGAAGCAUACAUAUACAAUUAUGUACUCCAGCAGAUGGAUUGGCGAUCGUGUCAUUGUAAUUGUCUUAAGCAUUAAAGCACAGGGUUACAACCGACGUAGAGAGACCGCCUGAGGAGAUAUAUGCAAUGAAAUAUAAUUAGAUAUGGAUUAAAUAUAGGAUAUAUAUGCAUUAUUACUAGAAUGAAAAGGCUAAUUACAACCUGAAAUGGCAAUGCAAGUAAAUGAAAUUAUACAAGUGAUGAGAAAUACAAUGAAGCAUGUCUGUUUAAUAAAAAAAUAAAAUGAAAAUCUACAAACAAUGGAAACACAUAUACUAAAUCAAGAUGCAUGAUUGCAGUUCUAUCUAUACAUAAAAAAACAUGGAUGCUCCGAAGCAAUGGACUUUACAUCUGUACAUCUACGAAACAUGGCAAGAGAGUGAAGCUCCAUUGCAUGGAAGAAGUAUCUGUACGAAGGACACCUAGGAAGUAUAUAUGCUAACUAAUGAAAAAAAAAGUACAGCCAGCAAGCAUGGCAAUAGAUUGACAUUCCAAUCAGACAAACAAAGGAUGGUAGAUGCAGCAGUACAUAGGAAGCUACCUAGAAGCAUGGAAAUAGAUUGAAAUUCCGCUGUACGUAGGAAGCACGAAUGCAUGAAGCAAAAAAGAUUGCUAUCACUAUAUAAACAAGGCGUACUGGAAGCACAACAAAUUAAGAUGCAAAAUAGCAUGCUCGCCACUGAUAUCGGGUGCAGAAUUUAUGAUCUGCAAACGUAUCCCAUCUGCUCUAAUUGGAGGUUUUGUGAGCUUACAUCAACUAGAAUUCUUCAAAUACAUGAAUGAAAAUAGAUUCACACAGAUCCCACCGCUAGUGAAUAUCCCAGCCACAUGUUGCAUCCUUUACGAAGACCUACACAGAUGCCUAGAUCGGCGACGAUGCUACAGCUAGGUAGGGAUGUGAUCAAAUACAUAUCAGCUAGAACAUCCUUAUUUUCCGUGUGACAAAGUUGGGCAGUGAUCCUGGCAAUCUCCUAUGGAACUAAAAGGGAUGCGAUCAAAUACAUAUCAGCUAGAACAUCCUUAUUUUCCGGGUGGCAAAGUUGGGCAGUGAUCCUGGCAAUCUCCUCUGGAACUAAAACAAGGUGCCUCCCCCCCCGCGCGCAUUGAGGCAGCAAAAGCAGUGAUGGGCAUUUGGUUCACCUUUGGUGUUACAAUUCCUUGCGACACACCAUUUUAUGGUAAGUUUGCUCUCAUCUAAUGAUGAGGCCACCAUAGUCGUGUUGUCAUGGCCAUCUUUGUAGGUGCUCUUGGGGUCGGGGCGACCUGUUGCAUAUGACAUAUUGUAUGGUCGUCAGUGCACAGUAGGCAAGUAUCUUAUGUACAUAGGGGAACAAUAGUUUUGAAACAUAGUGGGCUGGCUGCAAGGAUAUAAGCAAUAUGAUAGUGAAGGUGCGCUUACAUUGUCCAACCAUGAUUAGGCACCCGACAAAGAAAACAGCAACCACUACGCUGCUCCCCUUCAUAUUUUCAAUGAACUGUAUUCGAGAUUAUGAGAUAGUUAGAAGCAAUCAGAGGCAAUAACCACAAUCCCCGCUCACCUCGGUAUAUAUAGAGGGUAGGGCUGGAGUCGAGCCAAGUUCAGUCAGAGCCACGCUCUGGCUCGCUCUGUAUGGGUGUCUGCUCGGUCCAGCCCAACCACCAGACAACAAUGCAUCCCUUUACAGUGAGUAAACCGUAGCCUUUUGUGUCUUUUGUUGUUCUGAUUGAAAAUUAAGCCUAUAUAUUGAAUAUUUAGCACUCUAUAUUAAUUGCUAAAAAAAUAGAAGAUCAAGCACCAUAUAUUGCUAAUAAUGAUCAAAGUGUUGAAAACUAAGCAUAUGCAUCUUGAUGUUGUCAAGUACAUGGUUUGGUGCUCUUCACCUCUGUGUUACAAGUUAGAACCAAUUAAAAACUGACAAGUCUAUACUUCGGACUUCUGCAGACGCAAAAACAUGUUGCAGUCACUGCAGUCUAGAGGCUAGAGACUAGCACAGUUUAGCAUCUCAUUCUUGAGCAGAUAAAGCUAGCAGCAAGAACGAAACUACCAGAUGCCAGGUGAUGUAUCAUCAACUCAGUCAGGUUACAACCAGGCGUCCUAUGUUAAAUCCUAUGUUAAAAUGAGAAGCAAAUAUUCUCAAGCACAUGUACAGAAGUACGAAUCAAAAGCUUCACUACUUGACACCAUGUACAUCUCCUGCCCAAGCUGCACAAGCCUCUGCUCUGUGGCGGCUCUGCUCUUGAUCCGAGAAAAAAAGGGGGAAGCAGACGAACCUGAGGCGGCCGUUGGCGUCAUUGUCGUGAGAGGGAAGGAAACUUCUUGAGUAGUCGUCGCUCGAAUCGGCGAGGGGUUCAGGGCGCUUCCGCUUCCCCGAGAUGUAGGAAAUGGACGCUCGUUCUCGGGGAGCUGCCGGGGCGUAUUCUCCCCUAACAGACCAGCGAUUCCAUCAGUUGAAAGGAGCAUUGUUACAUUCCAUAUAUGUAGAACAAAUAACGGCAGAACAGCUAUGCAAUUUGAGAUCGCAAAGUUAUGGUAGUAAAUAGUACUCCCUCCGUCCCAAAAUAAAAGUCUUUGAUAGUACAAAGUGUAAUAACUUUGUACUAAAUCAAAGUCACUUAUUUUGGGAUGGAGGGAGUAUGCAUUAUGUGAGGGAGGCAACUAGAUGGCGCGCGAGCGCCAUCCCAAUUUCCUGGCGCACGUGCUAUAAAUGGCAGGACCACUCGCUUGUGGCAAAAACAUACCCAAAACGGAAAGGGGUCGGUCCAUCAUGUGAUUCUCACCCCUGCACGUGCCCAUACCCACACCAUGCCCCCAGCUGAUCCCCAUCACGCACAGGCAAAAGCAAAACAGGGGACAAAAUGCCACCACACAAGAAAGGGUGGAACAAACAGGAAAAAGAGGCGGCCAUGGCGUCCUGAAGGUUAAGAGAAACAAAAACAUAGAAGUCUUCACAACAAGUUAUGCAAGCACAGGCGCAAACACAGAAAUCUAGGUGUGUUUAUUUUGUCACAACCCUGAUCUGUAGCAACACUCGUAGUAUUCUGAUCUGUUUGGCAGGAGACACAGGAAUCUAGAAAAUUAUCCUCCUACCUCUCCCCUUGAUUUGAUUCUUAGAAGAUUCUGGGUACAAGGUCUUUGGAAACUUGAAGCCAGAAUUGUCGAUUCGUUUUGCCUGUGAGCGAUCCUGACCUGCAUAUAUGCAUAGGAGAUGUUAGGUUGGCUUGUGCACAACUGAAUUGUAAUAAGUUGCUUCACAUAUAGUUGGUUUAUAAGUAAAAAAUGUGUUGGUUGCUUGCCUUUCACGACAAAACGACCUAUAUGUUCCCCAGAUAGUACUAUGCUAGUUUGUUUGUGUGAGAAGUUUUUAGAAUGCAACAUUUUUGUGUGGAAAAAGCAACUUUACUGUAAGAUCCAGGUUUAUAAAUGGAUCAUCUUAACAUGAAAUGCAAAUUAACAUGCUUGUCGCCUAGGCAAUGUACUAUACCAACUAGGCAAGCUAAAUUAGAUUGUUCCAACUAGUAUUACUGGAACAAAACUGAUAUGCCCCAGUAGUAAAAAUUACCAAUUCAGGCAAGGAUCCUGUGCUAUUGAGGAACAUGGAAAACUUGCUACAAAAAUCUGGUGCAAGACACAGCUACUGCAUCUUAAAUAAGACCAUGGAUAAGCUACAUUAUUGCUGGACUGUGGAGAAGACACUUUACUAUGCUAAGUAAGGAACAAAGAAAAACAGAAAAUAUCAACGAAAUGACUUGAGAAGUUCAGUAAAAGUGUCCUAUCUAUCUAUCUAUCCAUCUGCGUAGCAACAAUCACAGAUGAAAAGUAAGAGUGUUCUCUCAGAAAAAUGCCUCGUGUUGUCCCAAAGGUUUAAUGGAAUGUAUUGUAUCAGGCAACUGAUCAGUGUUGACCAACAAAGACCCCAAAACACAAAAUGAGCAAAGGCACAUGCUCUUGCACGGACAUACAGAGAAUAAACGAAACCUUGCUUCAUUAACACAAACAAAGUGGGAGAAGUUGCUUUAUCAAAUGGCCUGAAAAGUUACUGAGCACAAGUAGAUUUGUUCUCUCUAUCUCUUCUACCUCUAUCUCUAUCUACCUAUCUACUACUUGCUUCAUUGGCACACACAAGAAUACAACAAUGCCAGAUCGCCAUGAAGAAAUAGACAUAAUUAAGAAACUUGCUUCGCUGGCACAAACAAAGUGAGAGAGGACUUGCUUUAUCAAUUUGCCUGAGGAAAGCUACUUAUAUACCACAAGUAAAUUGCAUGUGUCGAUGAAAACAAAAUGCUACAACCAGUCUCACUAGAAAGCACAAAAAACAUGCCCCCUCGCGCUAAUCUUCACCUAUCUCCUGGAGGUGUUUGUGAGCAUGCCCCUUGACGGUAAAAACAUCGACUAAAUAAAUAUUCCCCCAAAAUCUAGUGUAAUUCGUAAGAAUGAACAAUGGGUGCUCUACUCUCCUCAGCAAGAAUGGUAAGAAACGAGCGCUUCUAAUCGAUGAACGGGUGCUCUGCUCAGUGCUCACCCUUGUAAAUCGGCCAAGGGAGUGGCUCUGGUCCUUGCGCAGCUACUGAACGGGGCUAAACUGCAUUACGGCGCUCUCUUUGCUAGGCCCCGUGGAGCGCGCGCAUACCUGAGGCUUGGUCGUCGGCGGCAGGCAGGCUGGGUCGAUGCUGCGCUCCUCCUUUCGCCGGCGCUCCAAUCACUCAAACUUCUAGCGCCGCCGCGACCGCCCUGCUACGCUUCUCUCCCCUCUCCAUCUUCCCCAUCUUCAGUGACCCAAGCAGCGCCACCGAGGCCGCGGCGGCCGCCUUCUGAUUUACCGUUCCCCGCGCUCGUCUUCCUUUCUCUGCCUCCACACGAUCUCCCCUGGAAACCCGGUAAAUUUGACAAUUUUGACCCCGGGACGAAAUCAAUUCACAGAAUGAAUUGCCCGUCAAAUUAUUUCACGUCCCUAAUCUUUUUGUGUGGCGCCCGCCACGCAGGCGCCACAUCCUACGGUGCAGCGCCUACCUCUGAGGUGUUGCACGCCAGUCCAUCGUGGCAGCCCCUGGGCCCGCACCCAGCAGUGCAGCGCCUCCAAGCUAGGCGCCACACAUUUAAUGUGCAGCGCCUAGCGCUCGGGCGCUGCGACUUAUCCAGCCACUUGGCUAGCCCCCACUCCCCCCACCCCACACACCCAACCCAAGCUUUGCCCCCUCUCCCACUCUCUCCCCCUCUCAAAUCCUCUCCCAAAUCUUACAAAUUUAAAGAAUUUGUCCGUGGAUUUCGAAGUCAAACCUCCCUCAAGGUAAUCUUCUCCGAUCCCCUUGUUUUGAUCCAAGUAAUGUUAUCAAAUUGCUCAUUUGUUGCUAGUUUGGGGAAAUCCUAGUUUUGUUUGGAUCUAGAGAUUUGCAUGGAGAUGUGAGAUGUUUGUUUGCCAAUUUCCUAUGAUUAGGCUUUGUUAGUAUGUUAGGGUUAUUCUUAUGGGUGUUCUUAUGUUGGUGCUAGGGUUAGGUUUAGGGCUAGGGUUAUGGUUAGGGUUAGGGUUAUGGUUGUUGUUUGAUAUAUAUUUUAGGGUUUGUAUUCCGUGUUAAUCCUUGAAUUAGUACUCAUGGAAGUAAUGUUACGUUGUGUUGUUUGAAUGCUUAUAGGGAUGUGAAGAACAUGUGUGUUUGUUCAUCAUGGGGACAAAGAUGACUUCUUGAAAGGCAAUAUUGAACCGGACCCGGAUGAGCUUGACAUGGUGUUUGAUAGUAGUCCUAGCUAUGCGGAGCUCUUGCAACAAGUGAGGAAAGAUUUGAAUUGGAUGGACCCUAAUGAUAUCGUUGAGUUGGAGGGAAGGCAUAAUGUAGGUUUUGGAAUGCACAUCCGUUGAAAGACAAUGCGUGUCAACUCGGAGCAACGUUGGGUUGCAUACAAGGAAACGGUGGCCGAAUCACUUGACAAGGCUCUUGAGUUAUUUGCAACGAAGAAGGUUGAUUCAAGUUUGCAUUUGGACAUGAACCGGAACCCCUCCCCUUUGGUUGCUAGUAGCCCCCCACCCUUGAAGCGAGAUGAAAUUGUUGAACCUCUUUUGACCCAAGAAGUGAGGCCAACAUUGAGCCGUUUACAAACAACCAAGAUGAGCUUUGCAAGAGGAGAAUGAUGAGUAUGCGGACGAUGACAAUGAAGUUGAUCUCCAUGACAACAAUGUGGGUGAUCUCGACAAAUAUCAUUUGCAAGAGACAAUGGACCAUUCCAUCCCUUUUUCCCGUGCAUAUGCAUCGGACUCGGAUGACGAUGGUCCCGAUGAACAAGUUGAUGAGGAGGGGUUCACCACUACAAAAAAAUACACUUCCGUGAUGAUACGUGUUUGUCACAGUAGGUCGCGUUUUUUGUCAUGCAUGUACAUCCAUGACAAAUUUAUGACAGAAUCAAGAUAGUCAUACCUGUGCUGUCGUAGAAGUGUUCCAUGACAUUACCAAAAUUAUCAUCAUGGAAGUGUCCACUUCCAUGACGAUAAAUCGCGCGUCACAGAAGUGCUUUCGUCAAGGGUGACCGACACGUGGCAUCCACCGUAACGGAACGCCGUUAAGCUAUCGGGUCGGGUUUUGGAUCCGAUAACCCGUUAACAGCCCCGACCAAUGGGGAUUUUCCACGUGUAAAAUCAUCAUUGGCUGGAGGAAACACGUGUCGGCUCAUCGUUGGGACAGAUGUCAUCCACUCAUUGGACAGAAGGCGCCUAUGAUACGUCGACACGUGGCACGGCCCAACAGAGGCCCAUUCAUGUGAAAAGGCCGGCCCGUUUGACUUGGACAAAAGGUGGCGGGCCGGCUCAUGUAAAGCCUGUUAAUGGCCUGUUCGCAUAUAGCCCAUUUACAACCCGCUAAUCCAAGGCCCGUUACGCCCUAUCCGAAUUAGGCCCAGUAGCGUCAUCUGGGCCAUCCAAUAUGAUUCCAGCCCGUUUUCACUUCUGGCCCAUGUAUGGCCCAUGACGUCUUUCGACCCAUAUGAGGCCCUAUGUAACUCUUGGCCUAUUAACGGCCCGUGGUGAAACUGGCCCGUAAUGAAUAGUGUAUCACUUUACACCCAUUAACGGCCCGUGGUGAAACUGGCCCGUAAUGAAUAGUGUAUCACUUUAUACCCAUUAACGGCCCGUUAUUCCGUUGGGCCGUUUCCAGCCCAUGUUAUCUUUCGGCCUUCUCAGAGCCCAUUUAUUCUUGGGCUCAUUUCCAGCAUUCGUUUACUUACGGCCCGUUACUGUCAUUUUCUGCUUGUGGGCCAAAUCCAACCCGUGGUUAUAGUCGGCCCGUUUGUGGUCCGUUAAUACGUUGGGCCGUUUUCAUAGCGUCAUCAAAUACGGCCUAUUAACGAUGGCCCGUUAUGGUCGGCCCAUGAACGGACGAUUCCAACUCUAGCCCGUUUACGACCAUAAUGCGGCCUGUUAUUGGCCCAUGUUUGGCCAAUCGAUCAUACGACCCGUAUAAGGCCCAUUGAUGAUACGGCCCGUAGAAGGCCCAUUGUUUCUACGGCCCGUAGAGGCCUACUGUUUCUACGGCCCGUAGAAGGCCCACUGUUUCUACGGCCCGUAGGAGGCCCAGUGUCACUACAGUAAAUAUUAGCCCAUGGUUAUUGUGGCCUAGUUUUAAAAAAUAGGUUAUUGCAGCCACUAGCAAACCGCGGAAAAAGAACUGCACUGACUACAAGCAAACAAAUAAACAAGACAACAAGGAAAUAAAUAAGCAAGCAACUUAUGCUAGGCUAUCACGGCUAUUACACAUAUUACAUCCACUGGGCAUCAAAGUUCGCCACCAGUGAUCAUAAAGCGCAACGAAGAAGCAGAUUACAAAAACUGGGCACCAUUGCAGCGUAACAAAAUAAUACUGAACCGAGACCACUUCCAAGACAGUUCAAGAAAGGUUAGCCUUGCGGGGGAACUGCCGCACAAGCUGCUGAGCAAGGCUGUGAGACCGGCCUAGCAUGUCGGUCAUAGCUUCCAGGUGUAGCUGUUUAGUGAUGAGGUUCUCAUUGGUGUUCUCCGCAAUCUUUCUUAGAGAUAGGACUUCAAGUCGAAGUUGAGUUGCAGAAUGCCUUUCUGGUAGAACUUGGGACUGAAGAAGUCGAACUGAUUCAGACAACGAAUUCUGUGAACUUGUCUGACUGUUAGUCUCAAGUAACUUGAACACUGCAUCAAGACAAGACUUUUUGGUUGUCUCGCUAUCUUCAAGAUGUUUUGCCUUCUUUGCUGCAAUAUAUGUUGGGUUUGUCUCACAUCCUUUAGCAGACUUGUGCAUGCCAUCAGGCAUAUCACCCUGAAACAAAGCAGAGAGAUGACAUGUUUUGCACGUGUAUAAACAAAGAUGAUAACUGUUCUAUCAAUUCUAUCCAAUUUCAAAUUAGAAAAUAAAGAGUAAGUUGAAAAUAUCAAUAGCAUAAUUUGGCAUUGUUCAUAAUGCGGGGAGCUUCACCACACUACUGGAUUACCAUGUCAACAUAACAAGCAUAGAUGAAGGGCAAAGAAAAUCAUUGUAUCUAUUUUGGAUAAUGUGCAUGGCAUGUUGUUCAUAUCAUCAGCCACAUCAGUAAGAUAAAACAGGAGAUGACAAGGUGCAAACGUGGGCUGCUUCACCACACACUGGAUUAUAGAUCCACAAAAACAAGCAUACAUAUAGGGAGUAUUAAGUAAUGUGCAUGGUAUGAAUAAGGAAUUUGGUUUUACUAGUAAAACUUAGAACUUACGGUUCUUACGAACAUGCAUUUUGGUAGAAACAGCAAACUAAACAGCAGUAAACGAUAGGGAGUAUGAGCAAAUUAAACAGCAGUUGAGGAUAAAGGCUUUAGAAGGACUGACUUACAUUAACAGUUAACACCGGCUUUAUAAUGCCCUUCUCCAUGUCAAGGGAAGGAUAACUCAAGAAUUUCAGCACCGAAUCUUCUUCAUAAGCAUUGCCUGUACUCUACAUUUUGUAGAGUAAUUAUAGAUAUGAUAAUACUGGAAGGGAUAGAGGAUAAUGAAGAUAAGAUGGAGAUUGAUGCUACAUAAUCAACUACCAAUCCCUGGAAGUACAAGCGUUACAGGACAAAAUGUACUGACAAGAGCAAUGGGCUACACUUCUGCACUGACAUUGUCUGUGUAUUCUACUUGUUGGUAAGAUUAAAUAUAGAUCUGAUCUUUUUUAGUAAAUGGUGGGCGAGGGAGAUAAGAUGCAGAAUGCUACAAAAUGAACCAAUCCCUCUUCCCAUAAUACAAGAGUGUUUUGAACACUGGUGUACUGUACAAAACGUUCUUAUAUUAUGGGACGGAGGGAGUAGCUGUUAAUGUAAGUACAGUGAUAGACCACGUUCAGUCCUUACAAGAGGACUACAGAGCUAAACCUCUUCAAAAGCAUUGGGUUGAUUCUAAAUUUAUGUAAGAGUCCAUACGGAUCUUAUAAUGUCCACCAAAUGGACGAUUACGAGGCUAACAUGUGCAGUGAUGCUACAUAAUCAAACAUCUAUGAAAGUAAGUAUGGUCAUACAGGGCAAGAGGUACUCACAAGAGCAAUGCAGUGUGCAGUAUAGUUGCGAGAUUCUGUGGUCCCUUGAGAGCGAAUGUUCUUCUGCUAACAGUUUUCGUACAAGUGAGACAUUAAGGCAAAUGCAGAAAUGUAGUUCAAAUUGUGAUGUGAUAUCAUAGACAGUACCUUACGCUGCAGCCGAGACCAAUGUGUAACAAGAUUAUUCCAGUCACCGUCGGAUAAAUGUAGCACCGGAGACUUUACAGAAAUUUCGUUCAGAGGCUUGCCAUCGAAGUGCGCUUGCCUCAGGUAGGAACGAUGCUUCAUCAACGAGUGCUUGAAAAGCGCAACCAACCCUUGCUCGUCAUCACAAUCCAGUUUGCUCCUCGCCUAUUUAAAAGAAUGAAAUCUUGUGUCUUCUGUCAGCAGAAACAUAUGCAGUAAUGACCAUGAAUAACAUUAAUACAUUACUUACGCGUAAGUUGCGGAGGAAGACUGGAAAUUGUUUUGUGUCUGCGGUAUAAUCUUUCCAUGAAGAAAAGAUGCGCACAAAGUUCCUGACAACAACAUAAGCUUCGUCUUCUAAACUGGGAAGAAAUGGAACAGGGGUCCUAUUUGCUACAAUUGGGGCUCUCUCUGGUUCGAAAAAGGAUUUGGCAACUAGAUUUGGUGUACUCUUUGCUGGAAUGGGGGUUUUGCGUCGUACAGCUGGUGCUAUGUCAACUGGCAUAAUCAUACUGUUUGCUGCAGUUGGGGUCUGCUGAGUUGGGGCAUCAAAAAUGACCAGUGUAGUAGGGCUAGAGUCUGCUAGAGUUGGGGUAUUUUGUGGGUCAGGUGAUAUUGCAACUACACCUAAUGGGCUAUUUGAUUUAUCAGGUGCCACUACCUUUUCCAAAUACUUUGCUUGUGCUCCUCCACGAUCAGCAAUCGCCCUCUUCCUUUUGAACGUCUGAUACACAAGAACAACAUUUGAAUGGAUAAAUAUGGUAUGAUGACAGAUGGAAUAUGUACUGAAAAUGGAUAGGCAGGGCGUAUUCACAUACACGAUGUGUAAACUAAGCUAAUGGCAGUUCAACAAAGUAGAAGCAAUGCAAAGCAUCAGUUACAAGAUAUGUGCGAGCAAUGUAACCUUGGAAAGUUAGAGAAAGUACCUUGAUGGGUGAAUAAGAUAGGGCAUCUUCCUCUGACUCCUCCACUAGGGAGCUACAUUGACUUAGGUCUCCCUCUAGCUCAGAAUCACUGUUAGGAUCAUAUUCUGAGCAUGAAUCUGUAGGUGGAGAGCGUUUGCAUUGCAUUGCAUCCAGACUUGAUUUCAGUCCCUUAAUGCCAAGUUUGACAGCCAUGGCAUUGUUCUGCUUUAUUCUUUUCAUGCGCGCAAGCUCAUAAUCAUUAUGACGCUGUUCAGAAUCUGAGAUUCAUGAAAACAUAAAAAGUAGUCAGAUUAUCUAUGGAAUGCGUUGCGGAUUCAACUCGGAGAGUGUCUCCCUAUAAACACCUGCAUAUGCAAAGUUCACCUCCCCAACCGUGCUGACCAGACCACACACAGAAAUACAAACCCCUUAUGUCUCUAUAACAGGCAGGCACACAUUUCAAAACUGAAGUAGGAACAUUAGAAUCAUAUGAAAUUCGUAUUUGAACAAAUAAACUAAGCAAUUAUGAGUGGCAUAAUGUUUAGCUUCAAGGGUGGAGUGUUGGUAGUGCGACACAAAGCAAGUAGGUAGAUUGUAUUCCAUGUAAAAGAUCGAAACCUAUGUAAAAGCUGGAAAUGACACUUUCUUUCUAUACAAUGCAGUGUUCGUUACCCACACAUGAUGGAAGAGAUCACAUAGAGAAAUACUAUUCACUCAUGUCUACGGUUCCAGUAUUUAGAAACAGGGUGGUCCACCCUAAAAGAAUAUUGACAACAAAUAUGACAAGGCAAGCAUAGAUGUAGUGAAUCAAUCAUUUACUUGUGAGCUUACUAGGACAAGUAUGCAGAAUUGUAACUGCAGUAAGAGACCGUCCAAAAUCUGAAUGAAGAAGUUUGUCUAGCACUUAUUGUUUGCAACUAAUCGACGUGAAUAAUUGGAUAUUAUAUCGAAUGAGUAAGAAAGACAAGUAAAAUUGUCAACAAACCUGGCUUGCAGUAGUAAUCUGGGUCAAUGUCACUACGACCAACAAUCCAAAAUGACUAGUUUCUGUUCCGAGGGCCGGAAUUUUGAAAACCCUGUGAACUUUAGAGGUACUAAAGAUUACCGAAAUACAUCUGAACCAUUAAGUGUAGGUAGCACUGAGCACACAACAAACCCUAAUGAUAGUCCUGCCUAAUGAGUAAUGAAUCAAUUAGAAAAUGGGUGAUGAGGAGUGGCUGCUGAGUGUUGAGGACGUAUCUCAGGAUAAAUCGGGUUGGCUUGGUGGGUGCUGCACGCCUGAGCCCUGAACGGACUGGGAAGGUAGGCACGGCGGCGCGCCCGGGCAGCGGUGACGCUGUUGGGCGAGCGGCUCCUGGCCCCUGUUAGUCCGGCGUCUCCUCCUAGAGUCAUGCCGUCCGGGGACGGCAAGUCGCCGGCGAGGCAGGCGGCUGGGGGCGAGUAGAGAUCGGAAGCGCACAGCAGAACAGAGGGAAAUCGGGGCCUGGGACGACCCAAAAUCCCAGGGUGGGCCGGCCCACCGUGGGCACCCUGUAGAGAUACACACCCGAGCGGCGAACAUGCAUUUUUGAAACUAAUUUAGGAACAUUUAGCUGACCAAUUAAACAACUCUGUUUUAAUAAUAUCAGAUUCGUAUUUGAACAACUAAGCUUGUUUAGCUUGAUGGGUGGAGCAGUGUUAUUAUGACACGAAGCACGUAUUCUGAUCGUAUAGUGAUCAUAAAAGGGGGAAACUCUAAGCAUAUUUUUUUAGCAAAAGAGGGUUUCCCCUCCGAUUUCUAUUAAAGAAACCACCACGGAACCAACAUGAUCAAUUAAACCCUAAGCAUGAUCAAUUAAACCGUAUUAUGGCUGUGCCAUGGUAGAUUUGAAGGUGCAAACUGGAGAAAUGAUAUUUAGCAUCCAUUGUUUGCUUCGAACUAAGAACUAAAUUCUAAGAGCUGAAAAGAAAGUAGAGUAACCAAGUUAAGAUCUAUUUUCUGGUUGAGAUCAAAAAGUUGAGGAGAUAUGAAGUACCACCUCUCUUGCGGCGCCGUGUAGGCAUCGGGGGUGCGAUGGCUGUCGGUGGCGUUGAAGCAGAUCUGCGACGGUAGACGGGUGCAUCGGGGGUUAAGUCCCGUUGCGGUGGAAGAGAAGGUCGUGUGAGCGGCCCCGACAAAGAGGACGACGGCGCCGACGAAGCGAGAGGACGCGAUGCAAGGCUAAUGGUCCAUCACCGUGGAUGAGAAACGUCCAUCUCUAGCAGUGGACGACGCGGUCUUGGUAGGCGCUCCGGCAUGGUGGAGGACGGUGGCGAUGGAUGUGGUGGAGGACGGCGGCGAUGGAUGGGGUGGCGGACGGAGGCUGGUGUGGGGAUGGGGUGUUCUAGCGCGGACGGUGUAUGAAUGGGAAAAUGGAGGGAGAGGUACGGGGAACCAUGUUUUUGGGACGCGCCUGUCUGAAAUAUGGGAAAGUUACGAACUUAGCCCCCGUUUAAAAUUUGGACGUCUCGUCGGUUGGGGAUAGGACGGUAAUCUCGCAUCUCGCCAAUAUUUGCCCAGAGCGAUUUCGGGCGAGGAGAGGGUGGUUGGCGCCCAUGGUUGGCGCCCACGAUGUAUGAACGGGGCUGACAGUAGGGCGGUUGUGUCACGUCUGAGUGAAGUUACAAACCUGCCCCUAUUGAAAAUAUAUGCCUACAUCGAUUUCGGCCGAGUCGAGUUUGUUCUGCCGCCCACCAUGUAUGAAUGGGGAAUGGAGGGAGAAACAGAGGUCUUUCGGAUGAGCUUGAAUCAAAUGAGUUUUGCCGCCCAUGUUUGACGCCCACCGUGUCGGAAUGGGCUCAGAGGCGGUCGUGUCACGUCUAAUUGAAGUUACUAACCUACCCCUAUUUAGAGCAGUGGAAAUCGGGCCAAUGGAUUGUCCGUGUAAUGGGUAGACAGUAAUUUCCAUCUCCCAAACACUUGGCUUCGGGCAGCCGACGUGGGAGUGGACAUUUUGCUGCUUCUUUCGAAUUUUGGGACAAUAAGCAUCCACGUUUACCCUGGCAACUAAAUUCGAAUCCAUUUUGUAUUCCUAUAUGAAUCUUUAUAAAUCAUUCUAUGUGUUUUUAUAUAUCUUCAAAAGGACGACAAAGAUGUAUUCCACUGUCAUAUAUGAAUAUGGUUUACAAAUGCCGAUACUCAAAUUCAGAAACUAGAAUCCAGUUUAAGGUGAAUUCGAAUAUUUGGAACACUUCAUGUCCAACUCAAAUGUCACACGCAGCAUAAUGUGUACUCCCAUUUAGAUAUGUACACAAGCGAUCUAUCAAGAUUCAAAUACCGAGUCAAUCAACCAAGAAUGUACAGAACUAACAGACAUAUAAACACUUAUAGAGUAUAUGGAUCAAUAAUAUCAACUAACAUACAUAAGCCAGGCCGCUGUACUUUUUUUUUGGCUAUAACAACAUCCUUUUUUUAGCCAGCAUCGUGGCCUUUUCAAUGCGUGCCACUUAUGGUCCAUCUAUACUACUACUAUUGCUGAAUGCACAUUUAGCCCGAUUGGCAUAUUUGUAGGUCUGGCACAGCAAUCCAAAUGAAAUGUCUCCGAGUCUUAUCAAUUGAUACAGACUUGUGCUCAAAUAAAAUUACAAACCAAUAAACAAAAAAAACAAUUAUUACAUGAUCUCUAAAACAAAUGGUUUGAUUGAUUACAUGAACAGACAACACAAAGGUUAUUCAACUAUGGAAAGAAUAUUUAACCUAUGAUUUACCAAGUAGGAAUUGAAUUUCCUUUUUUCCUUCAGGACCUUAACAAUCUGGUGAGUCUCAGCUUUCUUCAUUUUGAAAUCCACCAAAUAUUUAAUGGUUGUCUUGAGUACUGCUUGUGAUUGUGCUGUUUGCUUCCUCAACAUGUCAACUUCAUCUCUAAGUGCAGACGCAGAAUCUCUUUCUACCACUAGUUUAGCCUCUAGAGCAUCAGCAGUUGGCAAUUCAUAAUGCACGAUUGGGCCGGUUCCACUGCUGUGGGAUGAUGCAACGUCCAUGGGGACCUCGCUCUUUGAUCUUGGGGUAACCUGUUUUUCCAUUAAAGUUCCGAUUGGAUUCAGAAAAGUUGAAGUUAGCAAAACAUCUCAACUAGGAGUUAUAACAGCAAACCAGUUAAACAAACAAGGAAUUAAAGAGUUUCAAUUGGAUGCUGAAAAGUAGUUAUUAACAUCAUUGUAACCCGCUGUUGCAGCAGCAAAGCAGUUAAACAAACAAGUAGAUAUUUAAGUUAAGGCAAACAGGUAAUUCUUAACAGUAAGUAUCAAACACAUAGAUAGGCGCAGUCUACAAUAUGAUUAACAGGCUGUGCCAUUAUGUAAUCAGUAGCAAACUAAAUUAAGCCAAGCAACGUAAUUGAACAAUUUUGCAAUAAGUGGCUAACUAAAAUUCCGAGAAGCAGGUAACUGAACUUACGCUAGUUCUUUGUACAGGCACACUGCAACUUCUUUUUCGCUUACAAGGUUGUACGAAGGAGUCCAUGGCAUCAAUUGCUUGGAUACGCAGUCCCAAUACUUCUUUCUUCCCACACUGCAUGGGUAAGUCGAAUGGUUAAUCUGGUAAGAUGGUGUGUCCUUGAUAUGUUAUAUGAGGAUGUGUAGUCAGACUAGUUGUAGCCAAACACAUCACACUGGCUUUUACUGUAUAUUUCAUGUGAUUACUUUUGGCAUAUCGAGAUCUAAGCAAUCUACAAUAGGAUGAAAAGACUGGCAUCCUUCACAUUAUUAGCGAACUCAGUUCAUAGAAACAAGCAAUUCAACCAUUCUGUGGGUAAAUCAAAAGCGUCACUGGAAUAUUUUUCACUAUCCAAUCAUACACGCAAAAAGGGGUGGCGCCACCAUAGGGGCUGGUAUGGGCGGCCGCCUCAGGUGGCUGGAAAGUGUGCACCUAGUUUGAGUCGUCCAGGUUGGCCCACGCUAGUUUUGUUCGUCCCAACGCACGAGCAGGCAAUGUAAAAAAUGAAGAAAAAUGUUUUAAUUUGGAUGGGCCAAUAACAUAAGUGCAAGGCAGGCCCUAUAGCAGGCUCGCGGCCCAAACGAGCGCCUCCCAUAUCGAUCGACAGCAGGAAAAAUCCCAAUUCAUUCGCUCCAGCCUCCAGUCUGGUUCGCUCCUAACCUAGCCGCCGCUGGACAGACCGACACAGCACUUCCUCGCGCCCUCGUUGGAGGGUGGUCGCCGAGCUUCAAGCGAACGGAAGGACAAGAAGAUGAAGGUCCAACCCUGGGUGUAGUCUGCGUGGGAGGCAGCGGCGGUAGCAUGGGCAUGGCAUCGAGCUUGCGCAAACGGACAGUCGCAGCUUGCAAGAGUAGCAUGCGCAAUGAGCAGGUACAUCACAUCCCUGAUUAUAUCUAAUUCAACUCUUCAAUUUCUGGCCAAUAGUUAAACCUGACGGUGUUGUAAAACUGCUUGUAUGUAGGGAAUCUAUGAGAAAAUGAAACCAAUUUCUACUUAUUUUAUAACUCCCCCAAUCAAUACUGAACUGACUGAAUCUGAUGUAUCUAAUCAAGUUUCCGGUGCAAACAUACAAGCUCAUGUUGUUCUUGAGCCUGAAGUGUCUAAUGAACAGACUGCUAAUGAAGGAUUUGAUGCAAACAUUUUACAUGCUCCUGGUCAUGAACAUAUAGUGUCUAAUGAGGGAUCUAAUGCAAGCAUUUUGCAAGCUCAUUGAAGGAUUUAGUGUCUAAUGAUGAUCUACUAUGUUGAGAGAGACAGAGAUUUGCAGGCAUUGAUGACAAGCAAAUUAUAGUGCAUUUUCAUAGCUUGAGGAAACGUCGAGGCCAUCUACCAGAAAGUCCCCGUAUCAUGACAACAUAGCAUAAAUACUUUUCUAAUCUGUUGUUUGAAACUAUUGCCAUACUUGUGCAGGAUAGAUAUAUUGAUAUGCAGUUUGCGCACUGGUUAUACGUGCAAUUACACUUCGAUAUUUUCAGCCAGAGAACGAAUAAUUCAAGAAGGUACAGACCAUGUUUGUAGUCCUUGUACACCAUGUUGCAUUUUGUGUUUUUUGGUGCUUGCAUCAUUUAGUGUUUAUAAUCUGAACUACUUUGGAUCAUUAGCUGGUUUUCAAAGUGCGUGUAGCUUCACAUUUCUCAAGUUAUGUUGAUUUCCGGAGUGCAAGUGCCUUCGUAUUUUUUAAGUUAAAUGUUCGCCCCUGGUAACUUGAAUUCGUGGAUUAGCCACUGCACACAAAUCAUACACGAAUGCCAGUAUGAAUUAAAUGAAAUCCAGGGACUUACGCUAGCUCGUUGUACAGGCUCACUGCAGCUCUGCUUGCGCUUGGGAUGUUCCAUGUACAAGUCCAUGUUACCACUUGCUUGGAUGUGCAGGCCUUGUGCUCCUUGCAUCCCCCUCUGCAUUUUUGACACGGCGAAUGGUUGAUCAAAUAAGAGGAAUCGACCUUGAUGUUGUACCGGAGGACAGAUACUUACAAGGUUAUACGGGUGUGCAGGAUGUGUACCAGAUCCCGUAGCGCCGUCAUGCUUCGCUAAAAAAUGGAUUUGCUUGUUUCAGAUGAUAUCUCCAGAAGAAAUAAGAGUUAAAGUCAGAGUUGCAUAGGCGUGUAAGCUAAGAGAGCAGUGAAAGGAUAUCCAAACAUCGUCGGAACAGUGCACAAGGGAGUGAUGUGUGGAUACCUAGUUCGGGCCGGCGUUUGGGCAUGCUCGCCUAGCUAGAGUGCGGGUCACUUCAGAGCCGUUGAGGGUGAUGCGCUGGCGUUGGCUGGCCGCGCACGUAUGUAGAUCUUGAGUGGCAGCGGAGCGCUAUGAUGCGGUGGACGAGACCGUUGUUGAAGCCCCAACGGCCUCGGGCGGCGGAGGUGCGACGAUGUGCUCGGUGAAGUAGCCCCGGUGAGAUGGGAGACGGCGUCGGUGAAGCGCACCUGAUGCGGUGGAACUCGGUGUCUGUGAGGCACGUCGGUUGCGGCGGCCGACGUUGUCGGUAACCACCCGGUGCGGUGGACGAGGGCGUAGAUGAGGUAGCUCCGGUGCGGUGGUGAAGCACGACCGUCAUCUUCGUCGUUGUCGUCCGGCACAGAGGUCGGGAAUGGUGGGGAAAGAGACGAGACGAGGGGCGAUUCGAGGGUUGGCGGCGAAUUAGGGAUUUGAGCAAUCUGGGCGCGAAAGGGGACGGUGGAGAAGAGAGAUUUUGCAGGGCUGGAAUUGGGGCCGCUAGAUAUUUCAAUCCGAAACGUGGAAGCGCGAACUUAUAUCGUCGUCGUCCUUUUUUCGGGGGGGAGGGGGGGUGGGUGGCUGGGUGCUACGCGUCCGUCCGACACACGCGACCACCCCGACAGGACUAUGCUUCGGUGCCUUAAGGCACCUGCCUUUGUGUCCAUGACAUGUGGGCCCAACAGGUGGCUGGCCCACUUGUCAGUGACCCAAAGGCAGUUGCCUUUAAGGCACCGAAGCAGCGUCCACCCCGACACGACCCUGGUCUGCCUGGUGCACCUACAUUUGAGAAUGCAAACGAAUCUUCUUUCAUUUGCAAACGGAUCUGUAUGUAUUACCAUGCCCGUGUUUUCCUUGCAAUAAUUAGUCAUUCGAAACGAGAUACUCCAUCGGUUCACUUUUGUAAGUCGUUUCAGACAACUUAAAAUGAACUGUUUUGCACAUUGUCUGAAAUGUCUUCAAGGUCUAAUAAAAGUGAACAGAGGGAGUACUAUAAAUUAAUUAAUGAGGAGUUAUUUGAAUUUUUUUUGAAACGGUACCCACGCUAACGUGGAUUAGAGUGUGUGUCACAUAAUUAGUUAUUUGAAUUAGAGUGUGUGUCACGUAGUUAGUUAUUUGAAUUAGAGUGUGUGUCACAUAGCGAUCUCCAAUUCUAACGUGGAUUUCGCAUUUCACUGUAUCCACGCUACUUUUUUAAUACAAAUUCAUUUGUAUAUGAUGAACACCAUGGUAGUGAGAAAACUUUUGGAUGGAUUCAAACAUAUGACCUACAAAAUAGCACAACAAACUGAGUCAAUGUCAACUUUUCGAAACUUAGUAUGGCACGAAUUCGAAAUAAUUACCCGUAUGCCUGGUCCUCGGUUCAAAUCUUACAAUGUACACCGAAUUGAAACAUCGAUAUUAAGUCUCGUACUAUGUACAUUCAAAUGUUGUUUUUAGCCCCCCCCGCACAAACGCUACAUACUUCCUAUAUCGGUCAAUCUUCCUCUCCUAACCACCUUAGGGAGCUAUCGGUUUCCAACACACGUUCAUUCUUUCUCUCCAUGUUUCGAUCUCUAAGUCUCUCAACUACACAACCCCUUUUUCCACUCUAUUACCAAAUGUAUUUACCUCACACACCCGCCAUUGCACCCCAUGCCGAGCUCUCUCUCUCUCUCUCUCGCCCCUCUCCCUCUCACCCUCUCGCGCUAAAUACAUGCAUUGCCUAUCUAGCCCCCCAACCUCUCGUGUGCACGCACGCACGUUGUAUAUCUAGGUCACUCCCUCGAGACUGUCUCACUCUUUCUUCCGCACGGCGGGCCACACUCGCUCAAUCUCGCUCUCUUUAUCUGAGUCUCGUUUAACCUCAUUUUCUUUCACACACAAAUGAUAUAUCUCCCUAUUCGGGCCUCGAUCGACACACUCUAUACUCUCUCACGCAGAUUGUCUAUCUAGGUCAGUCCAUCCAAGCCGCCGCCACUCUUUUGACCUCAUGGUGGGCCACGCUCACUCAAUCUCUCUCUCUCUCUCUCUCUCUCUCUCUCUCUCUCUCCGUAUGUCUCGAUUUACCUCGCUCUUUCUCGAACAAAAACGAUAUAUCACCAUGUUUGAGCCCAAUUCGACCUAUUCACAUUGUAUACUCUCUCACGCACAUCGUCUAUCUAGGUCACUCUCUCCAACCCGUCUCACUCUUUCGAUCGCACGGCGACCCUAUGUGAUCGGUUGACCUUGCUUCCUCCCACGCACAAAAUAUAUCUACACGUCUGUGACUGGAUCAUUUCUCAAGCUCUAUCUUACAGCCCUCACCCUUGCCAAAAAGCUCAAUCGGACAAUAUCUCUCCAGAGCAUAUAUAUUUGUUCAAUGAAUGUCGGACCACACUCACUUUGUCUCUCUAUCUAUAUGUCUCUCGAUUGACCUUGCUUUCUCACACCGUAUCUUCCACGCGUUGAAGCUACUACCUCUCCAUCCCUCGCAAAGCCGGAGCUAUUUACAUUGCGAGGGGCACUCCAACCUUGGAUUAAUUUGUGUAGGCAUUUAUUCCGGUCGGUUUAGAUUAUAUUUUCGUAGCAUUCGGCCCACAACUACUCCAAACACCGUUGCAACCCACGCAACUCCCCUAGUUGAUUUCCCUCUGGCUCGGUCAUCGCUCUCUCGCACGUCCUUUCUCGCCUUCAACGUCGCACCAUGGUAUUAUUGAAAAAACUAUGUUGUUCUCUUUAAUUAUUAUAAAUAAGCUACAAAACUACACACCGAUAGUCCACUUGGAAUGGAACAAAUUUUGACCCACAAAUUAAAGUGCUACAAACUACACACCGAGGGGCCCACAUGUCAUGAAACAAAUUUGGACCCAUAUACAAAUUAAAAAAUAAAGGACGAGGAUCGAACAUGCGACCGGGCCUUCAAGCCGCACGUCAAUAGGCAACAUACGUAGAAUAGCAAUGUUUGUUGUACCCCCUUUGUUCACAUAAUGUUUUUAUAUUACCACAGCCUAAUUAAUGGAUAACAUGUAAUAUUAUUUUUAGUACUAUUCGCCUUCACUUACUGGUGGGUUCCAUGUGUGCUCUCUCUCUCUCUCCUCCGCUUCUGCGUUUAGACGCACGGGCAAAUAGGAAGAACUCGCGGGCGAUGUUGCCGUUGACCAUAUCUGGACGCGUUCACAAGUCACGGCACCAGUUUCACGUACUAGCAGCACUAGUCAGUGUGUACGUGCAAUGCACGUUAAUUUGGAAGUAUAUUAAGUGCAUGCGGAUAUUAACUACUAGGAUAUUAUUUGCGUGUUGUCAUGUGAUUAGCACUAUUUUUGGCAUGAAAUUAACUGCACGCUAAACAUGUUGAGCGCUCGACAUUGAAGCAGUCUAGGUCGUUGGAUGACAAGGAAUACAUGUGGCUUGAUGACGUUUUAUAUUUAAUUUGAUACGGCUCUAGCAGAACAUUCAAUCGAUCAAACCAUACAUUUCGUUCAGUCUGACUCCGACUUUAAAUUAUAGACGAUCGAUAUAAAAUAAACGGAAAUGAUAAACGUUCGGAUUUUAAACAUGGCAAUCCGAACGUUUUUUCAUGGCAAAUUUAGAUUACGCGGCGGUGGCGGGGGCGUCUCGCGGUGGGAAGCGGCUCCUCUGCCGUGCUCUGUGUGUCGUCGGGCCACUGACCGACGGCGGCGGCGGCGUCUUGCGCCGUUGUUGGCGUACUCCUAGACGUUGGCCUAGCUUCAAGGAAGGCCAAAAUGUUCUGGACUUCGGAGCGAGUCAACUGGCGGGAGGAGGCGACUGGCGUUGGUGCAAGGAAGCGGUCGACGACGGCCAUCCAUGCCGCUGAGGGGGGCACUGGCACCCGCGCGGGGACAUGUGCUGUCAACGGCGCGGCGGAGACAUUCGUGUGCACGGGCACCGGCACGGGCGCGCACGUCAGUGCACGCGCAGGCGCAUGCGCUGGCAGGUGCACGGGCACCGGUACGGGCGUGCGCGUCAGUGCACGCGCAGGCGCAUGCGCUGGCAGGUGCACGAGCGCGUGAAAGUCGGCGGGGACCUCGUGGAACCCCGUGGGAUCAAGCUCGACGACAAUGUGCGGCUCCCAGCCCAUCAAUGCCAUGGGGAUGGGCGCUGGCGCAAUCAGGGCGACGGGAGCCGGAACGGGAGCGGGGACAGGCGCGGCGUCUUCCCGCAAGGCCAGUUCAAGCUCGUCCCAAAGCGCCUUAUCUUGAGACUCCGGCUGGGUGUCUUCCUCAGGAAACUGGAACACUAAGGGCAGACCAUCGUGAUGCGGCAUGGCGUACGUUUAGGUCAGGCUAGUUGGAGGUAGACAACAGGAGAAUCGGAGAGGAAGAGAGAGGAUUGUAGCGAUACCGGGUAGUGCGGGGUUGAUUUUAAACUGCGGCGCCGACGACAUUAAAAGUGGGAGCAGUUGGGACGACGGUGGGCGGCGGAGCCUGGUCAAAGGGCUCGCCUCCCGGUGAGCCUGCACAGCGGUCUGCUCGCACGCCUCCCUGACAGCCGGCGCAGCGGUCUGCUCGCACGCCUCCCGUCGACUCACACGCUUGCUCGGACGGCACCUGCUGAUGAGAAGCGGGGAGUCGUGGCGGCACAUAAACGCCCACGGUUUCAAUAGUGAAAGCGUUCGCCUUAACGUGACAGGUCUUUGUUCCAAAAUACCAUGGCUCUUCAUUUGUGCAACUUGUCAUAAGCAGCUUGUCUCAAAUUGAAGAAAAAACUUACGAAGUAAUAUUUGUGCCACAUCACGUGACCAUGCUUAGUUUCAAGAAUUUAUGCUCACUUUUGGAUUUUCUGAAAUUUAAGAUCCAGGAUUCGAAACAAUAUCAUAACCUGCAUCAUGCAAUAAAUUUUCAAGCCGUACAUCUGUCCUGUUGUAUUUCUUAAGAAAAUAUUUGGUCAAACAUUUUGCUUAGUUAGACUUCAGACAAGUUAUAUAUGCAGAGUAAAAGGAUAAUCCCUCCGUACCAGUGCAUUGCCUGAUAUAUUAACUCAAGUACUCGGCACGGACAAAUGAGCUCAAUUUUGUGCUCAUCCUGGUGUAGUAGUAGUAGUACUAGGCAAUGCAGUUGACGGGUGACCUUGACGAGCGGCGACCGAGGGAAUUGAACCGUGCUCGGCACGGUAGGUAACGUUGCCUAGUUACUAAAGCAUCCCUCCGUUGUUCAUCGGUAGUCAUUAUGGACCGGGGACAUGAGGGGAAUUUCCUAGGGCUAGAAUUCUGGCCGCCAGAUAUUUUGACCUGAAACGCUGAGGCUCGACUGGUUGGGGUUGCCUAAUGUGCGUACCACGCACGCCACCGAAGGACACGAGCCCAGUUUUUUUAGGAUCAACACAAGCCAAGGUCUGGCUGGUACGCCGUUGGGUCCUACCAUUCGAGAAUACGAAAGGAACCUUUUAAAUUGCCGAACAAAUCUAUGUGUAUUACAAUACCCGUAUUUUCCUUGCAAAUACUAAUCUCAACGUGGUAAUUGAUUUAUGACGAGUUGUUGAAUUAGAGUGAGUUUGUGAUAUAGUGAUCUCAACGUGGAUUUCACAUUUCAUGGUAUCCCUAGUAAUUUUUCCAAUGCAAAUUCAAAUUUAAAAGAUGAACAAUAUGGAGGUGAGAAAACUUUGUAUGUAUCAAGCAUAUGACCACACACACACACACAGAGACACACACGCACGAACACAACAACAAUCCAAUAAGUAUAGUGCAUCUAUUUUUCCAAACCAUGCAUGUAUGACACGAAUUCAAAAAUACUCCUUCUAUUCCUAAAUAUUAGUCUUUUAGAGAGUUCAACAAGUGACUACAUACUGAGCAAAAUGAGUGAAUCUAGACUCUAAAAUAUGUCUAUAUACAUCUGUAUGUGCUAGUCCAUUUGAAGCCUCUAAAAAGACUAAUAUUUAGGAACGAAGGGAGUAAAAUGUAAGACAUCCGUGGUCCUGAGUUAAAUAUUUAAAAUGAACAUGAAACUGAAACAUGAAUAUUAAGUCUAGUACUACAGUACAUGCAAAUGUUGUGUUUAGGUGAAGCAAAGAUUGUCGGGGGUCAACCCCUCGACCUUAGAUAAAAUUGUGGAGCUCUGUUUAGGGUUGUUUAGGUUACAUUUGUCCCCACCCUCCCAACCACCGAUUGGUUGUGCACCCCCCACCCCUCCUCCCCGGGAGAAUAUCAUGUGCCCCCAUACCUUAGAUGCUAUAUGCCGAUACGAGUUGCUUGGAGCUUGUAGAUCUGAGAUAUAGCAGCUCACAUGAUGUGUCUUAAUAUUUUUGCAGGAAACCUUGAUGAGUUUGAGAAUUGCACACAAUUUGUACAAAAACUACUUAGAUGCCCUUUGAUCCCAUAUCCAACGACCUCGAAGCUCGUAUCACCGUAGCAUCUAAGAUGAAGGAGGACAUCAUAUUCUCCUGUAUGUAAGAAUAUCAUGUGCUACCACACCUUAGAUGCUUUGGUGAUACAAGCUCUUCGGAGGCGUUGGAUUUGUGACCCAACACCUCCUCGGUGGUUCGAAUGGUUUUUUGCAGAAAAGCCCCAAAAGAGUUCGGCCACUGCUUACAAGCACAAAGACUGCUCAGAUGCCAUUGGAUCUCAGAUCAAACGACCUCCAAGCUCGUAUCAUCGUAGCAUCCAAGCUGCGAUAGCACCUUAUGUUUUCUCGCAUGGGAGAGUAUGAGGUGCUCCCGCACCGUAGAUUCUAUGGUGAUACGAGUUCACUGAGAUCUAACGGCCCACAGUAGGAGGUUUGAAUGUUUUUGCAAUAUACGACUGAUAGAGUUUGGGAAAUGCGCAGAAAGUACAAGUACUACGUAUGUGUCGUCUGAUCACUGAUCAUACGACCUAGAUGCUCAUAUCACCGUAGCGGGUAAUUAAGCUACGGGGAGCACCUAAUAUGAGCACCGGGGAGCCGUUGGAUCGAAGAUGCAGCGGCACACACGAGGCCUGAAUGUUUUAUUUGCAAAAAAACCUUUGGAGAGUUUGGAAAUUGCGCAUAAUUACAAAGACUACUCCCAAGCCAUUGGAUCUCACUUCCAACGGUGUAAAAACUCGUAUCACCAUAGUAUCUAAGCUGCAGGGUGGAUGUGAUAUUCUAUGCCGCUGUCAUUUUUGUUCGUAAACUUGCAAAAUACGUGUAACUCGUGCCGUUACUUGUCUAACCGCGCAAAGUGUUUGUUCAAAAAAAACCAUCCUACACUGAAAUAUCGGAACAACACACGGGGGUCCCACUUGUCAUUAAUCAAAUUUGGACCUAAAACGAACAAAUCUGAAAGACGAGAUGGCUUUGUCCCAUAACUUGAUUUUAUACAGUACUUGCGUUGAGUAGAGUAGAGGGAGUGCCUCGUCAACACGUGCAUGACCGUUGUCUCACUUACUGGUGGGUCCCAGGUCUGCGAUCUCAAUCUCUCUUCUCUCCAUCGUCUAACCUUUGCACGGGCACACACGAAGAGCGGCGCUAGCUUGCCGUGGUGUUAUUACAACUAAAAAAAGCUUGGAAAAUGUGACGCCCCCGAUUCAAUCGUACACUAAUCAUGCACGCAAACGUGUCGAUCAAGAUCAGGGACUCACGGGAAGAUAUCACAACACAACUCUAAAACAUAAAUAAGUCAUACAAGCAUCAUAAUACAAGCCAGGGGCCUCAAGGGCUCGAAUACAAGUGCUCGAUCAUAGACGAGUCAGCGAAAGCAACAAUAUCUGAGUACAGACAUAAGUUAAACAAGUUUGCCUUAAAAAGGCUAGCACAAAAGUAGCAACGAUCGAAAAGGCAAGGCCUCCUACCUGGGACCUCCUAACUACUCCUCGAAGCCGAACUCCAUGUAGAAUCAUCCUCGGGAUCUCUAGCUCCUGGACUCCAGCAUCUGGUUAUGACAACCAGGUAUAGAAAGGGGGAAAGAGGGAGAAAAGCAACCGUGAGUACUCAUCCAAAGUACUCGCAAGCAAGGAGCUACACUACAUAUGCAUGGGUAUAUGUGUAAAGGGCCAUAUCGGUGGACUGAACUGCAGAACGCCAGAAUAAGAGGGGGAUAGCUAAUCCUGUCGAAGACUACGCUUCUGGCCACCUCCAUCUUGCAGCAUGUAGAAGAGAGUAGAUGGUAAGUUCACCAAGUAGCAUCGCAUAGCAUAAUCCUACCCGGCGAUCCCCUCCUCGUCACCCUGUUAGAGAGCGAUCACCGGGUUGUAUCUGGCACUUGGAAGGGUGUGUUUUAUUAAGUAUCCGGUUCUAGUUGUCAUAAGGUCAAGGUACAACUCUGGGUCAUCCUUUUACCGAGGGACACGGCUAUUCGAAUAGAUAAACAUCCCUGCAGGGGUGCACCACAUAACCCAACAAGCUCGAUCCCAUUUGGCCGGACACACUUUCCUGGGUCAUGCCCGGCCUCGGAAGAUCAACACGUCGCAGCCCCACCUAGGCUCAACAGAGAGGUCAGCACGCUGGUCUAAAUCCUAUGCGCGCAGGGGUCUGGGCCCAUCGCCCAUUGCACACCUGCACGUUGCGUACGCGGCCGGAAGCAGACCUAGCCCCUUAAUACAAGCGCGAGCUUACGGUCCAAUGCGGCGCAUGCCACUCAGUCGCUGACGUCACGAAGGCUUCGGCUGAUACCACGACGUCGAGUGCCCAUAACUGUUCCCGCGUAGUUGGUUAGUGCGUAUAGACCAAAUGGCCAGACUCAGAUCAAAUACCAAGAUCUCGUUAAGCGUGUUAAUUGAUGUAACCGCGAACACCGACCAGGGCCAGACCCACCUCUCACCUAGGCGGUCUCAACCUGCCAUGUCGCUCCGCCACAAAGAUCCACCCAGAGGGCCGUCGGGACAAAGGUCCUUUCAGCCCCCAAUCCGUGAAUCACUCGCGGGUACUCCUCGAGCCGACCCGACUUUAGUCACCACAUGUAUGAUGCAUAAAGUAUAUAAGUAUAUACCCGUGAUCACCGCCCAAGUGAUCACGGCCCGAUAGUAUAGAACAGCAGACGGACAAGAAUGUAGGGCCACUGAUGGAAAACUAGCAUCCUAUACUAAGCAUGUAGGAUUGCAGGUAAAGGUAAUAACAGUAGUGGCAAAGACAGGCUAUGGAGCAGAAUAGGAUUAACGGAAAGCAGUAACAUGCUACACUACUCUAAUGCAAGCAGUAUGAAGAAUAGGCGAUAUCUGGUGANNNNNNNNNNNNNNNNNNNNNNNNNNNNNNNNNNNNNNNNNNNNNNNNNNNNNNNNNNNNNNNNNNNNNNNNNNNNNNNNNNNNNNNNNNNNNNNNNNNNNNNNNNNNNNNNNNNNNNNNNNNNNNNNNNNNNNNNNAAGGGGGGGGGGGGCUUGCCUGGUUGCUCUGGCAAGAGAAGGGUUCGUCGUCGAUGUAGUCGAUCACAGGGGGGUACCGGCAGCGGUCUCGGGGUCUACCGGAAAGAAGUAACAGAGGGGGAACACAAUAAAUAACAGAGCAAUCAAAGCAUCACAAAGCAUAACAUGGCAAUACGCAGUGCUAGAGGUGACCUAACGCAGUACUAGGUGAUACCGGCAAAAGGGGGGAAACAUCCGGGAAAGUAUUCCUGGUGUUUCGCGUUUUCGGACAGACGGACCGGAGGUGGAUUGUUGCAUGUUUGCUAUGCUAGGGAUGUGUGGCGGAUGAAUGGAGAGUGUAUCCGUAUUCAUCUCGUCGUUCUGAGCAACUUUCAUGUACAAAGUAUUUUCAUCCGAGCUACGGAUUAUUUUAAAUUAAUUUUCAAAGUUUUAAUCAAUUUAUAAAUUAUUAUUAUUGAAUUAAUUCGAAAAUAGCAUUAUUGCAUCAGCAUGACGUCAGCAGUCAACAUAGGUGUUGACUGGGUCAAACUAACGUGUGGGUCCGCAUGUCAUUGACUAUUUAAUUAAUUAACCAAGUUAAUUAGUUUAAUUAACAUAUUAAUUAGGUUAGUUUAUUUAGUUAAUUAAUUAAUUUAUUAUUUAUUUAUUUAUUUUUCUUUUCUUUUCUAUUUUAUCGUUCCAGGGGCGUGGGCCCGCGUGUCAUAGGCCCAGAGGGGGCCUUAGCGGUUACGGGCGUGCGCCCGAGUCCACCCGGGAAGGGGGCUACGGGCGCCUGGGCGGGCGCUCGCCCGCAGGGAGUGCGGCGGGGCGAGGCCAGUGGCCAGGGCGGCCGCGGUGGCCGGCCGGCGUGGGGGAAACGGAGUGCGGGACCGGCGAAGAGCGGGCCCGCGGGCGGCAGGGGAGCCGGGGCGCGGUGGCGCACCAGCAGCAAGGAGACGUCGCAACGGCAACGGCAGCGCAGCGGCAGAAAUAGCUAAGCACGAGCAGCAGUAGCACAACGCAGCACAUAGAGAGCAGCUAGCAGGACAUCAGCAAAGCAACGGGGCAGUAGUAGGAAGUAAGAGCAGCAGCGGCAUCAUGGGGGGGAUAUGCGAGGUGCUCACAUCGAAGCUCGUGGAGCGCUCGACGAGGGCGAAGAAGCAGCGGUGGCAUCGGAUCGACGACGAUGACCGGCGGGGCAGAGAGGGGAGACGAGGAUGAUCCGGCGAGGUAGGGGUCCCGAGCUUGAUCCCGUGGGCGAAGACGACGAAGCGGAGGUCGGAGUAGUAGAUGGGCACGGUGGUGCGACGAAUGGAGGACGGUGGCCGCGGCGGUUCGCGACGGCGAGCGGCGGCCAGGCAAGGUGCUUGGGCGCGGGGACGAGCACGUGUGCGGGGUCGCGUGCGAGGCGUUGGAGCCGAGCGAGAGUCGAAGAAGAGGUCCAGGGGCUCGGAGGCCCGAGGCGGUCGCCGGCGGCCAUGGGGAUCGGGGCGAGGAGCUCCUCUCCUGUGUGCGUGUGUGUGUUGUGUGGUGGCGGCGGGUGAGCGAGACGAGGGGAGAGGUGGGGAUCGUGCGGGGAAAGUUGGGUGAUGGCUAGGGUUAUAGGAGGGGUGGCUGGGCUGGGCUAACUUUAGUUAGGUGGCCCAAGUUGCCCAUUAGGUUAGGUCCUCCGUUUCUUUUCUUUUACUUUCCCUUUUCUUUUUUGUUUAUUUAUUUCUCUAAUAUUUAGCCUAUAGUUUAGGUACUAAAUGAUUUUAAUAAAUGUUGAAACUUUUCCCAUAAUUACUUUCCGAUAUUUUGGUGUUGCACAAAAAGUUCGAGGUUAAACGGAAAUGUUUGAAAUUAGGUUUAUAAUUAGUGGUCACAAUAAGUGAUGUUUGGCCACUUUAAAUUAUUUCUAGGGGCAAUUUAAAAAUCCAUUAAAUGUUGGUCCUUACAUGUUAAUUACUUAGUGAAUACUUGUAACCCAUCGAACAUUAUUAUUACGCCAUUUGAAAACUUUAAUUAUUUGACUUUAAUCUAAACUUGAAUUUGAAUCGGGUCAGGAUCAAAGUGAGGUUUAGCAAAUUUUUGUGAUGACAUGGUACCAUUAGCGUGCGGUUACUGUAGCUAAAUUAUCCGGGCGUCACAAUUCUCCUCCACUACAAGAAAUCUCGUCCCGAGAUUUAAGAGGGGAAGUGACGGGGAAGGGAUUUGGUUACGAAAUUCUAACGAGUGUUCUCGGUCUUGGUUGCUCUUCCUGAAGUAGUUGAUCCUCCUCGUUGAUGUCUUUAUUUCUCUGCUUCAGGUCAUCAUGGUGAAGUCGGCAUCCUUUCUUCGGAAACUCCAUCGUACUUACGAAAGAAUAAGGGGGGUAUUCCGGGAGAACGGACCUCUGCAAGGUUGAUUAUCUGGUAACUAACAUCGGGGAAGGUGGUGGAAAGUAACUCUCGAACUGAAACUUAAGAAAAUAUCGAGAGCAAAGUCAGAAGGUACCAUGAUGAGUUUCAAGCCGGUAGGCAAUCGUUCGAUGCCUGUUACAGGGCGUGGAAGGGGUUCAAAGCAGCGGGAAUAAGCAUUGUGUCUGAUACCAGAAUUGAUGAUCUCUCGGAAGGUGGCUCGUGAAUUACAUACGAGGCCACGCGUAGGGAACAACCUUGGGAACAGGGGGUGUAUAGGAGAGUCAGGUUUCGAUCCUGUGGAACCGUGGGUUAUGGGUCCACCAUGUGUGUUAAAAGUAGGAAGGGCGAUGUCAUGUUGUAUGAUCAUGAUAGCGAGGCAUGCCGGAGAAUAGCCUGUUAGUUAUGUCGGCAACAACAUCGAUACCAAGGGCGAGGGACGAAGAGAACCAUUUUCCUGCUCGUUAAACGAGGCGGACCAAUAGGCAAAGUUCUCGUCCAUCGGUGGCUACCGGAAUGUCAUCAACAAUAGUAACAGCAUCUUGCUGACAGAAUAGUACACCGAGGUGUUUUCAUAAUCAGGAGAAUAUCAUAGAUCAGUUAAGUCAAAUUACAAUAAAGCUUAAACAAGACAAUGGAAAGGAAAAUGCGAUUAUCAGGUUUAAACAGAACAAUGGAAAAGAAAAUGUGUAUACACACCUAUUUCAAGGUUAUAUCCUCCCCAAGGACAAGCAGAGUAUGACAUCCAUGACAGGAUAUAAUGUAGAAAACUCUUCAGGUAGGGGAGAGAAAUUUCAUGGCAUUACCCAUACAGCGGUGUUUGGAUAAUUGAGCAAGAAACAUUUAGCAUUGGGCUUCAAAUGUUCUUGUUGAAAAUCGGAGUACCACAGACAUGCUUCGAGAUAGCAUUGACAUGGUCUUCAAGCAAAGGUCGGACUUUGGAUACUCAAUGGAUUCAUCAGGAACAACUUAUAGAAUAAGUCUUUCAAUUUCCUCUUGGAAGAAUGGUUAACAUUGCAAAAAGGAAGAACUAUAACAAUAGGCCCUCCGGGCAGGUGUGUUAGGAUGACAUCACCUUAUCGGGUUAAAAACCAAUGUUAUAACUCUUGGAAAUAUGUUCAAACCAUCACAUCUGACUGAGAUUUAGAUCUCAUUGGUGUUAGGAUACCUCAGACUCAUGAUGCCUGAGAAGGAAAGGUGCGACACAAAUUGACGAGAAGACAUCGUAAGAUUCUCGAGAAAUGAAUUAUGGAAGCGAGUUCCGAAUCAAGAGUUCAUCAUUAAACCAAGGAGAGGACAAGGAGGUGGCUGAUGGGCUAAGGACAAUUCAUCAAGAUUUCCAAAAGAUGGAUUUCCACAAUUAUGUGAACAAGGAGAUAACACUUGUCCAUUCAAACGAUAUAAUGUUGUAUGCUCUAGGAAAACAUACACCAUCAAUCAUUAGUCGAAAGGUGUGCCCGGAAUAUGACCUUAGGCAGCAAGAUCAAUGUUAGAGUGACGAUUCAAUAACCAACAGUCUAAGAACGAACUGUCGAUCGUUAACUUCAAAGCAAUAGGGUUGCUAGAAGGGCAGGAUCCAAACAGCACCGCUCACUUGUUAGUACCCCGGUUGGAAUCAACACGAGGACCCAAGAAAGAAUGGUGACGUGAGAAGUAUCACCAUACCAAGAAUUCUUAAGAGGUGGUGAAAUUCUCACAACAUUGAGGAUAAAAGAGAUGUUAAUGUUCCAAGGUAAAGAAGAACAAUUGCUGGAUAGCAAGGAACUCAAGGUAUAACAACAAACACGAACAAGCUUGUGUUGGUGGGAAGGCAAUAAAGUGGUCGAUGAUAACACAGAUCAUCGAGGGCAAGGAUGGUAUUUCUCAUCAUGAACUCAAUCGAUAUCCUGGAUGAGCUCAUAAGGUUGAUGAUGAUCACGACACAUUUGUCGAGAGAUUUCAUGAAGAUGUAAUCAAUCAGCGACGACAUCAAGUCAAAGGAAUGAUGAAGCAGACGGUUAUUGGAACCAUGGGUAGGACACAAACUUGAAAUCAAGCUUGUUGUUCAAGGUGAAAUGGUAUGAGAGGAAGAUCGGCGUAAGUUUAUCUCAUCAUCGAAAGUUGUGCUCCGGGGUUAAGGACCAGGUAGCACAGUUAAAAUUUAGCACGCUAAUGAUAUAGCCGAUCAGGCUAGGAAUGACUUAAAUGAUUAUUAAACUCGUAAGCAACGAAAAUUACUUAGAGUUAUUGAAUCGGAGUGCGGACUCGAUUCACUAUUCGGUUUUCUCGGUUGACAAACAACCCAGAACCCAUGAAGUGACAAAGACAAGGUAAGGUAGUACUUCAUCAAAGUUUAUAAGAUGUAGUGCAAUGGUAAGAUAUCCUCGAGAUACCAGGGGUAAUACUCAAAGGUAGAUCAUAAUAGAGGUUGGGCAGGCGUAUUGACCUGCAGAAGACAAGUGAUUUAACUUGUCCAAGAAAUGGUAUUUAAAGGAGAACAUGGUCGGAAACCACUAUCAUAAAUGAUCGAACCAUGGAUACAAGAUGAACUUAUAACAAGGGGGGUAAUUAUUUUUACGAGCAGCUUCCAUGAUAAGUUAUACAUCGUGUCCAUGGGCAUGAACGCAAGGUUCAAGGUCGACUCCCACUUCUUCAAUGUAUAACCUUCCAUUCACUUCUCGCCUUGAUAAAGGCAUUAGUGUUGAAAGUUUUACCUGGUGGAAUACCAAAUGAGUAUGACUCGUGAAAACUUCCGAGUUCACACAUAUUAAGGAAGGCAUAGGUUCAACCCGUCAGGUUAUCGUGGAAACAUAUACCACAAGCUUCAAUAGUAAAUACCACCAGCUCGAAAACAGAGCAUGGUUGAGAAAACAGAGGAUACAAUUUACCAAAGGCAUUGUGUAUCAGGGGAAGAACUCAAGGUUUUGAGAAUAUGCAGGAACGGUCGAAUAAUAAUCCACCAAAGGAUCUGGCGGGCCGCAAAGAAACUGAUUUGGGUAUAUAUGUUCAGCCAGAAGAAGAAAUAAUGCCAAGGCAUCGGAUUAUAGAAAAAUUUGGAUAAUUCGAGACCUUAAAUGCAAGGAAUUAUGAUUUCCAAAUUGGGGGAUCAAAAGCAGAUGCUCCGAUCAAAAGACAAGUAAGUUGAAUAAACUUAGAGGCACAAACGGUGGCAAUUUGAUUGGUCGACAACCAGCUCAUGUUCAAAAUGACGUCCGAGUCGGAAGGAUAAUUUUCAGGGAAUAACUGAUGAUUGUGUGCAUUCACACACAUGUUGAUCCAGCAUGAUCAGAAUGUCGAUCACAAACUAUUUUAAUGAAUAUUGCUAGACAUAUGGAAGUAACCAUUAUGCAAGCAGGUAAAGAAGAUCAAGAGAGCAAUAGGCUACUGAGGAUUUCGGAAGAUCGAAUGGCAUUUCGAAGAAUUUUGCGAAACACCUGAACAACUAGGGAUGAACGAAUCCCCGGUAAGUGUGAGGAAUUAUUCAUACAUGUAUUCAUGAGGAAAAGAAGCUGCAAGGCAGCAGACCCAAAGGAUUCUCGGAAUAUCCGAAGUAUUUCAGGGUAUCUUGUAAUAACAAGAACAAUUGGAAAUGAAGUUAUGGACAACAAGUGUAUGUAGCUUUCCAUAGGGAUUUAUCGGUGGCAUUGAUUUGCAACAGCGAAGGGCACCAGGGUCUCGGGGAAACAUCGGAGAGUAUCUUCAAAAUUUUCUGGUGCAGCAGGCGGUCAUCUGGAUUGAAGGGGCUCUCCGGGAGAAGUAUUCUCGAGAACCUAAAGUUAGAUUUUAGAAAAAUCAUUUAACCUGAAUAGAAGAGAGUUCAGAGUCCCAGAAUAAAGGUCGAGGAAUAAAAGAUCCUACUACCACCCAAUGGCAACGUGGGGCCGUAAGCCGCACAGCCAUGUUAGUAAAAGUUUUUCAAUGACUAGACUCGACUUCGGCCAAGGAGUUGGAAAGGGGGAUUCCUAUAGGCAGUUGGCUCUGAUACCAACUUGUGACGCCCCCGAUUCAAUCAUGCACUAAUCAUGCACGCAAAUGUGUACGAUCAAGAUCAGGGACUCACGGGAAGAUAUCACAACACAACUCUAAAACAUAAAUAAGUCAUACAAGCAUCAUAAUACAAGCCAGGGGCCUCGAGGGCUCGAAUACAAGUGCUCGAUCAUAGACGAGUCAGCGAAAGCAACAAUAUCUGAGUACAGACAUAAGUUAAGCAAGUUUGCCUUAUGAAGGCUAGCACAAAAGUAGCAACGAUUGAAAAGGCAAGGCCUCCUGCCUGGGACCUCCUAACUACUGCUCGAAGCCGAACUCCAUGUAGAAUCAUCCUCGGGAUCUCUAGCUCCUGGACUCCAGCAUCUGGUUGCGACAACCAGGUAUAGAAAGGGGGAAAGAGGGAGAAAAGCAACCGUGAGUACUCAUCCAAAGUACUCGCAAGCAAAGAGCUACACUACAUAUGCAUGGGUAUAUGUGUAAAGUGCCAUAUCAGUGGACUGAACUGCAAAAUGCCAGAAUAAGAGGGGGAUAGCUAAUCCUGUCGAAGACUAUGCUUCUGGCCACCUCCAUCUUGCAGCAUGUAGAAGAGAGUAGAUGGUAAGUUCACCAAGUAGCAUCGCAUAACAUAAUCCUACCCGGCGAUCCCCUCCUCAUCGUCCUGUUAGAGAGCGAUCACCGGGUUGUAUCUGGCACUUGGAAGGGUGUGUUUUAUUAAGUAUCCGGUUCUAGUUGUCAUAAGGUCAAGGUACAACUCCGGGUCGUCCUUUUACCGAGGGACAUGACUAUUCGAAUAGAUAAACUUCCGUGCAGGGGUGCACCACAUAACCCAACACGCUCGAUCCCAUUUGGCCGGACACACGUUCCUGGGUCAUGCCCGGCCUCGGAAGAUCAACACGUCGCAGCCCCACCUAGGCUCAACAGAGAGGUCAGCAUGCCGGUCUAAAUCCUAUGCGCGCAGGGGUUUAGGCCCAUCGCCCAUUGCACACCUGCACGUUAUUGCGUACGCGGCCGGAAGCAGACCUAGCCCCCUUAAUACAAGCGCGAGCUUACGGUCCAAUGCGGCGCGCGCCACUCAGUCGCUGACGUCACGAAGGCUUCGGCUGAUACCACGACGUCGAGUGCCCAUAACUGUUCCCGCGUAGUUGGUUAGUGCAUAUAGACCAAAUGGCCAGACUCAGAUCAAAUACCAAGAUCUCGUUAAGCGUGUUAACUGAUGUAACCGCGGACACCGACCAGGGCCAGGCCCACCUCUCACCUAGGCGGUCUCAACCUGCCCUGUCGCUCCGCCACAAAGAUCCACCCAGAGGGCCGUCGAGACAAAGGUCCUUUCAGCCCCCAAUCCGUGAAUCACUCGCGGGUACUCCUCGAGCCGAGCCGACUUUAGUCACCACAUGUAUCAUGUAUAAAGUAUAUAAGUAUAUACCCGUGAUCACCGCCCAAGUGAUCACGGCCCGAUAGUAUAGCACAACAGACGGACAAGAAUGUAGGGCCACUGAUGGAAAACUAGCAUCCUAUACUAAGCAUGUAGGAUUGCAGGUAAAGGUAACAACAGUAGUGGCAAAGACAGGCUAUGCAGCAGAAUAGGAUUAACGGANNNNNNNNNNNNNNNNNNNNNNNNNNNNNNNNNNNNNNNNNNNNNNNNNNNNNNNNNNNNNNNNNNNNNNNNNNNNNNNNNNNNNNNNNNNNNNNNNNNNNNNNNNNNNNNNNNNNNNNNNNNNNNNNNNNNNNNNNNNNNNNNNNNNNNNNNNNNNNNNNNNNNNNNNNNNNNNNNNNNNNNNNNNNNNNNNNNNNNNNNNNNNNNNNNNNNNNNNNNNNNNNNNNNNNNNNNNNNNNNNNNNNNNNNNNNNNNNNNNNNNNNNNNNNNNNNNNNNNNNNNNNNNNNNNNNNNNNNNNNNGAUUAAUGGAAAGCAGUAACAUGCCACACUACUCUAAUGCAAGCAGUAUAGAGAAGAAUAGGCGAUAUUUGGUGAUCAAGGGGGGGGGGGGGCUUGCCUGGUUGCUCUGGCAAGAGAAGGGUUCGUCGUCGAUGUAGUCGAUCACAGGGGGGUACCGGCAGCGGUCUCGGGGUCUACCGGAAAGAAGUAACAGAGGGGGAACACAAUAAAUAACAGAGCAGUCAAAGCAUAACAUGGUAAUACGCAGUGCUAGAGGUGACGUAACGCAGUACUAGGUGAUAUCGGCAAAAGGGGGGAAACAUCCGGGAAAGUAUUCCCGGUGUUUCGCGUUUUCGGACAGACGGACCAGAGGUGGAUUGUUGCAUGUUUGCUAUACUAGGGAUGUGUGGCGGACGAACGGAGAGUGUAUCCGUAUUCAUCUCGUCGUUCUGAGCAACUUUCAUGUACAAAGUAUUUUCAUCCGAGCUACGGAUUAUUUUUAAUUAAUUUUCAAAGUUUUAAUCAAUUUCUAAAUUAUUAUUAUUGAAUUAAUUCGAAAAUAGCAUUAUUGCAUCAGCAUGACGUCAGCAUGACAUCAGCAGUCAACAUAGGUGUUGACUGGGUCAAACUAACGUGUGGGUCCGCAUGUCAUUGACUAUUUAAUUAAUUAACCACAUUAAUUAGUUUAAUUAACAUAUUAAUUAGGUUAAGUUUAUUUAGUUAAUUAAUUUAAUUAUUAUUUAUUUAUUUAUUUUUCUUUUCUUUUCUUUUUUAUCGUUCCAAGGGCGUGGCCCGCGUGUCAUAGGCCCAGAGGGGGCCUUAGCGGUUACGGGCGUGCGGGCUUGCGCCCGAGUCCACCCGGGAAGGGGGCUACGGGCGCCUGGGCGGGCGCUCGCCCGCAGGGAGUGCGGCGGGGCGAGGCCAAUGGCCAGGGCGGCCGCGCUGGCCGGCCGGCGUGGGGGAAACGGAGUGCGAGACCGGCGACGAGCGGGCCCGCAGGCGGCAGGGGAGCCGGGGUGCUGUGGUACACCAGCAGCAAGGAGACGUCGCAGCGGCAACGGCAGCACAGCGGCAGAAAUGGCUAAGCACGAGCAGCAGUAGCACAACGCAGCACAUAGAGAGCAGCUAGCAGGGCAUCAGCAAAGCAACGGGGCAGUAGCAGGAAGUAAGAGCAACAGCGGCAUCAUGUGGGGAUAUGCGAGGUGCUCACAUCGAAGCUCGUGGAGCGAUCGACGAGGGCGAAGAAGCAGUGGUGGCGUCGGAUCGACGACGAUGACCGGCGGGGCAGAGAGGGGAGACGAGGACGAUCCGGUGAGGUAGGGGUCCCGAGCUUGAUCCCGUGGGCGAAGACGACGAAGAGGAGGUCGGAGUAGCAGAUGGGCACGGUGGUGCGACGAAUGGAGGACGGUGGCCGCGGCGGUUCGCGACGGCGAGCGGCGGCCAGGGAAGGCACUUGGGCGCGGGGACGAGCACGUGUGCGGGGUCGCGUGCGAGGCGUUGGAGCCGAGCGAGAGUCGAAGAAGAGGACCAGGGGCGCGGAGGCCCGAGGCGGUCGCCGGCGGCCAUGGGGAUCGGGGCGAGGAGCUCCUCUCCUGUGUGCGUGUGUGUGUGUUGCGUGGUGGCAGCGGGUGAGCGAGACGAGGGGAGAGGUGGGGAUCGUGCGGGGAAAGUUGGGUGAGGGCUAGGGUUAUAGGAGGGGUGGCUCGGCUGGGGUAACUUUAGUUAGGUGGCCCAAGUGGCCCAUUAGGUUAGGUCCUCCAUUUCUUUUCUUUUACUUUCCCUUUUCUUUUUUGUUUAUUUAUUUCUCUAAUAUUUAGCCUAUAGUUUAGGUACUAAAUGAUUUUAAUAAAUGUUGAAACUUUUCCCAUAAUUACUUUCCGAUAUUUUGGUGCUGCACAAAAAGUUCGAGGUUAAACGGAAAUGUUUGAAAUUAGGUUUAUAAUUAAUGGUCACAAUAAGUGAUGUUUGGCCACUUUAAAUUAUUUCUAGGGGCAAUUUAAAAAUCCAUUAAAUGUUGGUCCUUACAUGUUAAUUACUUAGUGAAUACUUGUAACCCAUCGAACAUUAUUAUUACGCCAUUUGAAAACUUUAAUUAUUUGACUUUAAUCUAAACUUGAAUUUGAAUCGGGUCAGGAUCAAAGUGAGGUUUAGCAAAUUUUGGUGAUGACAUGGUACCAUUAGCAUGCGGUUACUGUAGCUAAAUUAUCCGGGCGUCACAGAAAAUAGAAGAAUCGCCUAGAACAAGAGACGUUGUGGCUGGUCGAGACGGAGCUAACCACAUCGAUCCUCCGUGCCAUGUUUGCAUGAUGAAGCUGUGUGGCUAGUGGGGUGUUUUCGACCGACUGGAUGGGUCCCGAGGUCGAACCAUAGGUACUACGUCUGAUAUAGUAUAUUUUUACACGCACAUUUUUCCUCCGUGCCGAGACAUGGCACACCCUACCGCGCGGUUUCGGGGUCCUCCCGGGUGGUGCACGCAUAUAUUCUUCCUGACGUGGGACGCCCUACCGCGCGUUUUCUGGGUCCUCCUCGGUCGUAGCACCGAAGCAAGUAAAUGACUCGUCAAAUCAUGAAAGACCACCUUUCCCGCCGAGUACAUCCGUGAAGCACGGUGGUUAGCUAGUUGGGCUAGUUCGACCUAUUAGCUAGGCCGCCACCACAUUUGUUUUUUCACACCUUUUUUUAUCUACUUGCCGGCAGGUAAAUUUAAAUAUCCACCGCGGCGUUGCUCUGGUGUUUGGGUGCGGCAGGAUUUUUAAUUUUUUGAUUGACAGGAGCAGGCGCGGCAGGAUUUUUAAUUUUUGGAUUGACGGGAGCAGGCGUGGCAGCAAUUAGUCACGAUGACUCCGCCUGUAAAAACCCACUGCUCCCUGAUGUGAGAAGUCGUCGACUGGUGUUUUACCGUGGUGAAAACCAAAAGAUUCCCCGCUCCCUCUGCCUUCUCGUAGAUUGCAUUGCCUUUCAGCCGUUUCGCCCCCUUUGCUUCCUCUCCCCAUUGCUUCUACCUGGUGGCAUGGCGGCGCAGCAGAUCACGGAGUCCGAGGUGAGGCGCCUGACACAGGAGCUCCAUGUCAAGGAUGCGGAGCUCAGGGCCAAGGACGUGGAGCUCCGUGAGCUCAAGGAGGAGAGGAGUGCCAUGCUCCUCCGUUAUGUGCGCGAGUUCACGGAGCUUCAAAAGCGGCAGGCGUCCACCACAAAGAUGCUUGAGGCGUCGGUGGCGUUGCUACAGAAAGCGGGAGAUACGAUAGGCCGUCAGGGGAGCCGGCUGGAGCGCGAGCGGGCCGAUCGUGACGAGGUCCAGGAUCGCCUCGGCCACUUGGUGAACCAAGUUGCCACGCACGUGUUGCGGCUACGCGAUGCCUACCAUCGUGCCAGCGCGACGAUGCCGGCCGUCGGGCUAAACCCGUUCGACCACCCGGUCGACUUCGACGAGCUGCGGCUUCCUGACAUGGUCUCCUUCUUCACCUAUAUCUCCGAGGAGCUGAGCUAUCUCCGCGCGAUGGUGGGGGCUGAGCUGGACAAGGAGGGGUUGCGGGCUGCCGUCGCCGUUGCCGGGCCAAUCCUUUCAGGGCUCCGUCACCGGAAUCCAUUCGUGCCAUUGGACGCCGUCUUUGACGAGCUGGCUCCCGUCGACCGGGAGCGGGCUCUGCGGGCGGUUGCACCCUGCAUCACCAACGUCGUGUGCCUCGAGAAGCAGAGGGACUUCGGUGGUGUUUAGGCCCUCUGCAUGGGCAUGUCCAUGUCUCGGCGCAACAUGACCGUUGGAUCAAACUCAGACGGUGCAGAUCAGUCACUGUAGCACAAAGCGUGUGGGUGUGUUUGGUUGCAUUCUCAUCUCAAUAUAGUUGUUUCCUCUUCGUGUAUUUUUGUCAACCUACUAGUGUGGACGCAUGCACCCUUCAUGCACUCUGCCAAACACCCAAAAGUGGGUCGAGAAGGGAACUUUUGCUCCCAUCCCGUGCACCCUUCAUACACCCUGCCUAACACUAUUCGUGCUUCACAUGGUUCAUGUUUCGUGGAUUACUGUAGCACCGUACUCUCCAUGCGCUGUGGACCUAGUUCUGUUAACAUUGAUCUCACUGUUCAUUCUCGACCGGACAGUCGAAAAAGCGGUACUAUGUUACAUAUAGGAGUAGUUGACAUGCGCACAACAUCAUUUGUUAUCCUCAUAUCUUACUACACUAGCAACAAGAUUGUGUAGUACUGACGUAUGAACCACUGCACAUGCCUAGUAGUAGGAGCACUGUUUAUGUUCAAGUGGCUGCCGUGUUUCGCACUCCUCCGUCGUAAGAGUGGAAACGCUUUCUGUAAUCAUUUUUUUCUUCAGAAAAACAGUGGACACGCUCUACCGUGCGGAUCUUUUAAGAGGGUAUAUUUGCCUCAGUAACUUGUGUUAUGGAUAUUGCAUGUAAUCCCUCUGCUCUCAUGCCUUUGAAGACAUGUUCUAGUGUCUUUGUUCACUCAUUUCUGUGCGUAUAUGUAGUCAUAUAUGGAGUAUAAUAUCGAAAAUCAUCUUAUAUUUCUGAACGGAGGUAGUAAUAAAAUAUGGUUUCUGUUUGAACUAGAACCAGGUCCGCGGUGGAGAUGAAGUUCUCAAAGUCAUGCCGUGUGAACUGGAAGACCUGAUGAUGAGUUCUACUGCUGAACUAUCCAGCUGCCGUGUCCUUGUCGCCACGUGUCCUGAACUAGUGUUUUCCUGUAGCAUUGUUGUCAGGUGUGUUCUCGAGGCUGUACUUGACCACAACAAUUUCCUGGCUGUGCCUUCGAUUACGAAGGGUGUGGUUCUUGUAAAGCUUCCCAACAAAUCUGAUGCGGCAUGUCUUCAUCAACAUGUUUAUGAGUGGAAAGACCACUCUGUUAGGUUCUCCAAGGUUGACAAGAUGGUGAUGGUGCAUGUAGACAUCUCACACGAAGUCCAUGGCCUAGUCAGUUAUGCGGGGUUCAUCCCGUAGGUCGGUGGCAAGAAAUAGUCUACAGAGUUUAGUUAGUGCAACUUUGCUUGUCUGUAGUAAGUACUAUUGUUCAGUACUUGAUUUGUGUUUGUGAACCCUGUAUUGUUUAUUAGUACUGCCGCUUUUGGUGUGUGAACGGUCUAUGUUAAUGUCUGUCCACUCAAUUCAGUCUGUAUAUUUUGAAGUAUCCAGAUCAUAUUUUUUGUGAGGAUGGUUUAUCAAUUAUGGUUACACUCCAAUAUCUGUAUGCAUUGCAGGGUUUAUCGCACCCACCAGGAUUUCCAGUCCCAUGGAUGUUCGGUCCAUACGAUUUGUCACGACCUUUGGACUGUCCUGCUUGUGGGAGUAGGCGGGGCCCCUGCAUGCCACGCGUAGUUGGACGAUCAAUCUUCUGUUUAGUACUUCAACAUAGUGAUUUCCUGGUAAGGAUUCACUCGUGUCACAUCAAGUAAAUCUUAUUGAUUUACUGUCUAAAUCUUAUUGAUUUAAUGUCAUGUAUUCUUUCUUUUCCUGCAAUUUUACGAUGCAGGUUUUGCCAUGUGACAUUCAUCACAGAAUAAACCGUUUGGUUUGCUCUACGAUGGCUAUUUUUGCAGGUUUCACUUCUUAUGUCGUGUCAGUAACGAAGGCACUGUCCAUCACUUAUAUUACUGGAAAAAAUUGGAUCAGUCUGUUGUCUGAGUACAAGCUGAAUCCCUAUGAUGAACUGAAGUUUGGUUUAACAAAAACGCCACAAUUAGUCCUUCUCGCGUUUAAAAGAAAUGAAGAAAAAAACUGGAUCACGGUCACGGAUCCUAGUCAAGUUAGAAAGUUGAUCAUAGCAGACCAGACACGAUCGCCGCUGUCUCGCACAGAUCGAGCACCGGCAGUUGCUCUAGCACUGACAGCGGCAGCAGCUCAGUCUGAUCCAGCUGAGGAUUGGGCACCGACCGCGUCAACGGAUCAGUCUGAUCUACCGGAGGAUCGGGCAUCGACACCGGCACCUGCUCCGACACUGGCACCAGCUCUACAAGGAGCACCAUCUCCGGCAGCAGCAGCGGCUUCGGCACCUGCACCAACACUUGCACUUGCAUCUGCUCCGGCCCGUGCAGUUGCACCGGCAACAGACUGGGUUGCAGUUCGCACUUCAUAUACCAAAGUCCUUACAAAAACCGACAUGUCCACCUUCUUGGUAAGCAUUGGCCGCCCAAGUGCUUCGUUCUUUUUUCUUUCCAUGUUGUUUCACAUGAUUCACUGUGUUGAUCUAACUGUUUGGGUAUGUCUUCUUGUUUGCAAACAGAGAAUUCCUAGAGCAACGAGGGAGUCGUUCAACAAUCCGGGCGACCGCGGCCAAGUUUCUCUUACCAUGCGUGUAACACCCACGAUGCGGCUAUAUCUCCCACGUGUCGAGGCACGACUUAGAGGCAUAACCGCAUAGUGGUUUUGUCGCAAGAAGGGUCAUCUUCACACAAUCCCAUGUAAUGAACAAGAAUGGGAUAAAGAGUUGGCUUACAAUCGCCACUUCACACAAUACAUAAAUAUUAUUCUUACAUCAUCCAAAAUACGAACAUAUAGACCGACUACGGUCAAAAUCCAGAUGAAAAUAAGACAACCCCAAAUGCUAGAUCCCCGAUCGUCCAACUGGGCUCCACUACUGAUCAUCAGGAAAAGACACAUAGUAACGACCACGUUCCUCAUCGAACUCCCACUUGAGAUCGACGCCAUCAUCUGCACUGGCAUCGUCGGCACCUGCAACUGUUUUGGUAGAAUCUGUGAGUCACGGGGACUCAGCAAUCUCACACCCGCGAGAUCAAGACUAUUUAAGCUUGUAGGGGAGAAUGGUGCAAUGAGGUGGAGCUGCAGCGACAAUAAGUAUAUAUGGUGGCUAACUUGCGCGAAAGAGAGCGAGAAGAGAAGCAACGGAACGGACGUCAUCUAGCAAUGACCAAGAAGUGAUCCUGAACACCUACUUACGUCAUUCAUAACUCAGACCGUGUUCACUUCCCGGACUCCGCCGAGAAGAGACCAUCACGGCUACACACGCAGUUGAUGUAUUUUAAUUGGGUCAAGUGACAAGUUCUCUACAACCGGACAUUAACAAAUUCCCAUCUGCCUCAUAACCGCGGGCACGGCUUUCGAAAGAUAAUACCCUGCAGGGGUGUCCCAACUUAGCCCAUCAUAAGCUCUCACGGUCAACGAAGGAUAAACCUUCUCCCGGAAAGACCCGAUCAGUCUCGGAAUCCUGGUUUACAAGACAUCUCGACAAUGGCAAAACAAGACCAGCAAAGCCGCCCGAAUGUGCCGACAAAUCCCGAUAGGAGCUGCACAUAUCUCGUUCUCAGGGCACACCGGAUAAGUCAAGCUACGAGUAAAACCAGACCUCGAGUUUCCCCGAGGUGGCCCCGCAGGCUGCUCGGUUCGGACCAACACUCGAAGGAGCACUGGCCCAGGGGGGGUUAAAAUAAGAUGACCCUCGGGCUCGCGAAAACCCGGGGGAAAAGGCUUAGGUGGCAAAUAGUAAAACCAAAGUUGGGCCUUGCUGGAGGAGUUUUAUUCAAGGCGAACUGUCAAGGGGGUCCCAUAAAUCACCCGACCGCGUAAGGAACGCAAACUCAAGGAACAUAAUCCCGGUAUAACAGUAACUAGGGCGGCAAGAGUGGAACAAAACACCUGGCAUAAGGCCGAGCCUUCCACCCUUUACCAAAUAUAUAUAUAGAUGCAUUAAUUAAUUAAGAGAUAUUGUGAUAUCCCAACAUAUCCAUGUUCCGACAUGGAACAAACUUCACUUCACCUGCAACUAGCAACGCUAUAAGAGGGGCUGAGCAAAAGCGGUAACUUAGCCAAUCAACGGUUUGCUAGGAAAGGAUGGUUAGAGGCUGACAUGUCAAAAUGGGAGACAUGAUAUAGCAAGUGAUAGGUAGCGAGCAUGGCAAUAGAGCGAACAACCAGCAUAGCAAAGAUAGAAGUGAUUUCGAGGGGUGAUCAUCUUGCCUGCAAGAUUCUCAGAGUUGUCGAAAGCUUGAUCCUCGUAAGCGUACUCGACAGGUUCCUCGUUCACGAACUCGUCUCCCGGCUCUACCCAAGACAAGAACACAAACAAACGGAACCACAAUCAACAACGAGAAAUGCGCAAGCAACAUGAUGCAAAACAUGUAUGAUAUGCAAGAUAUGAUAUGCGAUGCAUAUGCGUGCUCCGGAAGGAAAAUGAUGAACAUGGCAGUAACUUGGCAAACCAAGCAUGCCACUGGAAAGAUGAGAUGAUUUCGGUCGAAAUCGAUAUAAAGAUCACCGGAAACGGAUGCACGGUUUGCAAAUGGCAAGCAAAACAAGAAUGACACGAAUCUGCGAUAAACAGCAAGAUAGCACUUAAAAUGCAACAAGAAACAAUGCUACACUACCCCAACAUAGCAACAAAGCACAUGGAAGUAAUCUACAGGAGAUGCUUGACAAAAGAUGAACACUGAGCUACGGCUAGAUCACAACAUAUCAAGCUCAAACAAGCAUGGCAAAAGUGCAAAAGAUUACAGGUUCACAGACUUAGUGAAAAACUGGACAUGUCAGUAAACAGCAUCAGGUAGCAAUGUUCGGAGCACGAAAUCAACAUGCUACAGGAACUUAACAUAGCAAGGCAAGGCAUGGGAGUGUUCUACUAAAUGCACAUGACAAAAGUCCCUUUCUGACCAUAAGCCAAAAAGGACCAGAAGAUAUGAUGGCAAGCAUGUAAACAUAGCAAGUUUCGUUAUCAGGAUUCACACUUAGCAGAAAACAGAGCAUGGCAGAAAUAUUAAUAUGUAGGCCUCUUUGCAAGCUUGAUGCACUCACUACAGAGAAAUGCAUGACAAACCAAGCAUACCUACAGCAAGAUGGCAUGCUUCUCAAGCUAACCAUGACAAGAACAAUAGCAUAGCAUGUAUGUAUCAACUACAAUAAGCUUGGCAAAAUUGCAUAUAAUGUUAAGAAUCUGCCAGAAAUAUUUUAUAGCAAAAGUAGAGCAAGAAUGAGUCAUGCUAUGGCACUCCAUAAUUGCAAACAAUUGCAGGAAUGGAUCAAUUACAACUAUAGCUACAAAACAUUCCUACUGAACAUCUCCAAAAUAUGCAUGGAUCUCUCUGUAGCAUCAAGUUUACAUGGAAACAAAAUAACAGCAGACGAGGACUUUGAGAAAUCACUAAGUCCCUGAAAUCAGAAAUAUUACGGGGCCUACUUUGCAUGCUUGUGCUAGUCACCACAGAGAUCACAAAAAUACAUGGCCUACACCCUUGGAAAGAUGACAUGGCAUACUUCGAAACACAUGUAGAGCUCAUGCCCAAAAGAUGCACAGAUUAAAAGAUACAAAAAUGACAAAUCUCCAAGUUCUGUUAAGAACCAGCAGAUAACAGCAACUAGCCCUCUUCCAACAGAGAUUUGGGCAUCAAGAUGAGCUCUAAUGAACAUGGUGCAAUUAAACAAAAUGAAGAGCAUCACGAGACGAACAAUUUGACAUAUUACACGCGCGAAUCGGAGCUACAUGCACGGAGUUAUGGCAUCACGAACAAGUGCACAUGCUGAGAAAAUUUAUGACUUGGAGNNNNNNNNNNNNNNNNNNNNNNNNNNNNNNNNNNNNNNNNNNNNNNNNNNNNNNNNNNNNNNNNNNNNNNNNNNNNNNNNNNNNNNNNNNNNNNNNNNNNNNNNNNNNNNNNNNNNNNNNNNNNNNNNNNNNNNNNNNNNNNNNNNNNNNNNNNNNNNNNNNNNNNNNNNNNNNNNNNNNNNNNNNNNNNNNNNNNNNNNNNNNNNNNNNNNNNNNNNNNNNNNNNNNNNNNNNNNNNNNNNNNNNNNNNNNNNNNNNNNNNNNNNNNNNNNNNNNNNNNNNNNNNNNNNNNNNNNNNNNNNNNNNNNNNNNNNNNNNNNNNNNNNNNNNNNNNNNNNNNNNNNNNNNNNNNNNNNNNNNNNNNNNNNNNNNNNNNNNNNNNNNNNNNNNNNNNNNNNNNNNNNNNNNNNNNNNNNNNNNNNNNNNNNNNNNNNNNNNNNNNNNNNNNNNNNNNNNNNNNNNNNNNNNNNNNNNNNNNNNNNNNNNNNNNNNNNNNNNNNNNNNNNNNNNNNNNNNNNNNNNNNNNNNNNNNNNNNNNNNNNNNNNNNNNNNNNNNNNNNNNNNNNNNNNNNNNNNNNNNNNNNNNNAUGGGCCGGCGCGGUACGGGCGGCGGCGGACGCUGACGUGGCGGUGGCGCGAUUUGUCCGGCGCCGGGCGGACGUGUCCGGCGCGCGGAGGGACGAGGGUUAGGGUUUGGACUGCAGAUGUAUUUCGGGAUGCUCACUUAUUUAUAGGUAGAGGGAGCUAGGAGGCUCCAAAUGAGGUGCGGUUUUCGCCCACACGAUCGUGAUCGAACGACCUAGAGCAUGGAAGAGAGUUUGGUGGGUUUUGGGCUGAUUUUAGAGGGGGUUUUUGCUGGACACUCAAAUGGACAUUGCGGAUGCCCGGUUAACCGUUGGAGUACCAAACGACCUCCAAAUGGAACGAAACUUGACCGGUGGUCUCCGGGUGGUAUAAUAAGGCCACUUGACAAGCCUCGGUCCAUUCCGAGAAAGUUUGACACCCGCACACGAAAGAACACAAGAGGGAUGCACCGGAGGAGAUAGGAGCACCGGUUUGGAAAACGGACAACGGGGAAAAUGCUCGGAUGCAUGAGACGAACACGUAUGCAAAUGCAACGCACAUGAUGACAUGAUAUGGAAAUGCAUGACAUGACAAAAAACAAAACGAAAGACAAAACCCGACAACGAAGGGGAAAUCAUAUCACAAAGCCGAAAAUGGCAAGAGUCGGAGUUACAAAUAUGGCAAGUUACAAUCGGGGUGUUACAAUGUGCAGCCUUGGUGUGAAUGAACCUGCUCAAUAUACCGUAAGUACAAAGGAUGGUCGCAUGCUGAUUGAUGCUAAAGGAUGGUCAAGGUUCAAAUCUAAAUCAUAUCUUGCGGUAGGGGAUGAUGUCAAAAUCAAACUUUCUCGGCAAGGAGAGCUGGUCCAAAUCAACUUUGAAAUUCUUCAGUACCAGCACACAACUGCCGAACUGAUCUAUCCUCCGAGAGAUUUUGAUGUAAUAAUCUGGCAUGGUGAAACAAGUGUCCUGUGUGUAUAAGUAGUACGACAGUAUUAUUUAUCACAUGGUAUAUCGUUGAUAGAAUUGCAACUCUGAUUGCUGGUUAGGAACUGUCGUUCGAUUUCAUUCCAACAGCUGUCGUGCUUUAUUCAAUUAUGUGUAUUCGCCUUGCGACAGCAUCUAAAACCAGCACCGUACCGAUCGCUUGCAAUAUGAAAAGCGCUGAGGUAGAACACAUGGGCCCCCAAACAUGCAGGGUCGGCCUGCGGCCCAAAGUCCAGAACCGUGAGCCUAUCUGAGUAUUAUAUUCUCAGCUGAACCCCCAUAAUGCCCGUGCGUUGCAGAGGGAGUUUAUUUCUCGGCAAGGUGAGCCUGUGAUAUAAAAGAUUUUUAUAUUUCUUUACAGAGGGAGUAUCUCUCUGUCAAAAAAUAUAUUUAUGUGUAACUAGUUACUCCUGUCUUUCUACUUCCUUUCGCUGAUAUGUGGGGCAACCGGCAACGGGGUCCACGUGCCAUAUGCACAAAUUAGAGUGCACAACCUCACGGUAGACACACCCCGGUCGUAGCGCUGCAGUAAUGCCCAAUGAGCCAUCAAAUCACAACCCCCCCUUUCCAGCUUUAGCAGUGCUUGACGGACGAAGCGACAAUAUUUCACUGGGCCUGAAUCCCCUUCUCCCUCGUCUGCCUGUUCAGAGAAAACCCCCUCUCGGCGAUUGCAUAGGGUUUUCUCAUGGAGAACCAGGUACGAAUUCUUUAUCCAUCCCCGAUAAAUCCAAGUCCCUUGGUCGCAGGUAAUCCUAGGAUGGCAGCCGCCGCCGUUGAUGCAUUUUUCUUCCUACUGAAUCUAGUGUGUUUCAUUUGCAGUGCCCAAAGUGCGAGUACCCUACAGGUUUCUGCGCCCUCGGCGAGACGCCACACUUGUUCCUUCUCAUCCUAACACAGCAUUUUGAAACGUGCACAGUAUGUUCCUAGAAUCCUCUUUUCUAUCCGGGAGGGUGGGGGUUUUUUGAACAUGCUGUGUUCUCAUAUUAUUUUUCCUGCAGUGUAUUAUUUGCUCUGCCAGAACACAUGUACUCAAGAUGCUCGGCCUUGCCAUAACUGAAUACACUAGUUUAAUGGUCACAGUGAAGACAAGCCAUGGAUAUAAGUUCCGAGUUGGGUUCAUGAACCAAGAAGAUCGCUGCUUUUUUUAUGGUCGAACUUGGAUAAACUUUCUCAAGUGUUACGGACUGAAAGUUGGCGCACGAAUGUUGAUGGAAAUAGCAGAACCUGGUCUCAUAUUCACUGCGAUCUUCCACCCCGACGUCGUUCCAAUUGUUCAUCCAUGUUAGUUUUGUAUCUGGUUCUUGCUUGUUGCCUCGAUUACUUCUUAAUCCACCUAUUCUGUCUAACUAAUCACAAUUUAACUUUAGAAGUAGCAACGAAUCUCUCAUGAAGAUGCUACUUCUAACUAAUAUUUUCUUAUAAUUUGUGGCAUGUGUAGGUUUUUUCAGAGUUAAGCAGUCUGCUCGUUUGUUACACUGUAAUAACUCGGCUGUUACUAAUGGCACUGAAGUUGACUGGAUCGACAUCCACAAGUUCCUACACUUUAUUGAUCGUCUUGAGGUCCUUGUGGGGCGUUUCAAUGGUGGAAGGCCACGUGGGAUAUGUGUGCCACUGCUGCACUCGUUGAACAGGUCCAACUGUGUCAAGAAACUUAUGGUACGAGCUGUUUUCUGUUAUAUAUGUUGUUCAUAAACUAUUGCUUAUACACAGUUUUACAGCUGUGAUCUUCUUGAAACAGGAACUACCGACUUCUAUUGUUCCUAUACAGAUGCCUGACCAUUGUCGGGUCAGACUUGCGCUUGGUCACAACAUGAUGUUUAUGUCAACCUACUCAAUUCCCCUUGGAGGUGAAAAGAUACUUAUUCAUGGGUGGUCUCAAAUAAUGAAGGUCCGUCCAUCUUGGAGAAUAGGACAGAAGAUUAUGUUCAUGCUUUUCCAUGGCUCUAAAGCGAAUAUCCUGUUUAUUGACCACGUUGCUUUCAGCUUUGGUUAUUAAGUGCCCCUGCUGGUUUCAGUUAAGGUUGUUAAGUACUCCUGCUGCUUUUACAGUCUGUCGUGUUUCUUCAGUCCUGUCUUCCUCCAGCCGCCAAAACCAAACCAGCGCCGGCGGGGCCGCCUGCUUCCGCCUCCCACGGCUGGCUGCGCCUCAGCGCACGCAUCGCCGCCCCACCGUCUCCUAAAUCGAUAACGCCGACGUCCUCCGCGCGCUUUGGUGCGCUCGCCGCGGCGCCGCCCUCUCGCGUUGUCAACAUGGUCAACAAACAACAGGAAUCGGCAGAAGUACGUGGAGAGGAUGACAGUAGGGGCCCACCACGUCAGCGUAUGGAAAAAUAAAAUGCUUCCUCCUGGUGUUUUCCUGACAUCUGGGACCCACGACAUUGUGAGCGUAUAUAGUCAAUAGACAAGAGAACAGCACAAGAUCGGCUGACACCUGGGACGUAGCUACUCGAGCAGUAUUUUUUUUGUUUGGUAUUGUUGAGACGGAGCAGGGUUUGAACUGGGCUGUGGCCCGUCUAGCCCAGGCUUAUAUUUUAUGUUCACCAUGUGACCAGCCCAGUUAUUUUUUCUUUGUGAAAAUGAGCCCAGUUUAUUUUUUCUGAAGAAUACCCAAUCCAGGCCUACUUAUUUUUCUACGCCCUGAUGGGCUGCAACUCUUUCAAGACGCCUGCAAAUCUUGAAAGUAAUAUGAAAUGGGUUGUAAAAACAAAUGACAAAUUGGCAAUUACUUUAUAAUUUCUGAAUUUUUUCACAUUUUUAGAUUCCUAUUUCACUCGGCAUUAACCUAAUUUAAAUAUAUCUUCAAAGUACUUUAAAUAUGGCUCGACAUUUUGGUAUUAAAAAUAGUUUGGAACCCACAGAAAUAUGCGAAAUUGGCCCUGGCCAACCAAAAAAACGACUGCAAUAAAUUGCAUAAGAAGUUGCCAUGAGCUAUAUAUAAAUUAUUAAAAAAAAGAGGGAGUGGUCUGACUUGUGGGCCUGUUUAGUUGACGUGUAUGCAAGAUUUUUUUAGUUAUUAUAUAUGUCAACAAAAGAUUCUAGCAGACAUAACCGUUGGAUUGACGUUGGAUGUCAAUCCAACGGCCGUCGUGUUUCUUCAACCUCUGAUCUUCUUGCUCCAGCUGCCAAAGCAGCGCCGGCGGGACCGCCUACUCCCGCCUCUCGUGGCCGGCUGUGCUGCCGCGCAGGCCUCAGCACCCCCUACUACUCCCACCGCUGGCCAGGGCAUCCCUCUACUCACCCACACCCCCUGUUAUUCUGCGGCGACGGCAGCCUCACACCGCAGCCGAACCGGUGAACCCUCAUACUCCUCUCCGCGCGGGCUUCCACUGCCGCGUCUUCCCCGGCUCUGCGUCGUCCCCUUCCUAGGCCUCGCCGCGUCCACCGCCGUGGUGCUCUCGGCGCGGCGUGGUCAAUGUGGUCAACGACCGACUUCCAUCGGAAGAGUACUGUACGUGGAGAGGCUGACAGCUGGGUCCACGGCAGCCGCAAGGAAGUGCCUCCUUAUUACGCGGAAAAUAAUUAUUCCUCCACCUGACAGCAGGGACCCACCGGACGGGCCACCAGUAUUUCGCGAAAAAACAUUCCCCCCUGAGUGCUGGGACCCACUGGACGGGCCACCGUAUUUUGCGAAAAAAACGUUCCCCCCGCUGUCAGCUCGGACCCACCGGAAGUGCCUCCUUAUUACGCACAAAAAAAUGAAUACCCCCUGCUAGCUGGGACCCACCUUGGUGGGAGGCUGACUUGUGGGCCUACUAAGUUGACUGGGACGGAGGCCUUUGUCAACUUUAGUCAAUAUAUGAACGAUUCUAGCUCCAGUGACCGUACGAUGUCCAUCCAACGGCUGUAGUGCUUCUUCAACCUCUGGUCUUCUUGCUCCAGCCGCCCAAAGCAGCGCCGGUCGUGCCGCCUGCUCCUGCCGCCCGUGGCCGACUAUGAUGCCGCGGAGGCCUCACCGCCCCCUACUACUCCCACCGCUGGCCAGGCCAUCCCUCUACGCACCCACACCCCCUGUUAUUCUGCGGCGACGGCAGCCUCAAACCGCAGCCGAACGAGUGAACCCUCAUACUCCUCUACGCGUGGGCAUCCACUGUCGCGUCUUCCCCGGCUCCGCGUCGUCCCCUUCCUAGGCCUCGCCGUCGUCCACCGCCCUGGUGCUCUCGGCGUGGCGUGGUCAACGUGGUCAAGGAAUGGCUUCAAUCGGACGUGGACUGUACGUGGAGAGGCUGACAGCUGGGUCCAUGGCCGCAGCAAGGAAGUGCCUCCUUAUUAUGCGCAAAAUAAUUAUUCCUCCACCUGACAGCAGGGACCCACCGGACGGGCCACCGUAUUUCGCGAAAAAAACGUUUCCCCCUGACUGCUGGGACCCACCAGCUACAUCUUCGCACGCAAGGAAGUGCGUCCGAAAAAAAACGAUUCGCCCCCCUGACUGCUAGGACCCACCAGCUACAUCUUCGCACGCAAGGAAGUGCGUCCGGGCAAAAAAAAACGUUUCCCCCUGACUGCUGGGACCCAGCAGCCACACCUUCGCACGCAAGGAAGUGCGUCCGGGCAAAAAAAAUGAUUCGCCCCCCUGACUGGUGGGACCCACCAGCUACAUCUUCGCAGGCAAGGAAGUGCCUGACAGUCGGGACCCACCUGGUCGAAGCGUACGUAGCGUUGUCAUUCUGGUCGCGAACGUGUACGUACAUAUAUACUGGUUGAUGUAGAGGCGUGCAUGUGUCGUAGUAGAGGCGCGUACGUGUCGUAGUAGAGGCGCGCACGUAGCAUGUACACGUACGUACAUCGGCCAGGGUGCAAGAAAGAAAAUACGGCCACAUACGUAUAUACGGGCCGGGUCUCUAACGCCUACUCGCGCAUACGUACGACCAGGGCUCGUGUACAUGGCUGGGUCGGAACGGAGAAACAACGUCGUCGUCGUGUUCAUGGGGAGGCAAUGGAAUGCGUCGUGUUCAUGGGGAGGCAAUGGAAUGCGUCGUGUUCAUCGAGAGGCAACGGAACGUGUGGGAGCCAACCCGCUGGGUCGGAACGGAAUGCGUGGUCGUGUUCAUCGGGAGGGCUUGGAAAGAACAGGUGAUGGAAACGAGGCCUGGCGUACCGCAAAACGGAGGAAACGGCCUUGUGUUCGACUGGCCACGUUCGAAACGGGAUCCUGUUCAUCGGGAGGGGUCUGGCGUACCACAAAACGGAGGAAACGGACCUCCUACGGUCGAAACGGGGGUCCUGUUGAUCGGGAGGGGUGUGGCGUACUGCAAAACGGAGGAAACGGACUUGUGUUGGAGCGCUACGGUCGAAACGGGGGUCCUGUUGAUCAGGAGGGGUGUGGCGUACUGCAAAACGGGACUCCACGGGAUACUGUUCAUCUGCACCGUCGACCUCCUCCAGCCUCCACGGGCUACCGUCGACCUCCUCCAGCCUCCACGGGCUCCUGUUCAUCCAGCCUCCACCGCGCGCUACUCCACCGGCUACUGUUCAACCACCCCUCCACCGUCUACUGUUCAUCCAGCCCUCCACACCACGGGGUCCUGUUCAACCACCCCUCCACGGGCACCCCUCCACCGUCUACUGUUCAUCCAGCCCUCCACACCACGGGGUCAUGUUCAUCCAGAGGCAACGCCACCGCUCAUUGUUCAUCCAACCCCCCCCGCAACGCUCACUGUUCAUCCAAUCGAUCGGCUUCCGUUAGCAGCAGUAGCGAAGGAAUCGCUCGAUCGGGUUCAGUUAACAGCCAUCGAUCGAUCGCUCGGGUUCAGUUAGAGCCCAACGCCUUGCUCGGGUUUAGUUAGAGCCAACGCCUCGCACACACGCGCGUACAUGUACGAGAGAAACGCGCAUCGCUCGGCCCCCGACCUCCCACCGUAAUCGGGAACUCCCCGAAAUUUUCCUCCCCCUCGCUUCUACCAUGGUUUUUUCCGUCAUGGACGGCCCAAAGAAUGUCAUGCAGCUGCGUCUCCGGCCCGCCCAGGACGAAAAGCCCAUUUUCUGUCAUAGAAGUAGGAGCCCACCACAUCUAUGAUGAUACUGGGUUUUGUCACAAUUAUCGUCAUAGAAGUGUCAUAUGUAUGACAGAAAAAAAUUUCGUUCGGCCCAAAAUGUCAUGGAUGUGUCUUUUUUUUUGUAGUGACACGGUGAAGGAGGCCGAAGCUUUCGAGAAGGUAUUCGGUCGGCAUCAUCGGACUACUUUGUUCAAGGAUGUUAGUCUUGCGGAUCAAGCCGUGGUAGAUGGUGGCCAAUGUAUAUCUCUUGGGGUUAGGCCAAGCUCUCACCGUGAUUUGGGAGACGACAAGAACCGGAUUGCUAAAGGGUCUAAGUUCGAAACCUUCUUGGAAUUGAAGAUGUGGCUCGACAACUACUCGGUUACGCAUUAUCGUCCACACAAGGUGGACUCGGACGUCAAUGUGCGCUACACGGUUGCAUGUGCAUGUGAAGAUGAAAUAUGUCCGUGGAUUGUGCGUGCAAGACCAUGGAAAGGAGGUCCCACUUGGCACAUAGUGAGUUGUGUGCCAACUCACAUGUGCCGAGGCAAAAGGGUGGAUGGCAAGAUUGUGUCCCAAGACCAUAGACAACUCACGUCCGAGUUCAUCGCUUACAGGCUCUCCAACUCAAUAUCCACACUUCCAACAAUGAGCGUCCAACAUGUCAUUGAACUUGUGAAAGCCAUCUUUCAUUACAAGGUGAAGUACGGCAAGGCAUGGAAGGCGAAGCAAGCCGCAUUUAAGAUGUUGUAUGGUACUUGGGAGGAAGCAUACAACCGAAUCCCUAGGUUGUUGUUAGCCAUGGCCGCCACAAACCCGGGCAUGGUUCAUGUGGUCGAGCCUCAUGGGCACCAAACAACGGUUCAUGAAGGAAGAAAAGUUCGAGUAUUUGACCGUGCAUUUUGGGCGUUCGAGCAAUGCGUGAGGGCUUUCGAACACUGUAGGCCGGUCAUCACCAUUGAUGGCACGUUCUGACCGGACAAUACAAGGGCACCUUGUUGGUUGCAAUAGCAAGUGAUGCCAAUAACUGGGUGUUGCCAUUAGCAUUUGCUUUGGUUGAGGUGGAGAACAAUGACAACUGGGAGUGGUUUUUGCGUCUUUUGAGGAUGAAGGUGUUACCCGCUCAAAGGGAAAUUUGUGUCAUAUCAGAUCGGCAUUAAGGAAUUCUUAAUGCGGUGGAGAUUGACAUUCCCGGGCAUGCUCCGUUGCAUCAUCGAUGGUGCAUGAGGCACUUUUGUUCAAACUUCUAUAGGGCAUGUGGCCUUAAGGAGUUGGCCGAUGAUCUUCAAGAUUGUUGUCUCGCUUUCUCUGACAAGUGGUUCGCCACUUUGUACAACAAAUUGCUCGCACACAAAAAAUAGAUCCCGGGGAUCAAGACUUUCUCAAUAGGCACAUUCAAUACCGGAACAAGUGGGAACGUGCUUUUGAUGAAGAUGGCCGGAGAUACGGUCAAUUGACAAGAAAUAUGGCCGAAUGCUUCAAUAGGGUGCUCAAAGGUGCACGUGGAUUACCCGUGACGACAAUAGUUCAAUACACAUUUGACAAGAUGAAUGCAUACUUUCUAAAGUACUCGAUGGAAACGGAUGCACAGAUAGCGGGUGAGAACCCGCGCAAGUACAAGUACAAGUUCCCACCCAAGGUUGAUGAAUGGUUAGAAUUUCAAUCACGGAAGGCGGACUCAGAAGAAGCUAUAUUAUAUGACAACGAAGAGUGGAAGUACGAAGUGAAAGAGCCAGGAGGAACCACAAACGAUGGCCGCCAACAUGGAGGUUGGGCUUUCAAGGUGUCGUUAACACAAUGUGAUUGCUCUUGCGGGAGGCCAUUAUUGCUUCAUCUCCCAUGCUCACACUUGUAUACCACCGGCCGCAUUGAGAAUGUGGACAUCAGUCACCCACGCACCAUGAGGGAGUCGGAGUUCUCAAUCAUGACGGUCAAGAAAACAUGGGCUCCCCGCUUUCACCCAUACUUUGACCAAUCACAAUGGCCGGAGUACCAUGGAGUUCAACUAUGGCCGGAUCCGGAGUUGAAGGUUGUUAAACGGGGUAGACGUAAGACAAAGUGUCUUAGAGGCGACAUGGACGGAUGGGGCCAUGGUGGCCGCCGCGAACCGGGCAACGACCAAUUCCAAGAGCCUCAUGAGAGCUCCCGUUGUGGGGAGUGCAAAGGUCAUGGCCACAACAAAAGAAAAUGUACGAAACCAAGGAAAAGGUCCAAGAAAAAUGAUGCAAGCACAAGCCAACAAGGAGCUACACAAGGGAGCCAACCAAGUGGUAGCCAACAAGUGCCAAGCCAACCAAGAGGUAGCCAACAAGUGCGAAGGCAACCACGUGGUAGCCAAGAAGUGCCAAGGCAACCAAGUGGUAGCCAACCUAGUGGUAGCCGACAAGUGCCAAGGCAACCAAGUGGUAGCCAACAAGUGCCAAGGCAACCAAGUGGUAGGCAACAAGUGCCAAGCCAACCAAGUGUUAGCCAAAGAAGAUCUAGGCAACAAAGAAGUCGGCAACUAGGACUUACAAGAGGCCGUGGUGGUGGUAGAGCUCGUGGUACGUGGUGGUCUAGGCCGUGGUGGUGGUAGAGCUCGAGGUGGUGGUGUUGGCCGUGGUGAGGUCUUGGCCUUGGUGAUGGUCUUGGUCUUGGUGGUGGACUUGGCCGUGGUGAUGGACAAGGGCAAGGUCGUUAUAGAGGAAUGUUUGGAUACCUCGAUGGACCAUUUCCGUAUGUUGCUCACUAACUAUAAUGUUUCAUAUGUUCUUGUUUUUCAUAUGUUCUUGUUUUUCAUAUGUUCUUGUUGUACAUGUUCUUCCAUUUGUUUUUAUUGUCUUUACUAACCAUUAUGUUUCACUAAUUGUAGGUAUGGCGGCUUCCCAACCCAAUAAACCAACAAUGAAGGAGGAUGGCGAAGAUGAGAUGGCGGGAUGGUGGGAGAAGGCUGCGAAGAAGCUUAAAGAGGAGGAUGUAACCAAGCUAAAGAAGAAGAAGGAAGAGGAGCUUGAGGAGAAGAGGAAGGAAAAAGAGAGAGCGUGAAAUGCGAUGCGCGCUAGGGAGCAAGCGUUGGUGAGGAAAUGUGAGGAGGCACCGAAGAAGCGUCAAAAGGAUUUUGAAGAAAGAACCAUGAAGCUUUGGGCAAUUGCAGCUGAAAAAAGAGAGAGGGAGAAUCAGAUAUUCAUGGAGAGGGUGGUUAAGGGGGCUCACCUCAUAAGGAAAAGGGAGGAGGAAGAGGAAGAAGAAGAAGGGAAAGGGGCGUUGCUCUACGCAAUAGAGCUAUGUCAUCUUCAACUUGCUUGUGGACGAUGAUCCUGUUAUCCUCUAAACUAUGCUCUUCGAUUUGGUUGUGAACUACUAUGUGUCAUGAACUACUAUGCCUCCUCCUCGAUUUGGUUCUGAACUACUAUGUGUCGUGAAGUACUAUGUAUUUCCUCCUAAAUUUGGUUGUAUGAACUACUCCUCAAGUUGAAGUACUAUGUGUUAUGAACUAGUAUGUGUCGUGAAGUACUUUGUGCAUGUGUUGUCUUCACAGUUGUUUGCUUGCUAUGUAUCAAUCCUACUUCACAUCAUUGUACUAUGUGUGCAUAUGCCAAAAAAUUCUCUAAGUCCAAAUGCAACGCCUCAGAGCUAGGCGUUGCACUGCUCAGUGUGACGCCUAGCUCUGAGGCGUUGCACGCCUGGGAAGAGCUGUCCAGAGAGCAACAGAAACAUUGCUAGUUACAGACCUGUGCAACGCCUAGCUCGGAGGCGCCACACUGAGCAGUGCAACGCCCUCGGAGGNNNNNNNNNNNNNNNNNNNNNNNNNNNNNNNNNNNNNNNNNNNNNNNNNNNNNNNNNNNNNNNNNNNNNNNNNNNNNNNNNNNNNNNNNNNNNNNNNNNNNNNNNNNNNNNNNNNNNNNNNNNNNNNNNNNNNNNNNNNNNNNNNNNNNNNNNNNNNNNNNNNNNNNNNNNNNNNNNNNNNNNNNNNNNNNNNNNNNNNNNNNNNNNNNNNNNNNNNNNNNNNNNNNNNNNNNNNNNNNNNNNNNNNNNNNNNNNNNNNNNNNNNNNNNNNNNNNNNNNNNNNNNNNNNNNNNNNNNNNNNNNNNNNNNNGCAACGCCUAGCUCCCAGGCAUUGCACUGCUCAGUGUGGCGCCUCCAAGCUAGGCAUUGCACAGGUCUGUAACUAGAGAAGCUUCUGUUGCUCUCUCGAUAGAUGUACACAGGCUUGCAACGCCUCAGAGCUAGGCGUCACACUCAGCAGUGCAACGCCUCCGAGCUAGGCGUUGCAUGCCUGUGUCCAGCUAUCCAGAGAGCAAAAGAAAGUUUGCCUCCAGUUUGGGCCAAAAAAUUCGCUAAGUGUUUGUGUGGCGCCUAGCUGGGAGGCGCCACACUGUAUAGUGCAACGCUCGCGAGCUAGGCGCCACACUGUAGAGUGUGGCGCCUCCCAGCUAGGCGCCACACAAACACUUAGUGUUUUUUUGUCAUUUAGACUAGGGCAUUUUCAGGCAUAGUUCAACAUUUCGUACAAUAAACAGUAAGGAUCUUUAAGUUCAACAAAGACAACAUUUCCUAUAGUGACCAUCACGACAAGUUCAACAUUACUAACACCACUCCAAGUUCCACAUUACUAAGAGCUACCACAACUUCAAGUUUAACAUAGAGCUACCACCACUCCAAGUUCAACGACAUAAUAAGUUCCACAUUACUAAGAGCUACCACCACUCCAAGUUCAACAUUACAAAUAGAGGACGAUGACUAGUUACUUGAGCACUUUUUGGCUCCUCCCCCCCCUUGCUGGCUAUCUUCUUCGCCUUCCUAGGAAGAGCAACCCGGUCCGGCUCCGGCUCCGGUUCCUCCACGUCAUCCACAUCGUCAUCCAAAUAGUCAUCCAAAGCCGCCACCCGCGAGAUGCCGACCGUCCUUUUGCCUCUUUGGGUGAAGUCUUUAGGUGUGUAUUUGUUGAUUCCCUUCCUAGGCUUUAACUCGUAUGCAGACCGAACCUGGUACAUCCCCAAGGUCAUAUCAUCAGCAACCUAUGCAUCAACAAAAGAUAUGGAAAGACCGUGUGUGAGGAUAUAGUUAGCAAUGCAUCAACAAUUGGAUAUAUGCUCAUGCCAUACCUCUUGGGUGACCAAACCCACAUCCUCAUCCUCCAAAGGAUCACCAUGGCCCUGGCCCGAAGUGGGAUCUGAUGGUGUCGCCGACCUAGACCGUUCUGGUGAUACAUACUCGGGGUCACGACAACUGAAAAGGUUUGAUAGCCGCCUUAACUUUUGGCCCUGGCGCUGCAACAUGUACAAGUGAAUGAGAUAUCGAACGUAGCAACACAUGUUAAGUGCUAGUUUGAAGGAGAUGUGAACCUUAAUGAAUGCUCGAAGUGCACCUUCCCCAUCGCUUUUGCCAGCUGGGGUUGUUUCCAGAAUAGUCUCGGUCUCAUUAGUUGCUUUCUUGAUCUGGGCACGCUAUGAACAGAAACGGCAUUAACGUGUUAGGCAAGCAAAGAUCUGAAUAAUUCAAAUGGAAAAGCAAAAAGGGCAAAUACCACAAAGUUCAUCAUUGGGGCUGAAGGGAUCACUGAGUUGCCUUUCUUGACUAAUGCGUUGUACUGGUGCUGGGCUAGCUCAUCAAAAACGGUGGGAUCUUCCAAAAUCUCCUCAGCAUACGCCGGCUUGCAUACCUCCACACAGGUACUUGCAAGAAACCAUGUGAGAUAGUUGUUGAACGCGAUCGGGCAGUGCUCACGAAGCUGGGCUCGUUUUCCAGCCCUAGCUUGCUCCACACUAAGCGCGAACUGUACGACUUACUUCCUGUGAUGCUUGGCCCAAUCCUUGAUCUUCCGCUGCUUUUUCCUAUCCAACCUGCAAGUUAGAAACAUAAUAUUACCACCAUCGAUGAGGCCGAGAAGCCGCUAAGUGCUCAAGGUUAAUUAUAUCUUACGCGUGUAGCAACUUGUCCGUGUCCUCCCACUCCGACGGGUGUGGCUGGAACAAACCAAACUGGCGGAACACCCGAUGUGGCAGGUGAAGCUCAACCGCCCAGUUGCAUAUGAGUGGGCACCACAUAUGCCAGAGAUCCCUAUGACGGAAAUAUGCCCUAGAGGCAAUAAAAAAGUUAUUAUUUAUUUCCUCAUAUCAUUAUAAAUGUUUAUUAUUCAUGCUAGAAUUGUAUUAACCGGAAACAUAAUACAUGUGUGAAUACAUAGACAAAUAUAGUGUCACUAGUAUGCCUCUACUUGAAUAGCUUGUUAAUCAAAGAUGGUUGAGUUUCCUAGCCAUGGACAUGAGUUGUCAUUUGAUUAACGGGAUCACAUCAUUAGGAGAAUGAUGUGAUUGACUUGACCCAUUCCGUUAGCUUAGCACUUGAUCGUUUAGUAUGUUGCUAUUGCUUUCUUCAUGACUUAUACAUGUUCCUAUGACUAUGAGAUUAUGCAACUCCCGUUUACCGGAGGAACACUUUGUGUGCUACCAAACGUCACAACAUAACUGGGUGAUUAUAAAGGUGCUCUACAGGUGUCUCCAAUGGUACUUGUUGAGUUGGCGUAUUUCGAGAUUAGGAUUUGUCACUCCGAUUGUCGAAGAGGUAUCUCUGGGCCCUCUCGGUAAUGCACAUCACUAUAAGCCUUGCAAGCAAUGUGACUAAUGAGUUAGUUGUGGGAUGAUGCAUUACGGAACGAGUAAAGAGACUUGCCUGUAACGAGAUUGAACUAGGUAUUGAGAUACCGAUGAUCGAAUCUUGGGCAAGUAACAUACCGAUGACAAAGGGAACAACGUAUGUUGUUACGCGGUUUGACCGAUAAAGAUCUUCAUAGAAUAUGUAGGAGCCAAUAUGAGCAUCCAGGUUCCGCUAUUGGUUAUUGACCGGAGACGUGUCUCGGUCAUGUCUACAUAGUUCUCGAACCCGUAGGGUCCGCACGCUUAAAGUUCGGUGACGAUCCUUAUUAUGAGUUUUUGUGUUUUGAUGUACCGAAGGUAGUUCAGAGUCCCGGAUAUGAUCACGGACAUGACGAUGAGUCUUGAAAUGGUCGAGACGUAAAGAUUGAUAUAUUGGACGACUAUAUUCAGACACCGGAAGUGUUCCGGGUGAUUUCGGAGAAAACCGGAGUGCCGGAGGGUUACCGGAACCCCCCGGGGAAGUAUUGGUCCUUAGUGGGCCUGAGGGGAGAGAGAGGGCAGCAGCCUAGGAGGUGGCAUGCCCCCUCCCAUGAGGAGUCCGAAUUGGACUAGGGGAGGGGGGCGCGGCCCCUCUUUCCCUCUCCCUCUCCCUCUGUUUCCUUCCCCCUUCCCUCUUCCUAGUUGGACAGGAAAGAGGAGUCCUACUCCUACUAGGAGGAGGACUCCCCCCUCCUCCUGGCGCGCCCACAAGGGGCCUGCCGGCCUCCCCCUUGCUCCUUUAUAUACGGGGGCAGGGGGCACCUCUAGACACAAGUUUAUCUGUUGAUCCCUCCUAGCCGUGUGCGGUGCCCCCCUCCACCAUAUUCCACCUCGGUCAUAUCGUAGCGGUGCUUAGGCGAAGCCCUGUGUCGGUAGCAACAUCAUCACCGUCAUCACGCCGUCGUGCUGACGGAACUCUCCCGUGAAGCUCUGCUGGAUCGGAGUUCGCAGGACGUCAUCGAGCUGAACGUGUGCUGAACUCGGAGGUGCCGUACGUUCGGUACUUGGAUCGGUCGGAUCGUGAAGACGUACGACUACAUCAACCGCAUUGUGCUAACGCUUCCGCUUUCGGUCUACGAGGGUACGUGGACAACAAUCUCCCCUCUCGUUGCUAUGCAUCACCAUGAUCCUGUGUGUGCGUUGGAAUUUUUUUGAAAUUACUACGUUCCCCAACAGUGGCAUCCGAGCCUGGUUUUAUGCGUAGAUGUUAUAUGCACGAGUAGAACACAAGUGAGUUGUGGGCGAUACAAGUCAUACUGCUUACCAGCAUGUCAUACUUUGGUUCAGCGGUAUUGUUGGAUGAAGCGGCCUGGACCGACAUUACGCGUAUGCGUACGCGAGACUGGUUCUACCGACGUGCUUUGCACAUAGGUGGCUGGCGCGUGUCAGUUUCUCCAACUUUAGUUGAACCGAGUGUGGCUACGCCCGGUCCUUGAGAAGGUUAAAACAGCACUAACUUGACGAACUAUCGUUGUGGUUUUGAUGCGUAGGUAAGAACGGUUCUUGCUCAGCCCGUAGCAGCCACGUAAAACUUGCAACAACAAAGUAGAGGACGUCUUACUUGUUUUUUCAGGGCAUGUUGUGAUGUGAUAUGGUCAAGACAUGAUGCUAUAUUUUAUUGUAUGAGAUGAUCAUGUUUCGUAACCGAGUUAUCGGCAACUGGCAGGAGCCAUACGGUUGUCGCUUUAUUGUAUGCAAUGCAAUCGCCCUGUAAUGCUUUACUUUAUCACUAAGCGGUAGCGAUAGUCGUAGAAGCAAAAUUUGGUGAGACGACAAUGAUGCUACGAUGGAGAUCAAGGUGUCACGCCGGUGACGAUGGUGAUCAUGAUGGUGCUUCGGAGAUGGAGAUCACAAGCACAAGAUGAUGAUGGCCAUAUCAUAUCACUUAUAUUGAUUGCAUGUGAUGUUUAUCUUUUAUGCAUCUUAUUUUGCUUUGAUUGACGGUAGCAUUAUAAGAUGAACUCUCACUAAAUUUCAAGAUUAAAGUGUUCUCCCUGAGUAUGCACCAUUGCCAAAGUUCGUCGUGCCGAGACACCACGUGAUGAUCGGGUGUGAUAAGCUCUACGUUCAUCUACAAUGGGUGCAAGCCAGUUUUGCACACGCGGAAUACUCGGGUAAAACUUGACGAGCCUAGCAUAUGUAGAUAUGGCCUCGGAACACUGAGACCAAAAGGUCGAGCGUGAAUCAUAUAGUAGAUAUGAUCAACAUAGUGAUGUCCACCAUUGAAAACUACUCCAUCUCACGUGAUGAUCGGACAUGGUUUAGUUGAUUUGGAUCACGUGAUCACUUAGAUGAUUAGAGGGAUAUCUAUCUAAGUGGGAGUUCUUAAGUAAUAUGAUUAAUUGAACUUAAAUUUACCAUGAACUUAGUACCUGAUAGUAUUUUGCUUGUCUAUGUUGUUGUAGAUAGAUGGCCCGUGCUGUUGUUCCGUUAAAUUUUAAUGCGUUCCUUGAGAAAGCAAAGUUGAAAGAUGAUGGUAGCAAUUACACGGACUGGGUCCGUAACUUGAGGGUUAUCGUCAUUGCUGCACAGAAGCAUUACAUCCUGGAAGCACCGCUAGGUGUACUAGCUGCGCCGGCAACUGCAGACAUUGUGAAUGCCUGGCAGUCGCGUGUUGAUGACUACUCGAUAGUUCAGUGUGCCAUGCUUUUCGGCUUAGAAACGGGACUUCAACGACGUUUUGAACGUCAUGGAGCAUAUGAGAUGUUCCAUGAGUUGAAGUUAAUAUUUCAAGCAAAUGCCCGGAUUGAGAGAUAUGAAGUCUCCAAUAAGUUCUACAGCUACAAAAUGGAGGAGAAUAGUUCUGUCAGUGAACAUAUACUCAGAAUGUCUGGGUACUGCAAUCACUUGAUUCAACUGGGAGUUAAUCUUCCAGAUGAUAGUGUCAUUGACAGAAUUCUUCAAUCACUGCCACCAAGCUACAAGAGCUUCGUGAUGAACUAUAAUAUGCAAGGGAUGGAUAAGACAAUUCCCGAGCUCUUCACAAUGCUGAAGGCUGCGGAGGUAGAAAUCAAGAAGGAGCAUCAAGUGUUGAUAGUUAACAAGACCACCAGUUUCAAGAAAAAGGGUAAAGGGAAAAAGAAGGGGAACUUCAAGAAGAACGGCAAACAAGUUGCUGCUCAAGAGAAGAAACCCAAGUCUGGACCUAAGCCUGAGACUGAGUGCUUCUACUGCAAGCAGACUGGUCACUGGAAGCGGAACUGCCCCAAGUAUUUGGCAGAUAAGAAGGAUGGCAAGGUGAACAAAGGUAUAUGUGAUAUACAUGUUAUUGAUGUGUACCUUACUAGAGCUCGCAGUAGCACCUGGGUAUUUGAUACUCGUUCUGUUGCUAAUAUUUGCAACUCGAAACAGGGACUACGGAUUAAGCGAAGACUAGCUAAGGACGAGGUGACGAUGCACGUGGGAAAUGGUUCCAAAGUCGAUGUGAUCGCCGUCGGCACGCUACCUCUACAUCUACCUUCGGGAUUAGUAUUAGACCUAAAUAAUUGUUAUUUGGUGCCAGCGUUGAGCAUGAACAUUAUAUCUGGAUCUUGUUUAAUGCGAGACGGUUAUUCAUCUAAAUCUGAGAAUAAUGGUUGUUCUAUUUAUAUGAGUAAUAUCUUUUAUGGUCAGGCACCCUUGAAGAGUGGUCUAUUUUUGUUGAAUCUUGAUAGUAGUGAUACACAUAUUCAUAAUGUUGAAGCCAAAAGAUGCAGAGUUGAUAAUGAUAGUGCAACUUAUUUGUGGCACUGCCGUUUGGGUCAUAUUGGUGUAAAGCGCAUGAAGAAACUCCAUACUGAUGGACUUUUGGAAUCACUUGAUUAUGAAUCACUUGGUACUUGCAAACCAUGCCUUAUGGGCAAGAUGACUAAAAUGCUGUUCUCCGGAACAAUGGAGCGAGCAACAGAUUUGUUGGAGAUCAUACAUACUGAUGUAUGUGGUCCGAUGAAUAUUGAGGCUCGCGGCGGGUAUCAUUAUUUUCUCACCUUCACAGAUGAUUUGAGCAGAUAUGGGUAUAUCUUAUUAAUAAAACAUAGUCUGAAACAUAUAAAAAGUUCAAAGAAUUUCAGAGUGAAGUGGAAAAUCAUCGUAACAAGAAAAUAAAGUUUCUACGAUCUGAUCGUGGAGGAGAAUAUUUGAGUUACGAGUCUGGUCUACAUUUGAAACAAUGCGGAAUAGUUUCGCAACUCACGCCACCCGGGACACCAUAGCGUAAUGGUGUGUCCGAACGUCGUAAUCGUACUUUACUAGAUAUGGUGCGAUCUAUGAUGUCUCUUACUGACUUACCGCUAUUGUUUUGGGGUUAUGCUUUAGAGACGGCUGCAUUCACGUUAAAUAGGGCACCAUCGAAAUCCGUUGAGACGACACCUUAUGAACUGUGGUUUGGCAAGAAACCAAAGUUGUCGUUUCUUAAAGUUUGGGGCUGCGAUGCUUAUGUGAAAAAGCAUCAACCUAAUAAGCUCGAACCCAAAUCGGAGAAAUGUGUCUUCAUAGGAUACCCAAAGGAAACUGUUGGGUACACCUUCUAUCACAGAUCCAAAGGCAAGACACUCGUUGCUAAGAAUGGAUCCUUUCUAGAGAAGGAGUUUCUCUCGAAAGAAGUGAGUGGGAGGAAAGUAGAACUUGAUGAGGUAACUGUACCUGCUCCCUUAUUGGAAAGUACUUCAUCACAAAAAUCUGUUUUUGUGACUCCUACACCAAUUAGUGAGGAAGCUGAUGAUGAUGAUCAUAUAACUUCAGAUCAAGUUACUACCGAACCUCAUAGGCCAACCAGAGUAAGAUCCGCACCAGAGUGGUACAGUAAUCCUAUUCUGGAGGUCAUGUUACUUGACCAAGGCAAACCUACGAACUAUGAAGAAGCGAUGGUGAGCCCAGAUUCCACAAAAUGGCUUGAGGCCAUGAAAUCUGAGAUGGGAUCCAUGUAUGAGAACAAAGUGUGGACUUUGGUUGACUUGCCCGUUGAUCGGCAAGCCAUAGAGAAUAAAUGGAUCUUCAAGAAGAAGACUGACGCUGACGGUAAUGUUACUGUCUACAAAGCUCGACUUGUUGCAAAAGGUUUUCGACAAGUUCAGGGAGUUGACUAUGAUGAGACUUUCUCACCCGUAGCGAUGCUUAAGUCUGUCCGAAUCAUGUUAGCAAUUGCCGCAUUUUAUGAUUAUGAAAUUUGGCAAAUGGAUGUCAAAACUGCAUUCCUGAAUGGAUUUCUGGAAGAAGAGUUGUAUAUGAUGCAACCGGAAGGUUUUGUCGAUCCACAGGGAGCUAACAAAGUAUGCAAGCUCCAGCGAUCCAUUUAUGGACUGGUGCAAGCCUCUCGGAGUUGGAAUAAACGUUUCGAUAGUGUGAUCAAAGCAUAUGGUUUUAUACAGACUUUUGGAGAAGCCUGUAUUUACAAGAAAGUGAGUGGGAGCUCUGUAGCAUUUCUAAUAUUAUAUGUGGAUGACAUAUUACUGAUUGGAAAUUAGAAUUUCUGGAUAGCAUAAAAGGAUACUUGAAUAAGAGUUUUUUAAUGAAAGACCUCGGUGAAGCUGCUUACAUAUUGGGCAUCAAGAUCUAUAGAGAUAGAUCAAGACACUUAAUAGGACUUUCACAAAGCACAUACCUUGACAAAGUUUUGAAAAAGUUCAAAAUGGAUCAAGCAAAGAAAGGGUUCUUGCCUAUGUUACAAGGUGUGAAAUUGAGUCAGACUCAAUGCCCGACCACUACAGAAGAUAGAGAGAAAAUGAAAGAUGUUCCCUAUGCUUCAGCCAUAGGCUCUAUCAUGUAUGCAAUGCUGUGUACCAGACCUGAUGUGUGCCUUGCUAUUAGCUUAGCAGGGAGGUACCAAAGUAAUACAGGAGUGGAUCACUGGACAACGGUCAAGAACAUCCUGAAAUACCUGAAAAGGACUAAGGAUAUGUGAUGCGGAGCAUCCCUCGACCAUCACCAUGGAUGUCACACCACCACCGCAAGCACGGAAAGGACCUACAACAAGAGCUCGCGCACGCACCGUCGAAACCGAGGUUAAUUCUUUCCUCUCCGAGUUUCGUCCGGAUUCACUUGAGAAUGGGAUUCUACCUCAAAGAGAUGCAUUGUGCAUUCUUAGGUACUUCGGAUAUCGUCACGAUGAAGCACAGAGGAAUCACCAAGUUCACCGGAGACCUAGGGAGGACGAAGACCCGGACACACAAGAAGAAGGAGAAGGAAAGAAGCGAGAAGAACGAGAGGAGUCGGAGCUCCCUAGACACCCUGGGUGCCCGGGCUCUUCGGCACCGGGUGCCCGGCCGCAGCCUGGGCGUCGCCCCCAGCCGGCGCCGGGUGCCCGGCCGGUUGAGCCCCGGGGGCCCGGGCCACUUCCAGCCGCAUGCCCAGCCCACUCCGNNNNNNNNNNNNNNNNNNNNNNNNNNNNNNNNNNNNNNNNNNNNNNNNNNNNNNNNNNNNNNNNNNNNNNNNNNNNNNNNNNNNNNNNNNNNNNNNNNNNNNNNNNNNNNNNNNNNNNNNNNNNNNNNNNNNNNNNNNNNNNNNNNNNNNNNNNNNNNNNNNNNNNNNNNNNNNNNNNNNNNNNNNNNNNNNNNNNNNNNNNNNNNNNNNNNNNNNNNNNNNNNNNNNNNNNNNNNNNNNNNNNNNNNNNNNNNNNNNNNNNNNNNNNNNNNNNNNNNNNNNNNNNNNNNNNNNNNNNNNNNNNNNNNNNNNNNNNNNNNNNNNNNNNNNNNNNNNNNNNNNNNNNNNNNNNNNNNNNNNNNNNNNNNNNNNNNNNNNNNNNNNNNNNNNNNNNNNNNGCCCCCGGGUGCCCGGACCUUCACCCCCGGGUGCCUGGCCUGGCCUCCUUUAGCCGCCCGCCUGGCCGCCCCGGGUGCCCGGCCGUUCGGCCCCAGGUGCCCGGCCCACCCCGCCUGGAGCCAGCCACCGCCCCGGGUGCCCGGGUGGUCAACCCCCGGGUGCCCGCCCUCCUCCUUGCUCCGGCCUCUGACCGGUCCGGGUGCCCGGACCCCUUUACCCCGGGUGCCCGGACCCCUCCGAGAGUGUGUGCGUUUUUAGGGUCAUUUUGGACCUUUGUAUCCCCCUCUCCCUCUUAUUUCGUCCCUAGACUAUAAGUACCUCCCACCUAUCUCAUUUAGAGGAUAGCAAAGUAUAUGAUAGACAUAUGUGAGCUUUGCUCCAGGGAUCCACUCCACUAGGAGAUCAAGACCUCCUCUUGGAGUGACCAACCUCAAGACCCCCUCAUGGGUGGCCCCCUUCAAGACCUCAUUCCUCAUAGGAUUGGGAUGAACUAGUACCUUGUAUCUUUCCUUUGUUGUCUUUGAAUCAUUGUGAACUCUUGUAUGUUCUUGGAUCUAGCAUAUGUGUGAUUGGAUCUAGUCAAUUUGAGUGUUUCCCCUCUCUUGUGUUCUUCGUGUUCUUGGGGAUUUCCCCUCCAAUUCAUGAAAGAUCUCCAUCUAGGGUUCCACCCUACAACCCUUGGUAUCAUGAGCCACGUUUAUCACGAAUUUGGAGUCCCCCCCACCGUUUUCUAGCCUUGUUUUGUGUGAUUUUGUCCUAAAUUCGAAAAUUCCCCACCAAAAAUAGCCCCAAUUUUUUUUGUGAUUUGUUGCUUUGAUGGGGUUUUGUUGGAUUUGAUCCAUGGAUUUGGUUGGUUUCAAGUGGAUCUAGCCUUCCCCCAUCCAUCUCCACCUUUCCCUCCACGAAAUCCACCAUUUUCUUCCAUUUCUCCACGAUUUUCCGCCCAAAUCCGACACCCCCGGGCACCCGGACCCCCCGCGCAUCUCCGUUGACCACCCCGGGUGCCCGCACCCCGAGCCCCCGGGCACCCGCACCCCGGGCUGUUUGCCCCGGACCAACCCGGCUGCCCGCACCUCUUGCCCCCGGGCACCCGGACCGCCGGGCCUCUUCUUCAGCCCAACCUCGCUGACCACCCCGGGUGCCCGCACCCCCAAACCCCGGGCACUCGCACCCCCCGAAUCAGCCCACCAACAUUCACCAUUUCGGCCAUAACUUUCGCUCCCGGAGUCCAAUUUUGACGUUCUUUAGCUCGUUGAGUAGCUAUUGACACCCCCAUCCAUCUAGAUACGUUCCAACAUCAUUUGACUCCAUAAAUUUUUUGGCAUUUUGGCAUCUUUGCAUAGGCCAUCCACCAUAUGAUCCGCCAAACCACCAUAGCUUUCUGCAACCUAACCCAAUUUUUGCUCCGUAUAGCACUUGUGGUUGCUUGAGUGGUGAUUUGUGUCUCCUAAGGUGUUUCGGAUACUUAGGGACGGUUGCUUCGUCAUCAACCACCACCACCACUUUCGCAUUGCUAACUCCGGAACCACCAUCGCAUUCCGCUACCACCAUUUGACAUUUUCCUUUGAGAUUUUGAGUUUGCGGUUUUUACCGUUUCCUAAGGUGUUUCAGCUACUUAGGGACGGGUCUACAUCAUCUUGGUAUCUACAUCAAGAACACCGCCACUCAUCAUCACCAUGAGGUCAUCUUCGACAUCGACCACUUCACCAUUUUCACACCCUAACCGUAAGCAAGAACGGUAACCUCUAUAUCAUCUUGGUAUCGUGGUAUCCCAUCAUUGUACAUUCUUGCCUUUACAUUGUUAACCCCUUAGCCCAUUUUGCGUCACUUGCCUAUCGAGACUAGCCUUUGAGUAUUGCCGGCAACGUUACUUGUGCACAUUAGUGAUCCUUACCUUCCAUUGCAUACAUACCAUAUCAUAUUGGUAUCAUAUUGGUAUCAUCAUAUCAUCACUUGUGUCACAAGAUUGUUCCCGCAUAUACAAAAUUGCUAUCUUGGUUUGUGCAUGUCGCAUAGUGGCCAUAUAAAAAAAGAGAGAAUAAGCUUUUAAGAAAAAAGGAAAACAGAGCAAAGAGCUUGUAAGCAAGAGCCAUAGCAUCGCCACAUUGCAUACCAUACUACCAUAUUGAUCAUCUUGGAUCAUCGUGUGCAGAACACCGGGAACAUCAUACACAUAGCAUACUUGGGAUAGAAAGUUUAUCCAUUUUGCAUCUUAUAGGUUGUGCACAAGUGUCGUAUCCGCCUAUUGAGCAAUCGUUCUAGCGUCUCUCUUGAGUUGUGCAACAUGAGCGUUUUCCGUGGAUUCCACAUUUUGUGCUCACUCCUUGGUUGCACGACCCCAUUUAUCUAUCCGUGUGUUUGUUUCCGUGUGCCACAUAUUGCUAUUGGUCUACUUGUUUCACUCACGAAUUUGUGAAUCUUUUCCAACAUUAUUGACUCUUGCUAACAUUUUGCAUCAAAUUUUUGUGCCACUAUCCUCACCGAGCUCCACCAUAAGCCUUACAUGUGUAGGUGUGAGAAUUGACAAGAUCCGGUACCAAUUGUGCUAUUUCCUUGUUACAUUAUUGAGUGAUCAUUGAUCCAUCUUCAACAUUGGAUAAGGUACAUUGGUCUAGUUCUUUCCUUUCUACCACUCACAUUUGCUCGAGUCUUGUCAUGGAUAGGCAAGGCAUUUCAUCUCCGGUCUUCCACGACAACGACAACGCGAACAACUACACCACCAAAAUGUCCAUCUUCGGACUACAACGAGCAAUGCAAGGCAUUGAGCGACUCGCCAUCGACAUUCGCCAAAACAAAGAAAGGAUAAGGGACUACCUCGACACCAAGUUGGCCGAAUAAAGGGAUCAAGUACGAGACAUGGUGGCCAACUACAAGUCUUCUUCCCCUUCGUCAUCUUCAAGGCGGCGACACUCAAGUGGCCAAUCUUCGGAACAUCAUCGAGCUCAAGCACUACAACACCAUCAAGAUGAAGAUGCUCGCGAUGCGUACACCUACAAGUCCCAAAAAGAAAUACAUCAAGAUACGGCACAACUUAAUGAGCACAAGAGAAGACCGCGAGACAAGCACCACCAAGACAGCACUACGACUACUACGACCACUUCGGCAUCUUCGCCAAGUGUCAUCAAGGCAUCUUCGCCUUUGGACGUAUGGCAUCUUUGCCUACCUUCGACGAGUACGCCUACAUCGGCCUUCCUCCACGGCGAUAGUGAAGAGAUGUUCGAGCAUGGGACUUUCCCUUCGGUCAUGGAGGAGAGCGAUGAUGUGCCAUCUUCGGCCUUCAUCCACGACGAGAGUGAUGAUGUGCCAUCUUCGGCCUUCAUCCACGACGACGACUAUGAGAUGGUUGAGCAUGGGAUUUUCCCUUCGACCACGGCGACGUAUGAUGAGUUGAGUGACUUGUGCCACCAUAUUGAGAGUGAGAGUGACUUCACCACGAGCCCCAUAUAUGAUGAGUUGCCACAAUUCCCAUGUGAGGAGAGCCACAACCCCCACCACUUGAGUGAGAUGAGUGACCCCACCAUAUGUGACAUUGAGUGCACCUACCUUGAGGGAGUGAGUGAGCCACCACCACAUAGAGCGAGUGAGGAAGUUGAUAGGGCACGUGAGGCCAUUUGCAUUUCUAACAACUUGACCUCUACCUCUAUUGUGUCUUCUCAUUUGGUGCUAGGUCCCAUAUAUGAUGACGCGCCGAUCCUUGACGACUUCGUCCUUCCCUUGGACAAGACGAUGGCCAUGGUGGAAUAUGAUGCACCUCCCACAUGGUUCCAUCAAGAUGAAGAUGAUGACCAUCAUUUGGUCUUUGCCACCUCACCUACAUCACUUGAGUGGAAUGAACAAGGUAACAUAGGUGAAGGUGAUGCUCUAGUCCCACUAGUGGACAUUCUUGACAUUGAUUGCUUUCAUGAUGUUGAUCCACCUAUUGUCAUGCUUCAUGCUAGUGUGAUUUCCCCAUGCGAUGAUUUACCCAUUUAUGAUGAGUUUGAUGAUUGCCAUGUGGAGUCUAUUAGUUGUGAUGCCAUGUUACAUAGGAUUUCUUGUGAUAAUUCUCUUGGUCACAUCAUGUUUGACAAUCCGCUUGACUUGUCAUAUGCUAUGCAUGAGAUCAACAAUAUGUCAUAUUUGCAAUCUCAUCGUAGUGACUAUGCAUAUGCCAUCAACAUAAACCCAAUUUGCACAUAUGGCAUAGAUGACAAGCCCAUAGUUAUUGGCAUUUGUUUUUCUUGUGAUGAUAUGGAUAUGCUCCCUUCGCACCAUUUAUCUUAUAUGCCAUGCCAUGACCACCUAGCUUCCGAUAUACAUUGUUUUGGAUGUUGUCAAUAUUCUCCAUGUGAUGUUUACACUAUUGCUCAUGAGGAGACACCCAUAGUUUCCUCAUACAUGUUAGGAUAUUUUGAUUCAUCCCAUUCUUUGCAUGAUCCCACUACUUGUCUGCACCAUAUGCUCCCCAUGAAUAAACAUGCUAGUGAUGUGCCAUAUACUUGCAUUCUCAAUUUGUGUCCCCAUCGUGUCAUACAUAACAACUAUUCUUUCAUGAUGGAUGACAUGUUCUUAUACCAUGCAUCAAAUUUCUUUGAGCGAUGCUUAUCUUGUGCUAACUCACACAUGCACAUACACAUCAUGAUGGAUGAUGUGUACAUUUACCACACACACAAUUUCUUUGGUUUGUGUCUCUUUUGUGUAGGUACCCAUGAAUACUUGUCAACCUCACAAUCCCAUGAGUUGACAAAACGAGCUCUAGAGAGCAAUGAUGACUUGGGAUCCCAUGGAUUGUCUUUCCCACCGCUCUCUUCGCGCAAAGACUUCGCGCAUUUCUUCUACAUGGCUCUCACUUGGCUAUGGGUUAUUGUCCAUUACAUAGUAUAUGCCCAUAUUGCCAUGUUCACUUUGCAUGAUAUGCUCUUUCCUAUGCCUUGGACAUGCAUUUGUGACCCAUGCUUAGCAUUACACAUGAUGAUUGAUGCUCAUACUUGUAUGUGUAUUUGCAUGCUUGGUGGAGAUAUUGCUUGUUCUUGCCAUGUUUCAUCUGUGACCAAUCCCUAUGAUGAUACUAUGAUAUUGCUUUGUGCUAAUGCUCGCGAUAUGUCAUGUGCAUUGUCUAUGCUUAUUAUUUGCUCACAUGACACGAUUGCCAUGAUUUCCUCUAGUGUGUUGCAUCUUCGCUCCACUAGUUUGCACGACAUGAUUUCUAUGCUUUCUCAUGUUGCAUCCAAUUCUCGGAUUACUUGCUCCUAUCAUAUGUUUGGUUGCAACAAUGUCAUUACUUCACAUGCCAUGUCCCAUUGCUUGUCACUUGCUUCACUUGAUUGCCUCACACAUGAUGAACAAUUGCUCUUUCCAUUGUGUUGAGUGCCACACUUUCUUCACCACACCAUAUGCACAUUAUGCUUGGAUUGUCUUGCACUUGCCCCAUGUGUUUAGACAUUUCAUUUCAUUUGGUGUUGUGAAUGACUCUUAUGCCUACCAUAGACCGUUCAUUGAGAGUCUUAUGCAUGCUUGCUAUGAAGUGGAGGUACAUGCUUAUUCUCUUGUCACACAUAUUUGCAUCUCUACCUCACAUUUACAUGCUUGUUUCCAUGAUGUCCUUGAUUUUGCUCAAUUUAUGUGCUUACAUGACAUGUCACAAUCCCUUGUCACACCUUAUGCUAUGCUUGAUGACGACACUUGUUUGCUGAAUCACCUCUUGAAUGCGUGGUUUUGCUCUAACGCUAACCGCAUUUGUUUUUCCAAGUGUUUGUUGUACUUGCUCCUUUUGAAGGAAUCACAAGACGGUGCGGCAUUGGAGAGUGGCCAUUUUGAGCUUCCGCAUGACAAGUGCUUGGUGGUUGUCCACUUCUACACGACAACGCCUUCUCUUUCCCAUGGUGAUGAAGAUCACGAUCCAUGGACGGAUCUCUCCCAAGGGGGGGAGAUGAUGCGGAGCAUCCCUCGACCAUCACCAUGGAUGUCACACCACCACCGCAAGCACGGAAAGGACCUACAACAAGAGCUCACGCACGCACCGUCGAAACCGAGGUUAAUUCCUUCCUCUCCGAGUUUCGUUCGGAUUCACUUUAGAAUGGGAUUAUACCUCAAAGAGACGCGUUGUGCAUUCUUAGGUACUUCGGAUAUCGUCACGAUGAAGCACAGAGGAAUCACCAAGUUCACCGGAGACCUACGGAGGACGAAGACCCGGACACACAAGAAGAAGGAGAAGGAAAGAAGCGAGAAGAACGAGAGGAGUCGGAGCUCCCUGGACACCCCGGGUGCCUAGGCUCUUCGGCACCGGGUGCCCGGCCGCAGCCUGGGCGUCGCCCCCAGCCGGCCCAGGGUGCCCAGCCGGUUGAGCCCCAGGGGCCCGGCCCCGCAGCCCCGGGUGCCCGGGCCACCUCCCGCGCCGGCCCAGAGCGCCCCCGGGUGCCCGGACCUUCAUCCCCGGUUGCCCGGCCUGGCCCCCUUCAGCAGCCCGCCUGGCCGCCCCAGGUGCCCGGGUGGUCAACCCCCGGGUGCCCGGCCUCCUCCUUGCGCUGGCCUCUGACCGGUCCGGGUGCCCGGACCCCUUUACCCCGGGUGCCCGGACCCCUCCGAGAGUAUGUGCGUUUUCAGGGUCAUUUUGGUGUUGGGAAUAUGCCCUAGAGGCAAUAAUAAAAUAGUUAUUACUAUAUUUCCUUGUUCAUGAUAAUUGUCUAUUGUUCAUGCUGUAAUUGUGUUAUCCGGAAAUCGUAAUACAUGUGUGAAUACAUAGACCAUAACAUGUCCCUAGUGAGCCUCUAGUUGACUAGCUCGUUGAUCAAUAGAUGGUUACGGUUUCCUGACCAUGGACAUUGGAUGUCGUUGAUAACGGGGUCACAUCAUUAGGAGAAUGAUGUGAUGGACAAGACCCAAUCCUAAGCAUAGCAGAAGAUCGUGUAGUUUGUCUGCUAAAGCUUUUCUAAUGUCAAGUAUCAUUUCCUUAGACCGUGAGAUUGUGCAACUCCCGGAUACCGUAGGAAUGCUUUGUUUGUGCCAAACAUCACAACGUAACUAGGUGGCUAUAAAGGCACACUACGGGUGUCUCCGAAAGUGUCUGUUGAGUUGGCACGAAUCGACACUGGGAUUUGUCACUCCAUGUGACGGAGAGGUAUCUCUGGGCCCACUCGGUAAGACAUCAUCAUAAUGAGCUCAAUGUGACUAAGGAGUUGAUCACGGGAUGAUGUGUUAUGGAACGAGUAAAGAGACUUGCCGGUAACGAGAUUGAACAAGGUAUAGGGAUACCGACAGUCGAAUCUCGGGCAAGUAUCAUACCGGUAGACAAAGGGAAUUGUGUACGGGAUUGAUUGAAUCCCCGACAUCAUGGUUCAUCUGAUGAGAUCAUCGUGGAACAUGUGGGAGCCAACAUGGGUAUCCAGAUCCCGCUGUUGGUUAUUGGCCGGAGAGAUGUCUCGGUCAUGUCUGCAUGAUUCCCGAACCCGUAGGGUCUACACAGUUAUUAUGGAUGCUAGAGUUGUUAUGGGAAAUAGUAUGCAGUUACCGAAUGUUGUUCGGAGUCCCGGAUGAGAUCUCGGACGUCACUGUCACGACCGGUUUUUCAAUAAAAUAUUUAUUGAGAGACCAAUCCCUUUUACGGACCAGUAAAGAAGAAAUCCUUCUCACUGGUAGACAAUAUCUUGGUCACAGAAGAAAAAUACCAGGAGUACUGAAUAUAAUACAAGGUUGAGCGGAGACUGCUCAACAAUUUAUUACAUGUACGCUGAUAAAACAUAACGGCGGAUAUGGUGGCAUAACUACUAACUCACGAUAACAACGGUGGUGGAAAUAUCACAGCGGAGCGGGUGAUAUGAUUCCUAAAAAAAAUAUAGCUCUUCGAGCGUCGGGGUGAAGCUCGAGGAGUUUUAUUGCGGGUGGCGGAAGCGUAUAUAAUACAAGUGACCAAUAUCCAGGAUCGCACGGGACUGACUGGGAUUCCUCCAGGCGUCGGACUCACUAUCAAACUCUUCAUCCAAGAGGUCGCCUUCGUCAACAUCUGGCCAAAUCAACAAGCCAGGUGAGUACUAUGAAAGUACUCGCAAGACAGUUCGGACAUAAGAUAUAACAAAUGUAAACAUGAUGCAUUUGAACAGGUUAACAAGUGCACUCAGACAUGGAGAUAAUACUGCAUGGGAAAUAAAAGAGAAGUCGGGCGGUAGUCCUCCCGAAAUCCCAAAAUAAAUACCGGGUGCCAAACGAGGGUCUGAAUGACUCCUCGAGAGGAAAAUGCAAGAAUAACAAUGCCGCGGUCGGGCGUCAGGGCGACACCACAUAAAGGGCUUAUAAUAGAAAAUAAAAGAUAGUGCAUGCCACAGUCGGACGUCUGAGCGACAUCGCAUAAAGGGCUUAUAUCAAAAGUAAAUAACCAAAAUGCCACAGUCGGAUGUCUGAGCGACAUCACAUAAAGGGCUUAUAUCAAGAGUAAAUAACAAGAGUGCCACAGUCGGACGUCUGAGCGACAUCACAUAAAGGGCUUAUAUCAAGAGUAAAUAACAAGAGUGCCAUAGUCGGACGUCUGAGCGACAUCACAUAAAGGGCUUCAUAACUUAAUACCUUAGUAGCUCAAGAAUUUAAAUCAUAACAAAGGAAUAAUCAAGUAUGAGGUAAAUAACAGGGGUUAGUCCAUCCUUAGGAAAAAUGUUUGACCAAGUUUACCACUCAAGUUUGGUUACCGGGGAUAAUACCACGAGGACUUGACAUAGAUAUGGAUACACUGAUCACGAUAGUUGACCUUGGAUACGAUGACUCGGAAGGAUUUGACUCUGCAGAGUUUGUACUUUAACCACAGCCAACGGAUUUCAGUAGUCACGGGGACUAGUUCCGUUUACGGUGUUUUGGAAGAAACACAUCUAACCGGUACACACCCAUUCAACAUUCCGAAGCCAGGAAUCACCCUCGGCAACGUUCAAGAAAAACCUUGAGACGGGGAGGCUACAACCUCGCGUAGCAUGGGAUCAAAUUUCUAUACGCGCGCUCUAAGGGGUGCCCUCCUCUCGGUCCCAACCGGAAACACCCAUGCCCCCUAACCGGAUGACUGGCUUUAAUCCAGGGCCAUGGAACCCUCAUCCCGGCCCCUCUGUUUGGUGUGUACACGGAAAGAGGUUACCAACUUACUAAACCGCAUUCUGGCAGAAAACAUGUGGUAGCACGGAAGGGGGAAGAACGAUAACGUGACUCUGACCACGUUAACGUCAGGAAAAAAAAUCGGAUGACGUAAGGCUGGCAUGCUACAACAGUACCACCUUACCGCCCUUCAUGUCACCACAUGACUAGGCCAUCUCUCAUCAGAGAUCACAGUAACUUUGGAACAGACGGGUAGCCGCCUCGCAUGCAAUGAGAUACUCACUGAUACUCAUAUGCCAUGCACAACCUUUCACGCAAACAUGCAAAACACCUAUCAUAUCAAAGGUUCAAACAUGCUUGCCUGGUUCGGAGAAGUCGGAGUCUAGCUCGGCGAAUUUCGUGGCUCCGUCACCUCUCCCGGAACCUACGGUAUAGCGAAAAUGCAUACUAACGUGAAAACCAACGCGUGCAUAAAAGUUGUUCCAAUUUUUUUUCAAAUAAAUCCCAUAAAAAACUAGAAAAAAUUAUAAGACUGUCAGAAAAAUAAUCACUCAAAAAUCACUUUUUAUUAAAAAGUUAUAAGGGUUUCUGUCCAGGGACUCAUCUGCAAUGAAACAGAAAAGUUCCAGGGGCUAAACUGAGAAAACAGAAAACGGUUCGAAUAGAAACGCGCCAGCCCACAGAGAAAACGUACUCUGCCCGAAGGCACCAACAGAAAAUGCUUCGGGGGUGAAAGAAGAGAGGCUGACGUGGGGGGUCCACAUGUCAGGUUUGAAAAAAACCUCGCCGGCGCCCGAAGGCUGCGGUGGUCGCCGGCGUCGAACCACGGCGAGUCAGGGAGAUCGGAGUGUACCAAGAGUAUCAGCGUGUCCUUCCGCGUCGGUGGGUGGUGGACUUGGGCGUCGGGGAGCACCACGUCGACGGUGACACUUUCUCCGGCGGACGGCGGCUCGGGCGAUGGUGGAGAACUCCAGUGGUGUGCUGCAAACUUCGAAUUGAAGCGCGGGUCAGAAGGAGGGAUGCACUAGAGAGUUACUGGCAAGAGAUGGGAGGCAGAGGUGCACGCAUGGGAGCGAAUCGAGCUGGAUCCCGUGGCGGGUCGCGGCGGCCGGAGUUGAGGAAGGAGACUCCCUCGGGGCUCUUCCAGUGGCUAGGCGGGGUCUUGGUGGGGUGCAGAGGUGGUGUGGGUACUAGCUGGAGCUCGGGGCCUCUAUUUAUAGGCGGCUCGAGGGGGUGGCCGUGAACGGAGAAUCUCCGGCGAGCAAUUACGGCGAGGCAGUGGCAUGGCAGAGGGUUUAGGUGGCCAGGCAGCGCCAGUGAGAGUUACUGGUCCCGUUCCACUGCUAAACUCGGUCGGGCAUGGCGUAAUGGCGUCGGUCUUCGUCAGGGUCGCCGUACUGGCACGGCGGCGGCAGAGAGCGCGCUCCGCGCCUAGCGGUUCACGACGAGGGUGGCAGCGCGCAUGGGGGAGUGGAAGACCACGCGGCGGCCUCCGGUGGCUUGGGCGGCGCCGGACGGCGCCGUCUGCGCUGCGCCUCUCUUCUGACGGCCGCAAAGCCGCCGCUGGCGUCGGUCAUGGGGCGGCGCACCUCCUGCUGCUCGUCGCCGACGUCCGCAAGCUUCCAGGCGCUCGUGCGGUGCAGAGGACAAGGGGGAGGGGACAGGGAACACGGUAACGCCGGGGCACUGGUGAGAUUGGCAUCGGACACUGAAGAAACGACAGUGGUUCAGACACUGUUAACUGAAUUUGACUGAACAUGACAUUGACAGUGCUCUGAAGGUGUUCGAUGAAAUGAUAUGGUAUGAAGAAAAUUUUUCUUGGAGCUGGGACUUGGUGAGGUGACCUCUCAAUGCACCCAGAGGCUGCCUGAUUUUUCUCAGAAUUUUUGGAGAAGGAUUUGAAUGAAUUUCAUCAAAUUUGGCAAAUCUGGUCCAAACUUGCAGCAAGUAUAGUUUGAAAAAUUUGAACUGGAGACCAGUGGAUCUUCAUGGAUCUUGGUUGAGGGUUCAAAGGACUAGGAAGGGAAAAUGGUUUGGGGGCAAAAAUCAAAACAGAAGGAGUAGUUCCUUUGUAAACCUCCAAGGAUAAAGAUAUAAGGCAGAAAUUGUUUUUGAUAAGAAAUAAAAGGGAAAAUUUAUAUGGAGAGGUUCAACUUGCUGGAUUUGAAGUAAAUCAUGAUCCAAAGAUGAGGAAAGGUUUAUGAGAGUGGAUUUGCACUAAGGUCAUGGUAAGAGAGAUUUGUUGAAAGUGGCAAAGGAUCAUUCCAAAAGCCAUAGGGCAUCUUCAAAGAAAUUUUCAAAGGAUAUUUUUCCCAAGUGAAAAGUAUUUUGGUUUGAGUCCAAAUAAAAAGAAAGAAUCUCCAAGACCAAAAUCAAGUCUUGGGUGAAACCAAAUAAAACUCUUGCCAUAAACAAAAUAUUUUGAAAGGGAGGGUUCUUUUGAAGAAAUUUUUUUAAUCACCUCCCUCAAGUCAAAUAAAAAUUUGAAAAGGCCAAGUAAAAUUUUGGGUGUCACAGUCACGAGGAGUUCCGGAAUGGUCGGGAGGUGAAGAUUUAUAUAUGGGAAGUCAUCAUACGGUCACCGGAAGUGUUCGGGGGUUUAUCGGUAUUGUACCGGGACCACCGAAGGGAUUCCGGUGGUCCACCGGGAGGGUCCACCUGCCCCGGAGGGCCCUAUGGGCUGUAUGUGGAAGGGAACCAGCCCCUAAGUGGGCUGGGUGCCAUCCCCCCUAGGGCCCAUGCGCCUAGGGUUGGGGGGAACCCUAAAGGGGGCGCCCCCCUUGGCUUGGGGGGCAAGCCCCCUCCCCCUUGGCCGCCGCCCCCCUCUAGAUCCAUCUGGAGGGGGCCAGCCCCCUUCCCCCUUCGCCCUAUAAAUAGAGGGUUGUAGAGAAGGCAGCAGCACCCUUCCCAAGGCGCAGCCCUCCCCCUCUCCAACACCCCCUCCUCCUCCGUUGAGCUUGGCGAAGCCCUGCCGGAGAACUGCAAGCUCAACCACCACGCCGUCGUGCUGCCGGAGCUCUUCCCCAACUUCUCCUUCCCCCUUGCUGGAGCAAGAAGGAGGAGACGUCCCCGGGCUGUACGUUUGUUGAACGCGGAGGCGCCGUUGUUCGGCGCUUAGAUCGGAAUCAACCGCGAUCUGAAUCGCUGCGAGUACGACUCCUUCAUCCGCUUGUAACGCUUCCGCAUCACGAUCUUCAAGGGUAUGAAGAUGCACUCCCCUCUCUCUCGUUGCUAGUCUCUCCAUAGAUUGAUCUUGGUGAUGCGUAGAAAUUUUUUAAUUUCUGCAACGAUCGCCAACAGUGGUAUCAGAGCUAGGUCUAUGCGUAGUUUCUAUGCACGAGUAGAACACAAGUUGUUGUGGGCGUCGAUUUUGUCAAUUUACUUGCCGUUACUAGUCCUAUGUUGAUUCGGCGGCAUCAUGGGAUGAAGCGGCCCGGACCGACCUUACACGUACGCUUACGUGAGACAGGUUCCACCGACUGACAUGCACUAGUUGCAUAAGGUGGUUAGCGGGUGUCUGUCUCUCCCACUUUAGUCGGAUCUGAUUCGAUGAAAAGGGUCCUUAUGAAGGGUAAAUAGAAAUUGGCAUAUCACGUUGUGGUUUUGGCGUAGGUAAGAAACGUUCUUACUAGAAACCUAUAGCAGCCACGUAAAAACUUGCAACAACAAUUAGAGGGCGUCUAACUUGUUCUUGCAGCAUAUGCCGUGUGAUGUGAUAUGGCCAAAAGGGUGUGAUGAAUGAUAUAUGUGAUGUAUGAGAUUGAUCAUGUUCUUGUAAUAGGAAUCACGACUUGCAUGUCGAUGAGUAUGACAACCGGCAGGAGCCAUAGGAGUUGUCUUAAUUUAUUGUAUGACCUGCGUGUCACUGAAAACGCCAUGUAAUUACUUUACUUUAUUGCUAACCGUUAGCCAUAGUAGUAGAAGUAAUAGUUGGCGAGACAACUUCAUGAAGACACGAUGAUGGAGAUCAUGGUGUCAUGCCGGUGACGAUGAUGAUCAUGGCGCCCUGAAGAUGGAAAUCAAAAGGAGCAAAAUGAUAUUGGCCAUAUCAUGUCCCUAUUUGAUUGCAUGUGAUGUUUAUCAUGUUUUUACAUCUUAUUUGCUUAGAACGACGGUAGCUUAAAUAAGAUGGUCCUUCGCAAUAAUUUCAAGAAAGUGUCCCUCCUCUGUGCACCGUUGCUAAGGUCCAUUGUUCUGAAGCACCACGUGAUGAUCGGGUGUGAUAGGUUCUAACGUUCGCAUACAACGGGUGUAAGCCAGAUUUACACACGCAAUGCACUUAGGUUGACUUGACGAGCCUAGCAUGUACAGACAUGGCCUCGGAACACGGAAGACCGAAAGGUCGAACAUGAGUCGUAUAGAAGAUACGAUCAACAUGAAGAUGUUCAACGAUGAUGACUAGUCCGUCUCACGUGAUGAUCGGACACGGCCUAGUUGACUCGGAUCAUGUAUCACUUAGAUGACUAGAGGGAUGUCUAUCUGAGUGGGAGUUCAUUAAAUAAUUUGAUUAGAUGAACUUAAUUAUCAUGAACAUAGUCUAAAAUCUUUGCAAUAUGUCUUGUAGAUCAAAUGGCCCACGCUAAUGUUGCCCUCAACUUCAACGCGUUCCUAGAGAAAACCAAGCUGAAAGACGAUGGCUAGCAACUACACGGACUGGGUCCAUAACCUAAGGAUUAUCCUCAUAGCUGCCAAGAAAGCAUAUGUCCUUGAAGCAUCGCUAGGUGACGCACCUGUUUUCCCAGCAACUCAAGACGUUAUGAACACCUGGCAGUCGCGUAGUGAUGAUUACUCCCUGGUUCAGUGCGGCAUGCUUUACAGGUUAGAACCGGGGCUCCAAAAGCGUUUUGAGCAGCACGGAGCAUAUGAGAUGUUCCAAGAGCUUAAAAUGGUUUUCCAAGAUCAUGCCCGGGUCGAGAGAUAUGAAGUCUUCGACAAGUUCUACAUUUGUAAGAUGGAGGAGAAUAGUUCUGUCAGCGAGCACAUACUCAAAAUGUCUGGGUUGCACAACCACUUAUCUCAGCUGGGAGUUAAUCUCCCGGAUGACGCGGUCGUUGACAGAAUUCUUCAGUCGCUCCCACCUAGCUACAAGAUCUUUGUGAUGAAUUUCAAUAUGCAGGGGAUGGAGAAAACAAUUCCUGAGGUAUAUUCAAUGCUGAAAUCAGCGGAGGUGGAGAUCAAAAAGGAACAUCAAGUGUUGAUGGUCAAUAAAACCACUAGUUUGAAGAAAGGCAAGGGUAAGAAGAACUUCAAGAAGGACGGCAAGGGAGUUGCCGCGCCCGGUAAGCCAGUUGGCGGGAAGAAGCCAAAGCAUGGACCCAAACCUGAGACUGAGUGCUUUUAUUGCAAGGGAAACGGUGACUGGAAGCGGAACUGCCCCAUGUACUUAGCGGAUAAGAAGGCCGGCAAUACCAAAGGUAUAUAUGAUAUACAUGUUAUUGAUGUGUACCUUACCAGCACUCGUAGUAGCUCCUGGGUAUUUGAUACCGGUGCGGUUGCUCAUAUUUGUAACUCAAAACAGGAGCUGCGGAAUAAGCGGAGACUGGUAAAGGAUGAGGUGACGAUGCGCGUCGGGAAUGGUUCCAAGGUCGAUGUGAUCGCCGUCGGCACACUACCUCUACAUUUACCUACGGGAUUAGUUUUAAACCUCAAUAAUUGUUAUUUAGUGCCAGCUUUGAGCAUGAACAUUGUAUCUGGAUCUCGCUUAAUGCGAGAUGGCUACUCAUUUAAAUCUGAGAAUAAUGGUUGUUCUAUUUAUAUGAGAGACAUGUUUUAUGGUCAUGCCCCGCUGGUCAAUGGUUUAUUCUUAUUUAAUCUCGAACGUUAUGUUACACAUAUUCAUAGUGUGAAUGCCAAAAGAUGUAAGGUUGAUAAUGAUAGUCCCACAUACUUGUGGCACUGCCGCCUUGGUCACAUUGGUGUCAAACGCAUGAAGAAACUCCAUGCAGAUGGUCUUUUGGAGUCUCUUGAUUAUGAAUCAUUUGACACGUGCGAACCAUGCCUCAUGGGCAAAAUGACCAAGACUCCGUUCUCCGGAACAAUGGAGCGAGCAACCAACUUAUUGGAAAUCAUACAUACUGAUGUGUGCGGUCCAAUGAGCGUUGAGGCUCGCGGUGGUUAUCGUUAUGUUCUCACCCUCACUGAUGACUAAAGUAGAUAUGGGUAUGUCUACUUAAUGAAACACAAGUCUGAGACCUUUGAAAAGUUCAAGGAAUUUCAGAGUGAGGUUGAGAAUCAACGUGACAGGAAAAUAAAGUUCUUACGAUCAGAUCGUGAGGGGGAAUAUUUGAGUCAGAAUUUGGCAUGCACUUAAGGAAAUGUGGAAUUGUUUCACAACUCACGCCACCUGGAACACCUCAGCGUAAUGGUGUGUCCGAACGUCGUAAUCGCACUCUAUUAGAUAUGGUGCGAUCUAUGAUGUCUCUUACCGAUCUACCGCUAUCAUUUUGGGGUUAUGCUUUAGAGACUGCCGCAUUCACUUUAAAUAGGGCUCCGUCGAAAUCCGUUGAGACGACACCGUAUGAAUUAUGGUUUGGGAAGAAACCUAAGCUGUCGUUUCUGAAAGUUUGGGGAUGUGAUGCUUAUGUCAAGAAACUUCAACCUGAAAAGCUCGAACCCAAGUCGGAAAACUGCGUCUUCAUAGGAUACCCUAAGGAAACUAUUGGGUAUACCUUCUACCUCAGAUCCGAAGGCAAGAUAUUUGUUGCCAAGAAUGGAUCCUUUCUCUCGAAAGAGGUUGAGUUUCUCUCGAAAGAAGUAAGUGGGAGGAAAGUAGAACUUGAUGAAGUACUGCCUCUUAAACCGGAAAGUAGCGCAGCUCAAGAAAAUGUUUCUGUGGUGCCUGCACCGACUAGAGAGGAAGUUAAUGAUGAUGAUCAAGGAACUUCAGAUCAAGUUACUACUGAACUUCGUAGGUCCACAAGGACACGUUCCACGCCAGAAUGGUAUGGCAACCCUGUCCUAGAAAUAAUGUUGUUAGACAACGGUGAACCUUCGAACUAUGAAGAAGCGAUGGUGGGCCCGGAUUCCAACAAAUGGCUUGAGGCCAUGAAAUCCGAGAUAGGAUCCAUGUAUGAAAACAAAGUAUGGACUUUGACAGACUUGCCCGAUGAUCGGCGAGCCAUAGAAAAUAAAUGGAUCUUUAAGAAGAAGACGGACGCGAAUGGCAAUGUGACCAUCUAUAAAGCUCGGCUUGUCGCUAAGGGUUAUCAACAAGUUCAAAGGGUUGUCUACGAUGAGACCUUCUCACCCGUAGCGAAGCAGAAGUCCAUCCGAAUCAUGUUAGCAAUUGCCGCAUUCUAUGAUUAUGAGAUAUGGCAAAUGGACGUCAAAACGGCAUUCCUUAAUGGUUUCCUUAAGGAAGAAUUGUAUAUGAUGCAGCCGAAAGGUUUUGUCGAUCCUAAGAACGCUGACAAGGUAUGCAAGCUCCAACGCUCAAUCUAUGGGCUGGUGCAAGCAUCUCGGAGUUGGAACAUUCGCUUUGAUGAGAUGAUCAAAGCGUUUGGGUUUACGCAGAUUUAUGGAGAAGCCUGUGUUUACAAGAAAGUGAGUGGGAGCUCUGUAGCAUUUCUCAUAUUAUAUGUGGAUGACAUACUAUUGAUGGGAAAUUGUAUAGAACUCUUGGAAAGCAUAAAGGCCUACUUGAAUAAGUGUUUUUCAAUGAAGGACCAUGGAGAAGCUGCUUAUAUAUUAGGCAUCAAGAUCUAUAGAGAUAGAUCGAGACGCCUCAUUGGUCUUUCACAAAGCACAUACCUUGACAAGAUAUUGAAGAAGUUCAAUAUGGAUCAGUCCAAGAAGGGGUUCUUGCCUGUAUUGCAAGGUGUGAGAUUGAGCACGGCUCAAUGCCCGACCACGGCAGAAGAUAAAGAAAAGAUGAGUGUCAUCCCCUAUGCCUCGGCCAUAGGGUCUAUUAUGUAUGCCAUGCUGUGUACCAGACCUGAUGUAAACCUUGCCGUAAGUUUGGUAGGAAGGUACAAAAGUAAUCCCGGCAUGGAACACUGGACAGCGGUCAAGAAUAUCCUGAAGUACCUGAAAAGGACUAAGGAUAUGUUUCUCGUUUAUGGAGGUGACGAAGAGCUCGUCAUAAAGGGUUACAUCGAUGCUAGCUUCGACACAGAUCUGGAUGACUCCAAGUCACAAACCGGAUACGUGUAUAUUUUGAAUGGUGGGGCAGUGAGCUGGUGCAGUUGCAAGCAAAGCGUCGUGGCGGGAUCUACAUGUGAAGCGGAGUACAUGGCAGCCUCGGAGGCAGCACAUGAAGCAAUCUAGAUGAAGGAGUUCAUUACCGACCUAAGAGUUAUUCCCAAUGCGUCGGGCCCGAUGGCUCUCUUCUGUGACAACACUGGAGCUAUUGCCCUGGCCAAGGAGCCCAGGUUUCACAAGAAGACCAGGCAUAUCAAGCGUCGCUUCAACUCCAUUCGUGAAAAUCUUCAAGAUGGAGACAUAGAUAUUUGUAAAGUGCAUACGGACCUGAAUGUUGCAGAUCCGUUUGUUGGGGUACGUAGUAAUUUCAAAAAUUUCCUACGCACACGCAAGAUCAUGGUGAUGCAUAGCAACGAGAGGGGAGAGUGUUGUCCACGUACCCUCGUAGACCGAAAGCGGAAGCGUUAGCACAACACGGUUGAUGUAGUCGUACGUCUUCACGAUCCGACCGAUCAAGUACCGAAUGCACGGCACCUCCGAGUUCAGCACACGUUCAGCCUGAUGACGUCCCUCGAACUCCGAUCCAGCCGAGUGUUGAGGGAGAGUUUCGUCAGCACGACGGCAUGGUGACGAUGAUGAUGUUCUACCGACGCAGGGCUUCGCAUAAGCACCGCUACAGUAUUAUCGAGGUGGACUAUGGUUGAGGGGGGCACCGCACACGGCUAAAAGAUCAAACGAUCAAUUGUUGUGUCUCCAAGGGGUGCCCCCUCCCCGUAUAUAAAGGAGUGGAGGAGGGGGAGGGCCGGCCCUCUCUAUGGCGUGCCCUAGGAGGAGUCCUACUCCCACCGGGAGUAGGAUUCCCCCCCUCCCCUUCCAAGUAGUAGGAGUAGGAGUCAAGGAAAGGGAAGAGGGAAUAGAAGGAAGGAGGGGGAGCCGCCCCUCCCCCUAGUACAAUUCGGACUAGUCAAUGGGGGGCGCGCGGCCUGCCUCUCCCUCUCCCCUAAAGCCCAAUAAGGCCCAUAUACUUCUUCCCCCGUAUUCCCGUAACUCCCCGGUACUCUGAAAAAUACCCAAACCACUCGGAACCUUUCCGAUGUCCGAAUAUAGUCGUCCAAUAUAUCGAUCUUUACGUAUCGACCAUUUUGAGACUCCUCUUUAUGUCCCCGAUCUCAUCCGCGACUCUGAACUACCUUCCGUACAUCAAAACACAUAAACUCAUAAUAUAACCGUCAUCGAACUUUAAGCGUGCGGACCCUACGGGUUCGAGAACAAUGUAGACAUGACCGAGACACGUCUCCGGUCAAUAACCAAUAGCGGAACCUGGAUGCUCAUAUUGGCUCCCACAUAUUCUACGAAGAUCUUUAUCGGUCAAACCGCAUAACAACAUACGUUGUUCCCUUUGUCAUCGGUAUGUUACUUGCCCGAGAUUCGAUCGUCGGUAUCUCAAUACCUAGUUCAAUCUCGUUACCGGCAAGUCUCUUUACUCGUUCCGUAAUACAUCAUCCCGCAACAAACUCAUUAGUUGCAAUGCUUGCAAGGCUUAAGUGAUGUGCAUUACCGAAUGGGCCCAGAGAUACCUCUCCGACAAUCGGAGUGACAAAUCCUAAUCUCGAAAUACGCCAACCCAACAAGUACCUUCGGAGACACCUGUAGAGCACCUUUAUAAUCACCCAGUUACGUUGUGACGUUUGGUAGCACACAAAGUGUUCCUCCGGUAAACGGGAGUUGCAUAAUCUCAUAGUCAUAGGAACAUGUAUAAGUCAUGAAGAAAGCAAUAGCAACAUACUAAACGAUCGAGUGCUAAGCUAACGGAAUGGGUCAAGUCAAUCACAUCAUUCUCCUAAUGAUGUGAUCCCGUUAAUCAAAUGACAACUCAUGUCUAUGGCUAGGAAACAUAACCAUCUUUUAUCAACGAGCUAGUCAAGUAGAGGCAUACUAGUGACACUCUGUUUGUCUAUGUAUUCACACAUGUAUUAUGUUUCUGGUUAAUACAAUUCUAGCAUGAAUCAUAAACAUUUAUCAUGAAAUAAGGAAAUAAAUAAUAACUUUAUUAUUGCCUCUAGGGCAUAUUUCCUUCAGUCUCCCACUUGCACUAGAGUCAAUAAUCUAGUUCACAUCGCCAUGUGAUUAACACCUAUAGUUCACAUCGUCAUGUGACCAACACCCAAUGGGUUUACUAGAGUCAAUAAUCUAGUUCACAUCGCUAUGUGAUUAACACCCAAAGAGUACUAAGGUGUGAUCAUGUUUUGCUUGUGAGAUAAUUUUAGUCAACGGGUCUGUCACAUUCAGAUCCGUAAGUAUUUUGCAAAUUUCUAUGUCUACAAUGCUCUGCACGGAGCUACUCUAGCUAAUUGCUCCCACUUUCAAUAUGUAUCUAGACCGAGACUUAGAGUCAUCUAGAUUAGUGUCAAAACUUGCAUUGACGUAACCCUUUACGACGACCGUUUGUCACUUCCAUAAUCGAGAAACAUAUCCUUAUUCCACUAAGGAUAAUUUUGACCGCUGUCCAGUGAUCUACUCCUAGAUCACUAUUGUACUCCCUUGCCAAAAUCAGUGUAGGGUAUACAAUAGAUCUGGUACAUAGCAUGGCAUACUUUAUAGAACCUAUGGCUGAGGCAUAGGGAAUGACUUUCAUUCUCUUUCUAUCUUCUGCCGUGGUCGGGCUUUGAGUCUUACUCAAUUUCACACCUUGUAACACAGGCAAGAACUCUUUCUUUGACUGUUCUAUUUUGAACUACUUCAAAAUCUUGUCAAGGUAUGUACUCAUUGAAAAAACUUAUCAAGCGUUUUGAUCUAUCUCUAUAGAUCUGGAUGCUUAAUAUGUAAGCAGCUUCACCGAGGUCUUUCUUUGAAAACCCCCUUUCAAACACUCCUUUAUGCUUUGCAGAAUAAUUCUACAUUAUUUCCGAUCAACAAUAUGUCAUUCACAUAUACUUAUCAGAAAUGUUGUAGUGCCCCCACUCACUUUCUUGUAAAUACAGGCUUCACCGCAAGUCUGUAUAAAACUAUAUGCUUUGAUCAACUCAUCAAAGCGUAUAUUCCAACUCUGAGAUGCUUGCACCAGUCCAUAGAUGGAUCGCUAGAGCUUGCACAUUUUGUUAACACCUUUAGGAUCGACAAAACCUUCUGGUUGCAUCAUAUACAACUCUUCUUCCAAAAAUCCAUUCAGGAAUGUAGUUUUGACAUCCAUUUGCCAAAUUUCAUAAUCAUAAAAUGCGGCAAUUGCUAACAUGAUCAGACAGACUUAAGCAUCGCUACGGGUGAGAAGGUCUCAUCGUAGUCAAUCCCUUGAACUUGUCGAAAACCUUUUGCAACAAGUCGAGCUUUAUAGACAGUAACAUUACCGUCAGCGUCAGUUUUCUUCUUGAACAUCCAUUUAUUCUCAAUUGCUUGCCGAUCAUCAGGCAAGUCAACCAAAGUACACACUUUGUUCCCAUACAUGGAUCUCAUCUCAGAUUUCAUGGCUUCAAGCCAUUUUGCGGAAUCUGGGCUCACCAUCGCUUCCUCAUAGUUCGUAGGUUCAUCAUGGUCUAGUAACAUGACUUCCAGAACAGGAUUACCGUACCACUCUGGUGCGGAUUGUACUCUGUUUGACCUACGAGGUUCGGUAGUAACUUGAUCUGAAGUUUCAUGAUCAUCAUCAUUAACUAAUUGGUGUAGGCAUCACUGGAACAGAUUUCUGUGAUGAACUACUUUCCAAUAAGGGAGCAGGUACAGUUACCUCAUCAAGUUCUACUUUCCUCCCACUCACUUCUUUCGAGAGAAACUCCUUCUCUAGAAAGGAUCCAUUCUUAGCAAUGAAUAUCUUGCCUUCGGAUCUGUGAUAGAAGGUGUACCCAAUUGUCUCCGAUUUGGGUUUGAGCUUAUCAGGAUGAAACUUUUUCUUAUAAGCAUCACAACCCCACACUUUAAGAAACGACAACUUUGGUUUCUUGCCAAACCACAGUUCAUACGGUGUCGUCUCAAACGGAUUUAGAUGGUGCCCUAUUUUACGUGAAUGCAACUGUCUCUAAUGCAUAACCCCAAAAUUAUAGUGGUAAAUCGGUAAGAAACAUCAUAGAUUGCACUAUAUCCAAUAAAGUACGGUUAUGACGUUCGGACACACCAUUAUGCUGUGGUGUUCCAGGUGGCACGAAUUUGUGAAACUAUUCCACAUUGUUUUAAUUGAAAACCAAACUCAUAACUCAAAUAUUUGUCUCCGCGAUCAGAUCGUAGAAACCUUAUUUUCUUGUCACGAUGAUUUUCCACUUCACUCUGAAAUUAUAUGAACUUUUCAAAUGUUUCAGACUUAUGUUUCAUCAAGUAGAUAUACCCAUAUCUGCUCAAAUCAUCUGUGAAGGUCAGAAAAUAACGAUACCCACCGCGAGCCUCAACACUCAUCGGAUUGCAUACAUCAGUAUGUAUUAUUUCCAAUAAGCCAGUUGCUUGCUCCAUUGUUCCGGAGAACGGAGUUUUAGUCAUCUUGCCCAUAAGGCAUGGUUCGCAAGCAUCAAGUGAUUCAUAAUCAAGUGAUUCCAAAAUCCCAUCAGCAUGGAGUUUCUUCAUGCGCUUUACACCAAUAUGACCUAAACGGCAGUGCCACAAAUAAGUCGCACUGUCAUUAUUAACUUUGCAUCUUUUGGCUUCAAUAUUAUGAAUAUGUGUAUCACUACGAUCGAGAUCCAACAAACCAUUUUCGCUGGUGUGUAUGACCAUAGAAGGUUUUUAUUCAUGUAAACAGAACAACAAUUGUUCUCUAACUUAAAUGAAUAACCGUAUUGCAAUAAACAUGAUCAAAUCAUAUUCAUGCUCAACGCAAACACCAAAUAACACUUAUUUAGGUUCAAUACUAAUCCCGAAAGUAUAGGGAGUCUGUGAUGAUGAUCAUAUCAAUCUUGGAACCACUUCCAACACACAUCGUCACUUCACCCUUAACUAGUCUCUGUUUAUUCUGCAACUCCCAUUUUGAGUUACUAAUCUUAGCAACUGAACUAGUAUCAAAUACUGAGGGGUUGCUAUAAACACUUGUAAAGUACACAUCAGUAACAUGUAUAUCAAAUAUACCUUUGUUCACUUUGCCAUCCUUCUUAUCCGCCAAAUACUUGGGGCAGUUCCGCUUCCAGUGACCAGUUCCUUUGCAGUAGAAGCACUUAGUCUCAGGCUUAGGUCCAGACUUGGGCUUCUUCACUUGAGCAGCAACUUGCUUGUCGUUCUUCUUGAAGUUCCCCUUCUAUCCCUUUGCCCUUUUCUUGAAACUAGUGAUCUUGUUAGCCAUCAACACUUGAUGCUCUUUCUUGAUUUCUACCUCCGUCGAUUUCAGCAUCACGAAGAGCUUGGGAAUCGUUUCCGUUAUCCCUUGCAUAUUAUAGUUCAUCACGAAGUUCUACUAACUUGGUGAUGGUGACUAGAGAAUUCUGUCAAUCACUAUUUUAUCUGGAAGAUUAACUCCCACUUGAUUCAAGCGAUUGAGUACCCAGACAAUCUGAGCACAUGCUCACUGCUUGAGCUAUUCUCCUCCAUCUUUUAGCUGUAGAACUUGUUGAAGACUUCAUAUCUCUCAACUCGGGUAUUUGCUUGAAAUAUUAACUUCAACUCCUGGAACAUCAUAUGGUCCAUGACGUUCAAAACGUCUUUGAAGUCCCGAUUCUAAGCCGUUAAGCAUAGUGCACUAAACUAUCAAGUAGUCAUCAUAUUGAGCUAGCCAAACGUUCAUAACGUCUGCAUCUACUCCUGCAGUAGGUCUGUCACCUAGCGGUGCAUCAAGGACAUAAUUCUUCUGUACAGCAAUGAGGAUAAUCCUCAGAUCACGGAUUUAAUCCGCAUCUUUGCUACUAACAUCUUUCAACAUAAUUUUUCUCUAGGAAUAUAUCAAAAAUAAACACAGGGAAGCAACAACGCGAGCUAUUGAUCUACAACAUAAUUUGCAAAAUACUAUCAGGACUAAGUUCAUGAUAAAUUUAAGUUCAAUUAAUAAUAUUACUUAAGAACUCCCACUUAGAUAGACAUCCCUCUAAUCCUCUAAGUGAUCACGUGAUCCAUAUCAACUAAACCAUGUACGAUCAUCACGUGAGAUGGAGUAGUUUCAACGGUGAACAUCACUAUGUUGAUCAUAUCCACUAUAUGAUUCACGCUCGACCUUUCGGUCUCCGUGUUCCGAGGCCAUAUCUGUUAUAUGCUAGGCUCGUCAAGCUUAACCUGAGUAUUCCGCGUGUGCAACUAUUUUGCACCCGUUGUAUUUGAACGUAGAGCCUAUCACACCCGAUCAUCACGUGGUGUAUCAGCACGAAGAACUUUCGCAACGGUCACUCAGGGAGAACACUUAUACUUUGAUAAUUUAGUGAGGGAUCAUCUUAUAAUGCUACCGCCAAUCAAAGCAAGAUAAGAUGCAUAAAAGGUAAACAUCACAUGCAAUCAAUAUAAGUGAUAUGAUAUGGCCAUCAUUAUCUUGUGCUUGUGAUCUCCAUCUCCGAAGCACCGUCAUGAUCACCAUUGUCACCGGCGCGACACCUUGAUCUCCAUCGUAGCAUCGUUGUCGUCACGCCAAUCUUAUGCUUCUACGACUAUCGCUACCGCUUAGUGAUAAAGUAAAGCAUUACAGGGCGAUUGCAUUGCAUACAAUAAAGCGACAACCAUAUGGCUCCUGCCAGUUGCCGAUAACUCGGUUACAAAACAUGAUCAUCUCAUACAAUAAAAUUUAGCAUCAUGUCUUGACCAUAUCGGGAAAAAUUGUUUUUUUUUUACGAUCCCUAUGUAGAAAGCCCUUUUUCUAGUAUUUACUAGAAAAUUUGAUCCUCUCUUUUUUUUCUAAAGGAAAAUCCGUCGACUUUAUAAGUUGUGAGGGUUCAAGUCCCACAUCACAACAUGCCCUGCAAAAACAAGUUAGACGUCCUCUACUUUGUUGUUGCAAGUUUUACGUGGCUGCUACAAGCUUAGCAAGAACCGUUCUCACCUACGCAUUAAAACCACAACGAUAGUUUAUCAAGUUGGUGCUGUUUUAACCUUCGCAAGGACCGGGCGUAGCCACACUCGGUUCAACUAAAGUUGGAGAAACUGACACCCGCCAGCGACCUCUGUGCAAAGCACGUCGGAAGAACCAGUCUCGCGUAAGCGUACGCGUAAUGUCGGUCCGGGCCGCUUCAUCCAACAAUACCGCCGAACCAAAGUAUGACAUGCUGGUAAGCAGUAUGACUUAUAUCGCCCACAACUCACUUGUGUUCUACUCGUGCACAUAACAUCAACGCAUAAAACCAGGCUCGGAUACCACUGUUGGGGAACGUAGUAAUUUCAAAAAUUUCCUACGCACACGCAAGAUCAUGGUGAUGCAUAGCAACGAGAAGGGAGAGUGUUGUCCACGUACCCUCGUAGACCGAAAGCGGAAGCGUUAGCACAACGCGGUUGAUGUAGUCGUACAUCCUCACGAUCCGACCGAUCAAGUACCGAACGCACGGCACCUCCGAGUUCAGCACACGUUCAGCCCGAUGACGUCCCUCGAACUCCGAUCCAGCCGAGUGUUGAGGGAGAGUUUCGUCAGCACGACGGCGUGGUGACGAUGAUGAUGUUCUACCGACGCAGGGCUUCGCAUAAGGACCGCUACAGUAUUAUCGAGGUGGGCCAUGGUGGAGGGGGGCACCGCACACGGCUAAAAGAUCAAACGAUCAAUUGUUGUGUCUCCAAGGGGUGCCCCCCUCCCCGUAUAUAAAGGAGUGGAGGAGGGGGAGGGCCGGCCCUCUCUAUGGCGCGCCCUAGGAGGAGUCCUACUCCCACCGGGACUAGGAUUCCCCCCCCCCCUUCCAAGUAGUAGGAGUAGGAGUCAAGGAAAGGGAAGAGGGAAGAGAAGGAAGGAGGGGGAGCCGCCCCUCCCCCUAGUCCAAUUCGGACUAGUCAAUGGGGGGGGGGGGCGCGGCCUGCCUCUCCCUCUCCCCUAAAGCCCAAUAAGGCCCAUAUACUUCUUCCCCCGUAUUCACGUAACUCCCCGGUACUCCAAAAAAUACCCGAACCAUUCGGAACCUUUCCGAUGUCCGAAUAUAGUCGUCCAAUAUAUCGAUCUUUACGUCUCGACCAUUUAGUGACUCCUCGUUAUGUCCCCGAUCUCAUCCGGGACACGGAACUACCUUCGGUACAUCAAAACACAUAAACUCAUAAUAUAACCGUCAUCGAACUUUAAGCGUGCGGACCCUACGGGUUCGAGAACAAUGUAGACAUGACCGAGACACGUCUCCGGUCAAUAACCAAUAGCGGAACCUGGAUGCUCAUAUUGGCUCCCACAUAUUCUACGAAGAUCUUUAUCAGUCAAACUGCAUAACAACAUACGUUGUUCCCUUUGUCAUCGGUAUGUUACUUGCCCGAGAUUCGAUCGUCGGUAUCUCAAUACCUAGUUCAAUCUCGUUACCGGCAAGUCUCUUUACUCGUUCCGUAAUACAUCAUCCCGCAACAAACUCAUUAGUUGCAAUGCUUGCAAGGCUUAAGUGAUGUGCAUUACCGAGAGGGCCCAGAGAUACCUCUCCGACAAUCGGAGUGACAAAUCCUAAUCUCGAAAUACGCCAACCCAACAAGUACCUUCGGAGACACCUGUAGAGCACCUUUAUAAUCACCCAGUUACGUUGUGACGUUUGGUAGCACACAAAGUGUUCCUCCGGUAAACGGGAGUUGCAUAAUCUCAUAGUCAUAGGAACAUGUAUAAGUCAUGAAGAAAGCAAUAGCAACAUACUAAACGAUCGAGUGCUAAGCUAACGGAAUGGGUCAAGUCAAUCACAUCAUUCUCCUAAUGAUGUGAUCCCGUUAAUCAAAUGACAACUCAUGUCUAUGGCUAGGAAACAUAACCAUCUUUGAUCAACGAGCUAGUCAAGUAGAGGCAUACUAGUGACACUCUGUUUGUCUAUGUAUUCACACAUGUAUUAUGUUUCCGGUUAAUACAAUUCUAGCAUGAAUAAUAAACAUUUAUCAUGAAAUAAGGAAAUAAAUAAUAACUUUAUUAUUGCCUCUAGGGCAUAUUUCCUUCACCGUUGACUAAACCUCUUCCACGAGCAAAACAUGAUCAACACCAGAACUCUAUGGGUGUUCGAUUCAUCACAAUGUAACUAGAUUAUUGACUCUAAUGCAAGUGGGAGACUGUUGGAAAUAUGCCCUAGAGGCAAUGAUAAAAUAGUUAUUAUUAUAUUUCCUUGUUCAUGAUAAUUGUCUAUUGUUCAUGCUGUAAUUGUGUUAUCCGGAAAUCGUAAUACAUGUGUGAAUACAUAGACCACAACAUGUCCGUAGUGAUCCUCUAGUUGACUAGCUCGUUGAUCAAUAGAUGGUUACGGUUUCCUGACCAUGGACAUUGGAUGUCGUUGAUAACGGGAUCACAUCAUUAGGAGAAUGAUGUGAUGGACAAGACCCAAUCCUAAGCAUAGCACAAGAUCGUGUAGUUCGUCUGCUAAAGCUUUUCUAAUGUCAAGUAUCAUUUCCUUAGACCAUGAGAUUGUGCAGCUCCCGGAUACCGUAGGAAUGCUUUGGGUGUGCCAAAUGUCACAACGUAACUGGGUGGCUAUAAAGGCACACUACGGGUGUCUCCGGAAGUGUCUGUUGAGUUGGCAUGAAUCAAGACGGGGAUUUGUCACUCCGUGUGACGGAGAGGUAUCUCUGGGCCCACUCGGUAAGACAUCAUCAUAAUGAGCUCAAUGUGACCAAGGAGUUGAUCAUGGGAUGGUGUGUUACGGAACGAUUAAAGAGACUUUCCGGUAACGAGAUUGAACAAGGUAUAGGGAUACCGACGAUCGAAUCUCGGGCAAGUAUCAUACCGGUAGACAAAGGGAAUUGUGUACGGGGUUGAUUGAAUCCCCGACAUCGUGGUUCAUCCGAUGAGAUCAUCGUGGAACAUGUGGGAGCCAACAUGGGUAUCCAGAUCCCGCUGUUGGUUAUUGGCCGGAGAGAUGUCUCGGUCAUGUCUGCAUGAUUCCCGAACCCGUAGGGUCUACACACUUAAGGUUCGGUGACGCUAGAGUUGUUAUGGGAAAUAGUAUGCAGUUACCGAAUGUUGUUCGGAGUCCCGGAUGAGAUCCCGGACGUCACGAGGAGUUCCGGAAUGGUCUAGAGGUGAAGAUUUAUAUAUGUGAAGUCAUCAUACGGUCACCGGAAGUGUUCGGGGGGUUUAUCGGUAUUGUACCAGGACCACCGAAGGGGUUCCGGGGGUCCACCGGGAGGGUCCACCUGCCCCGGAGGGCCCUAUGGGCUGUAUGUGGAAGGGAACCAGCCCCUAAGUGGGCUGGGCGCCAUCCCCCCUAGGGCCCAUGCGCCUAGGGUUGGGGGGAACCCUAAAGGGGGCGCCCCCUUGACUUGGGGGGCAAGCCCCCUCCCCCUUGGCCGCCGCCCCCCUCUAGAUCCAUCUGGAGGGGGCCGCCCCCCUUCCCCCUUCGCCCUAUAAAUAGAGGGGUGGAGAGAGGGCAGCAGCACCAUUCCCAAGGCGCAGCCCUCCCCCUCUCCAACACCCCCUCCUCCUCCGUUGAGCUUGGCGAAGCCCUGCCAGAGAACUGCAAGCUCCACCACCACGCCGUAGUGCUGCCGGAGCUCUUCCCCAACUUCUCCUUCCCCCUUGCUGGAUCAAGAAGGAGGAGACGUCCCCGGGCUGUACGUGUGUUGAACGCGGAGGCGCCGUUGUUCGACGCUUAGAUCAGAAUCAACCGCGAUCUGAAUCGCUGCGAGUACGACUCCUCCAUCCGCGUUCUUGUAACGCUUCCGCAUCGCGAUCUUCAAGGGUAUGAAGAUGCACUCCCCUCUCUCUCUGCAUAGAUUGAUCUUGGUGAUGCGUAGAAUUUUUUUACUUUCUGCAACGAUCCCCAACAUUUGGACCUUUGUAUCCCCCUCUCCCUCUAUUUCGUCCCUAGACUAUAAGUACCUCCCACCUAGCUCAUUUAGAGGAUAGAAAAGUAUAUGAUAGACAUAUGUGAGCUUUGCUCCAUGGAUCCACUCCACUAGGAGAUCAAGACCUCCUCUUGGAGUGACCAACCUCAAGACCCCCUCAUGGGUGGCCCCCUUCAAGACCUCAUUCCUCAUAGGAUUGGGAUGAACUAGUACCUUGUAUCUUUCCUUUGUUGUCUUUGAAUCAUUGUGAACUCUUGUAUGUUCUUGGAUCCAGCAUAUGUGUGAUUGGAUCUAGUCAAUUUGAGUGUUUCCCCUCUCUUGUGUUCUUCGCGUUCUUCGUGUUCUUUGGGAUUUCCCCUCUAAUUCGUGAAAGAUCUCCAUCUAGGGUUCCACCCUACAACAAUAUGUUUCUCAUUUAUGGAGGUGACAAAGAGCUAGUCGUAAAUGGUUACGUCGAUGCAAGCUUUGACACUGAUCCGGAUGAUUCUAAAUGGCAAACCGGAUACGUGUUUACAUUGAAUGGUGGAGCUUCCAGUUGGUGCAGUUCUAAACAAAGCGUCGUGGCGGGAUCUACGUGUGAAGCGGAAUACAUAGCUGCUUCGGAAGCAGCAAAUGAAGGAGCCUGGAUGAAGGAGUUCAUAUCCGAUCUAGGUGUAAUACCUAGUGCAUCGGGUCCAAUGAAAAUCUUUUGUGACAAUACUGGUGCAAUUGCCUUGGCAAAGGAAUCCAGAUUUCACAAGAGGACCAAGCACAUCAAGAGACACUUCAAUUCCAUCCGGGACCAAGUCCAAGUGGGAGACAUAGAGAUUUGCAAGAUACAUACGGAUCUGAAUGUUGCAGACCCGUUGACUAAGCCUCUUCCACGAGCAAAACAUGAUAAGCACCAAAACUCCAUGGGUGUUAGAAUCAUUAUUGUGUAAUCUAGAUUACUGACUCUAGUGCAAGUGGGAGACUGAAGGAAAUAUGCCCUAGAGGCAAUAAUAAAGUUAUUAUUUAUUUCCUCAUAUCAUAAUAAAUUUUUAUUAUUCAUGCUAGAAUUGUAUUAACCGAAAACAUAUUACAUGUGUGAAUACAUAGACAAAUAUAGUGUCACUAGUAUGCCUCUACUUGACUAGCUCGUUAAUUGAAGAUGGUUGAGUUUCCUAGCCAUGGACAUGAGUUGUCAUUUGAUUAAUGAGAUCACAUCAUUAGGAGAAUGAUGUGAUUGACUUGACCCAUUCCGUUAGCUUAGCACUUGAUCGUUUAGUAUGUUGCUAUUGCUUUCUUCAUGACUUAUACAUGUUCCUAUGACUAUGAGAUUAUGCAACUCCCGUUUACCGGAGGAACACUUUGUGUGCUACCAAACGUCACAACGUAACUGGGUGAUUAUACAGGUGCUCUAUAGGUGUCUCCAAAGGUACUUAUUGAGUUGGCGUAUUUCGAGAUUAGGAUUUGUCACUCCGAUUGUCGGAGAGGUAUCUCUGGGCCUGCUCGGUAAUGCACAUCACUAUAAGCCUUGCAAGCAAUGUGACUAAUGAGUUAGUUGCGGGAUGAUGCAUUACGGAACGAGUAAAGAGACUUGCCGGUAACGAGAUUGAACUAGGUAUUGAGAUACCGACGAUCGAAUCUUGGGCAAGUAACAUACCGAUGACAAAGGGAACAACGUAUGUUGUUAUGCGGUUUGACCGAUAAAGAUCUUCGUAGAAUAUGUAGGAGCCAAUAUGAGCAUCCAGGUUCCACUGUUGGUUAUUGACCGGAGACGUGUCUCGGUCAUGUCUACAUAGUUCUCGAACCCGUAGGGUCCGCACGCUUAAAGUUCGGUGACGAUCGUUAUUAUGAGUUUUUGUGUUUUGAUGUACCGAAGGUAGUUCGGAGUCCCGGAUAUGACCACGGACAUGACGAGGAGUCUCGAAAUGGUCGAGACGUAAAGAUCGAUAUAUUGGACGACUAUAUUCGGACACCGGAAGUGUUCCGGGUGAUUUCGGAGAAAACCGGAGUGCCGGAGGGGUUACCGGAACCCCCCGGGGAAUUAUUGGGCCUUAGUGGGCCUGAGGGGAGAGAGAGGGCAGCAGCCCAGGAGGUGGCGCGCCCCCUCCCAUGAGGAGUCCGAAUUGGACUAGGGGAGGGGGGCACGGCCCCUCUUUCCCUCUCCCUCUCCCUCUCUUUCCUUCCCCCUUCCCUCUUCCUAGUUGGACUAGGAAAGGGGAGUCCUUCUCCUACUAGGAGCAGGACUCCCCCCUCCUCCUGGCGCGCCCACAAGGGGCCGGCCGGCCUCCCCCUUGCUCCUUUAUAUAUGGGGGCAGGGGGGCACCUCUAGACACAAGUUGAUCUGUUGAUCUCUCCCAGCCGUGUGCGGUGCCCCCUCCACCAUAUUCCACCUCGGUCACAUCGUAGCGGUGCUUAGGCGAAGCCCUGCGUCGGUAGCAACAUCAUCACCGUCAUCAUGCUGUCGUGCUGACGGAACUCUCCCGUGAAGCUCUGCUGGAUCGGAGUUCGCGGUACGUCAUCGAGCUGAACAUGUGCUGAACUCGGAGGUGCCGUACGUUCGGUACUUGGAUCGGUCGGAUCGUGAAGACGUACGACUACAUCAACCGCGUUGUGCUAACGCUUUCGCUUUCGGUCUACGAGGGUACAUGGACAACACUCUCCCCUCUCGUUGCUAUGCAUCACCAUAAUCCUGUGUGUGUAGGAAUUUUUUUGAAAUUACUACGUUCCCCAACACCCUAUCCCUAGUGCACAUCGGAUUCAGCCUUAACUCUAUAGGGUUACCAAAACUCUCUCCUUUUCCAUUCGGCUCCCAUUCCACCUGCAAAAUGGGAUAGAAUGCAAAAUUGAUAUCAAGUUACGAUAGAAGCAUGAUAAUCACAAUGCAAUGUCGAUUCACCUGCUCAGGCGUGAUCGCGUCCAGCUCGCUCUUGUACAACUUGUACAUGACCGAGGGAUCAUCCGUCAUCUCAUUUAACACAUCCCACUUAUAAGCCCAAGUGGGGAGCCGUAGUGGGUCGUCUUUCUUGUCCCAAUCCUUGUACUUCACGGUCUUCGGUCGUCCAACCGGCAAAUGCUCCCAGCUCCAUAUGGAAAGUGCGAGCAUACAACCACCAAUACCUCCAGAUAGCCUACAACAGGCUUCGUCCAACUGCACAUAAAAGAGAACAUGGUUGAAUUAACAACAAGAUUGCAUUCAUAAUGUAGCAAUGUAGUGAAAAAGAAACAACUUCAUACCUGUCUAUACAAGUAAGCCAGUGUCGCCGAACCUUAACUCCAUUUGCUAUCAAAGACGGUCAACGCCUUAAGCCACAUCCAUGGAGCAUUCUUGCCUGUGCCAUCAGCAAACAUAGUCCUGGAUAUCACAUACCACAUGUAGACACGAGCAUAUGUCUUGACCUCAUCCUCAUUAGCUUCCUCAAGGCAAGUACCAAAGUGCCAUGUAAUCCACGUGAAAGGAGCACCGGCUGCGACUCUUUCCUUCUUCUUGCCUUCUGCUUCUGGUUCCCGAGGCUCCGGAGGAACCAUACCGAUAAGGGCAUGCAUCUGCGCGUGCCACCCAUCAGAAUCGGUGUUCAUACAUAGAGGAUUCCCAUUGAUAGGAAGACCGGUGAUCAUAGCAAUAUGCUGGAGCGUCACGGUCAUCUCCCUGGUCCGAAGAUGGAAACUGUGUGUCUCCGACCUCCAAUGAUCAAUAAGCGCAGUGAGUGCUGCAGCAUUGUUGGGUGGCGUCGACCGGCUGACCAACUGAAUGAAAGGGAGAAGUCCUGUCUCCCUUACAUACGGUGUGUACCGCUCAUCAUAGCGCAUCCACCCGAGGUUGACCCCGUGAGACCGAAGCUUCAGAGGUGCAAGCUCCUACAAACAAACAAAUCAUAAAAUUACAUAUGGGGCAUUUGUGUUUGAAAUAAACAUGAAAUUCAUAACACCGGCCACUUUCAUUACUACCCGCUGCUCCAUCGAAGCGUACGACCGGUGUUGUUUGUCCAAGUGAUCAUCGAGAAGCCAAACCAUCCUAACAAUUUGAAAAAAAAGCUUUCUUGUCAACACGAUUAUCUUUUGAAUACAUGUAAACUAAAGUACACCUACUAGAUGCAAAAUUCAAAGCAUAUGUAUGCAAAGCAUUCUUGUCAAUACAAGUAUAAUUUCAACACAAAUAAACUAAACUAGGCCUACUUCAUGCAAGAUUAAAUACAAAUCUCUUUUCCAUAUAAAAAUAACAUGUCAACCUAUGUAUCCAAACCAUAUAUUUUCAAUAAACUAAACUAAACUAGGGUUGCAAAAUUAGGUACAUGCAAGAUUAUAAUACAUGCAACAUUCAAAUCUAAUCAAAUCAAACAAGGGUUCCUCAAAAUCUUCAAAAUAGCAUACAUUAUAUGGAUAGAAAGAAGGGGAUCGGAGGAGGGUACCUUCUAGGAUGGAUUGGUGAAGGAAUCCACGGACCAAAUCGUCAGAUCUGAUGGAUUUGGGAGAGGGGAUUGAGAGGGGGAGAGGAGAGGGCCGCCACCGUGGCUUCUUCUGGUUCUGUAACUGGUGGCAAUGGGGUGGGUGGGGGAGGAGAGGGCCACCGCGGCUGGAUGUAAGUCACAGUGCAGCGCCCGAGGGCUAGGCACUGCACAUUACAUGUGUGGCGCCUAGCUCGGCGGCGCUGCACUGCUGGGUGCGGGGCCCAGGCCUGCCACGAUGGACAGAGGUGCAACGCCCCCGGGCUAGGCGCUGCACCGUAGAGUGUGGCGCCGGCGUGGCAGGCGCCACACAAAAAGGUCAGGGGCGUGAAAUAGUUUCACGGGCAGUUCAUUCUGUGAAUUGAUUUCAUCCCGAGGUCAAAAUUGUCAAAUUAGCCGGGAAACCCUAGCAAUGGGGAAUUUCGUGCUCACUUAUCAGGGCAUCUCCAAUCUCCAAUACAUGACCAAGGGCAUUGUUACAGUCGGCCGACGGAUAUUUUUACAAGCCGCCGCAUCGGCUGUUAGGCUAGUCAUAGGGAUAAUAGGGAUAGGGAUAAUAAAAUAACAUAUCCCAAGAAAAAUUUGCUUAUGUGGCAUAGAGUUAAUAAGGAGAUAGAUGCUUGUGGUAACAUAAUAUGUUACUGUAACAUAACACACCCUGAGAUAAAAUGAGUCUAUAUCUCAAUUAGUGAAGGCUUGCAUGUUACCAUCCAUAUGUUACUACAUUAUAAAGGUAGUAACAUAGACUAGUAACAUAUGCAUGUUACUAGUUUAAGUUACUCCCACUAUGACCAGUCUUAGAUACUUAGAGCAUCUCCACUCGGGAUCGACGCCCCCCAAGCACCUUUUUUAGCACCGUCGAUAAAAAAAGUCCCAGUCACGCCCCCAAGACAUUGUUUUGUGCCGGAUUUGAGCAAAAAUAGCCCUGGCGACCCCAGACCAAAGGCGUCCGGCGCUAUUUUGUGCACGGUCAAACCCCACCAGUCAGCCUCUCUCCUCUCUCUCUCCUCCCUUUUUCUGCUAGGCUCACCCCACCCACUUGCAUGAAAAAGAAACUCUCCUCUCUCUCCGCAAGCAGAGCUCCUCGCUCCGGCCACGCUUGCCGCCACGCCUCCUCGCCGCCGUCUCCUUGUUGCCUGCCGAGCCCUCACCCUGGUCGCCGCGUGCCCUUGCAACGCCUCCUCAGCUCCAGCCAGGGGUCGAUGCACUCUGGGUAGAAGGCGUGCAAGCAGUGCGGCAGCAACCGGAGGUCUUCGGCCUCCUCGAACGCCAUCAGGCAGACGACACACUCCCGCACACCCCUGCCGAUCUUGUGCCACCACCGCCAGGUCCAGCCUGCGCUUCCCCCUCCUGGACACCCCGGCCCCAGCCUCGACGACAUUGGCCCCAUGCGGCGCGGCGUUCUCGGCGAGGCGGCACUAGUUGAUGUAGCCGCAAAAGAAGAGCGGGAAGAAGAAGGCGAUGAUGGCCACGGUGAUGGCCGUUGACAUGGUGCGCCCAAACGGCGUGGGCCUGGGCGCCGCCGCCGUCGCCCUGGACUGCGGCACCGGCGACGGCGGCAAAGACUCCGCCAUUCCUGCGCCGGCGCGGGCGCCAAGAAGGCAAAAAAGGACGAGGAGGUAUGGACGAACGCUAGCCCGUCGCGCGGUGCAUCGGCUGGAGGCCUACCACUACGCCACAUGGCCUCCCUCCCGCUCCACGGCUCCCCAAGGCUAUACCCCAUCAGCAUCUGGCGCACGCGUCGGCGCAUCCAGGCGCGGCGGCACAGGCGGAGAGACAGAAGCACCAGCAGCAGGAGCACACGGCGAUGAGGAGGCCAGCUUCGGGUGGCCCGGCAGCUUCAAGCCGCCACCACCAGCAGCAAGAGCACGCAGCGACGAGGAGGCUAGCUUCGGGUGGCCCGGCAGCUUCAUGCCACCCCCUCCUUCACUCAGGCCCCAAGCCUGGUGGUGUGGGGGUGCGAGCAUCUCCACGCGGUGGCGCAUGGGGAAGAAGAGAAAGGGGAUUCCGGCACUCCGGCGUGGUGGUGGCGGUGCGGUGGAGUGGGGAGAUGAGAGCGAUGGAACAUUGGGAAGAAGAGACAGGUGUGUGGGUGGGGGCGGCUGGAAAAAUUAUUAUCCCCAAUGCAAAAUUCUGCAGGGGCAACCCCAGGAGGCCGAAAAAAGGCGUCUUGGGGGCACAACGGAGCAUCUCCACCUGUCCCCCAGGAGCAUUUUUUUGGCGCCGGCGGACGACAAAGUUCCGCUCGCGCUCCAUGAGCUCGAUUAGUGUCGAAUUUGGUCAAAAUUUCGACCGGCAAACCAACCCCAAACCCAGGAUCCUCGGGGGCAGCUGAGGAGGAGAGAGACACUGUUUCGCAUGUAAUUUGGCUCACCGCCAUCCUCCCACUCCCUCUCUCCUCACUUUUCCUCCGAGGCCCAGCCACGUGCUGCUCUCUCUUCUCUUCUCUUCUCUUCUCCUUCUCUCCCCCACCAACUCCCACACCCACACAGAACGCAUCGCCCAGCACUCCACCGCCCUCGCCUCACCGCGCACAGGUCCGAGACAAGCUCGGCGCCGCCGCCACCUCCUCGCCGCGGCAUCCCAGCUCCGCCGCAGCGUGAGCAGCGACACCCUCCGCGGCAUGCCAGGAACGGGUGAGCUUGUGGUUCGCAGCAGGACGGGCAGCCACGGCGGGGUGCGGGCCCAGGCGGGGCACGGUCGAGCUCCACGGGGGCGGGCGGUGCGAGCUCAGCAUUGUGUGGCGCGUGCGGUGGGCGCCGGUGCGGCGCCGACGCGGGCGAGCUUGGCGGCGAGCGGCGAGGCGGCGGUGAGCGGCAAGUCUGCUCAGGAAGUGAACGCGGCGCAGACGCGGGCAUNNNNNNNNNNNNNNNNNNNNNNNNNNNNNNNNNNNNNNNNNNNNNNNNNNNNNNNNNNNNNNNNNNNNNNNNNNNNNNNNNNNNNNNNNNNNNNNNNNNNNNNNNNNNNNNNNNNNNNNNNNNNNNNNNNNNNNNNNNNNNNNNNNNNNNNNNNNNNNNNNNNNNNNNNNNNNNNNNNNNNNNNNNNNNNNNNNNNNNNNNNNNNNNNNNNNNNNNNNNNNNNNNNNNNNNNNNNNNNNNNNNNNNNNNNNNNNNNNNNNNNNNNNNNNNNNNNNNNNNNNNNNNNNNNNNNNNNNNNNNNNNNNNNNNNNNNNNNNNNNNNNNNNNNNNNNNNNNNNNNNNNNNNNNNNNNNNNNNNNNNNNNNNNNNNNNNNNNNNNNNNNNNNNNNNNNNNNNNNNNNNNNNNNNNNNNNNNNNNNNNNNNNNNNNNNNNNNNNNNNNNNNNNNNNNNNNAAAAUCUUCAUCCGGCACAAAAAUCGUCCCUGUGGGGGCACAACGGCUGGAGAUGCUCUUAGAUCCAGCACAAUCCAAUGAUCCAGCUACUUCAUUGUAAUAAACAUAGUGUUCUAAAGCAUUUUGUAAGAAAGCUCAUAUUGUAAAACCAUUUGCAACAGAGUUGUUGCAUAUUGUUUUUCGUCUUCAUCUUUUUCAACAUAGAUAAUGUUGCAAUUGCACCGUGCAUGAUGUUGUAGUUUUUUUUUACGAUGAAUGAUGGUGUCGCACCAGCACCGUCGUCGUUGUCGUCGCUGUUUUGCAACUCCGUCAUUGUUGCGGAAACUCGUCAAUAUGCGGUGGCACAAUCGGACAUGGACAACUUCCGUUGGUGACGUUGCGGAUUUUUUUUCAUCUUCACUUUUUUACAUCAUGAGAGUUGUUGCGGAAGAAAUUUUUACAACAUAGAUGAUGUUGGAGAAAACUUUCUUUGCUACGCAAGCACGCGUCGCACGGAACCGCUAGAAAUAGUACUAGAUGGAUCAUGCAAGACACACAGGAAGGAGGCUGCGGACGCUUGCUUGUGAUCCACCGACUGAAACCAAGUGUUUCCGUAAACCAAAUUGUGGUUGGAAUAAAAUAUACAUCGUAAAAAAUGCUUUUUUACAUCACCAAAAACAUUCAACUUCAAUAGAUGAUAUAAAAUAGGGCAGCCGCAACCGCUCCAAUAGACGAUGUAAGGCCAACGCACAACAACAACCAACAACAACACAUAUUUGAAUCGAAAUCAUCCCAAAUUAAUCUUUAUAAGGAAACAUCAACAAUUUCAUCACACACAUUGCAUAUGAAUUUGGCAAAAAUAAUAUGUCAAACUUUGCAAGAUCAUCACAUUCAUAAUGAACAAUAUAUCAAAUUCAACAUCAAAAUAAUAAAAUCAUAGUCUCAUAGUGCAUCAUAGCAAACAUAGUUUACGGUCCAACAAAUAAAAGUGUAUAUAAACAUAAAUAUAAACAUAGCCUCACAACUUCUAUCUUCUCUGUUGUCACUUGGCACAUUGCGAACAUUGGCUUGAAGAUCAUCAUUGACUUCUUUCUCACCGUUGUCACUUGCACAUUGUGAACAUUGGCUUGUGAUCCAUCCAUGCCGCCACCUGCACCAAAGACACCUCCCAUGCCACUCAUGUUACCACGCACCAUAUCCACCUCCCAUGUUAACACCAUAGCCACCUCCCAUCAUGUUCAUAAAGCUGACCAUUCCUCCUCCCAUGUCGCUACCCAUGCCACUUGUUGCUCCUCCCAUGCCACCCAUUGUUCCUCUGAAGCUACCCAUCAAGUCCCUCAUGAUCAUGGUCUUCUUCAUGAUCAUUUCAUCGCGACAGAAGCUCCACAAAUGCUUUUUUGCUUCGGUUGAGGCCACUUGUGUCCAUGAAAAUAAAUUUCUCCACUUUCUCCUCCACCGACUUAAGCUAUUCGUCCGCCACCUUUCUCUCCUCUAGCUUGACCUUCCUCUCCUUGGCCGCCACCUUCUUCUCCUUGGUGUCUGCCUUCCGCCUCUCGGCCUCCGCCCUCUCCUCCAUUUCCUUCAAUUUCAAGAGCUUUUUUCUUUGACAUACUCUUUUCUUGCAAUGACGACGGCUUCAAAUCCUUCUUUAAGAUCAUUGUCUCGGCCUUUGAACCCUUUGCUUUUUUUAUUUCGAUUGGGCCUAUAUGCUUUGGCAACCGAGUGAGGAGUGGGGCUCCUUCUCACCUCCUCACCACCACCAUCAUCUUCUUCUUCAUUGUCACGAUCGACAACCAAGGUCUUCCUCCUUGUAACUUCAAAAGCUUCCCGAUUCUUCCACUUCUUCUCAUCCUUGAGAUCUUUAUAGCAAUGUUGGAAAAUGAACGGUUUUCCUUUCCUCUUCUUCUUAUCCCCAUUCUUCCCUCUUUGUUAAUAUAAAAUACAAACAAAGUAAUUUGGCUCUAUUAUGCCCACAAGAAAAGUACAAAACACAAGCAAAAGUGCAAAAGUAGAAGAGCCGUGACAAUUUUUCCAGUGAUACAACUAACAACAUAAAGCAAUGGAGACACGAACAAUACUCUACAAACUUGGCGAGUAAUUCAAAUGUCGUGUACACUAGUGAUCCGUUAUGUAGGUCACAAAUUAUAGAUGUUUUGCACACUUAAUCAUAUGUAUUAUCUCAUUUGGCUGUAUUUAGUAACCAUUCAAUUUUCUUUGCAUUUUUAUGGAAAAAAGAGUCCAACAAAUUUUUUGGCAAAAACAAAUUGGAUUUUGUCAAGUGGUCUCAUCGUGGGCGUAUUAGUGAGGCCAAUAAGUGUUGCAACAAAUGGCGAAUGUUUGAUUGACCUUGGCUUCAAAAAGGUUUGAUCCACCAUCAUGUGAGCACGAUUAGAUGGGCUCGGAGAGGUUUGCGAUGAACAAACCAUGUCAUUUUCAUGCCACGUUGACAAUAAUGGGCAUGGUUUAUGUCUUACAGCGUUGGUGAUCACUAGUUUAACCUCACAUUUGAACUUGCCAAGUGAUGAUGUGGACUCGUGUUUACUCUUCGAACAAUGCGUAUGUAGGAUCUUUUUGAAGCACCUUGUGAGAAUAGCACUUCCAUAUCGUGUACACUAGUGAUCUAUUAAGAAGGCUACACAUUUAUACUCAUGCACACUUGUAACAUCUAGUUUACUCAUUUUCCAUUUCACAUUGACAAUAAUGGGCAUGGAUCAUGUCUUAUAUCAUUGGUGUUGGAGAUAUGCCCUAGAGGCAAUCAUGUGAUGAUGAUAUUUCCAUAUGUAUUCAUGAGUCCUUUGUAUUGUCCUUGAACAUCAUCAAUGAUAUGUAUCAAUAAGUAUGUGACUUGUUUGUGGAACUAUGUAUUGUAUGAUGAUUGUUUUAAUGGUCCCUAGUUGAUAAGGUUAUGCGGACACAUAUCCUUGACUAGUAUACGACUCGGUUGAUGACUAUGUUUCACAAGUCAUGUGCAUGGAGAUGCUAAACCGAUAGUAUGGGCUCGGGGAUGGAGAUCACCGAGCCGGACAGACCCACUUUGAGACGCAGCGAGAUAUAGUCAUCUGUUAGUCUCAAGUGCAAUGUCUAUGCCAUGUCCUAGACCUGAGGUCCUCGCAUGUUCUCGGGAUGAGGAUCGACUCACUUAGGGUCUAUCAAACGCUACUCCGUAACUGGGUAGUUAUAAAGGUAGCUUUCAGGUGAGUCGUGAGACAUGCCGCGAGACAUGGUUGACCAAGAUGGAAUUUGCCCCUCCUAUUUGGAGAGAUAUUCUCUGGGCCCUCUCGAGUGAUCAGAUUCAGAAAGCAUGGCCAUGCGACUUGGGUUAAGUGUUAACCCAGUUCGGGAAUCUGUAUCAUGGUUUCGAGAAGAGAAGUCGAGCUAACACAAGGGUGACAAGUACUCGCCUUGAGCUCGACAACAAAUAUCGUGAGGCAAAAGGAAUGUUGCAUAUGCCACAUCGUUGAGGUUCGUCAAACGACUUUAUGCCCACAUGGGAGUUGGCACGUUCUGCUAGGAGCCGCUACCAACUAUCGACUCUGGUCGUGUCCAUGUGUACGUGAACCUAUAGGGUCGCACACUUAAGGGGCUACAGCCCAUUCGUAUUGGAUCUGAGUGGAAAAUGGAUGUGGACUCGUAGUGGGCUCAAGUGUUGAGCCCACCUCGGAGGUCUAUAUAAAGGGGAGUGGGCACACCACUUAGGGUUGAUCGGAUUGAACCCUGGUUAGCCACCGCCACUCCCCAUGCCCAUGCCCCGCGACCGGACCUAGCAGUCCGCCGCUCGACGCUGCUCCCCAUACGUGUGGAUACCUUGGAGGCAUCGGAUCUGCGGUGCUUGGACGAACCAUUCGAGGGAACCACAAGGUGCCGUUCGCGGGAGAUCACCGUUCAUGGGUCUUCGCUGUUCGCGGGAGAUCGGCAACGCGAGGAGGAGACGGCCCGGGAGAUCGGCUACACGCAUCACCAACUCUACUUCCGCUGUGGUGACUGCGCGUCUAGUGGUAAACCCGAUCCCGUGAUCUAUUUCCAGCAGCAUGAUCUUGGGUGCGCGGUAGAAAAUUUUAUUUGGCGCUAGCGUACCGUACCGCGUGUUCCAACAAUUGGUGAUCACUAGACCUCACUGAACUUGCCAAGUGAUGAUGUGGACAUGUGUUUACUCUUCAAACAAUUCAUAUAUAUGAUCUUUUUGAAGCACCAUGUGAGAAUGUCAUUUGAACGUUGUUUACAUUAGUGAUCCAUUAUGUAGCCUACACAUUAUAGAUGUUUUGCACUGACGGUGUGUGAUCCCAUCAGUACCUGAGGUAGGGUACCUAGCAUGGCUGGAAGUCUUAGAUUGGAGGUUACAGAAGGGUUUUGCCCAGGUUCGGGCUUCCAGUGAGGAGUAAUACCCUACAUCCUGCUUGUUAUUGUUAUUCAUGGUGGGUAAACCCCGUGCGAGGGAUUAAAAUGAUGUAUAGAGUGCUACCGAGAGUUUAAUCUACUAGAUGACCCGUUGCGCCGAUGGCGCAAGGGCCGAGAGUAAGGCAAAUAUUGAAAGAGUGAACAUAAAUAUAUUUAGGGGCAGAUUGAUACACAUGGAUUAUUCAUGAUACAUAAUGUUCUAAGAAGCUUGCAAUAGAAUAUUUACAAUGCUAUUAGGAAGGAAGGUAGAUAGGGAGAGAUACAUCUUAUAGGCAUUAUGCUUGGUGGACAAUCGGCGCUGAAAACUUGUUCACGCAAUUGUUCAUAGUGGUUGUGGUUUAAUGUUUUCAUUGUUCAUAACAGAAAUUCCUUCAACGUCAUCAUCCAAGCUCCAGUAGUACUUGUUUGUUUGUUGGAAUUCAUACUCUGAUUGCGUGGUUGUAUCAGUGAGACGAUCAGCAACAUAUCUUACUUGCGACAAUAUAUGAUUCAAAUCAAUGUCUUUGGAUGUUGACCCGGCCGUGAAGUUGCUAUCUAUUAUACGGUAAAGUUCCUUUGCUGCCAUGUGAUCUCCACCAAGGCUAUGGCACUGCUAAAAUAGUCUAUUAGGUUGUCCUUUUCUUUUUGCUGAUGCUUAAGAGCUUCACACUUCUGCUGGAGCAGUUGCAUCUUGUCGUAGUUUAUGUCCUGCAGCACUUUACUGUGGAUGCUUUUCAUGUAUUUGAGAGCUUCGUUUGCUAGUUGGUCUUCAGCAUCUUCUAGUUUGUUGGAUACAUGGAUUGAUAUUGAUUGUCUUGGAAGGUUGUUGUCCAGUUGAUGCUUGAAGGGAUAGAAGUGAAUAGUUGCGUCAAGACCAAUUGCUCUUGCCUUCUGUCGAGUACACUACAUUUGGGAGGCCUAGCUGCUGCAUCAUAGCAUCGAACAACUCUGAUUUUUUUUUCCAUCACUAUAGGCUGAUGACAAAGAAGAAGAUAGUAUGAGUAAUCGUAUAUGCAUCACGUGAGAAGAUAAUAAAAUGAUUCAGAACAGCAGGGGUCUGAUUUUUUUUGUAAGUGGUGUUGUUCAUUAGUAAGAAGAAUUGUUUAUGUUUUUCAUGGAGGAGUAUUUAACAGAGUAUGGAAGUGGACAUGAUGGUAACCAUGUUUUUGCCUGUUUUUUUAUGAUACAGGUGGGCAUUCAAAGAUGAAUGAAAUCAUUUACUAUAUGGGUCCAACAAAGCAACACUACUGUUAGAAUGAUUCAAAAUCAAUUGGUUAUGGGCUUUUACAUAGCAGCAUGAAUUGAGGACUCAUACUUAGUAAGCAAAACAAGGAGUUAAACUAACAGAUGUGUAACCAGAAAGCACAAACAUCUCAAUCACAAAACAUGCAUGUAGCAAGUUUUGAGCUCCAUAACUGGGCUAAGAUACAUAAUAUAAUUACAGACAUGGAAUUAAUAUACCAGGGUACUUGAGUGAAAAGAAGUUAAAUUAACAGUCAAUGAUGCAAAUAGUACAUUGAACUUUCUUUAUCUAAGAACCUAAAUUUUGUGUUCUUCGCAUCUUCGGUAGCUGCAGCAGCAGCAGCAUCAUCAACAUCUUGCUUAGUUUCCUAUCAUGACAUGGCGAUGCUCAUCAGGUGAGUAAUGUGCAAAAGGGGAAACAAUAAGAGUGUAAUCGAACAUGGAGGGUCAACAAAAUCUCCAGCGAAAGCGCCUUUUCCAGUUUUGGUAGGAUCUUUAGGCACAGCCGCAGAUGAUGUAGUUCCCUUGGUCUUGGAAGGCGAAGUGGAGAGCCUAUGACCAACAUUCCUAUGGCACGGUGAUUUGCUGCAUUUAAACAUAAAAGUAUAUUAGACGUUACCAAACUGACAGAGCUAGAAAGGUAUAGCAGUGCACAAGCCUGAUUGAAAUACCUAGGUAUUUUAGUCACAGGAGCUUGUCCCUUGCCUUUCAACCGCUCCAUACUUGAAGCAUAUAAUCAAUCAAAACACAUGGUAAACAACAUUUUCGCCCUACAAGACACCACAAUUAAAAGUGGAUAUAGUCAUUUACAUAGUCAAAGGCCAAAGCGUAAUUUUCAGAAAGCAAAAGAUAAGUAAGCAAUAUAAUUUCCCUAUGCAGGAAAGAUGACAAAAUAUACUAUGUUUUCCUUAUACUGCAGGUUGCAAAUUCGUACAUGUCUCACAAAAAAAUGAAUUAAUUCAACAAGCUAAUCUAGCAAAUUAUUGGCACACGAAAAUUAGUGAAAAAGCUAAAACAUCCACCACAGCCAAGCAGUCACACGUUUUGAAUACCCUUUUAGCUCAACCACAUGCACCAUUGAGAAAGAUGUUAGGCUACUAAAUAUUGAGAAAGAUCUUAGGAUACAUACUUGAUCAACGACUAAAUGGAUUCCAAAACUUGAAUGUAUUUUUUUUUCAUAAAACACAAAUCAAAAGCUUAAAAAAGUUCUAGGUCUGAUAUGUUCUUGGGCUUAUGUACAGGAGACUAUUCAUAUUACCAUGUCAAUGAAACAUAGUAAUGAUAGUAAAAUAGAUAAAUCCCAGAAUAGUAAAACAUUGGAUACAUGUAUAAGUAGAAGUAAUUUGAGGUGUGCCAACGACAUACUUAACUUGGAAGGUAGAAGGAAUGAUUGAAUGAACAAUACAGCCUUGAACUAUACUCCAUUUAGAAAAGUAUGACUGAAACCAAUGCACAGCUUUAAUCGGAUUCCACAUAUACAUAACAGUAAUUUGCCACUUGCAAAAGAAGAAGCUACCAAAAUACAACAACCGUAAGGAAUUUUCUCAAAAUACUGGUAUUGACUAUUGAACCAACAAGAAGUAUUAAUUCUAUUACCUGGUAAACUGACAAGGAUAUGAAAGAACAUAUUAGGCAUCCGGGGACCAACUUCAUCUUUGUUGUUAUUUAAUUUAUGAAUAGGAAAUUAUAUAUUUUAGUGGCAAAUGAAUAAUUUCUGCAAUUGGUAGUAUGCAGCCAUACUAUUGUGUACUACAAUAGAGAAAAGAGCAUGGAAGUGGAUAUGUUUUACCAGAGAAAAAUCAUAGAAACACACUAUGUUAGACACGGUAAAAAAACAAAACCAUCUUGCUAGUACGACCAAUAAGCAGGAAAAAACUUGAAUAAUAGUGGAAGCAAGGUGAAAUGUAAAUUUAUUUGACAUUGCAGUUAUUACUACAACAAAAAUGGUUUACAAUACCAACGAACCUAUGAGAGGAAGGCAACAAACAAUACGAUAAGCCAAGGCCCCUGCUAGCAACUGAGGAAAAAGGUGGCAGCACAAAAAAUGCAGUAGACACAACAAAUAAAUAACGGAGAGGCAGCGAGCAGACAAAGUCCUCAGAGCCGCGGGAAGGUGGUACAGAAAAAUCACAUAUGCUCCUGCCUUCAUGAGCUAAGAAAGCAUGGCUAAAAAAUUCAGACCUCAUUUUAUCUCAUCACGUCUAGUACAGAAUCCUGACCCUGAAACAUGCAGCAAAAAAAUCAGAUAUAGUUCAGCCUUUAUGAGCUGAAACACAUGGCUAAAAAAUUCAGAUUGAGAGACAGAGGAGGUUGGCUACACCCCAAAUUAACAGGAACCAAAAAUUCCAUUAUUAUGCAUGUUUACAGAGGUAGUAUGUAGUAUGCCUUUUCAAUUUUGAUUGUACAAUAUCGAUUUGCAGUUUGCAGAGAAACAUGAAAAUGAAUAGCUGUGAAGUUGCUCCAGAAGUUACUGACUGCAAACAUCAAAUAAGACUAUACCUCCUAUGAUUCUGAUAAAAGUUGUCAAGUUGGUAGUAGGCGUAAAUUGGCUGCUUCAUAUCCUUUGUAACCUGCAUGGUAACACCCAGAUCUCAUUUUAGCUAAGAGACUGAUAGAAGGUGCUUGCUGCUAGCUGCACACGCAACACAAUUCUAUAAACUUGAAAAAAAAAUACUGUAAGAAAAUUGUUCAGUUAUGUAUUACCGUGAGAGUCCUUGUGCACUCUUUGGAUAUAGUCUCAUUCUGGAUGUACGCAAGCUUAUUAUCAGUCAUGUUAGGUGGGACACAUGCAUGAUCAAACCGAUCAAUGAUCUCAACAACCUGCAGUCAGUCAACAUAAGUGAAGUCAGAAACUGCCAAUGUGUGUAUAUAUGUUAACACAAGGUGUAAAAGAUACUCAGCGCCGUACAUCUUGUGCAGCCAAAGAUUACACCCACAAACAAGAAAUCUCUCUACGGGCCAGCGCGCUGGAUGUUUGCCUGAGAGCGAGGAUGGAGCCAGAGCACUCGACACCGGAUCAAAGACGCGGCUGCUGCUCCCCUCCUCUGGAUCAAGGCCACGCCCUCAAUUGUACUACAACAGAGAAAAUUUGGCAAUGAGCCAGGAAGUGGAUAUGCUUUAAUAGACACGGUAAAAAAAACUAACAACUAACAACUAAUAGAUCGGGACAUGAACUGGAAAAUAAAAUUGAGAAUCAAUGUCAACAUAAUAAUCCCAAUUCUGGUGAACUAAAGACAACCAAAGACACAUUUGCAAUUCACAGCAUGGAACCCAUUGCCUGCCUAGGAGAAACACCAAUGGCAGAGAGGUCUGUCACAACCUCAAACAUAAAUGACAAGAGAUGAGUUCAAACUCCAAACUGAAUCUUCAGCUGCCAUAGUUCUUAAAGAUUGUUCUGCACACAUGUGUUUAGAAACACCAUAAAUCAAGGAGUAAAAAGAGAGGAAGAAGAUGAGACCUUGCUACUCCUUACCUCAUGGCCAUCCCGCUCAUCCUCCCCAGCUCCAUGCCCACCACAAAGACCACGCCGCCCCCUGCUCUCCUAUGGUAGCGACCUGCACGCGCCCGAGCGGCGCCUCUUCGCAGCUCGACGCCGCCACCACCGCUCCUCUCGCCUCUUUGCAGCUCGACCCCGCCACCACCGCUCCUCCCCUUCGCGUUUCUCCUCCUCCCGCGUAGGAUCCAUGGCUUCAUGGCGGCGGCUGGCUCGAGGUGGGGGAGCGGCGGCUCCAUGGCGGCGGCUGGUUCAAGGCGGGGAGCGGCCGACGCGGCGUCGGAAGAGACAUGGUGGUGGUGGUGGUGGUGGCGGCGAGCAUGGAGAAGGGGAGAAGGGGGCGCGGCGGCGGCAGGAGAGGAGGCGGGGGUCACAGGGGAGACGCGGGUUAGGUCACAGGCAUCGCUACAGCUGAGGAGCGGGGACGGGAUGGGAAGAGACGAGGGAGAGAAAGGGGGAGAUAUUUCUGCUAACCCACGUUCGAUCCGCUGCCUCCGCUCACUGCCCAAUCCCACGGCCCCGCUGCCUCCGCUCGCUGCCUGCUCGGGCACUAUUCAUGGCCUACGUGGAUGGCUUGGGUGUGACUACCACCCCUUUCAUCUUUUAUAUGUUCAAUGAUAAUAGAUGGGAAUGCGAGCCCUUAGCCCUUCCCUUAUUUACAUGGUGGGGGCUAGGGUUUUACAAAGAGGGAUAUGCGAUCUAGGUCGCCGUCAGUGUAGACUUGGGGGCCAAGAUGGUCUGAAGAUGCCCAUCUUCUCUGGGCUCCUUCAUGUCUUCUUCUUUCACAAAUACUUUCAUAACUUAACUUAAGAUAGCUGACCACACAUGUCAUGUGGUUGGGCUCCUUCCUGUCGACAGGUACACGGUUGGCCUUCUAGGCCCUUGGGCAGGCCUGCUGAUGGGCUUCCUGUGGAUGAGCCACUCUCGGUGUAUUACACCAUCAUGCACACUUGCUCAUGUGUCAUAUCUCAUCUGGUUGUUUCUAGUCAUCAUUCGGGUUUUCUUUGCAUUUUUUAUGGAAAAAUGAAUCCAAUACAAAUGUUGGUAAAAAAAUGGAAUUUUGUCAAUGGGUCUUAUCGUGGGCGUAUUAGUGAGGUGAAGAAGUCUCGCAACCGAUGGCGAGUGUUUGGUUGACCUUGGAGGUUUGAUCCACCGUGAUGCAAGUAAUUGGCGCGGAGAUCGUGAAUUUCGUUAUAUAUGCUGCUUACGAGCAUUCCCUAAACGGCGCUCGUUACAGGCAUGGGCGCACACCAUCUAACGUGUUUUUCUGUUUUGUCUUAAUCCGCAAAAAGGUCGCUUUUAGGAUUCGAACCAGCUACCACCUUCGUCAAGGAAUGCCAAUGUAACCACGUGGCCGCCAGGCGGGAUCUGAUUACCUUUUAACUUUUUCUUCUAUUGUUCGUUCUUCUUCCUUAUUCCUUUUUUUCGUUUUACUUUUUAAAAUUUUUGUUUUCUUUUUUUCUUCGUCUUGGUCCGAUGAAUUGGUUCGCAAAUACAUGAACGCUUUCUUCAAAUCAAUGAACUUUUUUUAAAGUUUUGAUGAAUUUUUAUCAUUUUUUUUGUAAUUUUUCUCAAAAUCGAUGAACCUUUUUUGAAUUUUGAUGAAUUUUUUUCAAAUCAAUGAACUUUUUUCUCAAGAUUUGUGAACUAUUUUUUCAAACGGAUGAACCUUUUUCAAAAUUGAUAGACAUUUUUUCUCAAUAUCGUGAACUCUUUUUCAAAAUCGAUUAUUUUUUUCAAAACAAAUGAACUUUUCUUUAAUUCAUGAACUUUUUUCAAAAUAUUUUCCAAAAAAGUUAAAAAUCAAAGCGCUACAGUAAACGGUGACAUGUGUAAUAAAUUACGCGGCUACGAAGUACUUAAAAUGUUCACCCUGUAAUUGGUCGCAGCGCAAAGUUGGUCAGGUGGUUAGUAACUCGUCCGCUGUUCUCAUGGCUCGCUGAGAACCAAUUUUAGGGUGUUUAUGUGUGAUAUUACUCAUAUUACUAAUAACUACAGUAGCUAUGUUACCACUUUUCUUCAUUUUUUCAUUUAUUGCUUGACACAUCAUCUAUUUUAUUUAGAUAUGUGUGAUGUUACUAUCUAUGUUACUCCUACUGUGGGUAGUCUUAGCACCCCCGCCGCAUAACAUCACAACUUUAUGGGUCGUAUUUGUCUGACCGUUUGCAGCUAAUUAAUAUUCUUUUUACCUUUUCCCUCAAAAAAUUUAUUAUUUUUAGAUUUUUGAAGAACAUAAAUUAAUAUACACAUAUAUUUAAAAUAAUUAAAUAUGUUCGGAAACUACUAAAAAUAUGGGAAACACUUACCAUUACCCGGCGGAUCAUAGCAGCCGCGUCCGCCACCUUCUCUGCAUGACACGCGUCUAAGUGAAGGCCCGCAUACUAUCCUUCGUCGAACUAGGUUAUGCAACUGGGCCUAUACUUAUGAAACGUAUGUGUUGUUGCAAUGGUCUACGACGGGUCUACGUUUUGCAACAGAACUUCCCUUGCAAAACAAUGCUUAUGAAAUAUAUGCUGGUUGCAAUGGUCUACGACGGGUCUAGGUUUUGCAACAAAACUUCCCUUGCGCAAUUUUUCUACAACAAGACCUCUUUAUAUUGGUCGUCACCAACUGGUAACAAAAAUCCAGCUUCAUUCCUCUUUUAAUUUCUUGGCAUUUACUUCCUCCGUUCACAAAUAUAAGAUGCUUUUUAUAUUUUAAUAUAGAUUACAUAUGGACUGCAAUGAAAUAAGUGGGCCAACACAAUAGAGCAUGUCUAUAUACAUCUGAUUCAAAGAAUUAGAACAUCUUUAUUUUUAUGAACGGACCCUGCCUCUGCAUCAAGCGAUGCACACAACCACUCAUUAAACAGAGAAAAAGUGUCAAAGUACAAAUAAGUACAUCAUGGUAAUGCAGAAUAUAUCAAAAUCCAGAAGCCUGUGCUCAUAGACACGAUGGAAAUCCACCAAUGAAGAAGAAACAAAAUAAAAAUUAGGCGAGGUACUCCGUACGUUGUUACCAAGUCUUGGUUAUGAAAAGGUCCUGCAUGACGCCGAUCGCUCUCAUGACACCCACAAACUUGUCGCGCGUGGCCCGUUCGUCCUCGGUCCUCUCGGGGAUUGGCUUCGGGCAGUCUUCCCCGCAUGUCGCCCUGAACUCCGAGCUGAAGGACAGCACCCCCGCCUCGUCGCCAGGCUUAAUCGCCUCCACUGGGAGCCCCUCGAAUGCCUUGGCCACUCUAUGAAUGUCGUCGAUGCAGUUUGCGAGGCAUUUGGCGGGGUGCGGGUCCGUGGUGAGCCUGGCAUUGGCGAAGCCGUUCGCCAUCUUGGCGAGCUUUGCCGCGACUUGCAGGGACAUUAGGGGGACGCUGUUCACCUCCGGUGAGCCGGCGGCCAUGUUGGCGAGCAGGACGUGUUUGCAAGAGUCUGGCUGUAUUGUCUUGGCGCAUGUAGAUUCGAUGGCCUCGAUGGUGGGGGCCGAAUGAACAACCGGGGCGAUGGCGAGGCCGAAAGCACCGAGCAGUGCCAGGGCUAGUGCCGGGGCCGGCAUGGAAGGCAUUGCGAUGGGCAUUGUGUGUGGUGUUUGAUGAGCGAGCUAGUCAGGUCUCGGGUGCUUCCUUAUAUAACCUGCAUGCGUCUGUGCAUGAGUCUAGUCUUUAUUUUUAGUAGAGAAGCAGGGAACUAGAGAUGGAGCUAAUUAAUUGGUGGUCACGAAUCAACUUGGUCUUCCUAUCCACACAUGUUUCACUGGUUUGCCCUGGGUUCCGCCGUACCUCUAGUAUUUUUCAGGGGUUGGACAAUCACAAGAGGCAAAGAAACACAUAUUUACUCUUGUAAUCAUGUCAUGUGUGUGCCGACAGUACGAAAAUUUUCUGGAACGAUCAAACCCAGCGUUAAGUCGCCAGAUAUUAAUAUUUUUUUGAAACGGAGACAAAAUAUUUGCCUAGUCAGUUAAUUAAGCAUAAGAGAAUUGUCCAGAUAGUUAACGAAAAAUCUGGAAAAAAAACCGACACAAAUCCAUCACACGUGGACUACUCACAGAACAUGCAACCCCAUAAAAGUACGAUCACUCUGACAAUCAAACCCAACACGCAAAGAAAACAUGCAAGAAGAUGCGGCACGAUCAGCCAGAUAUCAAAUUUGUUGGGCAAGCGCCUAGUGUGAUGUACGUUGGGAAAACUUGCAAGAGGAUGCCAUCCCGUGCCCGUGGCCUACACAUUUUAAGCCAGCGGUCUCUUUCGACUUGUCUUACAAAAGCUGGUCCAGUCACGAGCCUUAGCCCUAACCAUAGCCACAAGUACAUCUCAUCCAUUUAAGGCCUCUGGCUGCACCAAUGGCAUCCAAGCUGCAGAUUUCUUUUCACCACCGUCUCUCUUGUCAGCUGUCAGCAAACACCAACCAAUUAAUUCCUCUAUAUUCUUGUUCCCUCAAGGCUCAAGCUCUUUAAAUAGCUCCCUACAAUCUCCUCUUAAACCAUCUCCACACACUCAAGCCACACUAUUGGAGAACACACAGGGACAACACACAAUAAGUGCAGCGCAAUGGCGGCCACCACCAUGUCUCUUUCCUCUUCGUACCUCGCCGGCAAGGCCGUCAAGAACUUGCCCUCGUCGGCUCUCAUUGGUGAGGCACGUGUGAACAUGCGCAAGACUGCCGCGAAGGCUAAACAAGUUUCGUCGAGCAGCCCGUGGUACGGCUCUGACCGUGUGCUCUACCUCGGCCCGCUUUCCGGCGAGCCCCCCAGCUACUUGACUGGUGAGUUCCCCGGUGACUAUGGGUGGGACACCGCCGGGCUCUCGGCUGACCCUGAGACCUUCGCCAAGAACCGGGAGCUUGAGGUGAUCCACUGUCGAUGGGCCAUGCUCGGUGCGCUUGGUUGUGUCUUUCCCGAAUUGCUUGCCCGCAAUG